rnacentral:lncRNA from 1 species
UAAAUUUUGUUUUAUAGGAAAAAGAAAGUUGUUCAUGUACCUCAAGAGCACUAAAAUUUGCAUACAUAGGUAUUGAAAGGGAAUAAAGAAUUAAAGAAAACCCAGAUUACCUUGGUCCAGUAGUGGUUACACAAGAGGAAUCUGCAAGUCACCAAACCACAUCUAGAAAAAGAUAAGGAUACACUGACAUAGUUCAAUUUGAAGCAUGGAUCAUUGCAAAGAUCUAACAAAUAAAAUUAAGAUCUUUUGUAGACAAUGGAAGCAUAAUAGCUGGCAAAGUUAGACUGUAAACCUACAGUAAAUGGAAAAUAAAUAUAAUCUCCAAUUAAAACUAUUGGCAAGCCGGUAGCAUGGAAAAGUUAACCCUCAUGACCCCACAACAUUAGCAAGGCAAAUUCAUAUUCAGAGCAAGUUCAAUGGUUAAAGCUACAACAAUUAGGUACAAGUAUAAAUUGCUUUGUACCUCUAUUUACCUUACAUAGGGAGAACGUAUAGUAUGCACAAAAUAAAUUGUUGGCAUCUCUUGGAUGAAGAUAGAAACUGAAGGUUUUACAUGGUACUGAAAUUAUGAACAUAUCCAUUUUAUUGUGAUUGCUGCACAAACCAAUGUAGCACAGACCAGCGACUUUCAGCUGUCUCCAUAGCACCCAAAAUUAAUCUCAUGCAUACCGAAGGAAAAUAAUGCAAUAGGAUGGUCCAAAUUACAUACCAAAUAAAUAUUCAGCCUACUAGUCUUAAGAGAACACUGUGAUUAUUGUUGCAACACAAGACUCGAUAGAAAAGGAUGAAGAAUGUUUCUUCUUAUGAUGCAACAGGCAAGCAUCAUCGAUGGUGCUAAAAAUGUGAACGAAAACAUUAAUUGUGCCAAAAUAAAAGCAAGUACAGCACAAGAAAGCACAAAAUUGAUGCCCAAAAACUCAAAGAAAUAGGAGAGGCAAAAGUGACCGUACACAUCCAAAGUGUAUGGCAAUGUAAUCCUUGGAAAUAGGGCAUGUACUCAGAAAUGAUAGUAUAUAAUUUGGCGUCACAGGCAAUGAUCAUAGAUAAUGAACACGCAAAGGGGCAAAUCAUUAUAGGUAGUUGCAUGAAAACCACGGAUCUCAUAAGUAAGAGUGAAUCCAACCGCAUAGUAUGUGACUAAAUACACAAUAAGCAGUAGCUCUCAUUGGUGCAUUAGAACUGCACAAAAUAGAACAGCCAGGAAUGAAUACAAGGAAACAUAGUCAUACAAUUGAAAAUUGCCUCAUGUAUUAUGGGACAAGCAUAUAAAACAAAAACAUAAUUUCAGGUGCAAUCAUCAUAGCAGUAGCCCAUUCCCUUAAUUUUGAACGCAACAACAAUACAAAACCGUACUCAUCACUGCACAUGACUGGAAUGCAAACAAUAAACAUAAGAACAACAGCGCUACAGUGGUGUCACAGAAAUGUCACUGAUACGCUCAAGUGCUCAGAUCUUGGUCAUAAUACCUCUCUGCUCUCAUAUCCAGCAAAACUGAGCACAUCACGACCUACAGAACAAGAAUCUGCAGUAACCAUGUAGAUCAACAAGAGAAAAGGAGAACACCAUAUCUACGACAAAAUGGAGCCCUCGUUCAUGCAUAUGGCACAUCAGGAGAGAGGGGAGGGAAAGAGAGGGGAGGGGAGUAAACCAGUGAGCGGACAGAUCGAGGGAGAGCAGAGCCGCGCCGACUGUCUACAAAGAGCUCGCACGGAGGGGGUAGGCGGUCGUGGCGCUAGCCAUGGCCGCCCGUGCCACGCCGCCACGCAAGGCCGUGCGUGUCGGUCGCACCACACCGUGCCGUGGGACUCGCCCGCGCAGGGGUGGGGGGAAGGGAGGGACGCUGUCCCCUCGUGCACGUCGCCACGACUGCUUGCAAGGAGCUCGCACAGAGGGGGAGGGCAGCCGCGCCCGCCAGCCAUGGCCGCGCGCGCCACACCGCUGCAUAGGGCCGCGCGCGUUGGCCAUGGCACGCCGUGCCACGGGGCCCGCCCGUGCAGGAGUAGGGGAAGGGAGGGACACCGCCGGCCUCCUCCUACGCCGUCACGUCGCGCACGUCACCGCGGCAGCCUGUAAGGAGCUCGCACGGAGGGGGAGGGUGGCCGCGGCCGCCGGCAACGGCCGCCCGCGCCACGGCACCGCGCAGGGCCACGUGCAUCGGCCGCGCGAUGCCAUGCCGCAGGGCCCGCCCGUGCGGGAGUGGAGGCACGGGAGGGAGGCUGCUGAGCUCUGCCUACGUCGUCACCUCGGGAGGGAACGAGAGAAGGAGAGGGAGAGAGAGAGGAAGGAGAAAUAGGAUAAGAUGAGAGGGCAUGGGAGGAGAUAUUUAUCUAUUGAAUCAGGAAUGCGGCAUGGACUGCUACAGUGAACCUUUUUUUUUUCUCGUGAGAAGCCGUACAGGACACAUGGCUAGGCCGAUUUCCUGCCUAGCUUAGCUGGCUUAAUAAGAGUAAAUACGAAGGAUAAGCAUCAGAGUGAAAUGUACCACGCCAAGCUGACAGCGCUUCUCCUACAGAACCGGUGUCCCUCUCCAGGCGCACUCCAGCAGACCCCUCCACUAAGCAAAACCAUAAGGCAAAUGUGAGUACGAAGAACAAAAAAGAGCAAGCAAGAACAAAAUUAGUAAGUAAAAAUAAAUUCUCCAACAUAGGUAGCAAACCCCAGCCACUCCGACGUCACCUACUGUUGGGAUAGAUGAACACCCGAGAAAAGCCCCAAUGUGGCAACCAAAUCCCAAUGCACCCCGUGGCCCAGGCAGUCGGCCUUCCACGGCGCCCCAGCGCCACGUCCGCUUGCUGACCCAGCCCCAAAGCCCGCACGCCCACCCAAUAAAGCGCAGGGAGAAGAUGACAGCCCGCGCCCACCCAAACAAGCGCAGGGGAGAAGAACAUAGAGCCCUUGCACCCGGUACGUACGCGACGCGGAAUGAAAAAGGUGCCGGGCUGGGCCGGGGCAUGGAAGCCGGAAGCGGUACCUGAGCUCGAUGUGGCGCGGAGAUGGAGCUGGCGGAGGGUUGAGGCCGGCCGCCGGCGAGACGACGGAGGCACCCGCAACGGUGGAAGGCGGGCAGCAGCUGCGGCGAGGCAGCGCGCGGCCGAUCGAUCGAUUGGGGUAAUCGGGGUUUUGCCGCAGUGACGACAGGAGGCAGUGAGCAGCGAGGUAGGCAGUAGGCACGCGUGUCGCAUAAGCAGUGGGCUAAUGCGUGUACAGUAAAUGUCAUUUUUGCCCUUUGUGUUGGUUGCUCCUUGGGACGGUACUGCACCCGCAACGGGCGAAGGCGGGCAGCUGCUGCGGCGAGGCAGCGCACGACCGAUCGAUCGAUUGGGGUAAUCGGGGUUUUGCCGCAGUGACGAGAGGAGGCAGUGAGCAGCGAGGUAGGCAGUAGGCACGCGUGUCGCGUAAGCAGUGGGCUAAUGGGUGUACAAUAAAUAUCAUUUUUGCCCUUUGUUGGUUGCUUUUUGGUACGGUACCGUGAUCAUCAGCGGUGGGAUACAUAUUUUUCAAAGCAUAGUGUCGGUACAUUGUUAUAGUUUUAUUUAGAUAUAGGGCCUGUUUUUUGGUUCGCCGUGCUAAAGUUUAGCUAGCUAAAAUUAUUUUAGUAAUUCUUGGGUGACUAAUGGAACUAAAUUAUGUUAACUCUUUUUAGACAAUGUGUUUGGAACUUUAGCAACUAAAAUGACUAAAGUUUAGCUAGCUAUAAUUUAGCAAGAGAAACCAAACAGGGCCUACUUAGGCCUUGUUUACUUUAAAAAAUUUUGCAAAAUAUGAAUAGUAGCGUUUUCGUUUGUAUUUCAUAAAUAUUGUUCAAUUAUGGACUAACUAGACUCGAAAGAUUCAUCUCGCAAAUUAUAUUUUGUAAAAUAUUUCCCUUGCUAAUUUGUUAUUUCUUUUAUCUAUAUUUAGAGCUCCAUGCAUGUGCCCUAAAAUUCGGUGUGAUGGAGAAUGUGAAAAAUUUUGUAAAAUAUUUUGGGAACUAAACAAGGCCUUAAUAAAAACAACUAAUUUAAUUAAAAUAACAAAAUAUUUUUCAUAGUUUAUAGUCUCAGAUAAUUACAUAUGAUAAUAAUAUAAUCAUGACUAAGAAAAAGAACAAUAAAGACAUGUCUCAUAUAUUUAUACUAUAAAUAAGUUCUUAAUUGCUUAGUAGAUCUCAAAGCUCUUCAGGGAUAAUGUUUGCACAUUUUGAUUACUUUGUAGAAUGUCCACCAAGCAUUCCGUCCUCAGCGAACGUCCACUCUGUGAAUGCCAGAUAGUAAGUUAACUUAUUAAUUUGCUAUGCACUCUACAAAAUUUACAUAGAGGAUAUAUAGUUUAUAUGCUUACAGGGUGGAUAGACAAUCUUUUUCCAUCCUACUAUUUCAAAUAACUAUAUGCAAAGAAGCGAGGCACUUCCCUGGAGAAGAGCAAGUGUUUAUUUGUGUUAGCUAAAUGACAUAGAAUAAUAUUACUAUAUAAUUUAAUUAAUAAUUGAGAACAUAAAUGUCGGUGUUUUCUCCCCGGGGGGUCACACCAAUGACUAAAACUUGUGUGCGUGCUCCCCUUUUUUCGGAUGGUGAUGCAAGAAAGACACAAAGAUUUAUCCUGGUUCGGGCGGGAGAAGGCCCUACGUCUAGCGGGGGGGGGAGUGUUUGUAUUAUCUUGCACCUAAGUGCUUGUACAGGGGUGAAUACAAGUUGGUAUGGAUCGAGGGAUGAAGAUGAAGUAUGGUAGCUCUUCUACGUAUGUCUUGUGUCCCCUAUCAUUUCCUGAGCCUCCCCUUUUAUAGUCCCAAGGGGAGACCUAGGUUACAUGCGUAGGUGACAGAGUAGGGGUCGAUAGGGGUGUGGCGCGCUGACCUACUCGAGGCUUCUGUACCGGCAUGGCCUCGAGUUGUCUUGUUACCCAGGGUACUGGAUGAUGAUUACGCGUGCCACCGAAUCCGGCUUCUGCAUGUCGUCCUGGAUCGGCUCAACUGCGGGCACGCCUGUACGUCGUGGCUACAGUUGCUCGGGGUGGUUGAGGUGCUGUCUUUCGCCGUCUGACUCUUUUUAGGGAAGGAACACGCUCGCUCGAGGGUCCGAUGCAGUGCUAGGCCUUGCUGACAGGAGUGUUGACUUUGGGCGUCUCGAGGGUGGUCGUGACGAGACGUUCCGUCCGCCUCGUUGUGCCCUGUCAUGCUCUGACUCAUCCGGUGGACAAGGCUGCAAAAAGGGGCGAUUGGAUGGGUGCUUGCUUCCUGUCACGCUUCCCGUAGCUAUCGGGUUAGGUGGGAACGCGGUAGGACGCAUUAAAUGCACUGGUUCCCGUACCCGCGUCAGGCGGCGGGCGGCGUCCCUGCGCUAGAGGCCUGCCGAUUCGUACGAGCCAGUUUCCGUAUUCAACGGUCAUCGUUCGGUCGAGCCCCAGCUGAUUCGCACGACUCUCUUUCCGUGUUCGAGGCCAUGGUCGUUGUCUUGUUUUGACGAUCAUGUAUGCGAUCGGGGGGCGUCGAGUCGGGGGCCUCGAUUUAUGUUCGGGUGCUCUCGUUAUACGUGUUGGUUAGGGUACCCCUUACCGAUAUCCUCAACAGUAGCCCCCAAGCCUCUGUUCGAGCGCUCUGCGCUCGAGUAGAGGCUCUUCUUUGUUGGUCGAGUUUCCGUGGGGUCGCGCGAGCGACCCCCACGGGGGUAGCCCCCGAGCCCUUGGAGGAGUCUUUGACUCCUUCGAGGGUUAUGUUGCGUAAUCCAACGGAAGCGCUCUUGAUGUUUAUCAUGGAAGAGGAGCUAGAGUCUUCGAUUGGUUGGUUUAGUGUCGCGGUUGUGACGUACUCCCGGUGGAGCGAGCGUCACCUACCCCAGAUUGAGCUCCUAUCGGGUAAUCCAAGUGAGAACCUGUGCCCCAUUCGAGGGGGUCAGCUGUAGCCCGAAGGCGUUCUCAUAAAGUGGGGUCGACGUGGUUGGGGUUACUGGUCUCUUUCGAUAGAGUCCAGCGGCAUGAUGCGUCCCUUCGUGGGGAUCCCUUUCGACCGUCUCGUCGUCGCCUUGGACAUCCCCAGCGAGUUCUCGAGGCCGGCCCCGCAUUUCGACUACUCGCUGGGCAUCCCUCACUCUGGUACUCGAGAUCGGCUGUCGAACCCAUCGUCACGAAUGCGUACCUUAGCUUACAAGGGAAGGAAGGGAUCGCGGCGGUUCGCCUUUUUGCCCGUUGGGCGCGCCUUUUUAGGCGGGAGCCGUUGCGGCACUGUACCGGCGUGGAAUUCGUAGCGCCCUGUCCGUGAGAGGAAUAAGGACCGUUAGACGGCAUAUUUACUAAGGGAGUUGUAACAGAACCGUCCAAUUUAUAAGAAUUCAAGUGAAUUAGCGACCACUGAGGCAGUCAAGCCAAUGGACUUGAACCCAUAUAAACCGGGUAGUUCGACGAAAUCUUAAAAGACCUCGAUUCAACCAACAUACAACCAAGAUCGUACAUGAUCAAGCAUCACCAUCACAGAUUACAACAAUCAACACAGAACAUAGUUUUACAUCACAUCAGAGUUUGAAAGAGGUUAUUACAAACCAUAGCAGUAGCGGAAACAAAAGUAGUUUUGAAACAACUCCAACUCAGUUCAUAAUACAUGCCAGUUCCAUGGCUAAUCCCCACAAAAGCAUAACUGAAGGUAGAAGAGUGAUCACGCCCAUGAUCUAUUCAUCAUCCGCAGCUGGGUGAUGACAGUUAGCACAAUAGCCGUGAUAGACGACAUCAUCUGCAACAGGGGUAAAUAAAACCCUGAGUACGAGAAUGUACUCAGCUAGACUUACCCGUCAUAAACCAGAAAUAAAGUGACACCAAGGAGUAUGCAAGGCUGAUCUUAGUGGACUGGUUUGACUCACUUUUUGCAUAAAAGCCUUUGUUAUAAGUAAUUCAUUUAUUCAUAUUUCAGCAGCAAGUUCAUUACUUAGCAGCUAUCCACUAGAUUAGCACCUGUUCUAAGCAAACACUUGAGUAAUUAAUCAAUUCAAUAAUAACCAUAUCAGGAUUAUCACUUUGCUAUCAACAUUCUCAUCAUAACCAUUAUGUUUGCUUAGUGAGUUCUACGUUGCCGCUGCCCAAGUCAAGUUCUCACUAUCCGGGAGAGACGGCGAUUCGAAUCGAUUCCUAUCCAGCUGGAGGGGUAUUCCUAACACUCACCCAAGCAUACUUCAUGACGGCAGCUCGGAUCACCUUUAGCACGACUCCGGACCAAUUCGCGGGUCCGUACGGCGCCGCACCCCUAGGGACCGCCAAUCUGCCAGGGUCAGGACUCUAACCUGACACCUCGGUCUUACGCCAUUGACUCCCCGCACAUCCUUACUACCAACCGGGGUGCGCACUUUAACCAGAUCGGGGUAUUCGGCCGGAGUUGCACUCGUAGGCUUCGCGGUCGGAACGACUUAUCCGGCCAACUAAGUGAUAGGCAUGCGUUCAACAUGACACGGGGACGUACAGCGAUUCGGUCCUUAAACGACACAGACGGGGAUAGAUUCACACCCAAGACCUCCAUGCCUUGUUGCUGCACUAUCGUCCUCCCGCCCGGUCUCAAGUUCAUUAUUAGCACAUGGUUAUUUCCAUGAUAGCAAAUAUAGCCAACCGUGAUCAUCAUCCACCUAUCUCUCGCAGGUGACAGGAAAUCACCCGGCUUCUACCGAGCUAAGCAUGGCUAAGCAAUACUUCGAUCCUGGACCUACUUUGGUGAGGUAUGCGGUGGACAAGGUAGUCAUUAUGCAGCAAGGGUGUCAUAUCAACGCCUACCACUUAGUGCAACAAUAUAUAACCAUAGUCAUUUGAUAGCUGAUCAUGAUAAUAAAAUAGUAGGAGGCUUAUAAUGCUCCGGGGCUUGCCUUCAACGUAGGUAGAGGGACGGUGGUCAGGGCACUCCGGCAAAUCCUCCUCCUCCUCAACUCCUUGAGGUAGUUCCCCUUGCUGUCCUUCCGACUCCGGCAGCUCGAACUCCAGCACCGUUACUCCCUUGGGUACACCUAUGUAUGCAUGACAAGGAAAUGAAUAUAGAGAAUGCACAUAUGAGGUAUGAUGUCAUGAUGAGGAGCCAAAGGAAUAUAAAACAAGGUAUAGCAUGAGCAUAACUUCUAAGAUUAAGUGAAUCAUGGAUUAACAAGUAAGUGCAUACUUCUUCUCUGGUAGAGAGACUAAAUAGACAAGUUAAACAUUUCUAGCUACUCCUACUCAGCCACUGGUUUAGUAAACAAACCAACCAGUCACAAGUUUCAGCCAUAACUCAAGCAUAUGUUAAUCAAACUAAGCAAGUAAGCACUUUCUGGAAAGCUUAGCAAAUUGGCUUCAAUUUACCUUUAGACAUCCCAGCAUGAUUCCCAACUGAAAUAAGCUAAAUCCUACAAAGUUGGCUGGCUGCUCUGGAAAAUCUAGAGAGCAAGCACUUUGCAGCAGCUACUUGGAAUAUGCAUAACUUUCAAACUACACAACCAAUUGCCAUGAAAUUUGGACACGAAGUAGAUCAGUAAGUGAGCUACAAGUCUGUUGUAGACAAGUUUCCCAGAAAGCAUCAUGUUCAAAUAGUUCUUAAUCAUUUGCUAUCAGCUGUACAGAAAUGCUCUAUGAAAGGCAAAAAUAGCCAAAAAUAAUAUUUUGCACAUAUUGAGAAUGUAUCACACGGAUAAACCAAUUGCACCAAUAGAUAGAACAUAUCUAAGAAACACCAGAAAACAUCAUGGCAAGGUCUAAAACUAUUUCUAUCAUCACCUUUUCCAUUUAUUUAAUUAUUAAUGUGAUUUAAUGAACAUAUACUUCAAUUAUUCCAAAAAUCCUAAGAAAAUUACAGCAAGCUACUUAUGCAAACACAAGAUCACUGUAAAAUUGUCAGAGCAUUUGCACAUACACAUUGUGAGGUAUAAAAAUAACAAGCUAGUAAAGGCAUGCAUAGCAUAAAUGUGAAACCUCAUCAAAAAGUGUCAAACAACAGAUUUCAGAUUUUUCCUAGCUUUGUCCACACAUAAGUACAACACUCAGCAAGUUUCAUCACAAAAGGAGUUAUAACUUAAUUACUAAAAAUAUCACAAGAAACUCCUAUUUAAGAAAGAAUUAUUUUUAACUUCUUAAAUAGACUUCCAAAAAUCAUGAACAAUUUAUCAGAGACUACUCAUAUCAUAAGUAACAACUCCCUAAAUUUGCAUGGCCAGCAGAUCAAUAGAUCUCAAGAUAUAAUUACCCACUGAAAAACCAAGAUUAGUUUAUAUCUAUUUAUUUCUGCAAAAACAUAGCAUGUUUCAUAUUUUUAUUAAAAACUAGGCUUGAGCUCGAACCUAGCAAAAUUGGAAGCACCACAUUUGGAUCUCUAAAACUACAGAUAUGAAUUUUACAAAAACAGCUUUGGCUCUGCACAACAAUGAACGAGAGGGGGUUGAAACCGAGAGGCUGACAACCGGGACCCACGCGUCAGUGAAACGGGGACAGGGGAGAUGCGCGUUGCCGGCGAAGCUCGACGACGAUGAGGUCUCGGCCGGAUCUAAGGGCACCUAUGUGUUCCUCUCAUCAAGGCGACUCUGUUGACCUACUUUACGCGCGCACUACUGGACUCUAGGGUUCUCGCCGUCGGGAAUGGCGGAGCGGCGGCGCUGCGCGGCGAUACGCCGGCGGAUCCAGGCAAUGGCGACGCGGUAGAGCGUCAUGCCGAGCAUCAGUGAAUCAAGGGGAAGCGAUUGGAACAAGAAUGGAGGAAAAUGGUGGAGCAGAGAGGCCUGGCCACGUUGCUGGUGAGCUCGAGCGGAACUCCGGCGAGGAAGAACUGCUCGGAGCUCGGCAAUGCCGCCUUACCCGUGCUCGACAGUGGCCAAGGAGGUGACGCCGAGGUAGAGGAGGCUCUGGCGAAGCUUUUCGCGGGCUGGCUUGGCCGGAGACGGCGAGAAGAGCUCGAGCGACGCGGCCGUUCCACGGCCGAGCUCGCCGAGACGAAAUGGAGAAGGGAGAGGGCUGACAGGGUGAGGUCGGGAACUAUGAAACAUGCCAUGUUUUUGUAGAAAUAAAUAGAUAUGAUUUAAUCUUGAUUAAAUAGGAGGUAAUUAUAUCUUGAAAUCUAUUGAUCUGCUGGCCAUGCAAAUUUAGGGUGUUGUUAGUUAUGUUAUGACUAGGCUCUGAUAAAUUUAGUUGUGAAGUUAAAAAAAUAGUUCUUGCUUAAAUAGGGGUUUCUUGUGGUAUUUUUAAUAAUUAAGUUAUAACUCCUUUGGUGAUGAAACUUGCUGAGUGUUGUACUCAUGUGUAAACAAGGCUAACAAAAAUCUGAAAUCUGCUGUUUGACACUUUUUGAUAAGGUUUCAUAUUUAUGCCUUGAAUGGUUUUACUACCUUGUUGUUUUUGUAUCUCCCAAUCUGUAUGUGCAAAUGUUCUGAAAAUUUUACAGUGAUCUUAUGUUAGCAUAAGUAGCUUGCUGUAAUGUUCUUAGAAUUUUUGGAACACUUGGAGUAUAUGUUCAUUAAAUCACCUUAAUAAUUAAAUAAAUGGAAAAGGUGAUGAUAGAAAUAGUUGUAGACCUUGCCAUGAUAUUUUCUGGUGUUUCUUAGAUAUGUUGUACCUACUGGUGCAAUUAGAUUGUUCCUUUGAUACAUUCUCAACAUGUGCAAAAUAUUAUUUUUGGCUAUUUAUACCUUUCCUAGAGCAUUUCUGUGUAGCUGAUAGAAAAUGCUUGAGAACUAAUUAAAGAUGUUAAUUUCUGGGAAACUUGUCUACAACAAACUUGUAGCUAACUUACUGAUGUACUCCGUGUCCAAAUUUCAUGGCAUUUGGUUGAGUAAUUUGAAAGUUAUGCAUGUUUCAAGUAGCUGCUGCAAAGUGCUUGCUCUCUGGAAUUUCCAGAGCAGCCAGUCAACUUUGUAUGUUUUAGCAUAUUUCGGUUGGGAAUCAUCCUGGGAUGUCUAAAAGUGACUUGUAGACAAUUUGCUAAGCUUUCCAGAAAGUGCUUACUUGCUUAAUUUGGUUAACAGAUGCUUGAGUUAUGGCUGAAACUUGUGACUGGUUGGUUUGUCUACUAAACCAGUGGCUGAGUAGGCAUAACUAGGAUUUGUUAACUUGUCUAUUUAGUCUCUCUAUCAGAGAAGAGGUAUGCACUUACUUGUUGUUCCAUGAUUCACUUAAUCUUAGAAGCUUAUGCUCAUGUUAUACCUUAUUUUAUGUCCCUUUGGCUCUUCAUCAUGACAUCAUGCAUCAUUUGUGCAUUCUCUAUAUUCAUGUCCUUGUCAUGCAUACAUAGGUGUACCCAAGGGCGUGACCGUGUUGGAGUACGAGCUGCCGGAGCCGGAAGAACAGCAAAGGGAGCUACCUCAUGGAGCUGAGGAGGAGGAGGACUUGCCGGAGUGCCCUGACCAUCGUCCCUCUACCUACGUCGAAGGCAAUCCCCGGAGCAUUAUAAGCCUCCUACUAUUUUAUUAUCAUGUUCAGCUAUCAAAUGACUAUGGUUAUAUAUUGUUGCAUUAAGUGGUAGGCGUUUAUAUGACACCCUUGCUGCAUAAUGACUACCUUGUCCACCUUAAACAAUACCAAAGUAGGUCCAGGAUCGAAGUAAUGCUUAGCCAUGCUUAGCUCGGUAGAAGCCGGGUGAUUUCCUGUCACCUGCGAGAGUUAGGUGGAUGAUGAUCACGGUUGGCUAUAUUUGUGUCGAGGGUAUCAACAAGGGGUACCCUCACCAAUGCGUAUAACAAGAUCAUCCGUACACACGCGCGGCCAUCGACGGCCGCAGCCUCGAAGACUGAAGUAGCGUCGAGCGAAUCGAUCAGGGCUCGAGCGACAACUGCCGUCGAAUACGGAAGCGGGCUCGAGCGAACCGAGAGGCGUCGAGCGCAAGGACACUGUCCGCCGCCUGACGCGCGCACGAGAGCCAGGGCAUUUAAUGCACCUGACGCUUCCCCACCUAACACACGGGUCACGGGAGGCGUGAUAGGGAACAGGCUUCUGUCCCAUCGUUCUUUUUGCAGCUUUCCCACCGAACGACCCAGGGCGUGUCAGGACGCGGGAAACAAGGAUGGAACGUCUAAUCGGGACCCCCUCGAGACACCCAAGGUCAGCGCUCCAGAUAUCGACACCUCGUACGGCGUCCGACCCUCGACUUCACCAGGCUCCUUCCUGGAGACGAGUCGGGCGUCGACUGACCACGCCGUAACCACUCCGCCGGAUUUGCCGCCGAGCCAUAUAAGCGUGCAUCCGCCGAACCAAUCCAAGACGGCGCGCAGGGCAGAAUGCAGGGGCACGCGUGAUCAUCACUAGGCUAUUAAGACGGGACGGCUCAAGGUCAUGCCGGUACGGAAACCUCGAGUAGGUCAGCGCUCCAUGCUGCUAUCGACUCCAAUUCCUACACCUAUACAUGUACCCUAGGUGCUUCCUUGGAACUAUAAAAGGAGGGACUCAGUAAUAGAACAAGGAUCACGACACAAGACCACGCUCAUACGUAGUAGAGCUCCACACUUCAUACCCCACUUGUAUUCGCCCCUGUACAAGCACUUAGGUGCAAGAUAAUACAAACUCUCUCCCCCCGCUGGACGUAGGGCCUUCUCUUGCCCGAACCAGGAUAAAUCUCUGUGUCUUCUUGCAUCACCAUCCGGGAAAGGGAGCACGCAUACAAAUUUACUCGUUGGUGUGACCCCCCGGGGGAAAACACCGACAGUUGGCGCGCCAGGUAGGGGUCCUGCGUGUUUUUCAUCGAUUUCCCACUCCUUUCCGGAUGGCUACUCUUGCCUCGCCAUUUCCGCGCUCCACGGUGAUUUGGUUUGGGAGUCUCGAGUUCAUGUCUACGGGCUCCGGCUACGACAUGAUCUUGCUCUCAGUCAAAGGACCAGGAGGAGCCCGCGUUACGCCAGCAAAGUUGAAGGCCCCGAGACGCCCUCACCACCACGCCUCCCCGCCUAAGAAGAGGCGCGGACAGCACCUCCGCGGCCCCUCUGCUUCAGCACGACCAACAACUCGUGCGAGGCAGGACGUAGGCCACAAGUCGGCAGCACCGUGUGACGGAGCAACAAGCGCGACGACUCAGCACCGCGCGACGACGGGAGGGGACGCGUCUCGCGCGCUCUCCCCCACCGCUGCUAGGCUACUUCCACACGGGUUGUUCACUCCAAGAGCGGCACUGCCGUUCGGAUUGGACAACGCCGUGGCGUCGCUCGCCAGGGCAGUAUGCCCAAACGCCCAGACGUACGUAGAAAGACCAAUGGUCCUCCCACGUAGCUCUGAAGCGCGGCGGCCGGCGUCCGAGCUGCCGGACCUAUCCCGAGUACAAGGCCUCCGUCGUCUAGGCCCCGGACGAUACUCGAUCACCUCCCUCAGGCAACGAUUGCUGGAGGAAGGACGUGGGUGUUUCUACGCCGCCAAACCGGACUCCGACUUCGAGACAGAUAGCUAUGACCCUACAAGGGAAUGCUAUCACAUCGAUGGGGCGGUAGAAACUACUGACGAGACACGGGAUGCUGCUGCGGGUGGUCGAGCCCCCGCGGCGCGAGAAGACCCCAGGAUGCCUGGGAACGACGGACAGGUCGACCCCCCUCCUCAGGAAGACAGAACCGCGCAGCUCGCGUAGCUGCGGGAGCUCAAGAUGAAGCUCGACGAAGACCGCGAGCGUCUCGUCCUGCUCGAGCAAAUCCUCGAGCAAGACCUGCCCUACCCGCCGGGCGGAAGUGUCCGCAGACGCGCUCUAGAGGUACAUCGACAGAUCGUCGACGACGCAGAGCCAGAGCAACCUGUCAGCCGUUUCCCUCGAGCAGGCCAGAAUGUAGUGGCAGCGAUGAUGCUGCUACGUAACAUGCCAGAACCGUCGAAUUCCCAGGCCCGACGCAUUCGAGAUGAGGUACAUACAUUGCUCCAGGUGGCGGCGGUUCAACAAGCCGAAAGUUCGGCAUCUCGACGACGAGGAGCUGCCACAGAGAAGCACGACGAACAGCCUCUAAACGAAGAGGAGGUGUCAGUCCAUCAACAACCUCCCCCUCGCGGUAGAAAGACUGCUCUCAUCCUCCCCGUCGACAAUCAACGUCGACACGACGCGCGGCACGACAUCAAAGAAAAUCGGCGCCGCCGGCACGGAGACGCGGAAGAGCGCAGUUAUAGCGCGCAUCGCGGUGGGAGAUACAACAGCGACGAGGACCGGGUGGCCCCCGAGCCACCAGGCCCACGGGUGUUCAGCAGGGCGAUCCGCAGCACGCCCCUGCCCAAUCCAUUUCGACCCCCGACCAGCAUCGCGAAGUACAAUGGAGAGACCAAACAAGAGUUGUGGCUGGCCGACUUCAGGCUGGCCUGUCAGCUAGGUGGCGCUCGAGGUGAUGAUCGAGCCAUCAUCAGACAGCUACCCCUUUUCCUCUCCGACACCGCCCGUCGAUGGCUCGAGGAACUCCCUGCCAAUCAGAUCCACAACUGGGUUGAUCUGGUCAGAGUCUUCGAGGGUAACUUCAAAGGGACCUACAUACGGCCAGGGAACUCGUGGGACCUCAGCAAGUGCAAGCAGAAGUCAGGAGAAACUCUUCGGGAGUAUGCUCGACGCUUCUCGAAGCAGCGCACUGAGCUGCCGCACAUCCCUGACCACGACGUCAUCUUGGCGUUUGUCUCAGGCACAACCAGUCGAGACUUGGUGCGGGAGUUAGGUCGCAAUCGACCUCAGACCGUCGACGAGCUGAUGGACGUAGUAGCCAACUACGCGGCAGGGGAGGAGGCGGUCGGCGCCUUCUUCAGCUCAGAAGGAAGAAAAGACAAGCAGCCCGUCGACGAAGAUGGGACCCCCAGUCGAGGCCUCAAGAAGAAUAAAAAGAAGCAGAAAGUGCGGCAGUUCCACCGGGAAGAUUCCGAUGACAACCUUGUUGCCGCCAUGGAUCGAAAGAAGCCCCGAGGCCCUCCGGAUGGUGGCAUCUUUGACAAGAUGUUGGAGGAGCCGUGCCCUUACCAUAAGGGAGGCGCCAACCACAAGCUCAAGGACUGUCGUAUGCUGAGAAAGCAUUUCGACGGUCUGGGGUUCAAAAAAGAUACGCGUGAUGACUCCAAGAAAGAGAAGGCUGGCAGCAAGGAGGACAACAAAGAUGACGACGGCUUCCCCGCCGUCCACGACUGCUACAUGAUCUAUGGCGGGCCCUCGACUCAAUUAACCAUGAGGCAGCGCAAAAGGGAGCGUCGCGAAGUCUUUGCGGCAAGAAUGGCGGUGCCCCAGUACCUUAGCUGGUCAAGCACUCCUAUCACUUUCGACCAAGAGGACCACCCCGACAAGGUAGUCUCCCCAGGCGUCUACCCGCUCGUCGUCGACCCCAUCAUCGUCAACACCCGACUCUCGAAAGUGCUGAUGGAUGGUGGCAGCAGCCUCAACAUCAUCUACCUCGAGACCCUCGACCUCCUCGGCAUCGAUAGAGGAAGCCUCCAGCCAAGCGCCGGCGGUUUCCAUGGCGUCGUGCCAGGAAAAAAGGCACUGCCAGUAGGUCGAAUUGACCUACCGGUCUGCUUCGGCACGGCGGCCAACUUCAGGAAGGAGACCCUCACCUUUGAGGUGGUUGGGUUCCGAGGCACGUACCACGCCAUCAUCGGGCGCCCGGGCUACGCCAAGUUCAUGGCUAUACCCAACUAGACCUACUUGAAGCUGAAGAUGCCUGGUCCCAAAGGCGUCAUCACUGUCAGUUCCUCCUUCGAGCACGCGUAUGAGUGCGACGUCGAGUGCGUCGAGUACGGGGAGGCGGUCGAGAGCUCCGCCGAGCUCGUUGCAAAGCUCGAGGCCAUGGCCGCUGAGGCUCCAGAGCCUAAGCGUCAUGCGGGCAGCUUCGAGGCGGCGGAAGGAACCAAGAAGAUCCCGCUCGACCCCAACAACUCCGACGGCAAAGUUCUGAUGAUCAGCGCCGACCUCGACCCCAAAUAGGAAGCCGUGCUCGUCGACUUUCUCCGUGCAAAUGCUGAUAUGUUUGCAUGGAGUCCCUCGGACAUGCCAGGCAUACCGAGGGAAGUCGCCGAGCACUCCUUGGAGAUUCGAGCCGGUUCCAAGCCAGUGAAGCAGCGGUUGCGCCGAUUCGAUGAGGAGAAGCGCAAGAUCAUUGGCGAGGAAGUCCACAAGCUUUUGACGGCCGGAUUCAUCAAGGAGGUUCAUCAUCCUGACUGGUUAGCAAACCCUGUAUUAGUUAAGAAAAAGAAUGGGAAAAUGAGGAUGUGUGUCGAUUAUACUAGUCUGAAUAAAGCAUGUCCAAAAGUUCCCUUUCCAUUGCCAUGCAUUGAUCAGAUUGUCGAUUCUACCGCGGGAUGUGAAACCCUUUCUUUCCUUGAUGCAUAUUCUGGUUACCACCAAAUAAAAAUGAAGGAGUACGACCAGCUCGCGACCUCUUUCAUCACGCCUUUUGGGAUGUAUUGCUACGUGACCAUGCCAUUUGGGCUUCGAAACGCGGGAGCCACGUAUCAACGUUGCAUGCUCCACGUAUUUGGCGAACAUAUAGGGUCAACGGUCGAGGCCUACGUCGACGACAUUGUCGUCAAGUCAAAGCGACGAGGAGACCUGAUCCAGGACCUCGAGAUUGCCUUUAGCUGCCUACGCACCAGCCGGAUCAAGCUCAAUCCCGAGAAGUGCGUUUUCGGUGUGCCUCGAGGCAUGCUCCUAGGAUACAUCGUUUCGCAGCGCGGCAUCGAGGCCAACCCCGAGAAAGUCUCGGCUAUCACGAAAAUGGGGCCGAUCUGAGACAUCAAGGGUGUACAGAGAGUCACGGGGUGCCUGGCGGCUCUGAGCCGUUUCAUCUCGAGACUAGGAGAAAAGGCAUUACCAGUAUAUCGACUUCUAAAGAAGGUCGAGCGCUUUUCUUGGACCCCCGAGGCCGAGGAAGCACUCGAAAGGCUGAAGAAGACGCUGACCUCGGCACCAGUCCUGGUUCCACCUCAACCUGCAGAGCCGCUGCUCCUCUACGUCGCGUCGACGACCCAGGUCGUCAGCGCGGCGGUGGUGGUCGAGAGGCAGGAGGAGGGACAUGCGCUACCGGUUCAGAGGCCAGUGUAUUUCGUCAGCGAGGUGCUUUCGGAGACCAAAGCACGUUAUCCCCAAAUCCAGAAGCUGAUUUACGCCGUAAUCCUUGCCCGACGCAAGCUGCAGCAUUACUUCCUUGGCCACCCCAUCACGGUGGUCUCGUCUUUUCCUUUAGGCGAAAUAAUCCAGAGCAAAGAAGCCACGGGAAGAAUAGCAAAAUGGUCGGUCGAGCUCAUGAGUGAGACUCUCACUUAUGCGCCUCACAAGGCCAUUAAAUCGCAGGCCCUGGUAGACUUCAUCGCAGAAUGGACGGACACCCAGCUCCCCCCGACCCAGGUCCAGGCGGAACUAUGGACGAUGUAUUUCGACGGGUCACUCAUGAAAACUGGAGCCGGAGCCGGCCUGCUGUUCAUCUCACCCUUGGGCGUCCACAUGAGGUACAUAAUCAGGAUUCAUUUUGCCGCAUCUAACAAUGUCGCAGAAUAUGAGGCCCUCGUCAACGGUCUCAAGAUCGCUAUCGAGUUAGGAGUCCGGCGCCUCGACGUCCGAGGUGACUCCCAACUCGUCAUCGACCAAGUAAUGAAAACCUCAAGCUGCCACGACCCAAAAAUGGAAGCGUACUGCAAGGAGGUCCGUCGACUCGAAGACAGGUUCCACGGUCUCGAGCUUGUCCAUGUCGCUCGACGCUACAACGAGGCAGCCGACGAACUCGCCAAGAUCGCAUCGACCAGAGGCACGGUGCCGCCUGAUGCAUUCUCAAAGGAUCUUCACGAGCCAUCCGUCGACCUAGGCACGGGGGCUGGCGUCGACGCCACCACCGUCCAACCAACCGAUGCCGUCGAUACGCUCUUGAUGGUGAAAGAGAUGAUGGAGAUAGAACGACGACCAGGUCGACCAUUCGAUUGGCGCACACCGUUCCUCGACUGCCUUAUCCGCGGCGAGUUGCCAGAAGACAGGUCAGAAGCUCGUCGUAUCGCUCGACGGGCCAAAUCAUAUGUGAUCUAUGGCGAAGACAACGAGCUAUAUCGACGGAGCCCGACGGGGGUCUUACGACGUUGCAUCACAGUGGAAGAAGGCCGAAAACUCCUUGAUGACCUGCACUCGGGGGCUUGCGGUCACCACGCCGCUCCACGGACCCUUGUAGGGAACGCUUUUCGAUAAGGCUUCUACUGGCCAACGGCCGUGGCGGACGCCAUCGAGCUCGUACGAUCAUGUCACGGGUGUCAGUUCUACGCCAAGCAGACGCAUCUGCCUGCCCACGCUCUUCAGAUGAUCCCCAUUACCUGGCCGUUUGCGGUGUGGGGGCUCGAUUUAGUAGGACCUCUACAAAAGGCGAAAGGAGGAUUCACCCAUUUGCUGGUGGCCAUUGACAAGUUCUCCAAAUGGAUCGAGGCUCGACCCAUCACCAACAUCCGCUCCGAGCAGGCCGUCCUUUUCUUCACCGACAUCAUCCAUCGGUUUGGGAUCCCCAAUGUCAUCAUCACCGACAACGGCACCCAGUUCACCGGCAAAAAGUUCUUGGACUUCUGCGAUCGGCAUCACAUCCGUGUGAACUGGUCUGCAGUAGCCCACCCUCGAACUAACGGCCAAGUCGAGCGUGCCAACGGCAUGAUUUUUCAAGGACUCAAGCCAAGGAUCUACAAUCGAUUGAAGAAAUUCGGCAAAAAAUGGGUCGAGGAGCUUUCCUCAGUCCUAUGGAGCCUUAGGACAACACCAAGCAGGGCCACAAAAUACACCCCGUUCUUCAUGGUCUACGGCUCUGAGGCUAUCCUCCCCACAGACCUCGAGUAUGGGUCACCUCGACUCAAGGCCUACAACGAGCAAUCGAACAAAGAGACUCAAGAAAACGCGGUCGACCAACUUGAGGAGGCUAGAGACAUGGCCCUCCUCAACUCUGCCAGAUAUCAACAAAGGCUUCGACGCUACCACGACAAGCAUGUGCGCAAGAGGGACCUCAAUGUGGGCGACCUAGUCCUACGACGCCGGCAAAGCAAUCAGGGACGCCACAAACUGACUCCGCCUUGGGAAGGUCCGUACGUGGUAGCUGAGGUCCUGAAGCCGGGAACGUACAAGCUGGCGGACGAAAAGGGGGCAAUUCUCACCAACGCAUGGAACAUCGAACAGCUACGUCGAUUCUACCCCUAGAAGUUCUAAACUUAUGUUCCUGCUUACGUUUUGUACCAAGACUUUGUAAACGAAUGAAUGAAUAAAUAAAGUCUUUCCCUCGAAACAAUUCUUCUUUCUUUGCACCGAGAAGAUUAAUAAGUCACGAUCUCGACGUUAAAAGGGGGCGCCGACUAUGACCCAUCAUAGUCAGCACCCCCUCGGGGGCUACCAGGGGGACGACACCCCCCCCCCCCCGAGUAUCGAAAAAACCAAGAAGUUUUCUUUUCUUACGUAGUAAACCUUGCACGGUUCAAGUAGCUAAGGCACCUCGAGCCCCUCAAAGGCUGAGGGACAACGAGCUGGAGAACUCCUACGCCCCCGGGCUACGGAAACUAUACUCGCUUCUCCACCAUUGAAGUGAUCGAGGUGGUCUUUUACGAAAAAUCAAGCAAGGGAUACAAACGUAGGCGCAAAGAGAAACGAAAGCAUCAAGCGGAAAGACAAAAUAAGCAUCUAACAAUUACGAAAGUGAUACGGCAUCAGUAACCCACAGAAUUAACCAAGUAUUGUACAAGGGGCCUCAAGCGCCCUGAGCAGGCUCGCAGGCCUCAGUCCGCAGCACGAUCCUCACCGCCCUCGCCUCCGCCCGAGCUAGCCUCAGGAGGGAGCACCUCAGGCUCGAAAAGCUUGGCCAACCUUUCCCCAGGAGCCUCCGCGUCGUCGAUCAAGGCAUGGAGCCUCUCCUCGUUCUCCGCGUCGGUCUUGGAGAUGUCGGUGACGAAGCCAUGGGACACCACCUCCAUGUCGUAGGAGAAGCCCGAGCAGACAACCGCCAUCGCCCGCUUCACCCCGAUGUGGAGGGCGUCCCGCACCCGAUCUCGCAGCGUCGCGCCUAUGUAGCACAACUGGUCGACCAGGGCGUCGCCUCGAGCGUCCUCCCUUGACUCAUCCAUAGGCUCGACCUCCCAAGAGGUCGAGAGAUCACUUAUCGCCGUCCGCACUCGACGGUUCAAAGCAACCUCCGCCUCGAGCUGAGCCUUGGCGUUGCGAGCCUCGGCUUGGGCGGCCAGGAGUUCAUCCUUGAGCCCUGUAAAAGCCAAUACAAAGAGACCUUAGGAAAAACUAAGCACACCUCGGAAAAAGAAAUCUGAUAGAGGAAACAUACCGCGUACGGUCUCCUCGAGGGCCGUGUUCUCGCCGACCAGCCUGGUGUUGGCCCCCUCGAUCUCUUUGUUGGAGCGUGCCAGCUCGGUGUUGGCAACGCGGAGAUCCUCGAUCGCCUUGCCAGCCUGGGCAAUGGCCCCACUCUUCUCCAGCAAUUCUCCCUUCAGACGCUCGACGUCGUUAGAGAGACUGCGGGAUCGAGCCUGCUCCGCCUCGAGAUCUUCGAGGGCCUUCUUCUUGGCUUCCUCCGCGGCGCCCCUGGCGACCUCGCCGUUCACAUGCUCUGCCUUCAUCUUUCGGAAGGACUCUCGGAGAGAGUCCAGGUCAGAUUUAAGGAGCCCUUCUCCUUGUCCAGAUCCGCGAUAACGCUCUUGUAGGACAGGGCCUCCUCCCGGGCUCUGGACGCGGCUUCCUCGACCGUAAGAGCCCGCUCCCGUAGCUGCAUCAUCUCCUCCUCCGCCUUCUUUGAGGCCUCUCGGGCCUCAGCCAAGGCAGCCUCCCUCGCCUUCUUCUCCUCAUCGAGUGCUAUGAGAUCUUUGUAAGCUUUAAGGAGCUUUUCCUGCGACUCGAGGAGUUGAUCCUUGAGGAGGGGGAGCUGCUCCCAACCGCCCCUCGUGGCGUGUAUGAAGCUGGACUUGAUGCGGGAGGUCUCUUUCAUAUCGUGCGAAUCAAGAGUCGGAUGGAUUAGAAUACAGAAACCUGAAAGCACCAUGAGGAUUGGAGUUCGAGAAACACUUACGAAAUAAGCCGGGCCGAGCCCGUUGUUGAUAACGUCCGAGAGGAGCCCCACCACAUGCUUCAUCCAAAGGCGGAGCUCCUCGACGGGUUCCCACUUCUCCGCCUCCUUCCGAUCGUCGAGGAAGAUGUCGGGCUUAGCCGGGUCGUGGGAGGCCCGGAUACGGAUGCGGUCGGGGCACCAGUGCUCCAUCUCCCGGUCAGCCCGCGCCUUAACGCCGCGGAUGAGGCCCUCGACGGUCUCGAGGGAACCCCCAUGGCGCAGAAACAGGUCGACGAGGCAUGGGAACCGUCCGUCGUCGUCCACCGUCUUCCAGGUUCCAUCCUUGGUCCCCGAUGCCCCAAUUUCAUCCUCCUCGGAAGGAAAGCGGUCCUCCCACGCCCGACGUUCCCGGAGGAACCCUGGGGCGAUCCCGUCCAUGCCGUAAAUUGUCCUCUUGAUAUCGGACUCAGGGUCGGGGGGCGUGCACUUCAGGCAGGCGAGCGCCACCACUCCAUCCGCUCGCCCCGGCUCUGCCCGGAUCGCGGCAGGUGCCCCCGGGAGGAGCCACGCCGGGGUUGGGGGGCCGUACACCGGCAGGUCCUCCUCCUCGCCGAGCUCUUGCGGCUCCGGUGGCACUGGCUGGGCCGAACCUUGGGGCGGAGGCUCGAGCGGUCCCUCCUCUUGGCCCGCCUGCUGCUGCUGCAGUUGCUGCUGCGGUGGUUGCUGCUGCGGUUACUCCUACGGUUGUUGCUGUUGCUGUUGCUGCUGCUGCUGUUGUUGUUGCUGCUGCUGCUGUGCCUCAUGCUCCUGUGGCUGCCGCGCCGCCUCGCGCUCCCGCUGUACAUCCUCCUCCCUCUUCUUUUUCUGCUCCUCGAGGGUACGGAGGCCGGCGGGCCAGGGAGUUGACCCCGCGACACGAGGGCUCGACGCUUCCUCCUCCAUAGGGCGGGCACCCCCAGACGCUGUCACCAUCAGACGUGUCGCUGAUGAUGAUAGGUUCCCCCUCGACCCCCAAUCGAGGGGGCUCGGGGGCUCCCUCUGACGCUUGCGUCUGGGACGCCUCGCCACAAGUCGGCGGCGACGAGGCAGGCACGGGACGAGACGGAGCCCUCUCGACGCCGACUGGAGGUUGGGAACUGGAGGAGCCUACAAAACAAAGGGUAAAAAGGUCAGACGUUGUAAUAACCGACACAAGAACAUCGCAAGGCCCAGAAAUAAACUACGAACCUGGUUCCUUGGAGGCGGCGCCCGUUUUGAGCCUCUUUGCCAUGGAUGCCUGGGCCUGCUCGAGGGUCCGCUUUAGCCUGAGAAAAGAUCGGUAUAUGAGCAAACGCAGAGGAAUAGGAAGACAAAAGCCACAGCAUCGAGAAGGCUUACCCCACAGGGAGAACAGCUCGCCUCCCUCCGCCCCGACCGGUGGGCCUCGAGCCACCCCGCGUCAGGGCUCCAGGCCCCUCGAGGGCAGGCGCUAGCCUAGGUGCGUCAGUUCCCGCCUGACGGGCGCCGGGACUGGCGCUCCUGCGGCCGACCUCUCCUUUCUCGGAGGCCGCUGCGCGACCGCGGGUCAGUGGCCCCGUCGCUUGGGGCCUGGCAUGACCGCUCUCCCUGAGCGCCGGGGGAGGGCGCGGCACGACUUGGCUGACCUUGGGCGCGGGAGGGGUAUCGGCGCGAGGACGGUAGGAUCCGCCUGGGCCCCCCGUCGGAGCUUCCGCCCGAGGAGCAUCGACGUCGCCUUGAGAUGGACCCCCGAGGAUCCGGUCAAGACGAGUCGCCAUCCCCUCGGAGUCCUCACUGUCCUCGUCAUCGUCGUCAUCUUUCUCGCUGGGGGACUCUUCCUCAGGCUCUCCCCUCUGCCUGGACUUGGACCGGCGCGCCUCUAAGGCUUGCCGGUCGAGGUUUUUCUUCUUCUCCCCCUUCUUCUUAGAGUCCUUGACGGACUUCGACUUUUCGGCGGACCGGCGCCGCGCGUCGCGGUCGACUUCGUCCUCCCUCACCGGGGGCCUCGAGGAUCGAAUGUCGAUCCGCCCCUGCCACCGUAAAAAGUAGACUUAGGAAAAGGGGGUGGAAAAGGAACCUAGAGUCAAGGCUACCCACGAGGAAGAAAACAUACCAGGUCGACCGAGCCUUCAUCAGGCCUCAUGGGGAAGCCGUUGACGUGCUGCGACUUGAAGUCGCCGGCGAUGGCCGCCCUGACCCGUGCGGCGACUUCAUCGUCCGCCAGAGCCACGUUGGACAUCCGGCAAGCUUCGAGAUCCCGGGACGAGACACCCGGCCCCAUUUCGUCCAUCCUCAACGGCCGAGACAUUAGGGGAAGGACCCUACGACGAUGGACGGCAGAGAGGACGAGAGCGGCGGACAAGCCCUCCAGGCGCAGCUUCUUCAUGGCGUCGAGGAGGGGGUCGAGCCGCGACUGGUGCUCUUGGACGACGCCAUACGUCCAGUUGUCUGGGCGCUCCGAGAUCAGGCGGCCCGUGUAUGCGGGGAAGAGACCGUCGUCGUUUCUUAGAUAGAACCACUGGGAGUCCCACCCAGCAUGGUUCGACGACAGCCCCACCUGGAUGUACUCGCGCGGCCUUUCCGUCUUCUUCGUCUUCAACACCAGGUUGAGGCAUCCGGCCCGCACGGGUUUCCUCACGCCGGUGGUUCCGGUGGGGGCAUUGAAAAGCUCGCCCCUGUAGAGGUGGAGCCAUAGAUCCCAAUGGGGCAUCAUCCCCAGAUAGCCCUCACACACCGCGACGAAGACCGCCGCAACGGUGAUGGCGUUCGGGGAAAAAUGCUGGAGCUCCACUCCAUAGUGGAAGCAGAGGGCCCGCAUAAAGCGACUCGGGGGAGCACCCAAGCCAUGGCGGUGGAACUUGGCGAAUGACACCACAUAGCCCUCGGGUGGCUGGGGCUCCCUAUGACUCGCCGGCGGCGCGAUCCACUCCGGCGAAGACUGCGAAGUCCGGCGGCGCAAGAGCCCUUCGUUCUCGAGCUCUAGCAGACGGCGGUCCGUCAUCAACGACGGACGCCAGUCGUCGGCGGCAACAAGCCUCAUAGGCAUCUUGGUUGAAAGGAUGGUGGAUUCACUACCGCUCGAGGGGGUGCACGCGCGCGUGGAGGAAGCAAGAGAGCAAAGGCAGCGAGAAGACGAAGGCGAGAGGACGGAAGGAGAAAGAAAGAAUGGAGCAACGCCACGGCGUAUUUAUAGAUAGCGGCCAACCGACAGAUAGAUCCGAUAAAUGAGGUAACUCCCCCCAUAAAUGCGCCGUCUAACGGUCCUUUCUCUCCUCACAGGUCGGACGCUCCGAAUUCCCCGCCGAUACAGUGUCGCAACGUCACUUACCUCAAAAGGUGCGCCCAACGGGCAGAAAGACGAACCGGCACGGCAGCUUCCUUACUUCGUAAGCCAAGGUAUGCACCCACGAUAGUCUCGAGAGGUCGAUGGCUGGCCCGUCGAAAGGGUUCGACAGCCGAUCUCGAGCACCAAGAGUCAGGGAUCCCCAGCGAGUGGUCGAAAAUCGAGGCCCGCCUCGAGGACUCGCUGGCGAUGUCCAAGGUAGGGUCGAGACAGUCGAGAGGAAUCCCCCCGAAGGGAGACAUCGAGCCGCUGGACUCUAUCGAAUGAGACCGGUAUCCCCGACCACGUCGACCCUGCUUUAUGAGGACGCCUCUGGGCUACAGCUGACCCCCUCGAAAGGGGCACAGGUUCUCACUUGGACUACCCGCUAGGAACUCAAUCUGGGGUGGAAGACGCUCGCUCUAUCGAGAGUACGUCGAAACCUCCACGCAAGGCAAAGCCGAACAGAACCUUCCACCACGGGUGUUGACAGCGUUUCUGCAAAUUUGGCAAAAUAACCCUCGAAGGAGUUAAAUACUCCCUCGAGGGCUCGGGGGCUACCCCCGCGGGGUCGCUCGCGCGCCCCCGUGGAAGCUCGACCGUAAAAACGAAAGUCUCCACUCGAGCGCCAGCGCUCGAAUGAAGACUCGGGGGCUACUGUCGAGGGUAUCAACAAGGGGUACCCUCACCAAUGCGUAUAACGAGAUCAUCCGUACACACGCGCGGCCAUCGACGGCCGCAGCCUCGAAGAUGGAAGUAGCGUCGAGCGAAUCGAUCAGGGCUCGAGCGACAACUGCCGUCGAAUACGGAAGCGGGCUCGAGCGAACCGAGAGGCGUCGAGCGCAAAGACACUGUCCGCCGCCUGACGCGCGCACAAGAGCCAGGGCAUUUAAUGCACCUGACGCUUCCCCACCUAACACACGGGUCACGGGAGGCGUGAUAGGGAACAGGCUUUUGUCCCAUCGUUCUUUUUGCAGCUUUCCCACCGAACGACCCAGGGUGUGUCAGGAUGCGGGAAACAAGGAUGGAACGUCUAAUCGGAACCCCCUCGAGACACUCAAGGUCAGCGCUCCAGAUAUCGACACCUCGUACGGCGUCCGACCCUCGACUUCACCAGGCUCCUUCCUGGAGACGAGUCGGGCGUCGACUGACCACGCCGUAACCACUCCGCCGGAUUUGGCGCCGAGCCAUAUAAGCGUGCAUCCGCCGAACCAAUCCAAGACGGCGCGCAGGGCAGAAUGCAGGGGCACGCGUGAUCAUCACUAGGCUAUUAAGACGUGACGGCUCGAGGUCAUGCCGGUACGGAAACCUCGAGUAGGUCAGCGCUCCAUGCUGCUAUCGACUCCAAUUCCUACACCUAUACAUGUACCCUAGGUCCUUCCUUGGAACUAUAAAAGGAGGGACUCAGGAAUAGAACAAGGAUCACGACACAAGACCACGCUCAUACGUACUAGAGCUCCACACUUCAUACCCCGCUUGUAUUCGCCCCUGUACAAGCACUUAGGUGCAAGAUAAUACAAACUCUCUCCCCCCGCUGGACGUAGGGCCUUCUCUUGCCCGAACCAGGAUAAAUCUCUGUGUCUUCUUGCAUCACCAUCCGGGAAAGGGAGCACGCAUACAAAUUUACUCAUUGGUGUGACCCCCCGGGGGAAAACACCGACAAUUUGCUAUCGUGGAAAUAACCAUGUGUUAAUAAUGAAUUUGAGACCGGGCGGGAUGACGAUAGUGCAGCAACAAGGCAUGGAGGUCUUGGGUGUGAACCUAUCCCCGUCUGUGUCGUUUAAGGACCGAAUCGCUGUACGUCCCCAUGUCAUGUUGAACGCAUGCCUAUCACUUAGUUGGCCGGAUAAGUCGUUCCGACCGCGAAGCCUACGAGUGCAACUCCGGCCGGAUACCCCGAUCUGGUUAAAGUGCGCACCCCGGUUGGUCGUAAGGAUGUGCGGGGAGUCAAUGGCGUAAGACCGAGGUGUCAGGUUAGAGUCCUGACCCUGGCAGAUUGGCGGUCCCUGGGGGUGCGGCGCCGUACGGACCCGCGAAUUGGUCCGGAGUUGUGCUAAAGGUGAUCCGAGCUGCCGUCAUGAAGUAUGCUUGGGUGAGUGUUAGGAAUACCCCUCCAGCUGGAUAGGAAUCGAUUCGAAUCGCAGUCUCGCCCGGAUAGUGAGAACUUGACUUGGGCAGCGGCAACGUAGAAUUUACUAAAUAAACUUAAUGGUUAUGAUGAGAAUGAUGAUGGCUAUGUGAUAAUCCGGAUAUGGUUAUUAUUGUAAUGCUUAAAACUCAAGUGUAUGCUUAGAACAGGUGCUAAUCUAGUGGAUAGUUGCUAAGUAAUAAACUUGCUGCUGAAUUUAAUAAAUGAGUUACUUAUAACAAAGGCUUUUAUGCAAAAGAUGAGUCAAACCAGUCCACAGAGAUGAGCCUGGAAUACUCCUUGGUGUCACUUUAUUUCUGGUUUAUCACGGGUAAGUCUAGCUGAGUACAUUCUCGUACUCAGGGUUUUAUUUACCUUUGUUGCAGAUGACGUCGUUUAUCACGGCUACUGUGCUAAGUGUCAUCACUCGGCUGCGGAUGAUGAAUAGAUCAUGGGCAUGAUCACCACCUUUAUCUUCAGUUGUGCUUUUGUUGGGACUUGACCAUGGAACUGGCAUGUAUUAUAAACUAAGUUGGUGUUGUUCAAAACUACUUUGUUUCCGCUACCGCUAUGGUUUGUAGUAACCACUUUAAACUCUGAUGUGAUGUAAAACUAUGUUCUGUGAUGAAUGUUGUAAUCUGUGAUGGUGAAGCUUGAUCAUGUACGAUCUUGGUUGUAUGUUGGUUGAAUCGAGGUCUUUUGAGAUUUCGUCGGACUACCGGGUUUAUAUGGGUUCAAGUCCAUUGGCUUGACUGCCUCCGUGGUCGCUAAUUCACUUGAAUUCUUAUAAAUUGGACGGUUCUGUUACAGCUGGCAUCAGAGCAAGAUUAAGCAUAUAACCAUCAUAGAUGUAUUUGAAAACAAAUGAAUUUGGUUUUCUUAAACUAAUUUGUCAAAAUUAGGUUAUAAAUAGGGUUGUUUAAAAAGGUUUUGAUAACUUAUACCAUGCCAGUGGUCAUGCCCUUUAUGCCCAUAUAAGGAUUUCUAGGUGGCUUAAUAUUACUAACAUGGGGGUUUUUCCUUUCGUCGUCCAUAUGGCGUGUAAUUAUAUGGAUACCGCUUACUUAAGUGGUAAUGAAUGGAUCACAUACCUCUACGCCAUGGUAAGCAUUGUUUGUUUUCUUUCGUCGUCCAUACGGUGUGAAAUUGUAUGGAUGCCACUUGCUUGAGUGGUAAUGUAUGGAUCUAUAUGCCUCUACGCUACGGUAAGUGUGAGCUGUGAGAGCAUGACCGUCCAACCGUCGGUCUAGGGGAGUGUUAGCUGUGGUUACUAGAAUAUUUACAUGUUUCACACAUGUAUAUAUGAAGGUACUUAAUUGUGGAUAGUAGGUGCAGCCAUGUAUACAUAUUUGAUGUAUAGGUGGGUGUAUCCAAAAUGGGUAGUGUGCUGCGAUAUAUGUCUGGGAAUAUAUAUCGGAGUACCUAGCUUGAUUGUUGGUGAUUGGAUUUACAUUUCUGCACUUAUACUAUUGUGGGGCUGGGCUGAAAUGGAAUCUUCUGCAGGUACACUAACAACGAAACGUGUAGACCGGGUAGUUGCGUAUAAAGAGUGUACGUAUAUAUGCCACCGAAUAUACCGUUAGAACUUUCUUCUAGGAAUGGAAAGGACGUAUGGAACGUGCAUGCAUCAUGAAUCAUUCAUACAUUCUUUAUGCAAUACUUGGGUAUUAAAUUCUGAAAAUAUGAUUCUUUAUCUUUCCCUGUAAUUAAUCUCCCUUACUCAAAUGUGGUCUUUCUACAGAUGGCAGCCCCGCACGCGAGUGAGACUUUUCUGGACAUGUUUGGCACUCCUACUUUGUUGUGGAGGGUGCUAAGUUCAGUUGGAUAUGAGGAACCACCUAGGUACACUUGGAUCGAGUCUGAGCAUGCAGGGGCCUUACCUUGGGUAGAUGUCCAAAGUACAGUUCCUCCUUGUCCAAAUAACCCACAGUGGCUAGGGUGGUUAGUUGACUGUGAUGGCCAAACUCCUUGGUAGGGCGCCCAAGUAGCAGCCCUAGAGGUUUUGCUAGAAAUAUGUCAAGAGUUUGGUGAUGAGUUAGUGAAUGGCCCAGUGGGAUCUAUCCCCAGAGUGAGUGUGACUGACACAUUUGUGUCCCAGAUAGGGAAUGAGUCCUUAGAGAUGAGAGAAAUCUUGCUAGGAUAUAGCUCUAGCCCUGCCAUGAGUGCCAUGCUAGCGGUACUCAAGCUGCACUAUGUACGCCAGGACACAUACAUAGAGGCCAUGCUAGCGCUCCAACGAGCUCAAGUUGGGCAGCGCAAAUUGCGCAAACGAGUGCGCAAACAUCGCAAGGCUUUUAUGGAUGCACAAGCUGAAAUCCAAAACUAUCACACCGCUUUGCAAGCCCGCCGCAAUCAAGUUGCGAAUGCAGUUAGAGAGCGCAAUUAGGCACAAGCCCGCAUGAUGCAAAUGACUAGAGAGAGAGAUGAGGCCAUGCGCUUGGCUGAAAAUAGAGAAGCUGCUAGAGUUAGAGCCUUGUUCCAUGCUGAAAUGAGAGAGGAAGAGCUGAUUACUAGGAUUGCUGAGUUGCAGUUGGAUGUCCAUCGCUUAAAUAAUAUCAUAAAUCCUAUCCCACAACCAGCCCCUUUUGAUCAUGAAGAAGCUCUUAGUGAGGAAGAUCAGGGUGAUGGCAUCAUCUCUAAUGGAGAAUCCGAGGAAGAUAUGAAGCCUAGCAAUGAUUUUAUGACCAUGUAUCAGUUUCCAUCUCUUUGUGUAAUGGACAUGUAAUCUGAAUUUUAGUUGAGACUCUAUGUAUUUGGCCAGGGUGCCCCUCCUGUAAAACUUAAGUUGUGGCAAUGACUCUAUGUAACCUUAUGCACUUAUCUGUGAUGCUCCAUGUUUAUGUUGAGCUGAAAUAAAUCUCUGCAAUGUCGUUAAUCCUUGAGGAGUUGUGGCUGUGAAUGAACGCGAGAAUAACCAAGUGUCAUGGAAGAUAUUCUCUUAUUGUACAUGGAUUAUUGCGCCUUAAUUUAUGUGAAUUUACUUUAUUAAAUUCCGUAUGGCAGCAAUUGAAGUUCAUGACAAUCAUAUCUGUUAUCCUAAACGAUAACUUGAUAUGCCUUGUGCAGAUGGCUCGCAACACUCGCUCCGGUCACAACGAGGUGCCGCCACCACCACCUCCUCCCCCGCCUACACCUACUGAGCUAUUGGCAGCUCUUGUUGAGGGCCAGCGUAUGCUCAAUGAGGCUAUGCAAACUAUGGCGCAGCAGAACCGGGGUGGUCGCCAUGCCCGCCAAGGCGGAGAGGCAAAUCAGUAUAGCAGUUUCAAGGAUUUCCAGGACACCAAGCCGCCGCUUUUCAAGGAGGCUGUUGAACCUCUAGAAGCUGAUGAGUGGCUUAACACUCUUGAACAGAAAUUCCGGUUGCUAAGGUUAACCGAAGAGCUCAAAGCGGAGUAUGCAGCCCACCAGUUGGAGGGCAAAGCAGGUGUCUGGUGGAGUCAUUACAGGACUAGCUUGCCCGCCAAUGCUGUUGUAACCUGGGACCAGUUCCAAACUGCUUUCAGGAAUACUUAUAUUCCACAAGGCUUAAUGACUAUCAAGCACACUGAGUUCAUGAACCUGACGCAAGGCACUAAAAGCUUGACUGAGUAUAUUCAUGCUUUUAACAAUUUGUCUCGCUAUGCUCCUGAGAUGGUUGACACCGAAGCCAAGAAGCUCGCUAGUUUCAAGAGAGGGUUGGGACCCAAGUUGUCCAAGAACAUGGCUGGUAACAAGAGUACCACCUUCAACGAGUUUGUGAGUGAUCCAUUGACUCAUGAAAAUUCUAAUGCUGUGUAUGCCGCAUCCAAGAACCGCAAGAGGACCUAUGAGGCAGGUGCUUCGCAGUCCAAGGCUCCAGCAGCAAGCAAGCCGGCCUAUCGCCCACCCAAUGUUGUGACAAGGUACAGGCCGCCGCAGAAAAAGUCAAAGGUGAAGACGGGAGUGCGCAAGUCCUUCACAGUUGCUCUCCCAAGAGGUGCCACGGGUCAAGGAAGUCCCAAGAAUCCUCCUGAUAACCGCCCUUGUUUCAAUUGCAAACAAGUUGGUCACUGGGCAAGAGAUUGCCCCUACACUAAGAGAAAUGCUGCAGCCGGAGGAAAUAACCGUAUGGGUCGUGUGCACUACACCACGGUUGAAGAAAUUCCGGAAGGUGAAGCAGUCACCGCUGGUAUGUUCCUUGUAAAUCAACACCCUGCAGUUGUCUUGUCUGAUUCUGGAGCUUCGCAUUCAUUUAUGAGUCAAGCAUUCGCAUCUAAGCAUGGGCAAAAUGUCAUCGAUCUUGAUAGCGGAAAAUUUUGCAUUAGUGCUGCUGGUAAUCAAAUUGCUAUGAAUCAAGUAGUGAGGGAUGUACAUAUUGCCAUAGAAGGGCGUAAUUAUGCAGCAGAUUUAGUCGUACUGCCAGGCCUAGGGAUAGAUGUUAUUCUGGGGAUGAAUUGGAUGAGCAGGCAUGGGGUGCUAAUAGAUACCUCCACGAGAGUAGUCAUGUUACGGGAGCCUGAUAGCAAGGAAGCCUUCUUAGUCCAGCUUCCCAAGAAUGAUGACAUCCGUCACGCUGCCAAUGCCAUUCGACCACUCACUUUAGCAGAGAUUCCAGUAGUGUGUGAGUUUCCGGACAGAGGAUCUGCCCGGGUUGCCACCGGACAGAGACAUUGAGUUUAAAAUUGAUUUAAUUCCGGGUACCGCACCUAUCUCUAGAAGGCCAUACCGAAUGCCACCCAAUGAAUUAGCAGAGUUGAAAAAGCAACUGCAAGAACUCCUAGAGAAAGCUCUUAUUUGGCCUAGUUCUUCUCCAUGGGGUUGUCCGGCUCUCUUUGUCAAGAAGGACAAGUCUCUACGUAUGUGUGUAGACUAUCGUCCGCUCAACGCCGUGACUAUCAAAAACAAGUAUCCAUUGCCUCGCAUCGAUAUCCUGUUUGAUCAAUUAGCCAAGGCCAAAGUAUUCUCCAAAAUUGAUCUAAGAUCUGGGUAUCAUCAAAUCAAGAUCCGACCUGAAGACAUUCCUAAAACGACUUUCUCUACCAGGUAUGGGUUGUAUGAGUAUUUAGUCAUGUCCUUUGGUCUGACUAAUGCCCCUGCUCAUUUCAUGUACCUGAUGAAUUCGGUGUUCAUGCCUGAACUGGAUAAGUUUGUGGUGGUGUUCAUCGAUGAUAUAUUGGUGUAUUCUGAAAAUGCACAAGAACAUGAGAAGCACCUUCGGAUUGUACUCACUAGAUUGCGAGAACAUCAGCUCUAUGCCAAGUUCAGCAAGUGUGAGUUUUGGCUGAAGAAAGUGCCUUUCUUAGGCCAUAUUUUAUCCGAAGAGGGUAUUUCUGUUGACCCGUCAAAGGUGCAGGAGGUUCUAGACUGGAAGGCCCCGACUUCAGUGCACGAAGUCCGGAGUUUUCUCGGUCUAGCUGGAUAUUAUCGGCGCUUCAUUCUAGAUUUUUCCAAAAUAGCUAAACCUAUGACCAAGCUACUGCAAAAAGAUGUGAAGUUUGUGUGGUCCAAGGAGUGUGAAGUUGCCUUCACCACUCUACGCCAUUUGCUGACCACCGCUCCUGUUCUGGCACAGCCUGACAUUGAAAAGCCAUUUGAUGUCUUUUGUGAUGCAUCUGGCACUGGCCUAGGUUGUGUGCUUAUGCAAGAAGGCCAAGUUAUUGCCUAUGCUUCUCGGCAGCUGAGGAAACAUGAAGCCAACUACCCUACUCAUGAUCUAGAGUUAGCAGCAGUUGUACAUGCAUUGAAGCUGUGGAGACAUUAUCUGUUGGGUAACCUUUGUCACAUUUACACUGACCAUAAGAGCCUCAAAUAUAUAUUCACUCAGCCCGAGUUAAAUAUGAGACAAAGAAGAUGGCUGGAAUUGAUAAAAGACUACAAUUUAGAAGUGCACUAUCAUCCAGGCAAAGCCAAUGUUGUAGCCGAUGCUCUCAGUCGAAAACAACAUGUUAGACCUCUUCUAGAGGAAGGUUUCAAUUUAUUGCAUCCUGUGGUCCUAGACAACAUCAUAGUCAGUUGCUCAUUAGAAAGUCAAAUCAUAGAGCUCCAAAAAUCUGAUCCUGGUAUUUUUCAUAUCAAGAGAAAAAUGCAAGAGCAAGACACCAAGCAUUUCCGAGUAGAUGAGAAGGGUGUACUGUGGUUUGACGAUCGGCUAGUUGUACCCAAAGACCGUGACCUACGCAACAAAAUUUUAGAAGAAGCUCAUUCUUCCAAGUUGUCCAUUCAUCCGGGUAGUAGCAAAAUGUACCAAGACUUGAGACCUCACUUCUGGUGGACCAAAAUGAAGAAAGAGAUAGCAGCUUAUGUUGCUAGGUGUGAUACUUGCUGUAGGGUAAAGGCAGUUCACCUCAAACCUGCAGGUUUAUUGCAACCAUUGUCAAUUCCAGGUUGGAAGUGGGAAGAAAUCAGCAUGGAUUUCAUUGUUGGACUUCCCCUUACGCAAAAAGGACACAAUUCCAUAUGGGUGAUUGUUGACCGUUUGACCAAGUCAGCCCAUUUUAUUCCCGUACACUCUACAUACCGACCAUCCGACUAUGCUGAGUUGUACUUCGCUCAGAUAGUUAAAUUGCACGCAGUGCCUCGCACUAUCAUUUCUGACAAAGGUCCUCAGUUCACUGCUCGCUUUUGGGAGCAUCUGCAUUCACUCCUUGGUACAAAAUUGGUUCGCAGUUCAGCCUAUCAUCCUCAAACCUCCGGUCAGACUGAGCGUGUGAAUCAAAUUCUAGAGGAUAUGUUGAGGGCCUGUGUUAUAUCUUCCAAGGGUGCGUGGGAGAAAUGGUUACCCUUAGCUGAAUUCUCUUACAACAAUAGCUAUCAAGAAAGUAUCCAAAUGGCUCCUUUCGAAGCCUUGUAUGGCCGCAAAUGUAGAACUCCGUUAAACUGGGUUGAACCUGGUCAAAGGAGGUACUACGGAAUUGACUUUGUCAAGGAAGCCGAAAAGCAAGUUCUCGUUAUCCAACAACACAUGAGAGCUGCCCAAGCUAGGCAGAAAAGCUAUGCUGACCGAAGAAGAAAGCCAAUCGAGUUCGAAAUAGGUGACUUUGUGUACAUAAAAGUAUCGCCCAUGAAAGGAGUAAAUCGCUUUGGCGUUAAAAGAAAGCUUGCCCCUAGGUAUGUGCGUCCUUACCAAAUCAUUGAGAAGAGUGGUAAGGUAGCUUACAAAGUACAACUACCUCCCGAAAUGAGAGCUAUUUUCCCUGUAUUCCACGUGUCUCAACUCAAGAAGUGUCUUCGUGUGCCCGAAGAGAGAGUUGAAACAAGAGAUAUCAAGUUGCAGUCAGACCUAUCUUAUGAAUAAAAGCCUGUGCAAGUUCUUGAUGUCAAGGAACGGGUUACUCGUGGGAGAGUGAUCAAAUUUUUUAGAGUUUUGUGGAACCGUCAAAAUGAGAGAGAUGCCACUUGGUAAAGGGAAGACUAUUUACAAGUAACUUAUCCCUCAUUCUACGAAAAAUGGUACGUCUUUCAAAUCUCGGGACGAGAUUUUUGUAAGGGGGGAGGGCUGUAACACUCCUAGUGUUAGCUUGCAUGUUAACCAUGAGCAUUGCAUCAACAUAAGCAUCAUCAUGAUCACUCAUGAGCAUCAUACCAUGAUCACAUGCCAUCUACUACAUGCACUAUGUGAUUAAAUUGCUUGUGUGACUUGUUUUGAGUGACUUUACUGGGUGAUCAAUACAUUUAAGUGUGCGAUCUUGUCCAAAAUACUUUAAUCAUGUUUAGAACAUCAUUGUGAACAUAGUUCAUGUUGGAGGUUGCACCCAAAAAUGCCCCAAAGUCAUGGUUAGCCCUAGGUUGACCUAGUUGACCCCCUAAACCUCUUUUUAAAGAUCUUUUAUGAAACCUGUAUUAGAAACCUUGCAUGUCAAUGACCCCUAAAGCCCAGUUGUAGAAAAUUUUAUAGGCUACAAAAGUUGUUUUAAGGCCAUCUCACGAAACUGUGCAGAACAUGCUCAAAAAAUGCACACAAGGUAAAUUUAGGGGCUGUUUGGACAUGGCAGUUUUUGGCUAAGUGUGGGAACUGACGAAACUGAAUGCCAGUUUACGUGUAGGGUACUUUGGCAGCUCGUAGUUUCUAAUUUAAGCUGAACUAGACCAAACUCUUAUAAUCAAAGUUGGAGUACUCAUUCAGCUCUCCAACUUGUAUCACUGAAGUUUUUGCUAGUUCGCACUGGUUUGGGAGUUGGAGGGCAGCGAAGUUUCGAGUUCAGACGUAUUUUUGCAGUACUUUUGCUGGUUUCUGAUCAGACUUCGAUUUGGUUGGAGUCGGGUCGUGGCCGACCAGCUCUGCUUGGCUUGCGCCGCGUGGAUGCCGUGCGUCGAUAUUGGCCCCACAUAGCUACGAAUAAAGCCGAGCGCCGUGCGACUCUGCCAAGGCAAUAGCCCACCUGUUCGUCCACAUCGCACUCGUCGCCAGGGCCAAAGAGGACAGCCGCCGCCGCCAUGGAUGUUGCUGAGGUGAAGCUUGUGCAUCGCCAUUGCGUCCGGCACCUCUCGCUACUCUCUAUCCCUCUCGUUCUCAAUAAAGUAGGGCUGCGGCCGCUCGCAUGACCGGCCUUCGGCCAAGUUGGCCGCAGGCGGGUGCCAUGGCCUGCAGCUGUGCUGCUUACCUACGGGAGCCGCCUCUUCCUUUGCCGUUCUGUGAAAGUCGAUGCGUUUCCUUGGUAACCUAUCCCGAUAGAUGCGUCUCGAUGUAAGGAGUCUGUUGGUGGUGGUCGCGUCGCCGGAAAGUUCGCCGCCGGCGAGCUAUGGCCGGUCAAAGUAGCUCCCCUGUUUUUGUCCUUAUGACGUGUGGGUCCAGAUUGACCUUGGUCCCAGCUGCCAGCCUUUGGGGUACUCAGCACUGGGUGCGUGUAGUAGUUCUUAGGGUUUGGUUAUUUUCGUUUUAAUCUUUUCUAUGUUUUCCUUUUGGAAGUUUGUAAAUUCAAUAUCUCAAGCUACAGGGAUCCGUUUUGAGUGAAACCAAUUUUGUUAGCUUCCUCUUGGUGGAUAUUAGCUAUUAAAAAUAUGAAACAUGCCAUGUUUUUGUAGAAAUAAAUAGAUAUGAUUUAAUCUUGAUUAAAUAGGAGGUAAUUAUAUCUUGAAAUCUAUUGAUCUGCUGGCCAUGCAAAUUUAGGGUUUUGUUAGUUAUGUUAUGACUAGGCUCUGAUAAAUUUAUCAUGAUUUUUGGAAGCCUAGUUGUGAAGUUAAAAAAAUAGUUCUUGCUUAAAUAGGGGUUUCUUGUGGUAUUUUUAAUAAUUAAGUUAUAACUCCUUUGGUGAUGAAACUUGCUGAGUGUUGUACUCAUGUGUAAACAAGGCUAACAAAAAUCUGAAAUCUGCUGUUUGACACUUUUUGAUAAGGUUUCAUAUUUAUGCCUUGAAUGCUUUUACUAGCUUGUUGUUUUUUUUAUCUCCCAAUCUGUAUGUGCAAAUGUUCUGAAAAUUUUACAGUGAUCUUAUGUUAGCAUAAGUAUCUUGCUGUAAUGUUCUUAGAAUUUUUGGAACACUUGGAGUAUAUGUUCAUUAAAUCACCUUAAUAAUUAAAUAAAUGGAAAAGGUGAUGAUAGAAAUAGUUUUAGACCUUGCCAUGAUAUUUUCUGGUGUUUCUUAGAUAUGUUGUACCUACUGGUGCAAUUAGAUUGUUCCUUUGAUACAUUCUCAACAUGUGCAAAAUAUUAUUUUUGGCUAUUUAUACCUUUCCUAGAGCAUUUCUGUGUAGCUGAUAGCAAAUGCUUGAGAACUAAUUAAAGAUGUUAAUUUCUGGGAAACUUGUCUACAACAAACUUGUAGCUAACUUACUGAUGUACUCCGUGUCCAAAUUUCAUGGCAUUUGGUUGAGUAAUUUGAAAGUUAUGCAUGUUUCAAGUAGCUGCUGCAAAGUGCUUGCUCUCUGGAAUUUCCAGAGCAGCCAGUCAACUUUGUAUGUUUUAGCAUAUUUCGGUUGGGAAUCAUCCUGGGAUGUCUAAAAGUGAUUUGUAGACAAUUUGCUAAGCUUUCCAGAAAGUUCUUACUUGCUUAAUUUGGUUAACAGAUGCUUGAGUUAUGGCUGAAACUUGUGACUGGUUGGUUUGUCUACUAAACCAGUGGCUGAGUAGGCAUAACUAGGAUUUGUUAACUUGUCUAUUUAGUCUCUCUAUCAGAGAAGAGGUAUGCACUUACUUGUUGUUCCAUGAUUCACUUAAUCUUAGGAGCUUAUGCUCAUGUUAUACCUUAUUUUAUGUCCCUUUGGCUCUUCAUCAUGACAUCAUGCAUCAUUUGUGCAUUCUCUAUAUUCAUGUCCUUGUCAUGCAUACAUAGGUGUACCCAAGGGCAUGACCGUGUUGGAGUACGAGCUGCCGGAGCCGGAAGAACAGCAAAGGGAGCUACCUCAUGGAGCUGAGGAGGAGGAGGACUUGCCGGAGUGCCCUGACCAUCGUCCCUCUACCUACGUCGAAGGCAAGCCCCGGAGCAUUAUAAGCCUCCUACUAUUUUAUUGUCAUGUUCAGCUAUCAAAUGACUAUGGUUAUAUAUUGUUGCAUUAAGUGGUAGGCGUUGAUAUGACACCCUUGCUGCAUAUUGACUACCUUGUCCACCUUAAACAAUACCAAAGUAGGUCCAGGAUCGAAGUAAUGCUUAGCCAUGCUUAGCUCGGUAGAAGCCGGGUGAUUUCCUGUCACCUGCGAGAGUUAGGUGGAUGAUGAUCACGGUUGGCUAUAUUUGCUAUCGUGGAAAUAACCAUGUGUUAAUAAUGAAUUUGAGACCGAGCGGGAUGACGAUAGUGCAGCAACAAGGCAUGGAGGUCUUGGGUGUGAACCUAUCCCCGUCUGUGUCGUUUAAGGACCGAAUCGCUGUACGUCCCCGUGUCAUGUUGAACGCAUGCCCAUCACUUAGUUGGCCAGAUAAGUCGUUCCGACCGCGAAGCCUACGAGUGCAACUCCGGCCGGAUACCCCGAUCUGGUUAAAGUGCGCACCCUGGUUGGUAGUAAGGAUGUGCGGGGAGUCAAUGGCGUAAGACCGAGGUGUCAGGUUAGAGUCCUGACCCUGGCAGAUUGGCGGUCCCUGGGGGUGCGGCGCCGUAUGGACCCGCGAAUUGGUCCGGAGUUGUGCUAAAGGUGAUCCGAGCUGCCGUCAUGAAGUAUGCUUGGGUGAGUGUUAGGAAUACCCCUCCAGCUGGAUAGGAAUCGAUUCGAAUCGCAGUCUCUCCCGGAUAGUGAGAACUUGACUUGGGCAGCGGCAACGUAGAAUUUACUAAAUAAACUUAAUGGUUAUGAUGAGAAUGAUGAUGGCUAUGUGAUAAUCCGGAUAUGGUUAUUAUUGUAAUGCUUAAAACUCAAGUGUAUGCUUAGAACAGGUGCUAAUCUAGUGGAUAGUUGCUAAGUAAUAAACUUGCUGCUGAAUUUAAUAAAUGAGUUACUUAUAACAAAGGCUUUUAUGCAAAAGAUGAGUCAAACCAGUCCACAGAGAUCAGCCUUGCAUACUCCUUGGUGUCACUUUAUUUCUGGUUUAUGACGGGUAAGUCUAGCUGAGUACAUUCUCGUACUCAGGGUUUUAUUUACCCCUGUUGCAGAUGACGUCGUUUAUCACGGCUACUGUGCUAAGUGUCAUCACUUGGCUGCGGAUGAUGAAUAGAUCAUGGGCGUGAUCACCACCUUUAUCUUCAGUUGUGCUUUUGUUGGGACUUGACCAUGGAACUGGCAUGUAUUAUAAACUAAGUUGGUGUUGUUCAAAACUACUUUGUUUCCGCUACCGCUAUGGUUUGUAGUAACCACUUUAAACUCUGAUGUGAUGUAAAACUAUGUUCUGUGAUGAAUGUUGUAAUCUGUGAUGGUGAUGCUUGAUCAUGUACGAUCUUGGUUGUAUGUUGGUUGAAUCGAGGUCUUUUGAGAUUUCGUCGGACUACCGGGUUUAUAUGGGUUCAAGUCCAUUGGCUUGACUGCCUCCGUGGUCGCUAAUUCACUUGAAUUCUUAUAAAUUGGACGGUUCUGUUACAGCUAGCAUCAGAGCAAGAUUAAGCAUAUAACCAUCAUAGAUGUAUUUGAAAACAAAUAAAUUUAGUUUUCUUAAACUAAUUUGGCAAAAUUAGGUUAUAAAUAGGGUUGUUUUAAAAAGGUUUUGAUAACUUAUACCAUGCCAGUGGUCAUGCCCUUUAUGCCCAUAUAAGGAUUUCUAGGUGGCUUAAUAUUACUAACAUGGGGGUUUUUCCUUUCGUCGUCCAUACGGCGUGAAAUUGUAUGGAUGCCACUUGCUUGAGUGGUAAUGUAUGGAUCUAUAUGCCUCUACGCUACGGUAAGUGUGAGCUGUGAGAGCAUGACCGUCCAACCGUCGGUCUAGGGGAGUGUUAGCUGUGGUUACUGGAAUAUUUACAUGUUUCACACAUGUAUAUAUGAAGGUACUUAAUUGUGGAUAGUAGGUGCAGCCAUGUAUACAUAUUUGAUGUAUAGGUGGGUGUAUCCAAAAUGGGUAGUGUGCUGCGAUAUAUGUCUGGGAAUAUAUAUCGGAGUACCUAGCUUGAUUGUUGGUGAUUGGAUUUACAUUUCUGCACUUAUACUAUUGUGGGGCUGGGCUGAAAUGGAAUCUUCUGCAGGUACACUAACAACGAAACGUGUAGACCGGGUAGUUGCGUAUAAAGAGUGUACGUAUAUAUGCCACCGAAUAUACCGUUAGAACUUUCUUCUAGGAAUGGAAAGGACGUAUGGAACGUGCAUGCAUCAUGAAUCAUUCAUACAUUCUUUAUGCAAUACUUGGGUAUUAAAUUCUGAAAAUAUGAUUCUUUAUCUUUCCUUGUAAUUAAUCUCCCUUACUCAAAUGUGGUCUUUCUACAGAUGGCAGCCCCGCACGCCAGUGAGACUUUUCUGGACAUGUUUGGCACUCCUACUUUGUUGUGGAGGGUGCUAAGUUCAGUUGGAUAUGAGGAACCACCUAGGUACACUUGGACCGAGUCUGAGCAUGCAGGGGCCUUACCUUGGGUAGAUGUCCAAAUUACAGUUCCUCCUUGUCCAAAUAACCCACAGUGGCUUGGGUGGUUAGUUGACUGUGAUGGCCAAACUCCUUGGGAGGGCGCCCAAGUAGCAGCCCUAGAGGUUUUGCUAGAAAUAUGUCAAGAGUUUGGUGAUGAGUUAGUGAAUGGCCCAGUAGGAUCUAUCCCCAGAGUGAGUGUGACUGACACAUUUGUGUCCCAGAUAGGGAAUGAGUCCUUAGAGAUGAGAGAAAUCUUGCUAGGAUAUAGCUCUAGCCCUACCAUGAGUGCCAUGCUAGCGGUACUUAAGCUGCACUAUGUACGCCAGGACACAUACAUAGAGGCCAUGCUAGCGCUCCAACGAGCUCAAGUUGGGCAGCGCAAAUUGCGCAAACGAGUGCGCAAACAUCGCAAGGCUUUUAUGGAUGCACAAGCUGAAAUCCAAAACUAUCACACCGCUUUGCAAGCCCGCCGCAAUCAAGUUGCGAAUGCAGUUAGAGAGCGCAAUGAGGCACAAGCCCGCAUGAUGCAAAUGACUAGAGAGAGAGAUGAGGCUAUGCGCUUGGCUGAAAAUAGAGAAACUGCUAGAGUUAGAGCCUUGUUCCAUGCUGAAAUGAGAGAGGAAGAGCUGAUUACUAGGAUUGCUGAGUUGCACUUGGAUGUCCAUCGCUUAAAUAAUAUCAUAAAUCCUAUCCCACAACCAGCCCCUUUUGAUCAUGAAGAAGCUCUUAGUGAGGAAGAUCAGGGUGAUGGCAUCAUCUCUAAUGGAGAAUCCGAGGAAGAUAUGAAGCCUAGCAAUGAUUUUAUGACCAUGUAUCAGUUUCCAUCUCUUUGUGUAAUGGACAUGUAAUCUGAAUUUUAGUUGAGACUCUAUGUAUUUGGCCAGGGUGCCCCUCCUGUAAAACUUAAGUUGUGGCAAUGACUCUAUGUAACCUUAUGCACUUAUCUGUGAUGCUCCAUGUUUAUGUUGAGCUGAAAUAAAUCUCUGCAAUGUCGUUAAUCCUUGAGGAGUUGUGGCUGUGAAUGAACGCGAGAAUAACCAAGUGUCAUGGAAGAUAUUCUCUUAUUGUACAUGGAUUAUUGUGCCUUAAUUUAUGUGAAUUUACUUUAUUAAAUUCCGUAUGGCAGCAAUUGAAGUUCAUGACAAUCAUAUCUGUUAUCCUAAACGAUCACUUGAUAUGCCUUGUGCAGAUGGCUCGCAACACUCGCUCCGGUCACAACGAGGUGCCGCCACCACCACCUCCUCCCCCGUCUACACCUACUGAGCUAUUGGCAGCUCUUGUUGAGGGCCAGCGUAUGCUCAAUGAGGCUAUGCAAACUAUGGCGCAGCAGAACCGGGGUGGUCGCCAUGCCCGCCAAGGCGGAGAGGCAAAUCAGUAUAGCAGUUUUAAGGAUUUCCAGGACACCAAGCCGCCGCUUUUCCAGGAGGCUGUUGAACCUCUAGAAGCUGAUGAGUGGCUUAACACUCUUGAACAGAAAUUCCGGUUGCUAAGGUUAACCGAAGAGCUCAAAGCGGAGUAUGCAGCCCACCAGUUGGAGGGCAAAGCAGGUGUCUGGUGGAGUCAUUACAGGACUAGCUUGCCCGCCAAUGCUGUUGUAACCUGGGACCAGUUCCAAACUGCUUUCAGGAAUACUUAUAUUCCACAAGGCUUAAUGACUAUCAAGCACACUGAGUUCAUGAACCUGACGCAAGGCACUAAAAGCUUGACUGAGUAUCUUCAUGCUUUUAACAAUUUGUCUCGCUAUGCUCCUGAGAUGGUUGACACCGAAGCCAAGAAGCUCGCUAGUUUCAAGAGAGGGUUGGGACCCAAGUUGUCCAAGAACAUGGCUGGUAACAAGAGUACCACCUUCAACGAGUUUGUGAGUGAUGCAUUGACUCAAGAAAAUUCUAAUGUUGUGUAUGCCGCAUCCAAGAACCGCAAGAGGGCCUAUGAGGCAGGUGCUUUGCAGUCCAAGGCUCCAGCGGCAAGCAAGCCAGCCUGUCGCCCACCCAAUGCUGUGACAAGGUACAGGCCGCCGCAGAAAAAGUCAAAUGUGAAGACGGGAGUGCGCAAGUCCUUCACAGUUGCUCUCCCAAGAGGUGCCACGAGUCAAGGAAGUCCCAAGAAUCCUCCUGAUAACCGCCCUUGUUUCAAUUGCAAACAAGUUGGUCACUGGGCAAGAGAUUGCCCCUACCCUAAGAGAAAUGCUGCAGCCGUAGGAAAUAACCGUAUGGGUCGUGUGCACUACACCACGGUUGAAGAAAUUCCGGAAGGUGAAGCAGUCACCGCUGGUAUGUUCCUUGUAAAUCAACACCCUGCAGUUGUCUUGUUUGAUUCUGGAGCUUCGCAUUCAUUUAUGAGUCAAGCAUUCGCAUCUAAGCAUGGGCAAAAUGUCAUCGAUCUUGAUAGCGGAAAAUUUUGCAUUAGUGCUGCUGGUAAUCAAAUUGCUACGAAUCAAGUAGUGAGGGAUGUACAUAUUGCCAUAGAAGGGCGUAAUUAUGCAGCAGAUUUAGUCGUACUGCCAGGCCUAGGGAUAGAUGUUAUUCUGGGGAUGAAUUGGAUGAGCAGGCAUGGGGUGCUAAUAGAUACCUCCACGAGAGUAGUCAUGUUACGGGAGCCUGAUAGCAAGGAAGCCUUCUUAGUCCAGCUUCCCAAGAAUGAUGACAUCCGUCAUGCUGCCAAUGCCAUUCGACCACUCACUUUAGCAGAGAUUACGGUAGUGUGUGAGUUUCCGGAUGUCUUUCCAGAGGAUCUGCCCGGGUUGCCACCGGACAGAGAGCAGAACCACAGANNNNNNNNNNNNNNNNNNNNNNNNNNNNNNNNNNNNNNNNNNNNNNNNNNNNNNNNNNNNNNNNNNNNNNNNNNNNNNNNNNNNNNNNNNNNNNNNNNNNNNNNNNNNNNNNNNNNNNNNNNNNNNNNNNNNNNNNNNNNNNNNNNNNNNNNNNNNNNNNNNNNNNNNNNNNNNNNNNNNNNNNNNNNNNNNNNNNNNNNNNNNNNNNNNNNNNNNNNNNNNNNNNNNNNNNNNNNNNNNNNNNNNNNNNNNNNNNNNNNNNNNNNNAAAAGACCAAAAAAAAGACCAAAAAAAAGAACGAACACGGAAAAAAAAGGAGGCCCCCCGUUUUUUGUCGCAGACUAACUGGUCCUGCUUUUCCGGCUAGUUCUUCUCCAUGCGGUUGUCCUGCUCUCUUUGUCAAGAAGAAGGACAAGUCUCUACGUAUGUGUGUAGACUAUCGUCCGCUCAACGCCGUGACUAUCAAAAACAAGUAUCCAUUGCCUCGCAUCGAUAUCCUGUUUGAUCAAUUAGCCAAGGCCAAAGUAUUCUCCAAAAUUGAUCUGAGAUCUGGGUAUCAUCAAAUCAAGAUCCGACCUGAAGACAUUCCUAAAACGGCUUUCUCUACCAGGUAUGGGUUGUAUGAGUAUUUAGUCAUGUCCUUUGGUCUGACUAAUGCCCCUGCUCAUUUCAUGUACCUGAUGAAUUCGGUGUUCAUGCCUGAACUGGAUAAGUUUGUGGUGGUGUUCAUCGAUGAUAUAUUGGUGUAUUCUGAAAAUGCACAAGAACAUGAGAAGCACCUUCGGAUUGUACUCACUAGAUUGCGAGAACAUCAGCUCUAUGCCAAGUUCAGCAAGUGUGAGUUUUGGCUGAAGAAAGUGCCUUUCUUAGGCCAUAUUUUAUCCGAAGAGGGUAUUUCUGUUGACCCGUCAAAGGUGCAGGAGGUUCUAGACUGGAAGGCCCCGACUUCAGUGCAUGAAGUCCGGAGUUUUCUCGGUCUAGCUGGAUAUUAUCGGCGCUUCAUUCCAGAUUUUUCCAAAAUAGCUAAACCUAUGACCAAGCUACUGCAAAAAGAUGUGAAGUUUGUGUGGUCCGAGGAGUGUGAAGUUGCCUUCACCACUCUACGCCAUUUGCUGACCACUGCUCCUGUUCUGGCACAGCCUGACAUUGAAAAGCCAUUUGAUGUCUUUUGUGAUGCAUCUGGCACUAGCCUAGGUUGUGUGCUUAAGCAAGAAGGCCGAGUUAUUGCCUAUGCUUCUCGGCAGUUGAGGAAACAUGAAGCCAACUACCCUACUCAUGAUCUAGAGUUAGCAGCAGUUGUACAUGCAUUGAAGCUCUGGAGACAUUAUCUGUUGGGUAACCUUUGUCACAUUUACACUGACCAUAAGAGCCUCAAAUAUAUAUUCACUCAGCCCGAGUUAAAUAUGAGACAAAGAAGAUGGCUGGAAUUGAUAAAAGACUACAAUUUAGAAGUGCACUAUCAUCCAGGCAAAGCCAAUGUUGUAGCCGAUGCUCUCAGUCGAAAACAACAUGUUAGACCUCUUCUAGAGGAAGGUUUCAAUUUAUUGCAUCCUGUGGUCCUACACAACAUCAUAGUCAGUUGCUCAUUAGAAAGUCAAAUCAUAGAGCUCCAAAAAUCUGAUCCUGGUAUUUUUCAUAUCAAGAGAAAAAUGCAAGAGCAAGACACCAAGCAUUUCCGAGUAGAUGAGAAGGGUGUACUGUGGUUUGACGAUCGGCUAGUUGUACCCAAAGACCGUGACCUACGCAACAAAAUUUUAGAAGAAGCUCAUUCUUCCAAGUUGUCCAUUCAUCCGGGUAGUAGCAAAAUGUACCAAGACUUGAGACCUCGCUUCUGGUGGACCAAAAUGAAGAAAGAGAUAGCAGCUUAUGUUGCUAGGUGUGAUACUUGCUGUAGGGUAAAGGCAGUUCACCUCAAACCUGCAGGUUUAUUGCAACCAUUGUCAAUUCCAGGUUGGAAGUGGGAAGAAAUCAGCAUGGAUUUCAUUGUUGGACUUCCCCUUACGCAAAAAGGACACAAUUCCAUGUGGGUGAUUGUUGACCGUUUGACCAAGUCAGCCCAUUUUAUUCCCGUACACUCUACAUACCGACCAUCCGACUAUGUUGAGUUGUACUUCGCUCAGAUAGUUAAAUUGCACGGAGUGCCUCGUACUAUCAUUUCUGACAGAGGUCCUCAGUUCACUGCUCGCUUUUGGGAGCAUCUGCAUUCACUCCUUGGUACAAAAUUGGUUCGCAGUUCAGCCUAUCAUCCUCAAACCUCCGGUCAGACUGAGCGUGUGAAUCAAAUUCUAGAGGAUAUGUUGAGGGCCUGUGUUAUAUCUUCCAAGGGUGCGUGGGAGAAAUGGUUACCCUUAGCUGAAUUCUCUUACAACAAUAGCUAUCAAGAAAGUAUCCAAAUGGCUCCUUUUGAAGCCUUGUAUGGCCGCAAAUGUAGAACUCCGUUAAACUGGGUUGAACCUGGUCAAAGGAGGUACUACGGAAUUGACUUUGUCAAGGAAGCCGAAAAGCAAGUUCUCGUUAUCCAACAACACAUGAGAGCCGCCCAAGCUAGGCAGAAAAGCUAUGCUGACCGAAGAAGAAAGCCAAUCGAGUUCGAAAUAGGUGACUUUGUGUACAUAAAAGUAUCGCCCAUGAAAGGAGUAAAUCGCUUUGGCGUUAAAAGAAAGCUUGCCCCUAGGUAUGUGGGUCCCUACCAAAUCAUUGAGAAGAGUGGUAAGGUAGCUUACAAACUAUAACUACCUCCCGAAAUGAGAGCUAUUUUCCCUGUAUUCCACGUGGCUCAACUCAAGAAGUGUCUUCGUGUGCCCGAAGAGAGAGUUGAAACAAGAGAUAUCAAGUUGCAGUCAGACCUAUCUUAUGAAGAAAAGCCUGUGCAAGUUCUUGAUGUCAAGGAACGGGUUACUCGUGGGAGAGUGAUCAAAUUUUUUAGAGUUUUGUGGAACCGUCAAAAUGAGAGAGAUGCCACUUGGGAAAGGGAAGACUAUUUACAAGUAACUUAUCCCUCAUUCUACGAAAAAUGGUACGUCUUUCAAAUCUCGGGACGAGAUUUUUGUAAGGGGGGAGGGCUGUAACACUCCUAGUGUUAGCUUGCAUGUUAACCAUGAGCAUUGCAUCAACAUAAGCAUCAUCAUGAUCACUCAUGAGCAUCAUACCAUGAUCACAUGCCAUCUACUACAUGCACUAUGUGAUUAAAUUGCUUGUGUGACUUGUUUUUGAGUGACUUUAGUGGGUGAUCAAUACAUGUAAGUGUGCGAUCUUGUCCAAAAUACUUUAAUCAUGUUUAGAACAUCAUUGUGAACAUAGUUCAUGUUGGAGGUUGCACCCAAAAAUGCCCCUAAGUCAUGGUUAGCCCUAGGUUGACCUAGUUGACCCCCUAAACCUCUUUUUAAAGAUCUUUUAUGAAACCUGUGUUAGAAACCUUGCAUGUCAAUGACCCCUGAAGCCAAGUUGUAGAAAAUUUUAUAGGCUACAAAAGUUGUUUUAAGGCCAUCUCACGAAACUGUGCAGAACAUGCUCAAAAAAUGCACACAAGGUAAAUUUAGGGGCUGUUUGGACAUGGCAGUUUUUGGCUAAGUGUGGGAACUGACAAACUGAAUGCCAGUUUACGUGUAGGGUACUUUGGUAGCUCGUAGUUUCUAAUUUAAGCUGAACUAGACCAAACUCUUAUAAUCAAAGUUGGAGUACUCAUUCAGCUCUCCAACUUGUAUCACUGAAGUUUUUGCUAGUUCGCAAUGGUUUGGGAGUUGGAGGGCAGCGAAGUUUCGAGUUCAGACGUAUUUUUGCAGUACUUUUGCUGGUUUCUGAUCAGACUUCGAUUUGGUUGGAGUCGGGUCGUGGCCGACCAGCUCUGCUUGGCUUGCGCCGCGUUGAUGCCGUGCGUCGAUAUUGGCCCCACAUAGCUACGAAUAAAGCCGAGCGCCGUGCGACUCCGCCAAGGCAAUAGCCCACCUGUUCGUCCACAUCGCACUCGUCGCCAAGGCCAAAGAGGACAGCCGCCGCCACCAGGGAUGUUGCUGAGGUGAAGCUCGUGCAUCGCCAUUGCGUCCGGCACCUCUCGCUACUCUCUAUCCCUCUCGUUCUCAGUAAAGUAGGGCUGCGGCCGCUCGCAUGACCGGCCUUCGGCCAAGUUGGCCGCAGGCGGGUGCCAUGGCCUGCAGCCGUGCUGCGUACAUACGGGAGCCGCCUCUUCCUUUGCCGUUCUGUGAAAGUCGAUGUGUUUCCUUGGUAACCUAUCCCGAUAGAUGCGUCUCGAUGUAAGGAGUCUGUUGGUGGUGGUCGCGUCGCCGGAAAGUUCGCCGCCGGCGAGCUAUGGCCGGUCAAAGUAGCUCCCUUAUGACGUGUGGGUCCAGAUUGACCUUGGGUCCCACCUGCCAGCCUUUGGGGUACUCAGCACUGGGUGCGUGUAGUAGUUCUUAGGGUUUGGUUAUUUUCGUUUUAAUCUUUUCUAUGUUUUUCUUUUAGAAGUUUGUAAAUUCAAUAUCUCAAGCUACAGGGAUCCGUUUUGAGUGAAACCAAUUUUUUUAGCUUCCUCUUGGUGGAUAUUAGCUAUUAAAAAUAUGAAACAUGCCAUGUUUUUGUAGAAAUAAAUAGAUAUGAUUUAAUCUUGAUUAAAUUGGAGGUAAUUAUAUCUUGAAAUCUAUUGAUCUGCUGGCCAUGCAAAUUUAGGGUGUUGUUAGUUAUGUUAUGACUAGGCUCUGAUAAAUUUAUCAUGAUUUUUGGAAGCCUAGUUGUGAAGUUAAAAAAAUAGUUCUUGCUUAAAUAGGGGUUUCUUGUGGUAUUUUUAAUAAUUAAGUUAUAACUCCUUUGGUGAUGAAACUUGCUGAGUGUUGUACUCAUGUGUAAACAAGGCUAACAAAAAUCUGAAAUCUGCUGUUUGACACUUUUUGAUAAGGUUUCAUAUUUAUGCCUUGCAUGCCUUUACUAGCUUGUUGUUUUUGUAUCUCCCAAUCUGUAUGUGCAAAUGUUCUGAAAAUUUUACAGUGAUCUUAUGUUAGCAUAAGUAGCUUGCUGUAAUUUUCUUAGAAUUUUUGGAACACUUGGAUUAUAUGUUCAUUAAAUCACCUUAAUAAUUAAAUAAAUGGAAAAGGUGAUGAUAGAAAUAUUUUUAGACCUUGCCAUGAUAUUUUCUGGUGUUUCUUAGAUAUGUUUUACCUACUGGUGCAAUUAGAUUGUUCCUUUGAUACAUUCUCAACAUGUGCAAAAUAUUAUUUUUGGCUAUUUAUACCUUUCCUAGAGCAUUUCUGUGUAGCUGAUAGCAAAUGCUUGAGAACUAAUUAAAGAUUUUAAUUUCUGGGAAACUUGUCUACAACAAACUUGUAGCUAACUUACUGAUGUACUCCGUGUCCAAAUUUCAUGGCAUUUGGUUGAGUAGUUUGAAAGUUAUGCAUGUUUCAAGUAGCUGCUGCAAAGUGCUUGCUCUCUGGAAUUUCCAGAGCAGCCAGUCAACUUUGUAUGUGUUAGCAUAUUUCGGUUGGGAAUCAUCCUGGGAUGUCUAAAAGUGAUUUGUAGACAAUUUGCUAAGCUUUCCAGAAAGUGCUUACUUGCUUAAUUUGGUUAACAGAUGCUUGAGUUAUGGCUGAAACUUGUGACUGGUUGGUUUGUCUACUAAACCAGUGGCUGAGUAGGCAUAACUAGGAUUUGUUAACUUGUCUAUUUAGUCUCUCUAUCAGAGAAGAGGUAUGCACUUACUUGUUGUUCCAUGAUUCACUUAAUCUUAGAAGCUUAUGCUCAUGUUAUACCUUGUUUUAUGUCCCUUUGGCUCUUCAUCAUGACAUCAUGCAUCAUUUGUGCAUUCUCUAUAUUCAUGUCCUUGUCAUGCAUACAUAGGUGUACCCAAGGGCGUGACCGUGUUGGAGUACGAGCUGCCGGAGCCGGAAGAACAGCAAAGGGAGCUACCUCAAGGAGCUGAUGAGGAGGAGGAGGACUUGCCGGAGUGCCCUGACCAUCGUCCCUCUACCUACGUUGAAGGCAAGCCCCGGAGCAUUAUAAGCCUCCUACUAUUUUAUUAUCAUGUUCAGCUAUCAAAUGACUAUGGUUAUAUAUUGUUGCAUUAAGUGGUAGGCGUUGAUAUGAGACCCUUGCUGCAUAAUGACUACCUUGUCCACCUUAAACAAUACCAAAGUAGGUCCAGGAUCGAAGUAAUGCUUAGCCAUGCUUAGCUCGGUAGAAGCCGGGUGAUUUCCUGUCACCUGCGAGAGUUAGGUGGAUGAUGAUCACGGUUGGCUAUAUUUGCUAUCGUGGAAAUAACCAUGUGUUAAUAAUGAAUUUGAGACCGGGCGGGAUGACGAUGGUGCAGCAACAAGGCAUGGAGGUCUUGGGUGUGAACCUAUCCCCGUCUGUGUCGUUUAAGGACCGAAUCGCUGUACGUCCCCGUGUCAUGUUGAACGCAUGCCUAUCACUUAGUUGGCCGGAUAAGUCGUUCCGACCGCGAAGCCUACAAGUGCAACUCCGGCCGGAUACCCCGAUCUGGUUAAAGUGCGCACCCCGGUUGGUAGUAAGGAUGUGCGGAGAGUCAAUGGCGUAAGACCGAGGUGUCAGGUUAGAGUCCUGACCCUGGCAGAUUGGCGGUCCCUGGGGGUGCGGCGCCGUACGGACCCGCGAAUUGGUCCGGAGUUGUGCUAAAGGUGAUCCGAGCUGCCGUCAUGAAGUAUGCUUGGGUGAGUGUUAGGAAUACCCCUCCAGCUGGAUAGGAAUCGAUUCGAAUCGCCGUCUCUCCCGGAUAGUGAGAACUUGACUUGGGCAGCGGCAACGUAGAAUUUACUAAAUAAACUUAAUGGUUAUGAUGAGAAUGAUGAUGGCUAUGUGAUAAUCCGGAUAUGGUUAUUAUUGUAAUGCUUAAAACUCAACUGUAUGCUUAGAACAGGUGCUAAUCUAGUGGACAGUUGCUAAGUAAUAAACUUGCUGCUGAAUUUAAUAAAUGAGUUACUUAUAACAAAGGCUUUUAUGCAAAAGAUGAGUCAAACCAGUCCACAGAGAUCAGCCUUGCAUACUCCUUGGUGUCACUUUAUUUCUGGUUUAUGACGGGUAAGUCUAGCUGAGUACAUUCUCGUACUCAGGGUUUUAUUUACCCCUGUUGCAGAUGACGUCGUUUAUCACGGCUACUGUGCUAAGUGUCAUCACCCGGCUGUGGAUGAUGAAUAGAUCAUGGGCGUGAUCACCACCUUUAUCUUCAGUUGUACUUUUGUUGGGACUUGACCAUGGAACUGGCAUGUAUUAUAAACUAAGUUGGUGUUGUUCAAAACUACUUUGUUUCCGCUACCGCUAUGGUUUGUAGUAACCACUUUAAACUCUGAUGUGAUGUAAAACUAUGUUCUGUGAUGAAUGUUGUAAUUUGUGAUGGUGAAGCUUGAUCAUGUACGAUCUUGGUUGUAUGUUGGUUGAAUCGAGGUCUUUUGAGAUUUCGUCGGACUACCGGGUUUAUAUGGGUUCAAGUCCAUUGGCUUGACUGCCUCCGUGGUCGCUAAUUCACUUGAAUUCUUAUAAAUUGGAUGGUUCUGUUACACAGUCAAGCAUUACGUAACUUAAUUUACAAAAGUAGUUCUUCCAAGUAGUAGAGUGUUAUUACAAGCCAGGUCCAGAGGAGCAACUUAAACUUUAGUACACAGAUUACAAAUUUACAGACCCUGCCCAUGGGUCACGCUCACUCUUCCUCGCCGUCAACCUCGACGACGGUCACACAACAGGGUCCAAAACAUGUCGGCUCCUGAGCUUCACCUGCAACAAUAGGGGUUAUAAAACCCUGAGUACGGCAGUACUCAACAAGACUUACCAGGCAGAAAAAGAAGAGAAAUUAGGGAUGCAGGCUUAGGGUAGACAAGGAGUGGCUGAGCAAGGAGCCAAAUUGUUUUGCCAAAAAGCUUACUAAUAGUGCAUCCUUACUUUCAAGUUUUACCCACGAAUUCCUCUCCUUAAGAGGUCGAGGAGUUCGAGGACAGUCUAUCUAGUUUCUUCUCACAGAUCAGUCUGUAAGUUCCUAGUCCUUAAUCAAAGUAUUAUCUAUCCAACGGCCAUAGCUUCAUGUCACUCUAAGUCCAGGAAUUGGGAUCCGAACCUCAUGAGACAUUUCCCCCUUUCUCAUUUUAUCACUUAGUUUCAUAUUUAACUACGGUGAGGGACGAAGGAAUUGAGUCUCCCAAUCGGGGAGCAAUGACGAUUCGAAUCGCUUAGCAAUCUAGCUGGAGUUCCUAACCACCCGACAUAUGUAGAACCAAAUCUUGCAUAUAUCAACCCAAAUCUAGCUCUCCCCAAAUUUGACCGGGUUCGCGGCACCCGAGAGCACAGUACCCCACCAUCCAGCCCAUUUGCCAGGAGGGUACACGCUACUCUCGCCAUCGCUCCAUGCCUAGUGCGCGAGUAGCCGUUCGCGUCGAGGGAUCACACGACCGGGCUUACCGAGGGCAAGUGGCUAGUACUAUAAAUUCUCAACCCAGCAGGCCAUCAACGAAACGGUCCUUAAUCGACACAGUUGGAGACACUACUUUAAGACUCCAUUCUUAAAGCAAGUCCACCGACCGGUCUCAAGUUGAAACAUCAUUGACCAUAAGUGUAUUCGACAACAACCCUUCAAACUUUCUUGUCUGAAAACCUAUCUAACAGCAGGGCUAAGCAUCGCUACGCAAUUUUAAAAUAAAACAGGUGCCAAGGACAAGAUAACAUAUAUCAAGGUAGUAAAUGCAGCAAGUAGGUUAACCCAAUUCUCAACUACCUAAUGCAGCAUUUUUCAUUCAUAAGUGAUAAAAGAUUUAAAACAUUCAAGGAGGGGUUAAUGCAUCCGGGGCUUGCCUUGGUUGUAGAGCUGAGAGGGACCCUCAGAGACUUCCCAAGUCUCGGAUCCUAUUUCCUCGAACGGAGCACCGACCUCAGGGUUCGGUUCAACGGUCGCUCCUUCGGUCACGUGUACUACACGUAAAAUGAUGUAUGCUCAUGAUAUGCAUAUGACAGAUAUUUAAGAAGGACCGAGUUGAGUACAACUCUCCUUCUCGGUGCAAGGACAUGUUAAACAGUAAUUAAAGUUGUUUAUUGUUUUAGGGUUUUUACCCAAGAGGUUGCAUUAGUAAAUUAAGACCUUUCUCAAUUCCUAAUUAUCCUUAAUUAACUGACUAUUAAACCUUUUUACCUUAAUUAAUACUUAAUUAAGUAUUGAUGGUAGUAAUUAAGUAUUAACAUCAAACAAUAAUUAAGUGCCAAAGGUCAUUAAGGUUAAUCACCUCAGGUCAUCACACAAUCCCAAAAGCACUCAAAUUCUAUUUUGAGAGAUUAAGCUAAUUAUUACUUAAUUAUUUUGAAAUUAUUACUAAAUUACUAAUUAAGGGUUUAAUGAUAUUUUAUUUAAACAUUAUCCAAAUGCUACCAAAUUUUGUGUGAAGCCAGGGAACAAUAUUCAGAGGCUUCUGACAAUUUUUGGUGAUUUUUGGAUAUACCCAUAAAUUAUUAAAAUUCAUGGAAGUUUUAUUUUUUUAAUUAAAGGAGGCAAUUUUGAGAUACAUGCAAACUACCAGAAAAUGGAAUCUAGUAUUUUUCCUCUGUCCAUAAUUUUUGAAUCCACACAUGAUUUACUAUACAAAAUCAAACAUAAAUAACAUUUUGUAAAAAAAAAGGAAGAAAACAUUGCUGCGAGCGGGCCGGGAAUUCGGCCCGAAGGCCGACCCACGCGCGCUCGGCCCAAACGCGAGCUGCGCGCGCUCUCGCCUCCGCUCAAGGCGUCGCCGACAGCGGGCCCCCGCUGUCAGCUUCAUCUUCAAGCUUCGGCCGGCCAAAUCAACGGCACGACCGAGCCAUCCUCGCCAUCUCCGCCCCUCGCGACUUGUUGGUUGCGUUCUCCACUCCAUGGCACACCCCUGGACCCCCUUGAGCACUUGUUCUCUCCUAGCCUAGCCCCCUUGGCCACGGGCGUGGCGGACGGCCGCCUCGGCCGGGCAAACAUCGGCCGCUACGAGCGAGUAGAACGCGAAUUGGAUGGCGUAUAAGCAUCGGUGCCUCACCGCGACUUCAGCGAAGCAAACGGCGGCGGUAGAGGAGCUCAGAGCAGGCCUAGCCGCGGUGAGGCGCUCGCGGUGGCGCUUUUGCCGGAGUUGGGAACGACGGAUUGGCUAGAAGCCUUAGGGGGUUAGAGCGCGCGGCGAAGGGUCCAGGAGGUAGCUGGGUUGCGGACGAAGCGGAUGCUGCACACUAAGGAGGUGAAAAGGGCGUGCUUGCGGUGAAUUUCGCGGUGGCACGGGUGUAGCUCGUCGGCGCUCUUGGAGGCAAACGGAGGCGCGUCGGCCGGUGGAGCGGCUUUAUACCCACGUAGAGCAAGCACGGAGCUUCCACGUCGGUUGGCAACACAGGCAGGCAAGAAGCUGCGUGCCCUCACGCACGCACACGGCGCUGUGCGCGCGGCGGCCGCGCUGGACAGGGGUGCCGUGAUCCCUAUCGGAUCACUGUAGCCGUCCCUAUACUCCCCCUUUCUGUCUUUUUGCGAAAAUCGACCAAAAUUUGAACUAAAUUCCAAAAUCUGUUAAAACAAAAGUUGUGCAGAAUUUUACAAGCUACAAAACAUAUUUGGGUGACCAAAACUGAUUCUAUGUGGAAAAUGGUGAAUUUGACAAAACAGUUUGAAUUUCAAAUCUCAAAUUGGGGAAAUUCCAAUUUUAAAUUGGGGCAGAUUAGAAAUUCUAAAAUUACUUUUGAUUUUUCUCAAUAACUUGAGCUCUACAACUUUCAUGUUGGUCACUUUUAAAGAUUCCAAAUAGAUUUUGAAUUGGGGAUUCAAAUUGGAAAGGGGGACACUUUCUGGAAAUCUGUAUUUUCAAAAUUACUUUAAAUUUUGUAUUAAGACUUCAAAAACUUAAAACACCAAAGUUGUACAUCUUGACAAGAUCUACAACUUUGCUUUUAAACUCAACCUCAAAUUUUGCUUGGUUUUUAAAUCGUGCAAAAGGGGGCAAAUCUAGGGUUCUAAAAUCAGGGUUUCCCCCCCUAUUUUCUCGGAAACCUUCCAACCUAGGAAUUUCACCACACUAGCUUCAAUACACCUUGCAAACACACUUUAAUUCCCUAAGCACAAGCAAUCAAAAUAAACUUGUUUUAAUUUGAUGCAUCAAGUGGUGCUUAAUCAAUAUGCGAAGCAAUGCUCAUGAUGACAUGAUCCAGUUUUAAUAACCGUAACAUCGGGGAUGUUACAGCCCUUCCCCUUAAAGAAAUCUCCUCCCCGAGAUUUAAAGCCUUAGGGUGCGUAAUGGAAAAGGAAAUUUGUCAAGCUAUUUCAUCUUUAACCUUUCCGUAAGACAAGGAGCUGGGGAAGACUACUUCAUUAUAAACAUAUAUGUACAUUAAGUACAUGACUUUGGCUACCCUUUUCCUUCACUAGAGUACACUUCCUUUUUAUCGGAUGUUGUCUUGAAGAGAAGCGUGGAACUUAGGAAAAUUCUCCAUUAGAUAAUCCUCAGAUUCCCAUGUGGCUUCUUCUUCAGAGUGCUGGCUGCAUUGCACCUUGUACCACCUGGUAGUUGUUCUUCGAGUAAGUCUAUCCCUUUGGUCUAAUACUUGGAUAGGAUAUUCCGCAUAAGUCAGAUCCGGUUCAAGUUCCACAUCUUCAAUAUCUUGAACCUGGUCUGGUACUCAAAGACAAUUUUUCAGUUGAGAUACAUGAAAUACAUUGUGUAUCCCGGAUAAUCGUUCGGGCAAUUUAAGGCGGUAAGCCACCUGUCCACACCGGUCAAUGGUUGGAAAUGGACCAAUUUAACAAGGCGCUAACUUGCCUUUAACGCCGAAAUGAUUUACUCCCUUCAUUGGGGAUACUUUUAGAUACACAUGGUCACCCUUGGCGAACCUUAAGGGUCGACGUCUUUUAUUGGCAUAGCUUUUCUGUCGGGACUGAGCAACCCUCAAGUUAUUUUGGAUUUGUCUAACUUUGUUCUCAUUUUCCUUCACUAAGUCAACUCCAAAGAACCAUCUUUCUCCGGGUUCAGACCAAUGUAGUGGAGUUCGACAUCGAUGGCCAUAUAGUGCCUCGAAGGGAGCCAUUUUAAUACUUUCUUGGUAGCUAUUGUUGUAGGAAAACUCUGCUAGACGCAAGCAGUCAUCCCACUUAUCUGGAAAAUUUAGGGCACAAGAUCUUAAUAGAUCUUCUAGGGUUUGAUUCACCCUUUCUGUUUGCCCACCUGUUUGAGGGUGGUAGGCGGUACUGUAUAAAAGCUUGGUGCCCAAAGAUUCAUGUAAGCAUUUCCAAAACUGGGAGACAAAUUAUGUGCCUAUAUCUGACACUAUUGUCUUUGGCACCCCAUGCAGACUCAGUAUACGAUCAAAAUAAAUCUUAGCAUAGGUGGAGGCAGGAUAUAAUAUCUUCACAGGCAAGAAGUGCGCCGUUUUGGUGAGACGAUCCACAAUGACCCAAAUAGAAUCAAAGCCUUUGGCCGUCUUGGGCAAUCCUACUAUGAAAUCCAUACUAAUAUCAUCCCAUUUCCAUGCUGGAAUAGGCAAGGGUUGCAACUCUCCAGCGGAUUUGAGACGAAUAGCUUUGACCUUUCGGCAUGUAACGCAUUGGCCCACAUAGCGGGCUAUUUCUAUCUUCAUUUUCGUCCACCAAAACCUUUUCUUCAGGUCCUGAUACAUAUUAUUGCUCCCCGGAUGAAUAGAAUACCUGGUGGUAUGAGCUUCAUCCAGGAUUUGCUGACGUAGCUCAGGUACCUUUGGAACCACUAACCGGUUUUUGAACCAGAUUACUCCUACAUCAUCCACUUUAAAGUAUGUGGGUGCUCUGUUAGAAAUUUUCUCUUUAAGAUAUUUCAUGCCUUUGUCUUCUUUUUGUGCCUCUAUGAUUUGAGCUUCAAGAUUGAAAUCAAUCUUUAGAUUGGCAAGGCUUCCUUGGGAAAUCAUUUCUAUCCGCAAGUUCUCUAGCUCUUGGCACAAGGUUAUCUCCUUAGGCGUCACUGUUAAGCAAUUACACUGAGCCUUACGACUGAGGGCAUCAGCUACUACAUUCGCCUUGCCAGGGUGAUAAUGCACCUCGAGGUCGUAAUCUUUGAUCAACUCUAGCCACCUCCACUGGCGCAUAUUAAGUUCAGCUUGAGUGAAAAUAUACUUCAAGCUUUUAUGAUCUGUGUAUAGGUGACAAGUGUUCCCCAACAGAUAAUGGUGCCAGAUCUUUAAAGCAUGUACUACGGCAGCUAGUUCAAGAUCAUGGGUCGGGCAAUUCUCUUCAUGUGGUUUAAGCUACCUGGAAGCGUAUGCAAUACUCGACCCUCCUGUAUUAGCACACAGCCUAUCCCUAUUCUUGAUGCGUCACAAUACACAUCAAAGUGCUUCUCAAUAUCAGGCUGGGCUAAUACAGGUGCAGUUGUUAAUAACCUUUUCAGAGUUUGGAAGGCUUGCUCACAUUCAGAUGACCAAACAAAUUUUGUUUGAUUCUUGAGCAAGGUCGUGAUUGGCUUAGCGACUCUUGAAAAGUCCGGGAUGAAGCGGCGGUAAUAUCCCGCCAUACCUAAAAAACUACGGACCUCAUGUACCGUAGUCGGGGGCUUCCAAUUCAAAACAUCUUCUACUUUACUUCGGUCUACAGCGACUCCCUCCACUGAUAAUACAUGACCCAAGAAAUGGACUUUGUCUAGCCAGAACUCACAUUUGUUGAACUUGGCAUAUAGUUGAUGCUCCCUAAGACGGGUCAGCACAAUCCUCAGAUGGUCAGCAUGUUCUUUCUUAGUUUUGGAAUAGAUCAAAAUGUCAUCAAUGAAGACAACCACAAAUUUGUCUAGCUCUGGCAUGAAGACAGAGUUCAUCAAAUACAUGAAAUGGGCUGGUGCAUUGGUCAACCCAAAGGACAUCACCAAGUAUUCAUAUAGCCCAUAACGUGUUGUGAAAGCCGUCUUGGGUACAUCUUCCGGCCUGAUUUUGAUUUGGUGGUACCCCGAUCUCAAAUCAACCUUCGAGAAUACUUUAGCCCUGGCUAACUGGUCAAAUAACAAGUCAAUAUGGGGCAAUGGGUACUUGUUUUUAAUCGUCACCUCAUUUAAGGGACGAUAAUCAACACAUAGCCUUAGUGUUUGAUCUUUCUUUUUCACAAAUAAGGCUGGGCAACCCCAUGGAGAGGAACUGGGCUGAAUAAAACCUUUCUACAACAACUCUUGUAGUUGGGUUUUCAAUUCGGCCAGUUCUUUCGGUGCCAUUCGGUAGGCCCUUCGAGAUAUUGGGGCUGUCCCUGGUUUCAAUUCUAUGCUGAACUGGAGAUCCCGGUCCGGUGGUAGACCUGGUAGGUCCUCAGGAAACACAUCCAGAAAAUCCCAAACUACCGAGAUAUUUUCAACUUCAGUCACAUUAGUGGCAUGAACUUGCCCAAUUGCCCGUUUGGGAGUAGCUAAUUGGAUUAGAAGGUAAGAAUUCUCAUUGGGCAAUGGCAUCUUAAUGGUUCGAUGUAAGGUGUCUAGCACAACCCCUCGUUGUGCCAUCCAGUUCAUGCCUAGUAUGACAUCAAUGUCAUGAUCUUUAAGGACAAUCAUACUAGUGGGAAAACUAUGCCCACCAAACUCGAUGGGUAUCUAAUGAACCAUUUCUUUAGAACUCAGUCAUCCUCCUGGCGACUGUAUAUAAAAAUGAUCUUUUGUUUCCCCAAUGGGUAUGUCAUGCUUCAUCGCAAAUGUACGAUUGAUGAAUGUAUGAGAUGCACCAGAAUCGAAAAGUAUUAAGGCAGGAUGUUUCGCAACAGGGAACGUACCCAUCAUUACAGGUUCUCCUUCCGAUAUUGUUUCCACCUCUGUAUGAAAGACUUGUCCCACUUUCUUUACAGGUUUACCCCUUUGUGCAUUCUGUCCUUUCUGAGCCCCAUUUUUGAAUUGGCUUGGCUGGGGUUGGCCAAUCGGUGGCCUUUGGAAAGUGGGGUUAUUUUGUCGAGGGUAGGGGCAUUCUUUAGAGAAAUUCCCGGGCUUACCACAAUUGUAGCAAGGAUAAUUGUCGUUUGGUGGAGCAGUAGGACGAACACCUGGGGCGUUCGGCUAGCGUGGUGCAGUGGUGAUGGCAGUAGGUCGAGGAUAGGCCGGCUGCCCGGGUCUAUACUGUGAAGGGGGAAAGGGACCACGAAAAGGUGACGGUGUUGGAAAGCAUCUGUGGCCCUGUGGAUGAUAAAUGAUCCUCUGGCGCUUUUGACCGCGACCAGAGAAGGAGGAGGAAGUGGCAUUUUUCUUCGCUUCUUUGUGCUUUCUGUUCUUUUCUUCCGAGGUGAUGGCAAUAUUAACCGUCGUAGAAAGUAGCAUUUUGACAUGUGGUCAUCAUAGUCUGAAGCUUUGUAUUGAGACCACGCAUAAAAUAGGUCUUCUUUUUAUCCGUGUUCACAUGGUCUGUGGCAUACUGAGAAAGGUGAUUGAAUUUGGCCACGUAUUCCAUCACACUUUUGUCGCCCUGCUGCAAGGCGAGGAAUUCUUCCGCUUUCAUGUCCAUAAGCCCUUCUGGAAUAUAAUGGGCGCAGAACGCGUCCUUAAAUUCCGCCUAGGUGACCUGGUGUCCUAGAUUUUGGAUAGCGAGGAAAUUUUCCCACCAAGCCCCCGCAGCUCACCGAAGCUGUUGCGCUACGAACAGGGGCUUUUGAGUCUCCGAUCAUCGGAUCAGGCUGAACUUAUGCUCCAUUGUCCAGAGCCAGUCGUCAGCCUCUAAAGGCUCAUCAGCCUUGGUGAACACCGGUUGCCUUGUCUCGGUAAAAUCCACAUACCGAGUUUCUCCCUCCCCAUUGUGUUGUGCUCUGAAGUUUGGGGCAGGGUGUGGUUGGCGCUGCGCUAGUUCGCACAACAGGCGAGCAUUGUCUGUAGUGGCACUUAGAAGAACAGCAAUUGCAUCGGCUAGGGAAUGUGGAGCACGUGGAGGGUUAGGUAUGUCCUCUCCUCUAUGAGAAGACCCGGCUCCAUCAGAUCCACGUGUGCGCAUCGGCAUCUGCUACAAGAAUUAUAUGUACUCGUUACCACUUGGAACCCAUCACUUAAAACAUAUUUUACAUACCUUAAUUUAUCUAUCAAACCUCAGUUCGGCACACUGGAAACAACGAGUACAACUUCUUGAACUUAACGAAAAGCAUUAUACUACAGACCCAACCCAACUACGGUAGACUAGGAACCCUAUAACGACGCCACCCGCAACUUCACCGAACUAGUCGGUGUGGUCAGAGCCGUAGCCCGGGUCGUCGUUGUUAUCACCAUGGUCAUCCCCUGGGUUGUCGUCGCCGGAGUCGGAUUCCUCUUCGUCGCUGGGUUCUUGGUCGGGCUCUCCAUCAUCUGCCAACUCUCCAUCAGUGUCCAUCUCCCCUUCACCUGGAGGUGGAUGAAGCUGAUGGUAUAAGUCGAAUGCGAUAUCACUGCAUCGCCAUGUCGUUGACGGCGUCCAGAUGAUGCGCCAGCUCAAGUUUCUCCAGCUGCAGCUGAUCCUCCCGCUGCCAUACGACGUCUCUUUGUGCAGUGACAGUGGCCGCCAUCUUCAUGUACAUAUUUUCCGUGUACUUGCUUUUGGUUAGCUUGGCCUUCAUUCUGGUCAGCUCGUGCAUAUGUGCGCUCUUGGCCUCCACUUCCCGAGCAAUAGCUGCAUUCCUUUCUUCCACCAUGCAGGAUAGCAUCACCUCGCAAUUCUUGGUGGCUUGUUUUUGUUUUAUUAAUUGGGCUUUGAGUUCACCAAUUUCCAUAACAUUAUACAUCCUCUCUCUCAUUACUUUGGUCAGCUUGGCAGACAACCUUUCCAUUUCCUGUUGAGACAGGGAAUGGCUACUGCUAGCUUGAUCGCUUCGCGGGGCCAACUGGUCUCGAGGCACCCCUUUACGACCAGUUCUCUUGUGAGGGGUUUGCUUCGAAUGACCCAUCCUGUAGAGGGUAAGUUUGGAUUGGUAAGAGAGACCUUAAAGGUUAGCAAGAAUGGGAUUGAUUCUAUAUAACCCAACCCGAAUAAAGUAGAAGGAAUUUAACCAAGUGACAUAUCAUGAUGCAUGCACGUACUUACGAUUCGUACUAGAAAUUCAUAACGAUAUCACUCUUUACAACAUAAGGCGAUACUUUAUGUUGCUCCUCCACAUGACCUCGAAAAUUCUAGCAAAGCCUACAGACAAGGGUAAGGUAGGACUAGAGCAUUUGGACUCAAAAUAGGCAUGUUUAUAGUUAUUGGAUCCAAAUGGAUUUGAAGUUUUUCAAGGAUACAACAGUCAUCUUAGCAACGAAUGCUCUGAUACCAGCUGUGGCAGAACCUCCUAAGUGUUUGGGCCCACCGACACCUGUCAUUGUCCUAAGGACCUUUGACGGUGAUGCCGGGGACCCUCCCACUCAAGAAGUCCGAUGAGCAUCCCAAGACGCCCAUUCCACCGCUACCUGUGGCGUAUCAAACAAGCUCGUCCUGACCACUAGUGAUGGUCAAUUAACGAGAAUUUCUUCUUCUCGCCUUUACAGGAUAGCAAGUGGCCACCUUAACACCAGGAUCAUUCGUUGCGAAGACAUUGCAGUAUCACAAACGACACAUGACCUAAAAUAAUAUUUCAGAGUAAAGCAGCGGAAGCAUUACGUAACUUAAUUUACAAAAGUAGUUCUUCCAAGUAGUAGAGUGUUAUUACGAGCCAGGUCCAGCGGAGCAACUUAAACUUUAGUACAUAGAUUACAAAUUUACAGACCCUGCCCAUGGGUCAAGCUCACUCUUCCUCGUCGUCAACCUCGACGAUGGUCACACAACAGGGUCCGGAACAUGUCGGCUCCUGAGCUUCACUUGCAACAGGGGUUAUAAAACCCUGAGUACGGGAGUACUCAACAAGACUUACCCGGCAGAAAAAGAGGAGAAAUUAGGGAUGCAGGCUUAGGGUAGACAAGGAGUGGAUGAGCAAGGAGCCAAAUUGUUUUGCCAAAAAGCUUACUAAUAGUGCAUCCUUACUUUCAAGUUUUACCCAUGAAUUCCUCUCCUUAAGAGGUCGAGGAGUUCGAGGACAGUCUAUCUAGUUGCUUCUCAUAGACGAGUUUGUAAGUUCCUAGUCCUUAAUCAAAGUAUUAUCUAUCCAACGGCCAUAGCUUCAUGUCACUCUAAGUCCAGGAGUCGGGAUCCAAACCUCAUGAGAAAUUUCCCCCUUUCUCAUUUUAUCACUUAGUUGCAUAUUUAACUACGAUGAGGGUCGAAGGAAUUGAGUCUCCCAAUCGGGGAGCAACGACGAUUCGAAUCGCAUAGCAAUCCAGCUGGAGUUCCUAACCACCGGACAUAUGUAGAACCAAAUCUUGCAUAUAUCAACCCAAAUCUUGCUCUCCCAAAUUGGACUGGGUUUGCGGCACCCGAGAGCAUAGUACCCCACCAUCCAGCCCAUUUGCCAGGAGGGUACACGCUACUCUCGCCAUCUCUCCACGCCUAGUGCGCGAGUAGCCGUUCGCGUCGAGGGAUCACAAGACCGGGCUUACCGAGGGCAAGUGGCUAGUACUAUAAAUUCUCAACCCCAGCAGGCCUUCAAUGGAACGGUCCUUAAUCGACACAGUUGGAGACACUACUUUAAGACUCCAUUCUUAAAGCAAGUCCACCGACCGGUGUCAAGUUAAAACAUCAUUGACCAUAAGUGUAUCACACAACAACCCUUCAAACUUUCUUGUUUCAAAACCUAUCUAAUAGCAGGGCUAAGCAUCGCUACGCAAUUUUAAAAUAAAACAGGUGCCAAGGACAAGAUAACAAAUAUCAAGGUAGUAAAUGCAGCAAGUAGGUUAACUCCAUGCAAACAUGUCGGCGUUCGCACGGAGAAAGUCGAUGAACACGACUUCAUAUUUGGGGUCGAGGUCGGCGCUGAUCGUCAGCACCUUGUCGUCGGAGCCGUUGGGGUCGAGCGGGAUCUUCUUCGUGCCUUCUGCCGGCUCGAAGCUGCCCACGUGACGCUUGGGUUCAGGAGCUUCUGCAGCAAAGGCCUCAAGCUUCGACGCAAGCUCGGUGGAGCUCUCGACAGCUUCUCCAUACUCGACGCACUCGACGUCGCACUCGUAUGCACGCUCAUAGGAGGAGCUGACGGUGAUGACCCCCUUCAGCCCGGGCAUCUUCAGCUUCAGGUAGGUGUAGUUGGGGAUAGCCAUGAACUCGGCGUAGCUUGGACGGCCGAUGAUGGAGUGGUACGUGCCUCGAAAUCCCUCCACCUCAAAGGUGAGAACCUCCUUUCUGAAAUUGGCCGCCGUGCCAAAACAGACCGGCAGGUCAAUUCGACCUACAGGCAACGCCUUCUUUCUAGGCACGACACCAUGGAAGCCGCUCGCACUUGGUUGGAGCUGUGUCCUUUUGAUGCCGAGGAGGUCAAGGGUCUCGAGGUAGAUGAUGUUCAGGCUGCUGCCGCCAUCCAUCAGCACCUUCGAGAGUCUCGUGUUGACGAUGAUGAGGUCGACGACGAGUGGGUAGACGCCAGGGGCGACUACCUUGUCGGGAUGGUCAUCUUGAUUGAAGGUGAUGGGGGUGUUCGACCAGUUGAGGAUCUGCUCGAGCUGGACAAGGCGCUCGCGAUCUUCGUCGAGCUUUGCUUUGAGCUCCCGUAGCUGUGCAAGUUGCACGGCUUUGUCUUCCUGCGGUGGUGGGUCGACCUGACCAUCGUUCCCAGGCAUCCUAAACCCUAAACCCUUGCUAUAGGGGCUCGUGCGCCGGCGACGGUGUCUUGUGUUUCGUCGGUGGUUUCUACCAACCCGUCGAUGUUGAAGCAUUCCCUAGUAGGGUCGUAGCUGUCGGAUUCAGAGUCGGGGUCCGGCUCAGUGGCGUAGAAGCAUCCACGUCUUUCCUCCAGCAGCAGCUGCCUGAGCGAGGUGAUCGUGUAUCGCCCAUGUCCUAGGCAUCGGAGGCCUCGCACCUAGGAGAAAUCUGGUAACUCGGUCGCUUGCCGCUGCGCCCCGACGUCACGUGGGAGGACAAUUGGUCGCUCCAUGUAUGUCUGGGCGUUUGGACAUAUCGUCCUGGCGAGCGACACCGCGGUGUUCUCCAGACCGAACGGCGGUGCUCUUCUUGAGGUGAAUAACCCAUGCGAAAGUAGCGUUGUGGGGGACGAGAGCGCGCGAGGCACGUCGUCACCCAUCGUCGUCGCGCGAUCCUCGUCACGUCGGGCCGUCGCACCACAGGCCUGGCGCGAACCGGUGACUGUGAGGAGGCAGGAUAGCGGCGACGCUGUCCACGCCUCUUCUUGGGCGGGGAGGCAUGGUGGCGAGGCCGUCUUGGAGCCCUCAGUCGUGCGGGCGCAAUGCGAGCUCCUUCCGGUCCUUUGACCGAGAGCAGGAUCAUGUCGUAGCCAAAACCAGUAGACAUGAACUCGAGGCUCCCGAACCAAAUCACCGUGCAGCGCGGAAUCGGUGAAACGAAAGUGGCCAUCUGGAAAGCGGUGGGAAAUCGGUGGAAAAAACACGCAGGACCCCUACCUGGCGGUGUUUUCCCCCCGGGGUGUCACACCAACGAGUAAAACUUGUGUGCGUGCUCCCCUUUCCGUAUGGUGAUGCAAGAAAGACACAAAGAUUUAUCCUGGUUCGGUCAAGAGAAGGCCCUACCUCCAGCGGGGGGGAGUGUUUGUAUUAUCUUGCACCUAAGUGCUUGUACAGGGGUGAAUACAAGUUGGUAUGGAUGGAGAGAUGAAGAUGAAGUAUGGUAGCUCUUCUACGUAUGUCUUGUGUCCCCUAUCCUUUCCUGAGCCUCCCCUUUUAUAGUCCCAAGGGGAGACCUAGGUUACAUGCCUAGGUGACAGAGUAGGGGUCGAUAGGGGUGUGGCGCGAUGACCUACUCGAGGCUUCCGUACGACGUGGCCUCGAGCUGUCUUGUUACCUAGGGUAUUCGAUGAUGAUUACGCGUGCCACCGAAUCCGACUUCUGCAUGUCGUCCUGGAUCGGCUCAACUGCGGGCACGCCUAUACGUCGUGGCUACAGUUGCGUCGGGGUGGUUGAGGUGCUGUCUUUCCCCGUCUGACUCUUUUUAGGGAAGGAACACGCUCGCUCGAGGGUCCGAUGCAGUGCUAGGCCUUGCUGAUAGGAGUGUUGACUUUGGGCAUCUCGAGGGGGGUCGUGACGAGACGUUCCGUCCGCCUCGCUGUGCCCUGUCAUGCUCUGACUCAUCCGGUGGACAAGGCUACAAAAAGGAACGAUUGGAUGGGUGCUUGCUUCGUAUCCCGCUUCCCGUAGCUGUCGGGUUAGGUGGGAACGCGGCAGGACGCAUUAAAUGCACUGGUUCCCGUACCCACGUCAGGCGGCGGGCGGCGUCCCUGCGCUCGAGGCCUGCCGAUUCGUACGAGCUAGUUUCCGUAUUCAAAGGUCACCGUUCGGUCGAGCCCCAGCUGAUUCGCACGACGCUCUUUCCGUGUUUGAGGCCAUGGUCGUUGUCUUGUUUUGACGAUCAUGUAUGCGAUCGGGAGGCGUCGAGUCGGGGGGCCUCGAUUUAUGUACGGGUGCUCUCAUUAUACGCGUUGGUUAGGGUACCCCUUACCGAUAUCCUCGACAAUAAAUUAAGAAGAUAUUACUACUACAUAUUAUUUGGCCAAGUAAAAUAUUUGUAUCAUGGUGUCUAAUUUAACCCAUACCGAUGCACAAACAAAGAAGAUAUUGCUCCAUUAUUACCUUAAUCAAGUGUCUUCGAUAUUGCUCUAGCUUUUUUCAUUGCGCAAUACUCACGUUGCUUCCUAUUUCUUUCAUCUCUUUGUUCAGUGGUUUCCUCGGCCCUUUUACGAGCGCGGUAUUCACGUUGUUUUCUAUUCCUCUCUUCUCUCUUUAUUCUCUCUUUAUCUACCGAUGCUCUAUCAGUGGCUGUGAAAUAUAGUGUGUGUUAUUAGUUUUAGAUUUUUUUGGGAAACUAACCAAUAUAGAUGGUCGCUAACAUACUAUGUCCGAUAGUGAUUGAUAUGUCAUAAAGUGUAGGGUGGGUUUGUCGCCGAUCCCCCAUUAUAGACCUGUAGCAGGCCCAUCGAUGAUGGCGUUCUUGUUAAUCCACAAUAGAAAACACAAAGCAAGUAUACUUACUGCAUUCAUCAUGAGUUCGUCGUCUAGCCUAGUGUGUCAGCGUUUCCCCCUACGUGGCGCCCCUGUCCGCGUUCGACGUCGCGCCCUGGCCGCGCGCCUGUUUGCGAGCCCCUGGCCGCACGUGGAGUCUUGGCGGUGCCCCAAUGACCCUCUGGCCGCAAGCCCCUGGUCGCGCACCACGUCUGCCCCGGCAAGCCCAGGCCGCGCCACGGUCGUGCGUGAGAGGGAGGUGGGGGCGGGCUGAGGGAUGAAUGAGGUGUGUGAUGAGUUUGAUCCAAGCGUUUAUGAACGUUGGAUGUGAUUGAGUUAGGGGAAUGAUAGAUUAGAGUUAAUAUUGUCCCUUAAUUUUGGGAGAUAGAUCUUCCGUGGUGGAAUUUUUCGUGUGUACUUGGUGUAGCUUAUAACUGUAGUAGUAGUUUAUAGGGUGCAUAACUGAUGGAUUAUAUAGUAGUGGAGAUUUGUGGUAAAUCUCAGUAACUACACCCGUGCCUUUUUACCUUAUACAAAUUAGAACUGAGGCUUGAUCCCUAUGAUUUCUUGUUAAAUUAUGUUUUUAUGAUUUUUUGUAUACAUAUAUGAUGGCAAUCCAACUUGAAUACCUCUCAUCCAAUUUGGUAUAUGUUGUUGACAACAACGAUCCCAUGUGUUCAGGAUGUUCGAAAACGAGAAAUCAAGUUCUUAGUUUCCUAGGAAGAGAAGAACUGAUCGGAGCCGCGUUUCCUAAGUCAUACCAAAGGUGACCCACUUGCUCUCAGACGGGGGAUGCUUGGGUGAGUGCUAGGAAUAACCCUCCAGCUAGAUAGGAAUCGAUUCGAAUCGCCGUCUCUCCCGGAUAGUGAGAACUUGACAUAGCAGCGACAAACGUAGCAUUCACUAAGUACAAUGGUUCUUGAUAAUGAUAAUAAUGAUAGCAAGAAAGAUCAUAUGAUGAAUUUGAUAUGGUUAUUAUUGUUUGUAAUAAUCAAGUGAAGUGCUUAGUCUAGGUGCUAAUCUAGUGGUAGGCUAAUGAUGAUUAAUAUGAUGCCUCUACAAAUGGUGUAGUAUCUACAUAAGCUUUUGGCAAAUAUUGAGUCGAGCCAGCUACACUUUAUACUCAGCCUUGCAUGAUCCUUGGUGUCUUUUAUGUUUUACUAGACGGGUAAGUCUAGCUGAGUACAUCCUCGUACUCAGGGUUUAUUCCCACCUGUUGCAGAUGAUGUCUUUUAUGAUGGAUUCUGCAAGACCUGUCUCCAUCCCGCUGGGGAUGAGGACUAAACCGUUGGGCACAGUUCUCUAAUGACUUUGUACCCUGUUGCUUUUGGAUGGACGUGAUGAGACUGGCAAUAACAAGAAAUUUGGAAUGUGUGUUGUAAACUAUUUUGCUUCCGCUAAUGUGAACUUGUGUUGUAACAACUAAGUACUCCGAUGUGGUGCCGCUUCGUUGGCAAUGAAUGACUAUGUAACAUUCGUUGUAUUAUGUUGAACUAUUACGAUAUUGGUUUGUUGCAAGUUGGUUUGAAAUCCUUCGUGAUUUCAGUUGACUACCGGGAUUAUAUGGGCUCAAGUCUGGAAACUUGAUAGCUAGUCGAUCGUUUCUACACUUGAACUCUUAUAAUUUGGUCGGUUCUGUGACAUGUGAUGGCGGUUGUAAUAUUGUGACAACGAACUUUUCUCCAAUAUACACAUGGUUAGAAUAAAUAAUAUAUAUGUAUACACAAACCUGUGAGAUGGCAGGGUUCCAGAAUGAUGGAUCUUGAAUGUUCAAGCACCCUGGGUUCUAAAAUCUUGUGGAAUCAGGUCGCAAGGUCGAAGUGGCAUCUGAUGUCAUGUCUAUUCCAUACUCAACAACACAAAGGGGUAAUCCUACUAAAGCUAGUCAUACACUAAAUUAGCACACAUCAAGAUCAUUAUUAGAAUCUUUACACCAAUUGCUUCCCCGGCAACGGCGCCAAAAAUGCUUGUUGGGAUUUCUUAACACAAUCACCAAAGAUAGACAAAAAAGCCUAAUCCCCAGCAAUAGUGCUAGAAAUGCUUAAUAAAAUUCGUUAGUACAAAAAUAAAUAUAAAAGAUUCUGCAAGCGCACAGAACAUCAUCGUAGAAUUUUACCGGGAGUAUUCCACGUAUCGUUAUUUAUAAUUUACCAUAGGGAAGCGGGGUUAAGAAUCUUGAUAAUUCACUAUCCUACAUCUACUAACUUAGAGUAGCAAAUAAACUAAAGGAGGGAUAAAUGACAUACUAUAAUAUAAAUCCUGAAAGACCACUCUUCCGUCUAAGGAUGCCUAACCACCGCAUCGAUCAUUCGGGGGGUCGAGACACUGCGAGGUGGGUAGUUUAUCUGGAGCGGAUGCCUCCUAAAGAGUAAUGGAGGUGUGCGAAGGUAGGCUCAAGCGUUGAUUCUGCUCAUGAGCAUAAUGGUAUAAGCUAAAUGUAUAAAUAGUUAUAGGAGGAGGACAAUGUGAAAGAUUAAGGUUCCUUUGUACUUCUCUAUUACUUAGGUUUAGGGUAAUAGAAUAUGAAAAGACAUAGCAAUCAUACAAUGGCACUUUGGAGCAACAGUCAUUGCUAAAAAUAGAAAUAAACCCUAUCCUCGGCAACGGUGCCAAAAAUACUUGUUGGUAUAAAUUAACUGCACUCCAUUAAAUAAGUUUUAAGUAGGAUUAUCCGCAAGCGCACAGAUAUCAUACCAAUGUCACAUUUUACCUGGAGGUUUUAAAUAUCAUAUCCAUAGGGAACAGUUGUGAUGAUGACAAAGUAUAUAGAGUUAACCCUACAAUUAGGCUAAUGCACUCUGAUUCUGGCUCAGUAAACUUUGUAUAAUAUCGUCUUAUCGGGCAAGUAACCCAAAUAGGAGAAGAAACAGAGUAAUCUCCUACCAGGCACCUAUAGCCUAUCAGUCCUAUCAACAGGAAGUAGACUACAGAGGAAUCAACGUAGCUAUAAAGUAACUUACGCAUGCUGCAACUGUCCGGGUGAUCAGGGGACAUCCACAAGUAAACCUAGCCUAGGCACCACGCCUACUCUAUAAAUACUACUUCAACCAAGUAAUGAAUAGAUCAAAGCACUCAAUAUGAGUUGUGAACCAAAGGACGAAUAAGAACAAGUUGCUUACUUAAAUCAGAAUGGUAAGUACAAAAGUACCUCAGAACGUAGCUCCGGACGAGAGAAUUGGAUCCAGACGAAUACAACUAUGAAGAAGCGCCGACAGGCCGAAACUCCUCUAGAAUCUCUACUCCUCUACUCAAUCUCUCUAAUCUCUAAACAAGACUAGAUCUAGAAGAGCUAAUCUCUCCUAAUUGCUACAUCUAGAUGAACUAGAAGUAAAUCAAUUAGAGGGACCCUAACCCUAAUUAUGUAGACAAUAUGAAGCACCGGGGUGUAGAAUGUCUCUAGGAAGGGGGUCUGCCCCUUUUUUAUAGCCCGGUGGGAUCGAUGUGCGCCGUAGGAUUAAACCUACUUAACCAAGGGCCGAGAUGCAUUAAGAGAGGCGGUGGAGGAAGCUUUCGAAAGGCUAUGGCUAGAAACCAUAGGGGGGCAUUGGCCGGCACUAGGGCGCCCGGCCCCACCUUGUUUCCUCUAUGGGUCUCAUUCCUUCGGGUGUCUUCUAGAGCCUUCCUGACCCCAUUGGCAGUGUUGUUGCGUCGCAGUUAAGUUUUGUGUUUAUUUUGCACUUGAAUCCCUCUUUUCGGCUCUGUAUGAAAUAAACCCUGAAAAACACAGAAUAUGCAAAACUUGUGGAAAUUGUCAGUUUAAACCCUAGGCUAGUGUGUUUUCAUGUUCUCCUUUGGGUCUAAAGUUCUAAUAAAAGUUGACGUUAUCGACCGUCAACAAAGUCUAGGAAGAAAGUAGUCAGGGAAGGCUACCAAAAAGCUAUACCAAACAUCAAUCCAAACAUGGUGGAUUAUAAAGGCCUGACAGGGCUAUGACCCCUGGGGCUACCACACUAUACGUGGGAUUGAGCGUAACCUUAGGAAAACUAUAGCCUAGCCACCAUGUCUACACUAGCAUUUACUACUCUAAUUACCAUGAAUAACUAGAGAACUCAAUACGAACAAAGGUCCCAUGCCAAGAUAUAACAACUACACUAAACAUAAAUAAGCAUAAAGUAAAUAGAGAAGAUAGUAUAUUAAAGCAUAAGUGUUACAAAGAAAAGAUACGAAGACAUACCAAAACUCUAUAGAAGACUCCUCCAGAACCGAAGCAUAGCUCCGCAUCCCCUAACUCCUGACUAGAACUAAUCUACUACAUUGGAAUGUCUAGCCCUAAUUCUCUAGAGAAGAGAGGUCAUCCAUUUUAGGGAUGCCACUACAACUCAUAAUGAUUCUCGUCUAGAGGGGUGAGGGCCUUUAUUUAUAGCCCCCUAGGAAGCACCAUAGCACUUGGAUCAAACUGACUCAAACGUGUGCUUAAGAUUAAUCCUCAAAGUCGGUGGAGGCAGGAUCCACGAGGUCCUCCCUCAUCGGUCCACCUGGCCGGGCGGCAGCCCUGACUGGGUGGGGCGCCCGCCCCUACCCUAUGGCAGGUGGGCCCCACCUUUCAGGUGGUAUCUUCUCGAGCCUUCUAGAGUACUUCUGAGCUGGCGUUUCACAUGAUCUCUCUAUGUAAAUCUGACAUGUGGACCUCCUUUUGUUCUUAUUCCGAUAGACAAUCACCAAAACUUGUGCAAUUCUAUUAGUGAUAAGCCCUAUAGCUAGAUAGUAUUCUCAUUUUAAUCCUUUCUCAUGCUAUGUUGACAGUUAAAAAGAGUACUUCUCUACCGUCAACAUCCCUGCAAAACAGAGUUAACUGAUUCCGACAUCUAAACUUAUAGGGCCAAAAACUCUAUUUUCCCGACCUUUUUUGCAUUUCUAAAAUCUCCGAACAUAGCACAUGGAGAAUCGAAUGUAAAUUUUUUUCUUUAUGAUUUUUGUUUAGAGAUUGUCUCAAUCCAUGUUAUAGAUCAAAAGUUAUGGUUCUUUUAGCGAACAACACUUUUCCCGGCAAUCCGUCGCCCCGUAGUAAAUCCCAUCUACUACCGCCGCACAUCAUAUGCGCCCGGCACUUGACCUAGGGUUCAAUUAGAUCAAUCUGAUUGAUCCCUAUCUGACCAUGACUAGGUUUACAUGUAUCACUUAACUCGGAUGAUGGAAUUCCGACAGGUAUGAGUAGAUCGUUACAAUACCAGCACAGCAAGACCAUAAACCAAGAUCAGAGACUCAUCUAAAACUGCACAUAUGUCUAUUUGUAUCCAAUCAAAUAUAUAACAAUGCAGUAACAAUUUUGAUACCACUGAUGGAUUAUGAGGACACUACGAUAGCUAGAAAAUAAAAAUUUUGACCUCAUAAAAUAGGAUCAACUGCUAGUUAUAGAUCACGGGAUUACCACUGGGCGCACAGGUGCAGUGGAAGUGACUCUGUGUAGUCAUGCACGUAGUAGCAAUGUCGUGCAGUUUUGUGGUCAUCCACCACGUCAAUCCCUCUCGCGUGGUUCAUCCUUGUGCUCCAGAUGCAGCACCUCUGAGGUAUCCCACACGUGCGGGGAAGAAGCGUUACGCCUUCAGACUGCUAUGUCCAUGAGGAGUAAUAGGCACAAGUGUGGGUGAGCAGUGGUGACUGCCUAAUGGCACGAGAUAACCAUGGCCAUGCCCCCUCCUCUUAUAUAGGCAUCCUCUAAUCAGCGCCGAGUUGGAGGCCUAAUUAUAAAACCGUAAGCUUUGUCUAAUUCGGGUCCAACCUGAAUUAGGCUAACAACCCCUUAAGUGUGCAACCUAUAACACCCUAGUGUUAUGGUUGCAUUCUACCUCUUGCAUGACAUGAGCAUAAUCAUCAUCAUUUCAUUUCAUGAGCAUCAUGUCAUGUGGAGCAUAUCAUUUCAUGUGCUAUGUAUGCUUUUCUGUCUAAUUUAUGCUUGCUAUGCUUAUGAUCUUGUGUACUUUGUGCUAGGCUAUGUUUACAACCUUGGUAAAUAGUUUAUCUAUGUUUAACAUGCCCUAGGGAUCAAUGUUCAUGUUGGUCACUUGCUCUAAUUAUGCUUCUAAGUCAUAGUUUGUCAUGGGGUGACCUCUUUUGCUUAGGCUUUUAAAAAGUGCUUCACAAAAUGUUUGCAUGUCAAAAUUCUCCAAACCAAAGUUGUAGCAAGUUUUGUAAGGAACUAAAAUUGUUUUAGGGCCAUCUCAUGAAAAAAUGAUCACAACAUGCUCAAAAAGGGCUCACAAGUCGAUUUGGGUGCUGUUUGGACACUUACAAAAUUUUCUAAGUCUUCUACUCGACACAGUUUGCUCAAAGGAAAUUUGGAGCUUUGCAUCUUUUCAUCUAGGCUGAUUUGGCUCUUGCUCCAAUUGACAAAGUUAUAGAUCUCAUUUAGUUCCUCAAGUUUGUCAACUGCACCAUCUCCUAAUUCGCAAUGAAUUGGGAGUUAUUCAUCGUUGAAAUAGCUAUGUCAGUCGGUAUUCGAAGCCCUGAUGGCAUUCUUUAGGCACGCGUGCUGGCCGACCACAGCAAACUCCGGCUGCCAUCUGGCGACCGUACGCCGUCAUUGACCCCACCGGUCAGGUCGUCCGUGCCUUCAUGGCUACCACGCCACCCCACACUCGCCCAGCACCUCUCCCAAUCGCUCUGCUCUCUCUCUCUCUCUCGCGCGCGCUCUCUGAUGGUAGCGACGCCAUCGCCAUUGACGCCGAGCGUCUCACGAGCUCCACGCGCCCUCAUCUUCAUGCCGUGCCUCCUCUCCGAGCGUUAGCGAGUCCGCCACGAGCUCCUUCUUCUCCAUCUCUCCGUUGCUCAAGAUCGACCCAAGGUAAGCUACAUUUCUCGAGUUCGCCGUCGUCAAAUUCACGGCCGGCCGCGACCCCUACUCCGGCAAACCUCGGCGCUGCCCUAUCCUUACCCUCUUCCUUCUUUCCAAGUCGCAUUAGGGCUUACUUAGGUCCGCGUCUUACCCUGCGUCACAUCCUAUAGCUAAUGGUGACGCCACCGAGAGGAAACACGACCACCGUGCCACCGCGCUCACUGCCGGCGACCACCCCGCACGUCGGUAGGCUCACCGGAGCCCAUAGAGUUAGGCCUUUCCACCUAGGAAGCCCCGCGCUAACUCGCUAAUGUUGUAGCUGCCUCAUUUUGAUGCUCUACCGACAAGAGACAGUCGGCAUAAGCCGGGAUAGCCCCGCUGUGCCGCCAUGACCGAUGGUGACCUUGAUGUGUUACUCCAGCUCUCGCACCACUUGCCUCUAUCGACGCGGAAGGACUCAGGGAACACCCUGGUGCCCUUGGAUCCACCGAAAAAGCUCACCAUCGGCAAGCGUUUGCCGACGAGCGUGUCCUCUGGCUUCUGUGUCACUGACACGCGGACCCCGCUGUCAGCGACCCCGUUUCCCUCCUUCCCAUUUAUUCAAAUUUCUAGAUUUUGCUCAAUCUUGCAAAAUUCAUAUCUCCUGUUUCUGAGCUCCAAAAUGUGUGAAACCAAUUUUGUGAUCUUCUCUGAGACGGAUAGUUUUUCUUAAAAUUAUAAAAUGUGCCAUGUGUUCUGUGAAAAAUAAUUAUUAUGAAUUAAUCUUGAUUAGUCAAAGUAAAUUCAUAUCUUUCUGUGUAAUGCUCGAAAUGUGAUGAAAAUUUUUUGGCAGGCUUUGUAUGUUAGUAGUAUGCUCUGGUAAUUAUUUCAUAAUUUUUGGAUGUUGUAUGACUGGUAUGUAAUUUAUACUUGCUUGAUUGCUUAAAUCCUUGUAUAAAUCACUAUAAAUAAUGCAUGCUUGUGCUGGUGUUCUACUUUGGCAUGGUUGGUGUUCAUGAUAGUAGAAUCAUAAAGAUAAUCUGAAAUCUGUUGUUUGACACUGUUUAACCUAAGAUUUCUAAUUUAUGGUUAAAAGCACCUUGUCAAAUGAUAAUUAUAUAUCUAAAGUUGGGCAUGUGCAAUUGCCCUGAAACUUUUAUGGUGAUGAGUAGGUGCCAUGCAUAUGCUUCUCUAAUUGUUGUUGAGUUUUCUGAGUACUUAUGCAUAUGUUCCUUAAUUAUGCUCUUUUAUGGAAAUAUAUUAAUAAAUGCUAUAUAAAUAAUGGUUUGGUAAGUAACAUAUGGUUUUCUGUUAAUCUUGUAUCAUAUGUCUUCUGGUGAGUCACUUGGUUGACUCUAAAUAUACUUUUCCAUGUUAGUAAAUAAUUAAUUUAAGGUUAAUUAACCUUUCUGGACAUCAAAGGAGUAAUCUGGUAAUUGCUUGAUGCUAAGCAUGUUUUCUGGGGAACUUGUCUAUACAAAAGUUGUUGUAAACUUUAUGCUCUAUCUGUGGUUAACUUUUGGUGGUAUUUGGCCAAGUGGUUUAAAAGUUAUAGCUGUUCUAAGUCAGGUUCCAGAAGAGGGUGUUCUCUGUUUGUCUCGAACAGAACCUGGAACGUUUUUUAUUUGACCUGUUUAACUUGUGAAUCAUGCUUACGUGUCUAAAGAUGAAAUGUAGAUAAUUUUAUAAGCUUUUCAUAAUGUCUUAAUUCAUGUUUGUAGGAUCUGUACAUCUCUAGUUAUGGUCUGUUCUCUGUGCUGCCUUACUGAGCAUAAAGUGAUGUUGGUUGGUGUAGCUAGUGUGUAUCUUUGUUAAGUCUUGUGGUGUUCUUAGGUAAACUUCUUGAGGAGUUUACUCUGUAAAUGAGUGUCUAGUGAGGGCCUAUGAUAGUAAUCAUGUGAUGCAUCCAUCAUUCCCUUGUAUGUACACAUCCUUUACUCAGUGCACGUACAUGCAAUUGGUGCAUCGAAAGUCGGAGCUUAGUACGAGAUCGAGAGGGUGAACCCGGAAGACCAGGAGAACACCCAGGAGCCGGUUGCCCAGCCAGUAGGACCCAAGGAGCACGAAGAAGAAGUCAAGUGUCCGAGUCACGAGCCCACAUCGUUCGUGAUAGGCAAGCCCCGAGAGCAUUAUAAGUCUCCUAUUUAUUUUACCAAGCAUGAGUAAAUAUGUUAAUAUUUAUUGCUGCAUUACGUAUAGAAGUUGUAUGAAACCCUUGGUGCAUUAUAUAUUUCCUUGUCUAGAUAUCUUACCUUACCCUGGUAUAGAGUCAGGAUCAAGUAGUAGCUUAGGCAUGCUUAAAUUGGUAGAAGUCGGGUGAUGUCCUGACACCUACGAGCUAUAGGGUAUGAUAAUAGAUCACGAUUGGCUAUAUUUGCUAUCGUGGAAAAGACCCUGGCUAAAAUGACUUAAGCCAGGCGAAGUUUUGCAAGGUGGUAGUAACUCCAUCUAUGGCAGCUAAGGACUGAUCGUUGUACAUCCUCUCGUCAUGUUGAACACAUGCGUGACACUUAGUUGGCCGGAUAACUCGUUCUGACCAUGAAGCCUAGUAGUAUGACUUAGGCUGAGGCCGGAAGACCGCCAAGUAUAAAGUGCGCACUACCGGAGGAAGUGUGGUGUGCGGGGGGCCAUUGGCGUAAGACCAAGGGUAGGUGAUUUAAAAGUCCUAAUUGUCCUGGCAGAGUGGCAGCCCUGGGAGUGCGGCGUUGAUCGGAGCCGCAAUUCCUGAGUCGUACCAAAGGUGACCCGCUUGCUCUCCAACGGGGGAUGCAUAGGUGAGUGCUAGGAAUAACCCUCCAGCUGGAUAGGAAUCGAUUCCAAUCGCCGUCUCUCUCGGAUAGUGAGAACUUGACAGAGCAGCGGCAAACGUAGCAUUCACUAAGUACUCAAUGGUUCUAAGAUGAUGAUAAUGACGGCAAUAGUGAACAAUUUGAUAAAACCUGAUAUGGUUAUUAUUUUGUGAUGUUAAUCAAGUGAGUGCUUUAGUAUAGGUGUUAAUCUAGUGGUAGGUUAAUGAUAAUUAACUUGAGGCUAAUAAGAAUGGUUUAUUAUCCAACUUAAGCUCUUUAUGCAAAAACAUGUCAAGCCAGCUCCACUAUUUAAAGUAAGCCUUGCAUGACCCUUGGUGUCCUUGUUUUGGUUAGACGAGUAAGUCUAGCUGAGUACUGUAACAGAACCGACCAAAUUAUAAGAGAUUAAGCCUAACAGUGACCAUUUGCAUAGUCAAACCAUUACGCUUAAGCCCAUAUAAUCCCGGUAGUCCGUGAAAUCUCGAAGGAUUUCAAACCACACAUCGCACAACAGCCAAGAUCGUAAUAAGUUUAGCGGUCGCCAUUCACAAAUACAUCCAGAUUACAACAUUCAUAAAAUACAUCGGAGUUCUUAAAACUAUUACAAACCAAGUUCUUCAAGUGGCGGAAGCUUCAUAGUUCGAAAAUACAACACACACGCUUAGUCUGAUACAGUGCCAUAGUUUGGUCAUUCCCACAAAAGCAAAAGAAGAGGCGGAGUGACCAUCGCCCUUGGUCUAGUCAUCACCCAUGGCUGGGUACAGACAGAGGAUGCAAUAACCAUAGUACAUUUGACCAUCUGCAAAACAACAUGGGAGUAAAAUCCUGAGUACGAGAAGGUACUCAGCUAGACUUACCCGUCAUAAACUUAAAAUAAAGACUCAUCAAAGAUCAUGAAGGCUAUAUAGUGGGGUAGCUGACAACCAUUUUGCAAAACCGUAGGAUUUUACUAUCAUAACCUACAUAAAUCUUUCUUCUUUUAAUUUGCUCAACUUGAAAGUAUCAUUACCUAUUAUCUAGGUUCGCACCUGCACUAUUGCAAGCAAGUAUAGGGAUAUGAUAGUACUUCAUCAUAGCAUACAUAAACCGUUUCAUUAAAACCCAAGUGUUCCAUAGUCCUUACUACGAGGACGAAGCUCAUGUCAAGUGCUCACUAUCCAGGAGCGAUGGCGAUUCGAAUCGAUUUCUAACCAGCUGGCGAAUUUAUUCCCCACACAAACCACACUCACUGAUCAAGUGAGCUACAGGUCACCGUAUUGCACUAUCCAGGACCAAUUCACGGGUUCGACAGGCACCACCCGUACCCGAGGACGGUUCCGGCGACCGAGGUAUCCAAGGUAUACCAAGGUUGCACGCCGCGCCCUCGUCGUUCUCCUCAGCCAUCACCAAUACAGCGCGUACAUCGGGCCAAUUCCCGGCCCGGAUAGUGCUCACGCUUCACUGUUGGAACGACUUAUCCUUCCAGCUAAAUGUGGGGCAUGCGUUCAACAUGACAAGAGGGCCGUCAACGAUCGGUCCUUAAUCGACGCAGGCAGGGGCACUAUGGUCAACCCACCAUAAGACCCUGCCCGGUCUCUAAUUACAUUCCACACUUGGUUAUUCUUUUUCCCCAAGCAACCACUGCUUAAUCAAGCAGGUAUCCACCUAUAUCUCGCAGGUGAUAGGGAAUCACCUGACUUCUACCGGACUAAGCAAGCUAAGCAUAUACUCCGUGCCUAUCUACAUAGGACAAGGUAGAUAAACGAGUAGGGAUAACAAGGAGUACAUAUGCAUCAACGGUAUCAAGCAACUCCUAUCACUUAGAUGCAAUAUAGUAGAACAAGUAUAGUGCAUCAUGUAAGUUAGCGAGAAUAGGGAGACUUAGAAUGCUUCGGGGCUUGCCUUUCUCAAACGUGCUUGGUCGGUGAUCCGGACACUCCUGUAGUUCUCUCCGGACUCUUGUGCUUCCGGAGGUUCCUGCUCUUGAAUCUCCUCUGGCUCCUCGGGUCCCACCUCGUUCUCCUGCGAGCCUGUAUGAUGCAUGUGUGCUCAUGAGUGGAGUGCGAGAUGCCCGAGUGGAUGCUCGUAUGAGAAAGUACCAAAGGAUCAUGACAUGAUGCAUAGGUGAUACACUUGGUCAUGUUCAUUACAAGGUAGUCAACAUCAUCCAAGAACAAACAAUUGAAUCAAACAUCUAUUGCAUUCUCUUCCACAAUUAUUUUUCUUUUUCAAAUGUGACCAGUAACCCACAAGUGGCUUCAAAGAUACACCAAACCCAAACUUAUUCUAUUCAACCUAUAUAUACAACAAUUCAUAAUUUUCUUUAUUCAUUUCUAGGCCCAUUAAAAUUUACAUGCAGUUCUGUUCAUCAAUAAAUUCCACAAAAAUUACAGGAGACUACUAGUCAAGCAUAGAGUCUACUGUAAAUUUUUCAUAAUUUUUGGAUACUUAUUUUGAGCUACAAAAAUCACAAGAUUAAUUAAUAAGGUAAGUAUAAUUACUCCACUGUGAUAUAAGUGUCAAACAGCCGACUUCAUAUUUUUACAGUUUUUCUAAUAUUAUAAGAAAUAACCACAAAAAUUUCCAGAUUAUUUGCAUGAUCCAAAUAAUUACUAAAAAUCAUAAACCACCGCCAUGCAAGCAUUUAAAUUACCAUAAAUUCAUUUAUACACCAAAUAAUGUGUAGCAACAUUUUCCCAGUGAGUUAGCAUACAUGCAAAGCCCAUAAAACAAGUUUCAUAUUUUUCUGAGUCAUAUUUUAUUUACUAUGCAUUUUCCAAGUUUAGCAAAAACAUUGAUUAAAUAUAUUCAUACAGAAAAGUUACUCAAACAUGACAUGCAAUUACAUCAAACUGUAGAUCUGGAAAUAUAGAGCACACCAAAAUUUAUUUCAUCAAAUUUGGAGCUGUAGAACUCAAGAUAUGAAUUUUACAAGUUUUGAAUCAAUUUCUGGAAAACAUUUAUUCAAGAAAACCGACGAAAAAGGCUAAGCACACCCAGGUCUACACCCACCGGGGUCCCCCUGUGACUGACAAAGGGCCUCUGACCCCACCGGUCAGCGAGACCGAGAGGGAGCUCACCUCCGACGAGCAGAUCUCGCCGGCGGUGAGGUCCCCGGCCACGGGGUGAGCACCAACGUGCUCCCCGCAGCGAGGCGCACCCAGCGGUACCCUCGGAUUGGCCGGAGGAUGACCGGAACACCUCCGGCGAGCAUGCAUGGCGGCACGGCGGCGCUACUCGCCGUGGCUAGGCCGCUCCGGUGCGGUAGAGCGCGCGCAAACGGCUCUCCGAGCUUCCUCACCACCCUACCGACCUAGCGCAACCAAGAACCAGCGAAAAGAGGCAGAGAAACGCAAGAUCCGUCGCGGCGGAGUACUCCGGCGAGCUCGGGGUAACUCCGGCGAGCGAUUCACGGCACUCGACGGACUCUCACCUCGGUAGAACGCUCGCACAAGCUUACCCUAACGAUGGCGAAGGCGCUGGUGGCUUCGGUGUCGAGGUUUGGCCACUGGAGUGGCCGGCGGUGAGCAGCGGAGCUGCUCCGGCGAUGGCGCUGCGGCGGAGUUCUACGGCUCAGUCGCGCUCGCGAGCGGAGGGAGGAAGGAAAAGGGCGCGGGCGACAGAAUGGAGGGAGUAGCCUGGGGGCGCGGGGCGGCGUCCCGACCAGGAGGGGUUGGAGGCCGGCCGCGGCGCGUCCAACGCCGGCGUACGGCCGCCACGUGGCCGGCGCCGGGUGGAGCGAGGCGGGCGCCGCGCGCGCAGGAGAGAGGGGGAGGGGGAGGCAGGCCGGGCCGUUUGCUGGGCCGAAAAAGGAGGCGGGGUUGGCCCAGCAGCGCCUGCCCCUUUCCUAUUUUUUUUUUGAAUUUCUUUUCUCCAAAUCUUUUCUAAAUUCAUUUGGACCAAUUUAAAAUCAUUUUCACCUGUUGCUCCCAAAAACAAAGUUGUUCCAAAACAAAAACCCUACAACUUUGUUUUAAUAAGCAAGACCAAAUUCCCAAUAGAAUUUGAAUUUACAAAUUAAAACUAGUUCUAGGUUUUUAAAUAAAUUCAUUUUGGACAUUUUGUAUAAAUUCCAUUUCUCAAAUUCCAUAGCUCCAAAAAUUGCACAAAAUAUUCUUAAUUCUUCUUACACAUAAAUCAACCUAGUUUGAAUAUUUCACAUUUUUAGAAGCAAGCAUCAUAUUUUUAACAUAAUUAAAACACAUGAAAUAAAGCACAUAAAAUCAUGUUUUGGGAUGAAUGACAUGCUCAUGAUGCUUUGCUUGAUGAGAAUGCUUAUGCAUGUUGUGAUAGGGCUAAAUGUAUGCUUAACACCUAGGGGGUUACAGACCUUCCCCCCUUAGGGAAAUCUCGUCCCGAGAUUUUGGGUUACUAACGAUUUCUUAUGAAAUUUUGGAUAAACUGUUUUCAAGUAAUCCUCUGUUUCCCAGGUGGCAUCCCUAUCGUCAUGAUGACUCCACACCACCUUAUAUGUUCUGAUAAUUCUGUUUUGGGUUACCCGUUCCUUGGUAUCCACAAUCCCCACUGGUUGCUCCUUAUACUCUAAGUCUGCUUUUAUUUUGAUCCCUCGAGUUUCAAUUCUUUGCUCAGGUACUCUCAAACAUUUCCGCAGUUGCGACACAUAGAAGACCGGAAAGAUCGAGCUCAACUCUUCAGGUAACUGAAUCUUGUAGGCCACGGGGCCUUUUCUCUUCAGUAUUUGGUACGGUCCCACAUAUCUGGGUGCAAGCUUGCUUCGAACUCAGAAACGCUGAACUUUCUUCAUUGGCGUAACCUUGAGGUACACAUAGUCACCUACCUUGAAUUCAAGUGGCCUUCUUCUCUUAUCAGCAUAACUCUUUUGUCGUGAUUACGCUGCUUGCAUAUGCUGCUGUAUGAUUUGCACCUUCUUCUCGGCCUCAUUCACGAAGUCGAUACCAUAGUAUCGUCUUUCCCCACGUUCAACCCAAUUUAACGGAGUUCUACACCUCCGACCAUACAGAGCUUCGAACGGGGCCAUCUUGAUGCUCUCUCGAUAACUGUUAUUGUAGGAGAAUUCAGCCAGAGGUAACAAUGAUUCCCAUGAUCCCUUGGACGAUAGCACACAGGCCCUCAGCAUAUCUUCUAACACUUGAUUUAGCCUCUCCGUUUGGCCUGAAGUCUGGGGAUGAUACGCCGUGCUUCUUAUCAGACUGGUCCCCAAAUUCUUAUGCAUUCGAUCCCGGAAGUGAGCGGUGAACUGUGGUCCUCUAUCUGAUAUGAUGGUCUUGGGAAUACCAUGCAACUUGACAAUCUCAGCCAUAUAUAUAUCGGCAUACUCGGGAGGUCUGUAUGUGUUUUUAACUGGAAUGAAAUGAGCCGACUUGGUUAAUCGAUCUAUGAUUACCCAAAUCGAGUCAUUCCCCUUCCUCCUGGUUGGUAAACCUGUGAUAAAGUCUAUACUGACCUCUUCCCAUUUCCACUCUGGAACUGAUAACGGUUGCAACAGACCUGCAGGUUUCAUAUGGAUGGCCUUAACUCUGCAACACGUGUCGCAACGGGCUACAUAUGCGGCUAUUUCUUUCUUCAUCUUGGUCCACCAAAAGUGGGGUCUUAGAUCUUGAUACAUUUUGCUACUGCCAGGAUGAAUAGAAAGCUUAUAGAGAUGGGCUUCAUCCAUGAUGCGAUUCUUCAAUUCACGAUCUUUCGGAACUACUAACCAAUGUUGAAACCACAGUACCCCUUUCUCAUCAACCCGAAACUAAGUUUUUGGGUCAUCUUUGAUCUUCUCUUUGAUGUGGAAAAUACCCUUGUCUGUUUUCUGUCCUUCAAUGACUUGACUCUCGAGUGAACAACUGAGUUGUAUGUGACAUAAGACCUCAGGAUGCAUAAGAUUGAACCCAUCUUCAAACAAUGGUUGAACCACUUGAUAGUGCGGUUUAUGACUCAACGCAUCUGCUACUACAUUAGCCUUGCCUGGAUGAUAGUGAACUUCCAGAUCAUAGUCCUUGAUUAACUCUAACCACCAUCGUUGCCUCAUAUUUAGCUCGGACUGAGUGAAGAUGUACUUCAAACUCUUAUGAUCGGUAUAAAUGUGACACUUAUUUCCCAGCAGAUAAUGUCUCCAAAUCUUCAAAGCAUGCACUACUGCUGCUAACUCGAGGUCGUGCAUUGGGUAGUUGACUUUGUGCUUUCUCAACUGUCGGGAAGCAUAAGCUAUCACCCUGCCAUCUUGCAUCAACACACAUCCCAGGCCACUCUUCGAUGCGUCACAAAACACAUCAAAAGGCUUUUCUAUAUUAGGUUGUGCCAGAACGGGAGCAGUGGUUAGCAACAUCCGCAAGGUGCGGAAGGCUAACUCACACCCUUCCGUCCAGACAAACUUUUGAUCCUUUUGUAGCAAACUUGUCAUUGGCUUAGCAAUCUUGGAGAAGUCAGGUAUGAAACGACGAUAAUACCCGGCCAGACCAAGAAAACUUCUAACUUCCGAGACAGAAGUUGGUGCCUUCCAGUCCAUGACUUCCUGCACUUUUGACGGAUCCACAGCGAUCCCUUCUUUAGAUAGAAUAUGCCCUAGGAAAGGAACUUUCUUCAACCAGAACUCACACUUGCUGAACUUGGCAUAUAACUGAUGCUCUCGUAAUUGUGUCAGCACGAUUCUCAGAUGCUCGGCAUGAUCUUGCUCAUUUUCUGAAUAAACCAGAAUAUCAUCGAUACAUAAAAACUGAAUUCAUCAGAUACAUAAAGUAUGCAGGAGCAUUCGUCAAUCCAAAGGACAUGACAAGAUACUCAUACAACCCAUAUCUGGUGGAAAAAGCAGUCUUCGGGAUAUCUUGCGGACGAAUCUUGAUUUGGUGGUACCCAGACCUCAAAUCUAUCUUAGAAAACACUCUUGCCUUGGACAACUGAUCAAACAGGAUAUCAAUCCUUGGCAAAGGAUACUUAUUCUUGAUUGUCACUGCAUUGAGUGGACGAUAGUUCACGCACAUGCGCAAUGACUGAUCCUUCUUUUUCACAAACAACGCUGGACAACCCCAUUCCGACGAGCUUGGCCGGAUGAACCCUUUAUCCAGUAACUCUUUUAGUUGAUUCUUCAACUCAGCGAGUUCGUUUGGUGGCAUCCAGUACGGCCUUCUAGAUAUUGGUGCUGUACCCGGUAUCAACUCAAUUGCAAACUCUACUUCCCUAUCUGGUGGAAGUCCUGGUAAAUCCUCAGGAAACACAUCAGGGAACUCACAUACCACGGGUAUGUGUUCUAGUGGAAUCACCUGUACUGCACACGAAAGACUAACGAAGUCCAACCGUCGGGGUAGCUUGACUUGAAGCACACCCUUCCCUUGUGGGUCUCUGAGGGAAAGAGUUCUAUUCCCGACAUCUAUAACCGCGCCCCAGUCAGUCAUCUUGUUCAUUCCAAUGAUGACAUCCAAAACCAGCCCUGGCAUGACCACAAGGUUUACGCGAAACCUCCGGCCACUGAUAUCCAAAGUAACUCCUGUUACUGUUUUAUUAGUCAACACAUCGGCUCCGGCUGAGCUGAUGUGAUAGCCAUAACCUAACUUAGCAACUGGCUGGUCAUGCUUUUGUGCAAAUGCUUGGCUCAUGAAUGAACGCGAUGAUCUAGAAUCAAACAAAACAACUGCGAGAUGUUGGUUGACAGAAAACAUACUAGCUGUUACCGGUUCUCCUUCCUGGAUCUCCUCGAUCGAGGUAUGGUGCACACGAGCUGGAUAGGUUGGCUGCUGCCUCUUGGGAUAGGGACAUUCCUUAGCAAAGUGCCCCAUCUUGUGGCAGUUAUAGCACGGACCCUUGGGCGCAUUGUUGACGGCAGGUGCUGCAGCUUGAAUUGCCUUUGGCUUGGCAGGAGCUAUUGCCACCUUGUACGGCUUCUGCUGCGUUGGAUGCCCGGUGUUCCUUCUCUAUGACGGUCGAAACCUAGCACCUGGGGCAGGAGGACGAUACUGCUGUCGCCCUGCCACUGGUGCCCUGGACUGGGAUGAUCCGGCUUCAAAAGCCCUCUUACGUGACUUGGAUGCACUGUAGUUGUUAUUAUUGUUCUCUUGGGUCACACAGUCACUGAUAUAGGCAUUGAAGGUAGCCCUGUCUCCUGUACCCAUGGUCUUCAGCAUCUUUGGAUUCAAACCUCUCUGGAAACUAGCAAUCUUCUUAGCCUCCGUGUUUACAAAUUCAGGGGCAUAGCGAGCGAGAUUGUUGAAAGCGUGUAGAUACUCCUUCACAGAUUUUGUCCCCUGGGACAGCCUCAUGAACUCCCCGAUCUUCAUUUCAACUAACCCCAAAGGAAUAUAAUUUCCCCGAAAAGCGGUGGUGAAGCGGUUCCAGGUAAUUGGGGUCCCCUCUGGGUAGGUGGUACGGUGAUGGGACCACCAAAUCCCAGCGGGUCCUUGCAACUGAUGUGCCGCAUACUCAGCCUUAAGUUCUUCUGUCAUUCGGAGGAGACGAAACUUCUGCUCCAUAGUGUUGAUCCACUCAUCUGCCUCGAGCAGUUCCAAAGCCUCUUUGAAGAUUGGUGGCUUGGUAUCCAUGAAGUCCUUGAACGAACUGUACUGGUUGACUUCUCGGCCGCCCUGGUUAUCCCCACGACGGGUGUUGUCAGCUAUGUUGCGCAGAGCCUCUUCCAUAUUGCGUUGCAUCUGUUCCAUGUUGCGUUGGCUCCCCAGAAACUGCGUGAAAAACACGUCCGCAGUGUACGGAGGAGGCGGUGGUGGUGGCGGUGUUGGCGCUCUGUCCUCAUUCCGUUGAGCCCCACCUCCGGAUGUACCUGCUCCAAGACCCGGAUUGCUGUUACCCCCGCCACGUGUUUGCACCAUCUACAUACGUCAAUGAUAAGCAAUUGUUAGGAGUUGCCAUCAACGGUAGGAAUGCGUAGAAUCGUGCCGUACUGAAUUUACUGAGGGAAUAAAUUCGCACAACAAACAGAGGCUCAACAAUUCAUCAUCUACGCACAACAUCACUAACAGAUUGCUUAACGUUCACGCAACAAGGUUCGUGUACAUCCAACUUGCCAGCAUACAUACACUGGACUUCCAGCAUUAACUCAUAAAGUUUUACAUAGCCCAGAUCCAAAGGUACACGACAUGCCAUGCAACAUACAACACAAAAGAAGAAGGACUAGCUCUAAAGCCCUAGCAUCUAGUCGCUAUGAUCACUGUCCAUGCCGGAGCCCUCCUCAUCCUCAUCUCCACUAGCAGCUGCUCCUAUCUCGGGAUCCGGGUCCAUCUCGUCCUCAGAGUCUAGCUCAGCUGCUCCAGGCAGGUGGUGAGGGUGGAGCUGGUUAUGCAGCUGGUGGAUCUCCUCAUGCAAGUUCUCAUUGUACUCCUCAGCAUUAGCUAGCUGCUGCUCUAGCUCUAGCUGUCGGGCCCUCAAAGUGUCCUCCUCGUGCCAGGCUUCAUUCCUCUGUCCAAGCACAUGGACUAGCAUGCGCUCGCAGUUCCUGUGAGCAGUAGUCACCCUGUCCUUCUGCUCCCGUACUGCAAGCAGGUCCUGACUCAGCUCACUGUUCUUCUGGACUGCCUGAUCUCUCUCUGUGGUCACACGGGCCAACUCUGCCUGUAGCCUCUCAACCUCAGAGUCAAACUCAUGCUGCAACUGAUGCUUCUCAUCCUGGACGGUGAGAAGAGACCCAGACAAGCGACCCAAACAACGCUCCAGGCCUCCAUAGGUCUUCAUCAACGCGUACAUGGCACUCAUAGCUGCACCGUCACUGUGCUGGUCCUCAUCCGCACUCCUCUCUAGAGCAUUCACCUCAGACUGAUCCCACACCGAAGUGUAGGGGUCAUCCCGGGGAAACACCCCAGCGAAGGCGUGGGCCAGCUCCUGUGGCAACCUCUUCAUGAGGUCCCUCAGAACUGCGAAAGCUGCCCUGCUGGCACCGUGGAAAGGCGUGACACCUCGGGACUCGUACACCCAACCACCCCAAGCAGGGUCUCCUCCACUGGUAGGGACAACUGCCUCGAUCCCCACCAGGGUCUCGUCACCAAGCGGCUCCUUAUCCCAAUAGUAGCGAGGCUCCCUUCCUUCGGGAUACCCCAUCGAACUGAGCACCCUCCAAAGCAAAGUGGGCAUCCCAAACUCCUCCAGGAACUUGCUCUUAUGUCGCGAGCUCCUGGCUGCCAACGGAUGGCGAGGGGCCCGCCCACCAGUGGACUUGCGAGCGGUGAGCCUAGUGCGUGCCAUCUGCUGCAAAUGGAAUACCGUGGGUAAGAGCGAGGAUUACAUUUAAUUAUUUUAUUUAGAAUUAGGACUGAUUAAAUUGAGGGAGAAAGUAAGCAAUGAUAUGAAAUGAACAUGAUGCAUGCACGAACUUACGAUCUCACAAACCUAGAAACAAGGUUAACACUAAGCGGUAUAUGCGGUCGCACACAACGUUCUCUUAUAACGUAACUAGCGUUCUAAGCGAGAACGUGGUUAGUGUACCUGCAGAAAACUCAUUUCAGCCCACCCAUAGUAUGACCGUGCAGAACAACAAUUUAAAACUAUGCACUUCACAUACACAGACACCCGUCCAUGCAUGUGAUGUGUCACUACCCACAUCAUCGCCCUAAUGACGGCAUUGCCUCUCAGGACGGAAUUCCCAACAUGCGGUAUUGUUUCCAAGACACACCAAACAUGUGUGCAUGACACAGUACCUAACAACACUCCCCUAGACCGGUAGUGUAUCCGAUCAUGCUCUCACAGCUCCCACUUACCGUGGCGUAGAGGAAAAAUGGAUCCAUACAUUACCACUCAAAUGAAUGGUACUCAUACUAUUGCACGCCGUAUGAGCGACGAAAUAAAAAUAUGAUGCAUUAACCCCCAAGUCAGUACUUAAGUAGCCACCUUAGAGUCCUUAAUUGGGCAUAAAGGUUAUGACCAUGGCACACUAGAUAGUUUUCCCAAAACUCGGUUUAACACCUUGAUCAUUAUUGAUUAGUUAAUAAAAUCUUUUUAUUAAACUGAUUUAGGUUUUUGUUUAGAACUUACUUAUGAACAGUAACUCGCUAAACCUUGCUCCGAUGCCAGCUGUAACAGAACCGACCAAAUUAUUAGAGAUUAAGACUAACAGUGACCAUUUGCAUAGUCAAACCAUUACGCUUAAGCCCAUAUAAUCCCGGUAGUCCGUGAAAUCUCGAAGGAUUUCAAACCACACAUCGCACAACAGCCAAGAUCGUAAUAAGUUUAGCGGUCACCAUUCACAAAUACAUUCAGAUUACAACAUUCAUAAAAUACAUCGGAGUUCUUAAAAUUAUUACAAACCAAGUUCUUCAAGUGGCGGAAGCUUCAUAGUUCGAAAAUACAACACGCACGCUUAGUCUGAUACAGUGCCAUAGUUUGGUCAUUCCCACAAAAGCAAAAGAAGAGACGGAGUGACCAUCGCCCUUGGUCUAGUCAUCACCCAUGGCUGGGUACAGACAGAGGAUGCAAUAACCAUAGUACAUUUGACCAUCUGCAAAACAACAUGGGAGUAGAAUCCUGAGUACGAGAAGGUACUCAGCUAGACUUACCCGUCAUAAACUUAAAAUAAAGACUCAUCAAGGAUCAUGAAGGCUAUAUAGUGGGGUAGCUGACAACCAUUUUGCAAAACCGUAGGAUUUUACUAUCAUAACCUACGUAAAUCUUUCUUCUUUUAAUUUGCUCAAGUUGAAAGUAUCAUUACCUAUUGUCUAGGUUCGCACCUGCACUAUUGCAAGCAAGUAUAGGGAUAUGAUAGUACUUCAUCAUAGCAUUCAUAAACCCUUUCAUUAUAACCCAAGUGUUCCAUAGUCGUUACUACGAGGACGAAGCUCAUGUCAAGUGCUCACUAUCCAGGAGCGAUGGCGAUUCGAAUCGAUUUCUAACCAGCUGGCGAAUUUAUUCCCCACACAAACCACACUCACUGAUCAAGUGAGCUACAGGUCACCGUAUUGCACUAUCCAGGACCAAUUCGCGGGUUCGACAGGCACCGCCCGUACCCGAGGACAGUUCCGACGACCGAGGUAUCCAAGGUAUACCAAGGUUGCGCGCCGCGCCCUCGUCGUUCUCCUCAGCCAUCACCAAUACAGCGCGUACAUCGGGCCGAUUCCCGGCCCGGAUAGUGCUCAGGCUUCGCGGUCGGAACGACUUAUCCUUCCAGCUAAAUGUGGGGCAUGCGUUCAACAUGACAAGAGGGCCGUCAACGAUCGGUCCUUAAUCGACGCAGGCAGGGGCACUAUGGUCAACCCACCAUAAGACCCUGCCCGGUCUCUAAUUACAUUCCACACUUGGUUAUUCUUUUUCCCCAAGCAACCACUGCUUAAUCAAGCAGGUAUCCACCUAUAUCUCGCAGGUGAUAGGGAAUCACCCGACUUCUACCGGACUAAGCAAGCUAAGCAUAUACUCCGUGCCUAUCUACAUAGGACAAGGUAGAUAAACGAGUAGGGAUAACAAGGAGUACAUAUGCAUCAACAGUAUCAAGCAACUCCUAUCACUUAGAUGCAAUAUAGUAGAACAAGUAUAGUGCAUCAUGUAAGUUAGUGAGAAUAGGGAGACUUAGAAUGCUCCGGGCUUGCCUUUCUCAAACGUGCUUGGUCGGUGAUCCGGACACUCCUGUAGUUCCUCUCUGGACUCUUGUGCUUCCGGAGGUUCCUGCUCUUGAAUCUCCUCUGGCUCCUCGGGUCCCACCUCGUUCUCCUGCGAGCCUAUAUGAUGCAUGUGUGCUCAUGAGUGGAGUGUGAGAUGCCCGAGUGGAUGCUCGUAUGAGAAAGUACCAAAGGAUCAUGACAUGAUGCAUAGGUGAUACACUUGGUCAUGUUCAUUACAAGGUAGUCAACAUCAUCCAAGAACAAACAAUUGAAUCAAACAUCUAUUGCAUUCCCUUCCACAAUUAUUUUUCUUUUUCAAAUGUGACCAGUAACCCACAAGUUGCUUCAAAGAUACACCAAACCCAAACUUAUUCUAUUCAACCUAUAUAUACAACAAUUCAUAAUUUUGUUUAUUCAUUUCUAGGCCCAUUAAAAUUUACAUGCAGUUCUGUUCAUCAUUAAAUUCCACAAAAAUUACAGGAGACUACCAGUUAAGCAUAGAGUCUACAGUAAAUUUUUCAUAAUUUUUGGAUACUUAUUUUGAGCUACAAAAAUCACAAGAUUAAUUAAUAAGGUAAUUAUAAUUACUCCACUGUGAUAUAAGUGUCAAACAGCCGACUUCAUAUUUUUACAGUUUGUCUAAUAUUAUAAGAAAUAACCACAAAAAUUUCCAGAUUAAUUGCAUGAUCCAAAUAAUUACUAAAAAUCAUAAACCACUGCCAUGCAAGCAUUUAAAUUACCAUAAAUUCAUUUAUACACCAAAUAAUGUGUAGCAACAUUUUCCCAGUGAGUUAGCAUACAUGCAAAGCCCAUAAAACAAGUUUCAUAUUUUUCUGAGUCAUAUUUUAUUUACUAUGUAUUUUCCAAGUUUAGCAAAAACAUGGAUUAAAUAUAUUCAUACAGAAAAGUUACUCAAACAUGACAUGCAAUUACAUCAAACUGUAGAUCUGGAAAUAUAGAGCACACCAAAAUUUAUUUCAUCAAAUUUGGAGCUGUAGAACUCAAGAUAUGAAUUUUACAAGUUUUGAAUCAAUUUUUGGAAAACAUUUAUUCAAGAAAACCGACAAAAAAGGCUAAGCACAACCAGAUCUACACCCACCGGGGUCCCCCUGCGACUGACAGUGGGCCUCUGACCCCACCGGUCAGCGAGACCGAGAGGGAGCUCACCUCCGACGAGCAGAUCUCGCCAGCGGUGAGGUCCCCGGCCACGGGGUGAGCACCAACGUGCUCCCCGCAGCGAGGCGCACCCAGCGGUACCCUCGGAUUGGCCGGAGGAUGACCGGAACACCUCCGGCGAGCAUGCAUGGCGGCACGGCGGUGCUGCUCGCCGUGGCCAGGCCGCUCCGGUGCAGUAGAGCGCGCGCAAACGGCUCUCCGAGCUUCCUCACCACCCUACCGACCUAGCGCAACCAAGAACCAGCGAAAAGAGGCAGAGAAACGCAAGAUCCGUCGCGGUGGAGUACUCCGGCGAGCUCGGGGUAACUCCGGUGAGCGAUUCACGGUGCUCGACGGACUCUCACCUCGAUAGAACGCUCGCACAAGCUUACCCUAACGAUGGCGAAGGCGCUGGUGGCUUCGGUGUCGAGGUUUGGCCACUGGAGUGGCCGGCGGUGAGCAGCGGAGCCGCUCCGGCGAUGGCGCUGCGGCGGAGUUCUACGACUCGGUCGUGCUCGUGAGCGGAGGGAGGAAGGAGAAGGGCGCGGGCGACAGAAUGGAGGGAGUAGCCUGGGGGCGCGGGGCGGCGUCCCGACCAGGGGGGGUUGGAGGCCGGCCGCGGCGCGUCCAACGCCGGCGUACGGCCGCCACGUGGCCGGCGCCGGGUGGAGCGAGGCGGGCGCCGCGCGCGCGGGAGAGAGGGGGAGGCAGGCCGGGCCGCUUGCUGGGCUGAAAAGGAGGCAGGGUUGGCCCAGCAGCGCCUGCCCCUUUCCUAUUUUUUUUUUGAAUUUCUUUUCUCCAAAUCUUCUCUAAAUUCAUCUGGACCAAUUUAAAAUCAUUUUCACCUCUUGCUCCCAAAAACAAAGUUGUUCCAAAACAAAAACCCUACAACUUUGUUUUAAUAAGCAAGACCAAAUUCCCAAUAGAAUUUGAAUUUACAAAUUAAAACUAGUUCUAGGUUUUUAAAUAAAUUCAUUUUGGACAUUUUGUAUAAAUUCCAUUUCACAAAUUCCAUAGCUCCAAAAAUUGCACAAAAUAUUCUUAAUUCUUCUUACACAUUAAUCAACCUAGUUUGAAUAUUUCACAUUUUUAGAAGCAAGCAUCAUAUUUUUAACAUAAUUAAAACACAUGAAAUAAAGCACAUAAAAUCAUGUUUUGGGAUGAAUGACAUGCUCAUGAUGCUAUGCUUGAUGAGAAUGCUUAUGCAUGUUGUGAUAGGGCUAAAUGCAUGCUUAACACCUAGGGGGUUACAAGUACAACCUUGUACUCAGUUUUUAUUCCCACUUAUUGCAGAUGACAUCUUCUAUGACAGUUUCUACAAGACCUGUCUUCACCCUGCUAGGGAUGAUGACUAACUGUUGGGUGUGGUUCUCUAAGACUUCGUACCUAACUUGCUUUUGGUGGAUGUGACGAGACACUGGCUGUAAUAAUAAAUUUGUGAUGUUGGUUUGAAAACUAUGUUGCUUCCGCUACUAGGAACUUGUUUUGUAAUAACUUAAGUGAACUCUGAUGUGUGUCGCUUCGUCGACCUUGUAUGAAAUGCUAUAACAAUCGAUGUAUUAUGCUGAACUCAUUACAAUCUUGGUUUGUUGCCAAGUUGGUUGGAAAUCCUUCGAGAUUUCGGUUGACUAUCGGGAUUAUAUGGGCUCAAGUUUGGAAACUUGAUUGCUCUGGUGAUCAUUUCUACACUUGAACUCUUAUAAUUUGGUCAGUUCUAUGACACCCUAUGGGUUCAUGUGCAUGUAGACAUGGGCCAAGUACUCCUACUCGCCCAACAGUUGACAGCGGCCUCUAGCAAGGUGUGACAACUCCUAUACACAUGCAAGGAUCAUAUCAAACAAACCACUACAUACACAUACAUUUUAUUCCCUUGCCACAUGAUAUUUGGUCCAACUCGUGGGCUAACACUUAACCGAAGCAUGGCCAUGCAUUUAUUGAUCCAAUCAGUUGAGUCAUCUAGUGAUAUCUCUCUCACAUAGAGAGGGGCAAUUUUCAUCUUGAUCAUCUAUGUCUCACGGCAUGUUCCCCGACAUACCCGAAGACCACCUUUAUAACUACCCUAUUACAGAGCAGCAUUUAAUAGUCCCUAAGUAGGUAGUUUCACAUUUGAUAACAUACGACAAUCUCAGGUCUAAGGACAUAACGUACAUGAUGUAUAAAGAGAUAAUAAGAACAUCUCAUAUUGGGUCAGUCUAGCCCCAUGUCUAUGACUUGUGAAACAUAGUCAUCAACUAAUACAUGUGCUAAUCUAAUAUUCAUGUGUGUCCUCACACGAACUCUGAUUAGGGACAACUUUAGAAUAAUCAUAUAAGUAAAAGAGUUUCACAAAUAAUUCACAUAAUUAUCAAUCAAUACAAGUUUUUCUAUAACAGAUAUUCAUCAAACUCAUAAUAGAUGUCAUGGAUUCAAUCGUAAUAUCAUCAUCUCUAUGAUUACCUUUAGGGCUUAUUCCCAACAAUGUGUUAAUCCCAAAUUUUGGUGAGACAAGGAACUGCCUGUGGGCCCGCUUCAUGGGAAGGAGGAACGGACAGAUAGUGGAUUGACUAAAUAGAAGCGUGGAGGAAAGUAGUCGAUCAAGGGAUGUCAAAUCAAGGCAAGAUAGAAGAAGACGUAUCAGGUUUUAUUACAAAGAAGGAAUUGGAGUCCCAAUUACCUUUUUCAGUAGUCGUGUAAUAUUAGGACACAUGACUAGGUUCUAGAACUCGAUCCGUGUAAUGAUAUAAUCAACCAAAAAAUACAAACACUUUUCAGCUCCGGCCACCAACCUUAGGAGUAGGAGUAAGAGUAGAUCUCGACAAGAUCUUCGAUAAAUCGAGUUGCAUCGGUUGAUUUUGACCAUCGGUUUGCUUGUGAGUAUUGUCAUGGUUUAUGUUUAGUUUAUUACGACUGCAUCUUCCGAACUCGUGUUAAGCUCAAUUGAACUAGUUAUCGACUUAGAUCUUAUUUGUAAGGCUGCAUUAUUUUAAUCUCUUACAAAGAUCGAUUUAAGUUAUUUUUUGGCUCUAUUGAAUUGACAAUUUAAUAGGUUCAGUAAGUUAUCAAUAUUGUUUAAAGUUUAACGUUUUGUUCAUUAUAACAAUAUUCUGCCCAAUCAAGAUUCAGCAGAUUAGUUCAUGCUUUAAAUAUAAACACUUGUUGCAAAUUUUAAAUAAAUAACGAUUAUCAAGUAAAUUUAAGAUAACUAAUAUGUUGAUCUUGAUUGUUGCAUGUUAUGUGUUCGAGAUAUUUAUUUAAUCAUGAUUAAUUUGGUAACAAAACUGAAUUUACUUAUGGCGAAGUAAAUAGAUCUCGUUCGUGCUUUAUGGAUCCUAUAUCGACUAAAUAGCCGAUCUAGUUAAGCUUGAACGAAUAGCGCAUAUGUGUAAACCCGACUAUAGAAUUAAAUAAAUUAGUUAAUUGUGUUAAAAUUAUUGUAGCCUACUGGACUUUAGAGCAGGUGAAUAUAAAUUUAAUAUGUUUAUGAAAGUAACUUAUUAAGACCUUAGUCCUUCAGACCAGUGUUGACGGUCAAUAACGUCAACUUUUAUUAUAACUUUAAACCUGAAGGAGAACAUGAAUACACACUAGUAUAGGGUUUAAACUAACAAUUUGCAUGAGUUUUGCAUAUUCUAUGUUUUCCAGGGUUGAUUUCACAGAGAGCUGAAAAAGAGGGAUUCUAGUGCAUAUUUACCACGAGACUCAUCCGUGGCAGAAAAUAUCGUCAUCAGGCUCAAGAAGGGUCUAGAAAACACCCGAAGAAACGAGAGCCGUGGAAGAGGAAAGGUGGAGCCGGCAGGCCUCACCCUAGGACUAGUCGGCGCCCUGUUUUGCUUGUUGCCCGCCGCCUUCUGGAGUCUUCCUCCUAUGCAUCCUUGGAAACCAAGCAAAGUAUCCCUCCUUCGUUAUUAUGAAUAUGACUUUGUACUACUUCAAUAUAUUGCUUAUGACUUUGCUCUACUUAUUUAUAUUCAAGAUUAUAUUGUUCUUAGUUUAUCAUAGUUAUAUACUUGGUUUAGUUAGAUUGGAUCUAUAUACAUGUUUAGGACCGUAUAGCGUUUAUCCAUUGGAUCCAUGGGUAAAUGAUAGAUAUUGUGUAGGCGUGGUGCCUAUACCGUAUUUAUGUGCGAUUGUACCCAAUAUGCCAGAUCGUGGGGUAGUUCGUGAUAGUGACAGCUUCAUUGAUUCUUAUAUAGUCCCCCUCUCGUGUAUUGUGCUGGCAGAGCAACAUUAUUACACGGGAGUGAUUGCUAUGUUUCUCAUAUUCCUUGCUAAUAUCACUAUGCAUGGGCGUAGUCUUGUCUCACAAUGAUUGCUAAGUAUGCUUGCACUAACUAUGAUAAUGCUAGACUAUAUAGUUGAGAAUAACAUAGGAAAUAUUCUUGUAGUUCGUUCUAAUACCAUGCUAAUGACUUGCUAGAAUAUCUAAUUGAGGUGCUUAUCGUAUUUAUUAUGUGGCUAUGUCAUGCUGAUCAGAUUAAUUAUCUUUGUCACUAUUUAUUACUUUAUAUAUUCUUUAUGUGACACUUAUCCCUGUAUGAAAGAGUUAGAUAAAUAUUCUUAAUUAUACAUGCAAUGAUAGAUACUCAAUCUUAUAUUCCAUUCUAUAAUCAACAUUGAUGAUUACUAAUCCCUUCCCAGUGGUAAAAAUAUAAAUAACGAUACCUGGAAUACAUCCCGGUUAAAAUGCUACAUCGGUAUUAAUCUGUGCGCUUGCAGAGCCCAUUCAUUAUUUAUUUAGAUGAGCAAUUGCAUAUUUCAAUACCGCGUCUCUCAUGUCAUGCUGGGGAUGACAAGUUGGCUUAAGUGGUAUGAGGGAUAGGUUUGGCAUUUUUGGCACCGUUAUCAAAAUUAGAAAACUAAGUCUACUUUUGGUAGUAAUGUUAAGAAUACCCAACAAGCAUUUUUGGCGCCGUUGCCGGGGAAGGUUGAUUACUAAUCAAGAAUGAAUAUAGAAUUUUGAGUUGUCAUUCGCAUCACUAAUAUGAUUGAGCUUAUCAAUUCUCUCAUACAGUUUUAUCCCGAUAUUUUCCCAUUUUAUCUUAUGCAGGGUAAUGUAUGAAUAAAAGACAUCUUCCAGGAAAUUUUGUUGACAAUCCCAAAGCAUUAUUCAGAAAAACAAGAGCCAAGCUCAAGAAGAGAUCAUCAACACUUCAGCAAGAAGCUUCAUCCAAUCAAGAAGAUCACCGGAACUUGUCUUCAGAGUUCGAAGCCAUGGUGAACAAAUCGAUCCGUGAGUUCUCAGCUCCCACUAUGGACAACAUCCGCACUGGACCUGCUGCAGAGAUCGACGGCAACUUUGAGCUCAAGCCUGGACUUAUCUACAUGGUGCAAUCCAACCAGUUCUGUGGGAAGGCACACGAAGAUGCUAGUGCUCAUCUCCAACACUUCCUAGAGAUUUGCAACACAUUCACCAUAUCAGGAGUCCCCAGAGAUGCUAUACUACUUCGCCUCUUCCCAUUCUCACUGUUAGGAAGAGUGAAGCAGUGGUUCUACGCUACAAAGGAGAGGAAUACUACGUGGGCACUCUGCUCCACGAACUUUCUGGCUAAGUUCUUUCCUAUGGGCAAGACCAAUGCUCUCCGUGGCAAGAUUACAAGUUUUCAGCAACAACAUGAUGAAUCUGUUCCGAAAGCAUGGGAGCGCUUCCAAGACUACAUCCUAGAAUGUCCCCAUCAUGGAAUGGAGAGUUGGCUACUGAUGCAGACGUUUUAUCAUGUACUCGGCAGCAGUGCCCAAGAAACCAUGGAUGCUGCAGCUGGAGGAGCAUUCCUAUCACUUACCAAAUCAGAAGCCACAGCUCUUGUGGAGAAGAUGGUGUCCAACCAAAGCUGGAAUGAAGAGAGGACCCAGACACGCAAGAGAGGUGGAGGUAUGCAUCAGCUCAAGGAGGUAGACAUGCUGUCUGCAAAGCUAGACCUGCUCAUGAAGAAGCUCGAUGAUAGAGCUGGAGAUAAGAAAGAAGUUAUGCACAUCUACGACUCUCACAUGACUUGUGAAGAGUGUGGAGAUACUGGACAUUCAGGCAAUCACUGCCCUGAGAUGCUUGAGGAUGUGAACUACAUCAACAACUACAACAACUACUACAACCGUCCUCAACAAAAUCAAGGUUAGGAAUCAACAGAGGCCUAACUACUCAGGUAAUUAUCAAGGUAACAAUUCUUACAAUAAUAAUAAUAAUUAUUUUCCAACUCUGAGAGAGUUAGUGUCUAAUCAAGGAAAGCUAAUGGAUAACCUAUCUAAGAAAUUGGCAUCUAAUGAUGAAAUGCUAGAAAAUAUAAAUAAUAGAAUGGAUAAUUUCUGUGGUGCCAUCAAGAAUCAAAUUAGCAUUAAUAAAAUGAUUAAAUCUCAGUUAAAUCAAAUAGCUGCUGCUGUUUCUGCUACUAACCCCGGUAUACCCUCACAACCGGAAGGAUUAGAAUCUACAAAUAUUGUAGACAUGUUUGAUGCAGGUAAUUGAAGUAACCCCGUCACUGAAGUUGCUACUUGUUGACACUAGCUAACACCACUUAGAUACUAGGUUGUCAUCCCUAGCAUGGCGCGAGAGUGUACAAAGGUAUUUAUAAAUGUAAAGGCUCUCUAGAAAAUAAUCUAUUCUAUCCACAAGCGCACAGAUAAAACACCUCAUUGUAGCAUUUCACCAGGAUAAGUAUUCCACGUAUUGUUAUUUAUAAUUUUGCUCAAGAGAACUAAGAAAGAUGGAAUUAAAUCAAGGGACAAAAUCUAUCAAGGCAUAGACUAGAGAUAAACUUGCAAGAACAUGAUUACUAAUGAGAAACUCAUCACCCAGUCACUUACUUUAGCAGGGGGUAAACCAUAAAGAUAAUGAUAAUGAAUUAUAAGUUCAUGGGUAGAUAACACAACGAUUAGAAAAUAGACUACUCCUCAUAUAUGUAGGUGAUGUCGGAUUAGCUAGAGAAUGGAUUCUAAGUUAUCUACUAACUACUAAGUCAUAAUCUACUCUAGUUAUCUACAAGAUCAUGUAUAGCAUAAAAGAAUCUUCAUUCAUGUAUAAGGAACAUUGAUAAAGUAAAUCAGAACAUCACAUGACUUACUCCACAAUACCGGUUCUGCCUGUCCUAUCAACGGAGGGUGGACUAUAUAAGAAUCAACGAAGCUGUCACUAUCGCGAACUACCACACGACCCGGCCAAUAGGAUACAUUUGCAGAUAAAUAACAUCUAAGCACCACGCUCACAUGUGAUCUAUCACCUAACUCCCUCACGUCAAGAGCUAAGCGCUUUGCAAACUUAUACAUAAACUCAUUAUCAAUUAGAACUAUAUCAAAUAUAGAACUAGAGCAAACUAAGAACAUAAUAAUUAGAGACAUAAUGCAAUUAGAACAAUAGAAUUAGAGAAAGAUAUAAAUAAUACCAAUCUUUAUUACCAAAGAUCCGAAUCCAGAGCGUCGUGCUCUACUUCUCUAAUUGCUAUCUAAUCAACCUCUAAACUUGAAGGAUUAGGGAGUAGCUAAUUCUAAUUCUCUAUGGGAGAGAAGCUCUAAACCCUAACUUUUGCGCUACCUCUGAAUAAUAAUUUCUCCUCUUCUCCUCCAGGGGCCAGGGGGUCUGGUUUUAUAGUCCCCUCAAGUGAGCGUGAGCCAUUGGAUCAAACCGACAUAGAUUGUAUGGUUUAGAUUGAUCCUUUAGGUCGGUGGAGUCUUGCCCCGAAGCAGAGUCCUGUUUGGAGUCCUGGCCUGGGCGGGCGCCCAAGGGGGGUGGGCGGGCGCCCAGCCCCCGAGCCCGAAUCGCGUCCCGUUCGUUCCCGUGGCUUCUAGACCCUUCUAGACUGAGGAAAAUUGCGCGGCACAUAAUUAUCUCAUUGUAAACAUGACAUGUGGGCCUUCUCUCCAUAUUUUCUUAUAAACCCCUGCAGAAAUAGAUAAACACCAAAGCUCGUGGAAUUCUGUGAGAUAAAACCCUAAUUCUAGAUGUUCAUUUCAUAUUGAUCCUUUUUCAUGUUUAUUUGAUUAUAAAUUUUAGUACUUAAGGACCGUCAACAAACUCCCCCAAGCUUACCCUUUGCUCGUCCCUGAGCAAACAGCUAAACUUAGACGGAUCAGGAGUUGCUUCGAUGUUUUCUUUCCUGACAGGCACACAUGCUUUUAAAAAAUUCUUCCAGAUUAAAGUGAAGUGUUAUGAAGUUUAGUACCUGCACUUAAAUCUUAAGUAAUCGCAAGACAAAAUAGUUAAGUCAAGCACUAUCCCUCCUGUCUAUACUUCCCCUUUGUUCCAGAGUUUUUCAUAAGUUUUCAAAAUAAAACUCAGAGUUCCCAGCAAUGAUUCUCUCAAGUCUCUCUAUAUGUGGUAUUUGUGGAUCCUUACCAUGAUAUCACUUACCUAUAGCUAAUGGAGUAUUUAAGUGGAGCUCAUAGGAGUGAAAACAGCUCAUACAUAUAUUGUCUAAUCGAGCCAUGGAUCCAAAGGAACUCAGCAUAUACUUAAAUCAAGAUGUGCAUGUGUGAUGGAGUAAAUGAUAGUGAUGGUGAAAAUGCAUAAGUGAUAAUAAAAUUUACUUCUCAUUGCUCCUCAUAUUGCUAUCUCUCCUCCUUUUUGAUCUUUGCUUUGGGAGAACAUAGGCUAUCUUUUUUUUUCUUUUCUUUUCUUUUUUUUUCAGGUGGGUAGUAGAUACCCCUAAUUCUACUGUGGGACACUUGUCCAUUUUUUCCGCUCAAGUGGGCAUCUUUGUACCCCUAAUUCUACUUCGGACACUUGUCUAUUUUUACCUCUCGUCUCACUCUUUUUUUCUUUCUUUAUCGAGGUUCCGGGCACUUGCCCCUUUUUAUUUCCUCGCAUAUUUUUGCAUAACCCAUGCCUCUUCUGCAUUGUAUCUUUUUAGAGAGAGAGAAUAACAAUAUUCGGGACAGUGAGUGAAAAUAUUUUUUUUAGCAAUUUUAAUGAUUGAUAAUGAAUGUUGUGGUAGAUGUGUGCAAGUGAAUAUCUUAAUUUAACCACAUGAAAAGCUCCUAAGGGUCUACACAGCUCGAUCAAACUCAAUGUAAAUAUAGUAAAAGAUGUUAUAGCAAGUAUGGCUGUGGUAGGUAGUUUUGCUAUGCUAGGAACUCAUCAUGUGAUUUGUAAGUUUUCAAAAUAAAUCUCUAGAACUUAGUGUAGUAGGAACAAGAUAAAUAGUGGCUCAACUUUAUAUCAUGCCUUUCUCUUACCUAGACUUUAGUUUUAUGCUUCCCAAAGAUAGUAAUUUUAGUUUUAGUAAUUCCUGGACGAAUUCUAAUAUAAAAGCUAGGUACUUGUAAGUAAGCAAACAGAGCAACUGUUCAUCAUUUCCAUCAUGCAUAUUUUUGGUCUUUUUAUUUUUUUUCUUCUAGAGAUUAAACUUAGCAGAUAAAUAAAGCACACUUAUCUACACACUCUUUUUAUUUUGUUUUCAUGUUUAUAGAAUGCAGUAACAUUAAAGCAAGAAAAUAUUUAUUUGGUUUUCUAAGUUUUUUUUAAGAUAAAUUAAAUACUAAGACAGAAUAGAAUAAAUAAGAAGAGCAAAUAAAAACUUACUUGAUAAAUUAGGGAGGAACUCCCCCAAGCUGGAUGUUGCCGUCGGUCUUAACCGAUGUUCCAGAACCGCAUCAUGGUUGUGAUGUUGUCGUUCAUUGUUGUUGUAUCUUGUCUCAGCUCUUCUACUGCAGCGGCAUGGUCCUGGUUCCAUUUUUGUUGCUCUUCCAGGAGUCUUCCAUGUUCUGCUUGCGUGUUCUAGAUGUCGAGGAGGGUGUUGUCGGUACGAGUGAAGAAAGCACCGGCCUCUUGGUAGUAGUCAUUCGUGAAAGCGUCAUCCUGCAUCAAAUUGGGGCGGAGGUCUGGAUCCUAAAGCUCCAUAUGGAUCAGUGGAAUACCUGCCCGUAUGAAAAGGCGGGUUUGUCCACUGGUGAUCUUGGCUCUCCGGCCAAGUCUCCUCUGUUGGCUCUUGUGGUUGCGCAUGACGAGCCCAUGGGUCUCGAAGGACUCGUGGAUUGUAAUCGCAAUAAUGCAGGUGCGCUACUUCUUCUGGUCCAGGGUCAGCUCCAUACCAAGUGCGUUCUCGGUGAGUGGUUAUCCUUUCAGAUGCCACUCGCUGUGGAGUUCUCUGGUUCACUGGUGUUGCUGCAAUCUCAAUCAAAAAGUUUUGCACAGUGUAGAGGCCAAGGUUCGGGUUAGGUAACUGAAUCUUGCCUUUAUCAUCAUACAGCAUAUACAUUAUAUUCCCCUCUUUCUUUAACAUCCGAGCUUGUCUAAAUGUGUCAUAGCCAUGGUAAAUUCUUAAUUCUUCUAUGAAGUCUAACGAUGAGUUUUCUAGUAAGUGAAGAUUAGUGGCUAGACGAGUGAUAAGUGAAGUACAUCCUACUGGUCCCUGCAGACUAGGUAUACUAAGCCAAUGUGAAACUAAUAGUGUAACAGGUGAAGUAGGUACUUUACUAAUAGCAGCAUAUAAAAGUUGUAAAUCUCCUACUCUUACUUUCCUAAUAUCAUCGCGAUAGAAAAGAUUGUACCCAAGCCAUUUGUGGAACAUCCUAAGAGUGGGGUGUUCCAUGUCACUGGUUCGGGCUUGACUGUAAAAAUUAUCUCUAGAUAUUUCUCUCCAAAACUGGUGUCUCUCAAAAUUGGGUAAAUCGGAGUCAAUGUUCAGGAUGCAUCUUGAAGAGAAACCAAGAUAGUCACUUAGCUCUCUCCAAGACAACAUAAUUUCCUGUUUAAACAUCCGAAAAACAAUUCCCCCCUCAUAGUAUUGUAAGGUGCAAAGAAAUUCGAGGGUGAGAAGACGAGAACCCAGCUCAGUUAUAUUCCAAAAAUUUGUCCAACCCAUCAUCUGAAAAAUAAAGUCAAAUUUAGUGUCCAUACCUGUUUCUUGUAGUAGGGUUGGAUCGAGAGUAGAGGUGUGAAUGAAAUCUUUAUUCUUCAAUUGCUGAUAGACUUCCUUCUCUCUUCGGGUCUUCAGUCCAAGGUCUCCUAUCUUGAGAAGGACCUUGACUUGCUGACCUGAUGAAGAUGAUGGAGCUUGUGUGGGUGUCGGGUAGAUGCUCAUCUCUGAUGGCUGUGAGGAGUGUCGGGAUGAACUCCUUGUACCAAUGUUCUUGAGAGCCUUCCCUGCAUUCUUCACAUUCUUAAACAUCCUGCAAACAAAAGUUGGCAAAAACACAACUGGUGGAAAAUGUGAAAUAAAAUGUUAGUGGUUAGCUGUCCGGAGUGUCAGUAGUCCAGGGGUUAAUCGUUCAAGAAGUUUCUAUUUUGGUAGAGCCUCACCCUAAACAACUUUUACUUCCGCUUGGACAGCGGGAUCACUACUUGCUAGGUGAUAAACACUCUCUCAAAAGAACUUCAACCUUCUCUUCCACUCUCCUCUUUCUUUCUACUCUCUUCUCUCUACUCUCCUCUCUUCACUACAAGAACUCCUUCUCGGGAAAUUGAGACUUGUGUGGUUUUCUGGAGUGUUUGUGUGGAGAGAAGGGGAGCUGGAGGUGGCCUUUUAUAGGCUGAGCAGGGGACAGGGCGGGCGCCCAAGGUAGGUGGGCGGGCGCCCACUCCUGGUGUCCAUCCUGGGUGUGCCUCCUCCACUUGCUUCCUUGCUUUGAUCUCACGCAGAAUAAUGUUGUGUUGGUAGUGGUUGGACGGUGGAAAGAUGUCAGGUGAGUGGAAACAUAUUUGUGGAUGAAAUUAUAUGAUGGGAUGUAUGUGAGGUGAAGUGUAUGACAUGUGGGACCCAAGGAGUGUGGGUCAUGCUUCUAGAAGAUUAAUAUAAAUAAAUAUAAUGCAGGAAAAUCUAUGAGAGUUGAAACUUAAUGCAAAUGAUAUUGGAAAAUAUUUUUGUGCCUCCACAAUAAUUAAUAAAUAUGGCUUGUUACACACCACAAAUAUUAUUUAUAUGGGGCUUUUUGAUUAUUAUAAUAAUGCUAUGAAUAAAUGUGACUAAUGCAAGAUUUAAUUAUGCAAGAAUUUAAAUAUGAGAAAAUAAUAUGCGGGAUAAAUACCGAUUUACCUCCCGGUGAGGGUUGGGGAUUUUUAGGUCCCCCCAAGCUGGACCUCCAAAUCUCUAAUCUUCUGAGUUACCUUCCUCUGGAGAUGGUGUCUCCAGUGGUUCUUCAUGAACUUCCUUCACUGUAGAGUCUCUCUCUGGUCUGGGUUUGAAUGUGAAGUGUUCUUCUUGACCGUUUAUGUUGAACUUGAUUUCUCCCUUCCCGACAUCAAUGUGGGCAUUGGCAGUGCUCAGAAAUGGCCUUCCAAGGAUGAUGGACACUUUCGAGUCAGGACUCAUGUCCAGUACUACGAAAUCUACUAGCACCAGGAAAUCUCUGAUCUUGACUGGAAUGUUCUCGGCGAUGCCCAACGGGUGUCGAACCGAUUGAUCCGCUAGUUGCAAGCACAUUGAUGUUGGUUCUAAAGUUGCAUGCUCAAGCUUUUUGUAGACUGACGCUGGCAUCACACUGACACUUGCUCUGAGAUCACAAAGUGCAUUGUUGAAGUGUUGGUUUCCGAUCGAGCAAUCAAUAGUGGGACAUCCUGGAUCUUCCUUCUUCUUUGGUGGUUUAUUGAGGAUGGCCGCACUACAUUCUUCUAUCAGCUUGAUAACCUCAGUGGUGGGCAGUGGUCUCUUCUUGUUAAGAAUAUCUCUGAUGUACUUUGCAUAUGUAGGUACCUGUAUGGCAUCCAGCAGAGGUAUGUUGACAUAUAAUUUCUGAAUGACCUCUACAAACUUACCAAACUGCUCAUCCGACUGCAGUCCUCUGUUUCUUCUGGGAAAUGGCAAAUAGUUGGUGUCGUAAAAAUCUUUCCUCAUUUCUCCAGUUCUUGGUGGUUGUAGCAGAUCUUCUGCUUCAACUGGGCUUUCUUCUUCUAUCACUGCUGGUUGUACUGGUGCUGAUGUUCUUUGUUUCUCUUUUGGAUAUGGUGGAUCUCUCGUAGCUUUACCUCCUCUAGUAGUUAUAUUGUUUACCUGCUCAAGGUUAGUAGCAACAGGCAGUGCAGCAGCUAUCUUUAUUAAUUUAAGCUCUACCCUUUUAUUAAGAGUGUUUUGCUCAUCAAAGGCAGUUAGUAGAAAAUCCAUUUUAUUAUGUAUAUCUUUUAGAGAUGAUUCAUUUGUAUCUAGCCUUUGUUUAACUUCAUCAUUAAUUUUGGUUUGUUGAGCAAUUAUCUCUUUUAAUAAAAGUUGCUUGACAGUAUUACCUGAAUUCAUACCUUUGCUAUUGGGUUGACUCGAAGUUGGUUGAUAUUUGUAUGCUGUCUCAAUGGCCCUUUGAUCUUCUUUGAACUUGGCCCUCUGGUCAAUCCAAUGGAGCAAAUUUUCCAUCUUAGUUGGUAAUGCUUUUACUUCCUCUGAUAUUUCUUCAGUUUGAUGACAUUGUUGAGCUUUAUCUUGGAACCAGCUUUGAUUUUCUGCUAUCUUAUCCAAAAGUAUCUCUGCUUUUCCAGUUGUAAGCUCCAAGAAUGAUCCUUUAGUAGAUGCAUCUAGGCACUCACGAGCCUUCUGGGUUAAUCCAUGGUAGAAGGUCUGCAUAAGUAACCAUGUGGCCAUUCCAUGGUGAGGACAGUCUGAUAUGUAUCCUUGAAAACGCUCCCAUGCUUCUGAAAUGGCUUCUGUCUUCUGCUGUUGGAAACUGACAAUAUUUCCUCUUAAAGCAGUUGUUUUGCCUAUAGGGAAAAACUUUGAUAGAAAGGCAUCUGACAAGUUCGUCCAGUUGUUGAUGUUAUCUUGAUGAGUGUAGAACCACUUCCUCGCUUUUCCUUCUAGUGAGAAUGGAAAAAGAAGAAGGAGUAUGACGACUUUGCCAACUCCGUUGAUGUGGAUUGUGCUUCCAAUCUCUAAGAAAUUCUGCAAGUGUGUACUGGCAUCUUCAUGUGCCUUUCCACUGAAUUGUGUAGCUUGCACCAAAUUGAUGAGGCUUGACUUGAGCUCAAACUCGGGUAUUCCUUCUUCUACUGCAAAACUUGGACCAGUUGGAAUGUUGUCAAGACUUGGAGCAGAGAAUUCUUGCAAGGUCUUUUGUGCCAUAGCUUCAGCAAUUGGUAGCUAGCUUCUUCUUCUCUUGAUUGCUUUGGUUCUGAUGAUGGAGAGUUGAAUGUACCCAAAGUCAAUCCUGUUAUACCCUGUAUAAAAAUAUAAACAUAGAAAAACAACAGGGUGAACCUGCCAAAGCAGCGGUGCCUUGUUAUGAUUUCUCACUUAGUAGCUGUUUUUAUGCAAUUAUUUCUCUAUAGUCUAGUCUAAUAUUUUAUAUGAAUAACCUUGACUGAUUUUCUGGCUUUCCUAAAUAUUAACCUUUUGUUCCCUUUUAUGACUUAUUCCUCAGACUCGUAUAGAUUCCUAUAAGUCCCCGGCAACGGUGCCAGAAAUGCUUGUUGACACUAGCUAACACCACUUAGAUACUAGGUUGUCAUCCCUAGCAUGGCGCCAGAGUGUACAAAGGUAUUUAUAAAUGUAAAGGCUCUCUAGAAAAUAAUCUAUUCUAUCCGCAAGCGCACAGAUAAAACACCUCAUUGUAGAAUUUCACCAGGAUAAGUAUUCCAGGUAUCGUUAUUUAUAAUUUUGCUCAAGAGAACUAAGGAAGAUGGAAUUAAAUCAAGGGACAAAAUCUAUCAAGGCAUAGACUAGAGAUAAACUUGCAAAACCAUGAUUACUAAUGAGAAACUCGUCACACAGUCACUUACUUUAGCAGGAGGUAAACCAUAAAGAUAAUGAUAAUGAAUUAUAAGUUCAUGGGUAGAUAACACAGCGAUUAGAAAAUAGACUACUCCUCAUAUAUGUAGGUGAUGUCGGAUUAGCUAGAGAAUGGAUUCUAAGUUAUCUACUAACUACUAAGUCAUAAUCUACUCUAGUUAUCUACAAGAUCAUGUAUAGCAUAAAAGACUCUUCAUUCAUGUAUAAGGAACAUUGAUAAAGUAAAUCAGAACAUCGCAUGACUUACUCCACAAUACCGGUUCUACCUGUCAUAUCAACGGAGGGUGGACUAUAUAAGAAUCAACGAAGCUAUCACUAUCGCGAACUACCACAUGACCCGGCCAAUAGGAUACAUUUGCAGAUAAAUAACAUCUAAGCACCACGCUCACAUGUGAUCUAUCACCUAACUCCCUCGCGUCAAGAGCUAAGCGCUUUGCAAACUUAUACAUAAACUCAUUAUCAAUUAGAACUAUAUCAAAUAUAGAACUAGAGCAAACUAAGAACAUAAUAAUUAGAGACAUAAUGCAAUUAGAACAAUAGAAUUAGAGAAAGAUUUGAAUAAUACCAAUCUUUCUUACCGAAGAUCCGAAUCCAGAGCGUCGUGCUCUUCUUCUCUAAUUGCUAUCUAAUCAACCUCUAAACUUGAAGGAUUAGGGAGUAGCUAAUUCUAAUUCUCUGUGGGAGAGAAGCUCUAAACCCUAACUUUGAUGGCUACCUCUGAAUAAUAAUUUCUCCUCUUCUCCUCCAGGGGCCAGGGGGUCUGGUUUUAUAGUCCCCUCAAGUGAACGUGAGCCAUUGGAUGAAACCGACAUAGAUUGUAUGGUUUAGAUUGAUCCUUUAGGUCGGCGGAGUCUUGCCCCGAAGCAGAGUCCUGUUUGGAGUCCUGGCCUGGGCGGGCGCCCAAGGGGGGUGGGCGGGCGCCCAGCCCCCGAGCCCGAAUCGCGUCCCGUUCGUUCCCGUGGCUUCUGGACCCUUCUAGACUGAGGAAAAUUGCGCGGCACGUAAUUAUCUCGUUGUAAACAUGACAUGUGGGCCUUCUCUCCAUAUUUUCUGAUAAACCCCUGCAGAAAUAGAUAAAUACCAAAGCUCGUGGAAUUCUGUCAGAUAAAACCCUAAUUCUAGAUGUUUGUUUCAUAUUGAUCCUUUUUCAUGUUUAUUUGAUUAUAAAGUUUAGUACUUAAGGACCGUCAACACUACUGACCUUCUGCUGGUCAAGAGAGGCGAUCCAGGAUGCCCUGUCAUCCCGAUCUCCAUCGGCAUGGUGGACUUCCCAGAAGCACUCUGUGACUUUGGCUCUAGCGUCAACAUUAUGCCCAGGGUACUCUAUGAAAAAUUCUUUACAUAUCCUUUAUUAGAGACAACCAUGUGUUUGCAGUUUGCAGAUCAGACGAUAAGUUUUCCAAAAGGAAUAUUGAAGAACCUUUGUGUCCGAGUUGGUACCUUAUACGCCCCAGCAGACUUCGUGGUGAUAGAGACCGGUAAUGAUGAGAGGGCACCCAUCAUCUUAGGGAGGCCAUUCUUAAACACCUCGGGAGCUGUCAUCUACGCUAGUGCUGCCAAUAUCAGUUUCUACAUUAAAGGGAGAAAGGAGAUGUUUUCCUUCAAGAACAAGACUACACAAUUCCGAGAUCAAUCCAAACGUGAAUCAAGGAAGAGGACCAACAGGAGGAACAGGAACAAGCAAGUGUGGACCGAGUCAGCUAAGAUGGUCACUGCAGUUCAUGGAGGCCAAGAUCAUCAACUUAAGUCACCAACUUUGACCAAGAAGGACGACCCAGGAAUACCAAGCAUCUAUUGUUCCAUAAAUGUAUACAACUUCUACAAGACGACUUGUGACACUAGAUCGGGCGUCAACAUAAUGGCUGCAGUCACCUAUCGGCUCUUGUUCGGAACCAUGCCCCUAAAAUCAACAUACAUUCAGCUCCAGAUGGCAGAUCAGACGUUUCGAGAAGUUAAAGGAACAGUAACUGAUGUCCCUGUCAAAAUAGACGAUCAUUUUGUCUACACGGACUUUCAGGUUAUUAACAUGGGAGAAGACGAAUACGAUCCACCCGUCAUCCUUGGAAGACCGUUCCUCAACACCGUUAAAGCAAUCAUCUACAUUGGAACCGGAGAAGUCCAUAUGCACUUUCCCUCAGAGAAGGUACCCCGCUAUUUUACUGACCCUAACUAUAUCGUUGAAGACUCUAAGCAGGUCAGAAAAUGACGUAACCGCAACCAGAGGAGGCAGAUCAUCAAGGACGGAUGGGCAGACUAUGAAGGAGAAGGAUAAGGUCAGAAGACAUACAGUUUAAACAGAAUUAUCCAGAGGAGACCGUAGCACCAAGUCAGGUAUGGAAAGAGAAGAUAACUAUACAUGAAGAGGAGGUGCUGCCGGAAGUACCGACUCCGCCACCCAACGAAUCCUAGGACAACUAGAAAACAGAGAGUCCCGUUCAGAGGACUUAAAAACACCGAACGCCUUGCCAAGAGAAUUUAAGAAUCGAGAAGACUAGCACACGGAGGACAUUCUAAUCGCUGUCAGGAUAUUGCCGACUUUCAAAUACACCUCUGCCACCUACUAGCUAUAUCAAAAGAAAUUACGCCAAAAUUCAGCUUGGAGGAGAGCACCCCCAUUUAUCCCGCUAAGUAUUUCUAUCUAUCUUUAUACUUAUACUAUAUUAAAAUAUAAAUAUACAUAACUAUGGAAAACCAAAUAAAGAUUUUAUGCUUAUAUAUUUAUGUCUUUUGCUUAGUAUGUUUAAUAAAUAAAUAAAGUGGCUAUGCUAAUCUGAAUCUUAAUAAUAAAACUCUAGCAUGGAUAUGAUGAAUAGUUGCUCUGCCUAAUUUUCAAAUUUGCGUUUUCUCUAUAGUUUAGACAUAACUGUUAUAAUUUAAAGCUUGCUCUAAAUCUAAACUUGUGGGAAGAAAACUUGAUCUGAAGUCUAAGUUGUUAACGGAUACGAUAUGGGAAGGUUGAGCUGUUGUUUAUCUAUUCCUAGAGAUGCUAGAAUUCUAGGGAACUUUAUCUUUAAAAAUCUUUAAAAUGUUGCACGAUGAGUUCCUGUAUGAUGAGAGUUUAAAUUCCUACCACCACCAUAUAUACAUGCUUGCUAGCCCUUGAGCCACACAUUUACUUUUUACUGCUUAUGAGCAUUGAGUGUGGUCAAGCUGUGUAGACCCUUAGGAGCUUGUCAUGUGGUUAAAUCAAGAUUCACUUGCACGUUCACUUAUUUCCAUCUCCAGAACCAACCAAAAACAUUCUACUCCUAAUCCGGGAGAGAAUAGCCAAAAACAUUUCUGUUUUUCCCCUGUGAAAUAAAUGCUCAAGUUAUCUUGGUUACUACCAUGUAACACCCUAAAAUUUACUCCUUUUGAAAUAUAGAUAAAAUUAUUUAAUUUUAUAUUUUUGUGCUCAUGAAAAUAUAGGAAACAUAAUAUUUUUUAUUAAAUUAGAAUUUAUCAUAAGGCUUAGCAAUAUUAUUAUUCAUACAUGCUAGUGCAUAUGUUUUGAUGUGAUGCUUGUUGCUCCUUUAUGUGUUGAGUGAGCAAAGUUUUUAAAAUACGUUUAGUAGGUCGGUCUUCCUUCUGCGGCACAUCUUUAUUUUUUUUCCUACAAUCAAAUUCCUUGUUUCUCAGCUUAGGCUUUCAUUUGGAGAUUCUUAGAAAUCUUUUCUUUGUCACCCAAAUCACUCCUUCCAGUUCUUUGUCCGUCAAUCAAUCUCUAAAACUUACCAGGAAUUAUUUCAGCAUUUUUUGGAACUUGUUCCCAUUUGACUGUGAGCAUAAUCUAAUUUUUAGAUGCUCCAAAUUAUCUUAUCAUGGUCUCCAAAUAUUUUAUUUGGGUUCCUCAUAUUCCAUAAUAUCUCUGAGAAUUUGCUCCGAAUUUUUGGAGCUUUCGAAGUAUUUUUCGUGGCUUAAAUAGUAAUUCGAGUUUCUCUAGAAUAAUUAUUUUCAGCCCUGAAAUUAAAUAUUCCGAAAAUAAUAAGUUGUAAACCUAGUCAAACUUGGUCCAAACCUCAUGUAUAUAUAUACGUCACGUUCAUCUUCGAUCUUUUUCAGCAUCACAUCGUAUCCUUAGACUUUCGAGAGCCGCCGCCAAAUAAAAGAUGAGAUCGAUUACACCUCUGUUGCCGCCGGUAUGCAACACUCAAGCCGUCGUCUUGAUCGGGUCAUUGGCGUUGGACCAACACCUGAGUCCGUACGUCAUGUGAUGAAGCACUCACGAGGUGCUGACCAUAUUACCUUAGACAAGGGUAUCGAUCUGCCACCGGCGCUGUUGGCCGCCUGAUUUGCAAGGUGGAUAUGNNNNNNNNNNNNNNNNNNNNNNNNNNNNNNNNNNNNNNNNNNNNNNNNNNNNNNNNNNNNNNNNNNNNNNNNNNNNNNNNNNNNNNNNNNNNNNNNNNNNCCAUAUCCACCUUUUGUCGAUGCAUCUGUAUCUAUCUAUUUCGAUUAUCAUUAGUGUUCCAUCUGUUGUCUGAUUGCAUGCUUCCGUCACGAUGCCCAGACACCUAUACAGCUGCAGUCCAUCUGCUUCCAGCCUUGAAGAUCAGCAAGCAAGCAAGCUCGUCAAUCACCUAGAGAUCUAAAUGCAAAUAAGAGCCAUACAUACGUACAAACGAGCAAGUUAAUUCCUCAUGCACUCCAACAGAAGCAAUUGACAAAUCGGAGGACAUCUGUCCACAAUUUUAUUAAGUUUGUGUAAGCCCUUUAUCUAUCCACCUCGAUCCACCACAGUUUCACAUCUAAAUUUCGUUUUCGUCAAUCUUGUUGUAUUGUGCUCGUAGUAACGUGAUCUGUGUGUUAGUGUAGAUGUUUUCCUGUCACAUAUAUUUUUCCGUAUAUAGUUAAUUAUUAAAUUGAUUAAUACGCUUGCAACUAGUUCUACAAAUUAAAUCAAUAUAGGUUCUAUACUUCGGUAUUAUUGUACAUAGACGUUAAUAUAAUAAUUAAUUACUAAUAUAAUCAUGUUUCUCAAUUAUAAAUUGCUUAGCUUGAAACAUGCGUCGUACAUAAUUCCAAUAGAAGUUCCACACGCUAUUUUUUAAAAAAUUAGAGUUUAACUUGCUUAAUUUAUAUGAUCACAUUUAUGAACAAAAUAUGUUUAGUUUUAACUUGGUUAUUAAAGGGGAAAACACAAAUUGACUAAUCUGAGUUAAUUUAUUCAUAUGAUUUUUUUCAUAAAUCAAGCUCGUAAUUAUUUAUUUUAUAAUGUAAAUCUCUCGAUAGUCGUUCCUUUUACACCGUAGCUUUGAUCUCGAUGUUUCUUGCGAUACCGUGACCGCAAAACUAGUUCUCUUUUAGUACAUUAUUUUCUCUUGGGUGGUGUAUUGUUCUUAGUUAUUUCUAUUUGUUUGCUUGUAUGUUUGCUGGCGUGCUUAGUGUGCUGCGAUUUACAAGUAGAAGAAAGACUGUCUACAAGCGCCGGAUAUUGGAAGGUGUUGACCAUAUGCUAAUGUUUGAGAAAGUACGAGCAAUUGGAUCAAGGCAAGUAUAGCAUUUGGGUUUUAUUUCUGUGACCAUGAUCUUGUGACUUGAUUAAUGUUUAAGCAACAAAUGAUAAAAAUGACUUUUUAGCAACUUGAUGAUUUGUCUGUACGUGAUCACCCGAGACAACAGUGCAACCAUGAGGGCUAUAAUGGCUCUGGCUUUAGCUCAGUAUGAAGACCUUUUCUAGCUUGUUAGAGGUUACCCGAAAGGGCAGAGGGGCUGAACCAACACGGGUAUAGUGCGAGCCCCUGUCCCUAUGUGUAUAGGUUGCGCGUCAUUGUGCCAUUCGGAAGGGGAGUAUCUAUAUCUGCUCGCAAAGGAAACCAUGAGGCCCUAACAUGUUUGAUGAACUUUUGAAAGGCUUCAUAGUGAUCCCUGCCGACCUCCCUAGGAAGGGGGUUAAGAGAUUAGCUACCUCGGACGAAAGGGUAAAUCAUGACUCAUAGGUAAAGAUGUACAACCUCUGCAGAAUGUUAAAAACUAGUAUACUAGCCGAGCUCACGGUCAGGAGCGGCCUUGGGGACAUCUACAUUAAGGGUGAUGAAUCUUAUGUGUUAAAUAUGCUCAUUGUUUAUUGUUUAAUGCUCUACAUUAUUUAUGUCACAUUGAUCAUGAGAUUGUUGGCUAUACAAUCUAGUUGCUAUACUUGUUGAGUUUGACAUGGACUCACUCUUGCUUUUUCCCCCAAACUUCAGGAGAUGUUUUAGGCUUGUGAUCAACCAGUCAGUUGGAUCCUGUAGAGUGAAGUGAACACCCGAAGGUUGGAGUUGUCUAUCCGUUGUUUGCUAUCAAAGGUUAUCUCUUUUAUACUAAGUACGUUAUAUAUUUAUGCAUUGUCUUUUGAUAUUACCCCGUAUUUGUAGCUAUAUGUGAGAUUUGGUCUCUAAAACUCACAUAUGGUGCAUAUCUGGUUUUGUCCUUAAAAUCGGGUAUUACAUACCACUUGCUACAUUAUCUCAUGAGAUGAGUGCUCUAAAAAAAGAGAGAAAAAAGGAUACGAGGAAAUAAAAAGGGGCAAGUGCCCGGAACCUCGAAAAAAAAAUUGAGACGAGAGGUAAACAUGGACAAGUGUCUGACUGUAGAAUUAGGGGUACAAGAUACCCACCUGAGAGGAAAGAAAAAAAAGAGAGAGCAUCUCAUUCUCCUCAAAAAGUUUCAAAAAGCAAGAAAGGUAUGUAUCCCCUCAAAAGAGCAAAAGAAUUAGACUUUUACCAUUGUUAUCAUCAUCACCAUACGCUAUUUAUUCGCCACACAUCCACAUCUUGAUUUGACUUAUUGACUUGUUUCUUUGGAUCUAUGGUUUGACUAUACAAUAAAUGUCUUGUAAAUAUGUAUAUUUUAUCUCCCACCUAUGAGCUCCAGAUAUUAAAGCCUUAUUAGAGUAGGGUGAGAGAGAAGGCAAUGUCACGAUGCUUCAUAUCACAAAUACUACGUAUCUUAAGAGAAGGCAUAUACCAUCACUGCCUUGGUAAGGAUCCAGAAAUACCAGAAAAGAGAGAUAUGAGAGAAUCAUACAAGGAAUCUCUGAGUUUUAUUUGAAAAUCUUCAAAAACUCCAGAGCUAUAGCUGAUCAAGAAUAAGAGACAUGGCAUUUGAUUAGACCGUUCUAUCAUUUAACUACUCAAGACAGAAGUGACGGUUACAAGUCCCAUGGUGAAAGGUAAAGUAAGUAAGUUUUAUGUCUUGACAGUUUACUCUAACUUAGAGAUGAGACCGCAAUUAAAAGCAUGUGUACAGUCAAUUUAUAAAAGGCAUUACAAAAAUUUCUGAUCCAUCGCUGAGAUUAUCCUUGCUCAGGGACGAGCAAGAGGUAAGCUUGGGGGAGUUUGUUGACGGUCCUUAAGUAUCAAAUUUAAUUGUCAAAUAAACAAAGAAAAGGAUCCAAAUGAAAUCAACAUCUAGACUUAGGGUUUUAUCUGACAGAAUUCCACGAGUUUUGGUGUUUGUCUAUUUCUGCAGGGGGUUAUCAGGAAAUACGAAAGAAAGGUCCACACGUCGGGAUUACGUAGAGAUAUCAACGUGCCGCGCAAUUAUCUUACAUCUAGAAGACUCCAGAAGCCACGGGAAGGAAGCGGAGGCCGAAUGGAGCCUGGCCCUGGGCGCCCGACCAGGAGACCAGGGCGACCGCCCCCCUUCUGAGUCCAAUCAGGACUCUCUUUCGGGAUCGAUCUCCACCGACCUAAAGGAUCAAGGAUAACCGUUCAAUCAAUGUCGAUUUGAUCCAACGGCCCAUAUUCACUUGGAGGGACUAUAAAACCAGACCCCAUGGCCAAGGAGGAGGAAGCCUAUCAACCCUAAUUCAUUAUUCCUCAAGGGAGAAGAAGCCUCUGAUCAAGCCUAGAGCCACCACAUCAAUUAGACAUCUAGAUUAGCGUAUCUACAUAGGAUUAGAACUAGAAGGAGUCAAUAUUCGAUUGGUUUUCGGAUCUGUCAAGAGGAUUCUUGGUAAUUCUCUAAUUGUUCUUCUAAUUGUUCAUCUUUGUUCUUCGAUAUUAUGAAUAUGACUUUGUUCUACUUCAAUAUAUUGCUUAUGACUUUGCUCUACUUAUUUAUAAUCAAGAUUAUAUUGUUCUUAGUUUAUCAUAGUUAUAUACUUGGCUUAGUUAGAUUGGAUCUAUAUACAUGUUUAGGAUCGUAUAGCGUUUAACCAUCGGAUCCAUGGGUAAAUGAUAGAUAUUGUGUAGGCGUGGUGCUUAUAUCGUAUUUAUAUGUGAUUGUACCCAAUAUGCCAGAUCGUGGGGUAGUUGGUGAUAGUGACAGCUUCAUUGAUUCUUAUAUAGUCCCCCUCUCAUGUAUUGGGCUGGCAGAGCAACAUUAUUACAGGGGAGUGAUUGCUAUGUUUCUCAUAUUCCUUGCUAAUAUCACUAUGCAUGGGCGUAGUCUUGUCUCACAAUGAUUGCUAAGUAUGCUUGCACUAACUAUGAUAAUGCUAGACUAUAUAGUUGAGAAUAACUUAGGAAAUAUUCUUGUAGCUCGUUCUAAUACCAUGCUAAUGACUUGCUAGAAUAUCUAAUUGAGGUGCUUAUCAUAUUUAUUAUGUGGCUAAGUUAUGCUGAUCAGAUUAAUUAUCUUUGUCACUAUUUAUUACUUUAUAUAUUCUUUAUGUGACACUUAUCCCUGUAUGAAAGAGUUAGAUAAAUGUUCUCAAUUAUACAUGCAAUGAUAGAUACUCAAUCUUAUAUUACAUUCUAUAAUCAACAUUGAUGAUUACUAAUCCCUUCCCAGUGGUAAAAAUAUAAAUAACGAUACCUGGAAUACAUCCCGGUUAAAAUGCUACAUCGGUAUUAAUCUGUGCGCUUGCAGAUCCCGUUCAUUAUUUAUUUAGAUGAGCAAUUGCAUAUUUCAAUAACGCGUCUCUCAUGUCAUGCUGGGGAUGACAACUUGGCUUAAGUGGUAUGAGGGAUAGGUUUGGCAUUUUUGGCACCGUUAUCAGAAUUAGAAAACUAAGUCUACUUUUGGUAGUGAUGUUAAGAAUACCCAACAAGGGUCCCUCUAGUUGUUCUAGUUCUAGUUCAUCUAGUUCUAGUUCAUCUAGAUGUAGCAAUUAGUUGAGACUAGUUCUUCUAGAUCUAGUCUUGUUUAGAGAUUAGAGAGAUUUAGUAGAGGAGUAGAGAUUCUAGAGGAGUUAUGGCCUAUCGGUGCUUCUUCGUGGUUGUAUUCUUCUGGAUCCUGUUUCUCUCUCCUGGAGCUGAGUUCUUAGGUACUUUUGUACUUACCCUUCUGGUUUAAGUAAGCAUCUUGUUCUUAUUUGUUCUUUGGUUCACAACUCAUAUUGAGUGGUUUGACAUUGAUCGUAACUUGGUUGAAGUAGUAUUUUAUAGUGUACGCGUGGCGCCUAGGCUAGGUUUACUUGUGAAUAUCCCCUAAUCCGCCGGAUAGUGGUAGUUCGCGUAGGUGACUUUAUAGCUGCGUUGAUUCCUCUAUCGUCCACUUCCCGUUGAUAGGAUUGAUAGGCUUAUAGAUGCCUAAUAUGGGGUUACUCUGAUUCUCCCCCUAUUCGGGUUACUUGCCCUAUAAGACGGUAUUAUACAAAGUUUACCGGAGUCGGAACCAGAGUGCAUUAAUAUUUACUUUUUCUUGAUAUGAUCUAGCCUAAUUGUAGGGUUAAGUCUAUAUACUAUGUCAUCAUCACAACUGUUCCUUGUGGAUUCGAUAUUUAAAAGCUCUAGGUAAAAUGUGAUGCUGGUAUGAUAUAUGUGCGCUUGCGGAUAAUCCUACUUAAAUCUAUUUAAAUGGAGUGUAACUAAUUUAUACCAACAACUAUUUUUGGCGUCAUUGCCGGGGAACAAUUUGUCGAUUUUGAUUUAGUCUAGCUUACUCUUGUAUUAUACUUUUAUAUAUUCCUGUUUUUAUCUUAGUCUCUUCAUUAUUUUUGUGUUCAUCCUUAUAGAUGUUUUUAAUUAUAUUGCUAUUUAUCUUUAUGGCAUGUGCAAAAUCUUAAAGCACAAACCUUAUCAUAAUAUCUUUAAGCUAUGCCCAUGUCUACAUAAUAUAAUAAACCCUUCUCAAUUAUAUCAUGGGAUCAUUAAUCCUGACCUUGGUUUGCUGGGCCCCUUGUUUAUUCAACAUUUAGGAUCUUACCAAGAGUUACAUGAAAUCCCUUGAUUUAUCUUCUCGAGAGUUCUUUCUUAUCUUUUAAAAAGCAAGAUAUUAUGCUCAAACGAGUUGCUCUAUCUAUUUCUGAACUCCCCAAAAGAAGAAAAGAAUUUAUUAUCUAAACUAAAAAUAGAAGUCUUGAUAACUAAAAUACAAUCAUAUCAUUCUUAAGAUUUAGCUUUCAAUCCUAAAUCUUCAAAAUUCCACUUUAAUGAUUUAGAUUUCCAGUUAGCUAAGAUGCUCAUAAAUUAAUGCAUAUCAGAUCUUCUUAGAAGAGUAUCUUGGAAAAAGCAUCAUCAAUUUCCUUUCCUUCCUAAAAAGACAUUGGGAAAAAUUCAAGGAUGGCAUGCCAAGUGAUGCCAUAGAAGGAGAGCCAAGCCACAUAGAAAUAGAUUCUAUCUUCUCCCCUUCUAUGGCCAUAAACCCAUCUCUAAACCCAUCCUUGACCCCAAUGAAUCUUUUUAUGCUCCUUCUACUAAACUUCAUAAUGACCUUAGAAAUCCAUCCAGACAUCCUAAGAAUAGGAGUCAUGAAAAUUAUAGGAAUACCCAAGAAGAGCAACAACAAUAGUAGGAACACAUAGAACAUAUUAGAAAUACAUAUGCUUGGUCUAAAUUCAAAUGUUAAGCUUAAAUUAAUUUCUUUGAUAAAUAAAACUCACCCAAGUUUAGAGAAAGCUUUAGAUGAGACCAACCUUAGGGACAUCAAUUCAUGGGAAAUCCUAGAAAAUAAAAUAUCUAAUAAAUGUCAUAGGCAUGAAAUAAUAGAGGCAAACUUAUUGCCUAUAGACAACCAUGAAGAGACACCCUUGGAGUUUGAAAAGGGAGAUCAUAUUGUCGAGCAUAUGAAUUAUUUCAUUAAACACCCUAUCAGACCCAUGCUCAUAUGAGAGAUCUCCUGGAUCAAUUAGUCUCUAAUAUUAAGCUCCAUCAUUCCUUCAUUGUUAUCUCAUGCUCUGAAAUCUCUGCUAAAUUCUUGUCAGGUGACAGGAGGAGCAUUGUUGGGACGAGCAACUUGAUAUGACUCCCAUCAGGUCUGAGCUGCUCCCUGAAGUUAUCCAUAAGCAUAUAACACCUUUUCCAUAUCAUUGCAUUGUGAUAUAUUCAGUUGUCUCUGCACAGCACAUAGCCAAUCAUCUACCUCCAUAGGAUCAGCCGAGUGAGUAAAUACUAGAGGUCUUCCCUUCAUAAAUUCCUCAUGCUUAUCUCUCACAUAAACAGGUGGUGGGGUGGUGGUGGUGCAGGUUCAUGCUGAAGGUGCUGCAUAAAAGCAUGCAUCAUCUCAUUCUGAGUCUGCAUGAGCUCUUCCACAAUAAUUGGGGCAUUGGCACCCCAACCACGGCCUCUGCCUCUGCCUCUUCCCCUUGCUGCCAUCUGAAUUCCAAGGUACAGAAACAUAUCUCAAUAAUAUCCAACAUGAUAAAUACAAGAGAUAAUUGAAUCUGAAUUUUUCUGGGCGAUAUCCAACAUUAGAAGUUCAGAAAAUCAGUCUGUCGAGUUCCAGAACUCAAAAGGAGACAUUCUUUGCACCGUUCCAGAAUUCCAGACUACGCAGAAACCUCAACUUUAAACAGUUAUAUCUCACAGCUCUUAAUAGGUAAUAAUUUUAUUCUUGCAGCAUUGGAAAGAUAAUGAAGUCUAGUUGUUCCUAGAAAAUUUUGAUAAACUUUUCACGAACAGAAUUUGAGGUAUAUUAGAAUUAUUGCAAACUGCUUCAGAAAUCAGCAAGAGACAAACAAAAUUUAAACCAAACCCAACUAUUUAGUUCAUUAAUCCUUAUGCCUUAGGCCUAUAAACUAUAUGAAAUUGUGGAGAAAAUCCACAAGAUCAUUACACUCGUUACAAAGAACCAAAUCAAGCAUAAGCAUAAUAACAACCAAACCAAGCAUUAAAGGUUCACACUUCAAGCAUUGACUCAACUUACGGUACUAUCGUUCUCUUCCUAUUAAGGGUAAAGAUCCUAAAACUCCUAUUUCAAUGACGCCAGAAAGUGGUAAGAGAAUGUUCUAAAAGCAUAUCAAGGCAAGGAGUGAAGGUAAGAACAAGUCUUUUAAAAUAAGCAACAAGGUAAAGAUGAAUAGUAGGGGAAAAGAUAUAGUGUAGGAUAAAAUUUCAAGGUUUAUAGAACUAGGAUUUUAUAGCAAUUUUGAAAACUUAAGAUGGCCAAUUUCUAACUAGGCUUGCGUUCAAUAGUCAAUAAAGCUUUGAUACCAAUUUGUCACACCCAAAUUUCAAGAACGAAAUAGAGUGCAUAAAUAACUCAUGUGCGCCCCAGAAACAGUCGCACAUAGAAGUUGACAAACCUCAAAUAGUACCAUCACAAUGUUUAUUACAUAGCAGAAUAAUAAUUAUUACAUAGUCUCAAACAAAUAAAGAUACUCUCGAUGGAAGCACCACACAGGACACUGUCAACUGGUUGACUCCAAGCCUAGUACUCAUAACCGUAGUCCUCAUUCCAGUCAUCUUCUUUAACAUAUCCUGAGGUGUUAUGAAAUAGCAAGAGUGAGCACAUAUCGUACUCAACAAGUAUAACCAGGGGUUCAUGAGGCUCAAUAAGCUGAUGCUAGUUUAAUUGCAUUUAGCUUUUAUAGUAGAUGGCAUGCUUAUAUUUAGAUAUCAAAUGAAAAGGUAGCAUAAUUAAAUCCCAUAACCACAUGAUCAAUGUAUACAAGAAUUAAGAAUAAAACAUAUAAAAACAUAAUAAACCAUCAUUUAUCAUCAUUAAUCAUGUUUAUUAGGGUCCAUCUAUUCUGUCAGUUUUCUGGGCCGCCCGUAUUGAUGGGCACUGCUAGUAUACCAGAUUUAACACUCUGUAGAGGUUGUACAUCUUUACCCAUGAGUCAUGAUUUACCCUUUCGCCCGAGGUCGUGAGUCUCUUAAACCCCUUCCUAGGGAGGUCGAUAGGGAUCACUAUGAAGCUUUUCAAAAGUUCAUCUAACAAGUUAGGGCGGCAAGGUUUCUCAGGCGUGCAAAUAUAGAGCCCCCUUCCAAAUGGCACAAUGAUGCACAACCUAUACACAUAAGGACAAAGGCCACGGUAUACCCAAAAUAGCAAGCCCCUCUAGCGCCCUUUCGGGUAACCUCUAACAAGCUAGAUAAGGUCUUUAUACUUAGCUAAAGCCAGAGCCGAGUUGUCCUAGCUUUUGCCAAGGGAUAAGUCCUUAUGGAGGGUCAAGAUCAAUCUAGCAAAAGCUAGAGUUCUUUCUACCCUUAAUAAUCAAGUUGCUAGGAAGCUUAUUUUAUUUGUUUAUUGUAUAUCCAAAUAUUCAUGUUACAAGAUCAUGGAUUAUAAUCAAGCACUAGCAAGAACUACCCAAAUGUAUAUCCAAAUAUGUAUCAAGGAAUACAAGAUAACAAUCAUCUAUGAUUUCAUUAGGGUUGUCAAGGUGGACACAUGCAUACGAUAUAUGUAUUAAAAGUGUGUAGGUAACAAGGAUAGUCUCAAGUUAUACUUGCCUUGAUCGAAGCUUACUUGGAACUCCUACUGGUCGUCAAAAGAUUGGCCUUGAUCACCAACGUAUUGCUCACUGUCUAUACCCGAUCAUCAAUCAACAACACGCAUUCCAAUGGGGACAAUCAUACACAAAGUAAACAAGCUAUAAUUAGAACAAUACACCAACCGUGGUAAAACAAAUAUAAAAGUUUAUAAAAAUGUUCUACACAGCGCUAGGAUCACACAGACAUAAAGAUCAUGAAAAUCAGAAUUAAAACUGAUAAGUUAUUAUUUUUCUAAGAUUUCCUAUAGAAAAAUAAUUAAUUAAAUAGUACCAUGAAAAUAAAAAAGAUAGAAAUUGAGAAUACAGUGAUACUAACAUGUAGAUCUCGCAAAGACGAACCUAAUGCAAUUUGAAUGGACCAAAUCGGAGUUAAAAUGAGCAUUAUAUAAGCAUUUUAAAAUCAGUGGCAAACUUGUAAAUACUGAAAAGCGUAUUUUCCUUUAAAUCGGCAAGAAUACGUUUUCAGAGCUGAAAAGCGUAAACCCUCCAAGGCGCCAUGGACCGUGGGUUGGUUCUCAAAAAUUCCAAGGGCUCUUUAACAAAAGUUACCCCGAAUGGGUAUCUUCUAAUCCCGAGCGUCGAUAGCAAUUUGGACGGCUGAGAGGGAUCGGGGCGGGUUUCGGCCGGGCGGCGGCGAGCCCCCACGGCGGACGCCAUGGCCGGCGUCCAAGCUUCACCGGAGUUCAUCGUUUGCACACUUUAGGGGAUCUCUAAGCAACAGAACUACACCGGGGGAAAGAGAAGAAAGUCGCAAGCUCACCAGUGCCCUUCGUUCGCGCCGAGAAGGAGUAGAGAGGCCGUGCGAGGUGGCGGCUCGAUUUUGGGACUCGGCGAGAUCCGGUUUGAGUUCAAACGGCGGCUAGGGCUCGGGUUAAACGGCUUGAGUGCGAAAGGGGACCUGCGGGGUGAGGAAGGAGCUUUAUAGGGUGUCCCAAGCGCGAUAAACGGCAACAAAUCCCGCCCAGGCUGGGAUAGGCACGCCUGGUUGCUUUCGGUGGGAGUCCUGCUUGGCUACCUCUCGAAGAAGAAGGGGAUGGAAGAGCUGACACGUGGGCCCGGUGAGUCAGAGAAGAGGGAGGGAGAGUCAAGGCGCUGCCGUGGGGCCGGGGUGUUAGCGACCGCAGGGGAUAAAGGGGAGGGCGCGCACAGUAGGCCUGCUGGGCCGGUCUGGACCGAGAGGGGAGCCAGGUGAGCUGGGCUUCGCGUGGAACUGGGCCACCAUGCCGAACAGGAGGAAAGUCUACCUAUUUCAUUUUUUCUAUUUUGUUUUCUAAAGCUUUUUGAAAAGGGAUUUUAAAUCUUUUUGAGAUAAAACAAGCACACAGUAAAAUAAGUAAAUAUUCCAGCAUGUAUGCACAAGCAUGUUACUAAACUUAUGAUAAAUUUUAAUUUCAACAAAAUUUAUUUAUUUACUAAAUUAAAUGCUCACAGAUAUACUUAAAUAAAUCAAAUUAAAUCAUAUUAAUUAGAAAUAAUUUUUUGGGUGUUGCAGGAGUAAAAGAUGGACAAGUGUCCUAACAAUUAAAACAAUGGGUACAUAGAUGCCCGCCUCCCAGAUAAAAAGAGAGAGAGAGAGAGAAAGAAAAAUAAGAAAGAAAGAAAGAAUAAAGAUAGCCCAUGUUUUCCUGCGAGUUCUAAGUUUAAAAGGAGGGAGUAAUUUUCAAAGAUCAAAAGUAGAAUUAGGAUUUGCCACUAAAUACUAUAUAUAUACCUAUCCACCAUAUUCCAUACACACGCACAUCUUGGUUUGAUUGUAUGCCUUGAUUCUCUGUAGAUCCAUUGUUUGACUUUACAAUCUAUGAAUUGCAAGUAUGCUCAUCCUUGUUAUUGCCACUCCUAUAAACUCCACUAUAUAUAUCCUUAGUUGUAGGAAGGCAUAACCUCAUUAAUUCCUAAGUGAGAUCCAUAAAUACAACAUAAUAAGAGACUUGAGGGUGUCAUACAAUUAAGCUCUGAGUUUUAUUUUUCGAAAACUUGCAAAACUCCAGAAUAUUGGUACUGUGAGGAAUUUGAGACAUAGUGCUUGACUUGAUUGUUAUAUCUUUCGAUUACUCAAGACUUAUGGAAAAGUUGUAAAGCUCCAUGGUUAAAGGUAAAAUGGGUAAGUUUGAAAGUUAGACCAGAGGACAAUUUAUGUUUAAAAGUAAGUGUACUUAAAAGAAAUAAAAGCAUUGUAGCAACUCCUGAUCCAAGUUUAUAAAUUAGGCUUGGGCUGUUUGCUAAGGGACUGGCAAAAGGUAAGCUUGGAAGAAUUGUUGACGGUCGAUAACGUCAACUUUUAUUAGAACUUUAAACCCGAAGGAGAAUAUGAAUACACUAGUAUAGGGUUUAAACUAACAAUUUCCACAAGAUUUGCAUAUCUGUGUUUUCCUAGGUUUAUUUCACACAGAGCUGAAAAGAGGGAUUCUAGUGCAUAUUUACCAUGAAACUCAUCCGCGAUGGAAAAUAUCGUCAUCAGGCUCAGAAAGGGUCUAGAAGACACCCGAAGGAAUGAGAGCCGUGGAAGAGGAAAGGUGGGGCCGGUCAGCGCCCUGUUUUGCCCGUUGCUCGCCGCCUUCUGGAGUCUUCCUCCUACGCAUCCUUGGAAGCCAAGCAAAGUAUACCUUCGUCGAUUUUAAGUCGGUUUGAUCUAACGGUGCACACAAGAUGAAGACGCAGAUCGUUGACAUGGCGGUUCCUUGCCCUCUACUCCACCUCGGCCUAUAUAAUGACGCCCAAGGCUCCCCCAAGAGACAUUCUACACCUCGGCGCUUCAUAAUCUCUACAUAAUUAGGGUUAGGGUCCAUCUAGUUGUUCUAGUUCAUCUAGAUGUAGCAAUUAGGAGAGACUAGUUCUUCUAGAUCUAGUCUUGUUUAGAAAUUAGAGAGAUUUAGUAGAGGAGUAGACAUUCUAGAGGAGUUCUGGCCUGUCGGUGCUUCUUCGUGGUUGUAUUCUUCUGGAUCCAGUUUCUCUCGCCCAGAGCUGCGUUCUGACGUACUUUUGUACUAACCCUUCUGGUUUAAGUAAGCAUCUUGUUCUUAUUUGUUCUUUGGUUCACAACUCAUAUUGAGUGCUUUGAUCUUGAUCGUAACUUGGUUGAAGUGUGGCAGAACCUCCUAAGUGUUUGGGCCCACCGACACCUGCCAUUGUCCUAAGGACCUCUGACGGUGAUGCCGGGAGUCCUCCCACUUUAGAAGUCCGAUGAGCAUUGCUGGGCGCUCAUUCCACUGCUACCUGUGGCGUACCAAGUUGGCUCGUCCUGACCACUGGUAAUGGUCAAACAACGAGAACUGUUUCUUCUCGCCCUUACAGGUUAACAAGUGGCCACCUUAACACCAGGAUCACUCGUUGCGAAGAUAAAGCAGUAACUCAACGACACACGACCAAAAUAAUAUUUCAGAGUGAAACAGCGGAAGUAUUACAUAACUUAAUUUACAAAAGGAGUUCUUCCAAAUAGUAGAGUGUUAUUACAAGCCUGGUCCAGCGGAGCAACUGAAACUUUAGUAUAGACAGAACAAAUUUACAGACCCUGCCCAUGGGUCACGCUCACUCUUCUUCGUCGUCAACCUCGACGACGGUCACACAACAGGGUCCGAAACAAGUCGGCUCCUGUGCUUCACCUGCAACAGGGGUUAUAAAACCCUGAGUACGGGGGUACUCAACAAGACUUACCCGAUGGGAAAAGAGGAGAACUUAGGGAUGCAGGCUUAGGGUAGACAAGGAGUGGCUGAGCAAGGAGCCAAAGUGUUUUGCGUAAAAAGCUUACUAGUAGUGCAUCCUUAUUUUCAAGUUUUACCCCCGAAUUCCUCCCUCGCAGAGGCCGAGGAGUUCGAGGACAGUCUAACUGGUUGUUUCCCCACAGACGAAUCCGUGAGUUCCUAGUCCUAUCAUAAAGUAUUAUGUAUCGAUGGCCAUAGCUUCAUGUCGCUAUGAGUCCGGGAAUUGGGAUCCGAACCUCAUGGGACAUUUUCCCCUUUCUCAUGUUAUCAUUCAGUUGCAUAUUUAACUACGAUGAGGGUCGAAGGAAUUGAGUCUCCCAAUCGGGGAGCAACGACGCUUCGAAUCGCUUAGCAAUCCAGCUGGAGUUCCUAACCACCCGACAUAUGUAGAACCAAAUCUUGCAUAUAUCAACCCAAAUCAAGCUCUCCCCAAAUUUGACCAGGUUCGCGGCACCCGAGAGCACAGUACUCCACCAUCCUACAGCCGAUCUAGAUGUUUUCCGGUCAUCUCAGAUCCGUAAGGUGGGUACACACUACUCUCGCCAUCUUUCCACUCCCAGUGCGCGAGUAGCUGUUCGCGUCGAGGGAUCACAAGACCAGGCUUACCGAAGGCAAGUGGCUAGUACUAUAAAUUCUCAACCCAGCAGGCCAUCAACGGAACGGUCCUUAAUCAACACAGUCGGAGACACUACUUUAAGACUCCAUUCUUAGAGCAAGUCCACCGACCGGUCUCAAAUUGAAACAUCAUUGAUCGUAAGUGUAACCCACAACAACCCUUCAAACUUUCUUGUUUAAAAACCUAUCUAGUAGCAGGGCUAAGCAUCGCUACGCAGUUUUAAAAUAAAACAGGUGUCAAGGACAGGAUACAGAUAUCAAGGUAGUAAAUGCAGCAAGUAGGUUAACCCAAUUCUCAACUACCUAAUGCAGCAUUUUCAAUUCAUAAGUGACAAAAGAUUUAAAACAUCCAAGGAGGGGUUAAUGCAUCCGGGGCUUGCCUUGGUUGCAGGGCAGAGAGGGACCCUCGGAGACUUCCCAAGUCUCGGAUCCAACUUCCUCGAACGGAGCACCGACCUCGGGGUUCGGUUCAACGGGCGCUCCUUCGGUCACGGACACUAUACGCAAAAUGAUGAAUGCUUAUGAUAUGCGUAUGACAAAUAUGCAAGAAGGACCAAAUCGAGUACAACUCGCCUUCUUGAUGCAAUACAGAAUUAUCGCUAAAUAAAGUUGCUUAAUAACUUAAUGAUUUUACCCAAGAGGUUGCAUCUGUAAACUAAGACUUUAUUUAAUUCAUACUUAUCUUAAAUUAGUUAAUUAUUAAUCCUAAUUACCUUAAUUAACUCUUAAUUAAUUACUAAUGACAGUAAUUAAGCAUUAAGGCUAAACAAUAAUUAAAUGCCACAGGUCAUUAGGGUUAAUGACCUCAGGUCAUCACACAAUCCCAAAAUCACUCAACCCUAAUUAUGAGGAUCUAAAUAAUCACUAUUUAAUUAUUUUGGAAUUAUUAUUUAAGUGCUAAAUAAGGGUUUAUUAAUAUUUUAAACAAACAUUAUCCAAAUGCCACCAAAUUUUGGGUGGAGCCAGAGAAUAAUAUUCAGAGGCUCCCCAUAAUUUUUGGUGAUUUUUGGACAUACAAUUAAAUUAUUAAAAAUCAUACAAGUUUUAUUUGCUAAUUAAAAGGGCAAAUUUUUAUAGACAUGUAAACUACCAGAAAACAGAAUCCACUAUUUUUCUUGUGUUCUACCCACUUUAUGGAACCUAUACAAAAACUUUCAUCAUUUUUGGAUUAGCACACCAUUUAACAUAUAAUUUCAAACAUCAAACAAAAAUUGCAUAAAAAGAAAAAGAAAAGGGUCUUUGCGCAGUGGGCGGCCUGGAUCUUGGCCCGCAGGCCGGCUCAUGUGCGCUCGGCCCACAACCACGUUGUGCAGACGGCCCGCUUAAACACGGCCCAAAUCGGCCCGGGGGCGCUCCACCGCGCGGACGGCGCGCGCUGCCCCCUCUUCUCACGCUGCGGGACGCUGACAGGGGGGUCCCACCUGUCAGCUUCGCCUCCCACGUGCACGGCGGCCUUGCCGCGCUUCCGGCCGCCGAUAGCGAGGUUUUGAGCCUGCGUGUGCGUGCGCAAACGCUUCGCCUCGAAAUCGCGACCACGUUGAUACCCUUUAUCCACACUCUACCCUACCACCACCACCCCGGCCACGAGAAAGGCGGGCGGCCGCCAUGGCCGACCCUCGGCCGGCCGCUAGAGCCCGGUAGAGUGCACACGGAUGGAACCGGGAGCUUCCAGGAGGGUUAAGGAGUACGGUGCUCACGUCACCACGGCGGGAGAAGCAGUAGAAGACUCUGGCGUCGUUGGCUGAGUAGUCAGGCGGGUGCUCCGGCUCCGGCGAGGUUGUUCCGGCGGUCCUGUUGGCGUCCAGUGAGAAAUAGUGAGCGCAUGAGUAUCGGGGAAACAAGAAGAACUCGAAACGACCGCCUUCAAGGCGUGGUACCGACUGGAGCAGCGUGCUCACGUGAAGGGUUCCAUGGCGGCGACGCCGGCCGGACUUAGAGAAGAAGGAGAAGCUCUGGCGUUUGAGGGGGUUAGGGCGUGAGCUUGGGGGUGCUCUGGGUCCGCAAGGAGAUGGCGAAUACGGCAGAGUACUCAAUUUGGCGCGAGGAGAACUGGGUACGGUGGAUUUCAGAGAGAGGGAUGUCGAGUUUCUCCGGCCGUGGACAGCGAACACGGACGGCGUCGUCCACGUCGGUGCUCAAGUGGAGGGGAAGGCAAGCCCGAGGCAUCCACGUCGCCUGGCGACCCUAGCAGCAAGCAGCUGCGUGCACUCACGCAUGCGCGCGGCGCUGCUCGCGCGGCAGCUGCGCUGGACAGGGAGCCGGUGAUCCCUAUCGGAUCACUGUAGCAACCCCUAUCUUCCCCCCUUUUAUCCUCUUGCGAAUUUCAGCCAAAAUUUGAACUAAAGUCCAAUUACCACCAAAAUAAGAGUUGUACAAAAUUUUGUAAACUACAAAUCAUCUUUUGGUGCCCAGAGCUGAUUCCGAGUGGAAGGUAGCCAAUUUGGCCAAACAGUUUGGAAUUUCAACUCAAAUCAAUGAAAUUCAAAUUUUUGAAUUGGGGGCAAAACAGGAUUUCCAAAAUUACUUUUGUUUUUCCUAAACAGCUUGAAAAACUCCCAACAUGAAAGUUGCUCAAAUUUUUGUGCUCUACAACUUUCAUGUUGACCACUUUUCAAAAUUCCAAAUGGAUUUUGAAUUGAGGGUUUAAGUUGGAAAAGGGGACACUUUCUGGAAAUCUGUAUUUUCAAAAUUACUUUGAAGUUUGUAUUGAAACUUCAAAAACUCAAAACACCAAAGUUGUACAUCUUGCCAAGAGCUACAACUCUGCUUUUGAACUCAACCUCAAUUUUUGCUUAGUUUUUGACUUAUGCAAAAGGGGACAAAUCUAGGAUCCAGAAAUCAGGGUUUUUCCCCCCUUAGCUUUUCGGAAAAAUUCCACCCUAGGGUUUUUAGCAACCACACAAGCAUCAACAUCCCACAUAAACACACUCUACCUCCCUAAGCUCAAGCAAUAAAAAUAAACUUGUUUUAAGUUGAUGCAUACAAAUGUGCUUUAACAACUAUGCUUUGCAAUGCUUAUGAUGACAUGAUCCGUUUUUAGUAACCGUAACAUCGGGGAUGUUACAGCCCUUCCCCCUUAAAGAAAUCUCGUCCCCGAGAUUUAAAACCUUAGGGUAAGUAAUGGAAAAGGAAAUUUGUCAAAACUCGUUCAUCUUCAACUUUUCCAUAAGACAAGAAGUUGGGGAAAAAAAAAUACUUCAUUAUAAGCAUAUAUGUACAUUAAGUACAUGGCUUUGGCGACUCUUUUCCUUCACUAGAGUACACUCUCUGGUUAUCAUAUGUUGUCCUGAAGAGAAGCAUGGAAUUCAGGAAAAUUCUCUAGCAAGUAAUCUUCAGAUUCCCAGGUGGCUUCUUCUUCAGAGUGCUGGCUCCAUUGUACCUUAUACCAUUUGGUGGUUGUCCUUCGAGUAACUCUAUCUUUUUGAUCCAGUACUCGGAUAGGGUAUUCCGAAUAAGUUAGAUCUGGUUCAAGCUUUACGUCUUCAAUAUCUUGAACUCGGUCUGGUACCCGAAGACACUUUUUCAGUUGAGACACAUGGAACACAUUAUGCACCCCGGAUAAUCGUUCGGGCAGUUUAAGGCGGUAAGCGACCUGUCCACAUCGGUCAAUAAUUGGAAAUGGACCAAUGUAACAAGGCGCUAAUUUGCCUUUAACACCAAAACGAUUUACUCCUUUCAUUGGGGAUACUUUCAAAUACACAUGAUCACCUUUGACGAACUUUAAUGGUCGACGUCUUUUAUCGGCAUAACUUUUCUGUCGGGACUGAGCAACUUUCAAGUUAUGUUGGAUUUGUUUCACUUUGUUCUCAGUCUCUUUCACUAAGUCAACUCCGAAGAACCAUCUUUCUCCAGGUUCCGACCAGUGUAACGGAGUUCGACAUCGGCGACCAUACAGUGCCUCAAAGGGAGCCAUUUUGAUACUCUCUUGAUAGCUAUUAUUGUAGGAAAAUUCUGCUAGAGGCAAGCAGUCAUCCCACUUAUCUGGAAAAUUCAGGGCACAAGAUCUUAAUAGAUCUUCUAGGGUUUGAUUCACCCUUUCAGUUUGCCCACCAGUUUGAGGGUGGUAGGCUGUGCUGUAUAAAAGCUUAGUGCCCAGGGACUCAUGUAAACAUUUCCAGAACUGGGAGACAAAUUGUGUGCCCCUAUUUGACACUAUUGUCUUUGGCACCCCAUGCAGACUUAGGAUACGGUCGAAAUAAAUCUUAGCAUAGGUGGAGGUAGGAUACAAUAGCUUUACCGGCAGAAAAUGUGCUGUUUUGGUGAGACGAUCUACUAUGACCCAAAUGGAAUCAAAGCCCUUGGCCGUCUUGGGCAAUCCUACUAUGAAAUCCAUACUUAUGUCAUCCCAUUUCCAUGCGGGGAUAGGCAAAGGUUGCAACUCCCCAGCGGAUUUGAGAUGAAUGGCUUUGACCUUUCGACAGGUGUCACAUUGGGCCAAAUAGCGAGCUAUUUCUAUCUUCAUUUUUGUCCACCAAAACCUUUGCUUCAGGUCCUGAUACAUCUUAUUGCUUCCCGGAUGAAUGGAAUACCUCGUGGUAUGAGCUUCAUCCAGGAUUUGCUGACGUAGCUCAGGUACCUUUGGAACCACUAACCGGUUCUUGAACCAGAUUACUCCCGCAUCAUCCACCUUAAAGUCUGUGGGUGCUCUAUUAGAAAUCUUCUCUUUAAGAUGUCUCAUGCCUUUGUUUUCUUUUUGUGCCUUUAUGAUUUGAGCUUCGAGAUGGAAAUCGAUCUUUAGAUUGGAAAGGCUUCCUUGGGAAAUCAUUUCUAUUCCCAAGUUCUCUAGCUCUUGGCACAAAGUUAUAUCCCUAGGCGUCACUGUUAAGCAAUUACAGUGAGCCUUACGACUGAGGGCAUCCGCUACUACAUUUGCCUUACCCGGGUGAUAAUGCACCUCAAGGUCGUAAUCUUUAAUUAGUUCUAGCCACCUUCGCUGGCGCAUAUUAAGCUCAGCUUGAGUAAAGAUAUACUUCAAGCUUUUGUGAUCUGUAUAUAAAUGACAUGUGUUCCCCAACAAAUAAUGACGCCAGAUCUUUAAUGCAUGUACCACGGCGGCUAGUUCAAGAUCAUGGGUCGGGUAAUUCUCUUCAUGGGGUUUGAGUUGUCUGGAAGCAUAUGCAAUUACGCGACCCUCCUGCAUCAGCACACAGCCUAAUCCGAUCCCUGAUGCGUCACAAUAUACAUCAAAGGGUUUUUCAAUAUCUGGCUGGGCUAAGACAGGUGCAGUUGUCAACAACCUUUUCAGAGUUUGAAAGGCUUGCUCACAUUGGGGUGACCAAACAAAUUUUGUUUGACUUUUGAGCAAGGUUGUGAUUGGUUUGGCGACUCUGGAAAAGUCCGGGAUAAAACGACGGUAAUAUCCCGCCAUGCCCAGAAAACUACGGACCUCAUGUACCGUAGUCGGGGGUUUCCAAUUCAACACAUCUUCUACCUUGCCUGGGUCUACAGCGACUCCUUCCGCUGAUAAUACAUGACCCAGGAAAUGAACUUUGUCCAGCCAGAACUCACAUUUGCUGAACUUGGCAUAUAGCUGAUGCUCCCUGAGACGGGUCAGCACGAUUCUCAAGUGUUCAGCAUGUUCUUUCUUAGUCUUGGAGUAAAUCAAAAUGUCGUCAAUAAAGACAACAACAAAUUUAUCUAGUUCUGGCAUGAAGACAGAGUUCAUCAGGUACAUGAAAUGGGCCGGUGCGUUAGUCAACCCAAAAGACAUCACCAAGUAUUCAUACAGCCCGUAACGGGUUGUGAAAGCGGUCUUGGGCACAUCUUCCGGCCUAAUUUUAAUUUGGUGGUACCCUGAUCUCAAAUCAAUUUUCGAGAAUACUUUGGCCCCGGCUAACUGGUCAAAUAAUAAGUCAAUGCGGGGCAGUGGGUACUUGUUCUUAAUCGUCACCUCAUUUAGGGGACGAUAGUCGACACACAGCCUUAAUGUUUGAUCUUUCUUUUUCACAAACAAGGCUGGGCAACCCCAUGGAGAAGAACUGGGCUGAAUAAAACCUUUCUGUAACAACUCUUGUAAUUGGGCUUUUAAUUCGGCCAGCUCUUUCGGUGCCAUUCUGUUGGCCCUUCGAGAUAUUGGGGCCGUUCCUGGUUUCAAUUCUAUACUGAAUUGUACAUCCCGGUCCGGAGGCAGACCUGGUAAGUCUUCAGGAAAUACAUCCGGAAAAUCUCGAACUACCGGAAUAUCUUUCACUUCAGACAUACUAGCGGCAUGAACUUGCCCAACGGUCCGUUUGGGAGUAACUAACUGAAUUAGCAAAUAAGAAUUCUCAUUUCGCAAUGGGAUUUUAAUGGUUCGGUGCAAAGUGUCUAGCACAACCCCUCGUUGCGCCAUCCAGUUCAUGCCUAAGAUGACAUCAAUUUCUUGGUCCUUAAGAACAAUCAUGCUAGUAGGAAAAUUGUGCCCACCAAAUUCGAUGGGUACUUGGUGAACCAUUUCUUUAGACAUCAGCCGUCCUCCUGGCGACUGUAUAUAAAAAUGAUCUUGUGUUUCCCCAAUGGGUAUGCCAUGCUUUAACACAAAGGUGCGAUUGAUGAAUGUAUGGGAUGCACCAGAAUCAAAGAGCAUUAAAGCAGGAUGCUUCGCAACAGGAAACGUACCCAUCAUCACUGGUUCACCCUCUGGAAUUGUCUCCACUUCAGUAUGGAAGACUUGCCCUGUCUUCUUUACCGGUCUACCUUUCUGUACCUGUUGCCCUUUUUGAACCCCAGUUCUGAACUGACCCGGCUGGGGUUGGCCCAUAGGUGGCCUUGGAAAGGUAGGGUUGGUUUGGCGGGGAAAAGGGCACUCUUUAGAGAAAUGCCCAGGUUUACCACAAUUGAAGCAAGGGUAAUUGUGGCUGGGCGGAGCAGUAGGGCGAACACCCGGGGCGUUCGGCUGGCGUGGUGCAAAAGCGAUGGCAGUAGGUCGAGAAUAUACCUGCUGCCCGGGUCUGUACUGUGGAGGGGAGAAAGGACCACGAUAAGGUGACGGCGUUUGGAAACGUCCGUGGCCCUGUGUCACACCCGGAUGUAAAAGAGCAUUCGGGUGCCAAAUCACAUGUGCGCUAGGAUCUCAAAUUCACACACAUGGACCGACAUCAUCAAUGGUACAAAACACAGUGUUCAAACGAAUUACAUAAAUGAGAGUAAAAGUACCAUUAUUACAAGCCAAAUGUUUAUCAAAGUGCGGAGGGGAAACAUAAACUAAACUGUUCCAUAAAUAAAGGGAAAACUAAACGCCGACGUAGCAGGACCACCUUGCCACAGGAAGGUCGACGGUAGAACCACACGAGCCUAACAACCAGGAGACUCAGGGUAGUCCUCAGGGAAAUCGCAAUUGUACUCCUGAUCGUCCGAGCAACCUUUAAUGAUUAUAGCAAGGGUGAGCUCAUGUCGAACUCAGCAAGCACAGACGGAAAGUAAUGACAUGCAAGGCUUAAAACAAGGUAAAGCUGACUUGGUUUGACUGCGGUAGCAUUUUAGUUGAUCGCUUUUAAUUAUAACAAUUACUAGAACAACCUAUUACUAAAUACGAGUAGCAUAAACCCAACCUUUAAUUAGUGUAAGUAGUAAUUAGCAUCUUUUUAAAAGACUAUCCUAAUCAUUAUAGUAAUAGGGAUCAACCCCAAUUAUUACCACAGGAUAGCAAUCCUGCCAUCACGGAAUAGCCAUUCCGCCAAAACACGAGGUAGCAACCUCGCCAAGGUCCAUCUCCAAGUAACCAGUGAAUCCAAUUUGCUCAUCAAGUGAGGGUCUGGGCCGCUCGUGACCGUGAGCACGGCUGAUAUAUCAGUUUUACACUCUGCAGAGGUGUGCACGUUCACUCCAAGUCGUGAUUCCCAUUUGCCCGGGGUCGCGACUCCCCAAAACACUUCCAAGGUGAGCAGGCAGGGUCUCACUACGAGACCUUUCACAGGGUCCAACUAAUAGGAUGCCACUCGCAAGUUUUUGCCGGGGCGCUCGGCAGUCGAUACCCAUAGCCAUGGCGUACCGAUCAACCGACAACUUAAUAUUCAUUACCCAAGUUACUUCCUCACGCCUACCCGGAAAGUAACACCCUACUAGUGGAGGUCCUGCUAAUUAGUCAAGCCAGAGCCAUAUAGCUUGGAGCUGCACUGUAAGUCCCAGGGGGCCGCUCCCUGACUAAGUCCUUACGGAGAGCAGAGACGGGUACGCCCGGCAAUCCGGACCACCAACGGUACCCGCUCCCCCUGUCACCACCAUCAUCACGAUGCUCGCAAGCAUCCAACAUCGCCAUCACCGCAGUGACCAAAGAUUCAGCACAGUUUAAGCAUCAAGUUAAGUAGAGAGUAAUUCUUGUUUAGACAUGUGUAUAAGAUGAGUAGAGCAGCUAAGCAGACCUAGUAUAGCCUAGUCUACCCAAAUACAUAACCCCCAGGUGAGCAAGGAAUAAUAAGUAAAGCUAGUCAUGUCCUUAGGGUUUGCAUUCAUUGGACACAUGCAUAUAAAGUAAAUGACAUUAAUGAGUAGGUUCGAAAUGAUCAAUGGUGUCUGCACUUGCCUUGAUCGAAGUCGGGUUGCUCGAACUCAGCGGGAUCCUGAACCUCUUCCUUCACGAACGUCUCGUUGGCUAUACGCGACAAUCAUCAAUCAUAGGGACAAUACAUGCAAGCAAACAAACUUAAUCAGAAACAGUACACCAAAGCAUGCAAAAACAAAAAGCAACUGCACUACUGUAAUCUACUCGGCGAAACGAAACCAUAGCGACCAGAAUCACCUAAAUCGGAGUUACGAUGCAAAAGUUAUGGCUAAAACAAGUUGAAUGGCAUUUUUGUAGAUAAACUGAACUAUUUUUCGUAAUAAAACUAAUUAAAACUGAAUUAAAACGCAUUUUAGAUUAAAUAUAUAAAUACCAACGGGUGCAGGGGUUAAACUGUAAAAGCAGGGGCACAUUUUAAAUGAAACUAUAACUGAGUUGGAUCGCGGGUUAAUUUUUAAGAAACGCGAGGGCCUUUUCGCAAAAAGGCCAGGGGCGCGCGGGCUGGCCAGCUUGGCUGGCCACGUGGCGGCCGGUGAGUGGCCGGUCUACAGCACUAUGCUGUAGACCGGGGCGCGGGGGGGGGGACAGGCCGCGGUCCACGGUGGACCGCGCCUGCGGAGCGGCGGGGCGGCGGCCUCCUGGACCCGGUCCAGUGGACCGGCCGCACGGGGGGCGCAGGGCCGCGGUCCACGGUGGACCGCGCGCCGGUGCGGAGCGCAGGGGCGGCCGGCGGCGGCGGUGGCGCCAUUGGCGCCGCCCGGAGCUUCGGCGGCGGCGCUGCAGGGCACGGGGGAGCGUGCCGAGGGCACGAACGGGGUCGGCGCGUCACGACGAGCGCGAUGGCGGGCUUACCUUCGCGAGCGGACGACGACAAGGAGAAGGCCGACGGCGGCGGCGCGGAUUUCGAUGGCGUCGCUGCGGAAAACGGCGAGCUCGGGCUAGGGUUUCGCGUAGGGGCGCGUGCGGGCGAGGCCGAGGCCUUAAAUAGGACGGUGGUCCCGGGGUCCUCGUUCCGCGCGCGGCACGGAAGCCGAGAGGCGGCGCGGCGGCUGCCCCGUCCGUUUCGGACGGGAGGUUGGGGGCGGCCCUGACGGGUGGGGCCCACCCGUCAGCGGCAGCGGGCAACAGGGGCGCUGCUGGGCCGCGGCUUGGGCCGAAGCGGGGAGAGGGGGGGGGCGCGGCUGCUGGGCUGGGGAGAGAAGCCGGCCCAGAGAGGGCGCUUGCCCCUUUUUUUUUCUUUUUUUUUUUUAAACAGAUUUCCCCUAUUUAAUUAUUGCUCCGAAAUUCAAAUAAAGGCACAAACAAAUAAAUAAAAUCAAGCAAAAAUCAUGCUGCAGCAUGAAUGCAAACUUAAACAUGUUUCUACCUUAUAUUUAAUUUUAUUUAAUUUUGUAAAUUAUUUAAUAAUUCCCAAAAAUUCAAAUUGAGCCAAAAUUAAAUCAAAUUUAAACUAAAUUUAAAAUUCAAAAAUUUGGAGUGUUAUAAACCUACCCCCCUUAAAAGAAUCUCGUCCUCGAGAUUAGGAUGAACCAGGGAAUAACUGAGGGUAUUUGGAUAUUAGAUCAUCUUCUCUUUCCGAGGUUGCUUCUUCCUCGGAAUGGUGUUUCCAUUGUACUUUACACAUCCUGAUAGUUUUACUCCUGGUAAUUCUCUCUGCUGUGUCCAGGACUUUGAUAGGGCUCUCUUCAUAAGUUAGGUCCUCCUGUAAAUCCAGUUCCUCUAGUGGCAACUGUUCUUCAGGCACUCUCAAACAUUUCUUGAAUUGGGAGACAUGGAAAACAUUGUGCACGUUGGAUAAACUAACAGGCAGUUCAAGCUCAUAAGCCACUUCUCCUUUCCUCUCCAAAAUCUUGAAAGGACCAACAUAUCUUGGAGCUAGCUUUCCCUUGACAUUGAAUCUCUUUAGACCUCUCAUCGGAGACACUUUCAGGUAUACAUAAUCACCUGCCUGAAAUACAAGUUCCCUUCGUCUCACAUCAGCAUAACUCUUCUGUCUAGACUGAGCUGCCUUCAGAGUUUGUCGGAUGAACUGAACUCUUUCUUCGGCUAUUCUCAAUGAAUCAGGGCCGAACACUUGCCUUUCACCAGUCUGGUUCCAGAACAACGGAGUCCUACACUUCCUUCCAUACAAGGCUUCAAAAGGAGUCAUCUUAAGACUAGUCUGAUAGCUAUUGUUAUAGGAGAACUCAGCGUAGGGCAAAUUAGCAUCCCAACUAUCCCCGUACUGUAAAGCACAAGACCUGAGCAUAUCCUCUACUAUCUGGUUGACUCUCUCCGUCUGACCAUCGGACUGAGGGUGAUAAGCAGUACUGAAUCUGAGCUCAGUUCCCAAAGCAUCAUGUAACUUCUCCCAAAACUUUGAUGUAAACUGUGUACCUCUAUCAGACACAAUCCUCUUGGGAACUCCAUGCAGACACACAAUCCGUUCCAUAUACUUUUCUGCUAACUGAUCUCCACGGUAGUUAGUUCUGACCGGUAUGAAAUGAGCUACCUUGGUCAAUCGAUCUACUACAACCCAUAUUGAGUCAUAACCUCGUUGAGUUUUCGGCAAUCCCACUAUGAAGUCCAUGCUGAUCUCAUCCCACUUCCACUCAGGUAUCUUCAACGGUUGCAACAACCCUGCUGGCCUCUGAUGUUCCGCUUUCACUCUCUGACAGGUGUCACAUAAUGCCACAUAUUCACCAAUAUCUUUCUUCAUACCAGGCCACCAAUAGUUUUGCUUCAAGUCCUGAUACAUCUUAGUACCUCCUGGAUGAAUAGAGUAAGCAGAUUCAUGGCACUCCUUCAGUAUCACAUCCUUGAUUCUCUGAAUAUCAGGCACACACAAUCGGUCCUUGUGCCAAACAAUUCCUUCUUGAUCAACUUUGAAUCCAGGUGCUCUACCUUCCUCUAUCAGCUUAAGUAUCUUUUUGAUCUCUUCAUCCUCUUUCUGACCUUUUCUGAUCUCUUGCUCAAGAGUUGGUUCUAUGUCCAUAGAAGUACCUUGGGUAUUAGCAACAAACCCCAAAUUGAGAUACUCAAAUUCUGCCAGUAGUUCCAUCGGUAACUCCGUGGCCUCCAACAUAUUCACUUGACUCUUUCUACUCAGAGCAUCAGCAACUACAUUAGCUUUGCCCGGGUGGUAAUGAAUCUCCAGUUCAUAGUCCUUGACCAACUCUAACCAUCUUCUCUGUCUCAGGUUCAAAUCAUUCUGAGUGAAGAUGUAUUUCAGACUCUUGUGAUCCGUGUAGAUAUCACACUUAUGACCCAGGAUGUAGUGUCUCCAGAUCUUCAGUGAAUGGACCACAGCUGCUAACUCAAGGUCAUGAGUUGGAUAAUUCACCUCAUGUUUCUUCAACUGUCUAGAUGCAUAGGCAAUCACCUUUCCCUCUUGCAUCAGUACACAUCCCAAACCUUGCUUGGAAGCAUCACAAUAGAUAGAAAAGCUUUUAGUCACAUCUGGCAAAGUCAAAAUUGGUGCAGUAGUCAACCUCUUCUUCAACUCCUCAAAACUAGCCUGACACUGUUCAUUCCACUUGAAUGGCUUACCCUUCUCUAACAAAGCAGUCAUGGGCUUGGCAAUACUGGAAAACCCUUCAAUGAACCUCCGAUAGUAACCAGCCAUUCCAAGAAAACUUCUGAUCUCUCCAACCGUCUGAGGCGGACUCCACUUAAGAACAUCUGCCACAUUCUUCGGACUGACAGCAACUCCACCAUUUGAAAUGACAUGACCAAGAAAAGACACUUCCUUCAACCAGAAGUCACACUUACUCAGCUUGGCAUAGAGCUGAUGUUCCCUCAAUUUCUGCAACACAAGCCUCAGGUGAUCCUCAUGUUCUUCCUCAGUCUUGGAGUAGAUCAAGAUAUCAUCAAUAAAGACUACCACAAACUUAUCCAAAUACUCCAUAAAAACUUUAUUCAUCAGAUACAUAAAGUACGCUGGAGCAUUAGUCAAUCCAAAAGACAUAACUGUAUAUUCAUAAAGUCCAUAUCUGGUGGUGAACGCAGUCUUUGGGAUAUCACUAGGUUUAAUCCUCAACUGGUGAUAACCUGACCUCAGAUCUAUUUUGGAAAACACACAAGCUCCUUUCAACUGGUCAAACAAGUCCUCUAUUCUAGGCAAAGGGUAUUUAUUCUUAAUGGUGACCUCAUUCAAAGAUCUAUAGUCUACACACAUCCUCUGUGUCCCAUCCUUCUUCUCUACAAAGAUAACUGGAGCUCCCCAAGGUGAGGAACUAGGACGGAUAUACCCCUUAGACUGUAACUCCCGUAGUUGUUUCUUAAGUUCUUCUAACUCAUUAACAGCCAUUCUAUAAGGUCUCUUAGAUAUGGGUGCAGUACCAGGUAAUAAAUCAAUAACAAAUUCGAUCUCACGUUCAGGUGGCAUACCUGGCAAAUCCUCUGGGAACACAUCAGGGAACUCUUUCACAACUUGAAUAUCUUCUACUGACCCACUACUCAGAUGGUAAACUGUUCCUUCACUACUAGGUGACAUAGAAACUCUGACCUCAAUUCUGUUCCCACUAGGUGCAGUUAGAGCCACUGUCUUCUCAGCACACUGAAUAGUACCCUUAAACUUGGACAACCAUCUCAUUCCCAAUAUCAUAUCUAAACCUUCGGAACCCAACACAAUGGGAUUGACAGGAAAAUCUACCCCCCUUAUUUUAAUGCUCAUUCCCGGACACAAAGUAUUAGUAUGCAUCUUUCCCCCAGGUGAUUUAACUAUCAUGGUGUUUUGCAUGGUACAGGUGGCUAUACUAUGUUUCUCAACAAACUGUGCACUUAUAUAAGUAUGUGAUGCUCCAGUAUCAAACAAAACAGUAGCUGGGCAAGAGUUGACAAGAAACAUACCAACUACCACAUCUGGAGCCUCCUCAGCAGUUUCCAACUUCACAUGAUUCACCCUUCCAUUGUUGUUGUUAUUCCUCUGCCUCUGGGGGCACGCAUUCGCGUAGUGUCCAAGCUGACCACACUUGAAGCAGGUAUUUCCAGUGGGGGCGGGGUUGACAUUGGGCUUCAUUGGGACAGUGUUGGAGUUCUGGCGAGAGCCUGAUGGUGCUGGGGCAUUCUGGCGAGGCGCCUGACUAGCGGAGCGCUGCAUUUGGUUGUUGUUGUAGCGUUGGCUCGUCUGCUGACUAUGGUUGCUGUACCUGACAUUCUGUUGCUGUCCUUGGUUGUCUGACUGAUAUGCAGGGCGAGACUGAGGGCCCUGCUGGUUGUUGUAACGGGGACGACUGGCACCAGCCUGCUGCUGAGAGGAGUUAUACUUCCUCUUCUUGUCCUCCAUCUUACGGCGCUUGCUCUCAAGCACCAAUGCCCUGUCCACCAUCUCCUGGAAACUGGCAUACUUGACAUUUGACAUCAUGUAGGACAGACCGUCAUUCAAACCUUCCAGGAAGUGGUCUUGCUUGUCUUCAUCAUUCUCCACUUCAUUGGGGCAAUACCGCGACAACUGAGUGAACUUGUCACGGUACUCACAAACUGUCAUCGAGCCCUGCUUCAGAGACAGAAACUCCUUCUUCUUCAGCUUCACCAAUCCAGCAGGCACAUGAUGAGUCUUGAAGGCGACCUUGAACUCAUCCCAAGUGAUAGUAUCCGGGUCCUGAUGUGCAAAGCAAUAUGAAUCCCACCAGUCCUGUGCGGCUCCCUGAAGCUGCCCAGAGCCAUACAGAACCUUCUCCCUGUCAUUGCACUGAGCAAUGACCAGCUGCUUCUCCACUGCUUUAAGCCAAUCCUCAGCUUGCAUAGGAUCAGCUGAGUGGGAGAAGAACGGUGGGCGUCCCUUCAUGAACUCUCCACGCUUGUCCCUAGGUGGAGCAAACGCGUUGUUACCUCCUUGAUGUUGGUUCUGAUUCUGGUUUUGGUUCUGCUGCAUGUGGUUCAUAAUAUGAGCCAUCCCUUGCAUCAGUUGAGUCUGCAUAGUCAUCAACUGCUCUAUGGUCAUGGGCUGAUUCCCAGGAGGAGGAGGGUUGGCAUUAGUCCCGCUCUGAUCAUUGUUGUUGUUGUUGGACUGCCCAUUGUUUCCUCCAUUGGUGUUGCUCCUGGUGUGGACAGGCAUCUGAUGUAUAAAAAUAAUAUAAUAAAAUCAGAUGCAGUUCAUAUGUGUAAACCUGAGCUGUAAUGUAAACUGCAAUGUGAAAAUCUUUCCUCUCAGUAUGAACCAGCUGAUAGUCACUUUCCUUUCUCAGUUGAUAAUCAUAGUACUCACAACAGAUGUAAUAUAUAGAUACUGAACUGAUCAUGAUAAAGUAAGACUGAUAAGAUAAAGCGAUUAUGAAAUAUGAUAAAGCACAAAUAAAGGAGACCGAUGAUAACCCAAACUAACUAUCUCAAAUAAACUUAAUACUUAAUCUUGUUCUUGAUGCGUUGUGGACAUAACCCACAACUCAUCGCACUCAUUACAAAGAACCAAAUCACACCAUUAACACAAUAAUAAAUCAAGUUCUCACACAGACCGAGCAAAGCACACUAAGCAAACCACUAAGCAAUAGACUCGCAUAACUAAGAUCGUGCUAACGUUCUAAGCGUGGCACUAUUUAUUACUAAGCUGGGAAUAGUUCCUAUUCUAUAGUAGUACGAGCGCUGGCAUCCCCAUAGGCUGGAUCUCCACGAGGCGGAGAGAAAGCAGGCCACUUAGGUGAAGGCGGUGGCACUCCAGUGAUCUGAGCCUCCAGCUGUGCUAUCCUCUUCCUGGCGUCGUCCAACUCCUUCCUGACUUGCUUCAACUCCACUAGUGAAUUGUUGAGCUCGGUGUUAGUGACCGCCACCAGCUUGACAGUCCUGUGCAUGCGGGGGUCUUGCUCAUCAGUGGUGGAAGCAAUAGUCAUCGCCAACUCUCCACGGCGACGGCGAGGGUAGUAACGACGCUCAUCCUGGCUGAUCUCCUCGAAGAAGUGAUCACGGUAUGCGUAGAAAGCCUGGCGAGCAGCAUCAUUAAUGCCUGCCAUCUGGGUAGACCUCUCAGCCACAGCCUCAUGUAUGGACAUGAUCCUCAGUGCCCUCAACGUCGGGUUAGGCCUGCCGACGUGUGCCCAGACCUUCCAGUACGCCGGGUAGUCUGGGUGACUCCAGUGCUCACUGCGGUACUCCACUGAGAACAUGCCAUGUCCCAGCUGCUGGUCAAGGAGACGCUUCAGCUCGCUGUGGAAGAAACACUCUCCACCAUCCCUGGUGCAGACGGUCACAAUCCACCCAUCAUCAGCAGCAAAAAGUCCAUCUUGACCUCCAGGUCCUCCAGGUCCACCGGGUCCUCCGGGUCCUCCAGGUCCUCCAGGUGCAUCCUCAUCAUCAUCAUCCUCAUCAUCAUCAUCCAUGUCAUCAUCACCGAAGGGAUCAUCUCNNNNNNNNNNNNNNNNNNNNNNNNNNNNNNNNNNNNNNNNNNNNNNNNNNNNNNNNNNNNNNNNNNNNNNNNNNNNNNNNNNNNNNNNNNNNNNNNNNNNNNNNNNNNNNNNNNNNNNNNNNNNNNNNNNNNNNNNNNNNNNNNNNNNNNNNNNNNNNNNNNNAAACUUUGGUGGUAUUUAUGGUAAGAUAUAAAAGCAAGUAAUGAAGGUAUAAAGUGAAAACAAGGUAAUGGAAUUUAUUGUCAAGGCAGAAAUAAAACAUAACUCAAGUAAUAAAUGAAAAACAAGGAUCAAGAAGGUAAUAUGAGUAGAAUGAUAAUAAAUGACAAGGUAUAAAAGAAAGGUUCAAAUAACAAGUAGUAAAAGUUGAAACAAGGAUAUAAAUGCAAUAUGAGAAAUAGAAAGCAAUAAAUGAUAACAAGGUAAUAAAUGCAAGAAGUAAGUGAAUAAACUGAACUGUUAGUAAAAGUAAGUAGAUAAGGCUAACAGAUAAAGUCUAAUGAGACAGGUUGGUGAGGUAGUUAAUAGAUCCAAUGGUGUAUUCCACCCAAAAGGGACAAUCUAAACGACUGUUUCUAACUAGGCUGCGUGAUCCUACGGUCAACACGGCUCUGAUACCACUUCUGUCACACCCGGAUGUAAAAGAGCAUUCGGGUGCCAAAUCACAUGUGCGCCAGGAUCUCAAAUUCACACACAUGGACCGACAUCAUCAAUGGUACAAAACACAGUGUUCAAACGAAUUACAUAAAUGAGAGUAAAAGUACCAUUAUUACAAGCCAAAUGUUUAUCAAAGUGCGGAGGGGAAACAUAAACUAAACUGUUCCAUAAAUAAAGGGAAAACUAAACGCCGACGUAGCAGGACCACCUUGCCACAGGAAGGUCGACGGUAGAACCACACGAGCCUAACAACCAGGAGACUCAGGGUAGUCCUCAGGGAAAUCGCAAUUGUACUCCUGAUCGUCCGAGCAACCUUUAAUGAUUAUAGCAAGGGUGAGCUCAUGUCGAACUCAGCAAGCACAGACGGAAAGUAAUGACAUGCAAGGCUUAAAACAAGGUAAAGCUGACUUGGUUUGACUGCGGUAGCAUUUUAGUUGAUCGCUUUUAAUUAUAACAAUUACUAGAACAACCUAUUACUAAAUAUGAGUAGCAUAAACCCAACCUUUAAUUAGUGUAAGUAGUAAUUAGCAUCUUUUUAAAAGACUAUCCUAAUCAUUAUAGUAAUAGGGAUCAACCCCAAUUAUUACCACAGGAUAGCAAUCCUGCCAUCACGGAAUAGCCAUUCCGCCAAAACACGAGGUAGCAACCUCGCCAAGGUCCAUCUCCAAGUAACCAGUGAAUCCAAUUUGCUCAUCAAGUGAGGGUCUGGGCCGCUCGUGACCGUGAGCACGGCUGAUAUAUCAGUUUUACACUCUGCAGAGGUGUGCACGUUCACUCCAAGUCGUGAUUCCCAUUUGCCCGGGGUCGCGACUCCCCAAAACACUUCCAAGGUGAGCAGGCAGGGUCUCACUACGAGACCUUUCACAGGGUCCAACUAAUAGGAUGCCACUCGCAAGUUUUUGCCGGGGCGCUCGGCAGUCGAUACCCAUAGCCAUGGCGUACCGAUCAACCGACAACUUAAUAUUCAUUACCCAAGUUACUUCCUUACGCCUACCCGGAAAGUAACACCCUACUAGUGGAGGUCCUGCUAAUUAGUCAAGCCAGAGCCAUAUAGCUUGGAGCUGCACUGUAAGUCCCAGGGGGCCGCUCCCUGACUAAGUCCUUACGGAGAGCAGAGACGGGUACGCCCGGCAAUCCGGACCACCAACGGUACCCGCUCCCCCUGUCACCACCAUCAUCACGAUGCUCGCAAGCAUCCAACAUCGCCAUCACCGCAGUGACCAAAGAUUCAGCACAGUUUAAGCAUCAAGUUAAGUAGAGAGUAAUUCUUGUUUAGACAUGUGUAUAAGAUGAGUAGAGCAGCUAAGCAGACCUAGUAUAGCCUAGUCUACCCAAAUACAUAACCCCCAGGUGAGCAAGGAAUAAUAAGUAAAGCUAGUCAUGUCCUUAGGGUUUGCAUUCAUUGGACACAUGCAUAUAAAGUAAAUGACAUUAAUGAGUAGGUUCGAAAUGAUCAAUGGUGUCUGCACUUGCCUUGAUCGAAGUCGGGUUGCUCGAACUCAGCGGGAUCCUGAACCUCUUCCUUCACGAACGUCUCGUUGGCUAUACGCGACAAUCAUCAAUCAUAGGGACAAUACAUGCAAGCAAACAAACUUAAUCAGAAACAGUACACCAAAGCAUGCGAAAACAAAAAGCAACUGCACUACUGUAAUCUACUCGGCGAAACGAAACCAUAGCGACCAGAAUCACCUAAAUCGGAGUUACGAUGCAAAAGUUAUGGCUAAAACAAGUUGAAUGGCAUUUUUGUAGAUAAACUGAACUAUUUUUCGUAAUAAAACUAAUUAAAACUGAAUUAAAACGCAUUUUAGAUUAAAUAUAUAAAUAGCAACGGGUGCAGGGGUUAAACUGUAAAAGCAGGGGCACAUUUUCAAUGAAACUAUAACUGAGUUGGAUCGCGGGUUAAUUUUUAAGAAACGCGAGGGCCUUUUCGCAAAAAGGCCAGGGGCGCGCGGGCUGGCCAGCUUGGCUGGCCACGUGGCGGCCGGUGAGUGGCCGGUCUACAGCACUAUGCUGUAGACCGGGGCGCGGGGGGGGGACAGGCCGCGGUCCACGGUGGACCGCGCCUACGGAGCGGCGGGGCGGCGGCCUCCUAGACCCGGUCCAGUGGACCGGCCGCACGGGGGGCGCAGGGCCGCGGUCCACGGUGGACCGCGCGCCGGUGCGGAGCGCAGGGGCGGCCGGCGGCGGCGGUGGCGCCAUUGGAGCCGCCCGGAGCUUCGGCGGCGGCGCUGCAGGGCACGGGGGAGCGUGCCCGAGGCACGAACGGGGUCGGCGCGUCACGACGAGCGCGAUGGCGGGCUUACCUUCGCGAGCGGACGACGACAAAGAGAAGGCCGACGGAGGCGGCGCGGAUUUUGAUGGCGUCGCUGCGGAAAACGGCGAGCUCGGGCUAGGGUUUCGCGUAGGGGCGCGUGCGGGCGAGGCCGAGGCCUUAAAUAGGACGGUGGUCCCGGGGUCCUCGUUCCGCGCGCGGCACGGAAGCCGAGAGGCGGCGCGGCGGCUGCCCCGUCCGUUUCGGACGGGAGGUUGGGGGCGGCCCUGACGGGUGGGGCCCACCCGUCAGCGGCAGCGGGCAACAGGGGCGCUGCUGGGCCGCGGCUUGGGCCGAAGCGGGAGAGGGGGGGGGCGCGGCUGCUGGGCUGGGGAGAGAAGCCGGCCCAGAGAGGGCGCUUGCCCCUUUUUUUUUUCUUUUUUUUUAAACAGAUUUCCCCUAUUUAAUUAUUGCUCCGAAAUUCAAAUAAAGCCACAAACAAAUAAAUAAAAUCAAGCAAAAAUCAUGCUGCAGCAUGAAUGCAAACUUAAACAUGUUUCUACCUUAUAUUUAAUUUUAUUUAAUUUUGUAAAUUAUUUAAUAAUUCCCAAAAAUUCAAAUUGAGCCAAAAUUAAAUCAAAUUUAAACUAAAUUUAAAAUUCAAAAAUUUGGAGUGUUAUACCCUGUGGAUGAUAAAUGAUCCUCUGGCGCUUUUGACCGCGACCAGAGAAAGAAGAGGAAGCAGCCUUCUUCUUGGCUUCCUUAUGUUUCCUAUUCUUUUCCUCUGAGGCGGUAGCAAUAUUUACCGCCUCAUAGAAAGUAGCAUUUUGGCAAGUGGUCAUCAUGGUUUGAAGUUUAGUAUUUAGACCACGCAUGAAACAGGCUUUCCUCUUUCUGUCAGUGUUCACAUGAUCCGUGGCAUAUUGAGAGAGAUGAUUAAACCUUGCCACGUAUUCCAUAACACUUUUAUCGCCUUGCUGCAAGGCGAGAAACUCUUCGGCCUUCAUGGCCAUGAGCCCUUCGGGGAUGUAGUGGGCGCGGAACGCGUCCUUAAAUUCGGUCCAAGUGACUUGGUGUCCGGGAGCUUGAAUAGCUAAGAAGUUCUCCCACCAGGCACCUGCAGCUCCCCGAAGCUGCUGAGCUGCAAAUAAGGGUUUCUGAGUUUCUGAACAUUGAAUCAAACUGAACUUAUGCUCCAUGGUUCGGAGCCAGUCAUCCGCUUCUAAAGGCUCAUCGGCCUUAGUGAACACCGGGGGCCUGGUCUCGGUAAAGUCCACAUACCGAGCCUCUCCGUCCCCGUUGCGCGGUGCCCUGAAGUUUGGAGCAGGGUGUGGUUGACGCUGUGCUAGCUCGCGCAGCAAGCGAGCAUUGUCAGUAGUGGCACUUAACAAAACAGCAAUGGCGUCAGCCAAAGAUGGCGGAGCAGGUGGAGGGUUGGGGAUAUCAUCCCCUCCCUGAGAUGUUCCAGCUCCAUCAGAUCCGCGAGUACGCAUUGGCAUCUGUUACAAGAAUCGUAGAUACCUGUUACCACGUGAAAUUCAUAACACAGAACAUAUAUUACAUUCUUUCAUUCACUUAUUAAACAUUAGUUCGACACACCAAGAGUAAACAGGUACAACUUCUCAAACCGAAAGAGAACUUAUAUUACAAACCCGAACCCCACUACGGCAAGCUAAGACCCCUACAACGACGUUGCCCUCGGUUUCACCGAACUAAUCGGUGUGGCCAGAGCUGUAGCCCGGGUCGUCAUCGCCAUCAUCCUGAUUACCCCCUGGGUUGUUGUUAUCGGGGUCGGACUCCUCUUCAUCAUUGAGGCCUGGGUCAGGUUCUCCAUCGUCUGCCAACUCGCCAUCCGUAUCCAUUUCUCCUUCGCCGGGAGGUGGGUGGAGUUGAUGAUACAGAUCAAAUGCAAUAUCACGAUAUUGCAUAGCCAGGUCAUUGACUGUAUCUAAGUGAUGUGCCAGCUCCAGUUUCUCCAGCUGGAGCUGGUCCCCUCGUUGCCACGCGACAUCCCGUUGUGCGGUGACCGUGGCCGCCAUCUUCACAUACAAAUCCUUAAGAUACCUUGCCUUGCCCAACUUUGCGUUCAUCCUAGUUAGCUCAUGCCUAUGGGUGCUCCUAGCUUCUUCCUCUCGGGCAAUGGCUGCAUUCCGCUCCUCCACCAUCCGGGACAACAUAGCUUCACAGUUUUCCGUAGCUUGUUUUUCUUUGGCCAGUUGAACUUUAAGCUUGCCAAUCUCCAUAAUAUUGUACAUUCUCUCUCUCAUCACCUCAGUCAAUUCGGCGGACAACCUGUCCACCUCCUGCUGAGGCGGUGAACGGCUACUACUGGCUUGAUCACUGCGUGGAGCUAGCUGAUGUCGGGGAACUCCUUUUGGACCGGUCCGCUUACGCGGGGUCUGCUUCUGACGAGCCAUCCUAUAGAGGGUAAGUUUAGAUUAGUAAGAGAGACCUUAAAGGUUAGCAAGAAUAGGAUUGAUUCUAUUCACCCAACCCAACAAGGAGGAAGGAACUUAACCAGUUAAUACAUCAUGAUGCAUGCACGAACUUACGAUUCCUACUAACAAUUCGUAACGAUAUUACUUUAAACUUUUACAACAUAGGGCAAUACUUUAGGUUGCUCCUCCAUACCACUUCAAAAAUUCUAAGAAAGCCUAUAGACAGGGGUAGAUUAGGGCUAAGCACUUGGACUCAAAAUAGGCAGGUUCAUAGUAUUAGAUCCAAACGAAUUUUUUGAAAUUUUUCACUAGGUACAGCAGUCAUCUUAGCAACGAAUGCUCUGAUACCAGCUGUGGCAGAACCUCCUAAGUGUUUGGGCCCACCGACACCUGCCAUUGUCCUAAGGACCUCUGACGGUGAUGCCGGGAGUCCUCCCACUUUAGAAGUCCGAUGAGCAUUGCUGGGCGCUCAUUCCACUGCUACCUGUGGCGUACCAAGUUGGCUCGUCCUGACCACUGGUAAUGGUCAAACAACGAGAACUGUUUCUUCUCGCCCUUACAGGUUAACAAGUGGCCACCUUAACACCAGGAUCACUCGUUGCGAAGAUAAAGCAGUAACUCAACGACACACGACCAAAAUAAUAUUUCAGAGUGAAACAGCGGAAGUAUUACAUAACUUAAUUUACAAAAGGAGUUCUUCCAAAUAGUAGAGUGUUAUUACAAGCCUGGUCCAGCGGAGCAACUGAAACUUUAGUAUAGACAGAACAAAUUUACAGACCCUGCCCAUGGGUCACGCUCACUCUUCUUCGUCGUCAACCUCGACGACGGUCACACAACAGGGUCCGAAACAAGUCGGCUCCUGUGCUUCACCUGCAACAGGGGUUAUAAAACCCUGAGUACGGGGGGUACUCAACAAGACUUACCCGAUGGGAAAAGAGGAGAACUUAGGGAUGCAGGCUUAGGGUAGACAAGGAGUGGCUGAGCAAGGAGCCAAAGUGUUUUGCAUAAAAAGCUUACUAGUAGUGCAUCCUUAUUUUCAAGUUUUACCCCCGAAUUCCUCCCUCGCAGAGGCCGAGGAGUUCGAGGACAGUCUAACUGGUUGUUUCCCCACAGACGAAUCCGUGAGUUCCUAGUCCUAUCAUAAAGUAUUAUUUAUCGAUGGCCAUAGCUUCAUGUCGCUAUGAGUCCGAGAAUUGGGAUCCGAACCUCAUGGGACAUUUUCCCCUUUCUCAUGUUAUCAUUCAGUUGCAUAUUUAACUACGAUGAGGGUCGAAGGAAUGGAGUCUCCCAAUCGGGGAGCAACGACGAUUCGAAUCGCUUAGCAAUCCAGCUGGAGUUCCUAAACACCCGACAUAUGUAGAACCAAAUCUUGCAUAUAUCAACCCAAAUCAAGCUCUCCCCAAAUUUGACCAGGUUCGCGGCACCCGAGAGCACAGUACUCCACCAUCCUACAGCCGAUCUAGAUGUUUUCCGGUCAUCUCAGAUCCGUAAGGUGGGUACACACUACUCUCGCCAUCUUUCCACUCCUAGUGCGCGAGUAGCUGUUCGCGUCGAGGGAUCACAAGACCGGGCUUACCGAAGGCAAGUGGCUAGUACUAUAAAUUCUCAACCCAGCAGGCCAUCAACGGAACGGUCCUUAAUCAACACAGUCGGAGACACUACUUUAAGACUCCAUUCUUAGAGCAAGUCCACCGACCGGUCUCAAAUUGAAACAUCAUUGAUCGUAAGUGUAACCCACAACAACCCUUCAAACUUUCUUGUUUAAAAACCUAUCUAGUAGCAGGGCUAAGCAUCGCUACGCAGUUUUAAAAUAAAACAGGUGUCAAGGACAGGAUACAGAUAUCAAGGUAGUGAAUGCAGCAAGUAGGUUAACCCAAUUCUCAACUACCUAAUGCAACAUUUUCAAUUCAUAAGUGACAAAAGAUUUAAAACAUCCAAGGAGGGGUUAAUGCAUCCGGGCCUUGCCUUGGUUGCAGGGCAGAGAGGGACCCUCGGAGACUUCCCAAGUCUCGAAUCCGACUUCCUCGAACGGAGCACCGACCUCGGGGUUCGGUUCAACGGGCGCUCCUUCGGUCACGGACACUAUACGCAAAAUGAUGAAUGCUUAUGAUAUGCGUAUGACAAAUAUGCAAGAAGGACCAAAUCGAGUACAACUCGCCUUCUUGAUGCAAUACAGAAUUAUCGCUAAAUAAAGUUGCUUAAUAACUUAAUGAUUUUACCCAAGAGGUUGCAUCUGUAAACUAAGACUUUAUUUAAUUCAUACUUAUCUUAGUUAAUUAUUAAUCCUAAUUACCUUAAUUAACUCUUAAUUAAUUACUAAUGACAGUAAUUAAGCAUUAAGGCUAAAGAAUAAUUAAAUGCCACAGGUCAUUAGGGUUAAUGACCUCAGGUCAUCACACAAUCCCAAAAUCACUCAACCCUAAUUAUGAGGAUCUAAAUAAUCACUAUUUAAUUAUUUUGGAAUUAUUAUUUAAGUGCUAAAUAAGGGUUUAUUAAUAUUUUAAACAAACAUUAUCCAAAUGCCACCAAAUUUUGGGUGGAGCCAGGGAAUAAUAUUCAGAGGCUCCCCAUAAUUUUUGGUGAUUUUUGGACAUACAAUUAAAUUAUUAAAAAUCAUACAAGUUUUAUUUGCUAAUUAAAAGGGCAAAUUUUUAUAGACAUGUAAACUACCAGAAAACAGAAUCCACUAUUUUUCUUGUGUUCUACCCACUUUAUGGAACCUAUACAAAAACUUUCAUCAUUUUUGGAUUAGCACACCAUUUAACAUAUAAUUUCAAACAUCAAACAAAAAUUGCAUAAAAAGAAAAAGAAAAGGGUCUUUGCGCAGUGGGCGGCCUGGAUCUUGGCCCGCAGGCCGGCUCAUGUGCGCUCGGCCCACAACCGCGUUGUGCAGACGGCCCGCUUAAACACGGCCCAAAUCGGCCCGGGGGCGCUCCACCGCGCGGACGGCGCGCGCUGCCCCCUCUUCUCACGCUGCGGGACGCUGACAGGGGGGUCCCACCUGUCAGCUUCGCCUCCCACAUGCACGGCGGCCUUGCCGCGCUUCCGGCCGCCGAUAGCGAGGUUUUGAGCCUGCGUGUGCGUGCGCAAACGCUUCGCCUCGAAAUCGCGACCACGUUGAUACCCUUUAUCCACGCUCUACCCUACCACCACCACCCCGGCCACGAGAAAGGCGGGCGGCCGCCAUGGCCGACCCUCGGCCGGCCGCUAGAGCCCGGUAGAGUGCACACGGAUGGAACCGGGAGCUUCCAGGAGGGUUAAGGAGUACGGUGCUCACGUCACCACGGCGGGAGAAGCAGUAGAAGACUCUGGCGUCGUUGGCUGAGUAGUCAGGCGGGUGCUCCGGCUCCGGCGAGGUUGUUCCGGCGGUCCUGUUGGCGUCCAGUGAGAAAUAGCGAGCGCAUGAGUAUCGGGGAAACAAGAAGAACUCGAAACGACUGCCUUCAAGGCGUGGUACCGACUGGAGCAGCGUGCUCACGUGAAGGGUUCCACGGCGGCGACGCCGGCCGGACUUAGAGAAGAAGGAGAAGCUCUGGCGUUUGAGGGGGUUAGGGCGUGAGCUUGGGGGUGCUCUGGGUCCGCAAGGAGAUGGCGAAUACGGCAGAGUACUCAAUUUGGCGCGAGGGGAACUGGGUACGGUGGAUUUCAGAGAGAGGGAUGUCGAGUUUCUCCGGCCGUGGACAGCGAACACGGACGGCGUCGUCCACGUCGGUGCUCAAGUGGAGGGGAAGGCAAGCCCGAGGCAUCCACGUCGCCUGGCGACCCUGGCAGCAAGCAGCUGCGUGCACUCACGCAUGCGCGCGGCGCUGCUCGCGCGGCAGCUGCGCUGGACAGGGAGCCGGUGAUCCCUAUCGGAUCACUGUAGCAACCCCUAUCUUCCCCCCUUUUAUCCUCUUGCGAAUUUCAGCCAAAAUUUGAACUAAAGUCCAAUUACCACCAAAAUAAGAGUUGUACAAAAUUUUGUAAACUACAAAUCAUCUUUUGGUGCCCAGAGCUGAUUCCGAGUGGAAGGUAGCCAAUUUGGCCAAACAGUUUGGAAUUUCAACUCAAAUCAAUGAAAUUCAAAUUUUUGAAUUGGGGGCAAAACAGGAUUUCCAAAAUUACUUUUGUUUUUCCUAAACAGCUUGAAAAACUCCCAACAUGAAAGUUGCUCAAAUUUUUGUGCUCUACAACUUUCAUGUUGACCACUUUUCAAAAUUCCAAAUGGAUUUUGAAUUGAGGGUUUAAGUUGGAAAAGGGGACACUUUCUGGAAAUCUGUAUUUUCAAAAUUACUUUGAAGUUUGUAUUGAAACUUCAAAAACUCAAAACACCAAAGUUGUACAUCUUGCCAAGAGCUACAACUCUGCUUUUGAACUCAACCUCAAUUUUUGCUUAGUUUUUGACUUAUGCAAAAGGGGACAAAUCUAGGAUCCAGAAAUCAGGGUUUUUCCCCCCUUAGCUUUUCGGAAAAAUUCCACCCUAGGGUUUUUAGCAACCACACAAGCAUCAACAUCCCACAUAAACACACUCUACCUCCCUAAGCUCAAGCAAUAAAAAUAAACUUGUUUUAAGUUGAUGCAUACAAAUGUGCUUUAACAACUAUGCUUUGCAAUGCUUAUGAUGACAUGAUCCGUUUUUAGUAACCGUAACAUCGGGGAUGUUACAUGAAGUAGUAUUUCGUAGUGUAGGCGUGUGUUGACACCAUUUUUGGGCACGUGUCCAGGCCGACAGGAUAGGACGGCAGUGUUUUAUUUACAGGAUGAGUUGCCGAUGAGGAUGGUUGCCGAUGAAGGAGAUGUUGAACAUGAUUAAGUCUACAGGCGGUGAUCUGUUUGUACCGAUGGCUAUGAUGAGGAAGUCUGCCGAUGAUACGAAAGGAGAGUUCGGAAGCCGCCGAUGGUUUGUGGAAGAGUUUCAGUUUGUCACGGGGGAUAGUUUUGUUAUUUCCUUAAUUAUUUAAAUCGUUUUGUAUACGGAUUCCGUGUAAUUUGGAAUUCGAAUUCUAAUCGUGUCUGGCUGUAGCUCUUUGAGCAGGGUAUAAAUAUAGACCCUAGGACCUUGUAAUGAGACAUCUAUCAAUCAAUCAAACACACGUUUUUACUCAUAUUCCAGCAUCUACUUUUUUCGACGACUUCGUCAUACUUUUUUUCCCUUUUAUUACGAGUUCUUAGGAAUUCGUCGACUUAAGCUCGGCGUGUUCUCGAGUUCCGCGUAAGUACCUCUUAGCCGUGACAUCCGGGCGCAUCGCUGUUGUCACGACUAAAGUACUCGAGUUAUCACCUUUGCCGAUAGUAAGGUUAAAUCGGCUGGCACGCCUUAACGUUUGAAUCGGGUAUUAGCCCUUUGUGUUUGCAGACCAGCUUUUGCACCAACACAUCUUUUGGCACGCCCGGUGGGACUAAUCCAAGAUCAAGAUAAACAUGUUGACUUCUGAGUUUGAUCAAGAGAACGUCAUCCCCGUGACGGAAGCCAAUCUCAAGGAUGAGCAGAAGCAAGCUAUUGCUAAAGCCAUGGAGGAUUGCAAGCAACAAUGCCUGAGGUCCUUCAGCAUGAACAGGAGCGGUGAGGUGAUUCAGAAGGAUGCACUGCCGGCCCCUCGGCAGGUUACUUUUGAGUCCAAUACUGGUAAACUUCAAGAUAUGGUUGACAGCGCUAUCAACCGUGCUUUGAUCAACCAAGCUGGUGUACUGUCUAAUACGGUUUUCAAUGCCGUGGCAAGAACUUUCAAGGAAGGACAAAUCCCACCAGAUUAUGUGGGCCCCACUUAUCACCAGCCAAAGUCACCAGUGGUCACAGCUCCAUCGGCUGCCACGGCCACUGCGGGUAUGGAGAUUCCUGUUCCACCAAGUACGUUAGGAGUCACCAAUGGACAGUCUAUGCUGAUGACAACUAAUCCCCAGACUUCGGACGGGCAGAUUAAACUUGCCACAGAUCUGUUAGCAUCGGCAAUGACAGGGUUAACCUCUCCUCCCAACUAGUGGGGUUAUGGCAUGCCUCCAGAGUUAACACCGGGUACGUCACAGAUGACUGAUAUGAGAGGCAAGACUCCUAUGGCUUCGGCACCUCCUAAUAUGCCGAUGAACCAGAGUCCCCAGUAUACUACAACUACUACUGCAAGACCUCAUACUGGGAAUUCUCAAGCUCCAAUGUUCCAGAUGCCUAACGCAUCGGCAGACUCGAUGCUGAUGCAACAGAGGUCUAUGGCUCAAUCAGGGUAUGUCAAUUCGAUGAUGAUGCCCAAUUACCAGUCAUCGCAGGGCCUAUGCCGAUGAAUGCUAAUAAUGGAUGGCUUGGGCAGCAAGUCUUUCCGCAAACACCCCUACAGAGUCACCAGGCUACAGGGUUCCAGCAAGGACAGAUCUAUCCCGGGUUCCAGAAUAAGGGGAUCCCUAACCAGCCAAUGAAUCUCGGGCAGCAGUUCGUCGGAUAGCAGAUUGGCGGGCAACAGCUUGGUGGUCCACAGGUUGGAGGCCGGGUGAUCAACCCCAUGUUCCGUGCAGAUCGUGCACCGAACAGACACAUGGAGGCCUACCAGCAGGCACCUGAUCCGCAACCACCCCAUCGGCAAGAUGCCGAUGCAUACUGGGCCAAUAAGAUUGCUGAAGUAAUGAGAGACCAAUUCGGGAUAAAACCCAAAGUCAAUACUUACUCUUAUCGGACAACGUAUCCUCCCGCAUAUGAUUUGAUCCCGCUUCCGCAUCGGUACAAGGUGCCGGAUUUUACUAAGUUUUCUGGGCAAGACGACACGUCAACCAUGGAGCAUGUCAACAGGUUCAUCAUUCAAUGCGGAGAAGCCGGUAACAGGGACGAAUUGAGGGUUCGUCUAUUUUCAUCGUCAUUGUCUGGAUCGGCCUUUACCUGGUUCAUAUCACUACCUCCCAACUCAGUGAUUACUUGGGCCGAUCUGGAGAAACAAUUCCACAAAUACUUCUUUUCCGGGGUUCAUGAGAAGAAGAUCACCGAUUUGGUCAAAUUGAGACAACGCAAUGAUGAAUCGGUUGAGGGUUUUGUACAGAGGAUACGGGAAGUCAAGAACAAGUGCUAUAGUCUGGUUCUGGACGAUCGGCAGCUAGCCGAUUUGGCUUUCCAGGGUUUGUUGCCGCACAUCACAGACAAAUAUGCAUCUCAGGAGUUUGAAAGCUUAAGUCAUUUGGUGCAGAGGAUUUCUGAUCAAGACAUCAAGCCUUUCGAGCCCAAAAGAGCAUGGAACAAGAAGGUAUCAUUUGUUGAUGAGGCAACAAGCUCAGAUUCUGAUGAGGAACCAGUCAUCGGCUUGGCAGAAUGGGUAAAGAACAAGAAGCCGAUGUCUUGCCCUUUUGGGCAGAAGGAACUAGAAAAAUUCGCUUUUGACACCGCUAAGGCCGAUAGGAUAUUUGAUUUUCUACUUCAGGAAGGUCAGAUCAAGCUGUCUCCUAAUCACGUGAUCCCAUCGGCUGAGGAGUUAAAGAGGAUGAAAUAUUGCAAGUGGCAUAAUGCAACUUCUCAUGACACCAAUGAGUGUAUGGUUUUCAGGCAGCAGCUGCAAUCGGCUAUAGAGUUUGGGAGAAUCAAGUUUGACAGUUCCAAGACUCAGAAGCCGAUGAAGAUAGACCAACAUCCUUUCCCAACAAACAUGUUGGAUGCUAAGGGAAAGGCUAAGGUCUUAACGUCAGAAGCAGCCGAGAGAAGUGCAUCGGUAGAUCCUCAGUAUCAAGUUACUACUGCCGAUGCAAGUGGUAGGGGCUUGAUUCAGGAAGGAACCAGCUCAGGUAGACCUCCUCGGUCUGGCAUCGUUAUAACUCAUAGAAGGCCUCGAGAUAACUGGUAGCAACGGGAAGAUCGGUAUCGGCGCCAGCAAGAAGAUUAUCGUCGGGAGGAAGAGAGACGCCGACAGGAGUGGAAUCGGCAUAGAGAUCACUGGAACUGUCCAUUCUUCAUCCAUUGUUGGGAGGAGAAUAUUAAGCUUCCCACUGUCAGAGACGACCCUGAGUGCAACGGUUAUGAUCGGUAUGAUAGGACCGAUCGGCGUUAUUACGAUGACAAUCGGCGAUUUGAUGGGCCGAUCAGAGGAAGAGCAUCAGUUCAUGAUAGGCUGGGGGCAGGCUCAGCGUGCACGAUAGGCUUGGUGAUCGUGUCCAAUAUUUUCCCAGGAACCAGGAAGAGCUCGAGGAGAUGGCUAAUGCACGAGUCCCCGAUGAGUUCAUAUUUUGCAGGGAUGCUAACACGCAUCGGAUGGAGUCAAGAGAGAUCAACGCCCAGCAGCAAGGCAGAAGCCACUUCCUCCAUGGUGUCCGGAAGUGUUGACCAAGACACAGAAAAGGAGAUUGCAGCGUGGAAGGCAAGAGGAGCUAAGCAAGGGCGAGAACUCUGGUCAGUCUGGAGGUCAGCAGCAAUCAGAUCCUAAGAGGGAAGGUCCAUCGGCAGGGGUUAACAUGUUUUUUAUGUUGCCGAUGGAGUUUCUUGCGCCAUCCAGUGAUGAUGAGUUGGAAUUUUCUGGUCAGAUAGCUCAGUUGGCUUUGGAUCCGAUGACAGCUAUCUUUGAGAAACCUGCCGAUGAUGAAAGACAGCAUCUCAAGGCUCUGUUCGUCAAAGGGAGGGUUGACAGGCAGCCAAUGACCAAGAUCUUAGUUGAUGGUGGGGCUGCUAUCAAUAUCAUGCCAUAUGCAGUAUAUCGGAAGCUUGGGAAAGGAGAUCAGGAUUUGACCAAGACCGAUAUGAUGCUUAAAGAUUUUGAGGGAAACGUGUCUCCAGUCAAAGGGGCAAUAUGUGUAGAGUUGACCAUUGGCAGCAAAACCUUGCCGACAACUUUCUUCGUGAUCAGCGGAAAGGGGGUUUACAUCUUAUUGUUGGGAAGAGAUUGGAUUCAUGCCAAUUGUUGCAUCCCAUCUACAAUGCACCAAUGCUUGGUUCAGUAGGUAGGUGACAAAAUUGAGAUUGUCCCGGGGGAUUCUUCUUAUGUUAUUGCGUCGGCAGAGGCGGAUACCUAUGAGAGGACUAGGUGCAUUUUAGGAGAAGUUUGGGAGAAAGAUUUUUCAAGGUUGCCGAUUACGAAAUUCCACCGAUCCAAGCAGUCGGUUCUGACGAAGGUUUUUAAUGGAUAGGUUCGCCGAUGAUGGAAAAUUGGGCCAGGGGUUCACAUCGGCCGACGAUCUAGUAGAGGUAGAUAUAGGUAGUGGUGAUAAACCUAGACCCACUUUUAUUAGUGCUAAGUUAGAUUCUGAGUGUAAGCAACAGUUGACUGAUUUGUUAAAGGAAUAUAAAGAUUGCUUUGCUUGGGAUUAUACUGAGAUGCCUGGUUUGGAUCGAUCAAUUGUUGAACAUCGGUUACCUAUUAAGUCUGGAUUUCGGCCACAUCAACAGCCAGCUCGCCGAUGUAAUCCUAACAUCCUCCCUGAUAUUAAGGCCGAAAUCACCAAACUUAUUGAAGCUAAGUUUAUUCGGCAGUGUCGGUAUGCCGAAUGGAUUUCCAAUGUUGUUCCGGUCUACAAGAAGAAUGGGAAACUUCGGGUCUGCAUUGAUUUCAGGAAUCUCAAUAAAGCUACGCCGAUGGAUGGAUACCCAAUGCCAAUUGCCGAUCUGUUGGUUGACGCUGCGGCUGGGCAUCGAAUUAUUAGCUUUAUGGAUGGCAAUGCAGGAUACAAUCAAAUAUUCAUGGCUGAAGAAGAUAUUCCAAAGACUGCGUUCAGAUGCCCUGGUCAUGUUGGAUUGUUCGAGUGGAUAGUCAUGACUUUUGGCCUUAAGAAUGCUGGUGCUACUUAUCAGAGGGCCAUGAAUUUUAUAUUUCAUGAGUUCAUCGGCAAACUGGUAGAAAUUUUAUAAUCAGGCUGAGUAUCAGGCUUUGAUAAAAGGAUUGGAGUUGUUAAGAGAAGUUCGUGCUGACGCUGUCGAAGUCUUCGGGGAUUCUAUGUUGGUUAUAAAUCAAUUGGCCGGGAGCUAUGAAUGCCGAAGUGAAGUUCUCAUAACCUAUUACGAGAAGAGCAUGCAACUGUUAAAGGAAUUAAAAGAUUUCCGUUUAGAGCAUGUUCCCCGAUUUCAUAAUGAAGAGGCCAAUCGGUUAGCUCAGCAUGCCUCAGGAUAUCAGCCUAUGAUUAAUAUAGUAUCGGCGAUCGAUGCCGAUGAUUGGAGGAAAGAAAUUAUUGAUUAUUUGAAAGAUCCAUCUAAGAAGGUUGAAAGACGAGUUCGAUUUCAAGCGACCAAAUAUGUGCUCCUCGAAGAUGAAUUAUACUAUCGAACUAUUGAUGGAAUUCUUCUCUGAUGCUUAGGUAAUGAUGAAGCUAGGAGUUUGAUGGGAGAAAUUCAUGAAGGGGUGUGUGGAGCACAUCAGUCGGCUUUUAAGAUGAAGUGGAUGAUUAGGAGGAAUGGAUAUCAUUGGCCGACUAUACUUGAGGAUUGCUUUAAGUAUUUCAAAGGGUGUCAGGGAUGUCAGAAGUUUGGUAAUAUUCAAAGGGCACCUGCAUCGGCUAUGAAUCCUAUCAUAAAGCCUUGGCCGUUCCGAGGAUGGGCUAUUGAUCUGAUCGGCCAGAUUUAUCCACCAUCUAGCAAAGGGCAUAAGUUUAUUCUAGUUGCCACUGAUUACUUCACUAAGUGGGUCGAGGCUAUUCCUUUGAAGAAAGUCACAUCGGCCAAUAUGAUUGAUUUUGUGAAGGAGCAUAUUAUUUACCAAUUCGGGAUUCCUCAAACGAUUACUACCGAUCAGGGCACUAUGUUUACUUCGGGGGAAUUUGAUGAAUUUGCAAUCGGUAUGGGGAUUAAAGUGUUGAAUUCUUCUCCUUAUUAUUGUCAAGCCAAUGGGCAGGCCGAGGCAUCUAACAAAGGAAUUAUCAAGCUUAUCAAACGAAAGAUUGAAGAAAAUCCUAAGCGGUGGCAUACAUUAUUAAAUGAAGCGUUGUGGUCCUAUCGGAUGGCUUGUCAUGGAUCAACCAAGGUGUCACCCUAUCAAUUGGUAUAUGGACAUGAUGCAGUGUUACCUUGGGAAAUUAAGGCUGGAUCUAGGCGAUUAUCUUUUCAAGAUCAAUUAGCUGCCGAUGAUUAUGCCACUUUGAUGACCGAUGAGUUAGAUGAUCUAGCAGGACAUCGGUUAAAGGCUUUAAUGAGUAUAGAAGAAAAUAAGAAGAGAGUUGCUAGAUGGUAUGAUAAGAAAGUAAAGGCUAAGGAGUUUGCCGAUGGGGACUUGGUAUGGAAAUUAAUUUUACCAAUCGGGACUAAAAGUUCGAAGUUUGGAAAGUGGUCUCCCAAUUGGAAAGGUCCUUAUCGGAUAAGUUGAUCGGCUCCUGGAAAUGCCUAUAUUCUAGAAACUCUCGAAGGAGUUGAAUUUCCCAGAGCAUUAAAUGGCAAAUAUUUAAAGAAGUACUACCCCAGCAUAUGGGUCGAUGCAUAAAAGUUUAAGUGCCGAUAACACUCCUAUCGGCUGGAUUUAAAUGUUUGAGGGCAGGACUUAAUGUUUCAAAAGAUGCCGGUAACAGUCCUAUCGGCUAGACUAAAAGCUAAAAGAGCAGGAAAACACAGAUGUGUUGCCGAUGAGAGCUUCACGUGUUCAGCAGCGUCUGGAUCGCCGAUAUGGCGCGUAGCCGGAUUUGGUUGACUGCUUCUAUCUCCUUGAUAUCGUCAUCGGCAGAGCCUUCUAUCGGCUUCAGCUUCUUCUUCAACUGUAGCGCCUUGCGACCGUGGACGUUCCGCUCAUGCUCAAGGAGCUUGAUGGUCUCUGGCAGUUGACUCUCUUCCUGUUGGGCUUGGGACAAAGCGUCCUCUACUUGUUUGAGUUCUGGCAACAGGGAUUCCUUUUUUGCCGAUAAAUCAGAUAUCUUCUGCUUCAGCGUGUUUCCUGAAGAUCUCAAGAUGCCGAUGUUCUUGUGCUUCUCAUCGGUCAGGAGCUUCUCUUUCCUCAUUUCUUCAGAGAGCUGAGUCUGAGCAGCUCUAUCGGCAAGACGCCGAGAAGCCCUCUGGUACUGCAACUGACGACUCUCCAAAUGUGCGGCUUGGAAGAGGAUUUCUUCGACGUCGGCUGGGAUCUGGCCUCUGAGAGUUCUGAAUAGAACUUUGGCUGGGUCGGAGUCAUCGACCAAUUGCGCUGUGUCUUGAUGAAGGAGGACCGACAAUUCUUCCAGCUUGGCCCUGAUCUCUGCCGAUGUGAUGCCAACUGUCUGGGAAGAGCUUGCUUCUUCACCUUCUUCUUCAGAGAUGUCGAUGGCGAAAGAGAAAAGGCUAUCGGGAGAAUCUUGUUCUUGGGAAAGAAAAACAAAGUAAAUUAGUUCAUGCUCGGAGAAUCGGCAAAUAAUACUGAUGAAGGCUGAGCGACUUACUUGCUUCAAGGCUAUUUCUUGCCUUUGACUGGAAGAUGCCGGUGAGGCCAUAGGUUGAUCGGCCAGAGUUGCCGAUGAAACAACAUCAACUGAAAGAAGACAGGAAGAGUUAUGAGGUUGAAUGAGAAUAAGUUCAUCGGUGGCAGUAUUAUUAAAAUAUGUUACCCGGAGGAGGAACGAUGAUUGCUUGAGUCGGGGGAACUGCCGAUGAUGUAAUUGGACCUGCCGGGCCAAUUGUUUGUCCACCCAUGUCAGCUGAUGUACCUUCUGCUUGGGGUUCGUCCUGCUGGGGUUCGUCUGCUUCUGGUGCUUCCUGCGGAUGAGGGGGAGAUGGUGCUUGCUGGAUCUCUACAUCUGGAGGGGAGGGAGAAGAUUCCACCGGAAUAGGAGAUGCCGGAGGAGGAGGAGGAGGAGGAGUCGCCACUUUUUGGCGCUUUGUUCCAGGCCUGGUACCCUUGACGCCCUUCCUCUUUGGCUGGCUGGACUGGGGGGCAUCGGCACCUUGACGUUUGGCUUUUGCCGAUGCACUGGUUUGCUGCAGCAAUAAAAAGGAGUUUAUAAAUACAAAUGUAGCCAAUGUAAAGGUAAUCGGUAUAAAUGAAAAAGGGUUGACAAAUUGCCUUGAAAGCAUGUGCCAGAGCGGAAGCAGCUACCGUUGGUGAUGUCUGAGUUCUCUUGGUGGUGACUUUCUUGAGGCGCGCGCCUCGGUGCACAAUGGUAGCCAGAGUGGGAGCAUUGUGGCCGAUUGAAGAAAUUGGGCCUGGUGGAAACAAGUCAAUCAGCUUACCACUUCUGCUAACCGAUGGGGGGAUGUUGUCAACCUAGAAAAGGGAUAUUAAGGUGAGUUACCGAUGGAAAUAGGAUUGAAAAAUUGGAGUACCGGUUCGAAAUACUUACAACGUCGUCGGGGACUUUGUACUCGGGGUCGAUCAUGACGCGGUACGAGAGGGCUGAUUUGCAGAAUAGAUGCUCCUUCCAUUCUGCCCACCAUAGCUUGUAUGCCUGAGUAAUGAAAGCGGCUGGAACCCAUUCUGAAAAAUCUGCAUCUGUAUCGACAUUCGGUGGUAGUUGAGCUACUCGAAUCCACUCAAGAAAGUUGGUGAUGGGCUCCCUGGGUUUUAUCACAUCGGCAUAACAAAGUGCAAUCGGCAGCUGGCCGAAAGCUAAUUGACGAGCUAAUGCCGAUGGGUUGUAGAAUUCAUAAGUCUGGGGAGAGGUUUUUGUGCUACCAAAGAAAUUCACUAGUAUGGCUCUAGGAGUCACAAUUGCCAUCAUCACCUCAUUGUCCCUGUCAAGAGCUUCGUCAAAUGGAUUGAAAACCAGAGGGAGCAUACUGUCUGGGUCAUCAUAGGCCAACCAUGGUCGUUCAUCUCUGGCCAAGCCCUCAUAUAGAGUCUGGAAGGAUCGGCCGAUCUGAUCUGGAUUACUCCCUGAACCAGGCAAGACUAUGACGGCUUCGCCAAAGUUUAGGGGAGCACGUGUUGCCGAUUCCUCUUCACCCAGUACAUGAUUUUCAGUUAUAUCUCUUGGGAAAUGCUGUGUGAAUAAGUUAAAGUUGAGGCGCUUGUGCAGAUGCAGAUUAAGCCACAUAUUGAUAAACCACCAGGGGCCGCCUAAGUUGCCAGUAGACUGGCCGAGCAGGAGUUUCUUGGCCACCUGAUGGAGGAGAUGGUAAGCAGUGCCAAGCAAGUAUCAGCCGAGAGGAAAUCGGCCACCUUUAGCCAGUUUCUCUGCUGCCGAUAGAUAGACAGAAGUCGGUCCUGCCGAUCGACCACAGAACACAAACUUGUCCAGCCACAUGUUCAGAAAGGUGGUUUGUUCCUUUAUGCUGACAGACCCUAUCCCACGAUACUUCUGAAUGUACCCUGACCAGCCGCCGAUGGCGCGAGUUUCCACUUUGGCACUAGGAGCAGUGUCAAAAAAGUGGGUGCUAUCGGCAGAAGAUAUAUCUAGACUGGUGAGCAUGGCUACAUCGGCAAGAAUAGGAGAAGCAGGGCCGUGGCCAAAGACAAAAGCGUUGAGGGUAUCUGACCAAAAGUAAGAUGCAGCUAUCAACAAUGAUUCAUUCCUGUGCAUAUCGGCAAUGGACAACCUAAUGCAUUGAUCUAGCUUUCUCUCGCCCCACUGGACUUCAUUGGAGUUGCUGACCCUCAAGAACCAGUCUUUCCACCCUACAGUAGGGCUGGGUCACGAACGGAAGGUGUCUUUCCACAGAUCUAAAGAAAAAUUUUUAGCUCUAAAAAGGAUCCUGUUGGUUUCUGCGUUAAUUAGAUCGGUUGGAUCUGGAUCCCGUAGCGGGUCGAGGCAUUGGACAUGUGGUUGAUCGGUGGGGAUGACGAUUUUGUUAGACAAUUCCUGUGGGUUUGGAAAUAAAGAAAAAGAAUACAAAGAAAGGAAAAGAAAAAUGUUCAGUAAAAUGGAUUACAGAUGAACAGGAAUGCAGGGAAAAGUACAGGAGAUGGAGUGAAGAACUCACCUCAGGGACGAUGAAGCUAAUGGCCAUCUUGCCACAAGGAGGAUGUCUGAGAGCUCCGGGGUCGGUGAAGAAGAAUCUUCGUCGGAAGUUUUGGAGAUCUUGAAUGGCGCCGCCGCUGGGAAAGUAAAGAUGGGAUGGUGGAAUGAUGUGAUGGAGAAAGAGUACCCGAGAAGGAACUAUUUAUAGGACAAAAUGGGCAAGGGCAAAUCUGACUUAUCUCCUUGCCGCAUCCGAGAAAUCCGAGGGUACUCAGGUAGAUAUGGUGUGGGGGUACAAACCCCUAUACCCUUACGGCUAGACUUGGGCCAGGAGGCUUGGCCCAUUUCGUGGUGCUGCGAGACUUCUUCCACUCCUUGGCCAUCAGUUCGGCCCUCUUCCUGGAGUCGCUCUUCGCCAUUAGAGGUGCGAAUGUGGGCUUGAGUUAGGAAGAUGCAGGCGAUUGGGGGAGAUGAGAGCGGAAGGUUUGAAGGCAAUGGCAGGGUAAGCAGUACAGGCGGAACUAUCAGGCUCUUAUAACCCGCAACUCCACCUCUCCCACUUCCCGAAUUCUCGGGAAGUGGGCGGGCCAUGCGGCGGAUGCGGCGUUUCGGUUUACAAUGAUUAUAGACAAUUAAUGCGGAGGAUUUUUUGUACCAAUUGAUGGUUUCCUUUUCUCAAACCAUGCAAAGGCGGCUGCACAGUUGCCAGGCGCAACUUUUCAUGCAUCCGUCUGACACCCCGUCAGGAGGCCUCGUCACGUCAACUUUAACUGGGAAGAUCUUUUCAAAAAACAAGAAGACACAUACGCCAGAGAGUCAACAAUCCGGGGACUGCACCGACCAUCGGGCAUUCAACGCUCGGGGACUGGUCGCCCAGUCUAUCAGCUCGGAACUUCAAGGACUGCGCCGACCAUCGAGCACUCGACGCUCGGGGACUGGUCGUCCAGUCUAUCCGCUCGGAACUUCAAGGACUGCGCCGACCAUCGAGCACUCGACGCUCGGGGACUGGUCGUCCAGUCUAUCAGCUGGAACUUCAAGGACUGCGCCGACCAUCGAGCACUCGACGCUCGGGGACUGGUCGUCCAGUCUAUCAGCUCGGAACUUCAAGGACUGCGCCGACCAUCGAGCACUCGACGCUCGGGGACUGGUCGUCCAGUCUAUCAGCUGGAACUUCAAGGACUGCGCCGACCACCGAGCACUCGACGCUCGGGGACUGGUCGCCCAGUCUAUCAGCUGGAAGCUUUAAAAGACUGCACCGACCACCGAGCACUCGACGCCCGGGGACUGGUCGCCCAGUCUAUCAGCUAGACGCUUUAAAGAACUGCACCGACCACCGAGCACUCGAUGCUCGGGGACUGGUCGUACAGUACAGCGACACAAUUCUAAAAAGCACUUGGUGCUUGGUGACUGGUCGAUUAAUCUAUUCAAUUGCAGUCAGACUAGUAAAUUCCACUUUUUAGACCUUGCUACAAGGCUCAUACUUCGCCUUCCAGCAAGCUCGGGGACUACAUCGGUACGAUGCAUCUGGCGAUGCAUCUCAGUUACAGAAUUUCUUUGAGGACUUUUGUUUUGACCCUGGCACCACGUGCCUGCGUCACCUACUACCAGGCUCGGGGACUAAGUGGGCACACUUCACCUUGCGGUGAAUUUGCUUGCUUUUUUGAUGUUUCUACCUUUCAAAAAAGUAAAGUGGGCACACUUCACCAGGAAAGAAAUCUUUUUUAAUUUAGAGCACCAUGCAUUCUUCGAACAACCUGCUUCUUUGAACCUACUUCUUCGAUGUCAAUGUUGAUCAACUGUCUUUUGAGUUGGUCAAAAUACCGUUGCAACUGUUCGGGCAAUUUUCCUGAAGACGUCAAGCCUCACUGAUCGAAGAAGCUCAAGACGGCGUGUUACAGCAUAAUACAUGGUGCUCGGGGACUAGCUGUGGGGGUAUAAACCCCUAUACCCUUACGGCUGGACUUGGGCCAGGAGGCUUGGCCCAUUACGAGACGAGUUCAAAGUUUGAUCCGACAACCUGGAGUUCCGCGCAAGGAAACAAGAUGUGGAGAUCAAGCAGGAUUCUGAUCGGUUAGAAUAGGAAUUGAUAUCGAAUUACCCAUGGCAAUUGUAACCGACUAGGAUUAGUUUCCAGAUCUGUAACCCUGCCCUCCAGACUAUAUAAGGAGGGGCAAGGGACCCCCCUAGGGGACAACAUAUUCUCUCAACACAAAUCAAUACAACCAGACGCAGGACGUAGGUAUUACGCCAACUCGGCGGCCGAACCUGGAUAAAAAGCUUGUCCGUGUCUUGCGUCACCAUCGAGUUCGUAGUUUGCGCACCGUCUACCGAUAAACUACUACCGUGGGUAUACCCCAAGGUAGACUGCCGACUAGCUUUCGUCGACAUAUGGUAACUGUUCGCACGAUAAUCAAGGGAUUGUGCAGGUGAUUUGACGGGAAGCGGUCAUUAUCUGGAGAUAUUUUAUUGUGCGGGAUCUCCUAGUCAGUCCAUCGGCAGCGUCCUGUAACGGUCAUAUUGCCGAUGGGCGAGUAAAGUGAAGAUAGCCGUUUGUAUGAACAUCCUGAUCAGUUCAUCGGCAGAUCUUUGUAACGGUAAUAUUGCCGAUGUACGGUUGAAAAGGAAAUUCCCGUUUAGGAAGUUGAGGAUUUCGAGGAAUAUGCAGAAGAAUAGGAUCAGAGUUGUUCAGAUUGAGGCUGUCGGUUACCAGAUUAGGAGCAUUAAUUGCGGGAAAAGGCAUCAUUACUGCAGAGAAUUUCGGAGCAUUAAUGAUUUCAUACUCCAAAAUUGGGGGGCAUGUGUUGACACCGUUUUUGGGCACGUGUCCAGGCCGACAGGAUAGGACGGCAGUGUUUUGUUUACAGGAUGAGUUGCCGAUGAGGAUGGUUGCCGAUGAAGGAGAGGUUGAACGUGAUUAAGUCUACAGGCGGUGAUCUGUCUGUACCGAUGGCUAUGAUGAGGAAGUCUGCCGAUGAUACGAAGGGAGAGUUCGGAAGCCGCCGAUGGUUUGUGGAAGAGUUUCAGUUUGUCACGGGGGAUAGUUUUGUUAUUCCUUUAAUUAUUUAAAUCGUUUUGUAUACGGAUUCCGUGUAAUUUAGAAUUCGAAUUCUAAUCGUGUCUGGCUGUAGCUCUUUGAGCAGGGUAUAAAUAUAGACCCUAGGACCUUGUAAUGAGACAUCUAUCAAUCAAUCAAACACACGUUUUUACUCAUAUUCCAGCAUCUACUUUUUUCGACGACUUCAUCAUACUUUUUUUCCCUUUUAUUACGAGUUCAUAGGAAUUCGUCGACUUAAGCUCGGCGUGUUCUCGAGUUCCGCGUGAGUACCUCUUAGCCGUGACAUCCGGGCGCAUCGCUGUUGUCAGGACUAAAGUAUUCGAGUUAUCACCUUUGCCGAUAGUAACGUUAAAUCGGCUGGCACGCUUUAACGUUUGAAUCGGGUAUUAGCCCUUUGUGUUUGCAGACCAGCUUUUGCACCAACAGCGUGGUGCCUGGGCUAGGUUUACUUGUGCAUGUCCCUUGAUCAGCCGGACAAUGGUAGUUCGCGUAUGUGAGUUUAUAGCUGUGUUGAUUUCUCUGUAGUCCACUUCCCGUUGAUAGGAUUCAUAGGCUUAUAGGUGCCUGAUAGGGGGUCACUCUGAUUCUCCCCCUAUUCGGGUUACUUGCCCGAUAAGACGGUAUUAUUCAAAGUUUACUGGAGUCGGAACUAGAGUGCAUUAGUAUUCUCUUUUUCUUGAUAUGAUCUAGCCUAAUUGUAGGGUUAAGUCUAUAUACUAUGUCAUCAUCACAGCUGUUCCCUGUGGAUUUGAUAUUUAAAACCUCCACGUAAAAUGUGACGCUGGUACGAUAUCUGUGCACUUACGGAAAAUCCUACUUAAAUCUAUUGAAAUAGAGUGCAGUUAAUUUAUACCAACAACAACCAGUGUUAAUGAGUUAUUGUUUAUUUAAUGAACAAAAGGAUAAAAAUGCAUAAACUAUUUCCUGUAUACAAGUAAUGUAUCGGCUCAAUAGUUGAUCCAGCCACUUCCAUUCGUAAGCUUAGUAACCUAAUCAUAUUUAAAAGUAGUUCAAUGACUGGAUAACAAAUGUCAUAAUGCAUCAUCAUUAUAUUAUCUUUAGGAGUUGACUUUCUAGUCAAUUUUCUUUGGUUAACGGCUAUUUCGAGCCAUAUAUUCUGGAACUGUCUGGCAACAACCGGCAGAUUCUAUAAUUUGACAUUUGUCUUUUUUCCUUAUAAAUUUUAGAUCAAAUUGACUCGCACGCCCCCGAAUUCAAGUCACCAACUUAAACUCCUACAUUGAGGCUCAGGANNNNNNNNNNNNNNNNNNNNNNNNNNNNNNNNNNNNNNNNNNNNNNNNNNNNNNNNNNNNNNNNNNNNNNNNNNNNNNNNNNNNNNNNNNNNNNNNNNNNCAGAGAUUGUAGAGCAGGAAACAAAUUUUGGCACCAACAUAUGGUUAACAACCAUCAACACCAUCCAUGUAUGCAAACAUAAGCGAUUUUAUCCGACGGUGUGCAGAAUGUCAAUAGCACGGCAAUAUUAAUGCUUGAGAUGCUAUGUCUCUCACUAAAAAUCUACAAGUAGAAUUGUUUGAUGUUUGGGGUGUAGAUUUAUGGAACCUUUCCCUAAAACCAAUAAUUUCAAGUAUAUCCUAGUAGCCAUAGAUUAUGUUUCCAAAUGGGUAGAAGCCAUGCCUUAUAAUUCGGCCAAUUCCAAAGCGAUUUCAUCUUUCCCCGUUUUGGAGUUUCUAGACUAGUCAUUAAUGAUGGAGGAUCACACUUCGUAGACACACAGUUUAGAAGCUUUUUGACAAGUCUAGGAAUCUAACACCAUGUAGCCACACCUUAUCACCCUCAAACUAGUGGCCAAGUAGAAACCUCUAAUAAACAAAUAAAGAACAUCCUGCAAAAUACAGUAGAGGAAAUGGGAAAGUCCUGGCAUGUUAAGCUCUAUGAUGCUUUGUGGACAUAUCGAAUAGCCUUUUCUUUGACCCCCUACUGGUAUUUUAUUAUUAAAAUAUUUACAGAUUACAAAGAGAGUGCCAAGACUAAAAGUCACGAAACAAAGAAAGAAACCAAGAAAAUGAAAAAAAAUUACAUAAAGUUCUGCAGCCAUAAAUGAAUCUGUAGAUGAUAUUUUGCUUUAGCUCGUAGAAUAACUAGAGCAAAUUCCUUCUUGAAAAGUGAUUUGCAUCUUUGCACUGUAUGCGAGAUAUUGUGGAAAAUCAGGUCAUUUCUCAUCAUCCAAAUAGACCAACACAUAGUGAUAAUAAUUUCCAUGAAGAAAGGCAAUUGGAACUAAACUUUGAGGUUCUCUACUAUGGCCAGAGGAUCCAAAGCAUUAGGUAUCACGAGAUGAAGAGUGUUCCAGCAAGCCACCGAGAAGGGACAAUGAUAUAGCAGAUGACUGAUUUCUUCAUCAAUACCACAAGCACAGAGGACACAGCUGUAAUCUUGCAGCUGCAUAUUCUUUCGUCUGAGCAGUGCCCUGGUAUUCAAUCUCCUGUGAAGGACUAACCAAAAAAAGAAUUUCUUUUGUUUUGAUAAGAAGAUUUCCAAAGCCACUGGAAGGAUGGAUGGAUCUGCCUAUGACCAAUGAGAAGUCUACAGGCUUUCUUGGAUGAAAAAUCUGGAGAGCCCCAGAUAUAGGACCAAGUGUCCUUAACAUCUUGUAUCUGAAGAUUUUGAAUGAGCAACUCCAAAUCGAAGUAUUGAGCAUAGGCUUCUCGAGGUAGAGGUAAAUGAAACUGAUCAUGAAGGGGAUUAGAAUUGCACCCAAGAAUACAGAGGGUCUGGGUUCUUCACAAAGGAAAAGAGUUUAGGAAAAGCUUGAUUCAGAAUUGUCCCAUUCCAGAGGUCUUGCCAAAAGAAACAAGUCUUUCCAUCAUGAACUGUGACCAUGGCAAUCCCUUUAAAAGUAUCCAAAAGUUUUAGGAUGUCUUUCCACCAAAAAGAUCCUCUAAAAUUUGCCCUUACAAUUGGAAGUCUAUUCCUUGUGUAAUACUUAUCCCAGACCAUCUGAACCUAGGGAAUUGAAGCUCUAUUAAAGAAUUUCUGCAGAUGCUUUAGCAGUAAACUCUCAUUUUGAGCAUAGAGGUUUAGGACACCGAGUCAUCCUUCAGUUUUGGGGAGGCAAACCAGUGGCCAAGCUGCUUUUGGGGGCUUUUUACUUGUCAUGUCCGAGCCCCUCCAUAAAUAAUGUUUUCUAUAUUUGUUAAUCUGUUUAAUCACAGUCUUUGGGAGCAAGAAGGUGCACAUUGCAAAAGUUGGAAGAGCUGUCAAGACUGCAUUAGUGAGUUCUAAUCUUCCUGCUUCAGUCAAGAAGGAAGAGAAGCCUACAAGUCUUCUUUCACUUUUUGAAACCAAAUCGAAUAGCCUAUUAAACCCCAAUAGGAAUGUCUCCAUACCAAUUCGUGUAUGGAAAGACUUGUCACUUACCCGUAGAGCUAGAAUUUAAGGCUCAUUGGGCCAUAAAGAAGUGGAACAUGGACCUCGAGCUAGCCAGACAAAAUAGGAACAUGCAAAUUUUUGAGCUAGAGGAAUGGAGAGAGAGAGUGAGCUUAUCAUAGUGCCAAGAUUUAUAAAGAUAGAAUUAAAAGAUGGCAUGAUAAAGGAUUAAACAUAAAGAGUUUCACCCCGAAGAUAAAGUUUUACUUUUUAACUCACGUGUGCGUCUCUUUGGUCAUGGUAAGCUUCGAAGUAAAUGGGAUGGACCAUUCAAGGUCGUUGCGGUAGCACCCCACGGUGUCGUCACACUAGAAAGUGAUGAUGGUAAGCUAUUUAAGGUGAACGGUCAACGCGUUAAUGUCUACUUUGAAUAUGAGAAAGAAGAAGCAAGAGAAAUGACGUGGUAGCAUUCAGAGACCCCGAGCAUUGUGCAUGCUUCUUGAAUGCAAGCAACCUUGGGCCUUAACCCCUUUUAAUGGACCAAAGAAACGACUAAAAAGAUCUUUUCAGGGCCUCUGACCAACCACACGUGCACAGAGUUCAAAAAUUUUGGAAUUUCCGGCUCGGGACCCGGCGCCCACCGACUACACCCGGCGCCCACCAACCCCCUUCCACGAUUUCACGUCGGUUUGCCACGUGUUGGCCGAUCUACGCCUUUGGGAGUUCAAAAUUCCAAAUAUCAUCGAAAACUCGCAACAGAAAGAAGGAUCGGGAACUUUAAAUCCUGGCUCCAUCACUAGUCUUGAAUUAGUGAGAGAAGCAAUAAUACAAGACACAGCUUGUUCCAGAAUAAAUUUUGAAUGCUCUAGUUUUCUCGGGCCUUCCAAUUUUGUCUACAUUGGAUAAUCUUCGCACCAGCAUAUGUUACAAUACCAGCCAUUUCCAUCGAGUACCAUCCUGCACCCUAAACAAAAAGGUAUUCCAGAAUUAAAAGUUGCACCCUAAUCCACUAGCUUGAACCCAUAUUUGAGGGUAUUCGAGGGCAGUGUUCAUAAGCAGGAACAGGAUUUGGAAGCAUGUAGUCACUGAGCUGAGGAUGGCAGCAUAACAGCUCCCAACAUCUGGAGAGUAUAGCCAGCAAAAUGAGCAUUGGUGGACCAAUUGGCAGCAUAUCAGCUCCCAACACCUGGAUAGGAUAGCAAGCAAAAAAGAGCAUUCGACCAAUUGACAGCAUAACCGCUCCCAACAUCUGGAGAGGAUAGCCACCAAAAAGAGCAUGCAGAUUGCCUAGGGUAACUUGAGGGUGCAAGGUCGUCUAGUCUCAUUCUUGUACUCCCUGCAUCACUUCUCAGAUAAAUUUGGAACUUAGAUGUCAGAGUAGGUACAGCAGGUUAUAAGUUAAUAGAACUUUGCUGGAGAAACCCACAUGCUAAAAGGUUGUUGUUCAUUUUGCAGCCAGUUCACAUCAAUCCUGGGAAAUGGAAUGAAAUUAGAGGUUCAACACUAGUAUUCCACGAAAACAAAUUUCGUAUGCAAAUGCAAAUUUCGUAUUCAAAUGGACAUGUAGCACUUGAGAAUAAAAUGCACAAAGAAACACAAAUUCUCAUACAAAUUUAGGGCCAUUCGGACAACGCAUAUGAAAUUACCAUCAUAUCGAGAAAAAAUGCUGGACAUUUCUAUUCACAGAACUGCAAUAUGUGAGAUUAAACACGUCCUAUCCACUUCAUUAUGAAGUUCCCACACAACACAUAAAGUUUUCAUCACAUCCAAAAGCCGAUGCAUGGAAAUUUCUAUGCUCAGAUAAUUAAGCCAAAAUAGAAAAAAGAAAUAUAUUAACAUCAUUGCAAAGUAACAAAAAAAAGAAAAAAUUCCCUUGGCUCGGAGAUUCAGUUGGACACUGGAAAUCCAAAGUUAUAGAAAAGGAAACACAUUCCCAUGAAAACUUUGGAUAAGAAUAAUGGGUUCAAAUAGUGUGCAUAGGAUAAGAUUCUCACGAUAUUAUGAUAGUUUAACCUUCGUUCAAGAAAAGAAUAUUCACUAACCUGGCCUGGGAAUUCUUUAGUUCAUGUUUAUACUUUAGUAUCAUCUGGUAAUAUUUCAUCCUCAGAUCUUUACCCUUCUGUUUUACCCUAUUCAUCACAAAGACAUUGUAUUCCAUUUUAUCAAAUGCAGAUUCCUCAUUUUUCUGAAACCAUUCGCAGAUCGCUUCUGUAAUAGCCAUCACAUAUACACCACAGUUAUAUGAGUCCUCCUGCUGUGGCAUAGGGGCAUCACAGACAUCUUUGGCAAAAGCAGAACGCGAAAAUUCGGUGUGUACAUGUUGGGUAGAUACUAUCCUGAUCGUCCAGCCAAUCUCGAGAUAUGUGUAACUGACUCUGACAGCUCCUUUGUAUAUCCCUUUUUCUCCCAUACGUUCCUGUAUACGUACUCNNNNNNNNNNNNNNNNNNNNNNNNNNNNNNNNNNNNNNNNNNNNNNNNNNNNNNNNNNNNNNNNNNNNNNNNNNNNNNNNNNNNNNNNNNNNNNNNNNNNUACUCAUACAUUAUCUAUACAAAUUCUAUAUACCUCUAUUUUUUGUGUUAUCGUUCUUCCUCCCCUGACCGGCUCCAGGUCGCUUCUUUCCAAGAUCCCAAUCCAAAUCUCGCUGCCGGCGUUCUUCCCCAUCGAGCGCUCUCUCUCUCCCACGACCUUUUGUUGCGCAAUCUCUCUCCUCCGUUCUAUCCCUCUCCUCUACUCCAUGCCGUCGCCCUAAUCAGCUGCGCCAUCUCCACCGCCGCUCGCCGCUGCUCUUGCCGCUGCUCCCAUCUACCCCUCCGGCGCUCGCCGCUGCUCCAGUCUGCCGCUCCCUCCGACGCUCACUGCUGUUUCGCUUCGCCACCCCUCCGGCGCUCGCCGCUCCCAUCUACCCCUCCGCCGCUCGCCGCUGCUCCAGUCCGCCACUCAAUCUGAUGCUCACUGCUGCUUCGCUUCGCCACCCCACUCAGACGCUGCUCUUGCCUCUCUCUAAAUCAAAAUUUUCUUGACAAGCCAUCUUUUUUGGAUGACUGGUAAGUACUGAAAGUGUUUAUUGUAACUGGUUUUUUAUGUUGCGUUACAGUAUAAAGUUCAGAUCCAUGUUUUUUCUGUUGCCAAAUCCCAAGUUGCAUUACAGGAUCCAUGUCUUCACCCAGCACAAUCUUUCUUUAUAAUAUUUGUACUUAUUAUAUUAUUUGAAUAAAUGCAUCUGUCUAUUUUUUUGUCGAACUACUCACUGACGCUGUUGGUCAAAUAUUUAGAUGAACAUAUUUUUUUCCAUAUCUCCAGUUAUAUUCCUUUUAUGACUAAUUUAUUUAUUUUAGCAAUAUUAAUGUACACCUGAUAUAAAAGAAUGGCUUAUGUUACGAUCAUAGAAUUUCCCAAUGUAUUGUCUUAAGAUUUCGUAAGUUGCCUUUGAGAUUUGUACUAGUUUUUUUUUCUUUGAGCACUUUGAUAACAUUUGGCUUAUAUCUUUCACUCUCCUUGGUGUAGAAAUCUUGGUCACAAUCAGCUCUCGAAGAUCAAUUAUUGUUUAAUCAGCUCACAAAAUAUAACAAAGUUGCAUGUUAUUUUUCUUUCUUGAGCUAUUUAAAAUUGGUAGAGCAAGGGAGCAUAUGUACCUUCAAAAAUAGAUGUUAUGCCUUGGCUUUUGAAUGCUUCCUUAUACUGUUUGAUGACUCGUGAGAGGAGCUGUAGUUUCUUUUUCAUGGACAGGCUAGUUACACAUUAUUAUUUCCAAAAAAAAUCAUUUAGUUACAGUUCUAAAGCUAAGCACAAAUAGGUGAUCAGGCAGCAGCUUCUCCCCUAACUCCUAGAGAAGUACAAACCUGUAGAAAAAAAAUCUGAUUAGUUAUUAUGUGUUAUCCUUCGAUAUAGAGUAGUGGGAGCUCACUUUUUGUGAACGUUGGAUUGAUGGGGGAUGGGAUUAGUAGGGCCUUGCAGAACUGGGGAUCAAAAUUGUGUAUUCGUGCACAUAUCUCCAAGCAGGUAAAGUCAGAUAAAUGGUUUCUAUACUGCUGUUUUUUUGUAUUAUGAUAUUCAAAUCCUUUGCAACAUCAAGUGAGCUAGUGUGGUACCUGACCAUGCAUUUCUUUGAUCCUAUUCAGAGAAUUUAAAAUUUUGUCAAUUCUGGCUAUGUUAUUUUAAGGUUCAAGCAUAUUUUAAAGUCUAAAGCUGAUGCUUGCAUGAGAGAGGAGUAGAAGGAACAUGUUGAUUUUACAGCUAACUGGCAAUCAUGCUAUUGUUCUCGUUUUAUCUGACCGUAGAUGUUCUCUCUAUAGACUGCAAGUGAUAAGAAGUUUGGUGGACUAAGUUUAUCAUCUGAAGAUGUUUGGUCAAGUCUUGCAGUUAUAUGUAAAAAUUCCCACUGUUCGCGCUAUUAACAUGCUACGCAUGGUUGCAAAUAAAAUGAGUUUUCAGAACAUAGUGGCCAUGCCCAUCUUCAGUCAGUGUAUCUUAUGGGAUUAAAUGUCAUCUUAAAUCGUAAAUGUGUAGGGACCAACUAGUAAAACAAUAGUAAUAUACUUCAGCGCUACCAAAAGAAUUCCAGUAAAAAGAAGCUAGUUGCAAGACUUAUUUUGUUCAACAUUUUCAAAUUUAAGUACAGAUUAUUCAGCUACUUUUUAGUACAGAUUAUUCAGCUACAUUUUAGUGCAAUUCCUAGAGAACAAGUUCAGUUUCACAUGAUUCUUAAGCAUAGUCACCGACUUUUUGAUAUACUUAUCAGAUGCUGAAUAAAAGGUUGCAAUGACUAGUAUAGAUUUCUCUGAAUGCAGACCUUGUUAGGAUAAUACAAAAACUCAAAAAGUUUGGGUCUAUACUUGUAUGAUAACAUUCAAACAUAUAUUGUACAAUGUUCUCAGUUUAUUUUGCUAUAAAUUUGUCGUAACUACCAACCAUGUCUAUGAACUAACAAUUUUGGAAGCCAAUCCUUUUACAAAUUUUGCAUUUGUGUAUGGUUGCAGGCUUCAGGUAGGGAGCAUUACUAGUGCUAAUAAGAACAAGAAGGAUUUUGUUAGCAGCAUUACAGUGACGGAGGCCUGCUAGGAGUCUUCUAGGUAACAACAACUUGAGUAGAUGUUUUGUAGCACAAGUUGAUUCUUAUUCUUACACACCCCUAGCAAUUUUUAUUCUGUAAAUUUACUCUGGAUGGAAGAUCUAGAUUCUAUAAGGCGAUAACUUAUUGAGAAUAGAUCUCUUCCUGACCUUUUAUUAGGUUUUUAUUAAAAAUCUAGAUUCCAUAAAUGCAAUGGGGUUUUCCUGUUCUGAAAAUUUGUACUAACCCUUUUUUUUCUUGUCCAUAUUCAAGAUUAAUCUUUUUAUUGAUAGCUCGUCAGAUCUCUUCUCCCUAUUGACAGCUUGAGGUCUUCCCCAAUUUGCAUAACUCCAAUACCUCUUUGGUCUUUGCUGCAAGCUGUUCUUUAGACCACCAAGGUGUGCCAGGCUAGCAAGCGAUGGCGCCGCAUGGGGCUGCCAUUCCCCCUCUAGAUCAGUCAAAUGAUUUGUCUCAGCCGCGAGUGGACACGACUUCCUUCAUCCAACUCAUGUGUUCUCUCCCAGUGUCACAGUCCACUAAAACCGUAGCUUUCCCUCCAGCCUAUCAAUCUUGGCAACCACAUUUUUCUCAAAGGUACUUCUUGUUUAUUGUGUUCUCAAGGCUUAUCCAAAUUAAUUUUGCUAGCUUCCUAGUGCAGAUUUGAUUCCAUACACUUCUGUGAUUAUCUCUCUCUCUCAAAAGAAUCAUAUGUUAAAUGUUCUUCUUUUUCUAUUGAAGAGAUCAAGCUGAGAGGAUCUCUUUCAUGGACCUUAUGAGGGGAGCUGGCAAUGGUGUUUGGAAUAAGGACAAUAUUUUUGAGGACAGUUCUCCUAUUUUCAAUGGCUCUACCACCUUUAGAUCUGUGAGUUCUGAUGCAGGUAAUUGCUUGAAGGUUUGUUGAAAACAUGACACAUAUGAGUACUUCUGUAUUUCUAAUCUUGAACAAACCCAACAUCUAAAAUAGUGAUUGUUGUGAUCAUCUUCAUCAUAUUGUGGAAGUGCCAAGUGUUUGUGAUGCCCUGGGCUAUAGCAAACUUCUAUAGGAUUCUUUGGCCCGAGAAAAAAAGUUAUAGACAAAUCGGCUUAAUUAUAGAGAAAGAUUACAUAGAGAACUCACUUUAGCAUUGACUGUGAAUCAGUCCCAAUAGGAUUCACGCAACCUUUGAUUUUUCUUUCGCAUCAGUCUGUUAUUGGACUAACUCAUCAAUUUGUUUAAUUAUCCAUUGAUUAGUGCUACAAAUACUAUAUGAUUACAGGUUCUCAUUUAGGAAUUUUCAAUAAUAUGUGACAUCUCUAAAAUGUUAAAUAAAAGAGAAAUCCAUCUAUUGACUAAACAACACAUACUAUUUCAUCUUUAAAAUGCUAACUAGAAUAAGUUAUCUGUGAUUAGUGCAACCCAAAUGGUAGGAACAUCUGGUGGAUGGAGUCAACAUUGUGCGAACAAACACUCAUAAAAAUUCCAAUGAGGUUAUUUAUAUUUUCUUUUUAUCUAUGUUAAGGUACAACACAUUUGGAUCUUCCAUGCGCCGAUGUUAUUAAGCUUGGGAUGAGCAAUCUAGGUACGCCCAUAGAUGCUAGUGGGAAAAUGGAAAAAUUUUCUGCACAAGACCGUGUGUCUCCAGGUCCAUUUGAUUCCACUAUCUUGAGAUCCACCAAUUCUCUUUCAGGUAAUCAUCUAAAAAACUUCUACUAGUACACAAUCCCUUAAUUUUAUCCUAAAGUUACCCAUACUGUUAUUUCAAUUGUCCUGAGCAUGGCAUUUUCUAAUGUACUAGGGAUGCAUGGCACAUUUCUGGAUCUUUGUCCCUCUUCUUCUAGGACGACCAUGCUACCUGGGAAAAAUCCUAAUGGCUACAAUCCUACUUCAACCUUUCAAAUCAUCAAUGAAGAGUUGACAUAUAAGUAUGGGGCCAAUGCAGUCCAUGUUACUCCUGAUUCUCCUAGUAGGCUUGUUGUGGAUGAUUCUGGUUAUGCUAGCUCAGAGUCUUCAUUGUAUGACGUUGACUCUGAUGAUGAAGAUGGUGCUCUUGGUUUUCAAGAUGAAAACAACAUUGAAGGACAUAAGUAAGUCAUGUGUUUCUAUAUAUUUUUAAAGUCAUAUCACUAGCUUAUAACAUCUUAACUAAUGGUAACUACGCAUAUAUUUUUUAUAGCUUGGCUGGGUCUUCUGAAUGUCCAGUCAAUAAAAUUUGUAAUGCUAGGGAACAAGUGCCUAGCACCAUCAAUCAAGGUGAUGCUAAUCCAGUGGAGGAUUGUCCUUGUAUUAAUGGAAAUCCAUUUAUGCAUGUUAUGACUCAAGUUACAGAAGACACGGUGCAAACAGUAGCAUGGAAGAAAAGGUAUUUACUUUCCUAUAAUGAUGUGGCAUGCCAUCUCAAGUUUACUCUAACAUCUAAAACAAACAUUGUUGCCUCACUAUAUAUUCUAAUUGCAAUGUGUCUAUUUAAAAUUGAUAAAAUUUGCUAUAUAUGACUUUUACUUCUUGGUAAUAUAUGUGAAGUUCCAUGUACUGCCCAAUAGGUGAUAACUUUCUAGUCUAUUUUGUUUGAUAAUAAAGCUGACUUUGUAAAAAGAAUGUUGCCAUGUACAAUUCUGAUAUCUAUGUGAAUUUCUUGGUGCUAUUUGUGCAUUACCAUGUACCAUAGCAUUCCAUCUAAAGUUGGGCUAUAGUAAUGAAUUAUGAAUGUGACUUGGCCAAGUAUCUUUCUAAAAAUUGUUAAUAUGCAUGAGCUAUAUAUACAUCCAGUUAUAUAAUCUAGUUAAACUUAAUAUUUGUUUGACUUCUCGAAGUUCGUGAUAUGUACUUAUUUUAGAACAGAGCGAGUACAAUGAGCUCAUGGAUGGCAAUGGUUGAUGAUCUAAAAUACUUCAUCUAUCCCAAAAAAUGUCGCUAUGAUUUUUGUGCUGGUCAAACUUUUUAAGUUUGGUUGCGUUUAUAAAAUAUUAGUAAUAUUUGUAUGUCCAAUUAAGUUCAUUAUAAAAACAGAUUCAAUGAUCAAUCUAAUCAUACUAAUUAGUGUCGCUAUGGUUUAUAUACUAGUCAAACUUUUCUAAGAUUGAUUAGAUUUACAGAUAAUAUUUACAACAUUCAUAUCUCCAAUUAAGUUUUUAUGAAAAUAGAUUCACUGGUUCAUCUGAUGAUACUAAUUAUGUACUAUAAAUUUUACUAUUUUUUAUAAUAUUUGAUUGAAGUUAAAAAUAUUUGACACCUCGAGAAGCGAGAAUGACACUUAUUUUGGGUCAUAGGGAGUACACCCACAAUGCAAUACAAAAACAAAUGCAUAUCUUAUACUUAUAGGAGUUAAAGAUACUUAAUUUUACAAUCAAACAUUUCUCCAAGACACAAUACAAAUCCUUGACUGGUUUCAUUGAGAAAUGUAAAUAAAUAAAGAUUAAUAAAAGUUCAUGAAGAACGUGGGAAAAAGUAAAUGAAAAUGAGUUAACAAAAAUAAAAUAAGUGGUGCAAGUCAAGGGAAGAAAUAACUCAAGAGCAGCAAGGCCUUGUUUAGUUCACCCCGAAAACCAAAAAGUUUUCAAGAUUCCCCAUCACAUCGAAUCUUGUGGCACAUGCAUAAAAUAUUAAAUAUAGACGAAAACAAAAACUAAUUACACAGUUUAGCUGUAAAUCACGAGACGAAUCUUUUGAUCCUAGUUAGUCCAUAAUUGGAUAAUAUUUGUCACAAACAAACGAAAUUGCUACAGUACCGAAAAGUUUUCACUUUUCGGAACUAAACAAGGCCCAAGUGGGUUAGUGAUUGUAUUAGUUGAAUAUAGGAAUGGAAUAUUUUUGUUCUUUUAUACAGUGUUUUGUGAUAAGAUAUUAUUUCUAAUAUAAAUUUAGAAUAUUAAGGCUGAAACAACAUACUGUGCAUGAUGAAAAAUAAAACUGAGAUAUUUAUAUAGAAGUAAACUAUUAAAAAGGCAUAUAAGAGUAAGCUAUUAAAAAGGCACUGGCAAUAAGUCGUAGAAAAUAACAGAAAAAAGUACAUCAAAUGAAAAAUUAUUUAUUGAAUAUAAGAUCAGUGUGUGAAUGAAAAAAUAAAAAUAAAAUAUAAGAUCAGUGCACGAUUAGUAAUAGAAGAUUAAAAAUAUUUCUAUUAUUUAGAUGUGCUGUUACCAAAGAAAUACAGUUAAAAAAAUAUUUGCAAAAAGAGGAGUGAAUGGGUGGGCAGCUGCUGACACAACUGUGCGGCCGCACAUGGGUGGGUGAGUGUGCCAGCAGCACAUGCAAGUGGGCGGCAGCACAAACAUUGAAAAAGGAAAAUCCAAGGAGAAUACGGUGGAAAAAAAUGUUGGCACAUGUGAAUACGAGGAGAGAGGAAGGUGUCGCAAAUCCCGAGAGCAGCUUUGGACGGGGAGGAUAGUGGCUGCCCAGCAUGUACAUGCUGGGAGACAUUUUUGGCAAAAGCAGGGUUAAAUUCUUUUAUUCUUCCAGAAAUAAAUUUCCCCACUUCCUGGUUAGCUGGCCUUGCAGUGUCAUAACGAUGGAGCAUGUGCCUUGUGUUGUCCAAAACUAACAAGCUAUAAUGGACCCCAGCAUCAGAAUCAUAGGCAUUCAACUGGUGACUAUUCAGAGGAAUAAAUACUAAUUUAUAUCGAAGCAUUCUUGUGAUACCAUUGUUAUCGUGCAUUAACAUUGUUGAUUCAGCUUGACUUAACAGUAGGAUCUUCUCAUUUCUGUAGGUGGUAGAGAGGAAGGCUAAUAUUCUCUGAAUUACACCAUCAGUUAUCAACCGUGUACCAGUAAGACUUUCUAGGUCUAUUUGCAGUGCUUUAAGCUGCGCAUCACUUAGUCCAUCUGUACGCUCAGAUGGUACAUUAAGAUUUUUUAGGUUUGUAUGCAGUGCUUGACGCCGUUCACUUAGUCCAUCCGUACGCUCAGAUGGUACAUUUUCCUGCAAGAAAAAGAAAACCAUAGCACAUUUAAAGCUAUAAGGCGCACUACAUGGCCUUGCUGGGAAACAAAACUAAAUCUGCAGCUUGAUCUUACGGAUCAAGAAUCUACUUUCCAAAAGUGAGUGAGAUUAAGUAAUAUUUCUAAAACUUUAAGAAGCAAAACAGAAGUGGUAUUGCAUGCACUGAGUUCUUUAGAAGUGGCAUUGCUUACACUGAGUUAGCAUGAAUAUCCCUGAAACAAUGCUUUUCUGCAGAAGUAUUCUCUAGUUCAGUGGUAUUCAAGAUAGCUGGGUCACGGACAGCUUCAUGGUUUCGUAUCAUCUGGUGAUAUUUCGUCCUCAUAUUGUGAACUUCACCCAACUCUUUUACCCUGUCUCUCAAUUCAUGUGUUAAUUCCUCAUUUUUCAUACACCAUUCAUAGAUCACUUCUGUAAUGGUCAGCACAUAUACACCACAAUUAUAUGGGUCCUGCCGCUGUGGCAUAGGGGGCUGAUAUAUAACCACUUUGGCAAAAGCAGGGAUCACUUUUCUUAUACUUUCAGCAAGAGAUUCUGCAACUGCCCGGUUAGCUGACUCUAUAAUGUCAUAAUGAAGGAACCUGUGUGUGCCUUUCUUUCUGUUGUGCAAAACUAACAAGCUUAAAUGGACCAGCAUAAGAAUAGGGACGCAUAUCUGCACUUUUCAGAGGAAUAAAUACUAAUGAAAAAUCAAGCAGUGGUAAUCUUGCAAUAGCAUCCAUAUUGGACAUUGACGUCACUGACUCGCGUAACAAUAGGAUCUCCUCAAUUCUAAAGGCGGUAGUAGACAAGAUGGCAAAUAUUCUCUGAAUUACACCAUCAGUUAUCCGCUUUGUACCAUUAAGACUUUCUAGGUCUGCAAGCCGUGUUGUAUGUUGUGCAUCACUUAGUCCAUCAUCUUUAUGCUCAGAUGGUACAUUUUCCUACAAGAAAAAGAAAACCAUAGCACAUUUAAAGCUAUAAAGCGCAAUAAAUGGCCUUGCUGGGAAACAAAACUAAAUCUGCAGCUUGAUCUUAUGGAUCAAGAAUCUACUUUCCAAAAGCGAGUGAGAUUAAGUAAUAUUUCUAAAACUUUAAGAAGCAAAACAGAAGUGGUAUUGCAUGCACUGAGUUCUUCAGAAAUGACAUUGCUUACACUGAGUUCUUCAGAAGUGGCAUUGCUUACACUGAGUUCUUCAGAAGCCUGAAUAUCCCUCAAACAAAGCUUUUCUGUAGAAGGAUUCUCUAGUUCAGUGGUAUUCAUGAAAGCUGGGUCACGGACAGCUUCACGCACAACAUCACUUAGUCCAUCGUGUUUAUGCUCAGAUGGUACAUUUGCCUGCAAGAAAAAGAAAACCAUAGCACAUUUAAAGCAUUAUGCGCAAUCUUCUAGAUCGAAUCUACAUUCUAAAACUGAGGAGUGAGAUUAAGUAAUAUUUCUAAAAACUUUAAGCAAAACACAAGUGGCAUUGCUUACAUCCAGUUCUUCUUCAAAAGCAUUCAGAUCCUUCAACCAAAGCUCUUUUGGUUUAGUCUUCUUUAGUUCAGAGAUAUUCUUCUUUUGAUGUUCACAUUCAGCUUCCAGCUCCUCUACCAUCACAGUAAAGUUAACAAUUGGCAUGAACAAGAGGUAGUCAUAUCCCCUUAUGAUUCCUUGUGCAUUGGCACCAUCCUGAUUCUCCCAAGAGGGCUUGGCUUGUUCAAAUUCCUCAAACUGCAUUUCUCUGAGCUUCGUAUGUAGGCCUUCUUUAUCCAUGUCAAAUAAUUUGAUUUCUCCAGUUCGAACAGCUUUAAUAAAUCUAACUUUGUUAUGUGCCAUUUUCAAGUCGCGGCCAGCCAUUUCCACUAGCUUUUGCUGCAUAUUGACAAUUACUAAAUGUGAUAUCAAAUAGUCUAAAGAAUAUGUGUCGUUCAAUUAUUAAAUGGAAACGUACCUUUCUUUUCUCAUAAAAAGCAAGCCUCAAGGCAUAGAAUUCCUUAAGUACUGAAAUAAAUGACACAAUUUUGUUACAAUACGACAAAAGAAAUAAAAAAUGGAGGUCUUGUAGCAAAAAGGUAGUACAUACUUUGCUCUGGACUGUCAUACUUUUUAAUUAUGCCAUUUGAAUCCAACAAAUGCAUAUUUGAUGUUCCCAUUGAUGUUCUCAGUUCAAACUUCCUCUGAAGAUCUACUUCAUUGGCUUGCACCAAAUUCUCAGAAUUCUCAUGCAAGUGUAUCAUAAUUUCAACAUCAUUGCCGCCUCUCUUUUUUUCAUAACUCUAUAAAAUUAUUAUGAUUAAAAACUAGUGGACAACAAUCAUUUCAUGAUUAAAACAUACUAUGUAAUCAAUUACCUUGAUGAAUUUGUCUUCUCCGUCCAUAAAAGUUUUAAGCUUCUUUUCAUACUUCUCCAUCGAGAUCUUCACUGGGAGCUCACUUAUUUUUAGUGUAGUUUUGUCAACAACCUUUAUGAUACCACUAGCGGUAUAGGUAACACCUGAUUUCUUGGUCUUGGUAGUUUCAUUUUUGACACACACUUCUCCCUGUUGGUUCAUGUACAGAAAAUAAAACACCAACAUUGGAUUUUUUAAGACAAAAAUAAAAACAGAAUUGUAAAAAAAGCAUGUAUUACUAACGAGGAAAUGUCUGAACCACGUUUCAUUUCUUCCAACGUCUUUGAUCCCUGUAUCAUUAGUUUCAAAUUGUGUACAAUAUCUUUGGGUUUGUAACAAGGAAUCUUUGUGCUCCAUCCAGUACCAAUUCCUUCAGCUCCAUUGACUAAAAUCAUUGGAAGGAUUGGCAAAUACCUAAAAAGUGACAACCAGGCCUUAGCUACUUAUUAUAAAGGUGAAAUUGCUGAGGAUGGAUGGAGCACGUGGUGCCUAGUUAUUACCAUCAAGGUUCAAUUGAUUGCCCAUCUUCACACAAAUAAUCGAGCAGAAUAUCAUCAUUUUCAUUAAAUAUCCUACGAGUGAUACUUGAUAACUCUGUGAAGAUAUAUCUAGCACUAGCAGCAUGUUUGCCUCCCUAAAAUGAAAAACUAGCAUGAAUAAAAUGUUUAACAACUAGUUUCUCAUAGUGGAUUGUUAACUCGCCUCUAAUCUUGUACCAAAUUGCCGAUUGUGACGCAAAAGAUUGAUAUUGUUGCUUCCAACAAAAUCUUGAGCCAUUCUUACUAUUGUGUUUGAUAGAUUUUCUUCACCGUGAUGAUAAGUAGAACAUUGUGCCACAGACGCGGCGAACUAUGCCACCUGUGAUCAAGUAUUAAAUUAGCAAUAUUAUAAGGCAAAUUUAGAGAGAACAUGACACAUAAAUCAUAAUAUGGCAGCCCGACCAGAGGCUCAACCCUUUUCUACUUAUAAGCUAGGACUGAAGCUUUGGAGUGGAUAUGAUUCUCAUCAUCAUAGACUUUAUGGAACAAGCUUGAGAUUGACAACCCACAAGACAAGAGUUUCAAGUCUACCUUUAUAUAUUCAGGUGCCAGUAUACAUAAGGAAACUAACACUAGUACAUGGGCACACUAUACAGGCGGUUGGUAACAUAUUUCUACAGGCGUUUUCCGGAUCCGCCUGCGCUGGAGGCCAGUACAAAUCGUCCAUUUCCACAGGUGGUCACUUGAGAGCCGCCAGUAUAAACAUUUUACACAGACGGUUCUCUUAGGAAACCGCCUGUGUAAAUGUUCAUUUACACAGACGGUUUCCUAAGAGAGCUGCCUGUGUAAACCUAUUAAAAUAUAUAUUAUUUAUUUAUUUUUUAAUUUAUCUAUUUAUUUAUUUAUUAUUUUAUUGUUAUUAUUUAAAUAUAUUGAUAUUGGUUGGUCUUGUAACAUAGCAACAUGUAAUUUAAAUACUUCAUCUCAUACAUACAUACAUACAUUUGUAUACAUCAAAGUUUGGUGCUCAAAGACAUAAAGUUAAUUACAAGAGUAUAUCCAUCAUCACACAUCAUUUAUAUAUACAUCAAAGUUUGUUUCUGUCCUCUAAUAACCCUCUUUAGUAAGUCUGAGCUUACUAAUCUCUGUUAGCACUCGGAACUCUGGCCUGGAUAAUUGGCUUUCAUCAUCAUGAUAUUUGCCUUCACGUGGAAUGACAUGCUUCAUGAUGAACGAGCAGAUGUCCUCAACUAUGUUGUCUAAAGCACGUUCGUCCAUGCGCUCCGCCGUCCCUUGCUUAUAUACCUGCAAAGAAAGUUUAUAAACAUUAUAUAUUUUAUGACUUCCUACUUUAAUAGACUAUUACUUAUAUUACCUUGUCAGGGUUCCUUGCAUAUCGUCCGUUUUCUCUCAUGUUCUCGCACACGUAGUAGCCACAGAGGACAGAUAACGGUGGUUGCUUCAUGCACUGUAUAACAGGAGAGUGGUUAUUUAAUUAUAGUUGCAACUGUGGUCGUAUGUGUAUGAUUUGUAUUUAUAAUAGUAAAUUUCUAUACGUACCGGCCAGUUAUGUAUAACCUCCAAUGGUUGCCCUGGUCUCUUGGACUCGCACUUUCCAUGAUUUAUCUUAUAGAACCUGUAUGCCCUAUGAUCUCAAAUAGAAUCACCAUGUUAUUGUCAAAUUCUCACUAUGCUUAAGUAUGCAUGCAUAGCUUGACUUACAGCUCUAGCAGUUUGAUGAAUGGAGCAUAGCUUUCUUUCGGGAAAUCUGCUGAGUCUAAUACCAACACCCUUCCCUCCUUGGGAUAAAUGAUGAAGCAUAUCCAGUGCCUCCUGCUCGAAUUAAAUCCAUGAUGCAUUUAUGCAUUGGAAUAAUUUAGAUAGAUAUUUGUAAACUCACACUUACCCAAAGUGGUACGGGGCCACCACCGCUUUCCUGUCUUGAAACUUUAUUAGUGAAUGUCCAAUGUAGAAGGCGUAUUUAGCUUCAAAAUCAAGUUUCAACUUUCGGAGUUUCUCAUCCCGUUCUGCACCUUCCAAACCCUGUACCUCUUUGCUGUCAUUCCCGAUCCGGAAUGUGUGCCGAUCUUCGGCUAUAUCUAUUGGGCAGAGAUAGGCAUUCCUUUCUUCGGCACAAUAAUUUAGGUCCGAACCAAAAUACAUAUCUUGUUGAUCAUAUAACAUUCUGCAAGACAGAAGCAUGUCAGAUAUUGAAAAUUGAUGCAACUACAAUGUGUGUAACUAUGUAACACUUACAAUGCAAAUGCCGUUACGAUUUGUACAUCUAGCAUCUCGUGGUUCAUCAGUGCCCACAUGUCAUCAAAUGUAAGCAUGCAUUUGUCAGUACUCUGGCUGAGAAAUGCUAUUUGUGGUAUGCGCAUGCUUAUGGUGUCGAUGCCAGGAGAAGAGGCUCUCAUGUACCAGUCAUGAAACCUUUUUAUACCACUUGGUUUCUUCAUAAGUUUGUCCGACUGAGUAGAGGCUUUCCCCACACGUACUUUUUGGGGAUAGUCUUGUAGUCUUCUGCAGUUGGCACCUUGAAAUUGACAGGAGUUAUGACCUUAGGCGCCGGCACCUCUGACUUUGCUAGCUCAGAAAUCUCAUGCUCUUGUAUUGUGCGUUUCGAAGCAAUGCCUGACAAAAAUCUCACUUGCCCAGCUGAUUUUUUCUUUGGCUCGAAUGGUGAAAUCAACUUAGGUAUCAGAAAUACUUUCUUCUUUGGCACCUUUGGUGGCUCACUUAUUGGUUCUGGAUCUUUUAGUUGUGAGGAAGGGGUGGAAUUGAAUGGUGGUGGAGAUUGUGUUGACUGUGGGGUAGAAAGAUCAUGGAGACGAGAUGGUUGAUGGACAGGGAAAACAUGGAGAGGUGAUUCUGGUGGGUCAGGAAGAGACUGGGGAGGUGAAGGCGGUGGGUUAGGAAGUGGAUCGACAUGAGCUGACGACUCUUGGGUUAGUGGCAUCUCUUGAGAGGGUGCUGGUGGCUCCCUUAGUUGCACGUCCCUCCGAGGCCAUAGGAUAAAAUUGUUUAUCGCCUGUCCCAGUUUCACAAUGUCCUCGGGACCAAGGAUGUCUAGAAUCUCGUCCUCAUAUCCUUGGACCACGGUUGAUACCUCUACUCUGCAGUAGUCUUUAGGGAUGUCAGCACCAUGGUAUUUAGGUCCUCCUGGGAUCACUUUGCCCGUGGCUACUUCCCUUGUACGAUGAUUGUUAAUCCCAUAUCUUAUGACAAGGGAGCAAGGUGUAGAACUAACAAUGUCGUCAACUGGAUAGUGAUCCUUAUUUGCCGUAGAUGCGACACUGCUUGGAAUGAUUGUUUCACUUGAUGCCACCAACGGUUGCGACACCACUGGGACUAGCUGCAUUUGGGGAGCUUGAGUGCUCAUUUGGGUAGCUGCAUUUGACAUGGCACUCGCUAGUUUCUGCAUCAACUCAGGUGGAGGAUUUUCUAGCAACUUCUCCAUCAUAUCUUGGAAGUCUUUCUUAGCCUCUUCCUGAAAAUAAUUUGCCAUUUGAUCCUUGUACCGAUCACGUUUCUUAUACUCAUUUGCCCAUUGAGGGCCGAAUCCAUCCUUCCAUCCUUCUUUGGAUGAGAUGCCUCGAACACGGCCAGGAUGCUCGGGGUUACCGAGGCCAACACUAAGGAUAUCCCUCUCCCUUCAUGGCGUAAACUUGCCUUCCUGCUGCAUGCCUGCCACAACAAAGAUGCUCUUCAUUGCUUCAUCAAGCAUUGGGUCUUCAAAGGACACACCCGUCUCGGUUUCCUUUGGUUUCCGAGCACGGAUCCAAUUCGCGGACCUUUCACCGACUUGCUCGGACAACACUGGCAACCCUGCUGCCUUCUUCGCAGCCUCUUCUUGCCUCCAUUUAGGAACUAGGUGCCGGUAACCACCUGUGCCUAGAUGGUGGUGGUACUUGUUCCUCUUUGCGAGCUGGGAGUUGGCUUCGCUCCGAGCUAAGAAGUUAGGGUCAUUCCUUUGCUCUAGAAAAAUAGCCCACUGCCCUUUAGUAAUAUUGUAUUUGGAUGUCGGAUCCAUCCCUCUCUUUGCAUACUUGACAUUCAUCUCCGACCUCCAAUUUCGGAAACUAACCGCACAUUGCUUCAUUGUAUAUGCCUUCACUAAAUCUUCUGGCACAUUCCUAGGAAACUGGAACCUGGUCUUAAUCUUAUCCCAAAUUUUGAUCUUGUGAUUAUUCGACACACCGGCCCAGUUCAGAAAAAUUCAAUUAGUGGGUGACGUCGCACGAAAAUUCAAUUAAACCGGAUAAAGUAACAAACCACAUCAGAAAAAUCCCAAACUUGGUGGAUUGAACAUCAAUGGCACUGGUAACCCUUAGUAAAAGUUUGAGACGGUACAAAAGUACCUCAAAGAUAAUUGCUCUCAGUGUGAAUGAUUCUUUGCGGUACUCGUCGAAUAUUUGAACAACUGUUUCCCAUAGUAUCUUCAUGUCUUGCAUUAAGGGCUCCAAGAAAACAUCCAUAUCAACUCCAGGUUGUGUAGGUCCAGAGAUAAGGAUGGUUAGUAAAAGGUACUUUCGCUUCUGCAUCAACCAUGGAUUGAGGUUGUAGAUGGUGAGGAUCACUGGCCAUGUGCUGUGCUUGCUGCUCCUCUCAGCAAAUGGAUUCAUUCCGUCAGUACUCAGUGCGAACUUAACAUUCCUUGGUUCAUUAGCAAAGUCCUUGUGGUUUUCAUUGAAAUCUUUCCACUGCUGGCCAUCGGCUGGGUGCCGAAGCUUCCCAUCGUCUUUGUGCUCAUUAGAAGCAUGCCAGCUCAUAAGUUGGGCAUCCUCUGGAUUAGCAAACAAGCACCUCAAUCGAUUGAUCACAGGAAGGUACCACAUCACCAAAGCAGGAAUCUUUUUCUGCGCAUAAUAGUCUACUUCUUCCUUUUCUUUGCCGGGGGGUUUCGAACUACUCUUCUGGGUCUUUUGUUGAGCCUUCUUUCGUUUUUUGCCCUUAGGCACAGAGGCAACACACUCUUCCACUAUGUAGUCUUUAUUUGUCUUGUACCUACUUGCACCACACUUGGGACAGCUGUUGUGAGUGGAUCUUCUAUGGCCUCGAUAUAGGAUACAAUGAUUUCUACAAGCGUGGAUCUUCUCAACACCCAUUGUGAGUGGGCUGAUUAGCUUCUUUGCAUAAUAUGUGUUAGCAUGCACUUUGUUAUUCUUAGGAAGCAUGUCUGCGAUAAUGCUUAAGAACACAUCAAAGCCAGCAUCAGAAAGACCAUAUCUAGCUUUGCACACCAACAAUUUUAGCACAGACCGCAGCGUCGUGAACUCUUUGGUGCAACCCUUGGACUCAUCAUACAAAGGCUCUUCUGCUGCCUUCAUUAGGGCCUCCAUACCUUUCAUGAAGAACACUGAUGGAUCUUCUGCAUGACGACGCAACAUUGCCUCUAGAAAUUCUGCAUCUUCCGCAGCCAUGUUAGUUUCGGUGCCACCUUCAUUUCCUCCAAUAAAACCAUGAUCAGGAACAUUUGGCACAACAUGUUCAGUGGCUAGACCAUCGGUAUUAGGUUGUUGUGUCUCGUGUACGAACUCAAACCCAUCAACAAUUCCAGUUGUAUAAGGCGCAGAGCUACCCUCUCCAUGCUUUGUCCAAAUCAAGUAAUCUUUCAUAAAUCCUCGACGGACCAGAUGAGUAAGGAUUUGUUGAAUGUCAUCAGAUAUAACAAGAUUUCUACAAUCCAUGCAUGGACAAUGUAUGUGCGUCUUUCUUGUUCUUGAAGCAUGGUUUUGAGCAGCAUCAAUAAACCUCUGGACCUCAGUUAUGUAUGAUGGAUCUAGUCUUGAUAAAUUAUACAUCCAAAAUGACCUCUCCAUCACUACCUGUAAAACACCAUUCAAAUGAUCUAAGGGUUUACAAAGGAUUUAUCUAGGGUUUAUUAGCUAGGGUUUAUGGUUAAGCUUGAGAUUAAAGGAAAAAACCUAAGUUACAUAAUUAAAAAAUAAUCUAAGUAUAGCAUAACUAUAUAAAUACAUCAAUCAUUAUAAACAGAUAGAUGAUGUGGAAGGUGAUAAUAAAAAACCUAACUACCAUAUAAUUAAAAAAAUCACAAUUAUCUCUCUACAUAAAUAUACAAAGAACACACCAUUGGUUUAAUCUUGUAAAAACUAGCUAAAUUGAGAAGCAAACAUGUUGAAAGGCAUUAUCCAACCAUAUUAAGCAACCCCAUCUAACCAUAUCAACAAAUAAAGACAAGAAGCUAGCUAUUCUUCUCUCUCACUCAUAAAACAUACAUACAUGUUGAUAAAUAAAUUGAAAAAUUUAUAAAGAGAGAGAGACAUAAAAUAGAAAACCUAAGUAUAGCAUAACUAUAUAAAUACAUCAUUCAUUAUAAAUAGAUAGAUGAUGUGGAAGGUGACAAUAAAAAACCUAACUAUCAUAUAAUUAAAAAAAAUCAACAAUUAUCUCUCUACAUAAAUAUACAAGAACACACCAUUGGUUUAAUCUUAUAAAAACUAGCUAAAUUGAGAAGCAAACAUGUUGAGAGACAUUAUCCAACCAUAUUAAACAACCCCAUCUAACCAUAUCAACAAAUGAAGACAAAAAGCUAGCAAUUCUUCUCUCUCACUCAUGGUGAAACCCUAGAUCCAAAAAGUGGCUCAAAUUGAGCUAGAAUGAGCAAAUUGAGGCAAUAGGGACAUAAACUAACCUCUUUUAGCAACCUCCUUCCUAGAAAUGAAGAUCAAAACCUCCCUCCUUUUAUUUUGAGAAAUCUGGAACUCCAAAAUCGCCCCCAAUGGAAGGUGGGUGCGAUAUACUGUGUUCUGGUCGGGGAGGAAGAUGGGGUAUUUAUACAGAGAUAACACAGGGGGUGGCUUAAGUCUACCGCCUGUGGAAAGAGUUUCCACAGGCGGCCGAAAAUCUCUGACACCGCCCGAUUUAUACCACAGGCGCGUCGUAACUGGAGCCGCCUGUGGUAUAAAAAGGGGGCGCCAGCAAUGACCCUCUUUCUACUAGUGUAAACCUAAAUAUAUAAUGGCGAUCCAAUCUGAAGAAACUAUGGAAUACAAAAGAUCGAAGCCUACCAUAUUCUCGGCCAUAGCGCUGACUGAUAUCAAAAUAUGUGGAAAAGAUUCAUAUUAGAAAAAACAAAUGAUAGUUGGGAUGCUAUACCUUUGUUUCCUUGUUAAAUUUUUUCUUAAAUGCGCUGAACAUUAUCUUUCUCUGCCCUUUUUUUAAAUCCAUCUACCAUUGAUGGUAUAGACCGAUGCAUGUCUAAUACCAUGUAUAAUGUGAGCCCUUUCUUAAUGAAGUCAAGGAUUCUUAUCGUUUUCCCAGUUUGAGGAAGUACACUUUCUUCAGGAUGAAAUUUUUGUUAUCACAUUAAUGUUGGUCCUUAAAUUAACCUGAAUGAAUCUUUAAAAAUAAUAUCAAGAUCGACCUUGCAGUUAUGAAGAAAGUUAUAAAUCCAUUUCUUCCUUUCCUCCACUUUAUGUUUACUGAAUGCUGUCUUGAUAGCCUUAUCAUCUUCUUCAUUCACCCACACAAAAUAUUUCUGAUGGAUGUCAAUAUCUUGGAAAUAUUGCAUCCCUUCCUUAAGUGUGCUCGUGCCUAACCCCUGUAUAUAUGAAAAAUGUCCAAGUUGAAGACCACAUAGAAAAAUUGAAAUGAUUAAAAUUUGGGCAAAAAAACACACCUUAUAGUACUUUAUAGACCAUUUACUUAAUUCUGUCCCAUUUUACUUUUCUCCCAUGCCAAACAUGACUUGGACAUUCCCCUGUAUAAUCCGUAACCUAAACAAGUUUUAAUCCGUGACAUGGUAAGUUUUAUUAGUCUUAAUAACUGAAACCUUAAAAAAAAUGUUAAAGCAAGUAACAAGUGUCAUACCUUUACAAUUGGGGUAACUAAUUCACACAAAAAGGAUUUGGAUUUAAUCUUCAUAAGGGAAGGCCAAAAAACAUGAAAUAAGUUAAUGAUCAAUCCUUUAAUAUGAAAUCCAUCUGGAUCCUGGUCGGUCAUGACCAUAACUUUACCAUAUCUCAAAUCCUUCAAAUCCUUUUCAUCAUUAUAGUGUUUUUUGUAGUCUAAACCAAUAAUCUUUCUCAUAUUGUUAAUUUCCUCAUUGUCCAAGAUCUUUUUUAAAGACGCAUCUCUCACAUUCAGUAGCUUACCCUUCAUUGCAAGAACUCCAAAGUAGUCCCAACGAACAGAACCUUGCUGCAGAGGAGAACAAAACUUACUCAAUACUCUUGUCAAUAUAAAAGUAACAUAUGUGCAAUGAAAUGUGCAAUCAACAGUUACUAAUUGCAGUGAACUUGAAUAUAAGAAUAAGAACUACGUGGAAAAUAAUUUUUCUAACAUCUUCAUCUAAUCAUUAACACAUAUGUGCACAUACGAAACUUGGGAUUCCCAAAUACAAGUCCGAUUAUAACCUUUUAUCCUAAAGACUCAAGUCCGAUCAUAACCUUUAAUCCUAAAGACUCAGCUAACUAAAAAAAUCUGAAUCAAAACCUUUUUGCCUUGAUUAAACUCUUGGCUGAAAUUUGAGUUUUUCAUAAAAAUCAAGGAAAUUUGGGACAGACCACACUAAAUCACUAAAUCUGCCAUUGAUACUUGGUGUAUCAAAAUGGACUUAAUUAAUAAAGGGUUGGGGUCAAAGCCUAAAAGGUCAUACUAGAAAAUACAAGAAUUUGCUAAAAACGAGUCGGAGGUGUUAGAAAAACAGGAGGAGCUUGAUGUGCUCAAGCUGGAUAUAAAGUCUUCCUGAGCUCGAUGUGGCGCGGAGAUGGAGCUGGCGGAUGGUUGAGGUUGGCCGCCGCGAGACGACGGAGGCACCCACAACGGCGGAAGGCGGGCAGCAGCUGCGGCGAGGCAGCGCGCGGCCGAUCGAUCGAUUGGGGUAAUCGGGGUUUUGCCGCAGUGACGACAGGAGGCAGUGAGCAGCGAGGUAGGCAGUAGGCACGCGUGUCGUGUAAGCAGUGGGCUAAUGGCUGCAUAAGCAGUGGGCUAAUGGGUGUACAGUAAAUGUCAUUUUUGCCCUUUGUGUUGGUUGCUCUUUGGUACAGUACCGCACCCGCAACGGGGGAAGGCGGGCAGCAGCUGUGGCGAGGCAGCGCGCGGCCGAUCGAUCGAUUGGGGUAAUCGGGGUUUUGCUGCAGUAACGACAGGAGGCAGUAAGCAGCGAGGUAUGCAGUAGGCACGCGUGUCGCGUAAGCAGUGGGCUAAUGGGUGUACAGUAAAUGUCAUUUUUGCCCUUUGUUGGUUGCUUUUUGGUACGGUACCGUGAUCAUCAGCGGUGGGAUACAUAUUUUUUAUAGCAUAGUUUCCGUACGUUGUUAUAGUUUUAUUUAGAUAUAUGGCCUGUUUUUUGUAACACCCAGUGUUAUGGUUGCAUUGAUCAUGUGCAUAGCAUGAGCAUCAUCAUCCAUUCAAAGCAUCCAUGAUCAUCAUCUCUCUUGAGCCAUGUCAUUCUAUGCAAAAAUGUGUUUUAAAUUGCUUAAAUAGGCUUCCUAUGCUUAUGUUUGAGUGAACCAUGCUUGUGUUUGUACUCAAUGCUUUGGUAAUUAGUUUAUCUAUGCUUGACUUAACUUUGGGAACAAUGUUCAUGUUGAUCACUCCUCCAAAAUAUGCCUUGAAGACAUGUUUGUGCAAAUAGGCCCUAGAAACCUCUUUUGCUUAGGCUUUUAAAAAGUUUCAUAAUAUGUUUGCAUGUCAAAACUUUCUACAGGAAAGUUGUAGCAAAUUUUAUAAGGAACAAAAGUUGUUUUAUGGCCAUCUCAUGAAAAUGAUCACAAAUAGCUCAAAAGUGACCCACAAGGCAGAUUUGGGGCUGUUUCCAACACUUAGAAAAAUUUCUAAGUCUUGGAACGAAACCAGUUUGCUCCAUCAAUUUUGGAAACUCUAUAUCUCUCAAUCCCGGCCGAUCUGGCCUUUGCUCUAGUUGACGAAGUUGUAGAACUCGAUUGGAACUCCAACUUUGUCAACUGCAUCAUCUUCUAUCUCGAGCAGGUUUGGGAGUUAUCCGUUGCUGAAGUCGCUCUGUCAGUCGGUAGCCGUUUUCUCUGAAUCGAAGCCGAGCUCGCCGUCGUGGAUGGCCAGAGCGCCAUAUGUCCACCAGAUGUCGCUCGUACGCCGGCGAUGGCCCCGCUCGUCAGCUCCCAGCGCGCGCAUGACGUCCACGUCGACGCCCUGAGCAGAGUGGACGCGUCCACUCUCGCUUUCCUCGCCCUCUCGCGCCUGUAAACCGCCCGCAGCGAGCUCACCGUCGCGAGCUCACUCCGGCGAGCUCGUGUGCGCUCGUCGCUGCGUCUCGGUCCACCAAAUUCCACCCAUAGCUCCGCCAUGAACCGCUCUCCAUUCUCCACCCUCUAACUCGCCGAGAAACCCACCGGUGAGCCGACAUUUCCUUCUUCCCCCAAAUCGGGUCGCCGUGACCGUUUUCUCCGGCGAACUCAAUGCCGAGCCAUGUGAAGCCUCUCGUCGUCUCCGGUUAGGUCCUAGAGGUAGCUUAGGUCCUUAGCAAGCUUUUGCACCACUUGGUGGACGCUCUACCAAGCUCUCCGUCGUCGGACACGGUGCGCAGCGCCGCCGUGCUUCCGCCGGAGAUGGGUGCUCUCGUGGCCAGCGUGUUCCACGAGGAUCCAAGCCAAGCCGCGUACCUAGGAAGCUCCGCCGUAGUUCGUUGGUGCUGUAGAAGGUCUUAGGUCGCGCUCUACCGGCCUGAGGGCUCCGGCGUAACGCCGAGCACCUCCGCCGAGCCGCCAUCGUCGACGGUGAGCCCCUUCCGGUGGCUCCGCCGUGGGAAAAGUGGGAUCAAUCGAGUCGCUAGAGUCUGGGGAUCACGUUGGUGCCCUUGGUUUGGCCGGAGACCUCGCCGUCGCGGAGAAAUCGCCGGCGAAAGUCGCCUCGGCCGCGAGGAAGAAGAACCUGACAGAUGGGACCCACUAUCAGCGUCACUCUCCUUCCCUCCUUUUCUUUUAUUCAAAAUCUGGAUUUUUGACUUUCUUGCAAAAAUCAUAUCUCCUUGUUUCUUAGAUCCAAAAAUUGUGAAACAAAUUUUGUGAUAUUCCUUGAGAUGGCUAGUUUUUAAUAAAAAUAUAAAAUGAACCAUGUUUUCUGGGAAAAUAUUUAUUAAGGAUUUAAUCUUGUUAUUCAUGGAUAAAUGCAUAUCUCUUGUUAUACUGCUUAGUUUGCUCUGAAAAAUUUAUGGUAGCCUCUCCUUGGUAUUAGAGUGCUUUGAUAAAUAUUUCAUGAUUUUUGGAGUAUUGCAGUUUUGAUAUGUAAUUUAUGAUUGAAAUAUGGCUUGUUUCUUUAAUUAAAUCAUAUAAAAUAAUUGGUGCUUAUGCUGGUGUUCUACUUUGGUAUUAAACAUGUGUAUGGUAUUCCUAAGAUAUAAAUAAUCUGAAAUCUGUUGUUUGACACCAUAUAAGUCAUGUUUCUGAAUUUAUGAAAUAAGCACCUAGUUACAUUUUAAAUGUAUAUCUUUAAUUUGGUAUGUGCAUUUGCUCUAAAAUUUUUAUGGUAGUGCUUUGAUGCUAUCCUUGUGCUUCUGUAAUUUUUGUAGAUUUUUCUGAGCACUUUGACUAGUAUCUUGUAAUUAUGCUUCCUUCUAGAAUUAAUUAAUAAAUGCCUUGUUAAGUAAAUGUUUGGAAGUUUCCAUCUGGUGUUCUGGUUGUAUUAUAAUAUGCUUGUGGUCAUAAGCCAUGUGGUUGGCAUGGUUUGUGUCUUGGUCAUGUCACUAACUAAUUAAGUAAAGGGUUAAAGGCUGUUUUGGGCAGCAAGGAAGUGAUUUAACUUUUGCUUAGUGAUAACUUGGCUUUCUGUAACACUUGUCUAAAUCAAAGUUGUUAUAAACUUAUUGAACUAGCUGUGGUUUAAAUUUGAGGUCAAUUGGCCUAGUAGUUUAAAAGUUAUAACUCUUCCAAGUUAGGUUCCAGGUGCUCUCUGUUUUUCUGGGACAGAACCUAGAACUUUGUUUAAAUGACUGGUUUAAUGUAUGAAUCUGGCUGCCAUGUUUAAAGAUGAGUUGUAGCCAAUUUCAUAAGCUUUCCAGAAUGUCUUCACUCAUGUUUGUUGGACCUGUAUAUCAUUAGUUAUGAUUUAUUUACUGAGUAUACUUGUUUUGUGUUGCUUGCUGUUUUAGUAUCAUGAUAGGUUUUGGGCUAAGGUAACUUAUUUACUCAUGUGAGCUUGUAUGACUUUUGCUCCGUAAAUGAGUGUCCAGUAAGUUACUUAUGUUAUCAAGCAUUCAUCUUUAGCAUGUGCAUCUUCUUAUCGUUCGAGCAUGCAAUAGGUGCAUCGGACGCGACAGCCUCCUUCGAGCUGCAAGUGAAUCCUGACGGUCAGGAGGGCAGCCAAGAGGUGGAGGUCCAGCAAGCCGGACUCGAAGAGCCCGGAGAAGAAGUUGAGUGCCCGAAUCAUGAGCCGGCGUCGUUCGUGAAAGGCAAGCCCCGGAGCAUUCUAAGUCUCCCUUUAUUUUCGAAAGUUCACUUAAUAUGUUAUAUCUAUUGAUGCAUUACGUAUAGGAGUUGUGACGAGACUUUUGCUGCACUUUAUUCCAUCCUUGUCCAGAUAAUUCAUCCUACCCUGGUUGUAGAGUUAGGAUCGAGUAGCAGCUUAGCCAUGCUUUAAUCGGUAGAAGUCGGGUGAUAUCCUGUCACCUGCGCGAUAUAGGGUGAUGUCGGAUCACGAUGGUAUAUAUGUGCUAUCGUGGAUGGAACCUGAUUAAAUUGACUUAAGCCGGGCGAAGUUUUGCAAGUUUGUAGUAACUCCGUCUGUGGCAGCUAAGGACCGAUCGUUGUACGUCCUCUUGUCAUGUUGAACGCAUGCCUGACACUUAGUUGGCCGGAUAACUCGUUCCGACCGCGAAGCCGAGUAGUAUGACUCAGGCCGGAAGACCGGCAAGUAUAAAGUGUGCACUACCGGAGGAAGUGCGGUGUGCGGGGGACCAUUGGUGUAAGUGUAACGUCCCGCCUCCACGAGGCUGGGCCCGCUUACAUCUGGCAGCUUUUCUAGGCUAUAGUCAGUCCCCACAGACCAACAAUUCGUCUUUUCUGCACACUUUGUCCUCACUCGCGCGCAUCCGGGAAGUACUUCCCGGUCGGUCACCCAUCCCUAAAUUGCUCUAGGCCAAGCACGCUUAACUUUAGAGUUCUUUCGAGAUGGGCUUCCGGAAAAGAAGUUGCAACUUGUUGGUAUGAGUCUCCUAUUAAUCCUAUUAAGCCCUGGGCCGGGUGUUACAGUAAGCCCAAAGGCAGGUGAGUUAAAAUUUCUCACCUCCCUGGCAGAGUGGUAGCCCAGGGAGUGCGGCGCUGAUCAGAGCCGUGAUUCCUGAGUUGUACCAAAGGUGACCCGUUGGCUCUCCGGCAGGGGAUGCUUAGGUGAGUGCUAGGAAUAACCCUCCAGCUAGAUACGAAUUCGAUUCGAAUCGCCGUCUCUCCCGGUUAGUGAGAACUUGACAGAGCAGCGACAAACGUAGCAUUCACUAAUGAACUUGGUUCAUGAUAAUGAUGAUAGCAGGAAGAACAUAUGAUGAAUUUGAUAUGGUUAUUAUUGAAUGUAAUAAUCAAGUGAUGUGUUGUAGUACAGGUGCCAAUCUAGUGGUAGGCUGAUGAUGAAUAAAUAUGAUGCUCUCGAAAUAAUUUAGUCGUAAUUUAAGCUUUUGGCAAAAGGUGAGUCAACCAGCUCCACUUGAUAUUUAGCCUUGCAUGAUCCUUGGUGUCUUUUAUGUUUUACUAGACGGGUAAGUCUAGCUGAGUACAUUCUCGUACUCAGGGUUUAUUUCCCACCUGUUGCAGAUGACAUCUUUUAUGACGGUUUCUGCAAGACCUGUCUCCAUCCCGCUGGGGAUGAGGACUAACCGUUGGGCACGGUUCUCUAACAACUUCGUACCUGUUGCUUUUGGAAGGACGGUGUAGACUCUAGCAGUAACUCAAACUUAUGAACUGAACUUUGGAAUGUGCGUGUAACUAUUUUGCUUCCGCUACUUCGAACUUGUGUUGUAAUAACUUAAGGACUCCGAUGUGGUGCCGCUUCGACGGCAAUGAAUGACUAUGUAACAUUCGCUGUGUUUAUGUUGAACUAUUACGAUCUUGGUUUGUUGCGAGUUGGUUUGAAGUCCUUCGUGAUUUCAAUAGACUACCAGGAUUAUAUGGGCUCAAGUUUGGAAACUUGAUUGCUUGGUGAUCGUUUUUGCACUUGAUCUCUUAUAAUUUGGUCGGUUCUGUGACAGCUGGUAUCGGAGCAAGUUCAGCAUUAUAAAUGCAGCGUUUGUGUAUUUAAAAUAAAAGAGUUUUUAAAUAAAAUAGUGUAAAACGAAUAAUUAAGUUAUGCCAGUGGUCGAAUCCUCCUUGCCCACAUAAGGACUCUAGGUGGCUAUUUAAGUACUGACUUGGGGGGUUUUAUUUAUGCAUCUCCGGCAGUACUCACGUAUGGAUGUGUGAUGACCGCACUAUGCUAUCCUGUGGUCUAAUGGUGGAGGUAGCCUUCACAUGUGAAUUAGCCACAUAUGUCGCUAGAUUUAAAUUAUGCAACGUCGCACCUACGCCCUGGUAAGUGUGAGCUGUGAGAGCGUGAUCGUCCAAACGGCAGUCUAGGGGAGUGUUCGCGGUGGUUUUCUGGAGUGGUUACAUGUCAAAACCAUGGCACCACGAAAGAAACUUAAUUGGGGAGCAUUUAAUUUCUCGGGUAGUUGUGGUGUCAUUGUUUAUGCAUGUUGGGCAUGUCCAAGCAAUGUGCACUUAGUUUACUGCUUUAUUGAGUGAUAUUUUGGGAACUGUUGGGCUGAAAUGAAGUUUUCUGCAGGUACUCUAACAGCGCACGUGUAAACCGAUAGUUAUCGUAUCGAGAGACGAAUGUAUGCCACCAUAUAUCCGUUAGAAUAUUAAUUUUCUAAGUUUGUGAGGACGUACGGUUCGUGCAUGCAUCAUGUCGCAUUCAUACAUACAUUCUGUCUACUCCUUCCCUUACAAUUUUGCCCCUUUUAAUUAAAUAAAUAUUGCUUAAACUAAUCCUCUUUUACCCAUGGUAUUCCUAUUCCUUUCCACAGAUGGACGCACCCGCUUCGCCCCGUCCGAGUGACACUUUCUUGCACGAGUUUGGUACUCCUACCCUGCUUUGGAGGGUGUUACGGACUGUUGGGUAUACUGAGCCACCUCAGUAUUCUUGGUGGGAGAUGGAUAGCACAGGAGGGAUUCAGUGGUUUGCUGUGCAGGGAGUUGUCCCUCCACAUGGGGACAAGCCUGCAUGGACAGGCUAGACUUGUAGCUCAUAUGGGCAGACUCCUUGGGAGGCAGCCCAGGUUGCAGCCCAGACAAUCCUGCACGAUAUCUGUCAGAGGUGUGGUGACGAGCUGACGGGAGGACCAGCGGCCUCCAUUCCCAGUGCUGACCCAGCAGCAACGGAGUGGAAACAGGCUGACGGUUGUGCUUUGGUUCGAGGCAGGGGAGAGAGAGCUGAGAGUUCUAGUCCUGCUAUGAGUGCUAUGAUGGCUGUGCUCAAGCUGAUUAGUCAGCGAGAGGGCACCUAUGCACAGGUGAUGGUGGCUGUUUGCCAGGCCUAGGAGAUGCAGCAGAAGGCUGAGAAGCGUGCUCGCAAGUUUCGCAAGCAAGCUAGACUCCUGGAGCAAGCUCAGAAGGACCGCAAUGACUGGGAGGACAUUGCGGAGUACCGUAGGCAGCAGUGGGUGAAGGCCAUUAGAGAGAGAGAUCAUAAGCAGGAUCAGAUGAGCCAGUUAGCUAGAGAGAGGGAGACCAUACAGGAGCGCUUAGUGCAGCUCACCCGUGAGAGGGAUACUGCACUCCGCGUGUCAGAGAACAGGCGCCGAGCAUGGGAGAUGCACCGAGUUCAGUCGCUUGAGUGGGAGAACUAUAUGCAGGAUCAGAUUGAGGCUGGUCUUGUGGAGAUUCACCGUCUCAACAACUUGCUACACCCUAUUCCUCGCCCUAUACCCGUGUAUCCAGAGGUGGGACCUCAGGUGAUUGUAGCUGAUGAUGAUGGUAUGGAUGUCGAUGGACCAGCAGCGGCUGCACCACCUUUGCACGAGGACGUGGAGGACGAGGAGCUUGAGCCGGUUAGCGACGAGGAUGGAGAGGCGAUCUUCGACGCUGACUCGGACGACGAGACUGGAGUGUAGGGAGUAGUGGGUAGUGUUGUGUGAGGAUCUUUUGCAGUAUGCUAGUCGGCCGUGGUGCUUUUGUAACCAUGUUGUAACCCGGAACUUUGACCAUGACUCAUGGCAUGUACUGUGAUGGUGUAACAACUGUAUGGACCCAAUGUGCAAUCUUAACAUGUUUGUUAUGUUAUGACGAUGUUUCCCGUUGUGGUGCAUAUUGCGGAUAUCUCUGUCAUGUGUUGGAUUGGUGAUGUUGUUUUGUGGAAUUGAAUUAUUGUGCCUUUUCUAUAAAGUUAUUCUCUGGAAUACUUUCAGGCAUGAAUAUAAGUUCUUCUGCAGCAAAUCUUGUCAUCAUCAAUGCUCACUGACUAUGUCUUUACAGAUGUCUCGUGGCACCCGAGGUGCGGAACAGCGUGCAAACAUGAAUCCACCACCUCCUCCUCCACCACCCAAUCCUGCUGAGUUAAUGCAAAUGAUGGUGGACAAUCAGAGGAUGCUCACUGAGACCAUCAAUCGGAUGGUGAAUCGGGGUGGUCGCAAUGCACAUGAAGGGCCAGCUCCUAAUCAGUACAGUAGCUUCAAGGACUUCAUGGAUACAAAGCCCCCACCUUUCAGAGAAGCUGAAGAACCCCUUCAAGCUGAAGAAUGGCUGAAUACGGUGGAACAAAAGUUCCGCUUGCUUCGGUUGACUGAAGGUUUGAAGGCAGAGUAUGCAGCUCAUCAACUGCAGGGUCCAGCAGGCAUCUGGUGGAAUCAGUAUUGGGAAGCUCUUCCAGCCGACACCGUGCUUGAUUGGAAUCUUUUUUGUGAUGCUUUUAAAGGCCAUUUCAUUCCUCCUGGUGUCAUGGAGAUGAAGCAUACUGAGUUCAUGCAGUUAACUCAGGGCAACAAGACUUUGAAGGAGUAUUUGCAUGCUUUCAAUCAUUUAUCUAGGUAUGCUCCUGAGUUUGUGAACACGGAGACGAAAAAGAUUGCUAGUUUCAAGCGGGGUUUGGGCCCCAAAUUGCUGAAGACUAUGGGCCGCACUAAGUGUGCAACUUUCAAUGAGUUUGUCAGUGAUGCUCUCACUCAAGAGAACUAUAACACUAUGUACACUGCGACCAAGACUCGCAAGAGGGCUUUUGAGGCCGGCCGGGUCAUCUCAGUCCAAGGUUCUAGUGGCCGCCAAGCCACCGUUCCGUGCUCCAACGCCGUAUCAAAGGUACCGCCCUCCAGUGAAGAAGAAUCAGGCAAAGACAGGUUUUCCCAAGGGGUACUCUAUUGCUCUUCCUAGGGGCAACACGGGUCCCAACUAUGCUAAGACUCCACCUGCCAACCGUCCGUGCUGGAACUGCAAUCAGACCGGGCAUUGGCAGAGCAACUGUCCUUACCCGCCGAAGAAGGGCAACCAAGGGAACGUCCGUCAGGGGCGUGUUCACUACACUGCUGUGGAAGCAAUUCCCGCUGGUGAGGUAGUCACGGCUGGUAAGUUUCUGGUUAAUCAACAUGAUGCACUUGUGCUUUUUGAUUUUGGAGCAUCGCAUUCCUUUGUGAGUUCUGAAUUUGUGUCUAAGCAUAGCAUCAAGGCCAUUACACUUGAUAAGGGCAGUUAUUGUAUUAGUGCUGCGGGAAAUGAUAUUUCCACCAAUCAAGUGGUUUUGGGGGCAACUCUGGAAAUAGGAGGCCAUCAGUUUCUUGCUGAUUUGGUUGUUUUACCCGGUGUGGGCAUAGAUGUAAUUCUGGGGAUGAAGUGGAUGAGUGGCAAUGGAGUUCUGAUCGACACCACCACUCGUGUAGUGAUGUUGAAAGACCCAAAUACCAAGGAGGCAUUUCUAGUGCAACUCCCUCGUGAUAUUCAAAUCCGUAGCACUGUAAAUGCAGUUACAUCUAAGGCUAUUCAGGACAUUCCGGUGGUGUGCGAGUUUCCGGACGUGUUUCCUGAUGAUUUACCCGGGCUUCCUCCGGAUCAGGAUGUGGAGUUCAAGAUUGAAUUGAUUCCAGGUACCGCUCCUAUCUCUAGAAGACCUUAUAGAAUGCCACCCAAUGAAUUAGCUGAGCUUAAGACCCAACUAAAUGAGUUGUUGAAGAAGGGUCUUAUUCGUCCUAGUUCGUCUCCUUGGGGAUGUCCAGCUAUCUUUGUGAAGAAGAAGGAUCAAUCUUUGCGCAUGUGUGUGGACUAUCGUCCCCUAAAUGCGGUGACUAUCAAGAACAAAUACCCUCUUCCUCGCAUUGAUAUCUUGUUUGAUCAGUUGUCUAAAGCUAAGGUAUUCUCUAAGAUUGAUUUGCGAUCUGGAUACCAUUAGAUCAAGAUCCGUCCUGAAGAUGUACCUAAGACAGCUUUCUCGACGAGGUAUGGGUUGUAUGAGUAUCUCGUCAUGUCCUUCGGUCUUACAAAUGCACCUGCUCACUUCAUGUAUCUCAUGAAUUCGGUGUUCAUGCCCGAAUUGGACAAGUUUGUGGUGGUCUUCAUUGAUGAUAUCUUGGUAUAUUCCUGCAAUGAAGAGGAGCAUGCAGAGCAUCUGCGUGUAGUGUUGUCCCGUUUGCACGAACAUCAGCUUUAUGCCAAGUUUAGCAAAUGUGAGUUUUGGCUAAAGAAAGUACCUUUCUUGGGCCAUGUCUUAUCUGAAGAAGGCAUAUCGGUCGAUCUGGCCAAGGUGCAAGAAGUGCUGGAUUGGAAAGUUCCAACUUCGGUAUACGAGGUUCGGAGUUUUCUCGGUCUGGCCGGAUAUUACCGUCGAUUCAUUCCGGAAUUCUCCAAAAUAUCCAAGCCUUUGACUCGUCUGCUUCAGAAAGAUGAGAAGUUUGUGUGGACACCUGAGUGUGAAGAGGCAUUCCAAAAGUUGAGGACAUUGCUGACAUCAGCUCCUGUCCUAGCUCAACCUGAUAUCGAGAAGCCCUUCGAUGUCUUUUGUGACGCGCCAGGCAUUGGUUUAGGCUGUGUGUUGAUGCAGGAAGGUCGUGUUAUCGCGUAUGCCUCACGCCAACUUCGAAAACAUGAGGUCAAUUACCCUACUCAUGACUUAGAAUUGGUAGCAGUUGUUCAUGCUUUGAAAAUCUGGAGGCAUUAUCUGCUGGGUAAUCUGUGUAAUAUCUACACCGAUCAUAAGAGCCUCAAGUAUAUCUUCACUCAACCUGAACUGAACAUGCGACAGCGAAGGUGGCUUGAGUUGAUUAAAGAUUAUAAUCUACAAGUGCACUAUCAUCCGGGCAAGGCAAACGUAGUGGCGGACGCCUUGAGUCGGAAAGCGCACUGUCACUCAAUCCAAGUGGAAGAUCUGUUGUUGUCACAUCUUAUGCAUCCACUUGUGCUCAACCAGAUUUCUCUGGAAAGUACCAUUCGCAAUCGAGUCAUCGAAUUGCAGCAGACAGAUGUAGGCAUCCGCCAUUUAAAGAGGAAAAUGAAGCAAGAAGAAACCAAGCAUUUCCGGGUCGAUGAGAACGGAAUUCUUUGGUUCAAGGAUCGACUUGUGGUCCCAAAAGACCGCGAGCUGCGAAAAGAUCUUAUCUGAAGCUCAUUCAUCCAAAUUGUCUAUCCAUCCUGGUAGUAGCAAGAUGUAUCAGGAUUUAAAACCGUUGUUUAGGUGGACAAAGAUGAAAAAGGAGAUAGCUGCUUCUGUCGCUCGUUGUGACAAUUGUUGUCGUGUGAAGGUUGUUCACAUGAAAGCUGGUUUGCUUCAACCCUUGUCAAUUCCUGGUUGGAAAUGGGAAGAAGUCAGCAUGGAUUUCAUCAGUGGACUCGCAACUUCUGUUAAGGGUUAUGACUCCAUCUGGGUGAUUGUAGAUCGUUUGACCAAGGUUGCUCAAUUUAUUCCAGUCCGAACUGACUACCGUCCACAUCAAUAUGCAGAGUUGUACUUCGAGCACAUUGUUCGUCAGUAUGGUGUACCUCGAACUAUUGUAUCACAUCGUGGACCACAGUUCACUGCUCAUUUUUGGGAAUGUCUGCAUGUGCAGAUUGGUACUCAUUUAGUCCGUAGCUCUGCUUAUCAUCCCCAAACGGCUGGUCAGACUGAACGGGUUAACCAAAUCCUAGAAGACAUGUUGAGGGCAUGUGCUCUCUCUUUAAAGGGUUCUUGGGUUAAGUGGUUGACAUUAGCUGAGUUCUCCUACAACAAUAGUUAUCAGGAGAGUAUCCAAAUGGCUCCAUUUGAAGCCUUGUACGGUUGAAAGUGUCGAACCCCGUUGAAUUGGGUAGAAGCCGGAGAGCGAAGGUAUUAUGGCAUCGAUUUCGUGAACGAAGCCGAGCAGAAAGUCCGAACUAUCCAGCAACAUCUGGAAGCUGCUCAAGCUCGUCAGAAAAGUUAUGCCGACAAGAGAAGGAAGCCAAUUGAGUUUUCAGUUGGUGACCAUGUGUACAUCAAGGUGUCUCCGAUGAAGGGUGUACGAAGGUUCGGAGUCAAGCGAAAGCUUGCACCUCGCUAUGUGGGACCUUAUCGGAUUCUCGAAAAGAAAGGGAAUGUGGCAUACAAAGUUCAACUCCCUGUUGCGCUUCGAGCUAUUUUCCCUGUAUUCCACGUAUCACAAUUAAAGAAGUGCCUUCGUGUACCGGAGGAACGAGUGGAAGUUCGAGAUAUCAAGUUGAAGUCAGACUUGGUAUAUGAAGAAAAACCCGUAGCGAUUCUUGAUCGCAAGGAACGGGAGACGCGUAAUCGUGUGGUUAAACUCUACAAGGUAUUGUGGAGCAACCACGGGGAAGAAGAUGCUACUUGGGAGACGGAGGAUUAUUUAAAAGAAGUUUACAAAACAUUCUUCGAAAAUCAGUAAGCUUUCAAAUCUCGGGACGAGAUUUUUGUAAGGGGGGAGGGCUGUAACACCCAGUGUUAUGGUUGCAUUGAUCAGGUGCAUAGCAUGAGCAUCAUCAUCCAUUCAAAGCAUCCAUGAUCAUCAUCUCUCUUGAGCCAUGUCAUUCUAUGCAAAAAUGUGUUUUAAAUUGGUUAAAUAGGCUUCCUAUGCUUAUGUUUGAGUGAACCAUGCUUGUGUUUGUACUCAAUGCUUUGGUAAUUAGUUUAUCUAUGCUUGACUUAACCUUGGGAACAAUGUUCAUGUUGAUCACUCCUCCAAAAUAUGCCUUGAAGACAUGUUUGUGCAAAUAGGCCCUAGAAACCUCUUUUGCUUAGGAUUUUAAAAAGUGUUUCAUAAAAUGUUUGCAUGUCAAAACUUUCUACAGAAAAGUUGUAGAAAAUUUUAUAAGGAACAAAAGUUGUUUUAUGGCCAUCUCAUGAAAAGUUGUAGCAAAUUUUAUAAGGAACAAAAGUGACCCACAAGGCAGAUUUGGGGCUGUUUCCAACACUUAGAAAAAUUUCUAAGUCUUGGAACGAAACCAGUUUGCUCGAUCGAUUUUGGAAACUCUAUAUCUCUCAAUCCCGGCCGAUCUGGCCUUUGCUCUAGUUGACGAAGUUGUAGAACUCGAUUGGAACACCAACUUUGUCAACUGCAUCAUCUUCUAUCUCGGGCUGGUUUGGGAGUUAUCCGUUGCUGAAGUCGCUCUGUCAGUCGGUCGCCGUUUUCUCUGAAUCGAAGCCGAGCUCGCCGUCGUGGAUGGCCAGAGCGCCAUCUGUCUGCCAGAUGUCGCCCGUACGCCGGCGAUGGCCCCGCUCGUCAGCUCCCAGCGCGCAUGACGUCCACGGCGACGCCCCGAGCAGAGUGGACGCGUCCACUCUCGCUUUCCUCGCCCUCUCACGCCUGUAAACCGCCCGCAGCGAGCUCACCAUCGCGAGCUCACUCCGGUGAGCUCGUGUGCGCUCGUCGCUGCGUGUCGGUCCACCAAAUUCCACCCACAGCUCCGCCGUGAACCGCUCUCCAUUCUCCACCCUCUAACUCGCCGAGAAACCCACCGGUGAGCCGACAUUUCCUUCUUCCCCCAAAUCGGGUCGCCGUGACCGUUUUCUCCGGCGAACUCAAUGCUGAGCCAUGUGAAGCCGCUCGUCGUCUCCGGUUAGGUCCUAGAGGUAGCUUAGGUCCUUAGCAAGCUUUUGCGCCACUUGGUGGACGCUCUACCAAGCUCUCCGUCGCCGGACACGGUGCGCAGCGCCGCCGUGCUUCCGCCGGAGAUGGGCGCUCUCGUGGCCAGCGUGUUCCACGAGGAUCCAAGCCAAGCCGUUUACCUAGGAAGCUCCGCCGUAGUUCGUUGGUGCUGUAGAAGGUCUUAGGUCGCGCUCUACCGGCUUGAGGGCUCCGGCGUAACGCCGAGCACCUCCGCCGAGCCGCCAUCGUCGACGGUGAGCCCCUUUCGUAUCUCCGCCGUGGGAAAAGUGGGAUCAAUCAAGUCGCUAGAGUCUGGGGAUCACGUUGGUGCCCUUGGUUUGGCCGGAGACCUCGCCGUCGCGGAGAAAUCGCCGGCGAAAGUCGCCUCGGCCGCGAGGAAGAAGAACGUGACAGAUGGGACCCACUGUCAGCGUCACUCUCCUUCCCUCCUUUUCUUUUAUUCAAAAUCUAGAUUUUUGACUUUUUUGCAAAAAUCAUAUCUCCUUGUUUCUUAAAAUUGUGAAACAAAUUUUGUGGUAUUUCUUGAGAUGGCUAGUUUUUAAUAAAAAUAUAAAAUAAACCAUGUUUUCUGGGAAAAUAUUUAUUAAGGAUUUAAUCUUGUUAUUCAUAGAUAAAUGCAUAUCUCUUGUUAUACUGCUUAGUUUGCUCUGAAAAUUUUAUGGUAGCCUCUGCUUGGUAUUAGAGUGCUUUGAUAAAUAUUUCAUGAUUUUUGGAGUACUGCAGUUUUGAUAUGUAAUUUAUGAUUGAAAUAUGGCUUGUUUCUUUAAUUAAAUCAUAUAAAAUAAUUGGUGCUUAUGCUGGUGUUCUACUUUGGUAGUAAACAUGUGUAUGGUAUUCCUAAGAUAUAAAUAAUCUGAAAUCUGUUGUUUGACACCAUAUAAGUCAUGUUUCUGAAUUUAUGAAAUAAGCACCUAGUUACAUGUUAAUGUAUAUCUUUAAUUUGGUAUGUGCAUUUGCUCUGAACUUUUUAUGGUAAUGCUUUGAUGCUAUCCUUGUGCUUCUGUAAUUUUUGUAGAUUUUUCUGAGCACUUUGACUAGUAUCUUGUAAUUAUGCUUCAUUCUAGAAUUAAUUAAUAAAUGCCUUGUUAAGUAAAUGUUUGGAAGUUUCCAUCUGGUGUUCUGGUUGUAUUAUAAUAUGCUUGUGGUCAUAAGCCAUGUGGUUGGCAUGGUUUGUGUCUUGGUCAUGUCACUAACUAAUUAAGUAAAGGGUUAAAGGCUGUUUUGGGCAGCAAGGAAGUGAUUUAACUUUUGCUUAGUGAUAACUUGGCUUUCUGUAAAACUUGUCUAAAUCAAAGUUGUUAUAAACUUAUUGAACUAGCUGUGGUUUAAAUUUGAGGUCAAUUAGCCUAGUAGUUUAAAAGUUAUAACUGUUCCAAGUUAGGUUCCAGAAAUAGGUGCUCUCUGUUUUUCUGGGACAGAACCUGGAACUUUGUUUAAAUGACUGGUUUAAUUUAUGAAUCUGGCUGCCAUGUUUAAAGAUGAGUUGUAGAUAAUUUCAUAAGCUUUCCAGAAUGUCUUCACUCAUGUUUGUUGGACCUGUAUAUCAUUAGUUAUGAUUUAUUUACUGAGUAUACUUGUUUUGUGUUGCUUGCUGUUUUAGUAUCAUGAUAGGUUUUGGGCUAAGGUAACUUAUUUACUCGUGUGAGCUUGUAUGACUUUUGCUCCGUAAAUGAGUGUCCAGUAAGUUACUUAUGUUAUCAAGCAUUCAUCUUUAGCAUUUGCAUCUUCUUAUCGUUCGAGCAUGCAAUAGGUGCAUCGGACGCGACAGCCUCCUUCGAGCUGCAAGUGAAUCCCGACGGUCAAGAGGGCAGCCAAGAGGUGGAGGUCCAGCAAGCCGGACUCGAAGAGACCGAAGAAGAAGUUGAGUGCCCGAAUCACGAGCCGGCGUCGUUCGUGAAAGGCAAGCCCCGGAGCAUUCUAAGUCUCCCUUUAUUUUCGAAAGUUCACUUAAUAUGUUAUAUCUAUUGAUGCAUUACAUAUAGGAGUUGUGAUGAGACUUUUGCUGCACUUUAUUCCAUCCUUGUCCAGAUAAUUCAUCCUACCCUGGUUGUAGAGUUAGGAUCGAGUAGCAGCUUAGCCAUGCUUUAAUCGGUAGAAGUCGGGUGAUAUCCUGUCACCUGCGCGAUAUAGGGUGAUGUCGGAUCACGAUGGUAUAUAUGUGCUAUCGUGGAUGGAACCUGAUUGAAUUGACUUAAGCCGGGCGGAGUUUUGCAAGUUUGUAGUAACUCCGUCUGUGGCAGCUACGGACCGAUCGUUGUACGUCCUCUUGUCAUGUUGAACGCAUGCCUGACACUUAGUUGGCCGGAUAACUCGUUCCGACCGCGAAGCCGAGUAGUAUGACUCAGGCCCGAAGACCGGCCAGUAUAAAGCGCCCACUACCGGAGGAAGUGCGGUGUGCGGGGGACCAUUGGCGUAAGCCCAAAGGCAGGUGAGUUAAAAUUCCUGACCUCCCUGGCAGAGUGAUAGCCCUGGGAGUGCGGCGCUGAUCGGAGCCGCGAUUCCUGAGUUGUACCAAAGGUGACCCGUUGGCUCUCCGGCAGGGGAUGCUUGGGUGAGUGCUAGGAAUAACCCUCCAGCUGGAUAGGAAUUCGAUUCGAAUCGCCGUCUCUCCCGGUUAGUGAGAACUUGACAGAGCAGGGGCAAACGUAGCAUUCACUAAUGAACUUGGUUCAUGAUAAUGAUCAUAGCAGGAAGAACAUAUGAUGAAUUUGAUAUGGUUAUUAUUGAUUGUAAUAAUCAAGUGAUGUGUUGUUGUACAGGUGCUAAUCUAGUGGUAGGCUGAUGAUGAAUAAAUAUGAUGCUCUCGAAAUAAUUUAGUCGUAAUUUAAGCUUUUGGCAAAAGGUGAGUCAACCAGCUCCACUUGAUAUUUAGCCUUGCAUGAUCCUUGGUGUCUUUUAUGUUUUACUAGACGGGUAAGUCUAGCUGAGUACAUUCUCGUACUCAGGGUUUAUUUCCCACCUGUUGCAGAUGACAUCUUUUAUGACGGACUUCGUACCUGUUGCUUUUGGAAGGACGGUGUAGACUCUGGCAGUAACUCAAACUUAUGAACUGAACUUUGGAAUGUGCGUGUAACUAUUUUGCUUCCGCUACUUCGAACUUGUGUUGUAAUAACUUAAUGACUCAGAUGUGGUGCCGCUUCGACGGCAAUGAAUGACUAUGUAACAUUCGCUGGGUUUAUGUUGAACUAUUACGAUCUUGGUUUGUUGCGAGUUGGUUUGAAGUCCUUCGUGAUUUCAAUUGACUACCGGGAUUAUAUGGACUCAAGUUUGGAAACUUGAUUGCUUGGCGAUCGUUUUUGCACUUGAUCUCUUAUAAUUUGGUCGGUUCUGUGACAUUUUUGGUUCCUCUUGCUAAAGUUUAGCUAACUAAAUUUAUUUUAGCUAUUCUAGGGUGACUAAUGGAACUAAAUUAUGUUAACUCUUUUUAGUCAAUGUGUUUGGAACUUUAGCAACUAAAAUGACUAAAGUUUAGCUAGCUAUAAUUUAGCAAGAGAAACCAAAUAGGGCCAUACUUAGGCCUUGUUUACUUCUAAAAAAUUUUGCAAAAUAUGAAUAGUAGUGUUUUCGUUUAUAUUUUUCUUAGAUUAUAGUCUCAGAUAAUUAUAUAUGAUAAUUAAUAUAACCAUGACUAAGAAAAAGAACAAUAAAGACAUGUCUCAUAUAUUUAUACUAUAAAUAAGUUCUUAAUUGCUUAGUAGAUCUCAAAGCUCCUCAGGGAUAAUGUUUGCACGUUCAUUUUGAUUACUUUGUAGAAUGUCCACCAAGCAUUCUAUCCUCAGCGAACGUCCACUCUGUGAAUGCCAGAUAGUAAGUUAACUUAUUAAUUUGCUAUACACUAUACAAAAUUUACAUAGAGGAUAUAUAUAGUUUAUAUGCUUACAGGGUGGAUAGACAAUCUUUUUCCAUCCUACUAUUUUAAAUAACUAUAUACAAAGAAGCGUGGCAUUUCCCUGGAGAAGAGCAAGUGUUUAUUUGUGUUAGCUAAAUGACAUAGAAUAAUAUUACUAUAUAAUUUAAUUAAUAAUUGAGAACAUAAAUGAUGAAGAUAUUACUACUACAUAUUAUUUGGCCAAGUAAAACAUUUGUAUCAUGGUGUCUAAUUUAACCCAUUCCGAUGCACAAACAAAGAAGAUAUUGCUCCAUUAUUACCUUAAUCAAGUUAGGGGAAUGAGAGAUUAGAGUUAAUAUUGUCCCUUAAUUUUGGGAGAUAGAUCUUCCUUGGUGGAAUUUUUCGUGUAUUCUUAGUGUAGCUUAUAACUGUAGUAGUAGUUUAUAGGGUGCAUUUAGUUAAGUUCAUAACUGAUGUAUUAUAUAGUAGUGGAGAUUUGUGGUAAAUCUCAGUAACUACACCCGUGCUUUUUUACCUUAUACAAAUUAGAACUGAGGCUUGAUCCCUAUGAUUUCGUGCUAAAUUAUGUUUUUAUGAUUUUUUGUAUAUAUAUAUGAUGGUAAUCCAACUUGAAUACCUCUCAUCCAAUUUGGUAUAUGCUGUUGACAACAACGAUCCCAUGUGGUCAGGAUGUUCGAAAACGAGAAAUCAAGUUCUUAGUUUUCUAGGAAGAGAAGAACUGAACUUGGACAAUGGAUUGGAAUUGGGCGGAAAUGGUGAUAUUUAAUAGUAAAAAACCCCUCUCCAAUCAUAAAUACAUACAUGUCACUUUGGGCCUUGUUUAGUUCCGAAAACUUUAACACUUUCGUUUUUAUUUGACAAAUAUUGUUCAAUUAUGGACUAACUAGAUUCAAAAGAUUCAUCUCACGAUUUACAGAUAAACUGUGCAAUUAAUUUUUGUUUUCAUUUACAUUUAGUGCUUCAUACACAUGCUGCAAGAUUUUGUGUGACAGGAAAUCUUAAAAAGUUUUUGGUUUUUAGAAUGAACUAAACAAGGCCUUGGUCAGUGGGGCGAAAUGCCUACUUGUAGUGACGCAAUUGUAGAAUGACUAGUAGGAAGCGCGCCCCCUGGGCGCGAGUUGUCAUGUAUUUCUAAGAUUAUACAGGUAAGCUACACAUGUUGCAUACAAUGGCCAUGUAUAUGAUUGAGGUCUAUUGAUGCAUACAAAGUUAUUAGAGGAUGAAUACAGUGGCCAUCGAGGGCAGAAAUAAUAGACAAAUUCUGGGGCAAAAGAUGCAUGUUUAGUUUUAGCACAGUAAUAGGAAUAUAGGAUCAGAGAACGGAAACGAACACGGUCAUAUUGCCUAUGGUGUUAUAUGUACCAUACAAAGCCAUUACACAAGCUUAUCGGUAUUUUAUACAUUGCUUCGUCAGUGGCAAUUUACAAAAGUUUAGGGGCAUUGAAGGUCCACUUUCUAAUGACAUGGACAUAUAUAGCUGGCUUUCUUGUUGGCUGCGCUGCCAAUUGUGACAAGAAAUUGCCGCAUCUACAUCCUGAGUACCAGCACAGGGAGCAAAUAGACUGUUUAGUCUCAUAAAGAAACAGUUAUUGUCUGGAUUACCUGUAAGUAGGGGAGUAUAUUUUUUUGGUCUACUAUGUAUACACAAUGCACACAACAGUGAUGCAUCACCGGACACAAUAGAAGCAAAUACUUCUUUAUAGACGACAUUUUUUUCAUUUAUACAACGGCCAUCCUCGGCUUCUAUGAAAUGGCUGUCACUACCUGAAACAUCCAAGUAUCAAUGAGAAAGAUGUAGUUGGUAGACUCGGUAAUCACCGGCCCAACUUGCCAGCCAAUGAAUGUAGAGACAAGAACAUCUUGAUGCAAAAAAAAUUAUAAUUUAACAAUGAAUGGACAUACAUAUCAGAAAUAUCACUGUAAAUUAUUUUUUUUCACACAUGCAUACAAGAUUGAACUUAGAUAUAUAACAUAGACUGUAUUGUAAAGAUUAACUAGAUAUAACUAAAAUAUAUUCAAUUUUGCUCAUGCUCUAUGCACCAGACAUCUUGGUAUGGACAAAUGGAUCUGCUGCGUGAGCAGAACUCUGAAAUCCAAAAGAAGGUAUGCAAGGCUAAAAACUAACAAAGGAAGCUGAACUAAACACGACAGGAGAAGGUAAUAUUUAUGUGGCAACUACUGAGCAUCCGGACCAUCAAGUUCUAUUUUUCAAAGCAUCAAGUCCUAUAUUUAUGGGAAAGUUGUCAAACAAAAAUGUGGCCUGCACGAAUAUUAUCACCUGCAAGGGAGGCAUGAAGCCUAUCCCAUCUCAUAAUUGAAGUGCAUGAGUCCAACCAAUUUCCCCGGUGAUCAUGGAUACGAAGAAUAAGUUGUGAUGCUAAACCAAAACAUAGAUGACUUUCCAAGUGUGCAGCCUGCAUAGUAAAAUAAGAAAGAAAAAUCAUAUUUUUGACAUGAAUGCAAGUAGUACCAAGUUGCUGGAUUGUUGACCAGUUCUCCAUUUUAUUUUGUAUUUUGAAACAUCUUUUCUUUUGAAUAACUUACUGAUAUAUUGUCACACCCAAUUUCAAGGAAGAAAUUGAAUGCAUAAACUUAUGUGCGCCCAGAGAUCAAUCACACACAUAAGUCACAAAUUAAAUAUCAUCAUCGCAGUGUUUACAACAAACGUAGUUAUUACAUCACAAAGUCUGGUAUAAGAGCGGAAAUAUAAAUAUGAUAUUCUAAGAUAACUAUCUCAUGGUCCUCACACAGGGAAGGUCGACUGGUGAAGCACAAGCCUAAUAGUUCUCAGGGUAGUCCUCAUAGCCACCACCAUGUGUUACCCAUCCGGGAUUUUUAUCCAAAGAAAAGAAAUAUACAAGCGUGAGUACAUCUCGUACUCUACAAGCAUAGCGUGAGGAUUUAUGAGGCUCAAACAGGCUAAACUAGGUUCACUGCAUCAGCUUUUAGUAGGUCAGUGUUUUAUCAUUAAUUAUUAUAGAUUAAGCUUAAGCUCCCAAAAAUCUCAUAUAAUCAGUUAUUAGAACCAUAGUAAGUCAUUAAGUCACAUUAAAGCAUAAUUAUUCAUCAUCAAGUACCAUAUAGCCAUCAGUAACCAGUUAUUCUGUGAGUUUUCCGGGCCGCUCGUGACCGUGAGCACGGCUGUUAUAACAGUUAUACACUCUGCAGAGGUUGUGCACUUUCCUAUGGCACAUUUCCAUCGCGGCUAUACUCAUAGAAACAGGGGCAGCCCUACACCCAAAGUGGCAAGCGCCUCUUGCGCCCUUUCGGGUAACCUCUAACGAGUUAGAAAAGGUCCUAUUACUGAGCUAAAGUCAGAGCCAUAUGACUCUCCCGGUUGCACUGUAAGUCCCAGCUUUUGCCAACAGAUAAGUCCUUACGGAGGGUCUAGGACAACAUGACCAACAGUCAUUUGUACCAUAGCCCUAUGUUCCAUUUAUCAUAAUCAUGUUUAAUCAAUUAACCAUGGUUCCACCACUGAUUUCAGAUCAUAUAUAAUUGGAGUUAGAGCACUAGCACUUCUACCCAUAUGCAAUAAAAACCCUUGGGAACAAGGUAAUUGUCAUCAACAUCUAGGAUGUCCUUAUAGUUUGCAAUAUUAUACACAUGCAGGGUGAAAUGCUUAAAAAUGAGUAGGACAACAAGGUAAGCCCAUGCUAUACUUGCCUUGGUUCACGUACUCCUGCUGUUCUUGCUGGUCCUGUUGGUCCCCAAAGAGCUCCGGACUCCCGAAAAACUCCUCACCGUCUGGGCUCGAUCAAAACAUCACAAUCAUCACGCAUACCAAGACAAACAUGCAAGAGAACAAUUCCUAAAGUUAGAACAGUACACCAGCAUUAAAUAAAUUAAAUAAAAGUUUUCCAAAAUCAUCUACGUGCUGCUACGAUCACGUCAACGCGAAAUUCACGAAAAUCGGAGCUAAAACGACCAAGUUAUGACUUUUCGACGAUUUCCUAUAGGCCAAUAAUAAAUUAAACCUAACCCUGAAAAUAAAAAGUGGCAAACUACAGAAACAGUAGUACUAUCAUGUAGAGUAUUUAAUUACGAAUCUAACGCAAUUUGAACGGGUCAAAUCGGAGCUAUAACGAAUAUUUUAUGGCCAAAACAAGUUCAGUGGCAAUUCUGUAGUUUCCCGAAAGCGUAUUUUGACCUAACCGACGGAUAAUACGUUUUCUAAAAGAGAAAGCGUGUUUCGCUCGAAGGCGCUAAGGACUGCGGCCGAAUUUGGAAAUCUGGGAGGGGCUCUUUAAGCAAAAUUUCCCCCCGAAGGGGUACGGUGCAUCCAGGGCCGUUGAUCUGGAAUCGGACGCGCGAGAUUAGAAAGAAGAAAACAGAGGGGGGGGGGGAAGGAGCGGCGCGCCGGCCGGAGGGGAGGAAGGGCGCGGCGGGCGCCAUGGCCGGCCGGGCCUGAGCUCGCCGACGCGACCCCAACAGAGGCUACGGCGGACCAUUUUCUAAACCGAGACCGCUGGGAGAGAGAGGAGGGCGAGGGGAACGCGUCCCCGGCCUUGGAACGCUCCGGGAAACACCCAAGCUGCUGCGCCAUGGCCGGCGGCGAAAAGCUUCUCCGGCGAGCGCGGCCGGAGUGAUUGAAGACUCCGUUUUGCUCGGGAAAUGGACGGGGAGAAAGAGGGAAGGGAGAGGAAGCUCACCACGGCGCUAAAUCGGAGCGAAACCGGCUCUGGAAGGGAGCUUCACGCGGCGGGCGAAGAACUCCGGCGACGGUUUCUGCGCACUCGCGAUUGGGAGCAGAGCCGAGGGAAAAGAGGGGGAAAAUGGGGAGAGGAGGACUCGGGCGCGCGGACUCCCUCCACUUGAAGCCGAGACGCGGGGGGGCGGAGAACGUGGGCGCGGGGAGAGCGGCUUCGACGGUUGCUGCCGAGAGAGAGGAAAUCGGGGUUGGGCGGUUGGAGGUAGGGGGUGGUCCUGACGGGUGGGCCCCACCCGUCAGCCGCCAGGGAGAAAGAGGGGGGAGGGAGGGGAUCGGCUGGGCCAGGCCCAAGAAGGAGAAAGGGGGCGCACGGGUUUUGGGCCAAAAUGGCCGAGAGAAGGGGAGGGAAGAGAGAAAAGCUCUUCCUUUUUAUUUUCCAAACAAAAUUUUCAAACUCUUUUCCAAAUGAGUUUUUGAAUUCAAACAUCUUUUCUUCAAAUCCACUCAUCACAUAAAUAAAUGCACCAGCAUGUAUGCAACAAAUUAUUGGCCUAACUUAUAUUUAAUUUUAUUUUCUCCAAAUUUAUUUAUUUUCCUAUAUUGAAAAUGCUCACAAAAUUAUUUAAUAAAGCCAAAUUCAUCUAUUUUUAAAAGAGCCAAAUUUUGGGUGUUACAAUUCUACCCCCCUUAAAAAUAAUCUCGUCCUCGAGAUUGGGUGAUGCUUACUCAAACAGAUGUGGAUACGACUUUCUCAAGUCCUCUUCUCUUUCCCAGGUGGCUUCAUCUUCGGUAUAACGAUUCCAUUACACCUUACACAUCUUUAUAGUUCUGCUUCUUGUAACUCUAUCUGCAGUUUCCAAAAUCUUUAUCGGAUACUCUUCAUAUGUGAGAUCUUCUUUAAUGGUCAACUCUUCUAUAGGAAUCUGCUCUUCGGGUACCCGCAAACACUUCUUCAACUGAGAAACAUGGAAUACAUCAUGUACACCUGACAAACUCUCAGGAAGUUCUAACUGAUAGGCUACUUCUCCAUGUCUUGCAAGAAUCCUGAAAGGUCUGACGUAUCUCGGUGCUAGCUUACCCUUCACAUUGAAUCUCUUCACACUCCUCAUUGGAGAUACCUUCAGAUAUACAAAAUCACCCUCUUUGAAGCUCAAGUCCCUUCUUCGGGUGUCGGCAUAACUUUUCUGCCUCGAUUGUGCCACCCUUAGAUUGUCCCUAAUCAUCCUCACUUGUUCUUCAGCACUUCUUAGGAUGUCUGGCCCAAACACCUGUGUUUCACCAGUUUGAUUCCAGAAUAAAUGUGUCCUACACUUGCGACCAUACAAAGCUUCAAAUGGUGCCAUCUUGAGACUCUUCUGGUAGCUGUUGUUAUAGGAAAACUCAGCAUACGGCAGACUUUUGUCCCAACUUGUGCCAUACUGCAGAGCACAAGCUCUCAGCAUGUCCUCCAAGAUUUGAUUAAUUCUCUCUGUCUGUCCAUCAGUCUGGGGAUGAUAAGCAGAACUGAAGUUCAGCUUAGUUCCCAUGGAUCUAUGUACUUUGUGCCAAAAGUGCGACGUAAACUGAGUUCCUCGGUCGGACACGAUCUUCUUUGGAACUCCGUGUAAGCACACAAUCCUUUCCAUGUACAACUCGGCUAACCUUGCCCCUUUGUAGUUGGUUUUGACUGGUAAGAAAUGUGCAACCUUAGUGAGUCGGUCUACUAUUACCCAAAUCGAGUCAUACCCACGUUGAGUACGUGGCAACCCGGUAAUAAAGUCCAUACCGACUUCUUCCCAUUUCCAUUCAGGUAUCUGCAUUGGUUGCAGCAACCCUGCAGGUCGUUGGUGCUCAGCUUUCACUCUCUGACAGGUGUCACACAAAGCAACAUACUCUGCUACAUCCCUUUUCAAUCCAUACCACCAAUAUCUCUCCUUUAGGUCCAAAUACAUCUUGGUACUCCCAGGGUGUAUUGAAUAAGUAGAGUCAUGCGCCUCACGCAGAAUUGUAUCUCGGAUAGCCUUCACUUCAGACACACAUAUCCUUUUCCCAAACCAUAGGGUACCAUUCUCAUCUAUCCUGAAGCCUGGUGCCUUUCCAAGCACUACAUUAUCUGCUAUCUCUUUUAAUUUCUCAUCCUCCAACUGACUCUUACGUAUCUCUUGUUCCAAUGUUGGCUCUACCUCUAGACCCAUGGUAUGAUUCACAAAGCCUAUGUUGAGGUGUUCUAUUUCGGCUCGCAACUCAGCUGGAAUAAAUGUCAGCUGAAGUCUGUUGACAUAGCUUUUCCUACUAAGUGCAUCUGCAACUACAUUUGCUUUCCCAGGGUGAUCUUGCACUUCCAGGUCAUAAUCCUUGAUCAACUCCAACCAUCGACGUUGCCUCAGAUUCAGGUCUGACUGGGUGAAGAUAUACUUUAGGCUCUUAUGGUCUGUGUAAAUAUCACACUUAUGACCAAUCAAGUAAUGCCUCCAGAUUUUUAAGGCAUGGACCACUGCGGCUAGCUCCAGAUCAUGAGUAGGGUAAUUCAACUCAUGUUUCCUCAGCUGCCUAGAUGCAUACGCCACUACUCUUCCUUCUUGCAUGAGCACACAACCUAAACCUAAGCAAGAAGCAUCACAAUAGAUGGAGAAGCUCUUGCUUAAGUCAGGUAAGGUCAACACUGGAGCUGUGGUCAACCUCUUCUUUAACUCCUCAAAGUUAGCCUGGCAUUUUUCUGACCAAACAAACUUAGCACUCUUCUCUAAUAAGGCCGUCGUGGGCUUAGCAAGUUUAGAGAAUCCUUCAAUGAAUCUCCUAUAAUAUCCGGCCAAUCCCAGAAAACUACGGAUUUCACUCACAUUGGUCGGGGGUUUCCAAUUCAACACAUCUUGCACCUUGCUGGGGUCCACGGCUAUCCCUCCAUUGGAGACCACGUGUCCCAGAAAGGAGACCUCCUUUAGCCAAAACUCACACUUGCUUCUUUUGGCAUAUAGCUUAUGUUCUCUAAGCUUCUGCAAGACUAGCCUCAGAUGCUCUGCAUGUUCCUCUUUAGUUUUGGAAAAGAUGAGUAUGUCAUCAAUGAACACCACUACAAACUUAUCCAAGAACUCCAUGAACACCAUGUUCAUGAGAUACAUGAAAUAUGCGGGUGCAUUGGUUAGCCCAAAAGACAUAACUGUGUACUCAUACAGGCCAUACCUAGUAGUGAAGGCUGUCUUAGGUACAUCCGAGGCACGGAUUUUCAGUUGAUGAUAACCGGAUCGAAGGUCUAUUUUUGAGAACACACAAGCACCUUUUAACUGAUCAAACAGGUCAUCAAUUCUAGGCAAAGGGUACUUGUUUUUGAUGGUUACUUCAUUUAGUGACCGGUAAUCCACACACAUUCUCCUGGUACCAUCUUUCUUAUCGACAAAGAUAACGGGUGCUCCCCAAGGUGAUGAACUAGGACGAAUAAAAACCUUCUCUAGCAACUCCUUAAUUUGCUUCUUAAGUUCCUCUAGUUCAUUCACUCCCAUUCUAUAAGGUCUUUUAGCUAUAGGUGCAGUUCUAGGUAAAAGUUCAAUAAGGAAUUCGAUGUCUCGGUCAGGUGGCAUACCUGGCAAUUCAUCAGGGAACACAUCAGGGAAGUCAUCCACCACUUGGUUCUCCUCAUUGACCUCAUCACUCAACUGGUUCACGGUAGCAGUUGGAGGUGCUUGCACUGCCACUUCUACACAAAUUCUAUCCCCUUUAGGUGAUGUUACUACCACAGACUUCUCCUGGCAUUGAAUCACUGUCCGAUGUUGCUUCAUCCAAUCCAUCCCCAGGAUAAGGUCAAUACCAGAAGUUCUUAGCACAAUGGGGUUUACUUUGAAGUCUACCCCCCUUAGAGAAACACUAGUGGAGGGGCUCCAAUAGUUCGCUGGCAUAGUACCCCCCGGUGAAUUCACUAGCAUUGAGUUUUUCAUGGCACAUAAAGCUAUGCUAUGUACUCUAACAAAAGCUUGCGAGAUGAAAGAAUGCGAAGCUCCGGAAUCAAAAAGUACAGUAGCAGGGAUGGAGUUGAUACUAAACGUACCCAGCAUGACCUCGGGUGCCUCCUGAGCUGAAUCAGUAGACACAUGGUUCACACUUCCAGUGUGGGGUGGUCGAGCAUUGGGCCUCUGAUUGUUGUUCUGAUUCUGUGGAGCUGAGGGGUUCUGCUUCUUCGGGCACUGAUAGGCAUAGUGACCCACUUCACCACAACGGUAGCAAGCAUUGGGGUUGUUUGCCACUGCUGUCUUCACUGGAGCAUUGUUGGGCACACCUGGACGUGGUGCCUGGGGGUUAACUUGCUGCUGAGGGCGCUGAUUACCAAACUGCUGCUGGUACUGGGGACGCUGCUGGUUCUGGUUUUGGUUGCGCGGAGGGUACUGGCCCUGAUUCCACUGACUAGGGGGCCUCUGGUUCCUGGGAGGAAAGCCCUGCUGAGGAAACAUGCGCGGACGAGUGUUGCUGCUAGAUGCCUGCCCCUGAAUCUUCCUCUUCUUAGCAUCCAUCUCUUUGCGCUUAUUGUCAAUCACAAUAGCACGGUUCACAAGUUCCUGGAAGCUGGGGUAAACAUUGGACAUCAACUGCAGUUGCAGGCCAUCAUACAGUCCUUUUAGGAAACGACGUUGCUUGUCAGAAUCCUUGGCCACUUCACCCGGAGCGUAACGUGACAAUUGAGCGAACUUGUCACGGUACUCAGCGACAGUCAUGGAGCCUUGCUUGAGAGCACGGAACUCCUCUUGUUUGAGCUCGAUGAGCCCCUCUGGAAUGUGGUAAGACCGGAAACUCUCUGUGAAUUCCCUCCAAGUGACAGGCGGUGCGUUGUCUGGGCGUCCAUAUUGGUAGGACUCCCACCACUCUUGUGCAGCCCCUUGCAGUUGUCCGGAGGCAUACAACACCUUCUCCAUGUCAUUGCACUGAGCAAUGUUCAGCUGCUUCUCCACAGCUCUUAACCAAUCAUUAGCUUCUAAAAGGUCACUAGCAUGUGUAAAAAUAGGGGGACGUCCCUUCAUGAACUCUCCCCUCUUAUCUCGAACCUGGACCGGUGGUGGUACGACGGCUGGCUGGUGAUCCAGGCGAUCCAUCAUAGUUUGCAUCAAUUGAGUUUGCAUCAACAUGAGCUGCUCCAUUGUCACAGGCUGUGGUGGUGGCGGUGGGUCCACCGGUGCGCCACGGCCACGUCCACGGCCACGGCCUCGACCUCGACCACGGCCUCUUCCUCCUUCGUCAGCCAUCUGUUUCCAACAAAGGAAUAAGCUUUUAGAGGUUUCCAUAAUUAAUAACUGAUUAUAAUAUCGAAUAGACUGCUGAAAAUUUUCUGGACAGGAUGCAAAAUCAGCAGUGCAGUAUUUAACUCAUAACUCGAGUUUCUGAUAUCCAACAGAGGCGUGCCAUACAUGUUUGGAAAGCUUAUAAAAUUUGUUACAACUUUUGUUCAGACCACUUUUACAGAUUCUGACAUUAUCUUGAUCAAAAACAGGGGUAAUGCGAACCUGUUCUGGGCUCUAGUCUGCGCAAUAGUCCCAAAUUGUAACAAGGAUAUCUCCCAGAUCCGAGCAGGUUUUGACAUGGUUCCAGUUGCAAAUGAAUGAUAUAUCAGUCUAGUUUCCUCCACAAAAAUUUCAAAAUUUUUGGACGUACCACUUCAGAGAUAAAAGUUAAACAUCACAGGCUGCUCCAGAAAAAUAGCACAGCAACAGCAGAAUAUACCAACCCAACUAAGCAUUCGAUAAUUAAACUUAAGGUAACAGAAGUUUGUAGAUAAAUCCACAAUCUUCCAGCAGUCAUUACAAAGAUUCGAAUCAUGCAAAUACACAAACAAAUUCAACGGACACAUCAAUUGUUCACAAGCACUCCAAACUCAACUGACAUAACGAGACUACGAAAUAAAACAACUAUGGCAUCCUAGGCCUAUGGUGCGUCGCCGGAGAUGCUAGGAGGUGCGGUCUUCUUCUUGUAGAGCGGUGGCAACUCAAGCUGCUCUCUAAGGCUGUCCACCAUCUCCUGGAAGCGAUCUAUGGAAUCCUGCUGAUCACGUAGCUCCACCUGUAGGUCAUCAUUGGCCAUCUGCAGGACAUGCAUAUGCCUAACAGUUGCAUCCAAUGGCGUGUCAACCUCCUGCGGGUUCUCGAUAGACCAAGUGCCAAUAGUAGAAUCAUGGCGAGGGAGAAACUUGUACUGGUCUGCUCUCAUGGCCUCAUAGCGAAGGCCAUGGUAGUGAGUGUAAGCCAUCUGGGCGGCGUCCUCCAUGCUGUCCUGUGCCUCAGCUCGCCUAGCAACGUGUCCAUGGAUGCUCUCCACCAUAUAGCUGUCAUGUGCCUCAUUCCCCACAGUGAUGGUAAGAUCCGACCUCCAGUACGUGGCUUCAUAGGGGUGUGUGUACUCUGCACAGCAGUACAUAAUGCCAAUCUCCUUAUCGCCAUAGUAAGUAUCCAGCAUCUCCCUAAGCAAGUUGUGGAAGUAGGCUGUCAUUGAAGGAUACUUGUAGUGGAUGGUGGUAGUCCAUCCUGGGUUUUCUUCCUCAGGACCAGCUGGAGGCACCACCUCUGGUACAGCAGGGGCAGCAGGUGCAACUGGUGGAGCUGGUGGUGCAGGUGCAGCAGGUGGAACAGGUGCAGUGGGUGGAGGUGGAACAGGUGCAGCUGCUACAGGGGAGUCCAUCCAGUUCUCAUCAUCAUCAUCCACCUCUGUCACCAUCGCUGGGUCCUCUUCCUCCAUGGGGACGGUCUCGUUGUCGGAGAUGUGCACCACUGGCAGGGACGACUGGGGCGUGAACUGAGAGAUGUAGCUCCUGGUGUUGGCACGGCGAGACCUCGUGACAGGCGGCAUCUAUAAAUUUUAUUUUAAGAUUAGAUCAAUAUUUUGGCAAUAGAAUAAGUGAUAUAAGCAUAAUAAAUUUUAUAAAAUAACAAAAAGUAAGGUAGAAAGCAUUAAAUAAAUAAAACAAAAACUCUAUAUCGACCAUUGCUACCUAGGCUUGCGUCCUACAGUCAACACGGCUCUGAUACCAAUUUGUCACACCCAAUUUCAAGGAAGAAAUUGAAUGCAUAAACUAAUGUGCGCCCAGAGAUCAAUCACACACAUAAGUCACAAAUUAAAUACCAUCAUUGCAGUGUUUACAACAAACGUAGUUAUUACAUCACAAAGUCUGGUAUAACAGCGGAAAUAUAAAUAUGAUAUUCUAAGAUAACUAUCUCAUGGCCCUCACACAGGGAAGGUCGACUGGUGAAGCACAAGCCUAAUAGUCCUCAGGGUAGUCCUCAUAGCCACCACCAUCUGUUACCCAUCCGAGAUUUUUAUGCAAAGAAAAGAAAUAUACAAGCGUGAGUACAUCUCGUACUCCACAAGCAUAGCGUGAGGAUUUAUGAGACUCAAACAGGCUAAACUAGGUUUAGUGCAUCAGCUUUUAGUAGAUCAGUGUUUUAUCGUUAAUUAUUAUAGAUUAAGCUUAAGCUCCCAAAAAUCCCAUAUAAUCAGUUAUUAGAACCAUAGUAAGUCAUUAAGUCACAUUAAAGCAUAAUUAUUCAUCAUCAAGUACCAUAUAGCCAUCAGUAACCAGUUAUUCUGUGAGUUUUCCAGGCCGCUCGUGACCGUGAGUACGGCUGUUAUAACAGUUAUACACUCUGCAGAGGUUGUGCACUUUCACCGUGAGUCGUGUCGCCCAUAUGCCCGGGGUCCGUCGACCCCCAAACACUACCAAGGUGAGCGGGCAGGGUACACUAUGAAGCCUUCCAUAGGCCUAUUCUAACCAGUUAGGGCCGCGAGGUUUCCUCGGCAGGCAGAUGUAGAAAACCCCCCUUUUCUAUGCCACAUUUCCAUCGCGGCUAUACUCAUAGAAAUAGGGGCAGCCCUACACCCAAAGUGGCAAGCGCCUCUUGCGCCCUUUCGGGUAACCUCUAACGAGUUAGAAAAGGUCCUAUUACUGAGCUAAAGUCAGAGCCAUAUGACUCUCCUGGUUGCACUGUAAGUCCCAGCUUUUGCCAACAGAUAAGUCCUUAUGGAGGGUCCAGGACAACAUGACCAACAGUUAUUUGUACCAUAGCCCUAUGUUCCAUUUAUCAUAAUCAUGUUUAAUCAAUUAACCAUGGUUCCAUCACUGAUUUCAGAUCAUAUAUAAUUGGAGUUAGAGCACUAGCACUUCUACCCAUAUGCAAUAAAAACCCUUGGGAACAAGGUAAUUGUCAUCAAUAGCUAGGAUGUCCUUAUAGUUUGCAAUAUUAUACACAUGCAGGGUGAAAUGCUUAAAAAUGAGUAGGACAACAAGGUAAGCCCAUGCUAUACUUGCCUUGGUUCACGUACUCCUGCUGUUCUUGCUGGUCCUGCUGGUCCCCAAAGAGCUCCGGACUCCCGAAAAACUCCUCACCGUCUAGGCUCGAUCAAAACAUCACAAUCAUCACGCAUACCAAGACAAACAUGCAAGAGAACAAUUCCUAAAGUUAGAACAGUACACCAGCAGUAAAUAAAUUAAAUAAAAGUUUUUCAAAAUCAUCUACGUGCUGCUACGAUCACGUCAACGCGAAAUUCACGAAAAUCGGAGCUAAAACGACCAAGUUACCACUUUUCGACGAUUUCCUAUAGGCCAAUAAUUAAUUAAACCUAACCCUGAAAAUAAAAAGUGGCAAACUACAGAAACAGUAGUACUAUCAUGUAGAGUAUUUAAUUACGAAUCUAACGCAAUUUGAACGGGUCAAAUCGGAGCUAUAACGAAUAUUUUAUGGCCAAAACAAGUUCAGUGGCAAUUCUGUAGUUUCCCGAAAGCGUAUUUUGACCUAACCGACGGAUAAUACGUUUUCUAAAAGAGAAAGCGUAUUUCGCUCUAAGGCGCUAAGGACUGCGGCCGAAUUUGGAAAUCUGGGAGGGGCUCUUUAAGCAAAAUUUCCCCCCGAAGGGGUACGGUGCAUCCAGGGCCGUUGAUCUGGAAUCGGACGCGCGAGAUUAGAAAGAAGAAAACAGAUGGGGGGAAGGAGCGGCGCGCCGGCUGGAGGGGAGGAAGGGCGCGGCGGGCGCCAUGGCCGGCCGGGCCCGAGCUCGCCGGCGCGACCCCAAUAGAGGCUACGGCGGACCGUUUUCUAAACCGAGACCGCUGGGAGAGAGAGGAGGGCGAGGGGAACGCGUCCCCGGCCUUGGAACGCUCCGGGAAACACCCAAGCUGCUGCACCAUGGCCGGCGGCGGAAAGCUUCUCCGGCGAGCGCGGCCGGAGCGAUUGAAGACUCCGUUUUGCUCGGGAAAUGGAUGGGGAGAAAGAGGGAAGGGAGAUGAAGCUCACCACGGCGCUAAAUCGGAGCGAAACCGGCUCUGGAAGGGAGCUUCACGCGGCGGGCGAAGAACUCCGGCGACGGUUUCUGCGCACUCGCGAUUGGGAGCAGAGCCGAGGGAAAAGAGGGGGAAAAUGGGGAGAGGAGGACUCGGGUGCGCGGACUCCCUCCACUUGAAGCCGAGACGCGGGGGGGGGGGGGGAGAACGUGGGCGCGGGGAGAGCGGCUUCGACGGUUGCUGCCGAGAGAGAGGAAAUCGGGGGUGGGGCGGUCGGAGGUAGGGGGUGGUCCUGACGGGAGGGCUCCACCCGUCAACCGCCAGGGAGAAAGAGGGGGGAGGGAGGGGAUCGGCUGGGCCAGGCCCAAGAAGGAGAAAGGGGGCGCGCGGGUUUUCGGCCAAAAUGGCCGAGAGAAGGGGAGGGAAGAGAGAAAAGCUCUUCCUUUUUAUUUUCCAGACAAAAUUUUCAAACUCUUUUCCAAAUGAGUUUUUGAAUUCAAACAUCUUUUCUUCAAAUCCACUCAUCACAUAAAUAAAUGCACCAGCAUGUAUGCAACAAAGUAUUGGCCUAACUUAUAUUUAAUUUUAUUUUCUCCAAAUUUAUUUAUUUUCCUAUAUUGAAAAUGCUCACAAAAUUAUUUAAUAAAGCCAAAUUCAUCUAUUUUUAAAAGAGCCAAAUUUUGGGUGUUACAUAUAUCAUGGUAAAUUAGAGAUAUCAUUCCGUAAAUAUCAAUUAAAAGAACUGUAAGCUGAGGAGAAAAGAACUGCACUUCAAGUGUCAUAGCUCGUGCUGCUUGUCCACUGCAUUCACAUCCCUUACCUGAUGAGUAUGGACGCACGAACGAACUCGAACGAACCAACCUGCGCGGUAAACAAGGUAAUGAAACAAAGAGAAACACAGGAAUAUAAAUACAGAAGCAAAUGGGAAGGAGAGCUCUUUGAAUUUUAUAAUAUAUUCUACAAUAGGAAGGAACCAUCUACCAAAGAAAUUGAGAACAAGUCAUUCUCAUGCAUGAAGACUUUAUAUUUUAAUUAAAUGAAGUAAAUUUGCACUAUUCAUUUCAGACUUAGUCGACAAUUCAGGCUCCUGCUCAGUAGUUACACACCUGAGAACAAUCCACCAGCCGAACAAGCUGAAACCAUAGCAACUCAGUCAAGAAUAUUUUAGAUGAAAGUAAAUAUUUUUAGUCAAUAAGAAUACAUAUAUCAGACACAAGAGGUAGUCAUAUCCCCUUAUGAUUCCUUGUGCUUUGGCACCAUUCUGAUUCUCCCAAGAGGGCUUGGCUUGUUCAAAUUCCUCAAACUGCAUUUCUCUGAGCUUCGUAUGUAGGCCUUCUUUAUCCAUGUCAAAUAAUUUGAUUUCUCCAGUUCGAACAGCUUUAAUAAAUCUAACUUUGUUCUGUGCCAUUUUCAAGUCGCGGCCAGCCAUUUCCACUAGCUUUUGCUGCAUAUUGACAAUUACUAAAUGUGAUAUCAAAUAGUCCAAAGAAUACGUGCGAUUCAAUUAUUAAAUGGAAACGUACUUUUCUUUUCUCAUAAAAAGCAACCUUGAAGUCAUAGAAUUCCUUAAGUACUGAAAUAAAUGACACAAUUUAGUUACAAUACGACAAAAGAAAUAAAAAAUGGAGGUCUUGUAGCAUAAAGGUAGUACAUACUUUGCUCUGGACUGUCAUACAUUUUAAUUAUGCCAUUUGAAUCCAACAAAUGCAUAUUUGAUGUUCCUAUUGAUGUUCUCAGUUCAAACUUUCUCUAAAGAUCUACUUCAUUGGCUUGCGCCAAAUUCUCAGAAUUCGCAUGCAAGUGUAUCAUAAUUUCAACAUCAUUGCCGCCUCUCUUUUUUUCAUAACUCUGUGAAAUUAUUAUGAUUAAAAACUAGCGGACAACAAUCAUUUCAUGAUUAAAACAUACUAUGUAAUCAAUUACCUUGAUGAAUUUGUCUUCUCCGUCCAUAAAAGUUUUAAGCUUCUUUUCAUAAUUCUACAUCGAGAUCUUCACUGGGAGCUCACUUAUUUUUAGUGUAGUUUUGUCAACAACCUUUAUGAUACCACUAGCGGUAUAGGUAACACCUGAUUUCUUGGUCUUGGUAGUUUCGUUUUUGACACUCACUUGUCCCUGUUGGUUCAUGUACAGAAAAUAAAACACCAACAUUAGAUUUUUUUAAGACAAAAAUAAAAACAGAAUUGUAAAAAAAAGCAUGUAUUACUAACGUGGAAAUGUCUGAACCAUGGUUUCAUUUCUUCCAACGUCUCUGCUCCCUGUAUCAUUAGUUUCAAUUUGUGUACAAAAUCUUUGGAUUGUAACAAGGAAUCUUUGUGCUCCAUCCGGUACCAAUUCCUUCAGCUCCAUUGACUAAAUCAUUGGAAGGACUGGCAAAUACCUAAAAAGUGACUACCAGGCCUUAGCUACUUAUUAUAAAGGUCAAAUUGCUGAGGAUGGAUGGAGCAAGUGGUGCCUAGUUAUUACCAUGAAGGUUCAAUUGAUUGCCCAUCUUCACUCAAAUAAUCGAGCAGAAUAUCAUCACUUUCAUUAAAUAUCCUGCGAGUGAUACUUGAUAACUCUGUGAAGAUAUAUCUAGCACUAGCAGCAUCUUUGCCUCCCUAAAAUGAAAAACAAGCAUGAAUAAAAUGUUUAACAACUAGUUUUCUCAUAGUGGCUUGUUAACUCACCUCUAAUCUUGUACCAAAUUGCCCAUUGGGACGCAAAAGAUUGAUAUUAUUGCUUCCAACAAAAUCUUGAGCCAUUCUUACUAUUGUGUUUGAUAGAUUUUCUUUACCGUGAUGAUAAGCAGAACAUUCUGCCACAAACGCGGCGAACUGUGCCACCUGUGAUCAAGUAGUAAAUUAGCAAUAUUAUAAGGCUAAUUUAGAGAGAACAUGACACAUAAAUCAUAAUAUGGCAGCCCAACCAGAGGCUCAACCCUUUUCUACUUAUAAGCUAGGACUGAAGCUUUGGAGUGGAUAUGAUUCUCAUCAUCAUAGACUAUAUGGAACAAGCUUGAGAUUGACCACCCACAAGACAAAAGUUUCAAACAAGCUAGUCUACCUUUAUAUAUUCAGGAGCCAGUAUACAUAAGGAAACUAAAACUAAAUAUAAAAUGGCAAUCCAAUCUAAAGAAACUAUGGAAUACAAAAGAUCGAAGCCUACCAUAUUCUCGGCCAUAGCGCCGACUGAUAUCAAAAUAUGUGGAAAAGAUUCAUAUUAGAAAAAACAAAUGAUAGUUGGGAUGCCAUACCUUUGUUUCCUUGUUCAAAUUUUUCUUAAAUGCGCUGAACAUUAUCUUUCUCUGCCCUUUUUUAAAUCCAUCUACCAUUGAUGGUAUAGACCGAUGCAUGUCUAAUACCUUGUAUAAUGUGAGCCCUUUCUUAAUGAAGUCAAGGAUUCUUAUCGUUUUCCCAGUUUGAAGAAGUACACUUUCUUCAGGAUGAAAUUUUUGUUAUCACAUUAAUGUUGGUCCUUAAAUUAACCCAAAUGAAUCUUUAAAAAUAAUAUCAAGACUGACCUUGCAGUUAUGAAGAAAGUUAUAAAUCCAUUCCUUUCUUUCCUCCACUUUAUGUUUACUAAAUGCUGUCUUGAUAGCCUUAUCAUCUUCUUCAUUCACCCACACAAAAUAUUUCUGAUGGAUGUCAAUAUCUUUGAAAUAUUGCAUACCUUCUUUAAGUGUCCUCGUGCCUAACCCCUGUAUAUAUGAAAAAGGUCCAAGUUGAAGACCACAUAGAAAAAAUGAAAUGAUUAAAAUUUGAGCAAAAAAACACACCUUAUAGUACUUUAUAGACCAUUUACUUAAUUCUGUCUCAUGUAUACUUUUCUCCCAUGCCGUAUAUGUAAUGCCCGAUUCUUUUCCCUCAUGGUGCGGUUAAGAAAAUUUUCCACUAGGUAGCAUAGAUCACACCUUUGUGUGCACAUAACCAUAAAAUAUCUAAGAAGAUAGUUAUCACUUCAUAAUAGUUUAAAAUGCAUCUUCCAGUGAUAUCAAGGUACUACCCCCUUAAGACAAGGUUGGUUAGGGGACAUUAGAGACUAAUUCUCCUAUCCUUUUUCGACACUACACAUCAUAGUCUUUUAAAUUCCUUGUACCAAGUCUCUUAAUCCAAGGUUGGUUUCAACACUAAGUUCCAUCUAUUGGUACCUUUAUCGCAAUUAAGUUGUUUCACUCUCAUAUUGUAUAUGUAGCUUUGUAGCCUUUGGUGUCAUCUGAUCCUCGUACGCAACUCUUAAUCCAUGAGUAUCAGCAAUGACAUAUAUCUCUAUUAAAAUUCUCUAAAUGGGAUGAUUAUCUUGAACAAACCAAACACUUGAUGUCGUUAUUGAUGUUCCAGUCAUUAACCACUUAUUCUCCCUGUAGUUCUUUAAUUGGGCUACCCCCCUUAAGAAAAGUCAACUAGGGGACCAAGAAAGGUAGCUUGCAUGUUUUCCAGACAAGUUAACUAACAUUGAGAACAUCUGACAUCCCAAAGAACUUUUGUGCAAGAGAACAAAUAGGAUUUCUGAAAUUUUCUCAUGAUAUGAAAACACCAUUGUAGUAAAACAGGUAUAACUCUUAUUCUGUUAAUCCAAUAGAGUUGUAGCUUAUACCGUUAGAAAACUUAUGAAAUUUCCUACAACUUUCAUUUAGAAUACCUCCUUAGGUUUUGUAUUUAAGCUUAGGUAAUAGCCAAACUUAAAAUCUAUCCUGACAAUGUCUCAACAAAGGUGCAGUAAUCUUCCAGAAGUUAUAUCUCAAGCUACUUAACUCAUCUGGAGGUGAUCCUUACAUUUUUAAAAAUCUUAGCAAAUACUUUUCAAAUUUUGUAUACAACAUUUUCCCAGAUUCUGACUUUAACUUGACUGAAAAUAGGAAAUGCCAGAUCUAUCUAGAUUUUGAAACAGAACAGAAACAUCCAAUUGUAAAUGUCAUAUCUCAGGUUCUACUUCUCCAAAUGAGUUCCAGCUUAUACUAUUCGAAAGCUUAGAAAAUUGUCUACAACGUUUCUAUAGAACACGUUUCCAAAUUCUAUAGCUAUAUUUGUCUCAAACAGUAGUCAACCGAAACUGGUCCAGAUUCCUAACAGCACAACUGUAUCAUCUUGUGAUUUUUGUAACUUCUAAACAUAAUAGCUAUGAGGGUGAUUCUUGCGGUCAGAGAAAGAUCUUGAAGUCUAGUUAUUCCCAGAAAAAUUUGAAAACUUUGUACGAACCGAACUUGAGACACACCAGAAUUAUUGCAGACUGCUCCAGAAAAUAACAAGGGAUAGAAACAAGAGAUAGCCAAACCCAACUACUUAUUUCAUUAAUCCUUAUGCCUUAGACAUAUAAACUAAUGAAAUUGUGAGGAAAUCCCACAAGAUCAUUGCACUCAUUACAAAGAUCCAAAUCAAGCAUAAACAUAAUAACAAACCAACUAAGCAUUAAAGGUUCACACUUCACUCAACUUGCGAUACUAUCGUUCUCUUCAUAGUAAGGGUAAAGAUCCUAAAACUUAUAUUUCAAAGACGCAAGAAGGUGGUAAGAAAAGGUUCUAAUAGCAUACCAAAUCAAGGAGUGAAGAUGAGAACAAGUGCUUUUAAAAUAAGCAACAAGGUAGAGACAAGUAGCAAGGAUAGGGAUAUAGUAUGGAUGAAAAUACCAAGGUUUAUAGAGCAAGGAUUUUAUGACAAUUCCAAAACCUUAAGACGACCAAUUUCUAACUAGGCUUGCGUCCUACAGCCAGCAUUGCUUUGAUACCACUUUGUAAUACCCGAUUUUAAGAUCAAAACCAGAUAUGCACCAUAUGUGAGUCUUAGAAGUCAAAUCUCACAUAUAGCUACAAAUAAGGGGUAAUAUCAAAAGACAAUGCAUAAAUUAUAUAACGUACAUAAUAAAUUAGAGAUAACAUUAAGCAGCUUAUAGCGGAAGUAACUCCAAACUUCGGGUACUAACUCCACUCUAUAGGAUCAAACUAACUGGUUGAUCACAAGCCUAACUUCUUCUGAGGUUUGGGGGAAAUAGCAAGAGUGAGUCCAUGUCGAUCUCCACAAGUAUAGCAACUAGAUUGUAUAUAUCCCACAAUCUCACGAUCAAAGUGACAUAAAUAAUGUAAAACAUUAAAUAAUAAAUAAUGAGCAUAUUUAACACACAAGAAUCAUCAUCGUUGAUGCAAGAAUCUCCAAGGCCGCUCUUGACCGUGAGCACGGCUAGUAUACCAGUUUUUAACACUCUACAGAGGUUGCACAUCUUUAACCAUGAGUCAUGAUUUACCCUUUUGCCCGAGGCCCGUCGACCUCUUAACCCACUACCAAGGAAGGUCGGCAGGGAUCACUAUGAAGCCUUUCAAAAGUUCGUCUAACAUGUUAGGGCCGCAAGGUUUCCUUUGCGCGCAGAUAUAGAUACCCCCUUCCAAAUGGCACAAUGACGCGCAGCCUAUACACAUAAGGACAGGGGCUCGCACUAUACCCAAAACGGUUCAGCCCCUCCACCCUUUCGGGUAACCUCUAACAAGCUAGAAAAGGAGCUAAAGCCAGAGCCAUUAUAGCCCUCAUGGUUGCACUGUUGUCCAUGGUGAUCACGUACAGACAAAUCAUCAAGUUGCUAAAGAGUCAUUUUUAUCGUUUAUUACUUAACAUUAAUCUAGUCACACGAUAAUGGUCACAGAAAUAAAAUCCAAAUACUAUACUUACCUUAAUCCAAUUGGUUUUGCUGAUCUUGCUAGUUGUCCAAGUACUGAUCUUAUUUGUUGUAGCACGCUCAGUCACCCACGAGUUGUUCACCGUCUAUUCCCGAUCAUCAAUCAUCAACAUACAAAUAAUCGGGACCAAACAUACACGAAGCAAACAAUAGAAAUAAAUUAAAACAUUACACCAAUCAAUAGAAAAGUUUGAAAACUAAUCUACGCAUUGUUGCGAGCACACAGACAUAAAAAGCACGCUAAUCGGAGCCACGGAGAAACAAAAACGACAACUGGAAGAUUGUUUUUAUAAAAGAGAGAAAACUUUAAGCUUCAUCUAUUAUUUUAACAAUAUAAAAGCAUGCAUAAGAUAUUUCAGGGGAUAUAUCCAAAUAAAAUUAAGUCAAAACACAAUUUAGUUUAAAAGAGCUACUCAUGUUUUAUUUAUAUAAACAAUGCUGUAUAAUUUAGUCAAUUUAAACUUGGACAUGCAAAAUAUAAACUGAUAUGGGUAUAAACUAGUUUAAUAUGUGAAGCGUGUUUAAACUUAACAAAUUAUAAAUAAAAAAAACAUAUUCAUGCCAUAAUUCAUCGUAUUAAUAUUUAUGUAUAAAAUACCGGAGCUUAACAUCUAUUUUCCUUUUAAUUAGAAACUAGUUGUAUUUAUAUUAAUCAAAUUAAUAUAAACUCAAUAAAGUCAUACAUAUGUGAUAUGAAGAACGUUAGCACUAUCUUGCAGUACGAGAUGGACACUAUGAGAUCGGCUUGGAGUGGAGACAAUAUGGAUAUAUGAGAACGUGAGAGUGGACUUCUGAAAAAAAAUAGAUUAAAAGGCUCACCGGUGAUUUUCGAUGUCAGGAUUUAACACCGCUCGGUGGCGAUGAAAUUGACGUCAACUGAUUUUGGAGAACGUGGGCAUGAAGACAAGUUUUGCAUCUCUCGACAACGAAUGCAGUAUCAUGGAGAAACUCCGAGUGGUUACGGCUCCCACAGCCAUACAAAUGCAUCGACGAAGACUAUGCACAACGUCGCAACACGGGCUUGGCGGCAAGACAGAUGCUUAGCAUGCCUAGCGUGGCUUCCUUCAGUCAUGGCCAGCGACUGCUCAAUGUCCAGAAAACAAACAUUGAGACAUUGCAUCCUUCGUAGCAACUGGUGCUGAUCUGCAUCCUCAACAACGAGGAGCAGUGAUUACCAUCAAGGUAUAUACACACAUAACAGAGAUAGGACAAAUGUGCAGGAGAUCGAAAAUUGGCAGUAGAUGAACCUGUACGAGGUUGGCUUCCUUACAGUAGCUGAGUCUUCACCUAUCUCGGCAGUGAAAGCUUCACAAGAUAUCAAGUUGCCGAGCACCACACCGGAGUCCGAGGAAGAUGUAUGUGUACAUCACGGCAAUGGAGGAAGAAAAUAUAAGAGAUUUCUAAACCAGAGGCUCUUUUUGUGUUGUUUUGGUUUGCCCAACUAGCGAUAUGGUACAAAUCAAUGUUGCACCCUUCAUCUUUAGUAAUGAGCCUAAUAAAUAUUAAAGCCCAUUAAUAAAUUAAGGCAUGAGUCUUUAGGAAUUAUUAAGAUUAUUGCACAUAGGCAUUGACGUUGGAAAAAGAGUAAGAGAUUUAUUAUUUUUAGAAUUAAUUAUUUUUAUGGAUAAAAUAACUCUUGAAAAUCUAGAAUUAUUAUUUAAGCCAUGAAAAAUACUUCAAAAGCUCUGAAAAUUUGGGGAAAAUUCUCAAAGAUAUUAUGGAACAUGAAGAACCCAAGUUCAGUAUUUGGAGCUCAUGAUAUGAUAAUUUGGAGCAUCUAAAAAUUAGAUUAUGCUCCACGGAAAAGGCUAGAAAAAUUCCCGUGAAGUUAUAGAGAUUGUUUGACGGAUGAGAACUGAAAGGAGUGAUUUGGGUGACAAAGAAAAGAUUUCUAAGAAGCUCCAAAUGAAAGCCUAAGCUGAGAAACAAGGAAUUUGAUUAUAGAAUAAUAUAAAAGACAUAUCGGAUAAGAAGAUCGACCUACUAAACGUAUUUUAAAGAUUUUGCUCACUCUCAACAUACAAAGGAGCAACAACAAACCUCGCAUAAAACAUAUGCACCAGUAUGUAUGCACAACAAUGUUGCUAUACCCUAUGAUAAAUUUUAAUUUAAUGAAAAAAAUAUAUUUUUCUAUGUUUUCAUGAACACAAAAAUACAAAAUUAAAUCAAUUUCACCUAUUUCAAAAAGGAACAAAAUUUUAGGGUGUUACAGUAUACUCGUUUAGUGUAUAGAAAACCUGACUUGGACAUUCCCCAGUAAUCCGUAACCUAAACAAGUUUUAAUCCGUGACAUGGUAAGUUUUAUGAGUCUUAAUAACUAAAACAUUAAAAAAAUGUUAAAGCAAGUAACAAGUGGCGUACCUUUACAAGUGGGGUAACUAAAUCACACAAAAAGGAUUUGGAUUUAAUCUUCAGAAGGGAAGGCCAAAAAACAUGAAAUAAGUUAAUGAUCAAUCCUUUAAUAUGAAAUCCAUCUGGAUCCUGGUCGGUCAUGACCAUAACUUUACCAUAUCUCAAAUCCUUCAAAUCCUUUUCAUCAUUAUAGUGUUUUUUGUAGUCUAAACCAAUAAUCUUUCUCAUAUUGUUAAUUUCCUCAUUGUCCAAGAUCUUUUUCAAAGACGCAUCUCUCACAUUCAGUAGCUUACCCUUCAAUGCAAGAACUCCAAAGUAGUCCCUAUGAACAGAACCUAGCUGCAGAGGAGAACAAAACUUACUCAAUACUCUUGUCAAUAUAAAAGGAACAUUUGUGCAAUGAAAUGUGCAAUCAACAGUUACUAAUUGCAGGGGAACUUCAAUAUAAGAAUAAGAACAACGUGGAAAAUAAUUUUUCUAACAUCUUCAUCUAAUCAUUAACACAUAUGUGCACAUAUGAAACUUGGGAUUCCCAAAUACAAGUCCGAUUAUAACUUUUUAUCCUAAAGACUCAAGUCCGAUCAUAACCUUUAAUCCUAAAGACUCAGCUGACUAAAAAAAUCUGAAUCAAAACCUUUUUGCCUCGAUUAAACUAUUGGAUGAAAUUUGAGUUUUUCAUAAAAAUCAAGGAAAUUUGGGACAGACCACACUAAAUCACUAAAUCUGCCAUUGAUACUUGGUGUAUCAAAAUGGACUUAAUUAAUAAAGGGUUGGGGUCAAAGUCUAAAAGGUCAUACUAGAAAAUACAAGAAUUUGCUAAAAACGAGUUGGAGGUGUUAGAAAAACAGGAGGAGCUUGAUGUGCUCAAGCUGGAUAUAAAGUCUUCCAUUCAAUCUAAGUUUCAUGGAAGAGAAGGAUAUGGCAUAAGGGAUCUAAUUCUAUGUGGUUGUUGAAAGAUCAUAACAACUCUGAGUACUUUCAUAGAAUAGCUCAUGGUAGAAAGAGAAAGAACACCAUUUCUUUGCCUAAACCAUAUUGAGAUCAUUAUUGAGGGGGAUGCUGCCAUCGUGGAGCAUGCUUCUUAAUAUUAUAAUUUGUGCUAGAAUGUCUUGGGCACAAGGGGUUUGACAAGAGAUAGUGUGAACGGACUACUUCUGGCACUAAUAAGAUUGAUGUGGCUAAAAAGAGAUUCUUUUGGCAAGGUCAUUUGAAGCGGAAAUACCACUUGAUCAAAUGGAAUGAGAUCACUAAACCCAAAAACAAAGGAGGGUUGGGGGGUCACAGACCUAAGGAAAAUGAACAUCAGUCUCCUAUGUGAAUGGUGGUGGAUGGUGGUGGCUGAGAAUGGAUGUGGAAUAUGAAAAGAUAAUAUUAGGAAGAAAUAAGAAUACCAACAUGAUAAGUGGUGUGAUCAAGUCUCCUUAAAAGACAAGUUCCUCAAUUAUAUGAUAUCAAUGUUGAACAAAACGUUCUGUUUCUUUUAUGAAACAAAGAAGUUAGCAUCUCUCUUAUAGAAGAUGGCUCAAUUGAGAAGGUUACUGUUAGAAUAUAAUUAUAACAGCCCAUAUUGGGCUUACGGAUCAUUGGCCUUGUACUCCUAGCCUGACUUGUAUUAAUACCACAUUGUAACUUGUAGAUGUACUGCAAGACUUCUAGGCUUUAUAAUGAUGGUCACCCCCUUGGUUAGGGUGUGCGGUGUUUCUACAUGGUAUCAACCUAAUUAUGAUUUUUUCCUUCGGCUCGCACCCCCCACCCCUUGCCCGUGCGACCUCUCUGAGGCCGUGCGCCACCGCACCAGGCCACGCCGCCCCCAGGCCACGCUCAGGUCGCGCCGCCGCUAGGCCACGCUGCCCAGCCGCGUUGCCUCCCUCAGGCUGCGCCACUGCCAGGCCACGCCGCCUUCUGAGGCCGCGUCGCCGAUCCAGAUCGUGCUGCCUCCGAUCCAGCCAUGCGAUCAUCUUCUUCACGCUGUGUCGUCAUGACGACUCCGGCCACCGACUCUAGCAUGUCCAGCUCGACCUCCUCGGCGACCUCUGGUGACGCCAUGGCGGACGCCCUCGCUCCUCCGUUCUUCGCCGCCUACGUUGCCAUCAACGUCAAGCAGCACGUGUCGAUCGUCCUCAGCUUCGAGCGCCCCAACUUCAACAAGUGGAGGGCGUUCUUCACCGCCCUCUGCACCAAGUACGGGCUCCUUGGCCACAUCGAUGGCACGCUGCGUGCACGUCCGGCAGAUCCUACAUGGUCUCAGCCCGAUGCCUGCAUUCGUGUGUGGAUGUAUGGCUCUGUCGAUGAUCCUAUCCUUGACCUCGCUAUUGAUGACGCCGACCACGACGCCUGCGCCCUCUACGUCUCCAUCGAGGCCUUGUUCCAAGCUAACAAGGAACUACGCACCGUCGUCCUCGGCCAAGAAUUCCACAGCAUGUUCCAGGGCGACCUCUCUGUCGACGCCUACGCCAGAAGCUGAGCGCAUGCUGCGCACCUUGAACAACACCGUUCGCACACUUCUGGUUCAUGCAGCCAUGCCCCGAUCUUAUUGGGUGGUGGCUCUCUCCGCUGCCACCGCCAGCCCCCUCCGCAGGCAGCGUGGCUGCUCCUGCAGCCACUGCAUCACGGAAAGCAGCACCGCCUCCUCUCCGCGUCUACACUCGGCGUCCUCGUCCGACUCCACCAGCGGCCGCCGCUCCUGCAGCUGCAGCGGCAGCACCGGUGGCGGCACGGCCGGUCCCAGCUCCUCCCUCCUGGGAGACACGAUCCCAGAUGGCAUCAUUACCACCGCCCAUCCAGCAGUACAGUUUCACUGCAGAUUCCACGACGCUGGCUUCCCCGCUGCCCGCCAACUCACGUGCUGCAAUGGCGGAUCCUAAUUGGCGGGCGGCCAUGACCAACGAGUACAAGGCACUCAUCGACAAUGGCAAGUGGGUCUUCAAUCACAAGUACCAUGUUGAUGGCUCUCUCGCCCGUCACAAAGCACGGUGGGUCGUUCGUGGUUUUUCGCAGCAGUACGACAUCGAUUACGACGAGAAGUUCAGCCCGGUUGUCAAACCGGCCACCAUCCACAUCGUCCUCAGCAUCGCUGCUUCUUCAUCCUAGCUGAUUCAUCGGCUGGAUGUGAAGAACGUGUUUCUCCACGAUCAUCUGGAUGAGACUGUCUAGUGCCAACAGCCACCUGGCUUCGCCGACCCGGCCACCCCCGACCACGUCUGCCUCCUGCAAAAGUCCCUAUACAGACUUAAGCAGGUGCCCAGGGCUUGGUACCAGCGGUUUGUCGGCUUCGUUCAACGCUCCGGCUUCACUGCUUCCGUCUCCGACACGUCCCUCUUUGUUUACAAGGAGGGCGCCGACGUUGCCUACCUGCUGCUCUAUGUCGAUGACAUCAUUUUGACUGCUUCGUCGCCUGUUCUACUUCAGCGCAUCAUCCGGCUUCUUCACUCUGAGUUCGCCAUGAUAGAUCUCAGGGAGCUCCAUCACUUCCUCGGGAUCUUUGUCACGCGGACCUCCGAUGGCCUCUUCCUCUCCCAGCGACAGUAUGCCAUGGACCUCCUCCAGCGUGUCGGCAUGGCCGAGUGUCACUCUACAGUGACUCUUGUGAACACUCAGGCUAUGCUCUCAGUUACGGAUGGUGCUCCGGUGGCUGAUGCUACCCAGUACCACAGUGUGGCUGGCGCUCUACAGUACCUCACGCUGACUCGUCCGGACCUCGCCUAUGCCAUCCAGCAGGUGUGCCUCUUCAUGCAUGACCCGCGUGAGCCUCAUCUACCGUUGCUCAAGCGUGUCCUCCGGUAUGAGGAGGGCACUCUGUCCACCGGGCUUCACCUUGGUGUUGGCGGCAUCGACAGUUUGAUCGCUUACUCCGAUGCUGAUUGGGCUGGAUGUCCGGACUCUUGGUGCUCCACUUCAGGCUACUGUGUCUUCCUUGGUGACAACUUAGUCUCUUGGUCCUCUAAACGACAAACUAUGGUUUCUCACUUGUUGGCUCCGACAGCUGCUUCAGGAGCUCCAUGCGCCCAUUGCUUCAGCAACAAUCAUCUACUGUGACAACGUCAGCGCCGUCUAUAUGACUGCCAACCCAGUACAUCAUCGUCGCACGAAGCACAUUGAGAUAGACAUCCACUUUGUUUGUGACAAAGUGGCCUUGGGACAGGUUCGGGUGCUCCAUGUCCCAUCGUCUCAUCAGUUUGCGGACAUCAUGACUAAAGGGUUACCUGUACAGUUGUUUCCUGAUUUUAGGUCUAGUCUUUGUGUUCGUGACAAUCCCGCUUAGACUGAGGGAGGGUGUUAGAAUAUAAUUAUAACAGCACGUAUUGGGCUUACGACCCAUUGGCCUUGUACUCCUUGCCUGAAUUGUAUUAGUACCACAUUGUAACGUGUAGAUAUACUGCAAGCCUUCUAGGCUAUAUAAUGAAGGUCACCCCCCUGGUUAGCGUGUGCGGUGUUUCUACAGUUAUGUGAUAUAAUGAUGAUUGUGAUAGAGCAAGAUGCAAGUUCCCUCAAUUAUAUGAUAUCAAUGUGGAACAAAACUGUUCUAUUUCUUUUAUGAAACAAAGAAGUGAGCAUAUCUCUUUUAGAAGAUGGCUCAAUUGAGAAGGUUACAUGUUAUCUUAUACCACAAUACUAAUGAUGAUUGUGAUAGAGCAAGAUGGGAGUGGGAAAAUUUGUUAACUUCUCUAUCAAAUCUACUUAUAAGAAGCUAUGUAGGGAUGACUAUGGGCCUAACUUCAAACAAGUUUAGAAGGCUACGAUACCUCUGAAAUAUAAACUUUAAAAUAAAAAUGGAAAGGUGAUGAAUCAGACACGGUGAAGGAAACUGUAAGUUUGGUGCUAAUUGUAGUCCCAUCAGUUUGGAGCAAUUUUGGAAUUAGUAUCAUUGGAUUAAGUUUGGUGCUAAUUGUAGACCCAGCAGUUUCGACCAAUUCUGGACUUGAAUUCAUUGGAUUAUACCAAAGGGUAAAUCUGUCUACAUUUUGGGCUUAGGCAACUGUUUGCUGGGUGCUGUGGUUAACUCCAAAUGCCACAUGUUUUGAUAACAAGAGGAUUAGACCUCCUAGUCAGAUCAUGUCUUAUGUGUUUUGACAACCAGACGUUGGAUUGCUUGGCACGCUUGGACAGGUGUUUUUGCUAGUUCUGCUGGUUGGUGAUCCCUUAGUGAUUAGCCUAGUGGCCAGGAUUAACUUUUUUAUGUUUCAUAGAGCACCAAUAAAAUUUGGUUUUUAAACUUAUGUUACUCACAUGUUGUCAAUAAAAAAGAACAUAUGUGCAAUCAAAUGUGCAAACAACAAUACUCUUGUUAAUAAAAAAAGGAAUAUAUGUGCAAUAAAAUAUGCAAUCGACAAACUUAAAAUUGUAAUACUCACAGCUAGAUCUUUUGCCGAGUCUCCUUCGGUAAAAAUCAAAGUGCAUUUCUGAGAGUCCACUCCACCAGCACGAGUUGCAUCCUGAAACUUCGUUUGAUUUGCUUCAAUGUUCUCAUCCUCUUCUUUAAGUGCCCAUGCAAGUGUCUCCUUUAAAGCACAUCUAAAUAUUUCUUUAAAGAUAAAAGAAUGUGCCACUGAAAUUUUUUUACUUCAUAUUAGCAAUACACGGGCAUCAAAUCAACAUACAACCUAUAUUAUUAAGAAAACAAAACCACAAACCUUGAGUGAGAAUCUCCUCGAACUUAGCAUUUCUGAGAGCAGAUCAAUGUAAACUUCUGCAUUAUAUGUUUACUUUAUAUUAGCAAUAUGGAGGCUUAUAAGCAACACAACUUACAUUUUAAAAAAAACACACACACACAAUCACAUACCUUGCAACUGUGGUUCACCAUAAAAAAAUGGAUAGUCCGCAUUUAUGAAGGCCCAUAAGUGGCUCUUCACGUCCUCAAUGUUCUGAACAUUCUUCAUUUUCCUUUUGAUUGAACUUUUCAGAUGUUCUUCAACAUGUCUUGUGAUAGUAUCAAAUUGAACUCCUCCCUCUAUUACAACACCAUUAACAAAGUUGAACUGAAAAAUUACAAAGAUAGUGAGUUGCAAAACAAACGCAGCCGAUAGAGAAUAUAGCCUACAUAACUUUGGCUAGGAACACAAACCUCUUGGUAUUGGCCAUUUCUGGUUAAAGUAAUACACACCUCCCCAGCAAAGGAUAACUUUUGUUAUACACUAAAAUAAAAUACAAGAGUAAAUAAUUAAAAAACAAACAUAUGGUUUUGUUUAUCCUAAAUAAAACUUAUGUUUUUAUGAAAAUUUUAAAACUUUUUGAUGUCUUCUUGGAAGGAGAUGGCAGGUACAAAUCCACAUAACUUGAAAAAUUAUUAGUGAGCAAAUGGCCAUCUAGAUGAACCUUUAGUUUCUGGUUGUUUCUUCUUUUUUAAAGUGCAACCAGAUCUACCACCCUUUUUCUCAUAAGGGCUGCCAUAUCAUCUUGAAGCUCAUUACUGUAAAAACUCAAUGUGGUCCAAUGACACCCAUUAGAGCAUUUUGUGAUUUUAGCAUUUCUUUUCUUCCCAGGUUUGCCAUAAAAAACCUAAAUUUGUGUUGAAUAAGAUAUGAAAUUAGUGUUUAGUUAAGUCAUUUUAAAAAAAAUUAAACUUACACCUUUUAUGCUACUACUAAUUUCUAAACUAAGUAGAGGUUAAAUAAACAAUACACAUUAGGUGACAACAAAAGUAGUAAACACAGGCUAUCAUAAAUCAAACAUUGUGACACAAAUAAAAAUUUAUACUUGUAUUAAAGUACUCCCGCCGUAUCGGAUUUAGAAGUCGAUUUGGACAAGGUUUGAGUCAAAUAUUGGGAAUAUAAAUCAUCAAUAACUUUUAAAUUGUUGAGUUUGCAAAUGUGAAAAAUUAUAUGAAUAGAUUUGUCUUGAAAAAUACUUUCAUAAAAGUAUAUCAAUAUCAUUUUGUCCCAAAUAUUUUAUAAAAAUAAGAUGUCAAAGUUGUGUAUUGGAGACCAUGUCACUAUUCUAAACGACUUCUAAAUUCGAUACGGAAAGAGUAUAGAUUUAUCUACCUUUUAUCUAAAAAAACACUCUAGAAUAGACCCUAACAACAAAAUCAUACUCAAUCCAUCCAUCCCAAAAUAUAGCAACCUAGGAGGGGAUUGGACACAACCUAAUAUUUUGGGAGUAAUUAACAUGGUGUAACACCCCAAAAUUUACAAUUUUCCAAAAUAGGAUAAAUUGUUAAAUUGUGUAUUUUUGUGCCCAUAAAACAUAGGGAAAAUAAUAUUUUUCAUUAUAUUAAAAAUUAUUAUAGGGUUUAGCAACAUGACUGAGCAUCCAUGCUGCCGCAUUUUAUUUUGUCUGAGUGGUUAUUUUGAAUUUCAAAAAGGUUUUCAAAUUUUCUUGUAAACUAAUUAAGCAAAGGUUUGAAAAUAGAAUUAGAAAAGUAUUUAUUUUCUCUUCCUCCCUCUCCGUGGAUUUCGGCCCGAAGCCUUCCUGCGGCCUGUUUUCUCCCCCUCCCUCCUUCCUUCUCUGCGCGGCCCAAUCCGCGGCCCAGGCAGCCCAGCAACCGCGCGCGCAUCUCCACCUCGCAGCAGCCGCUGACAGGGCGGUCCCGCGUUCCGUGUCACUGCCAGACGGGGCCCACCUGUCGGACCCGUCUUCUACUCGUAACCAAGCAGGACUCGGUGAGGUUUCCGCUGCGGCCACGCGCAAACUGUCACAGAACCGACCAAAUUAAUUUAUAUAAUUUAAGUAAGGAAACAAGCCACAUUUCAAUCAUAAAUUACAUAACAAAGCUGCAGUGCUCCAAAAACACAGAAAUAUUUACCAACACACUCUCAUACCAUACAGAGACUACCAUAAAAUUUUCAGAGUAAACUAAGCAGUGUAACAAGAGAUAUGCAUUUAUCCACAAAUAACAAGAUUAAAUCCUUAAUAAAUAUUUUCCCAGAAAACAUGGUUCAUUUUAUAUUUUUAUUAAAAAACUAGCCAUCUCAAAGAAUACCACAAAAUUUAUUUUACAAUUUUUGGACCUCAGAAACAGGAGAUAUGAUUUUUGCAAGAAAGCCAAAAAUCAUGAUUUUGAAUAAAAGAAAAGGAGGGAACGAGGGGACACUGACAGUGGACCCCAUCUGUCGGGUCCUUCUUCCUCGCGGCCGAGGCGACUUUCGCCGGCGAUUUCUCCGCGACGGCGAGGUCUCUGGCCAAACCAAGAGCACCAACGUGAUCCCCAAACCCUAGCGACUCGAUUGACCCCCUUUUUCCCACGGCGGAGCCACCGGAAGGGGCUCACCGUUGACGAUGGCGGCUCGGCGGAGGUGCUCGGCGUUACGCCGGAGCCCUCAGGCCGGUAGAGCGCAACCUAAGGCCUUCUACAGCACCAGCGGACUACGGCGAAGCUUCCUAGGUACACAGCUUGGCCUGGAUCCUCGUGAAACACGCUGGCCACGAGAGCACCCAUCUCCGGCGGAAGCACGGCGGCACUGCGCACCGUGUCCGGCGACGGAGAGCUUGGUAGAGCAUCCACUAAGUGGCGCAAAAGCUUGCUAAUGACCUAAGCUAUCUCUAGAACCUAACCAGAGACGACGAGAGGCUUCACAGGGCUCGGCAUUCAGUUCGCCGGAGAAGAAGGUCACGGCGACCCGAUUUGGGGGAAGAAGGAAAUGUCGGCUCACCGGUGGGUUUCUCGGCGAGUUAGAGGGUGGAGCUUGAAGAGCGGUUCAUGGCGGAGCUUUGGGUGAAGUUUGGUGGACAAUGGCGCAGCAGGGAACGCGCGCGAGCUCGCCGGAGUAGCUCGCGAAGAGAGCUUCCGGGCGGCCGCGUUUCAGACGAGAGGGCCGAGGCAGAGCGAAGUGGACGCGUCCACUCUGCGCGGGGCGACGCCGUGGAGGUCAUGCACGCGACGAGAGCUGACAAGCGGGGCUAGGAGCGGCGUACGAGCGACAAUUGGCGACGGAGCUCUGCCGCCGGUUGGCCACGUCGACGAGCUCAGAUUGGAUUCAGAAGAAAUGAUGCUUGCGUGACAGAGCAACUUCACCGAUGAUUAUCUCCCAAACCAAAGCGAAUUAGAAGAUGGUGCAGUUGACAAAGUUGGAGUUCCAACCGAGAUCUACAACUUUGUCAAUUGGAGCAAAAGCCAAAUCGGCCUGGAUUGAAAGAUAUAGAGUUUUCAAAAUCGAUCAAGCAAACUGGUUUCGUUCCAAGACUUAGAAAAUUUUCUAAGUGUUGGAAACAGCCCCAAAUCUGCCUUGUGGGUCACUUUUGAGCUAUUUGUGGUCAUUUUCAUGAGAUGGCCAUAAAACAACUUUUGUUCCUUAUAAACUUUGCUACAACUUUGCUGUAGAAAGUUUUGACAUGCAAACAUUUUAUGAAACACUUUUUAAAAGCCUAAGCAAAAGAGGUUUCUAGGGCCUAUUUUCAUAAGUAUGACUUAAAGGCAUAUUUUGGAGAAGUGACCAACAUGAACAUUGUUCCUAAAGUCAAGUUAAGCAUAGAUAAACUAAUUACCAAGGCAUUAAGCACAAACACAAGCAUGGUUCACUCAAACAUAAGCAUAGGAAUCCUAUUUAAGCAAUUCAAAACACAUUUUUGCAUAGAAUAACAUGGCUCAAAAGAGAUGAUGAUCAUGAUAUGCUUUGAGUAGAUGAUGAUGCUUAUGCCAUGCACAUGAUCAAUGCAACCAUAACACUGGGGUGUUACAGCCCUCCCCCCUUACAAAAAUCUCGUCCCGAGAUUUGAAAGCUUACUGAUUUUCGAAGAAGGUUUUGUAAACUUCUCUUAAAUAAUCCUCCGUCUCCCAAGUGGCAUCUUCUUCCCCGUGGUUACUCCACAACACUUUGUAGAGUUUAACCACACGAUUACGCGUCUCCCGUUCCUUGCGAUCAAGAAUCGCUACGGGUUUCUCCUCAUACACCAGGUCGGACUUCAACUUGAUAUCUCGAAUUUCCACUCGCUCCUCCGGUACACGAAGGCACUUCUUCAAUUGUGAUACGUGGAAUACAGGGAAAAUAGCCCGAAGCGCAACUGGAAGUUGAACUUUGUACGCCACGUUCCCUUUCUUUUCGAGAAUCCGAUAAGGUCCCACAUAGCAAGGUGCAAGCUUUCGCUUGACUCCGAACCUUUGUACACCCUUCAUCGGAGACACCUUGAUGUACACAUGGUCACCAACCGAAAACUCAAUCGGCUUCCUUCUCUUGUUGGCAUAACUUUUCUGACGAGCUUGAGCAGCUUCCAGAUGUUGCUGGAUGGUACGGACUUUUUGCUCUGCUUCGUUCACGAAAUCGAUGCCAUAAAAUCUUCGCUCGCCAGCUUCUACCCAAUUCAACGGAGUUCGACACUUUCGACCGUACAAGGCUUCAAAUGGAGCCAUCUUGAUACUCUCCUGAUAACUGUUGUUGUAGGAGAACUCAGCUAAUGGCAACCACUUAACCCAAGAACCUUUUGAUGAGAGAGCACAUGCCCUCAACAUAUCUUCAAGGAUUUGGUUAACUCAUUCAGUCUGACCGGCCGUUUGGGGAUGAUAAGCAGAGCUACGGAUUAAAUGUGUACCAAUUUGCUCAUGCAGACAUUCCCAAAAACGAGCAGUGAACUGUGGUCCACGAUCGGAUAUGAUUAUUCGAGGCACACCAUACUGACGAACAAUGUGCUCGAAAUACAACUCCGCAUACUGAUGGGGACGAUAGUCAGUUUGAACUGGAAUAAAUCGAGCAACCUUGGUCAAACGAUCUGCAAUCACCCAGAUGGAGUCGUACCCCUUAACAGAAAUUGGGAGUCCACUGAUGAAAUCCAUGCUGACUUCUUCCCAUUUCCAACCAGGGAUCGACAAGGGUUGAAGUAAACCGGCUUUCAUGUGAACGGCCUUCACGCGACAACAAUUGUCACAACGAGCGACAAAAGCAGCUAUCUCCUUCUUCAUCUUUGUCCACCAAAACAACGGUUUUAGACAAUUUGGAUGAAUGAGCUUCAGAUAAGAUCUGAUUUCGCAGCUCGCGGUCUUUUGGGACCACAAGUCGAUUCUUGAACCAAAGAAUUCCGUUCUCAUCGACCCGGAAAUGCUUGGUUUCUUCUUCCUUCAUUUUCCUCUUUAUAUGGUGGAUGCCUACAUCUGUCCGCUGCAAUUCGAUGACUCGAUUGCGAAUGGUACUCUCCAGAGGAAUCUGGUUGAGCACAAGUGGAUGCAUAAGAUGUGACAACAACGGAUCUUCCACUUGGAUUGAGUGACAGUGCUCCUUCCGACUCAAGGCAUCCACCACUACGUUUGCCUUGCCCGGAUGAUAGUGCACUUGGAGAUUAUAAUCUUUAAUCAACUCAAGCCACCUUCGCUGUCGCAUGUUCAGUUCAGGUUGAGUGAAGAUAUACUUGAGGCUCUUAUGAUCAGUGUAGAUAUUACACAGAUUACCCAGCAAAUAAUGCCUCCAGAUUUUCAAAGCAUGAACAACUGCUGCCAAUUCUAAGUCAUGAGUAGGGUAAUUGACCUCAUGUUUUCGAAGUUGGUGUGAGGCAUACGCAAUUACGCGACCCUCCUGCAUCAACACACAGCCUAAACCAAUACCUGACGCGUCACAAAAGACAUCGAAGGGCUUCUCGAUAUCAUGUUGAGCUAGGACAGGAGCUGAUGUCAGCAAUGUCCUCAACUUGUGGAAUGCCUCUUCACACUCAGGCGUCCACACAAACUUCUCAUCUUUCUGAAGCAGACGAGUCAUUGGCUUGGAUAUUUUGGAGAAUUCCGAAUGAAUCGACGGUAAUAUCCGGCGAGACCAAGAAAACUCCGAACCUCGUGUACCGAUGUUGGAACUUUCCAAUCCAGCACCUCUUGCACCUUGGCUGGAUCUACUGAUAUGCCUUCUUCAGAUUAGACAUGGCCCAAGAAAGGUACUUUCUUCAGCCAAAACUCGCAUUUGCUAAACUUGGCAUAAAGCUGAUGUUCACGCAAACGUGACAACACUACACGCAGAUGCUCUGCAUGCUCCUCUUCAUUGCAGGAAUAUACCAAGAUAUCAUCAAUGAAGACCACCACAAACUUGUCCAAUUCGGGCAUGAACACCGAAUUCAUAAGAUACAUGAAAUGAGCAGGUGCAUUCGUCAGACCGAAGGACAAGACAAGGUACUCAUACAACCCAUACCUUGUCGAGAAAGCUGUCUUAGGUACAUCUUCAGGACGGAUCUUGAUCUGAUGGUACCCAGAUCGCAAAUCAAUCUUGGAGAAUACCUUAGCUUUAGACAACUGAUCAAACAAGAUAUCAAUGCGAGGAAGAGGGUAUUUGUUCUUGAUGGUCACCGCAUUUAGGGGACGAUAGUCCACACACAUGCGCAAAGAUUGAUCCUUCUUCUUCACAAAGAUAGCUGGGCAACCCCAAGGAGAAGAACUAGGACGAAUAAGACCCUUCUUCAACAACUCAUUUAGUUGGGUCUUAAGCUCAGCUAAUUCAUUGGGUGGCAUCCUAUAAGGUCUUCUAGAGAUAGGAGCGGUACCAGGAAUCAAUUCAAUCUUGAACUCCACAUCCCGAUCCGGAGGAAGCCCGGGAAGAUCAUCAGGAAACACGUCCGGAAACUCGCACACCACCGGAAUAUCCUGAAUAGCCUUAGAUGUAACUGCAUUCACAGUGCUACGGAUUUGAAUAUCACGAGGGAGUUGCACUAGAAAUGCCUCCUUGGUAUUUGGGUCUUUCAACAUCACUACCCGAGUGGUUGUGUCGAUAAGAACUCCAUUACCACUCAUCCACUUCAUCCCCAGAAUUACAUCUAUGCCCACACCGGGUAGAACAACCAAAUCAGCAAGAAACUGACGGCCUCCUAUUUCCAGAGUUGCCCCCAAAACCACUUGAUUGGUGGAAAUAUCAUUUCCCGCAGCACUAAUACAAUAACUGCCUUUAUCAAGUGUAAUGGCCUUGAUGCCAUGCUUAGACACAAAUUUAGAACUCACAAAGGAAUGCGAUGCUCCAGAAUCAAAAAGCACGAGUGCAUCAUGUUGAUUGACCAAAAACUUACCAGCUGUGACUACCUCAUCAGCAGGGAUUGCUUCCACAGCGGUGUAGUGAACACGCCCCUGACGGACGUUCCCUUGGUUGCCCUUCUUUGGCGGGUAAGGACAGUUGCUCUGCCAAUGCCCGGUCUGAUUGCAGUUCCAGCACGGACGGUUGGCAGGCGGAGUCUUGGCAUACUUGGGACCCGUGUUGCCCCUAGGAAGAGCAAUAGAGUACCCCUUGCGAAAACCCGUCUUGGCCUGUUUCUUCUUCAUCGGAGGGCGGUAUCGCUGGUUGGGAGUUGGAGCACGGAACGAUGGCUUAGCUACCACUGGAACCUUAGACUGAGACGAUCCUGCCCCGGCCUCAAAAGCCCUCUUGCGAGUCUUGGUCGCAGUGUACACAGUGUUAUAGUUCUCUUGAGUAAGAGCAUCACUGACAAACUCAUUGAAAGUUGCACACUUAGUGCGGCCCAUAGUCUUCAACAAUUUGGGACCCAAACCCCGCUUGAAACUAGCAAUCUUCUUCGUCUCCGUGUUCACAAACUCAGGAGCAUACCUAGACAAAUGAUUGAAAGCAUGCAAAUACUCCUUUAGAGUCUUGUUGCCCUGAGUUAGCUGCAUAAACUCGGUAUGCUUCAUCUCCAUAACACCAGGAGGAAUGAAAUGCCCUUUGAAAGCUUCACGGAAAAGAUUCCAGUCAAUCACGGUGUCGGCUGGAAGAGCUUCCCGAUAUUGAUUCCACCAGAUGCCUCCCGGGCCCUGCAGUUGAUGAGCUGCAUACUCUGCCUUCAGACCUUUAGUCAACCGAAGCAAGCGGAACUUUUGUUCCACCGUGUUUAGCCAUUCCUCAGCUUGAAGGGGUUCUUCAGCUUCUCUGAAGGGUGGGGGAUUCGUAUCCAUGAAAUCCUUGAAGCUACUGUACUGGUUAGGAGCUGGCCCUUCCUGUGCAUUACGACCACCCUGAUUUGCCAUCUGAUUGAUGGUCUCAGUGAGCAUCCUCUGAUUUUCCACCAUCAUUUGCAUCAGCUCAGCUGGAUUUGGUGGUGGGGGAGGAGGUGGUGGAUUCAUAUUUGCACGUUGUUCCGCACCUCGGGUGCCACGAGACAUCUGUAAAGACACAGUCAGUGAGUAUUGAUGAUGACAAGAUUUGCCGCAGAAGAACUUGUAUUUAUGCCUGAAAGUAUUCGAGAGAAUAGCUUUACAGAAAAGGCACAAUAAUUCAAUUCCACAAAACAACAUCACCAAUCCAACACAUGACAGAGAUAUCCGCAAUAUGCACCACACAGGAAACAUCGUCAUAACAUAACAAACAUGUUAAGAUUGCACAUUGGGUCCACAAAGUUAUUACACCAUCACAGUACAUGCCAUGAGUCAAGGUCAAAGUUUCGGAUUACAACAUGGUUACAAAAGCACUACCACUAGCUGCCAACUACAAAAGAUCCUCACAAGACACUACCCACUACCCCCUACACUCCAGGCUCGUCAUCCGAGUCAGCGUUGAAGAUUGCCUCUCCAUCCUCGUCGCUAACCGGCUCAAGCUCCUCGUCCUCCACGUCCUCGUGCAAAGGUGGUGCAGCCGCUGCUGGUCCAUCAACCUCCAUUCCAUCACCAUCGGCCACAAUCACCUGAGGUCCCACCUCUGGAUACACGGGUAUAGGGCGAGGGAUAGGGUGUAGCAAGUUGUUGAGACGGUGAAUCUCCACAAGACCAGCCUCAAUCUGAUCCUACAGAUAGUUCUCCCGCUCAAGCGACUGAACUCGGUGCAUCUCCCAUGCCUGGCGCCUGUUCUCCGACACACGGAGUGCAGUAUCCCUCUCAUGAGUGAGCUGCACCAAGCGCUCCUGUAAGGUCUCCCUCUCUCUAGCUAACUGGCUCAUCUGAUCCUGCUUAUGAUCCCUCUCUCUAAUGGCCUUCACUCACUGCUGCCUACGGUACUCCGCAAUGUCCUCCCAGUCAUUGCGGUCCUUCUGAGCUUGCUCCAGGAGUCUAGCUUGCUUGCAAAACUUGCGAGCAUGCUUUUCAGCCUUCCGCUGCAUCUCCUGGGCUCGGCGAAUAGCCACCAUCACCUGUGCAUAGGUGCCCUCUCGCUGUCUGAUCAGCUUGAGCACAGCCAUCAUAGCACUCAUAGCAGGACUAGAACUCUCAGCUCUCUCCCCUGCCUCGAACCAAAGCAUAACCAUCAGCCUGCUUCCACUCCGCUACUGCUGGGUCAGCACGGGGAAUGGAGGCCGCUGGUCCUCCCGUCAGCUCAUCACCACACCUCUGACAGAUAUCGAGCAGGAUAGUCUGGGCUGCAACCUGAGCUGCCUCCCAAGGAGUUUGCCCAUCUGAGCUACAAAUCCAGCCUGUCCAUGCAGGCUUGUCCCCAUGUGGAGGGACAACUCCCUGCACAGCAAACCACUGUAUCCCUCCUGUGCUCUCCAUCUCCCACCAAGAAUACUGAGGUGGCUCAGUAUACCCAACAGUCCGUAACACUCUCCAGAGCAGGUUAGGAGUACCAAUCUCGUGCAAGAAAGUGUCACUAGGACGGGGUGAAGCGGGUGCGUCCAUCUGUGGAAAGGAAUAGGAAUACCAUGGGUAAAAGAGGAUUAGUUUAAGCAACAAUUAUUUAUUUAAAAAGGGACGAAAUUGUAAAGGAAGGAGUAGACAGAAUGUAUGUAUCAAUGCGACAUGAUGCAUGCACGAACCGUACGUCUUCACAAACUUAGAAAAUUAAUAUUCUAAUGGAUAUACGGUGGCAUACAUUCGUCUCUCGAUACGAUAACUAUCGGUUUACACGUGCGCUGUUAGAGUACCUGCAGAAAACUUCAUUUCAGCCCAACAAUUCCCAAUAUAUCACUCAAGAAAGCAGUAAACUAAGUGCACAUCGCUUGGGCAUGCCAACAUGCUCAAACAAUGACACCACAACUACCUGAGAAAUUAAAUACUCCCCAAUUAAGUUUCUUUCGUGGUUCCAUAGUUUCGACAUGUAACCACUCCAGAAAACCACCGCGAACACUCCCCUAGACCGCCGUUUGGACGAUCAUGCUCUCACAGCUCACACUUACCAGGGCGUAGGUGCGACAUUGCAUAAUUUAAAUCUAGCGACAUAUGUGGCUAAUUCACAUAUGAAGGCUACCUCCACCAUUAGACCACAGGGUAGCAUAGUGCGGUCAUCACACAUCCAUACCUGAGUACUGCCGGAGAUGCAUAAAUAAAACCGCCCAAGUCAGUACUUAAAUAGCCACCUAUAGUCCUUAUGUGGGCAAGGAGGAUUCGACCACUGGCAUAACUUAAUUAUUUGUUUUACACCAUUUUAUUUAAAAAAUCUUUUAUUUUAAAUACACAAACGCUGCAUUUAUAAUGCUGAACUUGCUCCCAUGCCAGCUAUCACAGAACCGAGCAAAUUAAUUUAUAUAAUUUAAGCAAGGAAACAAGCCACAUUUCAAUCAUAAAUUACAUAACAAAGCUGCAGUGCUCCAAAAAUACUGAAAUAUUUACCAACACACUUUCAUACCAUACAGAGACUACCAUAAAAUUUUCAGAGUAAACUAAGUAGUGUAACAAGAGAUAUGCAUUUAUCCAUGAAUAACAAGAUUAAAUCCUUAAUAAAUAUUUUCCCAGAAAACAUGGUUCAUUUUAUAUUUUUAUUAAAAACUAGCCAUCUCGAGGAAUACCACAAAAUUUAUUUCACAAUUUUUGGAUCUCAGAAACAGGAGAUAUGAUUUUUGCAAGAAAGCCAAAAAUCAGGAUUUUGAAUAAAAGAAAAGGAGGGAAAGAGGAGACACUGACAGUGGAGCCCAUCUGUCGGGUCCUUCUUCCUCGGGGCCGAGGCGACUUUCGCCGGCAAUUUCUCCGUGACGGCGAGGUCUCCGGCCAAACCAAGAGCACCAACGUGAUCCCCAAACCCUAGCGACUCGAUUGACCCCCUUUUUCCCACGGCGGAGCCACCGGAAGGGGCUCACCAUCGACGAUGGCGGCUCGGCGGAGGUGCUCGGCGUUACGCCGGAGCCCUCAGGCCGGUAGAGCGCAACCUAAGGCCUUCUACAGCACCAGCGGACUACGGCGAAGCUUCCUAGGUACACAGCUUGGCCUGGAUCCUCGUGGAACACGCUGGCCACGAGAGCACCCAUCUCCGGCGGAAGCACGGCGGCGCUGCGCACCGUGUCCGGCGACGGAGAGCUUGGUAGAGCGUCCACUAAGUGGCGCAAAAGCUUGCUAAGGACCUAAGCUAUCUCUAGAACCUAACCAGAGACGACGAGAGGCUUCACAGGGCUCGGCAUUGAGUUCGUUGGAGAAGAAGGUCACGGGGACCUGAUUUGGGGAAAGAAGGAAAUGUCGGCUCACCGGUGGGUUUCUCGGCGAGUUAGAGGGUGGAGCUUGAAGAGCGGUUCACGGCGGAGCUUUGGGUGAAGUUUGGUGGACAAUGGCGCAGCAGGGAACGCGCGCGAGCUCGCCGGAGUAGCUCGUGAAGGAGAGCUUCUGGGCGGCCGCGUUUCAGACGAGAGGGGCGAGGCAUAGCGAAGUGGACGCGUCCACUCUGCGCGGGGCGACGCCGUGGAGGUCAUGCACGCGACGAGAGCUGACAAGCGGGGCCAGGAGCGGCGUACGUGCGACAAGUGGCGACGGAGCUCUGCCGCCGGUUGGCCACGUCGACGAGCUCAGAUUGGAUUCAGAAGAAAUGAUGCUUGCCUGACAGAGCAACUUCAACGAUGAUUAUCUCCCAAACCAGAGCGAAUUAGAAGAUGGUGCAGUUGACAAAGUUGGAGUUCCAACCGAGAUCUACAACUUUGUCAAUUGGAGAAAAAGCCAAAUUGGCCUGGAUUGAAAGAUAUAGAGUUUUCAAAAUCGAUCAAGCAAACUGGUUUCGUUCCAAGACUUAGAAAAUUUUCUAAGUGUUGGAAACAGCCCCAAAUCUGCCUUGUGGGUCACUUUUGAGCUAUUUGUGAUCAUUUUCAUGAGAUGGCCAUAAAACAACUUUUGUUCCUUAUAAAAUUUUCUACAACUUUGCUGUAGAAAGUUUUGACAUGCAAACAUUUUAUGAAACACUUUUUAAAAGCCUAAGAAAAAGAGGUUUCUAGGGCCUAUUUUCAUAAGUAUGACUUAAAGGCAUAUUUUGGAGAAGUGACCAACAUGAACAUUGUUCCUAAAGUCAAGUUAAGCAUAGAUAAACUAAUUACCAAGGCAUUAAGCACAAACACAAGCAUGGUUCACUCAAACAUAAGCAUAGGAAUCCUAUUUAAGCAAUUCAAAACAUAUUUUUGCAUAGAAUAACAUGGCUCAAAAGAGAUGAUGAUCAUGAUAUGCUUUGAGUAGAUGAUGAUGCUUAUGCCAUGCACAUGAUCAAUGCAACCAUAACACUGGGGUGUUACACAAACCCCGCGGUUGGCUUGACCCGCACGCCGAGGAGGAUUUAAAUAGCGACCUCCGCUGCCCCGCAACCCCCCAUCUCAACCCCAGCACCAGCCGCCGCGUAGCUUCCGCCGCGUUUCAUCCCCGAGAUUCGAGCCGAAACCAAUCCGCCGCCGCAGCGCGUCCUAGCUUCUGUGAGCGACUUGCCGGGCUUCGUCUCCGUCGUGCGAAGUCGCCGAGACUUUCCUUUCGCGCUCUACUUCUCUGUACGCAUCGCUAACGCUCGCCGAACUUUCUUCCAGGGCUGCCGUCCGCCGUUCUCCGUUGCGGACGCACUCCGACCACCCAUUGACCCCGUUUUAGCCCUAGGUAAGAUCGCGGUAAGCUUCUUUACGCCCCUGUGCCCUUGGUUCCGUGAAUCGUGCUCUAAAUCGCUAGAUUGACUAACACCGGCGAGGUCUGGCAAUGGCACCGCCGCGGUCUGCCCCGACUCCGGCCGGCCAGCUCCCCUCCCCCACCCCGAUCUAAUCUCAGCCUUAAAAUCGAGAUCCAACGGCCGAUAUCGGAGGAUACCCCUUCGGCCGUUUGUUUUGCAGAAAACCCCCCAAAGGUUUUAAAGAGUCGACCCGCGGUCCUUAGCGGAUUUUCCAAAAUACGUUUUCUAACUCCGAAAGCGUAAUCCCGUCCGUUCAGAUUCAAAAUACGUUUUCACAAAAUUACAAGUUUGCCACUGGUUUUAUAUUGCUCAUAAAAUAUUCAUCUUAAUUCUGUUUUGACUCGUUCAAAUUGCGUUGGCUUUGUAUUCAAAAGAUCUACAUGUUAGUAACACUGUUUUCUCAGUUUGAAACUUUUUAAUUCGGUGACCCAAAUUAAUUAAUUGUUUUUCUAAAGAAAAUCUUAGAAAAUUCAUAUAUUCUUCGUUUUAACUCCGUUUUGAUCCGUUCAAAUUUCGUUAGAUUCGCUUUUGCGUAAUCUAUAGAUUAGUAGCUCUGUUAUACAUGCUUCCAACUUUUUAAAUCUGAACUUAGUUUUAAUCUAUUAUUUUAUUAAAGGAAAUCUUAUUUAAAUCAUAACUUCUUCGUUAUAGCUCCGAUUUUCGUGUACUUUACGUCUGUGUGAUCGUAGUGCGAUGUAGAUUUAUUUUAUAAACUUUUCAUCUUUAUUUUCUACUGUUGGUGUAUUGUUCUAAUUAUAGGUUUGUUUGCUUUGUAUGAUUGCCUCUGGAGGAUUGAUGUUGAUGUGAUGACUGAGUUUAGUCGGUGAGCUUUUACGUGGUGAUCAAGAAGCAGUUUGUGGAAGGUUUGGAACUAAACUAAGGAUCUGAGUUUCAAGGCAAGUAUAGCAUGGGAUCAUCCUUGUUUCAUAAUAACUUUAAUCACUUAAUUCAUAUUGCAUGUGUCUCCUUGAUAAGGAUUUUCUACUAUUGAUCUUAUACCUUGUCACCUAUGGUUUUGCAUUGGGUAGCUUAUGCUAGUGCUCCACUAAACCAUGAUCUUGUAAUUUGAAUUAAUGGAAUAUGCAAUAAACAUUAAAAGAGGACUUUUUAGCAACUUUGGAAAAGAGGGCUGGAGCAUUGGGCUAUCUUAUGGUGCUUUAGUUUCUCUCCAUAAGGACUUAUCUGUAUCUGACCAUCCGAGACAUACAGUACAACUGUGAGGGCUACAUGGCUCUAGCUUUAGCUCAGUAUGAGGACCUUUUCUAGCUUGUUAGUGGUUACCCUUGUGGCGCAAGUGGGGGAUAGCAGACCGUGGAUUCCUGCAGGUGAGUCACACGGACUGACUAACAAAACCUAGCGGCCCUAACUUGUUAGAUGAACCUUUGAAAGGCUUCAUAGUGAACCCUGCCGGCCUCCCUGGGAAGGGGGUUAAGAGACUCGUGACCUCGGGCGAAAGGGUAAAUCACCACUCACAGUGAAAGUGUACAACCUCUGCAGAGUGUAAAACUGAUAUAUCAGUCGUGCUCACGGUCACGAGCGGCCUUGGACCAAUACAGAAUAAAUGAUCACUAAUGGCAAAUUAUUAAAGUUAUUGUUGUUAAUAUGUUGUUUAUGCUAUUCUUUAUUCACUUUACUUGAUCAUGAGUUUACCUUGGGACUUGACAACUUGAUGCUACUCAUAUGCUAAAAUUGUGACAACUAAAAGCUACAUGCAGUUCAACCAGUGUCUAGCCUUUGAGCCUCAUGAACCCUAUGCUAUUCUUGCUGAGUACGAGAUGUACUUACGCUUGCCUUUACAUUUUAUUUGGAUAAAAAUCCCGGAUGGGUACCAGAUUGCAAGCUUGGAAAAGAGUUUAGGCUUGUGCUUAACCAGUCAGUUGUCCUUGUGGAUUUGGAGCUUUCGCCUGAAGAACGGAGAGUCUUUCUGCUGUUUGCUAUCUAAGGUUAUAUCUUUUAUACUAAGUUCGCUAUAUAUAAGCAUUGUCUAUUGAUAUUACCCUUAUUUGGGGCUAUAUGUGAGAUUUGACUUCCUGGACUCACAUAUGGUGUGUAUCUGGUUUUGUCGUUAAAACCGGGUGCUACAAUCAUUUAAUGCAAAAUAUAAUUUGAAUAAGCCUUUACUACGAAGCACUAUACCUUCUUGCAUUUCCGGUCACUUGCAUUAAAUGUUGUGAUCACAAAUCGUGAAAAGAGGGAUGAGCCUUGAGGAUCCAUAUACUUUCUAAUGGAGGAGUUUCUGAGCAAGAGAGUAUCCCAGGGGUCGAAGUUAUCAUUUUCAAUCGGAAAGAAAACUCCAAAGCAACGUAUGGAGAUAUAGCGCUUGUCCACUUUAAUGUUAACAUCCAGGUCAAUCUUGUCGUUUGUAAGGAUCUCUGUAUGGAGUUCUUGUUCAAGUUCAAAAGACAUUAAUAUCUCAUCAAAUAUAGUUUGUAGAAUUGGGAUGUAGUUGACAUUUCGAUGCACCAUGGCAUGGCCAUUGUAAAACCAUUGCAUUUUUGUUUGCAUCUUUAAUAAAUUGUGCUUGUCAAGCACCUACCAAUGAGAAAUUUUACUACAUUUGUGAGGGCUACGGAAAAUAAAAAAAUGAUAUGUGCCAAUGAGAAAUAUUACUACAUUUAUGUGGAGGGGGGAGCUGCCGGGUUGCAUCGCCGCUCGCUAGGGGACGCUUGUGAGGGUGCAAGCCACUAGCGGCUGCGUCGCCGCUCGCCAUGGGACGCUUCAUCUUGUCAGCUUGGACAAAUGCACCGAGAGGGAAAAUUUUCCAAAACAGUAAGUGAGCAUUGUGUGGUCUAAUAGAACUUAAGGAAUCUACAAAAAAAACAACAAAACCACUUGAAAAGGGGUAAGUAUGGCCACGUGCUCGUAACAACGUUGAAAAUAUCUCAUGGUAGACAAUGUUUGUUUCAUGUGUGCAGUCAGCGUUCAUAUGCUCUAUCAAUAUCUCUAGAUCUCUUUGAGGUGACAUGUGAAACAGCAACAUACAAGCAUCGGAAAAUACAGGGUUUUUUGGGUAGUUACCAACAUUGGACAAUGUCUGCCCUUGGCUCCUAUUGAUAGUCAUUGCAUAGCAUACCUUAACUUUAUGUUGUAAUGCAACACAUUUUCUUCUUCUGAAAGGAAACAACAAAGCAAAGUGGCAAGUAACAAUACUCAGGACAUAAGGCAUCCCAAUAUACUGAGGUUGUGAUAUCCAACUUCACCAUCCUGAAAAGAGCACACAUGAAGGGAGCAAAGGGAACCAGGUUGAGGUGGACCAAUGGGGGAUUUUGGGGACGAUGUGGCCCGGUUGGCUGGAUGGGGUGAACCUUUGGUUUGUAGGGGUAAAUUUGAAAUACAUAUAAGAGAAGUGUAAAGGACCAAAGCACAAAACAGCGUCCUGUUUAUUUUAAGUGUCUUUAAUACUAUGAUUUUGCCUACAUGAAUGCAACAGAUGAGGCAUGAGAGCAACCUCAAAAGCAUUGGAAAGUCAAUAUAUAUGCUCAAGGUGGAAAAUAAUUUCAUUUUUUAGGAAAAAAGAACAUAAAUGGAGAAAUCGGUGUUAUUUUUGUCAGCAAAAUGAAUAGGUAAGAAGUAAUUAAUCCUCAGAUUUGUUUAUGCAAAUGGUACUUCAUGAGCAUCAGAUGUAUCAAUCAGAAGCAAUACUGGGACACAUCAGGUGAGCUCACUGAGACAACAACAAGCAACUUUGUUCAGAAUAGAUGGAAAACUGCAUUUUUUGAUAUAGUGUGAUGUGAUAGUGUGAUCAAAACUACGCUUUUCAAAAUUAAAGAAGCAUUAUGCAGCGCUCACAUGGAGCACCAAACAAGAACUCAACAACUCAGUGUUAUAAGAGAACAUUCAACACUUAACCAUGCGCCUAAUCCUGAAAGGCCAGAUUACAAAUACUGUUGCAUGGAGUUUUAAAAUACCAACUACUAUUACUUUAAAGUGGCACUACAGUAAUUGUAUUUGCAACUUGAGAUGCAAGUACUAACACCUGUAGCAGAAAACUAAAGUGAAACUUAUUAGAAAUUACCACCUAUAAUUCAGUGGACAAGGGUACCUGACCUAUUGAAACUUUGGGGGUUCAGUUGAGCUUGUCAGGUAAUCUUGUCAGUGUCAUUUUAAGUUCUGCUUAACCUGCACCAAGCAGCAAAAGUGCUUUGAGUAGAAAAAAGGCAAAAACUUUAGUAAGUUGACCGGCCACCUCCAUGUUUGUUUCACUGCAGCUCUUUCUUUUUCCAUGCACCAAAGGACUAAAUGCUCUAAAUAUAUGUUUCAUGGAAACAUUGCAAGGGCAACAUAUAGAUGUGUAGCUAUCACUAAUCAUCAUUUAUCCAUGAAGGCUAGAAUACAUCUGACUAUAUGACAUAAGUAUUUGAGGGGCAUGGGUAUUCACUAAGAUAAUUCUGUAGUACUGAUAUGAAGUAAUUAAGUAUGGGAAAAAUUAAGAACUAAGAAUGGACCUUUGGUUUUAACAAACCUAAAUGCUUAUACCAAAAUAUGGGUUGAAUAUAAUAGUCAAGUGGUCGUAAACCAAGCAAAGAAUAUUUAACUUAGAAGCCUAUAUCCAUUGCAAUGUUGUCACAACAACCAGAUGGAUUAUUUUCUUCGCACUAUAAGUUGCUAGAACCUUGGGCACCAAAAGAUUUUUCACUCACCUAUGUAGGGAAUGCUUGUUUUCAUUGUUCUCUAGGAUGAUGUGCUCGAGUAUAUUGCUAUGAAUGUCCAUGACAUGUGGAACAUAGCAGAGGAGGAACCAUUCCAAUUGUCAUGUUGCCAAUGUUGUAGAGUCUUCUCAAAUCAAGAGCACCAGUCAUACUGAACACCGCCAACCAACAGGCCAGCUAUAUUCACCUAAAAAUUUAUUAUGAAUUGCAUACGAGGCAAAGAAAACUAACCUAACAUUCAUAACAGAAUACCAAACGAGGAAAGGAUCCUUACUCAGAAUUCAGAAAAACAAGAAAAUGGGACAAUCUCUCGGUGUUGAAUGGCCAGAUAGACCUGUUUUUAAUUCGAGUGUUCCAUCCUGGCUCUCAUUGCAUAACCAUAUAUAUAGUAUCCAUUGCGGCACCUAGGUCUGUCACUGUUAUCUAAAAAUCAAAACCGUUACUCCGAAAGGGAAGAUCAAAUUUUAUCGAAUUCCUAUACUGAGUAUAUGGUUAGUAGGUCAGAUUAGAUCCUACUAGGAUAAGUAUAGGAGCUGCUGACAUAUUUGUAGGUCCUCUGUUGUGCAUACCCUGCUUCAAGGCAACAAAGGGGAAAAACAUGAGUGAGCCUAGCAGCAGACAUAACACAUAAUCAGAAUGAGAAAGCACUUCACAUGUGAAAAAAGGAAAGAUAGAAAAAGGGUCAUGUGGAUGCCUAUGGAUAAUAUGUAUUGAUUACUUAUCAUUGAUGGGAACAAACAGAUUUCUAAUCAAUUGAAAUUUAUUUUGCACAAGAGGCUAAUGCUAUCCUAAUCCACACCAUUCUGUGCAUCUAGAAAAGACAUGAAAGAAAGACACAACCGCCAAAAGGAAAGAAACUCACCAACACACCUUCCAAUCUUAUUAGUCUACGCAGAUCCUCUUGGAUGAGGUCCUAAAUCACAUAGCAUAGAGAAAAGGAGCAUCAGCAAGCAUGAAGCAGAAGGAAGAUGUGCUCCAAAUCCCCAAGAACACAAUAUUGAAGAAUAGACAGAAAGAAGUGUGUGGGUAAGAUCAUGUAACCCUGUUGUUUCCAUCAGGUAGAAAUAGUGUACAUAGUAUUUUAAAGUUGGAAAUGCAGAUGUUUAAUUAUUGUACUGUAAAAUAUGUAAAUUUAAGAGUAAGGAGAAGCUGAAGUUUAUUACCUGACCGAAGAUGUGUAAGCAUGUCUAGAUACAUGUGUUGGUUGUCUAACACUGAAAAAUAGAAAUAAUCUAGGAAAUAAAAUACGAUAAUGCUUUUAGAUUUGCAGUUGUGUAAUGAAGAUGUGUAAGCAUGUGUACAUACAUGUGUUGGUUGGCUGACACUGACAAAUAGAAAUAAUCGAAGAAAUAAAAUACGAUAAUGCUUUUAGAUUUGCAACUGUUUAAUCAGCAUUAGACUGCAAAUAUUACCCGGGUGAGAAAUUCUGCAUGAGUGAUGUUUAGACUAUUUGAGCAGAACCUCCAAAGAACCCUACAUCCUCAAGCACAAGCGUCGUGUAUCAGUGAAAGGAAAUUCCAAAAAAUCAUGAAGGUACAAAUGAUGCCAAAAAUGUUACAGGGCAGCAUCACCUAGAGAGCACGGACCUAGCAGAGGGGCAUAGAAGGCAAGCAAACCAAAGUGCACUGUGUUACAUCGGGCUGGACUAUGGGCAACCACCCGUGCUUGCGUGCCGGCCGAUUCGGAGCUGAGGUCGGAACUAUGCCGGUAUGUUACCCACACCAGGGUCGCUGCCACCUACGGCGGGGCAAUACCCUAGGUCACCUCAUCGCCACCGCUACCGCUGCCAUGUUGGGGGCUCGCUGUCGCUCCGUACGUCACGUGUGGAGGUGUGGAGGAGAACAAGGGCCGCGGUCAUCGUGCCGAGUGGCAGCCAAUGUGGAGGUCCACUUGUGCCACCGGCCUAUCCGCAUCGGAAGGGAUGGGGAGAGAGAGAGAAUGGAAGGGAAGAGACUGUCGAGACUUAUACGCACGGUGGACGGAGAAGGAGGGGGCUAGCGCUGCGCUGGCUUGGGGCGUCGUCGUGCCGUCGCCCCUGGCUCGGCCACACCGCCCGUGGGGCGCUGUCGUCUCGUCGCCUCCACCUCGGGCUCGAGAGAGAGGAUGGGGAGGUCGUGCUAUUUUUUUAUGAGGAGUGGGGAGAGCGCUAGAUGUUUUUGUGGAGGCCGACGUGGGCUGCUCGUGGCCACACAAAGGGAAUCAGCAAAUCAGGCUAAGAUGGACCAAUGGGAGGGGGAGGAGGUGAGGUGGCAUUGAGGUGCACCAAUGGCAGAUUUGAGGAGACGUGGCUGGGGUAGCGACACGGGGAGCAACUUAGAAUUGUUAGGGUAAAUUAGUCCAAAGAUUUUAGAUAUAAAAAUAAGAAAUUCGCAAGAUAAUAGAAGUGUAGUAGUUUCGAAAUUUAUACUAUACAAUCCGCAGUAAUUGAAAACUAUCUGGAAUUAUUUGCAUGCUAGUCGCAUGGAAAAACUAACCGUUUCAUGAAGUCCACAAUAUUAGCAAGUCCGCAAAGAAUAUUUAACUUAGAAGCCUAUAUCCAUUGCACUGUUGUCACCACAUCCAGAUGGAUUAUUUUCUUAGCACUAUAAGUUGCUAGAACCUUGGGCACAAAAAGAUUUUUCACUCACCUAUGCAGGGAAGACUUGUUUUCAUUGUUCUCUAGGAUGAUGUGCUCGAGUAUAUUGCUAUGAAUGUCCAUGACAUGUGUGACUUAGCAGAGGAGGAACCAUUCCAAUUGUCAUGUUGCCAAUGUUGUAGAGUCUUCUCAAAUCAAGAGCACCAGUCAUACUGAACACCGCCAACCAACAGGCCAGCUAUAUUCACCUAAAAAUUUAUUAUGAAUUGCAUACGAGGCAAAGAAAACUAACCUAACAUUCAUAACAGAAUACCAAACGAGGAAAGGAUCCUUACUCAGAAUUCAGAAAAACAAGAAAAUGGGACAAUCUCUCGGUGUUGAAUGGCCAGAUAGACCUGUUUUUAAUUCGAGUGUUCCAUCCUGGCUCUCAUUGCAUAACCAUAUAUAUAGUUUCCAUUGCGGCACCUAGGUCUGUCACUGUUAUCUAAAAAUCAAAACCGUUACUCCGAAAGGGAAGAUCAAAUUUUAUCGAAUUCCUAUACUGAGUAUAUGGUUAGUAGGUCAGAUUAGAUCCUACUAGGAUAAGUAUAGGAGCUGCUGACAUAUUUGUAGGUCCUCUGUUGUGCAUACCCUGCUUCAAGGCAACAAAGGGGAAAAACAUGAGUGAGCCUAGCAGCAGACAUAACACAUAAUCAGAAUGAGAAAGCACUUCACAUGUGAAAAAAGGAAAGAUAGAAAAAGGGUCAUGUGGAUGCCUAUGGAUAAUAUGUAUUGAUUACUUAUCAUUGAUGGGAACAAACAGAUUUCUAAUCAAUUGAAAUUUAUUUUGCACAAGAGGCUAAUGCUAUCCUAAUCCACUCCAUUCUGUGCAUCUAGAAAAGACAUGAAAGAAAGACACAACCGCCAAAAGGAAAGAAACUCACCAACACACCUUCCAAUCUUAUUAGUCUACGCAGAUCCUCUUGGAUGAGGUCCUACAUCACAUAGCAUAGAGAAAAGGAGCAUCAGCAAGCAUGAAGCAGAAGGAAGAUGUGCUCCAAAUCCCCAAGAACACAAUAUUGAAGAAUAGACAGAAAGAAGUGUGUGGGUAAGAUCAUGUAACCCUGUUGUUUCCAUCAGGUAGAAAUAGUGUACAUAGUAUUUUAAAGUUGGAAAUGCAGAUGUUUAAUUAUUGUACUGUAAAAUAUGUAAAUUUAAGAGUAAGGAAAAGCUGAAGUUUAUUACCUGACCGAAGAUGUGUAAGCAUGUCUAGAUACAUGUGUUGGUUGUCUAACACUGAAAAAUAGAAAUAAUCUAGGAAAUAAAAUACGAUAAUGCUUUUAGAUUUGCAGUUGUGUAAUGAAGAUGUGUAAGCAUGUGUACAUACAUGUCUUGGUUGGCUAACACUGACAAAUAGAAAUAAUCGAAGAAAUAAAAUACGAUAAUGCUUUUAGAUUUGCAACUGUUUAAUCAGCAUUAGACUGCAAAUAUUACCCGGGUGAGAAAUUCUGCAUGAGUCAUGUUUAGACUAUUUGAGCAGAACCUCCAAAGAACCCUACAUCCUCAAGCACAAGCGUCGUGUAUCAGUGAAAGGAAAUUCCAAAAAAUCAUGAAGGUACAAAUGAAGCCAAAAAUGUUACAGGGCAGCAUCACCUAGAGAGCACGGACCUAGCAGAGGGGCAUAGAAGGCAAGCAAACCACAGUGCACUGUGUUACAUCGGGCUGGACUAUGGGCAACCACCCGUGCUUGCGUGCCGGCCGAUUCGGAGCUGAGGUCAGAACUAUGCCGGUAUGUUACCCACACCAGGGUCGCUGCCACCUACGGCGGGGCAAUACCCUAGGUCACCUCAUCGCCACCGCCACCGCUGCCAUGUUGGGGGCUCGCUGUCGCUCCGUACGUCACAUGUGGAGGUGUGGAGGAGAACAAGGGCCAUGGUCAUCGUGCCGAGUGGCAGCCAAUGUGGAGGUCCACUUGUGCCACCGGCCUAUCCGCAUCGGAAGGGAUGGGGAGAGAGAGAGAAUGGAAGGGAAGAGACUGUCGAGACUUAUACGCACGGUGGACGGAGAAGGAGGGGGCUAGCGCUGCGCUGGCUUGGGGCGUCGUCGUGCCGUCGCCCCUGGCUCGGCCGCACCGCCCGUGGGGCGCUGUCGUCUCGUCGCCUCCACCUCGGGCUCGAGAGAGAGGAUGGGGAGGUCGUGCUAUUUUUUAUGAGGAGUGGGGAGAGCGCUAGAUGUUUUUGUGGAGGCCGACGUGGGCUGCUCGUGGCCACACAAAGGGAAUCAGCAAAUCAGGCUAAGAUGGACCAAUGGGAAGGGGAGGAGGUGAGGUGGCAUUGAGGUGCACCAAUGGCAGAUUUGAGGAGACGUGGCUGGGGUAGCGACACGGGGAGCAACUUAGAAUUGUUAGGGUAAAUUAGUCCAAAGAUUUUAGAUAUAAAAAUAAGAAAUUCGCAAGAUAAUAGAAGUGUAGUAGUUUCGAAAUUUAUACUAUACAAUCCGCAGUAAUUGAAAACUAUCUGGAAUUAUUUGCAUGCUAGUCGCAUGGAAAAACUAACCCUGUCAUGAAGUCCACAAUAUUAGCAAGUCCGCAAAGAAUAUUUAACUUAGAAGCCUAUAUCCAUUGCACUGUUGUCACCACAUCCAGAUGGAUUAUUUUCUUAGCACUAUAAGUUGCUAGAACCUUGGGCACAAAAAGAUUUUUCACUCACCUAUGCAGGGAAGACUUGUUUUCAUUGUUCUCUAGGAUGAUGUGCUCGAGUAUAUUGCUAUGAAUGUCCAUGACAUGUGUGACUUAGCAGAGGAGGAACCAUUCCAAUUGUCAUGUUGCCAAUGUUGUAGAGUCUUCUCAAAUCAAGAGCACCAGUCAUACUGAACAACACCAACCAACAGGCCAGCUAUAUUCACCUAAAAAUUUAUUAUGAAUUGCAUACGAGGCAAAGAAAACUAACCUAACAUUCAUAAUAGAAUACCAAAUGAGGAAAGGAUGCUUACACAGAAUUCAGAAAAACAAGAAAAUGGGACAAUCUCUGGUUGUUGAAUGGCCAGAUAGACCUGUUUUUAAUUCGAGUGUUCCAUCCUGGCUCUCAUUGCCAUAUCCAUAUAUAUAGUAUCUAUUGCGGCACCUAGGUCUGUCCCUGUUAUCUAAAAAUCAAAACGGUUACUCCGAAAGGGAAGAUCAAUUUUUAUUAAAUUCCUAAACUGAGUAUAUGGUUAGUAGGUCAGAUUAGAUCCUACUGGGAUAUGUAGGAGCUGCUGACAUAUUUGUAGGUCCUCUGUUGUGCAUACCCAGCUUCAAGGCAACAAAGGGGAAAAACAUGAGUGAGCCUAGCAGCAGACAUAAUACAUCAGAAUGAGAAAGCACUUCACAUGUGAAAAAGGAAAGAUAGAAAAAGGGUCAUGUGGAUGCCUAUGGAUAAUAUGUAUUGAUUACUUAUCAUUGAUGGGACCAAACAGAUUUCUAAUCAAUUGAAAUUUAUUUUGCACAAGAGGCUAAUGCUAUCCUGAUCCACACCAUUCUGUGCAUCUAGAAAAGACAUGAAAGAAAGACACAACCGCCAAAAGGAAUGAAACUCACCAACACACCUUCCAAUCUUAUUAGUCUACGCAGAUCCUCUUGGUUGAGGUCCUACAUCACAUAACAUAGAGGAAAGGAGCAUCAGCAAGGAUGAAAUAGAGGGAAGAUGUGCUCCAAAUCCCCAAGAACACAAUAUUGAAGAAUAGACAGAAAGAAGUGUGUGGGUAAGAUCAUGUAACCCUGUUGUUUCCAUCAGGUAGAAAUAGUGUACAUAGUAUUUUAAAGUUGGAAAUGCAGAUGUUUAAUUAUUGUACUGUGAAAUAUGUAAAUUUAGGAGUAAGGAAAAGCUGAAGUUUAAUACCUGACCCAAGAUGUGUAAACAUGUCUAGAUACAUGUGUUGGUUGUCUAACACUGAAAAUUAGAAAUAAUCUAGGAAAUAAAAUACGAUAAUGCUUUUAGAUUUGCAGUUGUUUAAUGAAGAUGUGCAAGCAUGUGUACAUACAUGUGUUGGUUGGCUAACACUGACAAAUAGAAAUAAAAUACAACAAUGCUUUUAGAUUUGCAACUGUUUAAUCAGCAUUAGACUGCAAAUAUUGCCCAGGUUAGAAAUUCUGCACGAGUCAUGUAUAGACUAUUUGAGCAGAACCUCAAAAGAACCCUACAUCCUGAAGCACAAGCGUUGUGUAUCAGUGAAAGGAAAUUCCAAAACAUCGUGAAGGUACAAAUGAAGCCAAAAAUGUUACAGGGCAGCAUCACCUAGAGAGCACGGACCUAGAAGAGGGGCAUAGAAGGCAAGCAAACCACAGUGCACUGUGUUACAUCGGGCUGGACUAUGGGCAAUCACCCGUGAUGGCGUGUCGGCCGAUUCGGAGCUGAGGUCGGAACUAUGCCGGUAUGUUACCCACACCAGGGUCGCUGCCACCUACGGCGGGGCAAAACCCUAGGUCACCUCAUCGCCACCGCCACCGCCGCCACAUUGGGGGCUCGCUAUCGCUCCGUACGUCACCCGUGGAGGUGUGGAGGAGAACAAGGGCCGCGGUCAUCGUGCCGAGUGGCAGCCAAUGUGGAGGUCCACUUGUGCCACCGCCCUAUCCGCAUCGGAAGGGAUGGGGAGAGAGAGAGAGAACGGAAGGGAAGAGACUGUCGAGACUUAUACGCACGGUAGAUGGAGAAGGAGGGGGCUAGCGCUGCGCUGGCAUGGGGCGUCGUCGUGCCGUCGCCCCUGCCUCGGCCGCACCGCCCGUGGGGCGCUGUCGUCUCGUCGUAUCCACGUCGGGCUCGAGAGAGAGGAUGGGGAGGUUGUGCUAUUUUUUUAUGAGGAGUGGGGAGAGCGCGAGAUGUUGAGUGGAAGCCAACGUGGGCUGCUCCUGGCCACACAAAGGGAAUCAGCCAAUCAGGCUAAGAUGGACCAAUGGGUGGGUGAGGAGGUGAGGUGGCAUUGAGGUGCACCAAUGGCAGAUUUGAGGAGACGUGGCUGGGGUGGCGACACGGGGAGCAACUUAGAAUUGUUAGGGUAAAUUAGUCCAAAGAUUUUAGAUAUAAAAAUAAGAAAUUCGCAAGAUAAUAGAAGUGUAAUAGUUUCGAAAUUUUUACUAUACAAUCUGCAGUAAUUGAAAACUAUCUGGAAAUAUUUGCAAGCUAGUCGCAUGGAAAAACUAACCCUUUCAUGAAGUCCACAAUAUUAGCAAGGUAAAAUUGUAUCCAAAUCAAGUUGGAUGGUCAAAGUUGCAGAACAAGAUUCAGGGCCAAAUGAACACCCUCCUUAGAAUUUGCAACAUCCGAGUUGUCUGCUACUUGGCUAAAUCAAAUUGAACAAACAUUGAGGAUGUUGCUUAUCUCCUUGCUGUGACAAAAAAGAGGGGACAAAGGGGAAGCAAAAACAAACCUCGGAGGAACUCAUAGCAGUGCUUAUCUCAUCCUAGGGUUUAUUCUUUUGAGUUUUAAAGUGUCUGCAACAUAAUUUAAGGAAAGGUCCAAUAGCAUUAGUUUGUUCCCAAUCAGAGAAUUGGGAACAUAAAUUGAAGAUGAUGCAAUCAAGUUCGACAGAUCUUUAAGAAUAUCUUGUAUUGUGUGUUGCCUUAAAUUUUGUAUAUAGGAAAAAGAAAGUUGUUCAUGUACCUCAAGAGCACUAAAAUUUGCAUAAAUAGGUAUUGAAAGGGAAUAAAGAAUUAAAGAAAACCUAGAUUACCUUGGUCCAGUAGUGGUUACACAAGAGGAAUCUGCAAGUCACCAAACCACAUCUAGAAAAAGAUAAGGAUACACUGACAUAGUUCAAUUUGAAGCAUAGAUCAUUGCAAAGAUCUAACAAAUAAAAUUAAGAUCUUUUGUAGACAAUAGAAGCAUAAUAGCUGGUAAAGUUAGACUGUAAACCUACAGUAAAUGAAAAAUAAAUAUAAUCUCCAAUUAAAACUAUUUGCAAGCCGGUAGCAUGGAAAAGUUAACCCUCAUGACCCCACAACAUUAGCAAGGCAAAUUGAUAUUCAGAGCAAGUUCAAUGGUUAAAGCUACAACAAUUAGGUACAAGUAUAAAUUGCUUUGUGCCUCUAUUUACCUUACAUAGGGAGAACGUAUAUUUAAUACCCGAUUUUAAGGACAAAAUCAGAUAUGCACCAUAUGUGAGUUUUAGAAGUCAAAUCUCACAUAUAGCUACAAAUAAGGGGCAAUAUCAAAAGACAAUGCAUAAAUAUAUAACGUACUUAGUAUAAAGGAGAUAACCUUUGAUUGCAAACAGCGGAUAGACAACUCCAAACUUUUGGUAUUAACUUCUCUCUACAGGAUCCAACUGACUGGUUGUUCACAAGCCCAAAACUUCUCCUGAGGUUUGGGGAGAAUAGCAAGAGUGAUUCCAUGUCGAACUCCACAAGUAAAGCAACUAGAUUGUAUAUAUCCCACAAUCUCAUGAUCAAUGUGACAUAAAUAAUGUAGAGUAUUAAACAGUAAUAAUGAACAUAUUAACACACAAGAAUCAUCAUCCUUAAUGUAGAUGUCCCCAAGGCCGCUCCUGACCAUGAGCUCGGCUAGUAUACUAGUUUUAACACUCUGCAGAGGUUGUAUAUCUUUACCCAUGAGUCAUGAUUUACCCUUUCGCCCGAGGCCCGUCGACCUCUUAACCCACUACCAAGGAAGGUCGGCAGGGAUCACUAUGAAGCCUUUCAAAAGUUCGUCUAACAUGUUAGGGCCGCAAGGUUUCCUUUGCGCACAGAUAUAGAUACCCCCUUCCAAAUGGCACAAUGACGCGCAGCCUAUACACAUAAGGCAGUGGCUCGCACUAUACCCAAAACGGUUCAGCCCCUCCGCCCUUUCGGGUAACCUCUAACAAGCUAGAAAAGGUCUUCAUACUAAGCUAAAGCUAGAGCCAUUAUAGCCCUCAUGGUUGCACUGUUGUUCCGGGUGAUCACGUACAGACAAAUCAUCAAGUUGCUAAAGAGUCAUUUUUAUCGUUUAUUACAUAACAUUAAUCUAGUCACACGAUCAUGGUCACAUAAAUAAAAUCUAAAUGCUAUACUUGCCUUAAUCCAAAUGAUCUUGUUGAUCCUGCUGGUCUUACUAGUUAUCCAAGGCUCUGAUCUUGAUCACUGAAGCACUCUUGUUCACCACAGAUUGCUCACCGUCUAAACUCGAACAUCGAUCAUCAACACAUAACAAUCGAAGACAAACAUACACGAAGCAAACAAGACUACAAUUAGAACAGUACACCAAUCAUAUAAAAAUGGUAUAUAGAGUUCAUAAAAAGAUUCUACGCAGCACUACGAUAUCAUAGACGUAAAGAUCACGAAAAUCGGAGCUAAAACGGAGAAGUUAUGAAUUUUCUAAGAUUUUAUAUAGAAAAGUAAUUAAUUAAUUAGGGUCACGAAAAUAAAAAGUUUCGAACUGAGAAAACAAUGUUACUAACAUGUAGAGCUCAUUAAAACAAACCUAACGCAAUUUGAAUGGGUUAAAUUGGAGUUAAAAAGAAUAUUUUAUGGCCAAAAGAAAGUUGGUGGCAAUUCUGUAAAUAGUGAAAACGUAUUUUUAAUCUAAAACCGAGCUGUUUCCAAACUGAAAGAUAAAGUGAUUGGGGCUUACGUUGGUGAACAGGAAGUAGGUUCACCGGCAGUGACGCUUUCUUGGAGCUACAGCAACGCCGGAGCAGCCGACCGUUCGUAGAUGUCGUGUAUAGGCGAGACGAUGGCGAUCACAUUGUAGAGAGGAAAAUAUAAAUUUUAUUUUACUUAGAGGCUUCCUAUACGAUAGUCUUUGAUGUGCUUUGCCUAUGGGGUUGGUACAUAUAUAUAGAGAGAAAAACUCCCCACCUCCACGUCAACUAGCGAUAUGGUACUAAUUGAUUUGCAACCUUCAUCCUUACUAAUAGGCCUAAUUAAUUAUUAAAGCCCAUUAGUAAAUAACUAUAUGGUCAUUUGGGAUUUAUUAUGGGCUUUGACGUUGGAAAAAUAAUAAGAGAGUUAUUUUUUUCGGAAUUUAUUAUUUUCAUUGAUAAAAUAAUUCUAGAAAAGUUUAGAAUUAGUAGUUAAGCACGAAAAAUACUCCGAAAGCUCCGAAAAUUUGGGAAAAAUUCUCAGAGAUAUUAUAGAAUAUGGGGAACCCGAAUAAAGCUUUUGGAGCUCAUGAGAAGAUUGUUUGGAGCAUCUAAAAAUUAGAUCAUGCUCAUAGAAAAGUGAGAACAGAAGCUAAAAAAAAUACCCGAAAAAUUUGUAGAGAGUGCUUGAUGGACGAGGAACUAAAAAAAGUGCUUUGAGUGACAAAGAAAAUAUUUUAGAAAGGUCCUAAUAAAAAUUUGAGCUUAGAAACAAGGAAUUUGGUUGUAGAUAAAACAUAAAUACGUGCCGAAUAAGAUCGAUCUACUAAACGUAUUUUAAAUAUUUUUCUUACUAUCAACACAUAAUGGAGCAACAAGCAUCACAUCAAAAUAUAUACACCAGCAUGUAUGCGUAAUAAUAUUGCUAAGCCUUAUGAUAAAUUUUAAUUUAAUAAAAAAUAUUAUUUUUCCUAUAUUUUCAUCAGCACAAAAACACAAAAUUAAAUAAUUUUAUCUAUAUUUCAAAAGGAGUAAAUUUUAGGAUGUUACAGUAUAGUAUGCACAAAAGAAAUUGUUGGCAUCUCUUGGAUGAAGAUACAAACUGAAGGUUUUACAUGGUGCUGAAAUUAUGAACCUAUCCAUUUUAUUGUGAUUGCUGCACAAACCAAUGUAGAUAGACCAGCGACUUUCAGCUAUCUCCAUAGCACCCAAAAAUAAUCUCAUGCAUACCGAAGGAAAAUAUGGCAAUAGGAUGGUCCAAAUUACAUACCAAAUAAAUAUACAGCCUACUGGUCUGAAGAGAACACUGUGAUUAUUGUUGCAACCACAAGACUCGAUAGAAAAGGAUGAACAAUGUUUCUUCUUAUGAAGCAACAGGCAAGCAUCAUCGAUGGUGCUAAAAAUGUGAACCAAAACAUUAAUUGUGCCAAAAUAAAAGCAAGUACAGCACAAGAAAGCACAAAAUUGAUGCCCAAAGACUCAGACAAAUAGGAGAGGCAAAAGUGACCGUACACAACCAAAGUGUAUGGUAAUGUAAUCCUUGGAAAUAGGGCAUGUGCUCAGAAAUGAUAGUAUAUAAUUUGGCGUCACUGGCAAUGAUCAUAGAUAAUGAACACGCAAAGGGGCAAAUCAUUAUAGGUAAUUGCAUGAAAACCACGGAUCUCAUAAGUAAGAGUGAAUCCAGCCGCAUAGUAUGUGACUAAAUACACAAUAAGCAGUAGCUCUCAUUGGUGCAUUAAAACUGCACAAAAUAGAACAGCCAGGAAUGAAUAGAAGGAAACAUAAUCAUACAAUUGACCAUUGCCUCAUGUAUUAUGGGACAAGCACAUAAAACAAAAACAUAAUUUCAGGUGCAAUCAUCAUAGCAGUAGCCCAUUCCCUUAAUUUUAAACGCCACAACAAUACGAAACCGUACUCAUCACUGCACAUGACUGGAAUGCAGAAAUAAACAUAAGAACACCAGCGCUACAGUGGUGUCACAGAAAUGUCACUGAUACGCUGAUGUGCUCAGAUCUUGGUCAUAAUACCUCUCUGCUCUCAUAUCCAGCAAAAUUGAGCAGAUCACGACCUACAGAAAAAGAAUCUGCGGUAACCAUGUAGAUCGACAAGAGAAAAGGAGAACACCAUAUCUACGACAAAAUGGAGCCCUCGUUCAUGCAUAUGGCACAUCAGGAGAGAGGGGAGGGAAAGAGAGGGGAGGGGAGUAAACCAGUGAGCGGACAGAUCGAGGGAGAGCAGAGCCGCGCCGACUGUCUACAAAGAGCUCGCACGGAGGGGGUAGGCGGCUGUGGCGCCGGCCAUGGCCGCCCGUGCCACGCCGCCGCGCAGGGCCGUGCGUGUCGAUCGCGCCACACUGUGCCUUGGGACCCGCCCACGCAGGGGUGGGGGGAAGGGAGGGACGCUGCCGCCUCGUGCACAUCGCCGCGACUCAGAGGGGGAGGGAAGCCGUGCCCGCCAGCAAUGGCCGCGCGCGCCACGCCGCCGCAUAGGGCCGCGCGCGUUAGCCACGACACGCCAUGCCACAGGGCUCGCCCGUGCGGGAGUAUGGGAAGGGAGGGACACCGCCGGCCUCCUCCUACGCUGUCACGUCGCGCACGUCGCCGCGGCAGCCUGCAAGGAGCUCGCACGGAGGGGGAGGGCGGCCGCGGCCGCCGGCGACGGCCGCCCGCGCCACGGUACCGCGCAGGGCCACGUGCGUCAGCCGCGUGAUGCCAUGCCGCAGGGCCCACCCGUGUGGGAGUGGAGGCACAGGAGGGAGGCCGCCGAGCUCUGCCUAUGUCACUGCCUCACGCACGUCGCCGCCUUGGGAGGGAACGAGAGAAGGAGAGGGAGAGAGAGAGAGGAAGGAGAAAGAGGAUAAGAUGGGAGGGUAUGGGAGGAGAUAUUUCUUUAUUGAAUCACGGAUGCGUCAUGGACUGCUACAGUGAACCAUUUUUUUCCUCGUGAGAAGCCGUACAGGACACAUGGCUAGGCCGAUUUCCUGCCUUAGCCGGCUUAAUAAGAGUAAAUACGAAGGAUAAGCAUCAGAGUGAAAUGUACCACGCCAAGCUGACAAUGCUUCUCCUGCAGAACCGGUGUCCCUCUCCCAGGCGCACUCCUGCAGACCCCUCCUCUAAGCAAAACCAUAAGGCAAAUGUGAGUACGAAGAACAAAAAAGGAGCAAGCAAGAGCAAAAUCAGUAAGUAAAAAUAAAUUCUCCAACAUAGGUAGCAAACCCCAACCGCUCCGAUGUCACCUACUUUUGCGAUAGAUGAACACCUGAGAAAAGCCCCAAUGUGGCAACCAAAUCCCAAUGCACCCCGUGGCCGAGGCAGUUGGCCGUCCACGGCGCCCCAGCGCCGCGUCCGCUUGCUGACCCAGCCCCAAAGCCCACACGCCCACCCAAUAAAGCGCAGGGAGAAGAAGACAGCCCGCGCCCACGCAAACAAGCGCAAGGGAGAAGAACAUAGAGCCUUUGCACCCGGUACGUACGCGACGCGGAAUGAAAAAAGGUGCCGGGCUGGGCCGGGGCAUGGAAGCCGGAAGCGGUACCUGAGCUCGAUGUGGCGCGGAGAUGGAGCUGGCGGAGGGUUGACGCCAGCCACCGGCGAGACGACGGAGGCACCUGCAACGGCGGAAGGCGGGCAGCAGCCGCGGCGAGGCAGCGCGCGGCCGAUCGAUCGAUUGGGGUAAUCGGGGUUUUGCCGCAGUGACGACAGGAGGCAGUGAGCAGCGAGGUAGGCAGUAGGCAAGCGUGUCGCAUAAGCAGUGGGCAAAUGGGUGUACAGUAAAUGUCAUUUUGCCCUUUGUGUUGGUUGCUCUUUGGUACGGUACCGCACCCGCAACAGGGGAAGGCGGGCAGCAGCUGCGGCGAGGCAGCGCGCGGCCGAUCGAUCGAUUGGGGUAAUCGGGGUUUUGCCGCAGUGACGACAGGAGGCAGUGAGCAGCGAGGUAGGCAGUAGGCACGCGUGUCACGUAAGCAGUGGGCUAAUGGGUGUACAAUAAAUGUCAUUUUUGCUAUUUGUUGGUUGCUUUUUGGUACGGUACCGUGAUCAUCAGCGGCGGGAUACAUAUUUUCAAAGCAUAGUGUCCGUACGUUGUUAUAGUUUUAUUUAGAUAUAGGGCCUGUUUUCGGUUCCCCUUGCUAAAGUUUAGCUAGCUAAAAUUAUUUUAGCUAUUCUUGGGUGACUAAUGGAACUAAAUUAUGUUAACUCUUUUUAAUCAAUGUGUUUGGAACUUUAGCUACUGAAAUGACUAAAGUUUAGCUAGCUAUAAUUUAGCAAGAGAAACCAAACAGGGUGUACUUAGGCAUUGUUUACUUCUAAAAUUUUUUGCAAAAUAUGAAUAGUAGCGUUUUCGUUUGUAUUUGAUAAAUAUUGUCCAAUUAUGGACUAACUAGACUCAAAAGAUUCAUCUCGCAAAUUAUAGAUAAACUGUAAAUUAGUUAUUUCUUUUAUCUAUAUUUAGUGCUCCUUGCAUGUGAUGGAGAAUGUGAAAAAUUUUGCAAAAUAUUUUGGGAACUAAACAAGGCCUUAAUAAAAACAACUAUUUUAAAUAAAAUAACAAUAUAUUUUUCAUAGUUUAUAGUCUCAGAUAAUUACAUAUGAUAAUUAAUAUAAUCAUGACUAAGAAAAAGAAAAAUAAAGACAUGUCUCAUAUAUUUAUACUAUAAAUAAGUUCUUAAUUGCUUAGUAGAUCUCAAAGCUCUUCAGAGAUAAUGUUUGCACGUUCAUUUUGAUUACUUUGUAGAAUGUCCACCAAGCAUUCCGUACUCAGCGAACGUCCACUCUGUGAAUGCCAGAUAGUAAGUUAACUUAUUAAUUUGCUAUGCACUCUACAAAAUUACAUAGAGGAUAUAUAGUUUAUAUGCUUACAGGGUGGAUAGACAAUCUUUUUUCAUCCUACUAUUUUAAAUAACUAUAUACAAAGAAGCGUGGCACUUCCUUGGAGAAGAGCAGGUGUUUAUUUGUAUUAGCUAAAUGACAUAGAAUAAUAUUACUAUAUAAUUUAAUUAAUAAUUGAGAACAUAAAUUAAGAAGAUAUUACUACUACAUAUUAUUUGGCCAAGUAAAAUAUUCGUAUCAUGGUGUCUAAUUUAACCCAUACUGAUGCACAAACAAAGAAGAUAUUGCUCCAUUAUUACCUUAAUCAAGUGUCUUUGAUACUGCUCUAGCUUUUUUCAUUGCAUAAUAUUCACGUUGCUUCUUAUUUCUUUCAUCUCUUUCUUCAAUGGUUUCCUCGGCCCUUUUACGAGCGCGGUAUUCACGUUGUUUUCUAUUCCUCCCUUCCCUCUGUAUUCUCUCUUCAUCUACCGAUGUUCUAUCAGUGGCUGUGAAAUAUAGUGUGUGUUAUUAGUUUCAGAUUUUUUUUUUGUGAAAAUAACCAAUAUAGAUGGUCGCGUACAUACCAUGUCCGAUAGUGUUUGUCGUCGAUCCCCCAUUAUUGACAUGUAGCAGGCCCAUCGAUGAUGGCGUUUAUGUUAAUCUACAAUAGAAAACACAAAGCAAGUAUACUUACUGCGUUCAUCAUGGCGUUCGUCGUCUGGCCUAGUGCGUCAGCGUUUCCCCCUACGUGGCGCCCCUGUCCGCGUUCGACGUCGCACCCUGGCCAUGCUCCGGUGUCGCGUCCUGGCCGCGCGCCUGUUUGCGAGCCCCUGGCCGCACGUGGAGUCUGGCAACCAGGGCGCGGAGUCUUGGCGGUGCCCCUGUGACCCUCUGGCCGCAAGCCCCUGGUCGCGCGCCCCGUCUGCCCCGGCAAGCCCAGGCCGCGAGCCCUCGUCGUGGACAGGAGAAUGCGAAUAGAGGGAAGAUACACGGUCGUGCAUGAGAGGGAGAUGGGGCGGACUGAGGGAUGAAUGAGGUGAGUGAUGAGUUUGAUCCAAGCGUUUAUGACCGUUGGAUGUGAUUGAGUUAGGGGAAUGAUAGAUUAGAGUUAAUAUUGUCUCUUAAUUUUGGGAGAUAGAUCUUCCUUGGUGGAAUUUUUCGUGUGUACUUAGUGUAGCUUAUAACUGUAGUAGUAGUUUAUAGGGUGCAUUUAGUUAAGUUCAUAACUGAUGGAUUAUAUAGUAGUGGAGAUUUGUGGUAAAUCUCAGUAACUACACCCGUGCCUUUUUACCUUAUACAAAUUAGAACUGAGGCUUGAUCCCUAUGAUUUCGUGUUAAAUUAUGUUUUUAUGAUUUUUUGUAUACAUAUAUGAUGGCAAUCCAACUUGAAUACCUCUCAUCCAAUUUGGUAUAUAUUGUUGACAACAACGAUCCCAUGUGGUCAGGAUGUUCGAAAACGAGAAAUCAAGUUCUUAGUUUUCUAGGAACAGAAGAACUGAUCGGAGCCGCGUUUCCUGAGUCAUACCAAAGGUGACCCGCUUGCUCUCCGAUGGGGGAUGCUUGGGUGAGUGCUAGGAAUAAGCCUCCAGCUGGAUAGGAAUCGAUUCGAAUCACCGUCUCUCCCGGAUAGUGAGAACUUGACAAAGCAGCGGCAAACGUAGCAUUCACUAAGUACAAUGGUUCUUGAUAAUGAUAAUGAUGAUAGCAAGAAAGGUCAUAUGAUGAAUUUGAUAUGGUUAUUAUUGUUUGUAAUAAUCAAGUGAAGUUCUUAGUCUAGGUGCUAAUCUAGUGGUAGGCUAAUGAUGAUUGAUAUGAUGCCUUUACAAAUGGUGCAGUAUCUACUUAAGCUUUUGGCAAACAUUGAGUCAAGCCAGCUACACUUUAUACUCAGCCUUGCAUGAUUCUUGGUGUCUUUUAUGUUUUACUAGACGGGUAAGUCUAGCUGAGUACAUCCUCAUACUUAGGGUUUAUUCCCACCUGAUGCAGAUGAUGACUUUUAUGAUGGAUUCUGUAAGAUCUAUCUCCUUCCGGUGGGGAUGAGGACUAAACCGUUGGGCACGGUUCACUAACGACUUCGUACCCCGUUGCUUUUGGAUGGACGUGAUGAGUCUCUGGCAAUAAUAAGAACUUUGGAAUGUGUGUUGUAAACUAUUUUGCUUCCACUACUGUGAACUUGUGUUGUAACAACUAAGUACUCUGAUGUGGUGCCGCUUCGUCGGCAAUGAAUGACUAUGUAACAUUCGCUAUAUUAUGUUGAACUAUUAUGAUAUUGGUUUGUUGCAAGUUGGUUUGAAAUCCUUCGUGAUUUUAGUUGACUACCGGGAUUAUAUGGGCUCAAGUCUGGAAACUUGAUUGCUAGUCGAUCGUUUCUACACUUGAACUCUUAUAAUUUGGUCGGUUCUGUGACAUGUGAUGGGGGUUGUAUUCUUGUGACAAUGACCUUUUCUCCAAUCUACACAUGGUUAGAAUAAAUAAUAUGUAUGUAUACACAAACCUGUGAGAUGGCAGGGUUCCAGAAUGAUGGAUCUUGAAUGUUCAAGCACCCUGGGUUCCAAAAUCUUGUGGAAUCAUGUCGCAAGGUCGAAGUGGCAUCUGAUGUCAUGUCUAUUCCAUACUCAAUAGAACAAAGGGGUAAUCCUACUAAAGCUAGUCAUACACUAAAUUACCAGACAUCAAGAUCAUUAUUAGAAUCUUUACGCCAAUUGCUUCCCCGGCAACGGUGCCAAAAAUGCUUGUUGGCAUUUCUUAACACAAUCACCAAAGAUAGACAAAAAAGCCUCAUCCCCAGCAAUAGUGCUAUUAAUGCUUAAUGACAUGCGUUAGUGCAAAAAGAAAUAUAAAAGAUUCUGCAAGCGCAUAGAACAUCAUCGUAGCAUUUUACCGGGAGUAUUCCACGUAUCGUUAUUUAUAAUUUACCAUAGGGAAGCGGGGUUAAGAAUCUUGAUAAUUCACUAUCCUACAUCUACUUACUUAGAGUAUCAAAUAAACUAAAGGAGGGAUAAAUGACAUACUAUAAUAUAAAUCAAUUAAGUGUAUAUAAGAGAAUUCGAUGAUCCAAUCCUGAAAGACCACUCUUUCGUCUAAGGAUGCCUAACCGCAGCAUCGAUCAUUCGGGGGGUCGAGACACUGCGAGGUGGGUAGUUUCUCUGAAGCGGAUGCCUCCUAAAGAGUAAUGGAGAUGUGCGAAGGUAGGCUCAAGCGUUGAUUCUGCUCAUGAGCAUAAUGGUAUAAGCUAAAUGUAUAGAUAGUUAUAGCAGGAGGACAAUGUGAAAGAUUAAGGUUCCUUUGUACUUCUCUAUUACUUAGGUUUAGGGUAUCCGAAUAUGAAAAGAUAUAGCAAUCAUACAAUGGCACUUUGGAGCAACAGUCAUUGCUAAAAUUAGAAAUAAACCCUAUCCCCGGCAACGGUGCCAAAAAUGCUUGUUGGUAUAAAUUAACUGCACUCCAUUAAAUAAGUUUUAAGUAGGAUUAUCUGCAAGCGCACAGAUAUCAUACCAAUGUCACAUUUUACCUGGAGGUUUUAAAUAUCAUAUCCAUAGGGAACAGUUGUGAUGAUGACAAAGUAUAUAGACUUAACCCUACAAUUAGGCUAGAUCAUAUCAAGAAAAAGGAAAUAGCUAAUGCACUCUGAUUCUGACUCCAGUAAACUUUGUAUAAUAUCGUCUUAUCGGGCAAGUAACCCAAAUAGGAGAAGAAACAGAGUAAUCUCCUACCAGGCACCUAUAAGCCUAUCAGUCCUAUGAACAGGAAGUAGACUACAGAGGAAUCAACAUAGCUAUAAAGUCACCUACGCAUGCUACAACUGUCCGGCUGGUCAGGGGACAUCCACAAGUAAACCUAGCCUAGGCACCACGCCUACACUAUAAAUACUACUUCAACCAAGUAAUGAAUAGAUCAAAGCACUCAAUAUGAUUUAUGAACCAAAGGACGAAUAAGAACAAGUUGCUUACUUAAAUCAGAAUGGUAAGUACAAAAGUACCUCAGAACGUAGCUCCAGAUGAGAGAAUUGGAUCCAGACGAAUACAGCCAUGAAGAAGCGCCGACAGGCCGAAACUCCUCUAGAAUCUCUACUCCUCUACUCAAUCUCUCUAAUCUCUAAACAAGACUAGAUCUAGAAGAACUAGUCUCUCCUAAUUGCUACAUCUAGAUGAACUAGAACUAGAUCAAUUAGAGGGACACUAACCCUAAUUAUGUAGACAAUAUGAAGCACCGGGGUGUAGAAUGCCUCUAGGGAGGGGGUAUGUCCCUUUUUUAUAGCCCGGUGGGAUCGAUGUGCGCCGUAGGAUCAAACCUACUUAACGAAGGGCCGAGAUGCAUUAAGAGAGGCGGUGGAGGAAGCUUUCGAAAGGCGGUGGCUAGAAACCCUAGGGGGACGUCGACCGGCACUAGGCGGCCGGCCCCACCUUGUUUCCUCUACGGGUCUCGUUCCUUCGGGUGUCUUCUAGAGCACUUGAAUCCCUCUUUUUGGCUCUGUAUGAAAUAAACCCUAGAAAACACAGAAUAUGCAAAACUCGUGGAAAUUGUCAGUUUAAAUCAUAGGCUAGUGUGUUUUCAUGUUCUCCUUUGGGUCUAAAGUUCUAAUAAAAGUUGACGUUAUCGACCGUCAACAAAGACUAGGAAGAAAGUAGUCGGGGAAGGCUACCGAAAAGCUCUACAAAACAUCAAUCCAAACUUGGUGGAUUACAAAGGCCUAACAGGGCUAUGACCCCUGGGGCUACCACACUAUACGUGGGAUUGAGCGCUACCUUAGGAAAACUAUAGCCUAGACACUAUGUCUACACUAGCAUUUACUACUCUAAUUACCAUGAAUAACUAGAGCACUCAAUACGAACAAAGGUCCCAUGCCAAGAUAUAACAACUACACUAAACAUAAAUAAGCAUAAAGUAAAUAGAGAAGAUAGUAUAUUAAAGCAUACGUGUUACAAAGAAAAGAUAUGAAGACAUACCAAAACUCUAUAGAAGACUCCUCCAGAACCGAACAUAGCUCCGCAUCCCCUAACUCCUGACUAGAACUAAUCUACUACAUUGGAAUGUCUAGCCCUAAUUCUCUAGAGAAGAGAGGUCAUCCAUUUGAGGGAUGCGUCUACAACUCUUAACGAUUCUCCUCUAGGGGGGUGAGGCCCUUUAUUUAUAGCCCCCGAGGAAGCACCAUAGCACUUGGAUCAAACUGACUCAAACGUGUGCUUAAGAUUAAUCCUCAAAGUCGGUAGAGGCAGGAUCCAUAAGGUUCUCCCUCAUCGGUCCACCUGGUCGGGCGGCAGCCCCUGACAGGGUGGGGCGCCCGCCCCUACCCUUUGACAGGUGGGCCCCACCUUUCGGGUGGUAUCUUCUCGAGCCUUCUAGAGUACUUUUGAGCUGACAUUUUGUAACACCCUAGGUGUUAAGCAUGCACUUAGUCUUAUCAAAGUCAUGCAUAAGCAUUCCCAUCAAGCAUAAGCAUCAUGAGCAUGUCACUCUUUUCAAAAUAUGAUUUUAUGUGCUUCAUUUCAUGAGUUAUAAAUAUGCUAAAAAUAUGAUACUUGCUCCUAAAAUGGUGAAAUAUUCAAACUAGGUUGAUUUAUGUGUAAGAAGAAUUUAGAAUAUUUUUGUGCAAUUUUUGGAGCCAUGGAAAUUGAGAAAUGGAAUUUAUACAAAAUAUCCAAAAUGAAUUUAUUUAAAAACAUAGAACUAAGUUUUAAUUUGUAAUUCAAAUUCUAUUUAGUAUUUGGUCUUGCUUAUUAAAGCAAAGUUGUAGGGUUUUUAGUUUGGAACAACUUUGCCUUUGGGAUAAAGUGGUGAAAAUGAUUUGAAAAUGGCCAAAAUGAAUUUAGAAGAGAAAUUGAGAAAAGAAAUUAAAAAAAAAAUAGAAAAGGGAAAAGGGGGCGCUAGCAGGCCGCGCCCUCACUUCUGGCCCGCUGGCCGAAGCCGGCCCGGCCCGCCCGCGCCUUCCCCUUCCCCUUCCCCGUGCUCGCGCCCGCGUCCGCGCGCGGACGGCCUCGCCGUGCCGCCGUGGCGCGCCGGCAGAGCCUGGCCGCCGCGUGGCGGGCAUGCGACGGCGUGGAGAGGCCCUGGUCGGCCACCAGGAGCCCCCGGUCGCGUCCGCCGAAGCCCCCGCUCCCAUUUGCGCCCUCCACUCGCGCUCUCGCCUCUCUGCUCGCUCGCGCGCAGCAGUCACCGCUCCGCCGCACGCCAUAGCCGCCGACGGCUCGGAGCUCCUCUCCCGGCCAGCUCCGGCCCUCUCCUUCCUCUUCGCGACCACCACCGGCUCCGCCUCGUCCUCCCGCGUCGCGUGCUUGCGCUCUUCCGCGCUCGGUGAGCCCCGCGUUCUCGCUAGAGCUCACCGGAGUGAGUCGGAGCUCCGGCGACCUCUCGGCUCGCACGGUUCUCCCUCUCCUCUCUGUCUCUGCUUGCGUUCAUAGGUGCCUUGGAUCCGCCUUGGCCUUGCGCACCUUUUCGCGUCGUUAGCUUACGCUCUACCGCCGUGAAACGGCCGGACCACGGCGAGCAGCGCCGCCGCGUCCGCCAUUCGCGACGGCGAGGUAGUUCCGGUGCUCGUCCGGUGCCAAAGAGGGUACGGUUGGACUCGUCUCGUUCUCGCGAAGCCGUAGGUGCUCCCGGUGUCGCCGGAAACCUCACCGGCGGCGAGAUUCCGGCCGAUCUUUGGCCGCGGAGUCACGGGAUGGAUGACAGGUGGGGUCAUCUGACUCGCGUGUCCCGCCUGUCAGUGACUCCGAGGGUUUGAAUCCGGGUGCGCUUAGCGUUUUAGGUUGUUUUCCGUUUUAAAAGUUUUUCCAGAAAAUGAGUUAUGUAUUCAAAAAUCCAUAUCUUGAGGAAUAUAGCUCCAAAAAUUGUGAAAUAAAUUUUGGUGUGUUCCUUAUUUCCAGAUCUAUAGCCUAGUAUGUUUGCAUGUCAUGUUUGAGUAAUUUUUCUCUGUGAAUAUAUUUAAUCCAUGUUUUUGCUAAACUUGGAAAAUGCAUAGUAAAUAAAAUAGGGUUCAGAAAAUGUGAAACUUGAUUUGUUGGCUCUGCAUGUGUGUUUACUCACUGGGAAAAUAUAGUUACAUAUUAUUUGGUGUAUAAAUGAAAUUAUGUUAAUUUAAAUGCUUGCAUGGCAGUGAUUUAUGAUUUUUAAUAAUUAUUUGGGUCAUGCAAUAAAUCUGGAAAAUUUUGUGGGUAUUUCUUAUGAUAUUAGACAAAUGGUAAAAAUAUGAAAUCUAUUGUUUGACAUUUAUAUCACAAUGAAGUAAUUAUACUUACUUUAUUAAUUAAUCUUGUGAUUUUUGAGGCUCAAAAUAAGUAACCAAAAAUUAUGAAAAAUUUACAGUAGACUUUAUGCUUAGCUGGUAGUCUCCUGUAAUUUUUGUGGAAUUUAUUGUUGAACAGAAUUGCAUGUGAUUUUUAAUGGGCCUAGAAAUGAAUAAAGAAAAUUAUGAAUGGUUGUGUAUAUAGGUUGAGUGGAAUAAGUUGGGUUUGGUGUAUCUUUGAAGCAUCAGGUGGGUUGCUGGUUGCAUUUGAAAAAUAAUUGUAGAAGAGAAUGCAAUAGAUGUUUGAUUCAAUUGUUUAUUCUUGGAUGAUGUUGACUACCUUGUAAUAAGCAUGACCAAGUACAUCACCUAUGCAUCAUGUCAUAACUCCUUUAGUACUUUCUCAUACAAACAUCCACUCGGGCAUCUCGCACUCCACUCACGAGCACACAUGCAUCAUACAGGCUCGCAGGAGAACGAGGUGGGACCCGAGGAGCCAGAGGAGAUUCAGGAGCAGGAACCUCCGGAAGCACAGGAACCCGGAGAGGAACUGCAGGAGUGUCCAGAUCACCGACCCAGCACGUUUGAGAAAGGCAAGCCCCGGAGCAUUCUAAGUCUCCCUAUUCUCGCUAACUUAUGUGAUGCACUAUACUUGUUCUACUAUAUUGCAUUUAAGUGGUAGGAGUUGCCUGAUACCGUUGCUGCAUGUAUACUCCUUGUUAUCCCUACUCGUUUAUCUACCUUGUCCUAUGUAGAUAGGCGCGGAGUCUAUGCUUAGCUUGCUUAGCCCGGUAGAAGUCGGGUGAUUCCCUAUCACCUGCGAGAUAUAGGUGGAUACCUGCUUGAUUAAGCAGUGGUUGCUUGGGGAAAGGAAUAACCAAGUGUGGAAUGUAAUUGGAGACCGGGCAGGGUCUUAUGGUGGGCUGACCAUAGUGCCCCUGCCUGUGUCGAUUAAGGACCGAUCGUUGACGGCCCUCUUGUCAUGUUGAACGCAUGCCUCACACUUAGCUCGAAGGAUAAGUUGUUCCGACCGCGAAGCCUGAACACUAUCUGGGCCGAGAAUCGAGCCGCCAUGCGCUGUAUUGGUGAUGUUGAGGAGAACGACGAGGGCGCGGCGUGCAACCUUGGUAUACCUUGGAUACCUCGGUCGCCGGAACGGUCCUCGGGUACUGGCGGUGCCUGCCGAACCCGCAAAUUGGUCCUGGAUAGUGUAAUACGGUGAUCUGUAGCUCACUUGAUCAGUGAGUGUGGUUUGUGUGGGGAAUACCUCGCCAGCUGGUUAGAAAUCGAUUCGAAUCGCCAUCGCUCCUGGACAGUGAGCACUUGACAUGAGCCCUGUCCUCGUAGUAAGGACUAUGGAAAACUUGGGUUAUAAUGAAAGGGAUUUAUGACUGCUAUGAUGAGGUACUAUCAUAUCACCAUACUUGUUGUGAUAGCACAGGUGCAAACCUAGGUAAUAGGUAAUGAUACUUUCAACUUGAGCAAAUUAACAGAAGAAAGAUUUAUGUAGGUUAUGGUAAUAGAACUUUGCGGUUUUUGCAAAAUGGUUGUCAGCUACCCCACUAUAUAGCCUUCAGGAUCCUUAAAGAGUCUUUAUUUCAGUUUGUGACGGGUAAAUCUAGCUGAGUACCUUCUCGUACUCAGGGUUCUAUUCCCAUGUUGUUUUGCAGAUGGUCAAAUGUACUAUGGUUAUUGCAUCCUCUGUCUGUACCCAGCCAUGGGUGAUGAUUAGACCAAGGGCGAUGGUCACUCCGUCUCUUCUUUUGCUUUUGUGGGAAUGACCAAACUAUGGCACUGUAUCAGACUAAGUGCGUGUGUUGUAUUUUCGAACUAUGAAGCUUCCGCUACUUGAAGAACUUGGUUUGUAAUAACUUAAGCACUCCGAUGUAUUUUAUGAAUGUUGUAAUCUGGAUGUACUUGUGGAUGGCGACCGCUAAACUUAUUACGAUCUUGGCUGUUGUACGAUGUGUGGUUUGAAAUCCUUCAAGAUUUCACGGACUACCGGGAUUAUAUGGGCUUAAGCGUGAUGGUUUGACUAUGCAAAUGGUCACUGUCAGGCUUAAUCUCUUAUAAUUUGGUCGGUUCUGUUACAGCUGGCAUCGGAGCAAGGUUUAGCGAGUUACUGUUCAUAAGUACGUUCUAAACAAAGUCUAAACCGGUCUAAUGAAGGAUUUUAGUAAUUAAUAAAGAUCAAGGUGUUAAACUAAGUUUUGGAAAACUAUCUAGUGUGCCAUGGUCAUAUCCUUUAUGCCCAAUUAAGGACUCUAAGGUGGCUAGUUAAGUACUAACGUGGGGGUGAAUGCAUCAUAUUUUAUUUUGUCGCUCAUACGACGUGCAAUAGUAUGAGUGCCAUUCAUUUGAGUGGUAAUGUAUGGAUCAAUUUUUCCUCUACGCCACGGUAAGUGGGAGCUGUGAGAGCAUGAUCGGAUACACUGCCGGUCUAGGGGAGUGUUGCUAGGUGCUGUGCCAUGCACACCUGUUUGGUGUGUCUUGGGAACGGUACCGCAUGUUGGGAAUUCCGUCCUGAGAGGCGAUGCCGUCAUUAGGGCGAUGAUGUGGGUAGCAACACAUCACAUGCAUGGACGGGUGUCUGUGUAUGUGAAGUGCAUAGUUUUAAAAAUUCUUGUUCUACAUGAUCAUAUUGUGGGUGGGAUGAAAUGAGUUUUCUGCAGGUACCCUAACCACGUUCUCGCUUAGAAUGCUAGUUACGUUAUGAGCGAACGUUGUAUGCCAUCGCAUAUACCGCUUAGUGUUGACCUUGUUUCUAAGUUUGUGAGGUCGUAAGUUCGUGCAUGCAUCAUGUUCAUGUCAUAUCAUUGCUUACUUUCUCCCUUAAUUUAAUCUGUCCCAAUUCUAAAUAAAAUAAUUAAAGGUAAUCCUCGCUCUUACCCACGGUAUUCCAUUUGCAGCAGAUGGCACGCACUAGGCUCACCGCUCGCAAGUCCACUGGUGGGCGGGCCCCUCGCCAUCUGUUGGCAGCUAGGAGCUCGCGACAUAAGAGCAAGUUCCUGGAGGAGUUUGGGAUGCCCACUUUGCUUUGGAGGGUGCUCAGUUCGAUGGGGUAUCCCGAAGGAAGGGAGCCUCGCUACUAUUGGGAUAAGGAGCCGCUUGGUGACGAGACCCUGGUGGGGAUCGAGGCAGUUGUCCCUACCAGUGGAGGAGACCCUGCCUGGGGCGGCUGGGUGUACGAGUCCCGAGGUGUCACGCCUUUCCACGGUGCCAGCAGGGCAGCUUUCGCAGUUCUGAGGGACCUCAUGGAGAGGUUUCCACAGGAGCUGGCCCACGCCUUCGCUGGGGUGUUUCCCCGGGGUGGCCCCUACACUUCGGUCUGGGAUCAGUCCGAGGUGAAUGCUCUAGAGAGGAGUGCGGAUGAGGACCAGCACAGUGAUAGUGCAGCUAUGAGUGCUAUGUACGCGCUGAUGAAGACUUAUGGAGGCCUGGAGCGUUGUUUGGGUCGUUUGUCCGGGACUCUUCUCACCGUUCAGGAUGAGAAGCGUCAGUUGCAGCGUGAGUUUGACUCUGAGGUUGAGAGGCUGCAGGCAGAGUUGGCCCGUGUGGCCAGAGAGAGAGACCAGGCAGUCCAGAAGAAUAGUGAGCUGAGUCAGGACCUGACUGCAGUGCGUGAGCAGAAGGAUAGGGUGACUACUGCUCAUAGGAACUGCGAGCACAUGCUAGUCCAUGUCCUUGGACAGAGGAAUGAAGCCUGGCACGAGGAGGACACUUUGAGGGCCCGAUAGCUGGAGCUAGAGCAGCAGCUAGCUAAUGCUGAGGAGUACAAUGAGAACUUGCAUGAGGAGAUCCACCAGCUGCAUAACCAGCUCCACCUUCACCACCUGCCUAGAGCAGCUGAGCUAGAUUCCGAGGAUGAGAUGGACGCGGAUCCCGAGAUAGGAGCAGCUGCUAGUGGAGAUGAGGAUGAGGAUGGCUCCGGCAUGGACAGUGAUCAUAGCGACUAGAUGCUAGGGCUCUAGAGCUAGUCCUUCUUCGUUUGUGUUGUAUGUUGCAUGGCAUGUCGUGUACUUUUGGAUCUGGGCUAUGUAAGACUUUAUGAGUUAAUGUUGAAAGUCCAGUGUAUGUAUGCUGGCAAGUUGGAUGUACGUGAACCUUGUUGCGUGAAUGUUGAGUAAUCUGUUAGUGAUGUUGUGCGUAGAUGAUGAAUUGUUGUGCCUCUGUUUAUUGUGCGAAUUUAUUCCCUCAGUAAAUUCAGUACGACAUGAUUAUACACAUUUCUACCGAUUGAUGGCAACUCCUAACGAUUGAUUAUCAUUGGCGUAUGCAGAUGGUGCAAACACGUGGCGGGGGUAACAGCAAUCCGGGUCUUGGAGCAGGUACAUCCGGAGGUGGGGCUCAACGGAAUGAGGACAGAGCACCAACACCGCCACCACCACCGCCUCCUCCGUACACUGCGGACGUGUUUUUCACGCAGUUUCUGGGGAGCCAACGCAACAUGGAACAGAUGCAGCGCAACAUGGAAGAGGCUCUGCGCAACAUAGCUGACAACACCCGUCGUGGGGAUAACCAGGGCGCCCGUGAAGUCAACCAGUACAGUUCGUUCAAGGACUUCAUGGAUACCAAGCCACCAAUCUUUAAGGAGGCUUUGGAACCACUCAAAGCAGAUGAGUGGAUCAACACCAUGGAGCAGAAGUUUCGUCUUCUUCGGAUGACCGAAGAGCUUAAGGCUGAGUAUGCGGCACAUCAGUUGCAAGGACCCGCUGGGAUUUGGUGGUCCCAUCACCGUACCACCUACCCAGAGGGGACCCCAAUCACCUGGAGCCGCUUCACCAUAGCUUUCCAGGGAAAUUACAUUCCUCCUGGUGUGGUUGAAAUGAAGGUUGGGGAGUUCAUGAGGCUGUCCCAGGGGACGAAAUCUGUGAAGGAGUAUUUACACGCUUUCAAUAAUCUCGCUCGUUAUGCCCCCGAGUUUGUUAACAUGGAGGCCAAGAAGAUUGCUAGUUUCCAGAGAGGCUUGAAUCCAAAGAUGCUGAAGACCAUGGGUACAGGGGCCAGGGCUACCUUCAAUGCUUACAUCAGUGACUGUCUCACCCAGGAGAGCAACAACAACAACUACAGUGCAUCCAAGUCACGUAAAAGGGCUUUUGAAGCAGGAUCAUCCUAGUCCAGGGCACCAGUGACAGGGCGACAGCAGUAUCGUCCUCCUGCCCUAGGUGCUAGGUUCCGACCGCCGCAGAGAAGGAACACCGGGCAUCCAACGCAGCAGAAACCGUACAAAGUGGCGAUAGCCUCUGCCAAGCCAAAGGCAUUUCAAGCCGCAGCACCUGCCGUCAACAAUGCGCCCAAGGGUCUGUGCUAUAACUGCCACAAGAUGGGGCACUUUGCUAAGGAAUGUCCCUACCCCAAGAGGCAGCAGCCAACCUAUCCAGCUCGUGUGCACCAUACCUCGAUCGAGGAAAUCCCGGAAGGAGAACCGGUAACAGCUGGUAUGUUUUCUGUCAACCAACAUCUUGCAGUUGUUUUGUUUGAUUCUGGAUCAUCGCAUUCAUUCAUGAUCCAAGCAUUUGCACAAAAGCAUAGUCAACCAGUUACAGAUCUGGGUUAUGGCUACCACAUCAGCUCAGCAGGGGCAGAUGUGUUGACCAAUAGAGUGGUCCGAGGGGCAACCCUGGACAUAAGUGGCCGAGUUCUUCGGGUGAAUCUAGUGGUCAUGCCUGGGUUAGUUCUGGAUAUUAUCAUGGGCAUGAACUGGAUGAGAGAAUGGGAUGCUGUCAGAGAUACUGGAAAGAGGAUGUUAUCUCUCAGAGAACCAUAGGGCAGUAACUCUUUUCAAGUACCUCUGCCCCGUCGUCUUGACUUUGCUAGCAUCUCCUGUGUUACGCACGUGGUUCCUUUACCACAGAUCCCAGUAGUCUGUGAGUUCCCUGAUGUUUUUCCCGAGGAAUUGCCAGGACUUCCCCCAGAUAGGGAGGUAGAGUUUGCAAUUGAGUUGAUACCAGGUACAGCACCAAUAUCUAGAAGGCCGUACCGGAUGCCACCAAACGAACUCGCAGAGUUGAAGAAGCAACUGAAGGAGUUACUAGAUAAAGGGUUCAUCCGGCCAAGUUCGUCGGAAUGGGGUUGUCCAGCGUUGUUUGUGAAAAAGAAGGAUCAAUCGUUGCGCAUGUGCGUGGACUAUCGUCCACUCAAUGCCGUGACAAUCAAGAAUAAGUAUCCCUUGCCAAGGAUUGAUAUCCUGUUUGAUCAGUUAUCCAAGGCAAGAGUGUUUUCUAAGAUAGAUUUGAGGUCUGGAUAUCACCAAAUCAAAAUUCGUCUGCAAGAUAUCCCGAAGACUGCUUUUUCCACCAGAUAUGGGUUGUAUGAGUAUCUUGUCAUGUCCUUUGGGUUGACAAAUGCUCCUACAUACUUUAUGUAUCUGAUGAAUUCAGUCUUUAUGCCAGAAUUGGAUAAGUUUGUUGUGGUGUUUAUCGAUGAUAUCAUGGUGUAUUCAGAAAAUGAGCAGGAUCACGCCGAACAUCUGAGAAUCGUGCUGACACGAUUACGAAAGCAUCAGUUAUAUGCCAAGUUCAGGAAAUGUGAGUUCUGUUUGAAGAAAGUUCCUUUCCUAGGGCACAUUUUGUCUGAAGAAGGGAUUGCUGUGGAUCCAUCGAAAGUGCUGGAAGUCAUGGACUGGAAGGCACCAACGUCUAUCUCAGAAGUUAGAAGUUUUCUUGGUCUGGCCGGGUAUUAUCGUCGUUUCAUACCUGACUUCUCCAAGAUUGCUAAGCCAAUGACAAGUUUGCUACAAAAGGAUCAUAAGUUCGUCUGGACGGAAGGGUGUGAGUUAGCCUUCCGCACCUUGCGAAAGUUGCUAACCACUGCUCCCGUUCUGGCACAACCUAAUAUAGAAAAGCCUUUUGAUGUGUUUUGUGACGCAUCGAAGAGUGGCUUGGGGUGUGUGUUGAUGCAAGAUGGCAGGGUGAUAGCUUAUGCUUCCCGACAGUUGAGAAAGCACGAAAUCAACUACCCAACGCACGACCUCGAGUUAGCAGCAGUGGUACAUGCUUUGAAGAUUUGGAGACAUUAUCUGCUGGGAAAUAAGUGUCACAUUUACACUGAUCAUAAGAGUUUGAAGUAUAUCUUCACUCAGUUCGAGCUAAAUAUGAGGCAACGACGGUGGUUAGAGUUAAUCAAGGACUACGAUCUGGAAGUUCACUAUCAUCCGGGCAAGGCUAAUGUGGUAGCAGAUGCGUUGAGUCGUAAACCGCACUAUCAUGUGGUUCAACCGUUGUUUGAAGAUGGGUUCAAUCUUAUGCAUCCUGAAGUCUUAUGUCACAUACAACUCAGUUGUUCACUCGAGAGUCAAGUCAUUGAAGGACAGAAAACAGACAAGGGUAUUUUCCACAUCAAAGAGAAGAUCAAAGAUGACCCAAAAACUCAAUUUCGAGUUGAUGAGAAAGGGGUACUGUGGUUUCAACAUCGGUUAGUAGUUCCGGAAGAUCGGGAAUUGAAGAAUCACAUCAUGGAUGAAGCCCAUCUUUCUAAGCUUUCUAUUCAUCCUGGCAGUAGUAAAAUGUACCAAGACUUGAGACCCCACUUUUGGUGGACCAAGAUGAAGAAAGAAAUAGCCGCCUAUGUGGCCCGUUGUGACACGUGUUGCAGAGUUAAGGCCAUCCAUAUGAAACCUGCAGGUCUGUUACAACCGUUAUCAGUUCCGGAGUGGAAAUGGGAAGAGGUCAGUAUGGACUUUAUCACGGGUUUACCGACGACCAGGAAGGGGAAUGACUCGAUUUGGGUAAUCAUAGAUCGAUUAACCAAAUCGGCCCAUUUCAUCCCUGUGAAGACUCGUUACCGACCUCCUGAGUAUGCCGAUAUAUAUAUGGCUGAGAUUGUCAAGUUGCAUGGUAUUCCCAAGACAAUCAUAUCGGAUCGGGGACCGCAGUACACCGCCCACUUCUGGGAGCGCAUGCAUAAGAGCUUGGGGACCAGUCUGAUAAGAAGCACGGCGUAUCAUCCCCAGACUUCAGGUCAAACCGAGAGGCUAAAUCAAGUGUUAGAAGAUAUGCUGAGGGCCUGUGUGCUAUCAUCCAAGGGAUCGUGGGAAUCAUGGUUACCUUUGGCUCAAUUCUCCUACAAUAACAGUUAUCAAGAGAGCAUCAAGAUGGCCCCGUUCGAAGCUUUGUAUGGUCGGAGAUGUAGAACUCCGUUAAACUGGGUUGAACCUGGUGAAAGAAGAUACUAUGGUAUCGACUUUGUGAAUGAAGCAGAGAAAAAGGUGCAGAUCAUACAGCAACAUAUGCAAGCGGCACAGUCACGACAAAAGAGUUAUGCUGAUAAGAGAAGAAGGCCACUUGAAUUCAAUAUAGGUGACUGUGUAUCUUAAGGUUACACCAAUGAAGAAAGUCCAACGUUUCCGAGUUCGAAGCAAGCUUGCACCCAGAUAUGUGGGACCGUACCAAGUACUAGAAAGGAAAGGCCCGGUGGCCUACAAGAUUUAGUUACCUGAAGAAUUGAGCUCGAUCUUUCCGGUCUUCCAUGUGUCGCAACUGCGGAAAUGUCUGAAGGUACCUGAACAAAGAAUUGAACCUCGAGGAAUCAAGAUAAAAGCAGACCUAGAGUAUAAAGAGCAACCAGUGGGAAUUGUGGAUACUAAGGAACGAGUAACCCGAAGCAAAGUUGUCAAAACUUAUAAAGUGGUGUGGAGUCAUCAUGACGAUAGGGAUGCCACCUGGGAAACAGAGGAUUACUUGAAAACAGUUUAUCCAAAAUUUCAUAAGAAAUGGUUAGUAACCCAAAAUCUCGGGACGAGAUUUCCCUAAGGGGGGAAGGGCUGUAACACCCUAGGUGUUAAGCAUGCACUUAGUCUUAUCAAAGUCAUGCAUAAGCAUUCCCAUCAAGCAUAAGCAUCAUGAGCAUGUCACUCUUUUCAAAAUAUGAUUUUAUGUGCUUCAUUUCAUGAGUUAUAAAUAUGCUAAAAAUAUGAUACUUGCUCCUAAAAUGGUGAAAUAUUCAAACUAGGUUGAUUUAUGUGUAAGAAGAAUUUAGAAUAUUUUUGUGCAAUUUUUGGAGCCAUGGAAAUUGAGAAAUGGAAUUUAUACAAAAUAUCCAAAAUGAAUUUAUUUAAAAACAUAGAACUAAGUUUUAAUUUGUAAUUCAAAUUCUAUUUAGUAUUUGGUCUUGCUUAUUAAAGCAAAGUUGUAGAGUUUUUAGUUUGGAACAACUUUGCCUUUGGGAUAAAGUGGUGAAAAUGAUUUGAAAAUGGCCAAAAUGAAUUUAGAAGAGAAAUUGAGAAAAAAAAUUCAAAAAAAAAUAGAAAAGGGAAAAGGGGGCGCUAGCAGGCCGCGGCCUCACUUCUGGCCCGCUGGCCGAAGCCGGCCCGGCCCGCCCGCGCCUUCCCCUUCCCCUUCCCCGCGCUCGCGCCCGCGUCCGCGUGCGAACGGCCUCGCCGUGCCGCCGUGGCGCGCCGGCAGAGCCUGGCCGCCGCGUGGCGGGCAUGCGGCGGCGUGGAAACGCCCUGGUCGGCCAACCAGGAGCCCCCGCUCGCGUCCGCCGGAACUUCACGGCCGAUGUUUAUAGUUCAUGACAGCUGACGCUGCCGUCUGGUCGUGUUCUUUGGGGCCUUUUCUUNNNNNNNNNNNNNNNNNNNNNNNNNNNNNNNNNNNNNNNNNNNNNNNNNNNNNNNNNNNNNNNNNNNNNNNNNNNNNNNNNNNNNNNNNNNNNNNNNNNNNNNNNNNNNNNNNNNNNNNNNNNNNNNNNNNNNNNNNNNNNNNNNNNNNNNNNNNNNNNNNNNNNNNNNNNNNNNNNNNNNNNNNNNNNNNNNNNNNNNNNNNNNNNNNNNNNNNNNNNNNNNNNNNNNNNNNNNNNNNNNNNNNNNNNNNNNNNNNNNNNNNNNNNNNNNNNNNNNNNNNNNNNNNNNNNNNNNNNNNNNNNNNNNNNNNNNNNNNNNNNNNNNNNNNNNNNNNNNNNNNNNNNNNNNNNNNNNNNNNNNNNNNNNNNNNNNNNNNNNNNNNNNNNNNNNNNNNNNNNNNNNNNNNNNNNNNNNNNNNNNNNNNNNNNNNNNNNNNNNNNNNNNNNNNNNNNNNNNNNNNNNNNNNNNNNNNNNNNNNNNNNNNNNNNNNNNNNNNNNNNNNNNNNNNNNNNNNNNNNNNNNNNNNNNNNNNNNNNNNNNNNNNNNNNNNNNNNNNNNNNNNNNNNAGAAAAAAAAAAAACAACCGAGAGGCCGCCGAGACUGAGCGGCACCAUGCAUUAAUCUGGAAAAUUUGUGGGUAUUCUUAUGAUAUUAGACAAAUGGUAAAAAUAUGAAAUCUAUUGUUUGACAUUUAUAUCACAAUGAAGUAAUUAUACUUACUUUAUUAAUUAAUCUUGUGAUUUUUGAGGCUCAAAAUAAGUAACCAAAAAUUAUGAAAAAUUUACAGUAGACUUUAUGCUUAGCUGGUAGUCUCCUGUAAUUUUUGUGGAAUUUAUUGUUGAACAGAAUUGCAUGUGAUUUUUAAUGGGCCUAGAAAUGAAUAAAGAAAAUUAUGAAUGGUUGUGUAUAUAGGUUGAGUGGAAUAAGUUGGGUUUGGUGUAUCUUUGAAGCAUCAGGUGGGUUGCUGGUUGCAUUUGAAAAAUAAUUGUAGAAGAGAAUGCAAUAGAUGUUUGAUUCAAUUGUUUAUUCUUGGAUGAUGUUGACUACCUUGUAAUAAGCAUGACCAAGUACAUCACCUAUGCAUCAUGUCAUAACUCCUUUAGUACUUUCUCAUACAAACAUCCACUCGGGCAUCUCGCACUCCACUCACGAGCACACAUGCAUCAUACAGGCUCGCAGGAGAAUGAGGUGGGACCCGAGGAGCCAGAGGAGAUUCAGGAGCAGGAACCUCCGGAAGCACAGGAACCCGGAGAGGAACUGCAGGAGUGUCCAGAUCACCGACCCAGCACGUUUGAGAAAGGCAAGCCCCGGAGCAUUCUAAGUCUCCCUAUUCUCGCUAACUUAUGUGAUGCACUAUACUUGUUCUACUAUAUUGCAUUUAAGUGGUAGGAGUUGCCUGAUACCGUUGCUGCAUGUAUACUCCUUGUUAUCCCUACUCGUUUAUCUACCUUGUCCUAUGUAGAUAGGCGCGGAGUCUAUGCUUAGCUUGCUUAGCCCGGUAGAAGUCGGGUGAUUCCCUAUCACCUGCGAGAUAUAGGUGGAUACCUGCUUGAUUAAGCAGUGGUGCUUGGGGAAAGGAAUAACCAAGUGUGGAAUGUAAUUGGAGACCGGGCAGGGUCUUAUGGUGGGCUGACCAUAGUGCCCCUGCCUGUGUCGAUUAAGGACCGAUCGUUGACGGCCCUCUUGUCAUGUUGAACGCAUGCCUCACACUUAGCUCGAAGGAUAAGUUGUUCCGACCGCGAAGCCUGAACACUAUCUGGGCCGAGAAUCGAGCCGCCAUGCGCUGUAUUGGUGAUGUUGAGGAGAACGACGAGGGCGCGGCGUGCAACCUUGGUAUACCUUGGAUACCUCGGUCGCCGGAACGGUCCUCGGGUACUGGCGGUGCCUGCCGAACCCGCAAAUUGGUCCUGGAUAGUGUAAUACGGUGAUCUGUAGCUCACUUGAUCAGUGAGUGUGGUUUGUGUGGGGAAUACCUCGCCAGCUGGUUAGAAAUCGAUUCGAAUCGCCAUCGCUCCAGGACAGUGAGCACUUGACAUGAGCCCUGUCCUCGUAGUAAGGACUAUGGAACACUUGGGUUAUAAUGAAAGGGAUUUAUGACUGCUAUGAUGAGGUACUAUCAUAUCACCAUACUUGUUGUGAUAGCACAGGUGCAAACCUAGGUAAUAGGUAAUGAUACUUUCAACUUGAGCAAAUUAACAGAAGAAAGAUUUAUGUAGGUUAUGGUAAUAGAACUUUGCGGUUUUUGCAAAAUGGUUGUCAGCUACCCCACUAUAUAGCCUUCAUGAUCCUUAAAGAGUCUUUAUUUCAGUUUGUGACGGGUAAGUCUAGCUGAGUACCUUCUCGUACUCAGGGUUCCAUUCCCAUGUUGUUUUGCAGAUGGUCAAAUGUACUAUGGUUAUUGCAUCCUCUGUCUGUACCCAGCCAUGGGUGAUGAUUAGACCAAGGGCGAUGGUCACUCUGUCGCUUCAUUUGCUUUUGUGGGAAUGACCAAACUAUGGCACUGUAUCAGACUAAGUGCGUGUGUUGUAUUUUCGAACUAUGAAGCUUCCGCUACUUGAAGAACUUGGUUUGUAAUAACUUAAGCACUCCGAUGUAUUUUAUGAAUGUUGUAAUCUGGAUGUACUUGUGGAUGGCGACCGCUAAACUUAUUACGAUCUUGGCUGUUGUACGAUGUGUGGUUUGAAAUCCUUCGAGAUUUCACGGACUACCGGGAUUAUAUGGGCUUAAGCAUGAUGGUUUGACUAUGCAAAUGGUCAUUGUCAGGCUUAAUCUCUUAUAAUUUGGUCGGUUCUGUUACACGUUUCACGUGAUCUCUCUAUGUAAAUCUAACAUGUGGACCUCCUUUUAUUCUUAUUCCGAUAGACAAACACCAAAACUUAUGGAAUUCUAUUAGUGAUAAGCCCUAUAGCUAGAUAGUAUUCUCAUUUUAAUCCUUUCUCAUGCUAUGGUGACAGUUAAAAAGAGUACUUCUCUACCGUCAACAUCCCUGCAAAACAUAGUUAACUGAUUCCGACAUCUAAACUUGUAGGGCAAAAACUCUAUUUUCUCGACCUUUUUUGCAGUUCUAAAAUCUCCGAACAUAGCACAUGGAGAAUCGAAUGUAAAUUUUUUUCUUUAUGAUUUUUGUUUAGAGAUCGUCUCAAUCCAUGUUAUAGAUCAAAAGUUAUGGUUCUUUUAGCGAACAACACUUUUCCCGGCAAUCCGUCGCCCAAUAGUAGAUCCCAUCUACUACCGCCGCACAUCAUAUGCGCCCGACACUUGACCUAGGGUUCAAUUGGAUCAAUCUGAUUGAUCUCUAUCCGACCAUGACUAGAUUUACAUGUAUCACUUAACUCGGAUGGUGGAAUUUCGACCGGUACGAGUUGAUCGUUACAAUACCAGCAUAGCAACCAUAAACCAAGAUCAGAGACUCAUCUAAAACUGCACAUAUGUCUAUUUCGUAUCCAAUCAAAUCUAUAACAAUGCAGUAACAAUUUUGAUACCACUGAUGGAUUAUGAGGACACUACGCUAGCUAGAAAAUAAAAAUUUUGACCUCAUAAAAUAGGAUCAACUGCUAUUUAUAGAUCACGGGAUUACCACUAGGCGCACAUGUGCAGUGGAAGUGACUCUAUGUAGUCAUGCACAUAGUAGCAAUGUCGUGCAGUUGUGUGGUCAUCCACCACGUCAAUCCCUCUCGCGUGGUUCAUCCUUGUGCUCUAGAUGCAGCACCUCCGAGGUAUCCCACACGUGCGGGGAAGAAGCGUUACGCCUUCAGACUGCUAGGUCCACGAGGAGUAAUAGGCACGAGCGUGGGUGAGCGGUGGUGGCUGCCUAAUGGCACGAGAUAACCAUGGCCAUGCCCCCUCCUUGUCUUAUAUAGGCAUCCUCUAAUCAGCGCCGAGUUGGAGGCCUAAUUAGAAAACCGUAAGCCUUGUCUAAUUCGGGUCCAACCCGAAUUAGGCUUCCAGCCCCUUAAGUGUCCAACCUAUAACACCCUAGUGCUAUGGUUGCAUUCUAUCUCUUGCAUGACAUGAGCAUAAUCAUCAUCAUUUCAUUUCAUGAGCAUCAUGUCAUGUGGAGCAUAUCAUUUCAUGUGCUAUGUAUGCUUUUCUAUCUAAUUUAUGCUUGCUAUGCUUAUGAUCUUGUGUACUUUGUGCUAGGGUGUGUUUACAACCUUGGUAAAUAGUUUAUCUAUGCUUAACAUGCCCUAGGGAUCAAUGUUCAUGUUGGUCACUUGCUCUAAUUAUGCUUCUAAGUCAUAGUUUGUCAUAAGGUGACCUCUUGACCACUUUUGCUUAGGCUUUUAAAAAAUGCUUCACAAAAUGUUUGCAUGUCAAAAUUCUCUAAACCAACGUUGUAGCAAAUUUUGUAAGGAACUAAAAUUGUUUUAGGGACAUCUCAUGAAAAAAUGAUCACAAUAUGCUCAAAAAGGGCGCACAAUUCGAUUUGGAUGCUGUUUGGACAAAUUUUCUAAGUCUUCUACUCGACACAGUUUGCUCGAAUGAACUUUGGUGCUUUGCAUCUUUUCAUCUAGGUUGAUUUGGCUCUUGCUCCAAUUGACAAAGUUAUAGAUCCCAUUUGGUUCCUCAAGUUUGUCAACUGCACCAUCUCCUAAUUCGCAAUGAUUUGGGAGUUAAUCAUCGUUGAAAUAGCUAUGUCAGUCGGUGUUCGAAGCCCUGAUGGCAUUCUUUACGCACGCGUGCUGGCCUACCACAGCAGACUCGGGCUGCCAUCUGGCGACCGUACACUAUCAUUGGCCCCACCGGUCAGGUCGUCCGUGCCUUCAUGGCUACCACGCCACCCCACACUCGCCCAGCACCUCUCCCAGUCGCUCUGCUCUCUCUCUCUCUCUCUCGCUCGCGCUCUCUGACGGUAGCGACACCAUCGCCAUUGACGCCGAGCGUCUCACGAGCUCCACGCGCCCUCAUCUUCACGCCGUGCCUCCUCUCCGAGCGUUAGCGAGUCCACCACGAGCUCCUUCUUCUUCUCCAUCUCUCGGUUGCUCAAGAUCGACCCAAGGUAAGCUACAUUUCUUGAGUUCGCCGUCGUCAAAUUCACGGCAAACCUCGGCGCUCCCCUAUCCUUACCCUCUUCCUUCUUUCCAAGUCGCAUUAGGGCUUACUUAGGUCCGCGUCUUACCCUGCGUCACAUCCUAUAGCUAAUGGUGACGCCACCGAGCGGAAACACGACCACCGUGCCACCGCGCUCACCGCCGGCGACCACCCCGCACGUCGGUAGGUUCACCGGAGCCCGUAGAGUUAGGCCUUUCCACCUAGGAAGCUCCGCGCUAACUCGCUAAUGUUGUAGCUGCCUCAGUCUGAUGCUCUACCGACUCGAGACGGUCGGCGUAAGCUGGGAUAGCCCCGCUGUGCCGCCAUGACCGAUGGUGACCUUGCUCUGUUACUCCAGCUCUCGCACCACCAGCCUCUAUCGACGCGGAAGGACUCAGUGAACACCCUGGUGCCCUUGGAUCCACCGGAAAAGCUCACCGUCGGCGAGCGUGUCGUCUGGCUUCUAUGUCACUGACACGCGGACCACGAUGUCAGCGACCCCGUUUCCCUCCUUCCCAUUUAUUCAAUUUUAUAGAUUUUGCUCAAUCUUGCAAAAUUCAUAUCUCGUAUUUCUGAGCUCCAAAAUGUGUGAAACCAAUUUUGUGAUCUUCUCUGAGACGGAUAGUUUUUAUUAAAAUUAUAAAAUGUGCCAUGUUUUCUGUGAAAAAUAAUUAUUAUAAAUUAAUCUUGAUUAGUCAAAGUAAAUUCAUAUAUUUCUGUGUAAGGCUCCAAAUGUGAUGAAAAUUUUAUGGCAGGCUUUGUAUGUUAGUAGUAUGCUCUGGUAAUUAUUUAAUAAUUUUUGGAUGUUGUAUGACUGGUAUGUAAUUUAUACUUGCUUGAUUGCUUAAAUCCUUGUAUAAAUCACUAUAAAUAAUGCAUGCUUUUGCUGGUGUUCUACUUUGGCAUGGUUGGUGUUCAUGAUAGUAGAAUCAUAAAGAUAAUCUAAAAUCUGUUGUUUGACACUGUUUAACCUAAGUUUCCUAAUUUAUGGUUAAAAGCACCUUGUCAAAUGAUAAUUAUAUAUCUAAAGUUGGGCAUGUGCAAUUGCCCUGAAACUUUUAUGGUGAUGAGUAGGUGCCAUGCAUAUGCUUCUGUAAUUGUUGUUGAGUUUUCUGAGUACGUAUGCAUAUGUUCCUUAAUUAUGCUCUUUUGUGGAAAUAUAUUAAUAAAUGCUAUAUAAAUAAUGGUUUGGUAAGUAACAUAUGGUUUUCUGUUAAUCUUGUAUCAUAUGUGUUCUGGUGAGUCACUUGGUUGACUCUAAAUAUACUUUUCCAUGUUAGUAAAUAAUUAAUUUAAGGUUAAUUAACCUUUCUGGACAUCAAAGGAGUAAUCUGGUAAUUGCUUGAUGCUAAGCAUGUUUUCUGGGGAACUUGUCUAUACAAAAUUUGUUGUAAACUUUAUGCUCUAUCUGUGGUUAAAUUUUGGUGGCAUUUGGCCUAGUGGUUUAAAAGUUAUAGCUGUUCUAAGUCAGGUUCCAGAAGAAGGUGUUCUCUGUUUGUCUCGAACAGAACCUUGAACUUUUUUAUUUGACCUGUUUAACUUGUGAAUCAUGCUUAUGUGUCUAAAGAUGAAAUGUAGAUAAUUUUAUAACCUUUGCAUAAUGUCUUAAUUCAUGUUUGUAGGAUCUGUACAUCUCUAGUUAUGGUCUGUUCUCUGUGCUGCCUUACUGAGUAUAAAGUGAUGUUGGUUGGUGUAGCUACUGUGUAUCUUUGUUAAGUCUUGUGGUGUUCUUAGGUAAACUUGUUGAGGAGUUUACUCUGUAAAUGAGUGUCUAGUGAGGGUCUAUGAUAGUAAUCAUGUGAUGCAUCCAUCAUUCCCUUGUAUGUACACAUCCUUUACUCAGUGCACGUACAUGCAAUAGGUGCAUCGAAAGUCGGAGCUCAGUACGAGAUCGAGAGGGUGAACCCGGAAGACCAGGAGAACACAAAGGAGCCGGAGGCCCAGCCAGUAGGACCCAAGGAACACGAAGAAGAAGUCAAGUGUCCGAGUCACGAGCCCACGUCGUUCGUGAUAGGCAAGCCCCGGAGCAUUAUAAGUCUCCUAUUUAUUUUACCAAGCAUGAGUAAAUAUGUUAAUAUCUAUUGUUGCAUUACGUAUAGAAGUUGUAUGAAACCCUUGCUGCAUUAUAUCUUUCCUUGUCUAGAUAUCUUACCUUACCCUGGUAUAGAGUCAGGAUCGAGUAGUAGCUUAGGCAUGCUUAAACCGGUAGAAGUCGGGUGAUGUCCUGACACCUACGAGCUAUAGGGUCUCAUAAUAGAUCACGAUUGAAUAUAUUUGCUAUCGUGGAAAAGAACCUGGCUAAAAUGACUUAAGCCAGGCGGAGUUUUGCAAGGUGGUAGUAACUCCAUCUAUGGCAGCUAAGGACCGAUCGUUGUACGUCCUCUUGUCAUGUUGAACGCAUGCCUAACACUUAGUUGGCCGGAUAACUCGUUCUGACCAUGAAGCCUAGUAGUAUGACUCAGGCUGAGGCCGGAAGACCGCCAAGUAUAAAGUGCGCACUACUGGAGGAAGUGUGGUGUGCGGGGGGCCAUUGGCGUAAGACCAAGGGUAUGUGAUUUAAAAGUCCUAAUUGUCCUGGCAGAGUGGCAGCCCUGGGAGUGCGGCGUUGAUCGCAGCCGCAAUUCCUGAGUCGUACCAAAGGUGACCCGCUUGCUCUCCAACGGGGAAUGCAUGGGUGAGUGCUAGAAAUAACCCUCCAACUUGACAGAGCAGCGGCAAACGUAGCAUUCACUACGUACUCAAUGGUUCUAAGAUGAUGAUAAUGAUGGCAAUAAUGAACAAUUUGAUAAAACCAGAUAUGGUUAUUAUUGUGUGAUGUUAAUCAAGUGAGUGCUUUAGUAUAGGUCCUAAUCUAGUGGCAGGUUAAUGAUAAUUAACUUGAGGCUAAUAAGAAUGGUUUAUUUAUCCAACUUAAGCUCUUUAUGCAAAAACAUGUCAAGCCAGCUCCACUAUUUAAAGUUAGCCUUGCAUGACCCUUGGUGUCCUUGUUUUGGUUAGACGAGUAAGUCUACUUAUUCCUACUUAUUGCAGAUGACAUCUUCUAUGACAGUUUCUACAAGACCUGUCUUCACCCUGCUAGGGAUGAUGACUAACCGUUGGGCGUGGUUCUCUAAGACUUCGUACCUAACUUGCUUUUGGUGGAUGUGAUGAGACACUGGCUGUAAUAAAGUUGGUUUGAAAACAAUGUUGCUUCCACUACUAGGAACUUGUUUUGUAAUAACUUAAGUGAACUCUGAUGUGUGUCGCUUCGUCGACCUUGUAUGAAAUGCUAUAACAAUCGAUCUAUUAUGCUGAACUCAUUACAAUCUUGUUCCCAAGUUGGUUGGAAAUCUGUAACACCCUAAAUUUUGCUUCUUUGAAAAUAGAGAUAAAAUAAUUUAUUUUGUAUUUCUGUGCUCAUGAAAAUAUAGUAAAAUGAAAUUUUCCUUAAAUUAAAAUUCAUCAUAGGGUUUAGCAACAUUGUUGUGCGUACAUGCUGGAACAUAUGUUUAAUGUGAUGUUUGUUUGUUGCUCCUUUGUGUGUUCAGAGUGAACAAAGUUUUUAAAAUACGUUUACUCUAUCUUUAUCUCCGAUCAAAUUCCUUGUUGCUCAGCUCAAGUUUUUAUUUGGAGCUUCCUAAAAUCUUUUCUUUGUCACCCAAAUCGCUUCUUUUGAUUUCUCAUCCAUCAAGCAGUCUCUACAAACUUUUAUGGAAUUUUUCAGCUUCUGUUCUCACUUUUCUGUAAGUAUAAUCUAAUUUUUAGAGGCUCCAAAAUAAUCUUAUCAUGGACUCUAAAUAUUUUAUUUGAGUUCCUCAUGUUCCAUAGUGUCUCAGAGCUUUCAGAAUAUUUUUCACAGUUUAAAUAAUAAUUCUAGACUUUUCUAGAAUUAUUUUAUCUAUAAAAUUAAAUAAUUCCGAAAAUAAUAAAUCCUUCAUUUUACCUCAACGCUCAGCCUAUGAUCUCAAAGGCCAAUAUAUUUAUUUACUAGUGGACUUAAAUAAAUAAUCAGGCCUAUUAGUAAAGAUCGAGAUUGCAACAUCAAUUAGUACCAUAUUGCUAAUUGAUGUGGAUGUGAAGAGUUUUUCUCCCUAUAUAUAUGUACCAACUCCUUGGGUUAAGUACACCAAAACUACCAUAUGGGGAGCUUCUAGUUUGGAAAAUCGCUCGUAUAGUAAAAUUAUAUUUUUCUUCUUUUGCUGUCGGGCAGCCAUCGUGGACGCUUCUAUGCCCUGCACAAGGCGGAGCUCCCUACCGUGACCAUAGUUCUAUCUACGGUAGCUACCUCUCCGGCCAUCGUCCGUUGGUGAGAAAUCCAGCAUACAGCUCCUUCGUCUCUCCUUUACAUGAUUUGCACAGCUCACUAGGUCAGGCAAUCCUACAGGUUUUGUUCCGUAGUUAAGCUAUAGGUUGGUCAACUUGCAAGCGUCUCGCUCUGGUAUUUUUUUUAUCUAAAGGACCAUGUAUAUCCACCAAAUCUGAGCACAUGACGUGAUUGAGUUUAAGAUCUGUACGUGCACCCUUGAAGUCGUGCUGCAAUAGCUUGUGUCUUCAAUCUGUUUCCAGAUGGCAAGCUAACUUGUAAGUGUCUUGAUGUUCGUAGUUUUUUUAUUGAGCUUGUACUGACGUAAUAUACAUCCUAGUAACUAUGUUUUCUAUUAUCAAGUAUCUCUAAAUUUUAUAUUUUAAAUAGUAAUAUGAUUAAUAUGCACGCAACUAGUUUUAUAAUUAACAACCACAUAAGCAUAAUACUCUGAUAUUUUAUACAUAUAUAUCUUAAUAUGUUUAAUCGCUAUCACCAUAUUUUAUACAUAUACAUCUUAGUUUAAACCCACAUCACAAGCGGUUUGCGUAGGUGUUUCGCUUGUCCUUUUAAUUGGCAAAGUUAGUGUUUAAUUUAUUCAAAUAUACAACAAUAUUUAUAUGUACAAUAUGACUAGAUUUAACUUAGCUUUUAAAUUAAAUUAAGAUUUAUCUGAUCUAAAUUAAAUGUCUCUAUGAUUUUGUUUAACUAAUAUAAAAUAAAUCAAACUUGUAGUUGUUUCUUUUAUAAUAAAAAUAUAAACCUUUCAGUAGUCGUUUCUUUUUAUCAUAGCCCUCGGUGUUUCUAGUGUUUUCGUCACCAUAGUAAUUAGUUAUCUUUUAAUACGUUAUUUUCUUUUGUGUGGUGUAUUGUUCUUAGUUUCUUUUAUUUAUUGCUUGUAUGUUUGUCUAUGUGUGGUGUUUGGUAUGAGUAGAGAACGAGAACAAUUUUAUCGACGUUGAAGAUUAAGAGGGCAUGACUAGAAGAUAAUUGGAGAUUCUAUAAAGGAGUUGCUGUGGAUAUUAAGCAAUUGGAUCAAUGCAAGUAUAGCAUUUGGUUUAAUGUUAAGUAAUAAAUGAUAAAAAUGACUUUUUAGCAACUUGAUGAUUUAUCUGUACGUGAUCACCCGGGACAACAGUGCAACCAUGAGGGCUAUAAUGGCUCUGGCUUUAGCUCAGUACGAAGACCUUUUUAGAGGUUACCCAAAAGGGCGCUAGAGGGGCUGAACCGUUUUGGGUAUAGUGUGGCCUCUGUCUGUAUGUGUAUAGGCUGCGCGUCAUUGUGCCAUCGGAAGGGGGGCUCUAUAUAUGCGCGCGAAGGAAACCUUGCGGCCCUAACUUGUUAGACAAACUUUUGAAAGGCUUCAUAGUGAUCCCUGCCGACCUUCCUUGGUAGUGGGUUAAGAGGUCGACGGGCCUCGGGCGAAAGGGUAAAUCAUGACUCAUGGGUAAAGAUGUACAACCUCUGCAGAAUGUUAAAAACUAGUAUACUAACCGAGCUCACGGUCAGGAGCGGCCUUGGGGUCAUCUACAUUAACGGUGAUGAAUCUUGUGUGUUAAAUAUGCUCAUUAUUUAUUAUUUAAUGCUUUAUAUUAUUUAUGCCACAUUGAUCAUGAGAUUGUGGGAUCUAUACAAUUUAGUUGCUAUACUUGUUGAGUUCGACAUGGGCUCACUCUUGCUAUUUCAACCAAACCUCAGGAGAAGUUUAGGCUUGUGAUCAACCAGUCAGUCUAUCCGCUGUUUGUUAUCAAAGGUUAUCUCUUCUAUACUAAGUACGUUAUAUAUUUAUGCAUUGUCUUUUGAUAUUACCCUUUAUUUGUAGCUAUAUGUGAGAUUUGACUUCUAAAACUCACAUAUGGUGCGUAUCUAAUUUUGUUCUUAAAAUGGGCAUUACAAAGUGGUAUCAGAGCAAUGCUGACUGUAUGACGCGUGCCUAGUUAGAAAUUGGUCGUCAUAAGGUUUUGAAAUUGCCAUAAAUCCUUGUUCUAUAACCCUUAAUACUUUUCUCUACACUAUGUCAUUUCCAUUGCUAUUUGUCUCUACCUUGUUGCUUAUUUUAAAAGUCCAUGUUCUCACCUUCACACCUUGAGUUGGAUGCUUUUAGAACCUUCCCUUAUCAUCUUCUUGCGUAUUUGAAAUAUAAGUUUUAGGAUCUUUACCCUUACUAUGAAGAGAACGAUAGUAUCACAAGUUGAGUGAAGUAUGAACCUUCAAUGCUUAAUUGGUUGUCAUUAUGCUUAUGCUUGAUUUGGAUCUUUGUAAUGAGUGCAAUGAUCUUGUGGGAUUCCUCCACAAUUUCAUUUAGUUCAUAGGCCCAAGGUAUAAGGAUUAAUGAAAUAAGUAGUUGGGUUUGGCUAUCUCUUGUUUCUAUCCCUUGCUGAUUUCUGGAGCAGUCUGCAAUAAUCAUGGUGUAUCUCAAGUUCUGAUCGUGCAAAGUUUGUCAACUUUUUCUGGGAACAACUAGACUUCAAGAUCUUUCUCUCAUCGCAGGAAUCACCCUCAUAGCUAUUAUGGUUUGGAAGUUACAAAAAUCACAAAUGAUAUAGAUGGGCUGUCAAGAAUCUGGAACAGUUUCGGUUGAUUACUGUUUUAGACAAAUAUAACUAUAGAAUUUGUAAUAGUGUUCUAUAUAGAAGUUGUAGACAAGUUUCUAAGCUUUUCAAAGGUGUAAGCUGGAAGUUAUUCGGAUAAGUAGAACCUGACAUAUGAUAUUUACACUUGGAUGUUUCUGUACUGUUUCAAAAAUUUGGACAGAUCUAGUAAUUUCCUAUUUUCAGCCAAGUUAAAGUCAUAAUCUGGGAAAACGUUGUAUAUAAAAGUUGUAGAGGCUUUCCUAAGCUUUUCAAAAAUAUAAGGAUCAUCUCCAGAGGAGUUAAGUAGAUCGAGAUAUAACUUCUGGAAUUUACUACACUUUUGCUGAGACAUUGUCAGGAUGGAUUUUAAGUUUGGCUAUUUUACCUAAGCUUAAAGACAGAACCUAAGGAGGUUUUCUACAUGAAAGUUGCUGGGAAUUUCAUAAGUUUUCUAACGGUAUAAUCUAAAACUCCAUUGGAUUAACAGAAUAAGAGUUAUACCUGUUUUACUACGCUGGUCUUUUCAUAUCAUUAGAAUAUUUCAGGAUACCUGUUUGCUCUCUUGCACAAGAGUUCUUUGGGAUGUCGGAAGUUCUCAAUGUUAGUUCACUUCUCUGGAAAACAUGCAAGCUACCUUCCUUGUAUUCCCUAGUUGACCCUUUUAAGGGGGGUAGCCUAGUGAAAGGAGUUACAAGGAGAAUGAUUGGUAAAAGCUAGAUCAUCUAUAAGUACAUCAAGUGCUUGGUAAAGUUGGUUUUUGGAUUCAAGAUAUCAUCCCAUUAAGAGAGUAUUAACGGAGAUAUAAGUCAUUACUGAUACUCAUAUCUUGGAAGUGGUGCUUAUGAGGAUCAGAUGACACUAAAGUCCAUAGAGUUAUAUGCGAGACGUGAGAGUGAAGCAACUCAAUUGUGAUAAAAGGUACCAAUAGAUGGAACUUAGUGUUCAAACCAACCUUGGAUUAAGAGACUUGGUACAAGGAAUUUAAAAGACUAUGAUGUGUAGCAUCCAAAAAGGAUAGGAGAACCAGUCCUUGUCCACCAAUCAAUCUUGUCUUAAGGGGGGUAGUACCUUAAUAUCACUGGGUGAUGCAUUUUUUAAAACUAUCAUGAAGUGAUAACUGUCUUCUGUGAUAUCUCAUGGUUAUGUGCACACGAAGGAGUGAUCUAUGCUACUCAGUGGAAAAUUUUCUUAAUCGCAUCAUCAGGGAAAAGAAUUGAAUAUCAAGGUGUCCCACUCCUACCUAAGGAGGCAUAUCCAUGCUAAGUUAUUAUGUCUUUGAGUUGUAUGAGUCAAAAGCUGGGAGUCAUGAUGGAUUAGAUAUUCUACGGAAAAAUUUGUCCACAAGAUAUGACUAUAAGACAUAAGUGUUUAUCUUUGGAGUGCAAGUUGUGAAGUUGAAAGAGUUAUCGAGAUCUUUAUCCUGUGUUCCCUCAGAGGAGCUGUGUCUCUUCCGAAUCUCGAGGACGAGAUUCAUCUUAAGAGGGGUAGAAUUGUAACACCCUAAAUUUUGCUUCUUUGAAAAUAGAGCUAAAAUAAUUUAUUUUGUAUUUCUGUGCUCAUGAAAAUAUAGUAAAAUGAAAUUUUCCUUAAAUUAAAAUUCAUCAUAGGGUUUAGCAACAUUGUUGUGCAUACAUGCUGGUACAUAUGUUUUAUGUGAUGUUUGUUUGUUGCUCCAUUGUGUGUUGAGAGUGAACAAAGUUUUUAAAAUGCGUUUAGUAGAUCGAUCUUCGUUAACCGGUUCAUCUCUAUCUUUAUCUCCGAUCAAAUUCCUUGUUGCUCAGCUCAAGUUUUUAUUGGGAGCUUCCUAAAAUCUUUUCUUUGUCACCCAAAUCACUUCUUUUGAUUUCUCAUUCAUCAAGCAGUCUCUACAAACUUUUUGGAAAUUUUCCAGCUUCCGUUCUCACUUUUCUGUAAGUAUAAUCUAAUUUUAAGAUGCUCCAAAAUAAUCUUAUCAUGGACUCUAAAUACUUUAUUUGAGUUCCUCAUGUUCCAUAGUGUCUCUGGGAAUUUUCUCCGAAUUUUCAGAGCUUUGAGAAUAUUUUUCAUAGUUUAAAUAAUAAUUCUAGACUUUUCUAGAAUUAUUUUAUCCAUAAAAUUAAAUAAUUCCGAAAAUAAUAAAUCCUUCAUUUUACCUCAACGCUUAGCCCAUGAUCUCAAAGGCCAAUAUAUUUAUUUACUAGUGGACUUAAAUAAUUAAUCAGGCCUAUUAGUAAAGAUGGAGAUUGCAACAUCAACUAGUACCUUAUUGCUAAUUGAUGUGGAUGUGAAGAGUUUUUCUCCAUAUAUAUAUGUACCAACUCCUUGGGUUAAGUACACCAAAACUACCAUAUGGGAAGCUUCUAGUUUGGUAAAUCCCUCGUAUAGUAAAAUUAUAUUUUUCUUCUUUUGCCGUCGGGCUGCCAUCGUGGACGCUUCUAUGCCCUGCACAAGCCGGAGCUCCCUACCUUGACCAUAGUUCUAUCUACGGUAGCUACCUCUCCGGCCAUCGUCCGUCUCCGUUUGUGAGAAAUCCAGCAUACAGCUCCUUCGUCUCUCCUUUACAUGAUCUGCACAGCUCACUAGGUCAGGCCAUCCUACAGGUUUGUUCCGUAAUUAAGCUAUAGGUUGGACAACUUGCAAGCGUCUCGCUCCGGUAUUUUUUUAUCUAAAGGACCAUGCAUAUCCACCAAAUCUGAGCACAUGACGUGAUUGAGUUUAAGAUCUGUACGUGCACCCUUGAAGUCGAGCUGCCUCCACUGUAAUCCUACAAAUCUUUGUCGUUGCCAAUAGCUUGUGUCUUCAAUCUGUUUCCAGAUGGCAAGCUAACUUGGUAAGUGUCUCGAUGUUCAUAGUUUUUUUUAUUGAGCUUGUACUGACCUAAUAUACAUCCUAGUAACUAUGAUUUCUAUUAUCAAGUAUCUCUAAAUUUUAUAUUUUUAAUAGUAAUAUGAUUAAUAUGCACGCAACUAGUUUUAUAAUUAACAACCACAUAAGCAUAAUACUUUGAUAUUUUAUACAUAUAUAUCCUAAUAUGUUUAAUCGCUAUCACCAUGUUUCUGAAUUGUAAAUUGUUUAGUUUAAACCUACAUCACAAGCGGUUUGCGUAGGUGUUUCGCUUAUCCUUUUAAUUGGCAAAGUUAGUGUUUAAUUUGUUCAAAUAUACAACAAUAUUUAUAUGUAAAAUAUGACUAGAUUUAACUUAGCUUUUAAAUUAAAUUAAGAUUUAUCUGAUCUAGAUUAAAUGUCUCUAUGAUUUUUUUUAACUAAUAUAAAAUAAAUCAAACUUGUAGUUGUUUCUUUUGUAAUAAAAAUAUAAACCUUUCAGUAGUCGUUUCUUUUUAUCAUAGCCCUCAGUGUUUCUAGUGUUCUCGUCACCAUAGUACUUAGUUCUCUUUUAAUAUGUUAUUUUCUUUUGUGUGGUGUAUUGUUCUUAGUUUCUUUUAUUUAUUGCUUGUAUGUUUGUCUAUGUGUGGUGUUUGGUAUGAGUAGAGAACGAGAACCAUUUUAUCGACGUUGAAGAUUAAGAGUGCAUGACUAGAAGAUAAUUGAAGGUUCUAUAAAGGAGUUGCUGUGGAUAUUAAGCAAUUGGAUCAAGGCAAGUAUAGCAUUUGGAUUUUAUUUCUGUGACCAUGAUGCUGUGACUAGAUUAAUGUUAAGUAAUAAAUGAUAAAAAUGACUUUUUAGCAACUUGAUGAUUUAUAUAUAAGUGAUCACCCGGGACAACAGUGCAACCAUGAGGGCUAUAAUGGCUCUGGCUUUAGCUCAGUAUGAAGACUUUUUGUAGCUUGUUAGAGGUUUCCCGAAAGGGCGCUAGAGGGGCUGAACCGUUUUGGGUAUAGUGUGGCCUCUGUCUGUAUGUGUAUAGGCUGCGCGUCAUUGUGCCAUCGGAAGGGGGGCUCUACAUCUGCGCGCGAAGGAAACCUUGUGGCCCUAACAUGUUAGACGAAAUUUUGAAAGGCUUCAUAGUGAUACCUGCCGAUCUUCCUUGGUAGUGGGUUAAGAGGUCGACGGGCCUCGAGCGAAAGGGUAAAUCAUGACUCAUGGGUAAAGAUGUACAACCUCUUCGGAGUGUUAAAAACUAGUAUACUAGCCGAGCCAACGGUCAGGAGCGGCCUUGGGGACAUCUAUAUUAACAGUGAUGAAUCUUGUGUGUCAAAUAUGCUCAUUAUUUAUUAUUUAAUGCUUUACAUUAUUUAUGUCACAUCGAUCAUAAGAUUGUGGGAUCUAUACAAUCUCGUUGCUAUACUUGUUGAGUUCGACAUGAACUCACUCUUGCUAUUUCUCCCAAACCUCAGGAGAAGUUUAGUUAGAUCCUGUUGAGUGAAGUUAAUACCCGAAGUUUGGAGUUGUCUAUCCGCUGUUUGUUAUCAAAGGUUAUCUCUUCUAUACUAAGUACGUUAUAUAUUUAUGCAUUGUCUUUUGAUAUUACCCUUUAUUUGCAGCUAUAUGUGGGAUUUGACUUCUAAAACUCACAUAUGGUGCGUAUCUGAUUUUGUUCUUAAAAUCGGGUAUUACAAAAUCCUUCGAGAUUUCGGUUGACUCUCAGGAUUAUAUGGGCUCAAGUUUGGAAACUUGAUCGCUCUAGUGAUCAUUUCUACACUUGAACUCUUAUAAUUUGGUCAGUUCUAUGACACCCUAUGGGUUCAUGUACAUGUAGACAUGGGCCAAGUACUCCUACUCGCCCAACUGUUGACAGGGGCCUCUAGCAAGGUGUGACAACUCCUAUACGCAUGCAAGGAUCAUAUCAAACAAACCACUAGUUACACAUACAUUUUAUUCCCUUGCCACAUGAUAUUUGGUACAACUCGUGGGUUAACACAUAACCCAAGCAUGGGCAUGUAUUUAUUGAUCCAAUCACUUGAGUGAUCUAGUGAUAUCUCUCUCACAUAGAGAGGGGCAUGUUUCAUCUUGAUCAUCUAUGUCUCACAGCAUGUUCCCCGACAAACCCGAAGACCACCUUUAUAACUACCCUAUUACAGAGCAGCGUUUAAUAGUCCCUAAGUAGGUCGUUUCACAUUUGAUAACAUACGACAAUCUCAGGUCUAAGGACAUAACGUACAUGAUGUAUAAAGAGAUAAUAAGAACAUCUCAUGUUGGGUCAGUCCAGCCCCGUUCAUACAUGUGCCCACAUUAUUAGUUUGACAUCUCUAUGUCUAUAACUUGUGAAACAUAGUCAUCAACUAAUACAUGUGCUAAUCUAAUAUUCAUGUGUGUCCUCACAUGAACUCUGAUUAGGGACAACUUUAGAAUAACCAUAUAAGUAAAAGAGUUUCACAAAUAAUUCGCAUAAUUAUCAAUCAAUACAAGUUUUUCUAUAAUAGAUAUUCAUCGAACUCAUAAUAGAUGUCAUGGAUACAAUCGUAAUAUCAUCAUCUCUAUGAGUACCUCUAGGGCUUAUAUUCCCAACAAUGUGUUAAUCCCAAAUUUUGGUGAGACAAGGAACUGCCUGUGGGCCCGCUUCAUGGGAAGGAGCAACGGCCGGAUAGUGGAUUGACUAAAUAGAAGCGUGGAGGAAAGUAGUCGAUCAAGGGAUGUCAAAUCAAGGCAAGACAGAAGAAGACGUGUCAGGUUUUAUUACAAAGAAGGAAUUAGAGUCCGAAUUACCUUUUUGAGUAGUCGUGUAAUGUUAGGACACAUGACUAGGUUCUAGGGCUAUAAAUACUAGAACUUGAUCCUUGUAAUGAUAUAAUCAACCAAAAAAUACAAACACUUUUCAGCUCCGGCCACCAACCUUAGGAGUAGGAGUAAGAGUAGAUCUCAACAAGAUCUUCGAUAAAUCGAGUUGCAUCGGUUGAUUUUGACCAUCGGUUUGCUUGUGAGUAUUGUCAUGGUUCAUGUUUAGUUUAUCACGACUGCAUCUUUCGAACUCGAGUUAAGCUCAAUAUGAACUAGUUAUCGACUUAGAUCUUAUUUGUCAGGCUGCAUUAUUUUAAUCUCUUACAAAGAUCGAUUUAAGUUAAUUUUUGGCUCUAUUGAAUUGACAAUUUAAUAGAUUCAGUAAGUCAUCAAUAUUGUUUAAAGUUUAACGUUUUGUUCAUUAUAACAAUAUUCUGCCCAAUCAAGAUUCAGCAGAUUAGUUCAAGCUUUAAAUAUAAACACUUGUUGCAAAGUUUAAAUAAAUAACGAUUAUCAAGUAAAUUUAAGAUAACUAAUCUGUUGAUCUUGAUUGUUGCAUGUUAUGUGUUCGAGAUAUUUAUUUAAUCAUGAUUAAUUUGGUAACAAAACCGAAUUUACUUAUGGCGAAGUAAAUAGAUCUCGUUCGUGCUUCAUGGAUCCUAUAUCGACUAAAUAGCAGAUCUAGUUAAGCUUGAACGAAUAGCGCAUAUGUGUAAACCCGACUAUAGAAUUAAAUAAAUUAGUAAAUUGUGUUAAAUGUAGCCUGCUGGACUUUAGAGCAGGUGAAUAUAAAUUUAAUAUGUUUAUGAAAGUAACUUAUUAAGACCUUAGUCCUUCAGACCAGUGUUGACGGUCGAUAACGUCAACUUUUAUUAGAACUUUAAACCCAAAGGAGAACAUGAAUACACACUAGUAUAGGGUUUAAACUAACAAUUUGCAUGAGUUUUGCAUAUUCUAUGUUUUACAGAGUUGAUUUCACAGAGAGCUAAAAAGAGGGAUUCUUGUGCAUAUUUACCACGAAACUCAUCCGCGGCAGAAAAUAUGGUCAUCAGGCUCAAGAAGGGUCUAGAAAACACCCGAAGAAACGAGAGCCGUGGAAGCGGAAAGGUGGAGCCGGCAGGCCCCACCCUAGGACUAGUCGGCGCCCAGUUUUGCUCGUUGCCCGCCGCCUUCUGGAGUCUUCCUCCUAUGCAUCCUUGGAAGCCAAGCAAAGUAUCCCUCCAUCGAUUUUAAGUCAGUUUGAUCCGACGGUGCACACAAGAUGAAGACGCGGAUCGCUGACGUGGUGGUUCUUUGCCCCCUACUCCACCUCGACCUAUAUAAUGACGGCCAAGGCUCCCCUCAAGAGGCAUUCUACACCCCGACGCUUCAUAUUCUCUACAUAAUUAGGGUUAGGGUCCCUCUAGUUGUUCUAGUUCUAGUUCAUCUAGAUCUAGUUCAUCUAGAUGUAGCAAUUAGUUGAGAGUAGUUCAUCUAGAUCUAAUCUUGUUUAGAGAUUAGAGAGAUUUAGUAGAGGAGUAGAGAUUCUAGAGGAGUUCUGGCCUAUCGGUGCUUCUUCGUGGUUGUAUUCUUCUGGAUCCAGUUUCUCUCGCCCGGAGCUGCGUUCUUAGGUACUUUUGUACUUACCCUUCUGGUUUAAAUAAGCAUCUUUUUCUUAUUUGUUCUUUGGUUCACAACUCAUAUUGAGUGCUUUGACAUUGAUCGUAACUUGGUGGAAGUAGUAUUUUAUAGUGUAGGCGUGGUGCCUAGGCUAGGUUUACUUGUGAAUAUCCCCUAAUCAGCCGGAUAGUGGUAGUUCGCGUAGGUGACUUCAUAGCUGCGUUGAUUCCUCUAUAGUCCACUUCCCGUUGAUAAGAUUGAUAGGAUUAUAGAUGCCUGAUAUGGGGUUACUCUGAUUCUCCCCUUAUUCGGGUUACUUGCCCGAUAAGACUGUAUUAUACAAAGUUUACCGGAGUCGGAACCAGAGUGCAUUAAUAUUUACUUCUUCUUGAUAUGAUCUAGCCUAAUUGUAGGGUUAAGUCUAUAUACUAUGUCAUCAUCACAUCUGUUCCUUGUGGAUUCGAUAUUUAAAACCUCUAGGUAAUAUGUGACGCUGGUAUGAUAUAUGUGUGCGGAUAAUCCUACUUAAAUCUAUUUAAAUGGAGUGUAGUUAAUUUAUACCAACAAGUAUUUUCGGCGUCAUUGCCAGGGAACAAUUUGUUGAUUUUGAUUUAGUCUAGCUUACUCUUGUAUUAUACAUUUAUAUUUUCCUAUUUUUAUCCUAGUCUAUUCAUUAUUUUUGUGUUCAUCCUUAUUGAUGUUUUUAAUUAUAUUGCUAUUUAUCUUUAUGGCAUGUGCAAAAGCUUAAAGCGUAAACCUUAUCAUAAUAUCUAUAAGCUAUGCCCAUGUCUACAUAAUAUAAUAAACCCUUCUCAAUUAUAUCAUGGGAUCAUUAAUCCUGACCUUGGAUUGUUGGGCCCCAUGUUUAUUCAAAAUUUAGGAUCUUACCAAGAGUUACAUUAAAUCCCUUGAUUUAUCUUCUCGAGAGUUCUUUCUUAUCUUUUAAAAAGCAAGAUAUUAUGCUCAAAAGAGUUGCUCUAGCUAUUUCUGAACUCCCCAAAAGAAGAAAAGAUUUUAUUAUCUAAACUAAAAAUAGAAGUCUUGAUAAAUAAAUACAAUCAUAUCAUUCUUAAGAUUUAGCUAUCAAUCCUAAAUCUUCAAAAUUCCACUUAAAUGAAUUAGAUUUCCAGAUAGCUAAGAUGCUCAUAAAUUAAUGCAUAUCAGAUCUUCUUAGAAGAGUAUCUUGGAAAAAGCAUCAUCAAAUUCCUUUCCUUCCUAAAAAGACAUUGGGAAAAAUUCAAGGAUGGCAUGCCAAGUGAUGCCAUAGAAGGAGAGCCAAGCCACUUAGAAAUAGAUUCUAUCUUCUCCCCUUCUAUGGCCAUAAACCCAUCUCUAAACCCAUCCUUGACCCCAAUGAAUCUUUUUAUGCUCCUUCUAAUAAACUUCAUAACGACCCUAGAAAUCCAUCCAGACAUCCUAAGAAUAGGAGUCAUGAAAAUUAUAGGAAUACCCAAGAAGAGCAACAACAACAGUAGGAACACAUAGAACAUAUUAGAAAUACAUAUGCUAUUGUCAAAUAAUGGAAGAAGAUGAAGUUUUAACACUAGCAUCUAAACUUGGUCUAAAUUCAAAUGUUAAGCUUAAAUUAAUUUCUUUGAUAAAUAAAACUCACCCAAGUUUAGAAAAAGCUUUAGAUGAGACCAACCAUAGGGACAUCAAUUCAUGGGAAAUCCUAGAAAAUAAAAUAUCUAAUAAAUGUCAUAGGCAUGAAAUAAUAGAGGCAAACUUAUUGCCUAUAGACAACUGUUGAUAUUUGGGAACACAAUAAGGAAUUGAUCCGCAAGCGCACGGAUAUCGGUGAGCACUUCACCCGGGAAGUUAUCCAGAGUAUCGUAUUUAUUUUUUUACCACUAGGAGAAAGAGUGCAUCUGACUAACCGGUCUAUUACUACUAACCUUUAGGCACAAAGAAUGUCUUUCGAUAUGAGUGAUAAAUAGAGAAGACUGCAACCGUAGUCUCCUUCUAACCUUGGUAAGGAUAAUCUAUUAUUCUAAUGGGGAGGCUAACGGAAUCUAGACACCACAAAGGAUAUUCAACCCGCACCUAUAAACCCUAUCCUUCCUGCUAACGAGAUGUGAUCUACAAAGGUAACUCGGAAAUGUCACAUUCCUCACUACUACCACGGUCCAGCUAGUCAGGGAAUAUCUAUGAGUACCCCAGCCUAAACACCACGUUUAUGCCAGCAAUGAUUACUCUAAACUCUACGCGAAGAGAUUAAAGUAAACUCAUAAACCAUAAGAACAAUAAAACAAGAACUUACUAGAAUUUAGAAGUCGAAAUACUGAAGAAUCCUAGGAGCAAGCUUCGGGUUAGGAGAACUUGAUCCCGCAGGUACAAGCUUGGAGUAGACACCGACAGGCCGGGCUUCCUCCAAUCUACACCUCCACUCUAUCUCUCUCAAUCUAGUAGAAACUAGAAGAUCUAUUUCUACCUUACAUUGGUUGCUAAGCCUAAAAAGAAAUAUUAAUUAGAGAAGAGGUUUUCCUUCGAGGGCACCCCUCAGUCUCUAAGAUAAUUUCUUCAAGUCUUCUCCAGGGGCCAGGGGGUCUCCUUAUAUAGUCCUUCCCUUCUAUACGUUUUUGGUCGGUAGACGAGGUGGUACUAUGUUUUUCUUGAUCCAAUAGGUCGGUGGAAUAUCCCGUGCGAAGAGAGUCCCGAUUGACAUCCAGCAGGGGGCGGGCGCACAGGUCACCAGGGCGGGCGCCCUGGGCCUAGCCCCUUUCGGCCUCCGUCUUAUUCCCGUGGCUUCUGGAGUCUUCUAGAUGGUAGAAAAUUGCGUGUUGCGUUGUUAUCUCUAUGUAAUCCCGACAUGUGGGCCUUUCUUCCUUAUUUCUUGAUAACCCCCUACAGAAACAGAUAAACAACAAAACUCAUGGAAUUCUGUCAGAUCAAACCCUAAUUCUAGGUGUUGGUUGCAUAUGGGUCCUUUCCCUUGUUUAUUUGACAAUUAAAAUUAAUACUUAAGAACCGUCAACAAAUACCCCCAUACUUAGGCUUUUACUCGUCCUCGAGAAAAGGAUGGUUAAGAAAAAUAUCUGGGGUAAACAUUUAAAACAUUCUUUAUAUUUGCAGGGUGUUAAAAAUCCACUGUGUACCAUAGUCAGGGAUGUUUAUGGUUAAGAGUAAAGAUCCUUUCUUCUCAAUCCUGUCACUUGGAGCUUUUGUAUAUUUUUGAAAGAAAGUUAGCAUACCUUUUUAUCCUCAUAGGUUCUUCUCAGAUCACUCAUUAUCUUUUAUAUAUCUCACUGAGGUUGUUUUAUUUUGCAAAAAUUCUCAAGAAUACUUACUUUGCAUUUAUUGCCUGAUCAAAACGGGAUCCGAGGAGGGGAAUGUCAUACUCUUAGAUCAAAGACUUUGGAAAUUAAAAUCUUUGUCAACUCUUGCUGGCAUAUUGCUUAUUAGAGGGACCAUGGGCUAUCAUUUUUUUUCUUUUUUUUAAGUGGAUACCGAGGUACCCCUAAUUCUACUGCCGGACACUUGUCCAUUUUUUCUGCGAGGUUAUCGAGCACUUGCUCCUUUUUAUUUCCUCGAAAUAUCUCUAUUUUUGCAUAGCCCAUGCCUCUAAUGCAAUAAUACUUCUGAAGAGUGAAUCUUUCUGAAAUAAUGUCUUGAUCUUAGGAGCAUGAUAAAUCUCUCAACAAGGGUCUAACUCAUUUUGAACAAACUCAAUACAGAGUAGAUAGCUUUUGUAAUCAUAAUUAAUAUUUUUAGUUUUAUCAGGCAUAUAAAACACUGAGGAUGGUAGCUAGAAUUUGAAUAUUUUGAAAUAAAUUCUCCAAGCAACAAUGAUAUCAAGAAUAAGAAACUCAUACUCUACCAUCACAUAUUCCAUAUUGACUUAAGUAACAUAGGGUUUUAAAAUGAUUUUAUAAUAGUUGCAAGUUUUCAGAAAAUAUCACAGAUUGAGAUUAACCAUGAUUAGAAAUAUUUUAAUCUUUUUAAUUUAUCAUGUCGGAAACAGUAAUCUGCAUAAUAGAAAUAUGUAUGUGUAAAGUAAAGUGUGCAGAGUGUGUACCUGAAUCGUGGAGUGGUGUGGUCGGAGUGUGUUUAGCAUGUUGAGGGAUCUCCCCCAUACUUGUUUUCUGCUUUCUUGCACAAAAAUAAAGUAGAGACACACAAGACAUAAUAAUAAUAAUAAUACUCUUUAUUAAUCUUGAGGCAUUUAAUACAAAAGACUAGUAGCAAACUGAUAGCAAACUGAUGAUAAUAGUAAACUGAUGAUAAUAGCAAACCUAAACCGAAUUUAAAGAUAAAUGACUAAGAUGUAUUGCCUCAAGGUCUAAUCUAGAUAACUUAGCGGCGCUCUAAUUCCUUGAUCUUCUUGUUGGCACUGGCAAGAUCCUACCUAAGGCCUAGUAUAAUGGUGUUGUGGUUAGAGAGCUGCCUAGUGAGGGAAUUAAUCGAGGACUGGAGGUCUAUAAUAACUCUAUCUAGCCUGCGAACUUCCUCAUCAAUAUCCAUUAUAGUCUUGCGACGCUUGGGAGGUGUCUCGAAAGCAUUGAGAGAGUGCUUCAGGGCUGCCUUUGGAGGGAUGAAACGGACUUUGGCUGCUCUAAUCCCUUCAAAGUUAGGCCUUUCCUCCUCUGUAGUGUAGCGAACACUGCUGAUCUCGCCGCUCCGGUUGGUCUUGACUCCAACGACCCUCUCACUGGGUCUAGGUGGGAGGAUCCUCGUGCCAAUUGGCACCUUGAUAGUGGUCUUUGUCUUGGAUGAUGAUCCUUUGAGGAGUAGGUGUUGUGGCGGUGCGGUGAGAACUGGUUGAGCAUGGUAGGAUUGGGCGGAGCUACGUUGGCGUAAUGGCAUGGCUUCUAGCUGUCUUUCUGUGUUGGCCGGAACGAGAGCACGGGCAUCGGGGUCUUCCACAGGCUCCAUGUUGAGGUUGAAGGGGACGACUUCCCAAUCAUCGUGGUACUUCUCGGCCAUUGGAGCAGCAAGGAACUAAUCAAGCUCUAAUUGAAGGAGAGAAGGCUUGGUGGUUUUGUGUUUGAAAACUGAGGUCAGGGGUCUGUUUAUAUAGGGGUCAAAAAGUGCCUCUAUGGGUUGUUCGGGUUUCUCCCGUCGACGUGCGUGCGAAACUUUCUAUCCGAGGGAUUAUUCGAAUUACUAUAAUUGCAUUUUCCAUAACAGAGAAAGUCAGGACCGAGGGGGAACAGGAGCUGGGUGCCCGCCCUCUCUCUGGCCCCUCUGUGGGCCCACUUUUCCGAGCGCGUUUCUAGAUGCGAAAUUAUUUAGAAAAAUAUAUAUAUGACCCAAAAACAUCAGACUAAAAGUGUCGGGCUCUAAUUCUCCAUGGGAAGGUAAAAAUGGGCUACGUCUAUCUCUUCAAAUUCCUCAUUGGGCUCUAAAAAUAAUUUAAGACGUUGACCAUUUACCUUGAAUAACGUACCUUCGCUAUUUUGAAGUGUGAUAGCUCCGUGGGAUGAUGAAUUAAUUACCUUGAAUGGUCCUUCCCAUUUGCUGCAGAGUUUUCCAUGCUCGAAAAGCUUCACCCUGGAAUUUAAAAGUAAUACCUUAUCUCCGGGUGUGAACUCCUUCUUCUUGAUUCUCUUGUCAUGCCACCUCUUGACUCUUUCUUUGUAGAUCUUUGAGUUGUGAUAUGCCUUCUCUCACCAUUCUUCCAAUUCUGAUAGUUGCAUUCUUCUAUAAUCUCCAGCAACAUCCAGGUCAAUAUUCCAUCUCUUUAUGGCCCAGAGUGCUUUGAACUAUAGUUCAACGGGUAGAUGGCAAGUCUUCCCGUAGACCAAUUGGUAUGGAGACAUUCCAAUUGGGGUCUUGUAUGCUGUCCGGUAUGCCCAAAGUGCAUCGGGUAACUUGUCUUUCCACGCCGUUCCCAUUUCAUUUACUGUCUUCUGAAGAAUAUUCUUGAUUUGUUUGUUGGAAAUCUCUGCUUGGCCACUUGUCUGAGGAUGAUAGGGGGUAGCGACGUUGUGACGGAUUCCAUGUCUUGAUAGAUAUUGCUUGAAGCGUUUGUCAAUGAAGUGUGCUCCUCCAUCACUUAUCACUACUCUGGGAACUCCAAAUCUUGGAAAUAUAAUUUCUUCAAACUUUGAACUGACGUUGUCGGCAUGCUUGCAAGGUAAUGCCUCUACCCACUUGGAGACAUAGUCAACUGCCACCAAGAUGUACUCACACAUCUUUGAUGGAGGAAAUGGACCCAUGUAGUCUAUUCCCCAGACAUCAAAGAGCUCAAUCUGAAGAUUGUUGGUGAGUGGCAUUGCAUCCCUUGUAUUUAUGUUUCCGUGCCUUUGACAUGGCCCACAUCUUCUGAUAUAUUGCUUCGUGUCUUCAUACAUUGUAGGCCAGUAGAAUCCACACUACCAGAUCUUUGAAUGCGUACGGAAUGCUCCAUAGUGACCUCCAUAUGGUGAUGAAUGACAUCUGUCGAUGAUCUUCCAUCCUUCCUCAGUGGUCACACAUCUCCAGAGUAAGCCGUCAGAGCAUACUCGGAAGAGAUAUGGCUCAUCCCAUAUAUGUGAACGACUUUCUUGAAUAAGCUUCUUCUUGUUUGCUCCUGGUGGUACAUACCCUGAAACCAUAAAAUUAACAAUAUCUGCAUACCAGGGGUCAGACCUGUUAAUCCCAUAGAGCAUGUCGUCCCGUUGUGAAUCAUUGAUUGGGGUUUCCUGUGGACUCUUAAAAUACAUUCUAGACAAGUGAUCAGCAACAGAAUUUUCUACUCCUUUUUUAUCUUUUAUUUCUAAGUCAAAUUCUUGGAGUAAUAAGAUCCAUCUAAUCAGGCGAGGUUUAGCAUCUUUUUUAGUGAGCAAAUAUUUUACUGCAGCAUGAUCAGUGUAAACAAUUAUUUUAGCUCCAACUAAAUAAGAUCUAAAUUUAUCUAUGGCAAAGACAACAGCCAGAAGCUCUUUUUUAGUGGUUGCAUAGUUAAGUUGAGCUCCUGUCAAAGUUUUACUGGCAUAAGCAAUUGCAUGAUGCUUCUUAUCUUUAGUUUGUCCCUAUACUGCCCCCACAGCAUAAUCACUAGCAUCACACAUAAUUCCAAAAGGCAACGACCAAUCAGGGGGUUGAAUGAUUGGUGCAGAGAUGAGUGCUUUCUUUAAUAAAUUGAAAGAUGUUAGACAUGCAUCAUCAAAUUCGAAAGGAACAUCCUUGGCUAGCAAAAGAGUAAGUGGUCUAGCAAUAAAUGAAAAAUCUUUUAUGAAUCUACGAUAAAAACCAGCAUGGCCAAGAAAGCUUCGAAUUCCUUUUAUAUUCACAGGUGGAGGUAGUUGUUCAAUUACUUCAAUUUUAGCUUUAUCUACCUCAAUACCUCUUUCAGACACUAAGUGUCCCAGCACUAUUCCUUCUCUAACCAUAAAAUGACAUUUUUCCCAAUUAAGGAUUAAGUGCUUUUCUUCACAUCUUUGCAAAACCUUGUCUAUGUUUUCAAGACAACUAUCAAAAGUUUUUCCAUAAACAGAGAAAUCAUCCAUGAAAACUUCCAUAAUCUCUUCAAUCGUAUCAGAAAAUAUAGACAUCAUGCAUCUUUGAAAAGUAGCUGGUGCAUUACAUAACCCAAAAGACAUUCUACGGUAAGCAUAAGUUCCAUAUGGGCAUAUAAAAGUGGUUUUGCUUUGGUCAUCGGGAUGGAUCGGGAUUUGGUGAUACCCUGAAUAUCCAUCUAAGAAACAGAAGAACGAAUGGUUUGCUAACCGCUCUAGCAUCUCAUCUAUGAAAGGCAAAGGAAAGUGAUCCUUUCUCGUGGCUUUGUUUAGUUUUCUAUAGUCUAUGCACAUCCGCCAUCCUGUGACGGUGCGUUGCGGAAUUAGCUCAUUCUUUUCAUUCAUAAUAACAGUCAUGCCUCCUUUUUUAGGCACAACUUGCACUGGGCUUACCCACUCACUGUGCGGCACAGGAUAUAUAAUCCCUGCAUGCAGCAACUUUAUAACUUCCUUUUUAACUGCCUCUCUCAUAGUGUUGUUAAGUCUACGUUGGGGUUCUCGAGAGGGUGUAACAGAAGGAUCUGUUGGAAUACGAUGGGUAUAAAUCAUAGGACUGAUUCCUGUAAGAUCUUGAAGUGAGUAGCCAAAAACUGAGUGAUGUUUUUCAAGAAUGGUCAUUAAUCGCAGAGUUUGAUCCUGAGUGAGUUUAUCGCUAAUGAUUACAGGGAACUCUGGAUUAUUGUUUAGGAAAGCAUAGGUAAGACCGGGUGGUAAAGUUUUAAGCUCUAUGGGAGGUCCAGGUGUUUCUGCAAACUCAUCUAAGGGUUCAGGCUCAGAAGGUUCGUCUUCUUCUUCAGUGAAGAAAGUAGUUUCGUCUUCUAAGUCUGGUUCAUCUAAAAGCUCUAGAGAUGCAGCCUUUACCUCCUCCAUAGGAUCAGGCAAAAGAUAUGACUCGGCCUUAUUGUUUAAGGAAUGUGAAAUUGUUAUCGGGAAUUUAAAAGUUUUUUCCAAAAGAAAUGUGUAGCUUUCCAGUAUGACCUUCAUAAAGGAGUCUUCUAAAAGGUUGUCCUAUCAACAGGUCGAAGUCCCAUGUAUCAAAGAUAUAGAAGUUCAAAUGAACCAUGGAGCCUUCUACCGUAAGAGGUAGGACAUUAAUAAUUUCAAGACCUGGGACUAACCGUCUCGAAGAUUCCUUUAUGACCUUUGUUGUGGGGGUUAAGACAAGAUUUUUAAAUAGUUUAAGUGCAAAAGAUUCAGACAUGAUGUUGAUCCCCACAACAGGAUUAUAAAGAGCAUUAAAUCGAUCAGAAUUAUAAGCACAGCGUAUAGUUAUAGAGGGUGUGUCCAAACGGAUCACAUCAGAGGAAAGCUCUGAUUCCUCCAACCAUUCGCUACUCAUGACUGAGAUAAGCUCUCUCAAUUUAUAUUCACUUGGCAAAUAAAUGCUAAACUGACCGUUUUGGGGUUUGUCAAUAGAAUGGUAGUUUGAAAUAUUUCCAAAAUCGGCAAAAAGAUCGGAUUCUAUAUCCAGCAUGAAGUCCGGUAGUGGAAUUUCUUCCUCUUGUGGCUCAGAACUUGGGAUAGCUAAAGUAGAUGAAGAAUUUGGUAGAGUGUCUACUUCGGCUUCGUAGGUUUCAUUAUGAAGGGUAUUAUCCAUCUCAGCUUCUAGGAUUCUAUCUAGGAUCACUCUAGCUUCAUCAGCAGGGAUGCGAAAGAAAGAACCUCUAGACAUUGUGUGUAGCAUUUGUUUGUGAUUUUUAUGAAGACCUCGAAAAAAGUGGAAUAAAAGAACAGGGUCUUCAAGAUUAAGGUUUGGACCAGAUUCCAAAAGAUCAGAAAAACGUUUCCAGGAUUUUCCCAAAGUUUCAUUAUCUUUUUGUUUAAAAGAUAGGACUUCGAGUCUAAGGUCGGCUAUACGGUCAAGGGAAUAGAAAUCUAGACAAAAGUUGGCUUGUAAAACUCCCCAUUCACCUUGUUGUUGACUUACCUACUGACUGUACCAUUGUCUAGCUUCUCCCCUUAAGGAAAAAGGGAAAAGCUUCCAACGUAAAGUUUUAUCAGAAAUGCCUUCAAUGCGAACACAAUCACAUGUUUGCUCAAAAUCUCUAAUAUGAAGGUAAGGGUUUUCGUCUUCCUUUCCCGAAAAAGAUAGGUUUUGAAUCAUGGCAAUCAACCUAGAACUUAACAUAUACUUGGAUGUUUGGAUAGGCUGUGAUGAUUCCCAUGGUAAAAGGUCAGUUGCUGAAGGGAUUGCAGACUCAUGGAUUGAUUUAGAAUUUUGGUUUUCCAUAAGGUAAGAAUAAAGAAAAUAAAUAAAGAAUAUAAAAGAUAAGAAAAGAUAAAAGUAUAGUUACAAGCUAGUAGUAAGACUCAGCUUAUCUCAGCAACCGUCUUUCUCCCCGGCAACGGCGCCAGAAAUGCUUGUUGAUAUUUGGGAACGCAAUAAGGAAUUGAUCCGCAAGCGCACGGAUAUCGGUGAGCACUUCACCCGGGAAGUUAUCCAGAGUAUCGUAUUUAUUUUUUUACCACUAGGAGAAAGAGUGCAUCUGACUAACCGGUCUAUUACUACUAACCUUUAGGCACAAAGAAUGUCUUUCGAUAUGAGUAAUAAAUAGAGAAGACUGCAACCGUAGUCUCCUUCUAACCUUGGUAAGGAUAAUCUAUUAUUCUAAUGGGGAGGCUAACGGAAUCUAGACACCACAAAGGAUGUUCAACCCGCACCUAUAAACCCAAUCCUUCCUGCUAACGAGAUGUGAUCUACAAAGGUAACUCGGAAAUGUCACAUUCCUCGCUACUACCACGGUCCAGCUAGUCAGGGAAUAUCUGUGAGUACCCCAGCCUAAACACCACGUUUAUGCCAGCAAUGAUUACUCUAAACUCUACGCGAAGAGAUUAAAGUAAACUCAUAAACCAUAAGAACAAUAAAACAAGAACUUACUAGAAUUUAGAAGUUGAUAUACUGAAGAAUCCUAGGAGCAAGCUUCGGGUUAGGAGAACUUGAUCCCGCAGGUACAAGCUUGGAGUAGACACCGACAGGUCGGGCUUCCUCCAAUCUACACCUCCACUCUAUCUCUCUCAAUCUAGUAGAAACUAGAAGAUCUAUUUCUACCUUACAUUGGUUGCUAAGCCUAAAAAGAAAUAUUAAUUAGAGAAGAGGUUUUCCUUCGAGGGCACCCCUCAGUCUCUAUGAUAAUUUCUUCAAGUCUUCUCCAGGGGCCAGGGGGUCUCCUUAUAUAGUCCUUCCCUUCUAUGCGUUUUUGGUCGGUAGACGAGGUGGUACUAUGUUUUUCUUGAUCCAAUAGGUCGGUGGAAUAUCCCGUGCGAAGAGAGUCCCGAUUGACAUCCAGCAGGGGGCGGGCGCCCUGGGCCUGGCCCCUUUCGGCCUCCGUCUUCUUCCCGUGGCUUCUGGAGUCUUCUAGAUGGUAGAAAAUUGCACGGAGCGUUGUUUUCUCUAUGUAAUCCCGACAUGUGGGCCUUUCUUCCUUAUUUCCUGAUAACCCCCUGCAGAAACAGAUAAACAACAAAACUCGUGGAAUUCUGUCAGAUCAAACCCUAAUUCUAGGUGUUGGUUGCCUAUGGGUCCUUUCCCUUGUUUAUUUGAUAAUUAAAAUUAAUACUUAAGAACCGUCAACAACAACCAUGAAGAGACACCCUUGGAGUUUGAAAAGGGAGAUCAUAUUGUCGAGAAUAUGAAUUCAUUCAUGAAACACCCUAUCAGACCCAUGCUCAGAUGAGAGAUCUCCUGGAUCAAUUAGUCUCUAAUAUUAAGCUCCAUCAUUCCUUCAUUGAUAUGUCAUGCUCUGAAAUCUCUGCUAAAUUCUUGUCAGGUGACAGGAGGAGCAUUGUUGGGACGAGCAACUUGAUAUGACUCCCAUCAGGUCUAAGCUGCUCCCUGAAGUUAUCCAUAAGCAUAUAACACCUUUUCCAUAUCAUUGCAUUGUGAUAUGUUCAGUUGUCUCUGCACAGCACAUAGCCAAUCAUCUACCUCCAUAGGAUCAGCUGAGUGAGUAAAUACCGGAGGUCUUCCCUUCAUAAAUUCCUCAUGCUUAUCUCUCACAUAGACAGGCGGUGGGGUGGUGGUGGUGCAGGUUGAUGCUGAAGGUGCUGCAUAAAAGCAUGCAUCAUCUCAUUCUGAGUCUGCAUGAGCUCUUCCACAGUAAUUGGGGCAUUGCCACCUCUACCACAGCCUCUGCCUCUGCCUCUUCCCCUUGCUGCCAUCUGAAUUCCAAUGUACAGAAACAUAUCUCAAUAAUAUCCAACAUGAUAAAUACAAGAGAUAAUUGAAUCUGAUGUUUUCUGGGCGAUAUCCAACAUUAGUAGUUGAGAAAAUCAGUCAUAUUUCGAGUUCCAUAACUCAAAAGGAGACGUUCUUUACACCGUUGGAAAGAUAAAGAAAUUCUCUACAACUUUCAUUUAGGUCAUAUUAACACAUUCUGUGGAUAAAUUAGCCAAAACAGGGUAUAUCCGAAACUGUUCCAGAAUUCCAGACUACAGAGAAACCUCAACUUUGAACUGUUAUAUCUCACAGCUCUUAAUAGGUAAUAAUGUCAUUAUUGCGGCAUUGGAAAGAUAAUGAAGUCUAGUAGUUCCCAGAAAAAUUUGAUAAACUUUGCACGAACAGAAUUUCAGGUAUAUCAGAAUUAUUGCAGACUGCUUCAGAAAUCAGCAUGAGACAGAAACAGAAUUUUAACGAAACCGAACUAUUUAGUUCAUUAAUCCUUAUGCCUUAGGCCUAUAAACUAAAUGAAAUUGUGGAGAAAAUCCACAAGAUCAUUACACUCAUUACAAAGAACCAAAUCAAGCAUAAGCAUAAUAACAACCAAACCAAGCAUUAAAGGUUCACACUUCAAGCCUUGACUUAACUUGCGGUACUAUCGUUCUCUUCCUAUUAAGGGUAAAGAUCCUAAAACUCCUAUUUCAAUGACGCCAGAAAGUGGUAAGAGAAUGUUCUAAAAGCAUAUCAAGGCAAGGAGUGAAGGUAAGAACAAGUCUUUGAAAAUAAGCAUCAAGGUAAAGAUGAAUAGUAGGGAAAAAGAUAUAGUGUAGGAUAAAAUUUCAAGGUUUAUAGAACUAGGAUUUUAUAGCAAUUUUGAAAACUUAAGAUGGCCAAUUUCUAACUAGGCUUGCGUUCAAUAGUCAAUAAAGCUUUGAUACCAUUUGUCACACCCAAAUUUCAAGAACUAAAUAGAGUGCAUAAAAGACUCAUGUGCGCCCCAGAAACAGUCGCACACAGAAGUUGACAAACCUCAAAUGUUUAUUACAUAGUGGAAUAAUAAUUAUUACAUAGUUUCAAACAAAUAAAGAUACUCUCAAUGGAAGCACCACACAGGGACACUGUCAACAGGUUGACUCCAAGCCUAGUACUCAUAACGGUAGUCAUCAUUCCAGUCGUCUUCUUUAACAUAUCCCGAGGUGUUAUGAAAUAGCAAGAGUGAGCACAUGUCAUACUCAACAAGUAUAACCAGGGGUUCAUGAGGCUUAAUAAGCUAAUACUAGUUUAAUUGCAGUUAGCUUUUAUAUGUAGAUAGCAUGUUUAUAUUUAGAUAGCAAAUGAAAAGGUAGCAUAAUGAAAUCCCAUAACCACAUGAUCAAUGUAUACAAGAAUUAAGAAUAACACAUAUAAACAACAUAAUAAACAAUCAUUUAUCAUCAUUAAUCAUGUUUAUCAGUGUCCAUCUAUUCUGUCAGUUUUCUGGGCCGCCCGUAUUGAUGGGCAUGGCCAGUAUACCAGAUUUAACACUCUGCAGAGGUUGUACAUCUUUACCCAUGAGUCAUGAUUUACCCUUUCACCCGAGGUAGCGAGUCUCUUAACCCCCUUCCUAGGGAGGUCGGCAGGGAUCAGUAUGAAGCCUUUCAAAUGUUCAUCUAACAAGUUUGGGCGGCAAGGUUUCUCCUGCGUGCAAAUAUAGAGCCCCCUUCCAAAUGGCACAUUGACGCACAGCCUAUACACAUAAGGACAGAGGCCACGCUAUACCCAAAAUUGCAAGCCCCUCUAGCGCCCUUUCGGGUAACCUCUAACAAGCUAGAUAGGGUCCUCAUACAUAGCUAAAGCCAGAGCCAUAUAGCCCUCAUGGUUGUAUGAGUUGUCCUAGCUUUUGCCAAGGGAUAAGUCCUUAUGGAGGGUCAAGAUCAAUCUUGCAAAAUCUAGAGUUCUUUCUACCCAUAAUAAUCAAGUUUCUGGUUAGAUUAUUUUAUUUGUUUAUUGUAUAUCCAAAUAUUCAUGUUACAAGAUCAUGGAUUAUAAUCAAGCACUAGCAAGAACUACCCAAAUGUAUAUCCAAAUAGGUAUCAAGGAAUAAAAGAUAACAAUCAUCUAUGAUUUCAUUACGGUUGUCAUGGUGGACACACGCAUACGAUAUAUGUAUUAAAAGUGUGUAGGUAACAAGGAUAGUCUCAAGUUAUACUUGCCUUGACAAAGCUUUCUUGGAACUCCUGCUGGUCAUCAAAAGAUUGGCCUUGAUCACCAACGUAUUGCUCACUGUCUAUACCCGAUCAUCAAUCAGCAACACGCAUUCCAAUGGGGACAAUCAUACACAAAGUAAACAAGCUAUAAUUAGAACAAUACACCAACCGUGGUAAAACAAAUAUAAAAGUUUAUAAAAAUGUUCUACACAGCGCUACGAUCACACAGACAUAAAGAUCAUGAAAAUCAGAAUUAAAACGGAGAAGUUAUUAUUUUUCUAAGAUUUCCCAUAGAAAAAUAAUUAAUUAAAUAGUACCAUGAAAAUAAAAAGUUAGAAAUUGAGAAUACAGUGAUACUAACAUGUAGAGCUCGCAAAGACGAACCUAAUGCAAUUUGAAUGGACCAAAUCGGAGAUAAAAUGAGCAUUUUAUAAGCAUUUUAAAAUCAAUGGCAAACUUGUAAAUACUGAAAAGCGUAUUUUCCUUUAAACCGGCAAGAAUACGUUUUCAGAGCUGAAAAGCGUAAACCCGCCAAGGCGCCAUGGACCGUGGGUUGGUUCUCAAAAAUUCCAGGGGCUCUUUAACAAAAGUUACCCCGAAGGGGUAUCUUCCAAUCCUGAGCGUCGAUAGCAAUUUGGACGGGUGAGAGGGAUCGGGGCGGGUUUCGGCCAGCCGUCGGCGAGCCCCCAGGGUGGACGCCAUGGCCGGCGUCCAAGCUUCGCCGGAGUUCAUCGUUUUCACACUUUAGGGGAUCUCUGAGCAAAAGAACUACACCGGGGGAAAGAGAAUAAAGUCGCAAGCUCACCAGUGCCCUUCGUUCGCGCCGAGAAGGAGUAGAGAGGUCGUGCGAGGUGGCGGCUCGAUUUUGGGACUCAGUGAGAUCCAGUUUGAGUUCAAACGGCGGCUAGGGCUCGGGUUAAACGGCUUGAGUGCGAAAGGGGACCUGCGGGGUGAUGAAGGAGCUUUAUAGGGUGUCCCAAGCGCGAUAAACGGCAACAAAUCCCGCCCAGGCUGGGAUAGGCACGCCUGGUUGCUUUCAGUGGGAGUCCUGCUUGGCUACGUCUCGAAGAAGAAGGGGAUGGAAGCGCUGACACGUGGGCCCGGUGAGUCAGAGAAGAGGGAGGGAGAGUCAAGGCGCUGCCGUGGGGCCGGGGUGUUAGCGACCGUAGGGGAGAAAAGGGGAGGGCGCGCGCAGUAGGCCUGCUGGGCCGGUUUGGACCGAGAGGGGAGCCAGGUGAGCUGGGCCUCGCGUGGAACUGGGCCACCAGGCCGAACCGGAGGAAAGUCUACCUAUUUCAUUUUUCCUAUUUUGUUUUCUAAAGCUUUUUGAAAAGCGAUUUUAAAUCUUUUUGAGAUAAAACAAACACACAGUAAAAUAAGUAAAUAUUCCAGCAUGUAUGCACAAGCAUGUUACUAAACUUAUGAUAAAUUUUAAUUUCAAAAAAAUUUAUUUAUUUACUAAAUUAAAUGCUCACAAAUAUACUUAAAUAAAUCAAAUUAAAUCCUAUUAAUUAGAAAUAAAUUUUUUGGGUGUUACAGGAGUAAAAGAUGGACAAGUGUCCUAACCCAUGUUUUACUGCGAGUUCUAAGUUUAAAAGGAGGGAGUAAUUUUCAAAGAUCAAAAGUAGAAUUAGGAUUUGCCACUAAAUACUAUAUAUAUACCUAUCCACCUUAUUCCAUACACACGCACAUCUUGAUUUGAUUGUAUACCUUGAUUCUCUGUAGAUCCAUUGUUUGACUUUACAAUCUAUGAAUUGCAAGUAUGCUCAUCCAUGUUGUUGCCACUCCUAUAAGCUCCACUAUAUAUAUCCUUAGUUGUAGGAAGGCAUAACCUCAUUAAUGCCUAAGUGAGAUCCAUAAAUACUACAUAAUAAGAGACUUGAGGGUGUCAUACAAUUAAGCUCUGAGUUUGAUUUCGAAAAACUUGCAAAACUCCAGAAUAUUGGUACUGUGAAGAAUUUGAGACAUAGUGCUUGACUUGAUUUUUAUAUCUUUCGAUUACUCAAGACUUAUGGAAAAGUUGUAAAGCUCCAUGGUUAAAGGUAAAAUGGGUAAGUUUAAAAGUUAGACCAGAGGACAAUUUAUGUUUAAAAGUAAGUGUACUUAAAAGAAAUAAAAGCAUUGUAGCAACUCCUGAUCCAAGUUUAUAAAUUAGGCUUGGGUUGUUUGCUAAGGGACUGGCAAAAGGUAAGCUUGGAAGAAUUGUUGAUGGUCGAUAACAUCAACUUUUAUUAGAACUUUAAACCCGAAGGAGAACAUGAAUACACUAGUAUAGGGUUUAAACUAACAAUUUCCACAAGAUUUGCAUAUCUGUGUUUUCCAGGGUUUAUUUCACAGAGAGCUGAAAAGAGGGAUUCUAGUGCAUAUUUACCAUGAAACUCAUCCGCGACGGAAAAUAUCGUUAUCAGGCUCAGAAAGGGUCUAGAAGUCACCCGAAGGAACGAGAGCCGUGGAAGAGGAAAGGUGGGGCCGGCCGGCCCCACCCUGGGGCCGGUCGGUGCCCUGUUCUGCCUGUUGCUCGCCGCCUUCUGGAGUCUUCCUCCUACGCAUCCUUGGAAGCCAAGCAAAGUAUCCCUCCGUCGAUUUUAAGUCGGUUUGAUCUAACGGUGCGGUUCCUUGCCCCCUACUCCACCUCGGCCUAUAUAAUGACGCCCAAGGCUCCCCCCAAGAGACAUUCUACACCCCGGCGCUUCAUAUUCGCUACAUAAUUAGGGUUAGGGUCCCUCUAGUUGUUAUAGUUCUAGUUCAUCUAGAUCUAGUUCAUCUAGAUCUAGUUCAUCUAGAUGUAGCAAUUAGGAGAGACUAGUUCUUCUAGAUCUAGUCUUGUUUAGAAAUUAGAGAGAUUUAGUAGAGGAGCAGUGAUUCUAGAGGAGUUUCGGCCUGUCGGUGCUUCUUCGUGGCUGUAUUCUUCUGGAUCCAGUUUCUCUCGCCUAGAGCUGCGUUCUGACGUACUUUUGUACUGAACCCUUCUGGUUUAAGUAAUCAUCUUGUUCUUAUUUGUUCUUUGGUUCACAACUCAUAUUGAGUGCUUUGAUCUUGAUCGUAACUUGGUUGAAGUAGUAUUUCGUAGUGUAGGCGUGGUGUCUGGGCUAGGUUUACUUGUGCAUGUCCACUGAUCAGCCGGAAAAUGGUAGUUCGCGUAGGUGAGUUUAUAGCUAUGUUGAUUUCUCUGUAGUCCACUUCCCGUUGAUAGGAUUCAUAGGCUUAUAGGUGCCUGAUAGGGGGUUACUCUGAUUCUCCCCCUAUUCGGGUUACUUGCCCGAUAAGACGGUAUUAUUCAAAGUUUACUGGAGUCGGAACUAGAGUGCAUUAGUAUUCCCUUUUUCUUGAUAUGAUCUAGCCUAAUUGUAGGGUUAAGUCUAUAUUCUAUGUCAUCAUCAUAACUGUUCCCUGUGCAUUCGAUAUUUAAAACCUCUGCGUAAAAUGUGACGCUGGUACGAUAUCUAUGCGCUUACGGAAAAUCCUACUUAAAUCUAUUGAAAUAGAGUGCAGUUAAUUUAUACCAACAACAACCAGUGUUAAUGAGUUAUUGUUUAUUUAAUGAACAAAAGGAUAAACAUGCAUAAACUAUUUCCUGUAUACAAGUAAUGUAUCGGCUCAAUAGUUGAUCCAGCCACUUCCAUUCGUAAGCUUAGUAACCUAAUCAUAUUUAAAAGUAGUUCAAUGACUGGAUAACAAAUGUCAUAAUGCAUCAACAUUAUAUUAUCUUUAGGAGUUGACUUUCUAGUCAAUUUUCUUUGGUUAACGGCUAUUUCGAGCCAUAUAUUCUGGAACUAUCUGGCAACAACCGGCAGAUUCUAUAAUUUGACAUUUGUCUUUCUUCCUUAUCAAUUUUAGAUCAAAUUGACUCGCACGCCCCGAAUUCAAGUCACCAAGUUAAACUCGUGCAUUGAGGCUCAGGAGGUCCAGAAGUCUAGCUCCUACACACCCUCUGAGAGCCACCGAGAUUGUAGAGCAAGAAACAAAUUUUUGCACCAACAGAUGGUUAACAACCAACAACACCAUCCAUGUAUGCAAACAUAAGCGAUUUUAUCCGAUGGUGUGCAGAAUGUCAAUGGCACGGCAAUAUUAAUGCUUGAGAUGCUAUGUCUCUCACUAAUAAUCUACAAGUAGAAUUGUUUGAUGUUUGGGGUAUAGAUUUAUGGAACCUUUCCCUAAAACCAAUAAUUUCGAGUAUAUCCUAGUAGCCAUAGACUAUGUUUCCAAAUGGGUAGAAGCCAUGCCUUAUAAUUCGGCCAAUUCCAAAUAUCCCAUGAAAAUUUUUACGGAAGUCAUCUUUCCCUGUUUUGGAGUUUCUAGACAAGUCAUUAAUGAAGGAGGAUCACACUUCGUAGACACACAGUUUAGAAACUUUUUGACAAGUCUAGGAAUCCAACACCAUGUAGCCACACCUUAUCACCCUCAAAAAAGUGGCCAAGUAGAAACCUCUAAUAAACAAAUAAAGAACAUCCUGCAAAAGACAGUAGAGGAAAUGGGAAAGUCCUGGCAUGUUAAGCUCUAUGAUGCUUUGUGGGCAUAUCGAAUAGCCUUUUCUUUGACCCCCUACUGGUAUUUUAUUAUUAAAAUAUUUACAGACUACAAAGAGAGUGCCAAGACUAAAAGUCACGAAACAAAGAAAGUAACCAAGAAAAUGAAAAAAAAUUACAUAAAGUUCUGCAGCCAUAAAAGAAUCUGUGGAUGAUAUUUUGCUUUAGCUCGUAGAAUAACUAGAGCAAAUUCCUUUAUGAAAACUGAUUUGCAUCUUUGCACUGUAUGCGAGAUAUUUUGGAAAAUCAGGUCAUUUCUCAUCAUCCAAAUAGACCAACACAUAGUGAUAAUAAUUUCCAUGAAGAAAGGCGAUUGCAACUAAACUUUGAGGUUCUCUACUAUGGCCAGACGAUCGAAAGCAUUAGGUAUCACGAGAUGAAGAGUGUUCCAGCAAGCCAGCGAGAAGGGACAAUGAAAUAGCAGAUGACUGAUUUCUUCAUCAAUACCACAAGCACAGAGGACACAGCUGUAAUCUUGCAGCUGCAUAUUCUUUCUUCUGAGGAGUGCCCUGGUAUUCAAUCUCCUGUGAAGGACUAACCAAAAAAAGAAUUUCCUUUGUUUUGAUAAGAAGAUUUCCAAAGCCACUGGAAGGAUGGAUGGAUCUGCCUAUGACCAAUGAGAUGUCUAUAGGCUUUCUUGGAAGAAAAAUCUGGAGAGCCCCAGAUAUAGGACCAAGUGUCCUUAACAUCCUGUAUCUGAAGAUUUUGAAUGAGCAACUCCAAAUCCAAGUAUUGAGCAUAGGCUUCUGGAGGUAGAGGUAAAUUAAACAGAUCAUGAAGGGGAUUAGAAUUGCACGCCAAGAAUACAGAGAUGUCUGGGUUCUUCACAAAGGAAAAGAGUUCAGGAAAAGCUUGAUUCAGAAUUGUCCCAUUCCAGAGAUCUUGCCAAAAGAAACAAGACUUUCCAUCAUGAACUGUGACCAUGGCAAUCCCUUUAAAAGUAUCCAAAAGUUUUAGGAUAUCUUUCCACCAAAAAGAUCCUCUAAAAUUUGCCCUUACAAUUGGAAGUCUAUUCCUUGUGUAAUACUUAUCCCAGACCAUCUGAACCCAGGGAAUUGAAGCUCUAUUAAAGAAUUUGUGCAGAUGCUUUAGCAGUAAACUCUCAUUUUGAGCAUAGAGGUUUAGGACACCGAGUCCUCCUUCAGUUUUGGGGAGGCAAACCAGUGGCCAAGCUGCUUUUGGGGGCUUUUUACUUGUCAUGCCCGAGCCCCUCCAUAAACAAUGUUUUCUAUAUUUGUUAAUCUGUUUAAUCACAGUCUUUGGUAGCAAGAACGUGCACAUUGCAAAAGUUGGAAGAGCUGUCAAGACUGCAUUAGUGAGUUCUAAUCUUCCUGCCUCAGUCAAGAAGGAAGAGAAGGCUACAAGUCUUCUUUCACAUUUUGAAACCAAAUCGGAUAGCCUAUUAAACCCCAAUAGGAAUGUCCCCAUACCAAGUCGUGUAUGGAAAGACUUGUCACUUACCCGUAGAGCUAGAAUUUAAGGCUCAUUGUGCCAUAAAGAAGUGGAACAUGGACCUCGAGCUAGCCAGACAAAAUAGGAACAUGCAAAUAUUUGAGCUAGAGGAAUGGAGAGAGAGAGAGAGAGAGAGUGAGCUUAUCAUAGUGCCAAGAUUUAUAAAGAUAGAAUUAAAAGAUGGCAUGAUAAAGGAUUAAACAUAAAGAGUUUCACCCCGAAGAUAACGUUUUACUUCUUAACUCACGUGUGCGUCUCUUUGGUCAUGGUAAGCUUUGAAGUAAAUGGGAUGGACCAUUCAAGGUCGUUGUGGUAAAACCCCAUGGUGUCGUCACACUAGAAAGUGAUGAUGGAAGCUAUUUAAGGUGAACGGUCAACGCCUUAAUGUCUACUUUGAAUAUGAGAAAGAAGAAGCAAGAGAAAUAGACGUGGUAGGAUUUAGAGACCCUGAGCAUUGUGCAUGCUUCUUGAAUGCAAGCAACCUUGGGCCUUAACCCCUUUUAAUGGACCAAAGAAACGACUAAAAAGAUCUUUUCAGGGCCUCUCAUCAACCACACGUGCACAGAGUUCAAAAACUUUGGAAUUUCUGGCUCGGGACCCGGCGCCCACCGACUACACCCGGCGCCCACCAACCCCCUUCCACGAUUUCACGUCGGUUUGCCACGUGUUGGCCGAUCUACGCCUUUGGGAGUUCAGAAUUCCAAAUAUCAUCGAAAACUCGCAACAGAAAGAAGGAUGAGGAACUUUAAAUCCUGGCUCCAUCACUAAUCUUGAAUUAGUGAGAGAAGCAAUAAUACAUGAAACAGCUUGUUCCAGAAUAAAUUUUGAAUGCUCUAGUUUACUCGGGCCUUCCAAUUUUGUCUACAUUGGAUAAUCUUGGCACCAGCAUAUGUUACAAUACCAGCCAUUUCCAUCGAGUACCAUCCUGCACCCUAAACAAAAAGGUAUUCGAGAAUUAAAAGUUGCACCCUAAUCCACUAGCCUGAACCCAUAUUUGAGGGUAUUCGAGGGCAGUGUUCAUAAGCAGGAACAGGAUUUGGAAGCAUGUAGUCACUGAGCUGAGGAUGGCAGCAUAACAGCUCCCAAACAUCUGGAGAGUAUAGCCAGCAAAAAGAGCAUUGGUGGACCAAUUGGCAGCAUAUCAGCUCCCAACACCUGGAGAGGAUAGCAAGCAAAAAAGAGCAUUCGACCAAUUGAGAGCAUAACAGCUCCCAACACCUGGAGAGGAUAGCCACCAAAAAGAGCAUGUAGAUUGCCUAGGGUAACUUGAGGUUGCAAGGUCGUCUAGUCUCAUUCUUGUACUCCCUGCAUCACUUCUCAGAUAAUUUUGGAACUUAGAUGUCAGAGUAGGUACAGCAGGAUAUAAGUUAAUAGAACUUUGCUGGAGAAACCCACAUGCCAAAAGGUUGUUGUUCAUUUUGCAGCCAGUUCACAACAAUCCUGGGAAAUGGAAUGAAAUUAGAGGUUCAACACUAGUAUUCCAGCGAAAACAAAUUUCGUAUGCAAAUGCAAAUUUCGUAUGCAAAUGGACAUGUAGCACUUGAGAAUAAAAUGCACAAAGAAACACAAAUUCUCAUACAAAUUUAGGACCAUUCGGACAACACAUAUGAAAUUACCAUCAUAUCGAGAAAAAAUGCUGGACAUUUCUGUUCACAGAACUGCAAUAUGUGAGAUUACCCACGUCCUAUCCAAAAAGCUGAUGCAUGGAAAUUUCUUUGCUCAUAUAAUUAAGCCAAAAAUAGAAAAAAGAAAUAUAUUAACAUCAUUGCAAAGUAACAAAAAAAAGAAAAAAUUCCCUUGGCUCGGAGAUUCAGUUGGACACUGGAAAUGCAAAGUUAUAGAAAAGGAAAUGCAUUCCCAUGAAAACUUGAGAUAAGAAUAAUGGGUUCAUAUAGUGUGCAUAGGAUAAGAUUCUCACGAUAUUAUGAUAGUUUAACCUUCGUUCAAAAAAAGAAUAUUCACUAACCUGGGCCUGGGAAUUCUUUAGUUCAUCUUUAUACUUCAGUAUCAUCUGGUAAUAUUUCAUCCUCAGAUCUUUACCCUUCUGUUUUACCCUAUUCGUCACAAAGGCAUUGUAUUCCAUUUUAUCAAACGCAGAUUCCUCAUUCUUCUUAAACCAUUCGCAGAUCGCUUCUGUAAUAGCCAUCACAUAUACACCACAGUUAUAUGAGUCCUCCUGCUGUGGCACAGGGGCAUCACAGACAUCUUUGGCAAAAGCAGGGUUCAAUUCUUUUAUUCUUCCAGAAAUAAAUUUCGCCACUUCCUGGUUAGCUGGCCUUGCAGUGUCAUAAUGAUGGAGCAUGUGCCUUGUGUUGUGCAAAGCUAACAAGCUAUAAUGGACCCCAGUAUCAGAAUCAUAGGCAUUCAACUAGUGACUAUUCAGAGGAAUAAAUACUAAUUUAUAUUGAAGCAUUCUUGUGAUACCAUUCUUAUCGUGCAUUAACAUUGUUGAUUCAGCUUGACUUAACAGUAGGAUCUUCUCAUUUCUGUAGGUGGUAGAGAGGAAGGCAAAUAUUCUCUGAAUUACACCAUCAGUUAUCCACCGUGUACCAGUAAGACUUUCUAGGUCUAUUUGCAUCGCUUUAAGCUGUGCAUCACUUAGUCCAUCUGUACGCUCAGAUGGUACAUUAAGAUUUUUUAGGUUUGUAAACAGUGCUUGACGCCGUUCACUUAGUCCAUCCGUACGCUCAGAUGGUACAUUUUCCUGCAAGAAAAAGAAAACCAUAGCACAUUUAAAGCUAUAAGGCGCACUACAUGGCCUUGAUGGGAAACAAAACUAAAUCCGCAGCUGGAUCUUAUGGAUCAAGAAUCUACUUUCCAAAAGUGAGUGAGAUUAAGUAAUAUUUCUAAAACUCUAAGAAGCAAAACAGAAGUGGUACUGCAUGCACUGAGUUCUUCAGAAGUGACAUUGCUUACACUGAGUUAGCCUAAAUAUCCCUCAAACAAAGCUUUUCUGCAGAAGUAUUCUCUACUUCAGUGGUAUUCAUGAUAGCUGGGUCACGGACAGCUUCAUGGUUUAGUAUCAUCUGGUGAUAUUUCGUCCUCAUAUUGUGAACUUCACCCAACUCUUUUACCCUGUCUCUCAAUUCAUGUGUUAAUUCCUCAUUUUUCAUAAACCAUUCACAGAUCACUUCUGUAAUGGCCAGCACAUAUACACCACAAUUAUAUGGGUUCUGCCGCUGUGGCAUAGGGGGCUCAUAUAUAACCACUUUGGCAAAAGCAGGGAUCACUUUUCUAAUACUUUCAGCAAGAGAUUCUGCAACUGCCCGGUUAGCUGACCCUAUAAUGUCAUAAUGAAGGAACCUGUGUGUGCCUUUCUUUCUGUUGUGCAAAACUAACAAGCUUAAAUGGACCCUAGCAUCAGAAUAGGGACGCAUCUCUACACUUUUCAGAGGAAUAAAUACUAAUGAAAAAUCAAGCAGUGGUAAUCUUGCAAUAGCAUCCAUAUUGGACAUUGACGUCACUGACUCGCGUAACAAUAGGAUCUCCUCAUUUCUGAAGGUGGUAGUAGAGAAGAUGGCAAAUAUUCUCUGAAUUACACCAUCAGUUAUCCGCUUUGUACCAUUAAGACUUUCUAGGUCUGCAAGCAGUGCUGUAUGUUGUGCAUCACUUAGUCCAUCAUCUUUAUGCUCAGAUGGUAUAUUUUCCUGCAAGAAAAAGAAAACCACAACACAUUUAAAACUAUAAAGCGCAAUAAAUGGCCUUGCUGGGAAACAAAACUAAAUCUGCAGCUUGAUCUUAUGGAUCAAGAAUCUACUUUCCAAAAGUGAGUGAGAUUAAGUAAUAUUUCUAAAACUUUAAGAAGCAAAACAGAAGUAGUAUUGCAUGCACUGAGUUCUUCAGAAGUGACAUUGCUUACACUGAGUUCUUCAGAAGUGGCAUUGCUUAAACUGAGUUCUUCAGAAGCCUGAAUAUCCCUCAAACAAAGCUUUUCUGUUGAAGGAUUCUCUAGUUCAGUGGUAUUCAUGAAAGCUGGGUCACGGACAGCUUCAUGCACAGCAUCACUCAGUCCAUCAUCUUUAUGCUCAGAUGGUACAUUUGCGUGCAAGAAAAAGAAAACCAUAGCACAUUUAAAGCAUUAUGCGCAAUCUUCUGGAUCGAAUCUACAUUCCAAAACUGAGGAGUGAGAUUAAGUAAUAUUUCUACUUUAAGCAAAACACAAGUGGCAUUGCUUACAUCCAGUUCUUCUUCAAAAGCAUUCAGAUCCUUCAACCAAAGCUCUUUUGGUUUAGUCUUCUUUAGUUCAGAGAUAUUCUUCUUUUGAUGUUCACAUUCAGCUUCCAACUCCUCUACCAUCAGAGUAAAGUUAACAAUUGGCAUGAACAAGAGGUAGUCAUAUCCCCUUAUGAUUUCUUGUGCUUUGGCACCAUCCUGAUUCUCCCAAGAGGGCUUGGCUUGUUCAAAUUCCUCAAACUGCAUUUCUCUGAGCUUCGUAUGUAGGCCUUCUUUAUCCAUGUCAAAUAAUUUGAUUUCUCCGGUUCGAACAGCUUUAAUAAAUCUAACUUUGUUCUGUGCCAUUUUCAAGUCGCGGCCAGCCAUUUCCACUAGCUUUUGCUGCAUAUUGACAAUUACUAAAUGUGAUAUCAAAUAGUCCAAAGAAUAUGUGCCAUUCAAUUAUUAAAUGGAAACGUACCUGUUGGGUAUUCUUAACAUCAUUACCAAAAGUAGACUAAGUUCUCUAAAUCUAGUAACGGUGCCAAAAAUGCCAAACCUAUCCCUCACACCACUUAAGCCAAGUUGUCAUCCCCAGCAUGACAUGAGAGACGCGGUAUUGAAAUAUGCAAUUGCUCUUCUAAAUAAAUAAUGAAUGGGAUCUGCAAGCGCACAGAUUAAUACCGAUGCAGCAUUUUAACCGGGAAGUAUUCCAGGUAUCGUUAUUUAUAUUUUUACCACUGGGAAGGGAUUAGCAAUCAUCAAUAUUGAUUACAGAAUAGAAUAUGAAAUUGAGUAUCUAUCACUGCAUGUAUAAUUGAGAACAUUAUAUCUAACUCUUCAUACAGGGAUAAGUGUCACAUAAAAGAUAUAUGAAAUAAUAAUAGUGACAAGGAUAACUAAUCUGAUCUAGCCACAUAAUAAAUAUGAUAAGCACCUCAAUUAGAUACUCUAGAAAGUCAUUAGCAUGGUAUUAGAACGAACUACAAGAAUAUUCCCUAAAUUAUUCUUAACUAUAUAGUCUAGCAUUAUCAUAAUUAGUGCAAGCAUACUUAGCAAUCAUUGUGAGACAAGACUACGCCCAUGCAUAGUGAUAUUAGCAAGGAAUAUGAGAAACAUAGCAAUCACUCCCCUGUAAUAAUGUUGCUCUGCCAGCCCAAUACACGAGAGGGGGACUAUAUAAGAAUCAAUGAAGCUGUCACUAUCACGAACCACCCCACGAUCUGGCAUAUUGGGUACAAUCGCAGAUAAAUACGGUAUAAGCACCACGCCUACACAAUAUCUAUCAUUUACCCAUGGAUCCGAUGGAUAAACGCUAUACGAUCCUAAGCAUGUAUAUAGAUCCAAUCUAACUAAGCCAAGUACAUAACUAUGAUAAACUAAAAACAAUAUAAUCUUGAAUAUAAGCAAGUAGAGCAAAGUCAUAAGCAAUAUAUUGAAGUAGGACAAAGUCAUAUUCAUAAUAUUGAAGAACAAAGAUAAUUAGAAAGCAAUUAGAAGCACAAUUAGAGAAUUACCAAGAAUCCUCCUGACAGAUCCGGAAACCAAUCGAAGAUUGACUCCUUCUAGUUCUAAUCCUAUGUAGCUAUGCUAAUCUUGAUAUCUAAUUCAUGUGGUGGCUCUAAUCUUGAUCAGAGGCUUCUUCUCCCUUGAGGAACAAUGAAUUAGGGUUGAGAGGCUCUCUCCUCCAGGGGCCAGGGGGUCUGGUUUUAUAGUCCCUUCAAGUGAAUAUGGGCCGUUGGAUCAAACCGACAUAGAUUGUAUGGUUUAGAUUCAUCCUUUAGGUCGGUGGAAAUCUCCCGCUAAGCAGAGUCCUGAUUGGACUCAGGAGGUGGGCGGGAGCCCUGACCAACUGGGCGGGCGCCCAGGGUCUGGCCCCGUUUCGCCACCGCUUCGGUCUCGUGGCUUCUGGAGUCUUCUAGAUGUAAGAUAAUUGCACGGCACGUUAAAAUCUCUAUGUAAUCCUGACGUGUGGGCCUUUCUUCCGUAUUUCCUGAUAACCCCCUGCAGAAAUAGACAAACACCAAACUCGUGGAAUUCUGUCACAUAAAACCCUAAGUCUAGAUCUUGAUUUCAUUUGGAUCUUUUUCUUUAUUUAUUUGAUAAUUAAAUUUGAUACUUAAGGACCGUCAACAAACUCCCCCAAGCUUACCUCUUGCUCGUUCCUGAGCAAGGAUAGACUCAGCUAUGGAUCAUAAGUUGUUGCAAUAUCUUAAAAAAAUUGACGGUACACAUGCUUUUUAAAUAAGAUCUUAUCUCUGAGUUAGAGUAAACUGUCAAGACUUAAAACUUACUUACUUUACCUUCACCUUGGGACUUGUAACCGUCACUUCUGUCUUGAGUAGUUAAAAGAUAGAAAAGUCUAGCCAAGUGCCAGGUCUCUCAUUCUUGAUCAGCUAUAACUCUGGGGUUUUUGCAGAUUUUCAAAUAAAACUCAGAAAUUCCUUGUAUGACUUUCUCAGAUCUCUCUUUUGUGGUAUUUCUGGAUCCUUACCAAGGCAGUUAUGAUAUAUGCCUUCUCUCAAUAUAUGUAGUAUUUGUGGUAUGAGGCAUAGUGACAUUGCCUUCUCUCUCACCUUACUCUAAUAAGGCUUUUAAUAUCUGGAGCUCAUAGGUGGGAGAUAAAAUAUACAUACUUACAAGACAUUUAUUGUAUAGUCAAACUAUGGAUCCAAAGAAACAAAUCAAUAAGUCAAAUCAAGAUGUGCAUGUGUGGCGAAUGAAUGGUGUAUGGUGAUGAUGGUGAUAACAAUGGUGGUGGAAGUCUAAUUCUACUUUGCUCUUUUAGGGAAUACAUACCUUCCUUGCUUUUGAAACUUUAUGAGGAGAAUGAGAUGCUCUUCUUUUUCUUUUCUCUCGGGUGGGUAUCUUGUACCCAUAAUUCUACUGUCGGACACUUGUCCAUUUUUACCUCUCGUCUCACUUUUUCUUUUCUUUCGAGGUUCCGAGCACUUGCUCCUUUUUAUUUCCUCGUAUUUAUAUAUAUAUAUUUUUUAGAGCAGUCAUCUCAUGAGAUAAUAUAGCCAGUGGUAGUAACAAGAUAACUUGAGCAUUUAUUUCACAAGGGAAAACAUAAAUAUUUUUGGCUAUUCUCUCUCGGAUUAGGAGUAGAAUAUUUUUGAGUGGUUCUGGAGAUGGAAUUGGAUGGAUAUAUGUGGAUGGUACUUCCGGAGUAGAAGUAGCAUAUAUGAGUGAAUGUGCAAGUGAAUCUUGAUUUAACCACAUGACAAGCUCCUAAGGGUCCACACAGCUUGACCACACUCAAUGCUCAUAAGCAGUAAAUAGUAAAUGUGUGGCUCAAAGUCUAGCAAGCAUGUAUAUAUGGCUGUGGUAGGAAUUUAAACUCUCAUCAUACAGGAACUCAUCAUGCAACAUUUUAAAGAUUUUCAAAGAUAAAAUUCUCCAGAAUUCUAGCAUCUCUAGGAACAGAUAAACAGCAGCUCAACCUUCCCAUAUCGUAUCCGUUAACAACUUAGACUUCAGAUCAAGUUUUCAUCCCACAAGUUUAGAUCUAGAGCAAGCUUUAAAUUAUAACAGUUAUGUCUAAACUUGAGAGAGAACUUAAAAUGUGCAAAUUAGGCAGAGCAACUAUUCAUCAUAUCCAUGCUUAAGUUUUAUUUAGAUACAGAUUAGCAUAGCCACUUUAUUUAUUUAUUAAACACACUAAGCAAAAAAUAUAAGUAUGAAAUCUUUAUUUGGUUUUCCAUAGAUAUGUAUAUUUAUAUUCUAAAAUAAUAUAAGUAUAAAGAUAGAUAGAUAGAAAUGCUUAUCGAGAUAAAUGGGGGUGCUCUCCCCCAAGCUGAAUUUUGACGUAAUUUUUCUUGAUGUAGCUAGCAGGUGGCAGAGGUGUAUUUGAAAGUCAGCAGCAUUCUAACAGCGAUUAGAAUGUCCUCCGUCUGCUAGUCUUCCUGAUUCUUAAAUUCAGUGGAGUUCAAAUAGACAACAAAGCUUGUGGAACUUGAUUAAGUGUUAGCAUAAAUAUCUAGCCCUUAUCAUGUUGAGACUCCUUAAUUAAUUAUUACUCCUUGUUUUUAUAUUUUUAUUUUAUAAAGCAGAAAAGAAAUAUUUAUUUUAUUUUUAUACCACCACAGUGAAUGUACUUAUGGGUUUUAUGCCACUCGCAUACUCACAUGGGGCUUACUAUUUUUCACAUUUUUAUUUUCUUUUUAAGAUAAUACGAACAUGAUUAACUAAGUAAACUAGUUGAAAUAAUUGAAAGGAAAAGGAUAACUACCAAGUUUACCUCAUGGCAAGGCGUUCGGUGUUUUUAAGUCCUCCGAACGGGACUCUCCAAUUUCUUAAUCGUCCUGAGGUUUGUUGGGUGGUGUAGUCGGUACUUCCGGCAGCGCCUCCUCUUCAUGUAUAGUUAUCUUUAUUUUCCAUACCUGACUCGGUGCUUCAAUCUCCUCUGGAUAACUUUGUUUAAACUCAACGUCUUCUGACCUUACAACUUCUCCUUCAUAGUCUGCCCAUCCGUCCUUGAUGAUCUGCCUCCUCUGGUUGCGGUUGCGUCGCUUUUUGACCUGCUUAGAUUCUUCAACGAUAUAGUAAGGGUCAGUAAAAUAACGGCGUACCUUCUCUGAGGGGAAGUGCAUAUGGACUUCUCCGGUUCCAAUGUAGAUAAUUGCUUUAACGGUGCUAAGGAACGGUCUUCCAAGAAUGAUGGGUGGAUCAUACUCGUCUUCUCCCAUGUCAAUAACUAGAAAGUCUGUGUAGACAAAGUGAUCGUCUAUUUUGACUGGGACAUCAGUUACUGUUCAUUUAACUUCUCAAAAUGUCUGAUCUGCCAUCUGAAGCUGAAUGUAUGUUGGUCUUAGUGGCAUGGUUCCGAACAAGCCGAUAGGUGACUGCAGCCAUUAUGUUGACGCCCGAUCCGGUGUCGCAAAUCGUCUUGUAGAAGCUAUAUCCAUGUAUGGAGCAGUAGAUGCUUGGCAUUCCUAGGUCGUCCUUCUUGGUCAAAAACGGUGACUUAAGUUGUUGAUCUUGGCCUCCAUGAACUGCAGUGACCAUCUUAGCUGACUCGGUCCACACUUGCUUGUACCUAUUCCUCCUGUUGGUCCUCUUCCUUGAUUCACGUCUGGAUUGAUCUGGGAUUUGUGUAGUCUUGUUUUUGAAGAAAAAUGUCUCCUUCUUCCCUUUGACGUAGAAACUGAUCUUGGCAGCACUAGCGUAGAUGAUUGCUCCCGUGGUGUUCAAGAAUGGCCUCCCUAGGAUGAUAGGUGCUCUCUCAUCAUUUCCGGUCUUUACCACUACGAAGUCUGCAGGGGCAUAUAAGGUACCAACUCGGACACAAAGGUUCUUCACUAUUCCUUUUGGAAAAGUUAUCGUCUGAUCUGCAAACUGCAAACACAUGGUUGUCUCUAAUAAAGGAUAUGUAAAGAAUUUUUCAUAGAGUACCCUGGGUAUAAUGUUGACACUGGAGCCAAAGUCGCAGAGUGCUUCUGGGACGUCCACCAUGCCGAUGGAGAUCGGGAUGACGGGGCGUCCUGGAUCACCUCUCUUGACCGGCAGAAGGUCAGUAGAGAAUUCAGUGACGGGGUUACUCCAAUUACCUGCAUCAAAGAUGUCUACAAGAUUUGUAGAUUCUAAUCCUUCCGGUUGUGAUGGUAUACCGGGGUUAGUAGUAGGAACAGCAGCAGCUAUUUGAUUUAACUGAGAUUCAAUCAUUUUAUUAAAGCUAAUUUAAUUCUUGAUGGCAGUAGAGAAAUUAUCCAUUCUAUUAUUUAUAUUUUCUAGCAUUUUAUCAUUAGAUGCCAAUUUCUUAGAUAGGUUAUCCAUUAGUUUUCCUUGAUUAGACACUAACUCUCUCAAAGGUGGAAAAUUAUUAUUAUUGUUGUAAGAAUUGUUACCUUGAUAAUUACCUGAGUAGUUAGGCCUCUGUUGAUUCCAACCUUGAUUUUGUUGAGGACGGUUGUAGUAGUAGUAGUUGUUGUUGAUUUAGUUCACAUCCUCAAGUAUCUCAGGGCAGUGAUUGCCUGAGUGUCCAGUGUCUACACACUACUCGCAAGUCAUGUGAGAGUCGUAGAUGUGCAUAACUUCCUUCUUAUCUCCAGCUCUAUCGUCGAGCUUCUUUAUGAGCAGGUCUAGCUUUGCAGACAGCAUAUCUACCUCCUUCAGCUGAUGCAUACCUCCACCUCUCUUGCGUGUCUGGGUCCUCUCUUCAUUCCAGCCUUGAUUGGACGCCAUCUUUUCCACAAGAGCUGUGGCUUGUGGUAAGUGAUAAGAAUGCUCCUCCAGCUGCAGCAUCCAUGGUUUCUCGGGCACUGUUGCCGAGUCCAUGAUAAAAUGUCUGCAUCAAUAGCCAACUCUCCAUUCCAUGAUGGGGACAUUCUAGGAUGUAGUCUUGAAAGCGCUCCCAUGCUUCUGGAAUAGAUUCAUUAUUUUGUUGCUGAAAAUUUGUAAUCUUCCCACGGAGAGCAUUGGUCUUGCCCAUGGGAAAGAACUUUGCCAGGAAGUUUGUUGAACAGAGUGCCCACGUAGUAUUCUUCUGCUUUGUAGCGUAGAACCACUGCUUCGCUCUUCCUAACAGUGAGAACAGUGAGAAUGGGAAGAGGCGAAGUAGUAUAGCAUCUUUGGAAACUCCUGAUAUGGUGAAUGUGUUGCAAAUCUCCAGAAAGUGUUGUAAAUGAGCACUAGCAUCUUCGUGUGCCUUCCCACAGAACUGGUUGGAUUGCACCAUGUUGAUAAGUCCAGGCUUGAGCUCAAAGUUGCCAUCGAUCUCUGCAGCAGGUCCAGUGCGGAUGUUGUCCGUAGUGGGAGCUGAGAACUCGCGGAUUGAUUUGUUCGCCAUGGCUUUGAACUCUGAACACAAGUUCCGGUGAUCUUCUUGAUUGGAUGAAGCUUCUUACUGAAGUGUUGAUGAUCUCUUCUUAAGCUUGGCUCUCGUCUCCUUGAAUAAUGCUUCGGGAUUGUCAACAAAAUUUCCUGGAAGAUGUCUUCUAUUCAUACAUUCCCCUGCAUAAGAUAAAAUAGGAAAAUAUCGGGGUAAAACUGUAUGGGAGAAUAGAUAAGCUCAAUCAUAUUAGUGAUGCGAAUGAUAACUCAAAAUCUUUUAUUCUAUUCCUGAUUGGUAAUCAACCUUCCCCGGCAACGGCGCCAAAAAUGCGUGUUGGGUAUUCUUAACAACAUUACCAAAAGUAGACUAAAUUCUCUAAAUCUAGUAACGGUGCCAAAAAUGCCAAACCUAUCCCUCACACCACUUAAGCCAAGUUGUCAUCCCUAGCAUGACAUGAGAGAGGCGGUAUUGAAAUAUGCAAUUGCUCUUCUAAAUAAAUAAUGAAUGGGAUCUGCAAGCGCACAGAUUAAUACCGAUGCAGCAUUUUAACCGGGAAGUAUUCCAGGUAUCGUUAUUUAUAUUUUUACCACUGGGAAGGGAUUAGCAAUCAUCAAUAUUGAUUACAGAAUAGAAUAUGAGAUUGAGUAUCUAUCACUGCAUGUAUAAUUGAAAACAUUAUAUCUAACUCUUCAUACAGGGAUAAGUGUCACAUAAAAGAUAUAUGAAAUAAUAAUAGUGACAAGGAUAACUAAUCUGAUCUAGCCACAUAAUAAAUAUGAUAAGCACCUCAAUUAGAUACUCUAGAAAGUCAUUAGCAUGGUAUUAGAACGAACUACAAGAAUAUUCCCUAAAUUAUUCUUAACUAUAUAGAGAAGCAUUAUCAUAAUUAGUGCAAGCAUACUUAGCAAUCAUUGUGAGACAAGACUACGCCCAUGCAUAGUGAUAUUAGCAAGGAAUAUGAGAAACAUAGCAAUCACUCCCAUGUAAUAAUGUUGCUCUGCCAGCCCAAUACACGAGAGGGGGACUAUACAAGAAUCAAUGAAGCUGUCACUAUCACGAACCACCCCACGAUCUGGCAUAUUGGGUACAAUCGCAGAUAAAUACGGUAUAAGCACCACGCCAACACAAUAUCUAUCAUUUACCCAUGGAUCCGAUGGAUAAACGCUAUACGAUCCUAAGCAUGUAUAUAGAUCCAAUCUAACUAAGCCAAGUACAUAACUAUGAUAAACUAAGAACAAUAUAAUCUUGAAUAUAAGCAAGUAGAGCAAAGUCAUAAGCAAUAUAUUGAAGUAGAACAAAGUCAUAUUCAUAAUAUUGAAGAACAAAGAUAAUUAGAAAGCAAUUAGAAGCACAAUUGGAGAAUUACCAAGAAUCCUCCUGACAGAUCCGGAAACCAAUCGAAGAUUGACUCCUUCUAGUUCUAAUCCUAUGUAGCUAUGCUAAUCUAGAUAUCUAAUUGAUGUGGUGGCUCUAAUCUUGAUCAGAGGCUUCUUCUCCCUUGAGGAACAAUGAAUUAGGGUUGAGAAGCUCUCUCCUCCAGGGGCCAGGGGGUCUGGUUUUAUAGUCCCUUCAAGUGAAUAUGGGCCGUUGGAUCAAACCGACAUAGAUUGUAUGGUUUAGAUUCAUCCUUUAGGUCGGUGGAAAUCUCCCGCAAAGCAGAGUCCUAAUUGGACUCAGGAGGUGGGCGGGUGCCCUGACCAACUGGGUGGGCGCCCAGGGUCAGGCCCCGUUUCGCCUCGGCUUCGGUCUCGUGGCUUCUGGAGUCUUCUAGAUGUAAGAUAAUUGCACGGCACGUUAAUAUCUCUAUGUAAUCCCGACGUGUGGGCCUUUCUUCCGUAUUUCCUGAUAACCCCCUGCAGAAAUAGACAAACACCAAAACUCGUGGAAUUCUGUCAGAUAAAACCCUAAGUCUAGAUCUUGAUUUCAUUUGGUUCCUUUUCUUUAUUUAUUUGAUAAUUAAAUUUGAUACUUAAGGACCGUCAACAGUACCUUUCUUUUCUCAUAAAAAGCAAGCCUCAAGGCGAGUAUAAAUGACACAAUUUAGUUACAAUACGACAAAAGAAAUAAAAAAUGGAGGUCUUGUAGCAAAAAGGUAGUACAUACUUUGCUCUGGACUGUCAUUCUUUUUAAUUAUGCCAUUUGAAUCCAACAAAUGCAUAUUUGAUGUUCCCAUUGAUGUUCUCAGUUCAAACUUCCUCUGAAGAUCUACUUCAUUGGCUUGCACCAAAUUCUCAGAAUUCUCAUGCAAGUGUAUCAUUAUUUCAACAUCAUUGCCGCCUCUCUUUUUUUCAUAACUCUGUAAAAUUAUUAUGAUUAAAAACUAGUGGACAACAAUCAUUUCAUGAUUAAAACAUACUAUGUAAUCAAUUACCUUGAUGAAUUUGUCUUCUCCGUCCAUAAAAGUUUUAAGCUUCCUUUCAUAAUUCUCCAUCGAGAUCUUCACUGGGAGCUCACUUAUUUUUAGUGUAGUUUUGUCAACAACCUUUAUGAUACCACUAGCGGUAUAGGUAACACCUGAUUUCUUGGUCUUGGUAGUUUUGUUUUUGACACUCACUUCUCCCUGUUGGUUCAUGUACACAAGAUAAAACACCAACAUUAGAUUUUUUUAAGACAAAAAUAAAAACAGAAUUGUAAAAAAAACAUGUAUUACUAACGUGGAAAUGUCUGAACCACGGUUUCAUUUCUUCCAACGUCUCUGAUCCCUGUAUCUUUAGUUUCAAAUUGUGUACAAUGUCUUUGGGAUUGUAACAAGGAAUCUUUGUGCUCCAUCCAGUACCAAUUCCUUCAGCGCCAUUGACUAAAAUCAUUGGAAGGUUGGCAAAUACCUAAAAAGUGACAACCAGGCCUUAGCUACUUAUUAUAAAGGUCAAAUUGCUGAGGAUGGAUGGAGCAAGUGGUGCCUAGUUAUUACCAUGAAGGUUCAAUUGACUGCCCAUCUUCACACAGAUAAUCGAGCAGAAUAUCAUCAUUUUCGUUAAAUUUCCUGCAAGUGAUACUUGAUAACUCUAUGAAGAUAUAUCUAGCACUAGCAGCAUCUUUGCCUGCCAAAAAUGAAAAACAAGCAUGAAUAAAAUGUUUAACAACUAGUUUUCUCAUAGUGGCUUGUUAACUCGCCUCUAAUCUUGUACCAAAUUGCCCAUUGGGACGCAAAAGGUUGAUAUUGUUGCUUCCAACAAAAUCUUGAGCCAUUCUUACUAUUGUGUUUGAUAGAUUUCCUUCACCGUGAUGAUAAGCAGAACAUUCUGCCACAGACGCGGCGAACUUUGCCACCUGUGAUCAAGUAUUAAAUUAGCAAUAUUAUAAGGCUAAUUUAGAGAGAACAUGACACAUAAAUCAUAAUAUGGCAGCCCGACCAGAGGCUCAACCCUUUUCUACUUAUAAGUUAGGACUGAAGCUUUGGAGUGGAUAUGAUUCUCAUCAUCAUAGACUAUAUGGAACAAGCUUGAGAUUGACAACCCACAAGACAAGAGUUUCAAGCAAGCUAGUCUACCUUUAUAUAUUCAGGUGCCAGUAUACAUAAGGAAACUAAAACUAAAUAUAUAAUGGCGAUCCAAUCUAAAGAAACUAUGGAAUACAAAAGAUCGAAGCCUACCAUAUUCUCGGCUAUAGCGCCGACUGAUAUGAAAAUAUGUGGAAAAGAUUCAUAUUAGAAAAAACAAAUGAUAGUUGGGAUGUCAUACCUUUGUUUCCUUGUUCAAUUUUUUCUUAAAUGCGCUGAACAUUAUCUUUCUCUGCCCUUUUUUAAAUCCAUCUACCGAUGCAUCUCUAAUACCAUGUAUAAUGUGAGCCCUUUCUUAAUGAAGUCAAGGAUUCUUUUGUUUUCCCAGUUUGAGGAAGUACACUUUCUUCAGGAUGAAAUUUUUGUUAUCACAUUAAUGUUGGUCCUUAAAUUAACCUGAAUGAAUCUUUAAAAAUAAUAUCAAGACCGACCUUGCAGUUAUGAAGAAAGUUAUAAAUCCAUUUCUUCCUUUCCUCCACUUUAUGUUUACUGAAUGCUGUCUUGAUAGCCUUAUCAUCUUCUUCAUUCACCCACACAAAAUAUUUCUGAUGGAUGUCAAUAUCUAUGAAAUAUUGCAUCCCUUCCUUAAGUGUGCUCGUGCCUAACCCCAGUAUGUAUGAAAAAUGUCCAAGUUGAAGACCACAUAGAAAAAUUGAAAUGAUUAAAAUUUGAGCAAAAAAACACACCUUAUAGUACUUUAUAGACCAUUUACUUAAUUCUGUCCCAUGUUUACUUUUCUCCCAUGCCGUAUACUCGUUUAGUGUAUAGAAAACCUGACUUGGACAAUCUCUUGUAUAAUCCGUAACCUAAACAAGUUUUAAUCCGUGACAUGGUAAGUUUUAUGAGUCUUAAUAACUGAAACCUUAACAAAAAAUGUUAAAGCAAGUAACAAGUGGCAUACCUUUAAAAUUGGGGUAACUAAUUCACACAAAAGGAUUUAGAUUUAAUCUUCAGAAGGGAAGGCCAAAAAACAUGAAAUAAGUUAAUGAUCAAUCCUUUAAUAUGAAAUCCAUCUGGAUCCUGGUCGGUCAUGACCAUAACUUUACCAUAUCUCAAAUUCUUCAAAUCUUUUUCAUCAUUAUAGUGUUUUUGUAGUCUAAACCAAUAAUCUUUCUCAUAUUGUUAAUUUCCUCAUUGUCCAAGAUGACGCAUCUCUCACAUUCAGUAGCUUACCCUUCAAUGCAAGAACUCCAAAGUAGUCCCUACGAACAGAACCUAGCUGCUGAGGAGAACAAAACUUACUCAAUACUCUUGUCAAUAUAAAAGGAACAUAUGUGCAAUGAAAUGUGCAAUCAACAGUUACUAAUUGCAGGGGAACUUCAAUAUAAGAAUAAGAACUACGUGGAAAAUAAUUUUUCUAACAUCUUGAUCUAAUCAUUAACACAUGUGUGCACAUAUGAAACUUGGGAUUCCCAAAUACAAGUCCGAUUAUAACCUUUUAUCCUAAAGACUCAAGUCCAAUCAUAACCUUUAAUCCUAAAGACUCAGCUAACUAAAAAAAAUCUGAAUCAAAAACUUUUUGCCUUGAUUAAACUCUUGGCUGAAAUUUGAGUUUUUCAUAAAAAUCAAGGAAAUUUGGGACAGACCACACUAAAUCACUAAAUCUGCCAUUGAUACUUGGUGUAUCAAAAUGGACUUAAUUAAUAAAGGGUUGGGGUCAAAGUCUAAAAGAUCAUACUAGAAAAUACAAGAAUUUGCUAAAAACAAGUUGGAGGUGUUAGAAAAACAGGAGGAGCUUGAUGUGCUCAAGCUGGAUAUAAAGUCUUCCAUUCAAUCUAAGUUUCAUGAAAGAGAAGGAUAUGGCAUAGGGGAUCUAAUUCUAUGUGGUUCUUGAAAGAUCAUAACAACUCUGAGUACUUUCAUAGAAUAGCUCAUGGUAGAAAGAGAAAGAACACCAUUUCUUUGCCUAAACCACAAUGAGAUCAUUAUUGAGGGGGAUGCUGCCAUCGUGGAGGAUGCUUCUUAAUAUUAUAAUUUCUGCUAGAAUGUCUUGGGCACAAGAGGUUUGACAAGAGAUAGUGUGAACGGACUACUUCUGGCACUAAUAAGAUUGAUGUGGCUAAAAAGUGAUUCUUUCGGCAAGGUCAUUUGAAGCGAAAAUACCACUUGAUCAAAUGGAAUGAGAUCACUAAACCCAAAAACAAAGGAUGGUUGGGGGGUCACAGACCUAAGGAAAAUGAACAUCAGUCUCCUAUGUAAAUGGUGGUGGAUGGUGGUUGCUGAGAAUGUAUGUGGAAUAUGAAAAGAUAAUAUUAGGAAGAAGUACGAAUACCAGUUUGUGACAUGAUAAGUGGUGUGAUCAAGUCUCCUUAAAAGACAAGUUCCUCAAUUAUAUGAUAUCAAUGUUGAACAAAACGUUCUGUUUCUUUUAUGAAACAAAGAAGUUAGCAUCCCUCUUUUAGAAGAUGGCUCAAUUGAGAAGGUUACUGUUAGAAUAUAAUUAUAACAGCCCAUAUUGGGUUUACGGCUCAUUGGCCUUGUACUCCUAGCCUGACUUGUAUUAGUACCACAUUGUAAUAUGUAGAUGUACUGCAAUCCUUCCGGGCUUUAUAAUGAAGGUCAGCCCUUAUGGUUAGGGUGUGUGGUGUUUCUACAUGGUAUCAUCCAAAUUACGAUUUUUUUCCUUCCGCUCGCGGCCCCCCCCCACCCCCUGCCCGUGCGACCUCUCUGAGGCCGUGCGCCACCGCACUAGGCCGCGCCGCCCCCAGGCCACGCUCAGGUCGCGCCGCCGCCAGGGCGCUGCCCAGCCGCGUCGCCUCCUUCAGACUGCGCCGCUGCCAGGCCACGCCACCUUCUCAGGCCGCGUCGCCGAUCCUAAUCGCGCCGCCGCCGAUCCAGCCGCGCGAUCAUCUUCUUCACGCUGUGUCGUCAUGACGACUCCGGCCACCGACUCUAGCACGUCCAGCUCGACCUCCUCGGCGACCUCUGGUGACGUCAUGGCGGACGCCCUCGCUCCUCCGUUCUUCGCCCCUUACGCUGCCAUCAACGUCAAGCAGCACGUGCCGAUCGUCCUCAGCCUCGAGCGCCCCAACUUCAACAAGUGGAAGGCGUUCUUCACCGCCCUCUGCGCCAAGUACGGGCUCCUUGGCCACAUCGACGGCACGCUGCCCGCACGUCCGGCUGAUCCUACAUGGUCUCAGCCCGAUGCCUGCAUUCGUGGCUAGAUGUAUGGCUCUGUCGAUGAUCCUGUCCUUGAAUUCGCCAUAGACGACGCCGACCACGACGCCCGUGCCCUCUACGUCUCCAUCGAGGCCUUGUUCCAAGCUAACAAGGAACCACGCACCGUUGUCCUCGGCCAAGAAUUCUACAGCAUGUUCCAGGGUGACCUCUCUGUCGACGCCUACGCCCAGAAGAUGAAGCACACUGCGGAUGGCCUACGGGAGGUCAGGCAUCCUGUCUCCAACCCACAGCUUGUGCUCAACCUCCUGCGUGGUUUCAACCUCCGCCUCGCCAACACCGCCGACAUCGUCACCAACACGUCGCCACUCCCCGACUUCCGGUCCGUCACCAACAUGCUUUGUGUUAAGGAGCUACGCCUUGGCAACGAGGGCAAGGAGGCUUCCACCUCAGCCUUUGCAGCCAGCAUGAUCUCCUCUUGCACGUCGCCCUCCUGCCUAUCCACCUCCUCUGCCUCCAAUCGUGGCAGCGGUGGCAAGGGCAAGGGCAGUAAAGGCAAAGGAGGGCGCAGCGGUAACAGCAGCGGCGGGUGACACAACCAGUAGGGAGGAGGCGGCCGACAUCACCAACAGCAGCAGCAGGUCCAGCCGGCCGGUCCCUGGGUUUGCUACAACCCUUGGGCCGGUGCCUGGGCUCCCCCCCCACCCCGCAGUAGCAGUGGGCUGCGCCCCCUGCCCAGCAGUGGCGCGUGCCGCCUGCACCUCCUCCACAGGCGCACACGGCCUUUGCGCCACCCUAGUACUCCUCCAGGCCUCCGGCGUACGCGCCUCCCGGCACCUGGGAUCCAACCGCCCUCAUCAUAGCCCUCAAUCAGAUGGUAGUUCAGGGGUCUGAUUCCUGGGUGAUAGACAGUGGAGUGACAUCCGACAUGUCCUCCAACGACGGUACACUUCUCUCUCUUCUCCCAUCACCACCGUCUUCUAUCACGGUCGGUAACGGACAUUCCAUUCCAGUUUAUAGUCAUGGCACAUCUCUUUUACAAUUAGCUGAUCGUUCUUUUCGUCUUGAUAAUGUUCUUGUCGCUCCACAACUCACUUGUAAUCUGUUAUUUGUUCAACAACUUACUCGCGACAAUAAUGUUUCUAUUGAGUUUGACGCCUCAGGUUUUUUUGUUAAGGAUCUCCAGAACAAGAUGGUCCUUCUUCGGUGCAAUAGCCACGAGGAUCUCUACACCAUUCCACACAUGCCUCCUCGUUGCCAUGUUGUUGUUGUCUCCCCGGAGCUGUACCAUUCUCGUCUUGGUCAUCCUGUACCUUCCGCCAUCAACACUUUGCAUAAACUUUCAGCUAUUAAAUGUAAUAAAGCCGCCCACCGCCUUUGCCAUGCCUGCCAGCUCGGCAAACACGCUAGGCUGCCUUUUGCUAGUUCACUUUCUAGUACAUCAGCACCUUUUGAACUCGUUCAUUGUGAUGUUUGGACCUCUCCAAUUUUGAGUAUUUCCGGCUAUAAAUUUUAUCUUGUGAUAGUUGAUGAUUUUACACAUUAUUGUUGGAUAUUUCCUCUUCGUCAUAAAUCUGAAGUUCAUGCUCAUAUUGUUCAAUUUGUCACUUAUGCUCACACACAGUUCAGUCUUCCUGUACGCUGUUUUCAGGCAGAUAAUGGGACUGAAUUCAUCAACAAUGCCACCGCUGCCUUCUUGGCCAGCCGUGGCAUUCUUCUCCAUAACUCGUGCCCCUACACAUCUGCUCAGAACGGCAAAGCACAGCGCAUGCUGCGCACCUUGAACAACACCGUUCGCACACUUCUGAUUCAUGCAGCCAUGCCACCAUCUUAUUGGGUGGAGGCUCUCUCCGCUGCUGUGUUUCUGCUCAACCGGCAGCCAUCCUCGUCCAUCAACAACGGUAUACCCUAUCAUCUUCUCCAUCACAAGAUGCCCGACUACUCCAUCCUUCGAGUUUUUGGUUGCUUGUGCUAUCCAAACCUUAUUGCCACGACUCCUCAUAAAUUAUCUCCUCGCUCUACGGCGUGUGUCUUUCUCGGUUACUAUCCUUCCUAGAAGGUCUAUCGGUGUCUUGACCUUUCCACUCGCAAGAUCAUAAUCUCAUGACACGUCAUUUUUUAUGAGACUCACUUUCCGUUUGCGGCUUCCAAGCCCCACUCAGACUCUGUUGACUUUUUGUUACAGGACAUACUGCCCGCGCCUCCUCUGUCCACCUCGGACACUGAGGUCAUGACGCCCCUGGAGGAUGCCAGUGAUGCCGAUGACCCCGUUGGACUAGACCUAGCCAUUGUGUGGCAUCGCGCUGCCCGCCGGGUGCCCUUGGGUGCCUUGCCCCCACCGCUAGCCCCCUCCGUAGGCAGCGUGGCUGCUCCUGCAGCCGCUGCAUCAUAGACAGCAGCACCGCCUCCUCUCCACAUCUACACUCAGUGUCCUCGUCCGACUGCACCAGCGGCCGCCGCUCCUACAGCUGCAGCAGCAGCACCGGUGGCGGUACCGCCGGUCCUCCCUCCUCCCUCCCGGGAGACGCGAUCCCAGACGGGAUCGUUACCACCGCCCAUCCAGCGGUACGGUUUCACUGUAGGUUCCACGACGCUGGCUUCCCCGCUGCCCGCCAACUCACGUGCUGCUAUGGCGGAUCCUAAUUGGCGGGCGGCCAUGACCGACGAGUACAAGGCGCUCAUCGACAAUGGCACCUCACAUCUUGUACCUCGACCACCACGUGCUAAUGUGAUCACUGGCAAGUGGGUCUUCAAGCACAAGUAUUAUGUUGAUGGCUCUAUCGCCCGUCACAAAGCACGGUGGGUUGUUCGUGGUUUUUCACAGCAGUACGGCAUCGAUUACGACGAGACGUUCAGCCCAGUUGUCAAACCGGCCACCAUCCGUGUCGUCCUCGGCAUCGCUGCUUCUUCAUCCUGGCCGAUUCAACAGCUGGAUGUGAAGAACACGUUUCUCCGUGGUCAUCUGGAUGAGACUAUCUACUGCCAACAGCCACCUGGCUUCGCCGACCCGGCCGCCCCCGACCACGUCUGCCUCCUGUACAAGUCCCUGUAUGGACUUAAGCAGGCGCCCAGGGUUUGGUACCAGCGGUUUGCCGGCUUUGAUCAGCGCUCCGGCUUCACUGCUUCGGUCUCCGACAUGUCCCUCUUUGUUUACAAGGAGGGCCCCGACGUCGCCUACCUGCUGCUCUACGUCGACGACAUCAUUUUGACUGCUUCGUUUCCUGUUCUACUUCGGCGCAUCAUCUGGCUUCUUCACUUUGACGGCCUCUUCCUCUCCCAGCGACAGUAUGCUACGGAGCUGCUCCAGCGUGCCGACAUGGCCGAGUGUCACUCUACAGCGACUCCUGUGGAUAGUCAGGCCAAGCUCUUAGCUACAGAUGGUGCUCCGGUGGCGGAUGCUACCAGUACUGCAGUGUGGCUGGCGCUCUGCAGUACCUCACGCUGACUCGUCCGAACCUCGCCUAUGCCAUCCAGCAGGUGUGCCUCUUCAUGCAUGACCCGCGUGAGCCUCAUCUAGCGUUGCUCAAGCAUGUCCUCCGGUAUGUGAAGGGCACUCUGUCCACCGGGCUUCACCUUGGUGUUGGCGGCAUCGACAGUUUGACCACUUACUCCGAUGCUGAUUGGGCUGGAUGUUCGGACUCUCAGCGCUCCACUUCAGGCUACUGUGUCUUCCUCGGUGACAACUUAGUCUCUUGGUCCUCUAAAUGACAAACUAUGGUUUCUCAUUCGAGUGCGAAGGUUGAGUAUCGUGCCGUUGCUCACGAUGUGGCUGAGACUUGUUGGCUCCGACAGUUGCUUCAGGAGCUCCAUGCGCCCAUUGCUUCAGCAACGAUCGUCUACUGUAACAACGUCAGCACCGUCUAUAUGACUGCCAACCCAGUACAUCAUCGUCGCACGAAGCACAUUGAGAUAGACAUCCACUUUGUUUGUGACAAAGUGGCCUUGGGACAGGUUCGGGUGCUCCAUGUCCCAUCGUCUCAUCAGUUUGCAGACAUCAUGACUAAAGGGUUACCUGUACAAUUGUUUACUGAUUUUAGGUCUAGUCUUUGUAUUCGUGACACUCCCGCUUAGACUGAGGGAGGGUGUUAGAAUAUAAUUAUAACAGCCCAUAUUGGGCUUACGGCCCAUUGGCCUUGUACUCCUAGCCUGACUUGUAUUAGUACCACAUUGUAACUUGUAGAUGUACUGCAAGCCUUCUAGGCUAUAUAAUGAAGGUCACCCCCCUGGUUAGGGUGUGCGGUGUUUCUACAGUUACAUGAUAUCUUGUACCACAAUACUAAUGAUGAUUGUGAUAGAGCAAGAUGCAAGUUCCCUCAAUUAUAUGAUAUCAAUGUGGAACAAAACUGUUCUAUUUCUUUUAUGAAACAAAGAAGUGAGCAUCUCUCUUUUAGAAGAUGGCUCAAUUGAGAAGGUUACAUGUUAUCUUAUACCACAAUACUAAUGAUGGUUGUGAUAGAGCAAGAUGGGAGUGGGAAAAAUCUGGGAACUUCUCUAUCAAAUCUACUUAUAAGAAGCUAUGUAGGCAUGACUGUGGGCCUAACUUCAAACAAGUUUAGAAGGCUAAGAUACCUCUGAAAUAUAAACUUUUAAACAAAAUUGGAAAGGUGAUGAAUCAGGCACGGAGAAGGAAACUGUAAGUUUGGUGCUAAUUGUAGAUCCAGCAGUUUAGAGCAAUUCUGGAAUUAGUUUCAUUGGAUUAAGUUUGGUGCUGAUUGUAGACCUAGCAGUUUUGACCAAUUCUGGACUUGAAUUCAUUGGAUUAUACCAAAGGGUAAAUCUGUCUACAUUUUGGGCUUAGGGAACUGUUUGCUGGGUACUGUGGUUAACUCCAAAUGCCACAUGUUUUGAUAACAAGAGGAUUAGACCUCCUAGUCAGAUCAUGUCUUAUGUGUUUUGACAACCAGACGUUGGAUAGUUUGGCACACUUGGACAGGUGUUUUUGCUAGUUCUGCUGGUUGGUGAUCCCUUAGUGAUUAGCCUAGUGGCCAGGAUUAACUUUUUUUAAGUUUCUUAGAGCACUAAUAAAAUUUGGUUUUUAAACAUAUGUUACUCACAUGUUGUCAAUAAAAAAAGAACAUAUGUGCAAUCAAAUGUGCAACCAACAAUACUCUUGUUAAUAAAAAAGGAAUAUAUGUGACAAACUUAUAAUUGUAAUACUCACAGCUAGAGCUUUUGCUGAGUCUCCUUCGGUAAUAAUCAAAGUGCAUUUGUGAGAGUCCACUCCACCAACACGAGUUGCAUCCUCAAACUUCGUUGGAUUUGCUUCAAUGCUUUCAUCCUCUUCUUUAAGUGCCCAUGCAAGUGUCUCCUUUAAAGCACAUCUAAAUAUUUCUUUAAAGAUAAAAGAAUGUGCCACUGAAAUUUUUUUACUUCAUAUUAGCAAUACACAGGCAUCAAAGCAACAUACAACCUACAUUAUUAAGAAAACAAAACCACAUACCUUCAGUGAAAAACUCCUCGAACUUAGCAUUUCUGAGAGCAGGAUCAAUGUAAACUUUUGCAUUAUCUGUUUACUUUGUAUUAGCAAUAUGGAGGCUUAUAAGAAACACAACUUAAAUUUUAAAAAAACACACACACACACAAUCACAUACCUUGAAACUGUGGUUCACCAUAAAAAAAGGGAUAGUCCGCAUUUAUGAAGACACAUAAGUGGCUCUUCACAUCACUUGUCUGUAUCUCAAUGUUCUGAACAUUCUUCAUUUUCCUUUUGAUUGAACUUUUCAGAUGUUCUUCAACAUGUCUUGUGAUAGUAUCAAAUUGAAAUCCUCCCUCUAUUACAACACCAUUAACAAAGUUGAACUGAAACAAAUACAAAGAUAGUGAGUUGCAAAACAAACGCAGCCGAUAGAGAAUAUAGCCUACAUAACUUUGGCUGGGAACACAAACCUGUUGGUAUUGGCCAUUUCUGCUUAAAGUAAUACACACCUCCCAAGCAAAGGCUAACUUUUGUUAUACACUGAAAUAAAAUACAAGAGUAAAUAUUUUAAAAACAGACAUAUGGUUUUGUUUAUCCUAAAUAAAACUUUUGUUUUUAUGAAUAUUUGAAACCUUUUUGAUGUCUUCUUGGAAGGAGAUGGCAGGUACAAAUCCACAUAACUUGAAAAAUUAUUAGUGAGCAAAUGGCCAUCUAGAUGAACCUUUAGUUUCUGGUUGUUUCUUCUUUUGUAAAGUGCAGCCAGAUCUACCACCCUUUUUCUCAUAAGGGCUGUCAUAUCAUCUUGAAGCUCAUUACAGUAAAAACUCAAUGUGGUCCAAUGACACCCAUUAGAGCAUUCUGUGAUUUUAGCAUUUCUUUUCUUCCCAGGUUUGCCAUAAAAAAACUAAAUUUGUGUUGAAUAAGAUAUGAAAUUAGUGUUUAGUUAAGUCAUUUUAAAAAAAAUAAACUUACACCUUUUAUGCUACUACUAAUUUCUGAACUAAGUAGAGGUUAAAAUAAACAAUACACAUUAGGUGACAACAAAAGUAGUAAACACACAUUAUGACACAAAUAAAAAUUUAUACUUGUAUUAAAGUACUCCCUCCGUAUCAGAUUUAGAAGUCGAUUUGGACAAGGUUUGAGUCAAAUAUUGGGAAUAUAAAUCAUCAAUAACUUUUAAAUUGUUGAGUUUGCAAAUGUGAAAAAUUAUAUGAAUAGAUUUGUCUUGAAAAAUACUUUCAUAAAAGUAUAUCUAUAUCUAUAUCAUUUUGUCCUAAAUAUUUUAUAAAAAUAAGAGGUCAAAGUUGUGUUUUGGAAACCAUGUCACUAUUCUAAACGACUGCUAAAUUCGAUACGGAAAUAGUAUAGAUUUAUCUACCUUUUAUCUAAAAAAACACUCUUGAAUAGACCCUGACAACAAAAUCAUACUGAAUCCAUCCAUCCCAAAAUAUAGCAACUUAGGAGGGGAUUGGACACAACCUAGUAUUUUGGGAGUAAUUACAUGGUCAUUUAGUGCAAAAUAUAAUUUGAAUAAGCCUUUAGUACGAAGCACUAUACCUUCUUGCAUUUCCGGUCACUUGCAUUAAAUGUUGUGAUCACAAAUCAUAAAAAGAUGGAUGAGCCUUGAGGAUCCAUAUAUUUUCUAAUGGAGGAGUUUCUGAGCAAGAGAGUAUACCAGGGGUCGAGGUUAUCAUUUUCAAACGGAAAGAAAACUCCAAAGCAACGUAUGGAGAUAUAGCGCUCGUCCACUUUAAUGUUAACAUCCAGGUCAAUCUUGUCGUUUGUAAGGAUCUCUGUAUGGAGUUCUUGUUCAAGUUCAAAAGACAUUAAUAUCUCAUCAAAUAUAGUUUGUAGAAUUGGGAUGUAGUUGACAUUUCGAUGCACCAUGGCAUGGCCGUUGUAAACCCAUUGCAUUUUUGUUUGCAUCUUUAAUAAAUUGUGCUUGUCAAGCACCUGCCAAUGAGAAAUUUUACUACAAUUGUGAGGGCUACAGAAAAGAAAAAACGAAAUGUGCCAAUGAGAAAUAUUACUACAAUUGUGAAGGCUACAGAAAAGAAAAAAAAUGAUAUGUGCCAAUAAGAAAUAUUACUACAUUUAUCUGGAGGGGGGAGCUGCCGGCUCGUUGAUUGCUUGGAGAGGGGGUGCCAGCUCGUUGAUGGCUUCCCGCUGGCUCUGGGUUGCAUCGCCGCUCGCUAGGGGACGCUUGCGAGGGUGCAAGCCACUAGCGGCUGCGUCGCCGCUCGCCAUGGGACGCUUCGUCUUGUCAGCUUGGACAAAUGCACCGAGAGGGAAAAUUUUCCAAAACAGUAAGUGAGCAUUGUGUGGUCUAAUAGAAGUUAAGCAAUCUGCAAAAAAAACAACAAAACCACUUGAAAAUAUCUCAUGGUAGACAAUGUUCGUUUCAUGUGUCCAGUCACCAUUCAUAUGCUCUAUCAAUAUCUCUAGAUCUCUUUGAGGUGACAUGUGAAACAGCAACAAACAAGCAUCGGUAAAUACAGGUUUUUUGGGUAGUUACCAGCAUUGGACAAUGCCUGCCCUUGGCUCCUAUUGAUAGUCAUUGCAUAGCAUACCUUAACUUUAAAUUGGUGCCUCUCUAGAACAAAGGGCAGCUUUGUAUUUGUAAGUGUUAGACAAAUCCUUGGAAUCAGAACAACAUGCCCCAUGUGUGUGACGGUCAUUAUCUAUAUAUGCUUCUAUUAAAAUAUUGAAGGGCUAUGAAUGCAGGUACAAAGAAGAAAUGUGUUGUAACUGUCCACAUCUGGUUCGUAUGUCACGCUCCACUAUCCAAAGAGAAAUGGAAAAAGUCUACAAACCCCUCUCAACUAUCCAGUGUACUCUACUUCACCCCCGAACUAUAAAACCGGAUAUUCUAACCGGUCAAAUAACACCCUUGAGCAGUUUUGAAGGGUGGUUUUGUCUUUUUCUUUUUAAUUUAUUUCCGCCGAAUCUUUGAAAAUCAUAAUAAAUCACAAAAAAAUUAUAAAAGGAAAAGUCUAAUUUUGUUGAACUUUUGAUGAGUAGAUCUACACAGUGCAUAUAUAAUAUGGUAUACUUUAGUAUAAAGUUUUUGCUGUAGUACACAGUGAAUACAUGCAGUUUCGAUGGUCUAGUUAUGGUAAACUUUUUAUGGUGGGCUCAUUAUUAUAUGCUUGAACUAUGAUAAAAAAUUUAUACUCGUUGAAUCACGUAUAACUUAGUUAUAGAUAAAGCAUAGAUUUAACAAAAAUAAAGCUAAAUAAAUCUAUAACUAAGUUAUACGUAAUGUAAUGUGUACGAAAUAAUUACUAUAGUUCAACAAGACAAUAAUUAGCUCAUCAAACAAAUUCACCAUAAUUGGACGAUAAAAACUGCAUAUAUAAAUUAUUCUAAUUAAUUAUAGAAAAACAUAGAUCCAAAGCUAUAGCAAAAACUUUAUACUAAGCAUACCAUAUUAUAUAUUCACUAUGUAGAUCUACUUAUGUGGAGUCCAACAAGAUUAGAUUUUAUAUUUUAUGAUUUUUCUUUAAUUUAUUAUGAUUUUUCAAAGAUUCAACAAAAAUAAAUAAAAAAGAAAAAGACAAAAGCACCCUACUUGAGGGGGUUAUUUGACCGGUUUUAAAAAGUUUAAAGUGUAGAAUAUUCGAUUUUAUAGUUUAGGAGGUAAAGUAGUCCACUCUAGAUAAUUUGUGAUUAUGUAAACAUUUUCUAAAGAGAAAUCACGGCCAGCAGAAGAAAACAGUGCCCUUAGAAGGCACAGUCGCAGCAAAGGGCACAACAAUCUCAAGCAAACAAGCAUCUAAGGCAAGCCACACCUAAUUGUCGCCCCACCCUCUCUCUCUAGGGCAAUCAUAAAAGCAACUAGUACAAACCGCACGCCCUUGUGCACGAGGAAAAGUGAGCAUCCAGUGAUGUAUAAUAAUUAGAGUACAUUGAUCAAUACACACUUGCGGGAUGUAUAUAUUACAUAUGGCUGCAUAGAGUACAUUGAUAUAUAAGUAUCUAUGUACAUAUUACAUAUGGUAAGUUCGUGAUACAUAUUACACAUAUUAGCAUGCAUCAGCUGAUAAAAGGGUAGAUAUAUAAGUAUUUUGAGAUGUAUAUUUCACAUAUUGGAUAGAGUAAUCUUAAGUAGAACUGGUGCUGAACAUUCUAAGAUUGGUCUGGAUCUUACAUUCCGUGUCAUGUUCCCAGAUGAACAUUCUAUAAAUCUCCUUGCCCUCUUGAUGAAACAGUACUCCUGAAUCUAUCUGAUGACACACUCCAGCCAGUAACUGUAGAUGAGCAAAUUUGGAUGACAAAGAUGGAACAAUAUCCAAAACAGCUGAAUUGCUAAUUCAUGAACAAUUUGAGAGCUACUUUGUAACAGAAAAUCAAACGUAGUCAGGUACUAUCAAUGUGUACACGCAUGUUCUAUUUAGACUGAGGUAAUGUAAGCCAUAGCAAGAAUAAGAUAAAGCAGAUAAAUAAUAGCAUCAUGUGUAUUUUGCGGGGCACAAGGAUAUGAAUUUGUGUGCAGUCAUACCUUCACGGCUACAUCACCACACAACAAGGUGGCAGGUGGAACAUAGCGUCGAUUUUCAGGAGUAACAACGUGUCCAUGAACAACCAAGUAGUUAUGAUAAAUUCAUCAAUUAUGGGAAAACAAAGGAUUGGAAAGAAGUUGCUUCUGCCCUAUAAUCAACAGUUGUAUAUUAUGCUCUAUUGAACCUGAAGACACAGCAAUGACCUGGGCUACCAAAUCCUUGUACAUUUACCUCCAAUAAAUGGAAGAGGAUUAUAGUUUCUAUGUAAGCUUGUGGAAACAAAUAAAGUGGUUCUCAUUGGAUGUAUAAAGGCAUGUCUUAAGUUGCACAAAUGAAGGACAUCAGGAAAAUUUCUAAAAAUUUAUAUACCAACCCUAUCUUAUGUUGUAAUGCAACACAUUUUCUUCUUCUGAAAGGAAACAGCAAAGCAAAGUGGCAAGUUGUUGACGGUCCUUAAGUAUCAAAUUUAAUUAUCAAAUAAAUAAAGAAAAGGAUCCAAAUGAAAUCAACAUCUAGACUUAGGGUUUUAUCUGACAGAAUUCCACGAGUUUUGGUGUUUGUCUAUUUCUGUAGGGGGUUAUCAGGAAAUAUGGAAGAAAGGCCCACAUGUCAGGAUUACGUAAAGAUAUUAACGUGCUGCGCAAUUAUCUUACAUCUAGAAGACUCCAGAAGCCACGAGACCGAAGCGGAGGCGAAACGGGGCCAGAGACAGGGCGCCCGCCCUGUCCUACUGGGCGCCCGCCCUGCCCCCAAGUCCAAUCAGGACUCUGCUUUGCGGGAGAUCUCCACCGACCUAAAGGAUGAAUCUAAACCAUACAAUCUAUGUCGGUUUGAUCCGAUGGCCCAUAUUCACUUAGAGGGACUAUAAAACCAGACCCCCUGGCCCCUGGAGGAGAGAGCCUCUCAACCCUAAUUCAUUGUUCCAUCAAGGGAGAAGAAGCCUCUGAUCAAGAUUAGAGCCACCACAUCAAUUAGACAUCUAGAUUAGCAUAGCUACAUAGGAUUAGAACUAGAAGGAGUCAAUCUUCGAUUGGUUUCCGGAUCUGUCAAGAGGAUUCUUGGUAAUUCUCUAAUUGUGCUUCUAAUUGCUUUCUAAUUAUCUUUGUUCUUCAAUAUUAUGGAUAUGACUUUGUUCUACUUCAAUAUAUUGCUUAUGACUUUGCUCUACUUGCUUAUAUUCAAGAUUAUAUCUGCGAUUGUACCCAAUAUGCCAGAUCGUGGGAUGGUUCGUGAUAGUGACAGCUUCAUUGAUUCUUAUAUAGUCCCCCUCUCGUGUAUUGGGCUGGCAGAGCAACAUUAUUACAGGGGAGUGAUUGCUAUGUUUCUCAUAUUCCUUGCUAAUAUCACUAUGCAUGGGCGUAGUCUUGUCUCGCAAUGAUUGCUAAGUAUGCUUGCACUAACUAUGAUAUGCUAGACUAUAUAGUUAAGAAUAACUUAGGGAAUAUUCUUGUAGUUCGUUCUAAUACCAUGCUAAUGACUUUCUAGAGUAUCUAAUUGAGGUGCUUAUCAUAUUUAUUAUAUGGCUAGAUCAGAUUAGUUAUCCUUGUCACUAUUAUUAUUUCAUAUAUCUUUUAUGUGACACUUAUCCCUGUAUGAAGAGUUAGAUAUAAUGUUCUCAAUUAUACAUGCAAUGAUAGAUGCUCAAUCUCAUAUUCUAUUCUGUAAUCAAUAGUGAUGAUCGCUAAUCCCUUCCCAGUGGUAAAAAUAUAAAUAACGAUACCUGGAAUACUUCCCGGUUAAAAUGCUGCAUCGGUAUUAAUCUGUGCGCUUGCAGAUCCCAUUCAUUAUUUAUUUAGAAGAGCAAUUGCAUAUUUCAAUACCGCGUCUCUUAUAUCAUGCUGGGGAUGACAACUUGGCUUAAGUGGUGUGAGGGAUAGGUUUGGCAUUUUUGGCACCGUUACUAGCUUUAGAGAACUUAGUCUACUUUUGGUAAUGAUGUUAAGAAUACCCAACACAAGUAACAAUACUCAGGACAUAAGGCAUACCAAUAUACUGAGGUUGUGAUAUCCAACUUCACCAUCCUGAAAAGAGCACACAUGAAGGGAGCAAAGGGAACCAGGUUGAGGUGGACCAAUGGGGGAUUUUGGGGACGAUGUGGCCCGGUUGGUUGGAUGGGGUGAACCUUUGGUUUGUAGGAGUAAAUUUGAAAUACAUAUAAGAGAAGUGUAAAGGGCCAAAGCACAAAAAUAGUGUCCUGUUUAUUUUAAGUGUCUUUAAUUCUAUGAUUUUGCCUACAUGAAUGCAACAGAUGAGGCAUGAGAGCAACCUCAAAAGCAUUGGAAGGUCAAUAUAUAUGGUCAAGGUGGAAAAUAAUUUCAUUUUUUAGGAGAAAAGAACAUAAAUGGAGAAGUCGGUGUUAUUUUUGUCAGCAAAAUGAAUAGGUAAGAAGUAAUUAAUCCUCAGAUUUGUUUAUGCAAAUGGUACUUUAUGAGCAUCACAUGUAGCAAACUGCAGCAAUCAGAACCAAUACUGGGACACAUCAGGUGAGCUCACUGAGACAACAACAAGCAACUUUGUUCAGAAUAGAUGGAAAACUGCAUUUUUUGAUAUAGUGUGAUGUGAUAGUGUGAUCAAAACUACGCUUUUUAAAAUUAAAGAAGCAUUAUGCAGCACUCAUAUGGAGCACCAAACAAGAACUCAACAACUCGGUGUUAUAAGAGAACAUUCUACACUUAACCAUGCACCUAAUCCCGGAAGGCCAGAAUACAAAUACUGUUGCAAGGAGUUUUAAAAUACCAACUACUAUUACUUUAAAGUGGCAGUACAGUAAUUGUAUUUGCAACUUGAGAUGCAAGUACUAACACCUGUAGCAGAAAACUAAAGUGAAACUUAUUAGAAAUUACCACCUAUAAUUCAGUGGACAAGGGUACCUGACCUAUUGAAACUUUGGGGGUUCAGUUGAGCUUCUCAGGUAAUCUUGUCAGUGUCAUUUUAAGUUGUGCUUGACCUGCACCAAGCAGCAAAAGUGCUUUGAGUAGAAAAAAGGCAAAAACUUUAGUAAGUUGACCAGCCAGCUCCAUGUUUGUUUCACUGCAGCUCUUUCUUUUUCCAUGCACCAAAGGACUAAAUGCUCUAAAUAUAUGUUUCAUGGAAACAUUGCAAGGCAGCGUAUAGAUGUGUAGCUAUCACUAAUCAUCAGUUAUCCAUGAAGGCUAGAAUACAUCUGACUAUAUGACAUAAGUAUUUGAGGGGCAGGGGUAUUCACUAAGAUAAUUCUGUAGUACUGAUAUGAAGUAAUUAAGUAUGGAAAAAAAUUAAGUGUAGUACCCGAUUUUAAGGACAAAACCAGAUAUGCACCAUAUGUGAGUCUUAGAAGUCAAUUCUCACAUAAAAUAAGGGGUAAUAUCAAUAGACAUUGAUCACACGGUUUUCCUUGAUCUUUUAGGUCGGUGGUGCACGAUCCAAGAGUUUGGUUCGGAUUGGCUCCGAGACCUGGGCGGGCGCCCAAGCGGGGAGGGCGGGCGCCCUGCCCCCGAGCCCGUUGUUGGGUAUUCUUAACAUCAUUACCAAAAGUAGACUAAGUUCUCUAAAUCCAGUAACGGUGCCAAAAAUGCCAAACCUAUCCCUCACACCACUUAAGCCAAGUUGUCAUCCCCAGCAUGACAUGAGAGACACGGUAUUGAAAUAUGCAAUUGCUCUUCUAAAUAAAUAAUGAAUGGGAUCUGCAAGCGCACAGAUUAAUACCGAUGCAGCAUUUUAACCGGGAAGUAUUCCAGGUAUCGUUAUUUAUAUUUUUACCACUGGGAAGGGAUUAGAAAUCAUCACUAAUGAUUACAGAAUAGAAUAUGAGAUUGAGCAUCUAUCAUUGCAUGUAUAAUUGAGAACAUUAUAUCUAACUCUUCAUACAGGGAUAAGUGUCACAUAAAAGAUAUAUGAAAUAAUAAUAGUGACAAGGAUAACUAAUCUGAUCUAGCCACAUAAUAAAUAUGAUAAGCACCUCAAUUAGAUACUCUAGAAAGUCAUUAGCAUGGUAUUAGAACGAACUACAAGAAUAUUCCCUAAGUUAUUCUCAAUUAUAUAGUCUAGCAUUAUCAUAGUUAGUGCAAGCAUACUUAGCAAUCAUUGCGAGACAAGACUACGCCCAUGCAUAGUGAUAUUAGCAAGGAAUAUGAGAAACAUAGCAAUCACUCCCCUGUAAUAAUGUUGCUCUGCCAGCCCAAUACACGAGAGGGGGACUAUAUAAGAAUCAAUGAAGCUGUCACUAUCACGAACCACCCCACGAUCUGGCAUAUUGGGUACAAUCGCAGAUAAAUACGGUAUAAGCACCACGCCUACACAAUAUCUAUCAUUUACCCAUGGAUCCGAUGGAUAAACGCUAUACGAUCCUAAGCAUGUAUAUAGAUCGAAUCUAACUAAGCUGUGGGGGUAUAAACCCCUAUACCCUCAUGGGCCUAUAUGGGCCGCACCAUCAGAGGUGGCUCGGCCCACAAGAUGAAGACGUGCGGCGCACGACUGGUCGGCGUGCACCGCAAGGCUACAAGAUUUUGUACCAAAUAGGAUACUUUGCUUGUAACUCUGUCCCUUCAGGAUAUAUAAGGAGGGGCAGGGGUCCCCUAGAGGACAGAUCAUACAUCAUAUUCUCUCAACACAAAUCAAUACAACCAGACGCAGGACGUAGGUAUUACGCCAACUCGGCGGCCGAACCUGGAUAAAAAGCUUGUCCGUGUCUUGCGUCACCAUCGAGUUCGUAGUUUGCGCACCGUCUACCGAUAAACUACUACCGUGGGUAUACCCCAAGGUAGACUGCCGACCAGCUUUCGUCGACAGUGGCGCGCCAGGUAGGGGGUGUGCGUGCAACUUUCCCGACGAACGAGAUGGUCAUUAUCCCCGACUUUGUGGCCAUGGCGGGCGACUUCACGUUCACCGUCAGCUUCAACAGCUUCACCGCCACGACCACGGAGGAGGCGUAGAUCCGAUCUGCGCCAAUCACUUCUUCAUCGACGUCGGCGGCGGCUUCAACCACGCUGGCUACGACUCCAACUACUCCAGCAACGUCUCCGACCACGCCGACAACGCGUCACCCGCUUCUCUGCUACAAAGGGAGGCAGAUCGACGACACCGACCUGCUCAGGCUAUCGACCAAGUUGUGUGGCCUACUUGCUCUGACCACGAGUCGCAAUAAUAAUCGCCGCGAAGAACGGCGCUACGACAGCCGCGACCACCAUCACGACAACAAGUCAAGCAACUCUCCCGACCAGACUUUCGUCCAAAGAUAAGUACAAUUCUAAUAUUUUAUUUAUUUUUGGCAUAAUAUUUUUAAGAUUAUUAUUCUUCAAAACAACUUUUUUAGCCGACUAGUUUUUUCUCCUACACGAGCUUUCUAGAGCCGGUACUGUCUCCGACUCCUCCCUACACGUGCACGAGAUCCGCCCUCUGCGUUCCGGGUGGUCGGCAGUAGCUCUCUGACGUGGCUGACAAUCCUACGCGUGCCUAGGUUCCGCACCUCAUGCUGAUUGUUGGCUAGACCAGAGCUGGUACAAGCUCUAGGAUGAAUUAACUACUCGUGCUAAUUUUAUAACAAAAAAUCUAAAACUUAUCUUAGUACUGAUUUUUUAUCUAAAGGUUAUUUAUACAUCAUGUACUACCAAUUCUUUAUAUUUACUUUUUAGGAGUUUGGCCCAGUCGACAAGCUACGCUUGGAGACUCGUCGACUAUUCCCUACGCUGUGCCCGGGGACUGCUCCGACCACCGAGCACGUUUACGUUUCCAACCACGCUCGGGGACUUGUCGACUACUCUCUAUGCUGUGCUCGAAGAUUGUGCCGACCACCGAGCACGUUUACGUUCCCAACCACGCUCAGGGACUUGUCCACCGGUCUCUACGCCGUGCUCGGGGACUGUGCCGACCACCGAGCACUAUACGCUCGGGGACUGUUCGACCAGCUCACCAAUUUAAGAACUUGGGGACUGCACCGACCACCGAGCACUAUACGCUCGGGGACUGGUCGACCAGCCCACCAAUUUGAGAAUUCGGGGACUGCACCGACCACCGAGCACUAUACGCUCAGGGACUGGUCGACCAGCCCACCAUGAGAAUUCGGGGACUGUACUGACCACCGAGCGUUAUAUGCUCGGAGACUGGUCGAUUAGUCUAUUCAAUUGCAGACGAGCAUGAUAUGCUCGGGGACUGGUAAAUUCAAUUUUUUAGACCUUGCUACAAGGCUCAUACUUCGCCUUCCAGCAAGCUCGGGGACUACAUCGGUACGAUGCAUCUGGCGAUGCAUCUCAGUUUCAGAAUUUCUUUAAGAACUUUUCUUUUGACCCUGGCACCACGUGUCUACGUCACCUACUACCAGGCUCGGGGACUAAGUGGGCACACUUCACCUUGCGGUGAAUAUGCUUGCUAUUUUGAGGUCUAUACUUUUCAGAAAAGUAAAGUGGGCACACUUCACCAGGAAAGAAAUCUUUUUUAAUUAAGAGCACCAUGCAUUCUUCGAACAACCUGCUUCUUCGAUGUCAAUGUUGAUCAACUGUCUUUUGAGUUUGUCAAAAUACCGUUGCAACUGUUUGGGCGACUUUCCUGCUUAUUGAAGACGUCAAGUCUCACUGAUCGAAGAAGCUCAAGACGGCGUGUUACAUCACAAUACAUGGUGCUCGGGGACUAGCUGUGGGGGUAUAAACCCCUAUACCCUUACGGCUAGACUUCGGCCAGGAGGCUUGGCCCAUUACGAGACGAGUCCAAGGCUUGAUCCGACAACCUGGAGUUUCGCGCAAGGAAACAAGAUGUGGAGAUCAAGCAGGAUUCUAGUCGGUUAGAAUAGAAAUUGAUAUCGAAUUAUUCAUGACAAUUGUAACCGACUAGGAUUAGUUUCCGGAUCUGUAACCCUGCCCUCCAGACUAUAUAAGGAGAGGCAAGGGACCCCCCUAGGACAUCAUAUUCUCUCAACACAAAUCAAUACAACCAGACGCAGGACGUAGGUAUUACGCCAACUCGGCGGCCGAACCUGGAUAAAAAGCUUGUCCGUGUCUUGCGUCACCAUCGAGUUCGUAGUUUGCGCACCGUCUACCGAUAAACUACUACCGUGGGUAUACCCCAAGGUAGACUGCCGACUAGCUUUUGUCUUUGGACGAAUUGUUCUAAUUGCAAGAAUCGAACACCAAGUACAUAACUAUGAUAAACUAAGAACAAUAUAAUCUUGAAUAUAAGCAAGUAGAGCAAAGUCAUAAGCAAUAUAUUGAAGUAGAACAAAGUCAUAUUCAUAAUAUUGAAGAACAAAGAUAAUUAGAAAGUAAUUAGAAGCACAAUUAGAGAAUUACCAAGAAUCCUCCUGACAGAUCCGGAAACCAAUCGAAGAUUGACUCCUUCUAGUUCUAAUCCUAUGUAGCUAUGCUAAUCUAGAUGUCUAAUUGAUGCGGUGGCUCUAAUCUUGAUCAGAGGCUUCUUCUCCCUUGAAGAACAAUGAAUUAGGGUUGAGAGGCUCUCUCCUCCAGGGGCCAGGGGGUCUGGUUUUAUAGUCCCUUCAAGUGAAUAUGGGCCCUUAGAUCAAACCGACAUAGAUUGUAUGGUUUAGAUUCAUACUUUAUGUCGGUGGAGAUCUCCCGCAAAGCAGAGUCCUCAUUGGACUCAGGGGCAGGGCGGGCGCCCUGACCAACUGGGCGGCCGCCCAGGGUCAGGCCCUGUUUCGCCUCCGCUUCGGUCUCGUGGCUUCUGGAGUCUUCUAGAUGUAAGAUAAUUGCGCAGCACGUUAAUAUCUUUACGUAAUCCUGACAUGUGGGCCUUUCUUCCAUAUUUCCUGAUAACCCCCUGCAGAAAUAGACAAACACCAAAACUCGUGGAAUUCUGUCAGAUAAAACCCUAAGUCUAGAUCUUGAUUUCAUUUGGAUCCUUUUCUUUAUUUAUUUGAUAAUUAAAUUUGAUACUUAAGGACCGUCAACACCCGUCCGGUCUCCCGUUCGUUCCCAUGGCUUCUGGACUCUUCUAGAUGGAGGAAAAUUACGCGGCACGUAAUUAUCUCGUUGUAAACAUGACAUGUGGGCCUUCUCUCCAUAUUUUCUAAUACCCUGCAGAAAUAGAUAAACACCAAAGCUCGUGGAAUUCUGUCAGAUAAAACCCUAAUUCUAGAAGUUUGGUGCAUAUUGAUCCUUUUCCAUGUUUAAUUGAUGGUUAAAUUUAGUACUUACGGACCGUCAACACGUACUUAGUAUAAAAGAGAUAACAUUUGAUAACAAACAGCGGAUAGACAACUCCAGACUUCGGGUAUUAACUUCUCUCUACAGGAUCCAACUGACUGGUUGAUUACAAGCCUAACACUCCUCCUGAUGUAUGGGGGAAAUAGCAAGAGUGAGUCCAUGUCGAAUUCCACAAGUAUAGCAACUAGAUUGUUUAGCUCCCACAAUCUCAUGAUCAAUGUGACAUAAAUAAUGUAAAGCAUUAAACAAUAAAUAAUGAACACAUUAACACACAAGAAUCAAAACCCUUAAUGUAGAUGUCCCCAAGGCCACUCCUGACCGUGAGCUCGGCUAGUAUACUAGUUUUUAACACUCUGCAGAGGUUGUACAUCUUUACCCAUGAGUAAUGAUUUACCCUUUCGCCCGAGGUGAUCAGCCUCUUAACUCACUACCAAGGAAGGUCGGCAGGGAUCACUAUGAAGCCUUUCAAAAGUUCGUCUAACAUGUUAGGGCCGCAAGGUUUCCCGGGCGCGCAGAUAUAGAUGCCCCCCUUUCAAAUGGCACAACGACGCACAACCUAUACACAUAAGGACAGAGGCUCGCACUAUACCCAAAAUGGUUAGGCCCCUCUAGCGCCCUUUUAGGUAACCACUGACAAGCUAGAAAAGGUCUUCAUACUAAGCUAAAGCCAGAGUCAUUAUAGCCCUCAUGGUUGCACUGUUGUCCCGGGUGAUCACGUACAGAUAAAUCAUCAAGCUGCUAAAAAGUCAUUUUUAUCAUUUAUUACUUAACAUUAAUCUAGUCACAGGAUCAUGGUCACAGAAAUAAAAUCCAAAUGCUAUACUUGCCUUAAACUUAGAUCCUUCUUCUAGUCCAAACCUUCAACGGAUUACUUCUUCUUGAUUGCCAACUCCUUCUGAUCACCAACGUACUUUCUCAUUGACUGGACAAGAUCAUAGAGCACCACACAAACAUCCAAGCAAUCAUACAUGAGCAAACAAUAAAAAUUAAUUAGAACAGUACACCAACAAUAAAAAGGUUUGAAAACUAAUCUACGUAUUACUACGAACACACAGGUGAAAAAAGCAUGCUAAUUAGAGCGCGAUGAAAAAGAAAUGACUACUGAGACUUUUAUAUUGUAUAAAAGACUAUGCUUGUUGUUUUAUUUUGGUGAAACCAUAUAAAUAAAUUAUUAAGACCAUAUUAAUUAAAACAUAAUUUAAUUCAAAAGCUGGGCUGAAGCUACUCAUGUUUAGUUUAUAAACAUUAUCAUAUAAUUUAAUCAUGUUUAGUACAUCCUAGGAGUUAAAUUAAAUUGUAAAUAUGGGAUCUAGCAAGAUUGCCACACCUUUAGUCCGCAGGUGCCUACAGCUUCUGUGGACACCGGACGUCAUGGCACCUGCGCCCUGUGUGUUUGCAUCUAUUCCUCUCGUAUGGCCACCAAUCAUGCACGCUGUUGGGGAGUACGGAUGCGUGAGUGCCCUCAUUGAUCGCGCUUAGACGUACGCGCGUGACUCAUUCAUGUCGUGAUGCUUCUCAGGAGCUGACAACAUCUCCAUUAUCUAGCUGUUGUUCCCAACACUUCAGAAUUAUGACACCGGCCAACGUGCAUACUAUCGUGCAAGACCGAAGGAGAUAAUGAUCAGAUUAGUUUUCUCACCAAUCAUAGAGAGUGACGUGAAGCCAUCAGCCAUUCUUGAUUCCUUGCUCCUAGUCCAGGUCGUCCUUGAUCCUAGCCCCUCGUCCCUAUGUAGAUGAGCUGUGAUCGAGGCCGCCGCUCAUCUCGAUGGAACAAUGCGGAUGGUGCCUUCUGUUUCGGUGGUGAAGACUGAAGACGAAGCCAGCGCCGUCGGUGCGGGAUCAGGGAAGUUGACCAAGUGAACUUGAUUUGUAGGCCCAUGGCGAUAGCCAAUUGCUGUCAUACUUGAUCGAUCCUUCAUGGCUGGCUUGCAUAGAUGCAGGGCGGGGUUAGACCUAGAGGAGGUGCGGCCAGUGCAGCUUGGAGGAUGAAGCUGGGCUAGGGCUGUGCUACGUGCGGUGUUUAGCCAAAAAAAUCGUGUCGACGACGGUCUGCCACACAGAAAGCUCAUCAUGAUGGCGCCCUAGGAAAAAAUAUAAUUCAUAUUAUCUUAGGAUAAUUUCAAAACUAAAGAUUUCUCUUAGGGUAUUUCGUGAUGAUGGCGCCCUAAGAGAUUCGUAUAUAUAUAUAUAUAGGAAGAAAAACUCCCCACAUCAACCUCAAUUAGCAAUAUGAUACUAAUUGAUGUUGCAUCCUCCAUCUUUACUAAUAGACCUAAAUAAAUAUUAAAGCCCAUUAGUAAAUAAAGGCAUGGGCUUGAGGGAGUCGUUGGAAAAUUAUGCUUAGAUUCUUUUUCUUCUAUUUUCGAAAUCAUUUAAUUUCAUAGAUAAAAUAAUUCUAGAAAAGUGUAGAAUUAUUAUUUAAGCCAUGAAAAAUAUUCCGAAAGCUCCAAAAAUUCGGUGAAAAUUCACGGAGACAAUAUGGAGCAUGAGGAAUCCAAAUAAAGUAUUUGGAGCACAUGAUAAUAUAAUAUGGAGCAUCUAAAAAUUAGAUUAUGCUCACGGAAAAGACCGGAAAAUUUUCGGAGAAGUUUGUAGAGAUUGCUUGAUCGACAAGAAACUGAAAGGAGUGACUUAGGUUUGAAAGAAAAGAUUCUGACAGACUCUGAACAAAAUCUUGACUCGAGAGACAAGAAAUUUGAUUGUAGAAAAAGAUAAAUAUGUGCCUAAUAAGGAAGAUCGAUCUACUAAACGAAUUUUAAAUAUAUUUCUUACUAUCAACAUACAAAGAGCAACAAGCAAAUAUCACAACAAAUCUUAUGCAUCUGCAUGCAUACACUACAAUGUUGCUAAACCCUAUGAUGAAUUUUAAUUUAAGAAAAAUUUUUAUUUUACUAUAUUUUCAUGAACACAAAAAUACCUAAUUAAAUCAUUUUAGACCUAUUUCAAAGGAUGCAAAUUUUAGGGUGUUACAUUAAGAACUAAGAAUGGACCUUUGGUUUUUAUAAACCUGAAUGCUUAUACCAAAAUAUGGGUUGAAUGUAAUAGUCAAGUGGUCGUAAACCAAGCAAAGAAUAUUUGACUUAGAAGCCUAUAUCCAUUUCACUGUUGUCACCACAUCCAGAUGGAUUAUUUUCUUAGCACUAUAAGUUGCUAGAACCUUGGGCACAAAAAGAUUUUUUACUCACCUAUGCAGGGAAGGCUUGUUUUCAUUGUUCUCUAGGAUGAUGUGCUCGAGUAUAUUGCUAUGAAUGUCCAUGAGAUGUGGAACUUAGUAGUGGAGGAACCAUUCCAAUUGUCAUGUUGCCAAUGUUGUAGAGUCUUCUCAAAUCAAGAGCACCAGUCAUACUGAACAACGCCAACCAACAGGCCAGCUAUAUUCACCUAAAAAUUUAUUAUGAAUUGCAUACGAGGCAAAGAAAACUAACCUAACAUUCAUAACAGAAUACCAAACGAGGAAAGGAUCCUUACUCAGAAUUCAGAAAAACAAUAAAAUGGGACAAUCUCUGGUUGUUGAAUGGCUAGAUAGACCUGUUUUUAAUUCGAGUGUUCCAUCCUGGCUCUCAUUGCCAUAACCAUAUAUAUAGUAUCUAUUGCGGCACCUAGGUCUGUCCCUGUUAUCUAAAAAUCGAAACCGUUACUCCGAAAGGGAAGAUCCAUUUUUAUCAAAUUCCUAUACAGAGUAUAUGGUUAGUAGGUCAGAUUAGAUCCUACUGGGAUAAGUAGGAGCUGCUGACAUAUUUGUAGGUCCUCUGUUGUGCAUACCAUGCUUGAAGGCAACAAAGGGGAAAAACAUGAGUGAGCCUAGCAGCAGACAUAAUACGUAAUCAGAAUCAGAAAGCACUUCACAUGUGAAAAAAGGAAAGAUACAAAAAGGGUCAUGUGGAUGCCUAUGGAUAAUAUGUAUUGAUUACUUAUCAUUGAUGGGACCAAACAGAUUUCUAAUCAAUUGAAAUUUAUUUUGCACAAGAGGAUAAUGUUAUCCUGAUCCACACCAUUCUGUGCAUCUAGAAAAGAUAUGAAGGAAAGACACAACAGCCAAAAUGAAAGAAACUCACCAACACACCUUCCAAUCUUAUUAGUCUACGCAGAUCCUCUUGGUUGAGGUCCUACAUCACAUAGCAUAGAGGAAAGGAGCAUCAGCAAGCAUGAAGCAGAAGGAAGAUGUGCUCCAAAUUCCCAAGAACACAAUAUUGAAGAAUAGACAGAAAGAAGUGUGUGGGUAAGAUCAUGUAACCCUGUUGUUUCCAUCAGGUAGAAAUAGUGUACAUAGUAUUUUGAUGUUUAAUUAUUGUACUGUGAAGUAUGUAAAUUUAAGAGUAAGGAAAACCUGAAGUUUAUUACGUGACCGAAGAUGUGUAAGCAUGUCUAGAUACAUGUGUUGGUUGGCUGUUUAGAUUUGCAUGUGUACAUACAUGUGUUGGUUGGCUGACACUGACAAAUAGAAUUAAUCUAAGAAAUAAAAUACGAUAAUGCUUUUAGAUUUGCAACUGUUUAAUCUGCAUUAGACUGCAAAUAUUACCCAGGUGAGAAAUUCUGCAGGAGUCAUGUUUAGACUAUUUGAGCAGAACCUCUAAAGAACCCUACAUCCUCAAGCACAAGCGUCGUGUAUCAGUGAAAGGAAUAUCCAAAACAUCAUGAAGGUACAAAUGAAGCCAAAAAUGAUACAGGGCAGCAUCACCUAUAGAGCACGGACCUAGCAGAGGGGCAUAGAAGGCAAGCAAACCACAGUGCACUGUGUUACAUCGGGCUGGACUAUGUGCAACCACCCGUGCUGGCGUGUCGGCCGAUUCGGAGCCGAGGUCGGAACUAUGCCGGUAUGUUACCCACACUAGGGUCGCUGCCACCUACGGCGGGGCAAAACCCUAGGUCACCCCAUCGCCACCGCCACCGCCGCCACGUUGGGGGCCCGCUGUCGCUCCGUACGUCACGCGUGGGGGGUGUGGAUGAGAACAAGGGCCGCGGUCAUCGUGCCGAGUGGCAGCCAUUGUGGAGGUCCACUUGUGCCACUGCCCUGUCCGCAUCGGAAGGGAUGGGGAGAGAGAGAGAGAAUGGAAGGGAAGAGACUGCCGAGACUUAUACGCACAGUGGACGGAGAAGGAGGGGGCUAGCGCUGCGCUGGCUUGGGGCGUCGUCAUGCCGUCGCCCCUGCCUCGGCCGCACCGCCCGUGGGGCACUGUCGUCUUGUCGCCUCCACCUCGGGCUCGAGAGUGAGGAUGGGGAGGUCAUGCUAUUUUUUUAUGAGGAGUGGGGAGAGCGCUAGAUGUUUUUGUGGAGGCCGACGUGGGCUGCUCCUGGCCACACAAAGGGAAUCAGCCAAUCAGGCUAAGAUGGACCAAUGGGAGGGGGAGGAGGUGAGGUGGCAUUGAGGUGCACCAAUGGCAGAUUUGAGGAGACGUGGCUGGGGUGGCGACACGGGGAGCAACUUAGAAUUGUUAGGGUAAAUUAGUCCAAAGAUUUUAGAAAUAAAAAUAAGAAAUUCGCAAGAUAGUAGAAGUGUAGUAGUUUCGAAAUUUAUACUAUACAAUCUGCAGUAAUUGAAAACUAUCUGGAAUUAUUUGCAAGCUAGUAGCAUGGAAAAACUAACCCUUUCAUGAAGUCCACAAUAUUAGCAAGGCAAAAUUGUAUCCAAAUCAUGUUGGAUGGUCAAAGUUGCAGAACAAGAUUUAGGGCCAAAUGAACACCGUCCUUAGAAUUUGCAACAUCUGAGUUGUCUGCUACUUGGCUAAAUCAAAUUGAACAAACAUUGACGAUGUUGCUUAUCUCCUUGCAGUGACAAGAAAGAGGGGACAAAGGGGAAGCAAAAACAAACCUCAGAGGAACUCAUAGCGGUGCUUAUCUCGUCCUAGGGUUUAUUCUUUUGAGUUUAAAGUGUCUGCAACAUAAUUUAAGGCAAGGUCCAAUAGCAUUAGUUUGUUUCCAAUCAGAAAAUUCGGAACAUAAAUUGAAGAUGAUGCAAUCAAGUUUGACAGAUCUUCAAGAAUAUAUUGUAUUGUGUGUUGCCUUAAAUUUUGUUUUAUAGGAAAAAGAAAGUUGUUCAUGUACCUCAAGAGCACUAAAGUUUGCAUACAUAGGUAUUGAAAGGGAAUAAAGAAUUAAAGAAAACCCAGAUUACCUUGGUCCAGUAGUGGUUACACAAGAGGAAUCUGCAAGUCAACAAACCACAUCUAGAAAAAGAUAAGGAUACACUGACAUAGUUCAAUUUGAAGCAUAGAUCAUUGAAAAGAUCUAACAAAUAAAAUUAAGAUCUUUUGUAGACAAUAGAAGCAUAAUAGCUGGCAAAGUUAGACUGUAAACCUACAGUAAAUGAAAAAUAAAUAUAAUCUCCAAUUAAAACUAUUGGCAAGCCGGUAGC